rnacentral:lncRNA from 1 species
AUAAUGUUUCUUUUUGGAUAUUAAUAAAAAAUUAAAUUAUCAAAUUAAACUCAAAAAUAAAAUAAAAACAAAAAAGGUAUAUAUUAAUUUUUGUGGAAGCUCACGUAUGUCUAAAAAAUUAAUAUCGUAAAAAAUUACAUUAUCAAUUCUUUUAGAAAAAUUAAUAUUUUAACUCAAGAGUGUGUUCUACAAAAAUUAAUAUAUAUAUUUUUAUUUUAUUUUAUUUUUUGGUGUUAAAGUGGUAAUUUAUUUUUUUCUUUUUAAUAAUGUCUAAAAAAAUUAUUAUAAUAGGGUUUUUUUUUUAAUAAUGUCUAAAAAAUUAUUAUAAUAGGGCAAUAUUAUAAAAAUAAGUUAAAAGGAACAAAAGAUAAUGGCAAAAGUGUCAAUAAUUUAAUGGUAGGAAUGGUUUGAGGUAUUUUUAAAAAUAUAGGGACUAAACGGACACUAACUUCAAAAUAUAGGGACUAAACGAGCUGUAAACUUGCCCCCCCGAAAAAAAAAAUCCCAUCAAGUAAUCAACCUCUUGAACAGAAAAGCCUGAGAUUUCAAAAACUGAACAUAGAAACUUGACAUUUUCUUAUAUGCACGAUCAAGAUCAUUAUGUACACUGACAAAAAACCAGAGAAAACUCAUGCAUGAUUGGGUUUCAUCUACAAACACAAUUAACCAACAAGUAAUUUUUAAAAAAAUUAAUUUCUUCAAGCGGAAAAGAAACCGUCAAAAGCAGUAACUGUAAUCUGGCUCUUAGGCUUCAAUACCCACUUGACAAAUUUUCUGAUCUCUUUACUUUUUAACAAUUGAGAUGCUCUGAAGAAGGCUCAUGAUGAACUAGACAUUCAUGUUGGUGCAAAUAGGCAAGUGAAUGAAUCUGACAUUAAAAAUUUAGUUUACUUGCGGGCUAUCCUCAAGGAAACAAUGCGUUUAUAUCCGGUUGUGCCACUUUAACUACCUCACCAGUCGAUGGAAGACUGCACUGGCAGUGGUUACCAUGUCCCUCAUGGAAACAAUGCAUUUAUAUCCGGUUGCGCCACUUCAACUACCUCACCAGUCGAUGGAAGACUGCACCGUCAGUGGUUACCAUGUCUGUGCAGGCACGCAACAUUUUGUUAAUGCUUUGAAGGUUCAUCAUGACCCAAAAGUUUGGCAGGAGCCUUGAAAAUUUCUGCCAGAAAGAUUUCUUACAACACACAAGGAUAUUGACUUAAGGGGACAAAACUUUGAAUUGAUACCAUUUGGCAGUGGUAGAAGAAUAUGUCCUGGAAUUUCAUUUGCCUUUCAAGUUAUGCCACUAACCCUUGCUUAUCAAUAUUCUUAAUUAUGUAAAUCAUAUUUUUUAUUAAUUUUAAAUUUAAUUAUGUAAAUUAAAAAUUAUUAAUAAGAGCAACACAAAUGAAACAUUAUUAUUAAUAAUAUAGUACAAAAUUAAUAUUUUCUUAUAAUAAACUAUUUAUUAUUAUUAAUUAUUAAUAUUAAAUAAAUAUAAUAUUAUUAUUUAUUUUAUUUUAUUAAAUAUAAAUUAUUAAAUUUAAUAAAAGGAGGGUAGAAAAGGAAGAGGUGGGAGUGUCAUGAGAGUCCCACUCCCACUGCCCACUCCAAAAAUAGGUGGAGCCCACGAAGUGGGAUUCUAAAUUCUCUCUUAAAAUGUUAAAGUAAAUAUUGGAGUGGAAGAAAUUCACAUUUCUCACUCUCACUUCAAAAAGUAAACACAACGAAAGAGUAGAUAACCUUUGUGUUUUAAAAAUUUCAAAAACUUAGAAAGGGCAUUUCAGGUAAUUAAUAAUAAAUGGAUUAUUAAAUAAGGGUUGAGAGCUACAAUAUAUGUAAAUCCACACUUUAUGAAGAAAUAAUUUAUAAAAAAUCACAUUAUUUUUCAAAAUUUAAAAUAAAGAGAAAGUUUAGCAAUUAAUUAAUUUUAUCCAAUUCUUUACAUAAGUCUGUUGACCAUAGUUGAUCACUAAUGUUGUUUAAACAUAAUUUAAUUUGAGUAUAUUUUAUCCGAUAACAAAAAAAAAAAUCAAAUUGUCCAAAAUAUAUCUGCUGUACGGCCAAGGCGGAUGUACGGUACAGCAGUUUAUGAUAAAUAUUUGUUGAAUAUCGGUACAUAUAAAGGAGUAAAAGAACACAUAUAUCAAAACACGUAAUAUCAAAACUCUUAGAGAAACACAUAUAUUUAACAAAUAAGCUUAUGAUAUAAAUUAUUAAAAUUAAACCAUAAAAUAAUUAUUAUGAAAUUAUUUUUUUAUUGAUAGAGAAUGUCAUAUAUUUGAAUUAUUUAAUAUAAUUAGAAGAAAAAAAGUAAAUAUGACUGUGAAGUUAAAAGUCAUGAAAGUUAUAGUUGAAAAUGUUGUUAAUUGUUAUUGUGUUCCAUUUUGCAAUUAGACCAAACCAUAUAUUCAUAUAUAUGGUGAUGUUCCAUUUUCUAAUACUAGUGACAAUGUUAUAACAUAGUUACUAUAUUCCAUUUUGCAAGUUUCUAAUACUAGUGACGAUGUUAUAAUAUAUAUUGAUAUAUGUUUCUUUCAAUUAGAUCAAAUCAUAAUAUUUUUUAUAAUAAGUUAAAGCAAUAAUAAAAUUUUUACCUCCUAAUGAUUUCAAUUAGUUCAAGAAAUAUAAAAUUAAAUCAUUUUAUAAAACAAAUCUCUAACUCCUAUUGAAAGAAAAAAUAUAGUUGAAUGAGGGACAAAAUUAAAAAUAAAAUAUAAACUCUAUUAUUUUAUGAAAUACUUAGUUUUCAAUUAAUGUUUUCUAAAUGUCCCCUUAUUUGUCCUUUAAUGUAGAUUGAAUCAUUAGUUGGUCAGAAUUUAAAAUCUUGACAACUUUUAAUUUUGGCUCUAAUAUAAGCUUACAAAUGUAGGCAUGUAGCUUGCUGUUAGAUUUGGUUAUGCGCUGAUAAAUUUUUUAACAAGUGAAAAAGAGAAAAGAGAGAGAAAUUACCUUAAUUUGAUAAGGAAAUUAGCAAAUAAGAGGAAGAUAAGAUAAUUUACGGUAACAAAUAAAUGAUAAAUUCUGAUUUUUUAGAGAAAAAAAAGAGUAAAAUAUGUACUAAUGGAGCGUUUACAUUUUGGAUUGGAGUGGUAAUCCUAUGAUUGAGAGUGUGGAGUGGGAGUGGGAGUGGGAGUGGGAGUGGGAGUAGAUUGUUUACUUACAGUGGAAUGGAAGUAUGGAAUGGAGAUUAGAAUCCAAUUUAUGUAUUUACUUUAUCUUGGAUUUGGAGUAAAUAAUUUCAAAUUACAAUUUUACCGUUAUUUAAAAAAUUAUAGCUUUUAAUUACAAAGUUAAUAAAAAAUAUAUUUGAUAAAUAAAAUUUUAUUAUUAUUUUUCAAAUUAGGGUGGAAGUUCUGACUAAGAUUUGGAGUGUAGAGUGAGAUUGAGAGUAAGCUCUUUACUUACAUUGGAAUAAGAAUAUGAAAUAAGAAUUAGAAUUCCAUUUAUAUGUUUAUUUUGUGUUGCAUUUGGAUACUUUGUCUUGGAUUGGAGUGAAUUGUUUAAAUUACAAUUUUACCAUAUAUAAAGAAUUUUAGGUUUUUAAUUACGAAGUGAAAAAAUAUAUUUGUAAAAUAAACUAUUUAUUUUAUUAUUAAUUUUAAUUACAUAAAUUAGUAAUUAUUAUCAAUAUUCUUAAUUAUGUAAAUCAUAUUUUUUAUUAAUUUUAAAUUUAAUUAUGUAAAUUAAAAAUUAUUAAUAAGAGCAACACAAAUGAAACAUUAUUAUUAAUAAUAUAGUACAAAAUUAAUAUUUUCUUAUAAUAAACUAUUUAUUAUUAUUAAUUAUUAAUAUUAAAUAAAUAUAAUAUUAUUAUUUAUUUUAUUUUAUUAAAUAUAAAUUAUUAAAUUUAAUAAAAGGAGGGUAGAAAAGGAAGAGGUGGGAGUGUCAUGAGAGUCCCACUCCCACUGCCCACUCCAAAAAUAGGUGGAGCCCACGAAGUGGGAUUCUAAAUUCUCUCUUAAAAUGUUAAAGUAAAUAUUGGAGUGGAAGAAAUUCACAUUUCUCACUCUCACUUCAAAAAGUAAACACAACGAAAGAGUAGAUAACCUUUGUGUUUUAAAAAUUUCAAAAACUUAGAAAGGGCAUUUCAGGUAAUUAAUAAUAAAUGGAUUAUUAAAUAAGGGUUGAGAGCUACAAUAUAUGUAAAUCCACACUUUAUGAAGAAAUAAUUUAUAAAAAAUCACAUUAUUUUUCAAAAUUUAAAAUAAAGAGAAAGUUUAGCAAUUAAUUAAUUUUAUCCAAUUCUUUACAUAAGUCUGUUGACCAUAGUUGAUCACUAAUGUUGUUUAAACAUAAUUUAAUUUGAGUAUAUUUUAUCCGAUAACAAAAAAAAAAAUCAAAUUGUCCAAAAUAUAUACUUCUGUGACAUAAGUUGAAAAAAUUAAAAUUUGGAAUGUAUGCUGUAUCUUUUUCCCAAAUUUUGUAUUGAUAAUCCCAGAUUAGGGCAUGGAUUGAAAACUCCCCAAUUUUGAGUUACAAAUCCCCAAUUCGAUGUGGGCAUUAACUACAAAUCCCCAAUUUAAAUAAACUCUUAUUUAAAUAAGAGUGAGUUUGAUUGAAUUUCGGCUUAUAAAUUAAAACAAUGCAGUUUGGGAAUGAUGUGCUUCCAAGAGGCUCUCUUUUGUCUCAAAGAGACGGCCACCUUAAUUUUAUACUUAUUCGAUGCAACCAAAAAAUAAGGCCACUUUAAUUUAUUCAGUUUGAAUAAAAUCAAUUCCACCAACCGAGAUCCCAUUCACUGUCGUCAACAUUAAUUGAAUUGAACAAGCUAAUUCAAAGAUAUGCACGCGUUUUAUUUCUGUUAAGGGGAAAAUGUCAAUAAAUCUAUGGGCUAUCUGAGUAAUCGAUUUCAGUUGCCGAAACCAGUACGAGUCUAUUCACUAUGGUUUGAGGUGUUGUAGCUUAAAAAAAUUUGUAUUUAUGAAAAAAAUUAAUAAUAAAUAAUAAAUAUAAAUUUUAAAUAAUAAUUUUGACAAAAUUAUUAAAGAUAUAAUAUAUUUUCUAUUAUAUAAGUGAAAAAUCAUAUCAACAUAAUUUCUAAAGUACAGUAGGUAGUGUUUACCAAAUACUUUAAUGUUGUAUCUUUUAAGGUACAGUUGCCUAAUCUUAAUCUCAAACGUACCAUAUAUCUUACUACAUUAAAUAAAAAAAAAUACUAGUCUGAUUUUAAUACUAAUUUGCAAAGCCCCCUCUAUUGGCGGUUCAAAUUUUGUCGACUAGAAUUGUUCUUACAUGUUAUCCACCUCAGGCAUUCAAACAAUUCACAUUCUCAAUUAAUCAAUUAACUAAAUAAAUUGACUUGUAUAAAUCAAAAAUGCUAAAAUUGUAAAUGUAAGCCUUACUAGCCAUUUCACUUGAAUAAAUUGGAAAGGACUUCUGAAUUGAUCAAUUAAUCAAAAAGACAGCGUAAAUGUUUAAACGAGGAGUAGCGUGUGACACGUAAGCCUUAAUUAAUCAAGUAAUUAAUUGAUAAAAAAAAGUUAACAAUAGAUGUAUGUGGCACACACAUGAGCCUUGAAGGAGCCAAGACCAUAUUUUAUUCACACAACUUGAUUAAUUCUCUUCCAUGCUAAGUUCAAAGCCAAAAUUAAUUAAUACAACUUUGGACCAUCGAUCUCUUCUUUGAAGCAAGAAUUUUAAUUGGAUUAAGAAACGACACUAAUAUUAAUUGAACGAUUUUGAUGAUGAAAACAAUGAGUUCAUCUAAGAUUGAGACUUUUAAUUAAUUUGAAGCUAUUAAUUUUUGGAGUUGGACUAUUGGCACUCUCUAAAAAUCGUUUAAAUCUUUUUUUUUAAUUAUCUUAUUAAAAUAUUUUAAAUAAUAUAAAUUUCUUAUGACUCCUCUUAAUUAAAAUUCAUUCUUAUAUAACCCCACUCUUACAAUUUUUUUUAGUAUUGUUCAAGCGUCUUAUGAUGUCAACAGCCUUUUUCUUUCCUUAUCUAUUUUUUCAAUUCUUAGUAAUACAAAAUAUAUUCUUCUUACUGACUUACUCCAUGUUAACACAAACUCUUGUUACCGCUUAUUUUCUCCUCAAUUAAGUCCAUUCAUAAGUGGUAAAAGAGUUUCCAUUAUAAAUGCUUUCAACUUCAAAGAUUUGAAAAUUUUAUUAUAAUAACUUCUAUUUUCAACACAAAAGCAAUUCAACCUAAUGUUGAGUUCUUCAUCGUGCUUCCAUUGGUGAAUGCACAUGUGCUCUAUGCCAUGCUACACCCUAGAGAAAGAAUGAAAACAAAUUCAAUUUUUGUAAGAAAAAUUACUGCUACAGUCACAAAAUUUGAAAAAAUAGUCACAAAGACACCUAAAUUUUUAAAAGGAAAACACCAAAAACUUCCUUUUAACUAUUAUAUCAUUUGAAUUUAGUAUUUAGAAAAUUGACUUUGAAGUUUUUUAAUUAAUACAGAUUUAAUAGAAAUAAUAUAAUCAAUCUAGUAAACUACCAAUAUUAAGUUAUUUUUAACAUUUAAAAUAAUAUUAAAUUUUAUUUAAUAUUAUGUUUCUAUUUAUUAUAAAAUUUUGGGGUUAAUUUUUUUAAUUUAUAGAGUUAAAGCAUAUUAUGGUCAGAAGCGGAUCUUGGUGUCCCUUAUUAAAAACUUGGGGGCCUUUGUGACUAUUUUUCCAAACUUUAGAGGGUAGGUGUCUUUUUUUCUUUUUUUAUAUAUAAAAAGAUAAAUUUAUUUAAUUAAGAAUUAAAAAAAAAAGUGCGUGUGAUGGUAAGGGAUCCAACUCUAAUUUUUAUUUAUCAAGCAACGAUAAAGACUAUGGCGAAGCUUUUUAACACACUUUAGUGUAAUUUAUAAAAUACUAACUUAUAAAAUAAAAAUCAAUCAUCUUGUCAUAAAUUUUAACUUAAAAAUAAUUCUAAAUUUUUAAAGAUUUCACAAAAGAAAAAAAAAAUCUUCAGUUGAUGUUUAAAAUAUAAAUAUAAGGGAAAAUUAUAGCUACACUCUCAAGGUUUAGAGAAACAAACAUGAAGAACCUAAACCUUCAAUAAGAGACAUUAAGACUUCUUCUAACCAUAAUACCCUUUGGUUCUAUUAAAUUGACUCCAAUGUUUUACAAAAAAUAGAAAUACAAUAUUAAAAUAGACAUAAUAAUAUGUACACUUUAUAUAUUUAAUAUUAAAAAAUACUUUAUUAUUUUACAAUCUACUAGAAAAAUUAAAUUAUUUAUAUUAUAUUUGUUAUAUUUAUUAAAAACGUUAAAUUUUUUAUUUACUAUAUUCAAAAGAUAUUAUAGUAAAACAAGAUCUUUGUGUUCCUUAUUGAAAAUUUAGAGGUCUUCAUGACCAUUUCUCUAAACUUUGUGGGUAUAAUUAUUCUUUUCUCUAAAUAUAAAUUAUGAAAUGUGGUGGGUGUAAUAUAUAAUUAAAAGAAAAUUUAUUUUAGCAUUUAAUUGAAUUUUGAUUAAAAAAAAGAACUAAUUUAUCUUUAGUUAUUUAGGUAAUUUUGUUUAAAGAGGGGUUUAAGGAGAUUUAGAGGAGUGUCAAAAGUAAUUAGUUUUUUUUUUCAUCGUUUGGAAUUUUGAUUCUCUUCUAGUUUCGUUUCUCAUUAUGAGAUUUUUCUGGCCAUCUAAUAUAAUUUAUCUAGAUUAUAAGUUAUUAACAACAAAACACCUUUAAUACAUACUUUUGAGAACUAAAAUGAUAAAAGAAGAGAAAGUCAAAGAAAAUCAAGACUACAACUUUCAAUAAAUAAAUAACUUUAUUUACAUGGAACUAAUAUCUAUUAUUCUCAUAUUUAAUCUAAUUUUUUUUAUAAUUGUCUGAGUACUGAAAUCAAAUACAAAAUGAGAAAAGAGGGAAUUGAACGAAAAAAAAAACAAAGAAAAUAAAUUUACAUGGGUUAUAGAUUAUGAGAGUUUAUUUGAAUGAAGAAGAAAGAUGGGUGUCCCCCCCCCCCCCCAAAANNNNNNNNNNNNNNNNNNNNNNNNNNNNNNNNNNNNNNNNUAAAAUCGAAUAAAGAAGAAAGUGGAGAUUUAAUUAGGUAGGGUUGGCAAAAAAGUCCGGGUCAGACUAAGCCCACAGGCUUGAGGCUCGGCCCGCAUCAUGGAAAUGAGCCCAAAAAUAAGCCCACUCUGAAUGCCCCUUGUUAGUACGGGUGGGCAUUUGGUUCGAACCGAACUGAACCAAACCGAACUAUAUUAUAGUAAUUUGGUUCGGUUCAGUUCAUGUUAUAAAAGUAAAUGGUUCAAAUUUUCUGAACCAUUUGGUUUUUAAUUUGCUGAACCAAAUGGUUCAGUAAAAGAAUUGAAAUUAAAAUUAAAAAAAAAAGGAAAGUGAAAAGUGAAAACCUAAGCUAACUAAAACACACAUUUCACUAUUUCAAAUUAAAUCACACAGCCACAUAAGCAAUUAACCACCCACCAUCUGAAACUCUUUUUCUCUUUGCCGGCCACUACACACGAGUAAUCAGCCACCGCUCAUCAUCCCCACCGUCAUUAGACUCAUCAUCAUCGUCGUCAGCCUGUCACGGAUUCAUCCAUCGUGCUUGUGCCACACGCUGCAACUUUCAGUCCAUUGAGCUUCAGUCAGCAGACUCGGCACCAUCUCUCACUCUUGUUCACCGUCAGCCACACCUUCCUCACGCCAUCACCGUCGCUGGUCUUGCCAAACUGCUGUCAAGGACUCAAGGUGCGUGAGACAGCCAAUUACUUCUAAUUUGUUUUAAUCUUUGCUCUAAUAUCAUGACCGAACCGAACUGCUAUCAAUAAUUGUAUUGUAAUUUGUCAAACUAUCUUGGGCCCUUAAUAAUAUGUAAUGGAUUAGCUUAAUAGUUAAUAGCUUGUAGAAACAGCCACUAAUUUAAUCGAAUUAGUAAUAAAAAUUUGUAGUAAUACCUAGUGAUAUAAUUGAAUUAUUAUUAAAAAUUAGUUAGUAAUGUCCACUGAUUUAGUCAAAUUAAUUUAUGGUUUACAAUGUUACAAUUAGUUAAGUGAUAGAAUUAUAGAAUAAAUUAAUUCGUAAAAGUUAAAUGGGGUUGACCUUCCGUAGUUGACUAUUGUUUGCAAUAUUUUCAGAUGGUUGCUUCUUCAAAGGUCCAAGACAAUAUUGAAUCCUGAAGCAAUGAAUCUGACCGUGAAACUGAAGUUGAAAAUGAUUCGUUAACAUUAUCCAAUAGUAGUGGAACAAAGAGAAAAAGAGCUUCAAUACCCAGAAAAGCAAUGUUGCCAAGAUCCGAGGUGUGGCAACAUUUCACUAUAUUGCCAAGUGAUGCAAAAAAGUGCACAUGUAACCAUUGUGGUGUAGAAUUUCGUAUAGGGCACGAGACUAGCACUUUAAAGACUCACUAUCAAGAUAGGUGCGAUAAAUAUAAGAGCUUCGAGAAGGAUCAAACAGUUUUAACUAAAGAUGUUGGUAGUGAAGAUCUUUUGGCAAGGGGGUUUAGUUAGGAUGCUUGUAGACGCGCAACUGUAAAAAUGAUUGUUUUUUAUGAAUUUCCAUUUUCUGUUGUAGAGAAUCCAGGAUUUAAGCAUUUUUGCAGUGUGAUUGCUCCUAGGUAUAUUCUUCCAUCACAGAGAACUAUUACUAGGGAUACUCUUGAUUUGUUUGUGGAAGAGAAGACUAAGUUAAAGAGCUUAUUGGUCGGGAAUAAGCAAAGAGUGUCUUUGACCAUCGAUAUUUGGAUUUUUAUUAUAACAGCUAGCUAUAUGGUCUUCACAACUCACUUUAUUGACACAGAUUGGAGCUUACAUAGAAGAAUUAUUAGUUUUAAUAUCGUUAAUGAUCAUACAUCAGAGACGAUUGGCAAGAAACUUAAAAAAAUGUUUGAUUGAUUGGGGUAUAGAGCCAGUCUUUGCAGUAACUGUAGACAAUGUAAGUGCAAAUGAGGGUGCCGUUAGGUAUUUAAAGGAUAGAUUGAGCACGUGGAGAGAUGAUUCUUUAGUGUUGAAUGGGGAUUAUAUGCAUGUCUGUUGUUGUGCACACAUUUUGAAUUUGAUAGUUAAUGAAGGGUUGAAAGAAAUGGAUGCGAGUAUAGUUAGUGUUCGUAAUGCCAUGAAGUACGUGAGAUCUUCCACUGCAAGGAUGCAAGCAUUUCAAAUUUGUGUGAAUCAAGAGAAGAUUAAUUGCAAGGGAAGUGUGAUUUUAGAUUGUCCUACAAGGUGGAAUUCCACUUAUAUGUUGAGUACGGCAUUGAAGUUUAAGUCAGCAUUUGAUCGAAUGGCAAAUGAAUAUAAGUUUUAUGAUGCAUAUUUCCGUGAGAAAGAAAAUGGGGAAAAAAAAAGGAUAGGACCACCAUUAAAUAGUGAUUGGGAAAGUGCUCGCCGCAUUUGUAAAUUUUUGAAGACUUUUUAUGAUGCUACUUUGCAAUUUUCUUCCUCUUUGAAGGUAAUAUCAAAUUUUUGCUAGAAUUUAGUUUGUCAAAUUAAUUAUUCUUUGGCUUUAAUAUCUAAUAGCAAUUUUUAUUUUUUUUUAGUUGACAUUAAAUCUUUGCUACAAUUUGAUAUGUCAAAUUGAAUCUACUUUGAAAUCCUUGUGUAAGAGCAAUGAUUCUGAUUUGAGUGCCAUGGCAACUAAAAUGAAGGACAAAUUUGACAAGUAUUGGGAGGGCACAAUCAAGAUAAACAAGAUGUUAAUUGUUGCUUGUGUACUUGAUCCACGAGGCAAAAUGAAAUUCGCAACACAUUGCUUCGAGGAAUUGUAUGGCCAGGAUAGUGGCAAAUGUAGUGAGAUGAAAGAAAUGGUAAAAGACUUGUUUGUUAAACUUUUUGAGUCUUAUAGUGCACGGUACUCUAAACCCAGUGGAGUUGGAAGUGCAAGUGCAAGCAAAAGUGCAAGUGCGAGCCAACAUUUUGGGAGUGGUUGUGGUUUGACUUCUUGAGAGUUGGAUGAUAUUGAUGAUGUUGCGAUCGAGGACCCUUUUCUCCUAAUUUAGUAAGAAAGUUACUGUUAGUGAAGAUAAUGCGGAAUUAUUAAAUGAAUUGGAGCUAUACUUGAUGGAGAAGACUGAAAAAAUUGCACCAAAAAAUAAUUUGGGAGCUAAAUUUGAUAUUUUGUUAUGGUGGAGGGUGAAUAGUUCGAAUUAUCCGAUCUUGGCAAAUAUAGCAGGAGAUGUCAUCGUUGUUCCAGUGUCUACUGUUGCAUCGGAGUCCGCCUUUAGUACCGGAGGUAGCAUACUAGAUCAAUAUAGAAGCUCAUUAACUCCGGACAUGGUUGAAGCAUUAAUAUUGACACAAAAUUGGUUGCGAUCAUCUCUUUUCUUGGAUGCGACAACAAAUCUUAAUCAGUUAGUUCAAGAAAAUGAGUUCAUGGACCAACUUUCAGAAGGUACGUUGUGUCAAUUUAAAUUUAAGUUUAUUUUUAGUAGUUUUGGACAAUUUUAAUUUGUUUUAACUUUUGUUUAUUUAGAGUUUCGUAAAUCAACAACUGCGGACCAUUUUGGUUUUGGUGUUCUACAUUGAGUCAUUGAGACUUUGGUUUAAUAUGAAGAAUAAUAGGUAAUGAAGUUAAUUUUUUUUUUGCUAGUUAGUAAAUGUGAUUAUAUUUAUAUAUGUCAUAGCAUAUAUUUUAAUUUAUUCUAUUUAAUUGUUGGUGCUUGGUUAAUGAUUUAUUUUGACUUGGAGAUAUAAUAUAGGCAUUGUGGAUGUGGAAAGAUGAAGAGGUGGCGAUAGAAAGAGUGCUUUGUUGGCCAUGGAAGUUUGAAGUUUCUUUUGUAAUAUGUAUUGGAUUUUUAAAUUAUUGUUGGAUUUUAUGAUGUUAAUUUACUAUUGUUAAUUUUGUUAUGUUAUUUAUUGUGUGGAUUUCUAGAUUUUUUUUUGGAUUUUAUUAUGUUAAUCUACUAUUGUUAGAUUUUUUAUGUUUAUUAUUUGUGGAUUUAAUAGACUAAGGAUUAUUGAUUUAUUGUUGUUUUAAUAGUGUAUUACCAUUAUAUCAUUUUAUUAAAUAAUGAAUAUAUAGGUUGAAACCAAACCAAAUUACCGAACUGAACCAAAUCAGUUCAGUUUUAUAAUUUGGUUCAAAAAUUCAUGAACCAUUUGGUUUCAGUUUGAUUCAGUUCGAGGCCUGAACCGAACCAAACCUAAUAGUGCCCACCCCUACUUGUUAGGGGUGGAAAUAAUACCCGUCCGGUCCGGACCUUGACCGCACCCGGGCAUUUUAGGUCAGGUAUGAAGCCGGGCCGGUCUUAAGCAUCACUUGAUAAACCAAGAACUCAAAUUUUAUUAAAAAAAUAUUAUAAAAUAUAUAUUAUUUUAAAUAUUUAUAUUUAUUUGACUCAUUUAUUAUACAUAUAUAAAGUUUUAAACACUUAAAGUUCAUAUUUUCAUGUCAAAUUUUAUUAAAAUAAAUUUAAAAUUUAUAAAAUUACUAAAAAAUAAAAAAUAUACAGAUAUAAUAUUAAAAAAUAUAAAAUCUGGGUACCCGAAUUAAAGUCCGGCACAACCCGGCCCAGACAUAUAUUGCAUCCGGGUCGAGUCCGAUCAUUGUGAUACCCAAAGUUUUGCCAACUCUAGCCCUGGUUAAGGGCUUUUGCAAAAAGGCCGGGCUUUAAUUUAUAAAUUAAAAAAUUUUAAAAAAAAUAAAAUAUUCUUUUUCAUUGAAAGAGUUGAAUCCCUCAUUCCAUUUUGAAUUAACAUCCUUUUUAAUAAACAUGAGUCUUGAGCUUCUGCAUAAAUUACAAUACAUAAACGUAGUUAAUAUCUAAAAUAUAAAUAAUUUUAAUUUACAAUAAUAAAUAAUAAAAAGAAGAGAAAAAGAAAUACAAAUAUUUGCUUAGAGGUGACCGGCCAAGUCCAUUCAAGGGAGCAAUUAAUAUUUUUUUGUUUAAUAAUAAUAAUCAUCUUAAUUUAAGUGUUUUCGUUAACUUAUAGUUUAAUUAAAAAUUUAUUUAACAAAAUUAUGGAAGGCCCAAGCCCUGCCCAGAUCCGCUCAAAUUGAAUGGGCUUUCCAGGGCUUGGACCAAGUAUCAAUUCUAUGGGCUGGGCCUAGGCUUUGAGAAAGCCCAGCCCAAACCAACAAAUUACCAACCCUAUAAUUAGGUGACUAGUUUCAGAGUUAACGUCUGUUAGCAUUUGCGUUAACGGUUUUAAUUUUAAUAGAGCUUUCGGUUUUUGUGUAGGGAGACACAUAAUCCAAAUUUAAUUAAAUGGACUGGAUUUAUUAGAUACUAGAUAGGCCUUAAAAUGGAGUUGGAGCGAAUCUAGAAUUUUGAUGAAUGGACCCAAGACCGGAGGUAGAUACGUGGAUAUGAUAAGGCCCGGUUCAAGAUUCAUAUCCAAUAAUAUUCCUUUAAUUUUAUUUUUUUAAAUCAAUUACAGUAAUAAUAAUUUACUCCAAAAUAUUUACAUAUCAAUUUAAGAGAGGCCAUAUUUCUUCAUCACAUCUUCGCCAGCUGCCGCUCGUCACUCACUCGCGGUUCGAGCUGUCAGGGUCAGGCAUAGUAAUUUUGAAAAUUAUCUGUCUCUUCUGGCACGUGCUGGAUGCGUGAGAUUGGAAAUUUGGAAUCACCUUGCAAUAAAUUCAAAGUGCUCUUCCUGACUCUUACUUUUCGAUUGCUGGGUGCUUAGAUAUGUAUUUAUGAAGUUGCUUUCUUUACUAACACUUAUCCAAAAUUGUUAGGUUUAGACUUUUCUUUUCACUGUUCUAAAGACGUGCUUUGUAUUUUAUAAUAGCAAUUAGUUAUUCUCUGAUUAAUUUGACGUGCAUGGUUGGUUACUUGGUUUGAUAGUUGGAUGUAAUUAACAAUUUAAUUGAUUGGGAGGAAAAAAAAUUAAAACGAAGCCUAGGUAGUCAUUCAAUGUACAGUUGCUAGUUAAUUCAGGUGGAAAUUAUAAAAUCUAGUAAAAUCAGAUGAAAAUUGUAAAAUCUAAUAAAAUUAAGUGAAAAUAAAAAUAAAAUUGCUGUAACUAUAAUGUUCGAACCGAACUGAACUGAAUUAAAUUAAAUUUAAUUUCAUAAUACAGUAGAACCUCCAAUAGAAAUAUUCUAUAUAAGAAUAGCUUGUUCAUAGUAAUAAAAAAUUGUGAUUCCAAUUUGCGACCAGUUAUAAUUAAAAAUAAACUCCACAUUGUAAUAAGUUAUAUUCUUUGUAAGUUCCGUCUUAAUAAACUUACCUCUACAUAAUAAUAAUAUUUCAAAAAUAUAUGCCAUGUUACAUUAAAUAAUUAAGAUGGAACAAAAUAUCUUUCUAAAGUUGCUUGUGACAAUGAUUUGUUCUUUAAAGUUACAACUACAUUUUUCAACUUGCGGGUAUAUAUUAAUUGGUUAACAUAGACACUUAGUAAUUGGUCAGCAUACACACUUAAUAAUUGGUCAAUAAAAUAAUUAAUUUAUUAAUGUAUAUAUAUUAAAUUUGACUCACUUAUUAAUUUAUUAAUACAUGACAUUAUUUACCUCUAUAUCACUUGCAUUAGGGAUAAUUAAGCAAAGACAAUAAUUUUUGUACUAUACAUCUAUUGAAUUAUAACAUUUUUAUAGGAAUAAAUUUCUCAAUUCCCAACAAUAUGACUAUAUAGAAGUUUUAGUGUAUUUCGGUACAAUUCAAAAAUUCGAUUUGAUUUAAGUUCUAUUCUUAAGAACCGAACCUUAUGGUGCCUACCCCUAGGUACUUGUACAUGAAUGAUAAGAUCUAGUUCAAGAUUCCUACCCAAUAUUCCUUUAAUUUUAUUUUUUAAAUUAAUAAUAGUAAUAAUAAUUUACUCUAAAAUAUUUUGAUAUCAAUUAAGAAAGACUAUAUUUCUUCAUCUCAUCAUCAAUAGAAAGAAAUGCCAACCAACUCAAUUUGAAAUUAAUUAUUUUUCUCAAUAUUAAUUUAUCAUCAUUGUUUCAAUGGUUAACAAUAGGGUAACGUUUGAUAGUCAUUCAGUCAAAGAAUGAGCAAAAAUUAUCCUUCAUAAUUCACAUUUAUAACCUAACAGAAAAAAAACAAAAAUGCAAGACUUUGGUUCCUGAGUCAUGAAAUUGGAUAGGAAAAUGAAAAAUAAAAUGACUUGGUCAUCGAAAUUUUAUGUUAGCCAUGGGUCAAAGUAGUAAACCGGCAUUUUCUAUGACUUUAGAAGCUUCCCUUGGUUUCACAAAGCAACAAACUGACUGGAAAAGUAAAAGUGUUUGAAUUUUGUUAUAUCUUAGACGAGUCUCUUCCUAGGUAUGGGAAUUAUUUGUAAAUAUUUUGUUUGAUUUAUAAGCUUGUCCUUAAUAGUACAAUUACUUUAUAAGUACUUUAGUUAUAUAAAAUUUUAUUAAAAUAAGUGUUUAAGGGUAUAUUACCAAUUUUGUAAUUAUCUUAUAAUCAUUGACUAGACGAAACUUUGACUGCAGACCUUACGCUACAUGCUCUUAAAUUAUAUCUAUGUACCAGACAUUGAUUUGAAGUAACCUCUUCAUUCAGAUCAGAGUCCCAGAGCCAGCAAAAAGCAAUUAGAAAUGGCCAUUCUUCUUACACUAGAAUCAACUGUUCUUGCAAUAAUUUCAGGUUUUGUAAUAUUUCUCUCACUUUUACUCUUGAUUUCACUAAAUGGGCGAACAAAAAAGACACAAGCUCCUCAUCAAGCACCAGUAGCUGCGGGAGCAUGGCCUUUGAUUGGCCAUUUACAUCUCUUCGGAGGGCAAGAGCCAACUCAUAGACUUUUGGGCGACGUGGCUGAUAAAUACGGUCCAAUAUUCACUAUGAAAAUGGGCUUGAAUCGAGCUUUAGUGGUCAGCAAUUGGGAAAUUGCCAAAGAAUGUUUCACCAUCAACGACAAACCCUUUGCAAAUCGUCCCAGAUCAAUGGCCAUGGAUCUCUUAGGGUACAAUUUUUUGGCCAUUGCUGCCAGCCCAUACGGCAACUACUGGCGAGAGUCUCGCAAGAUGGCCACCAUUGAGCUUUUAUCAAACAAUCAACUUCAGAAGCUGAAACAUGUACGAGAGUCUGAAGUGAAGGCUUCCAUCAAAGGGUUAUUCGAGAAUUGCAAAAGGAGCAGUUCACAUAAGGUUUCAGUGGAGAUGAAGCACUGGAUUGAGGGCAUUGUACUUGAUAUUAUCAUGAGAAUAAUUGCAGGAAAACGUUACACUUCACAAGACAGUUCUGAUUUUCAAGAGCAUGCGACCAACUUUUUUGACUUGUGUGGUAAGUUUGUGGUGUCUGACGCUUUACCGUUUCUGAGAUGGCUGGAUAUCGGCGGAUACGAGAAAUUAAUGAAGAAGACAGCUAAAGAAUUUGACCUCGUUUUCCAAGGAUGGUUGGAUGAGCAUAAGAGCAAAAGAGGUUCUAGCGAGGUUAAGGGAGAUGAAGACUUUAUGUAUGUGAUGCUGUCCUUGUUUGAUGACAAAGCAAAGCAGCUUCCUGAUGGCGAUGACACUGACACUGUUAUUAAAGCUAUAUGCCUGGUAUUGUCCUGAAAAAAAUUGUUGAUAACAUGUCAAUUGGCAAAGAGCUAUUUUAUAUGCAUAAUCGAUCUGACUCCUACUUUUGCAGUCUCUAAUCUUAGCAGCUUCAGACACUACCGCAGUAACAUUGACAUGGGCUAUCGCCCUACUUCUCAACAACCGCGAUGUUCUAAAGAAGGCUCAAAAUGAACUAGACGCUCAAGUUGGUACAAAUAGACAAGUGAAUGAAUCAGACAUGAAAAAUUUAGCUUAUUUGCAGGUCAUCCUCAAGGAGACACUGCGUUUGUACCCCGCUGGGCCACUUUUAGUACCUCACGAGUCUAUCGAAGACUGCACCAUCAGAGGUUAUCAUGUCCCUGCAGGCACACAACUUAUUGUUAAUGCUUGGAAGGUUCAGCGUGAUCCGGGAGUUUGGGAGGAGCCUUGUAAAUUUCUGCCAGAAAGAUUUCUUAAAAAAUACAAGGACGUUGAUCUGAAGGGACAGAAUUUUGAAUUUAUACCAUUUGGAAGUGGUAGAAGAAUGUGUCCUGGAAUUUCAUUUGCCUUUCAAGUUAUGCCACUAAUACUUGCUUCAUUACUACAUGGGUUUGAUUUUGCAACCCCAUCAGAUGCACCAGUUGACAUGGAAGAGGCAAAAUCCUUGACCUAUGCUAAAGCUACUCCACUUGAAGUGCUUCUUACUCCACGCCUUUCUGCUUCUUUAUAUGAUUAAUUUGGCUUUUGUAAUACUGAAUGUAUGUUUUUGUAUCACCAAUAAGAAGUGAUUAGAUGUGAUAAUGUCUAUUACCCUGAGGGUUUAGUUUUUUUUUUUUUUUCCCAGAAUAUAAGUUGUUGUGCUAUCAAUAAGAAGCGAUUAGAUGUGUGUUUAUUUAUAUAUUUAUAGAACAUUAUGCUAAGUUAUAAUUUGUAGUUAAGGUCUCCAUCUUUAUGGGAAAAAAGUUUUAUAUUUAUCUUAUUAAAGCGCGGGUCCAGAUUUAAAAAAAAAAAAGAUGCAGGGCAGGAUAUGCUAUCCUAACUCAUUUUGUUUGCACCAAACAUAAAAUUAGAUUAAUGUUUGUAAAAACAAUUUAGUCCCCAGCUUUUUAUCCCUCAAGGUAAUUAAUUAAACUAAAAGUUUAUCAAUGCAACUAUUCAUAGUUAAUUAGUUUCUCAUUAAUUUUUUUUACAGUGAUAAAAAUUUCAGCUUACCAGCCCUCUUCGUAAAUUGACGUACUUCAAUUUAUCAAGUGAACUUGAGUGAUGCAGAUCAAGCAAUUAAUUAAAAGGUAAAAGCUCAUUUAGUCCCUAUAUUUUAAGAUUAGUGUUUAUUUAAUCCCUAUAUUUUUAAAAAUGUCUCGAAACAUCCCUGCUGUUAAAGUAUCGAUACCUCUACCGUUACUUUUUAUUAAUUUUUGACUUACUUUUACAAUAUUACCCUUUUAUAAUAUUUUUUUUGUUUGGACAUUAAUAAAAAAAAUAAUUAAAUUAAUAAUUUAACCCUAGAAAAUUAAAAAAAUUAUAUUAAUUUUUUUGUAAGCACCAUUUGGCAUUUGCACACUUGGUGGUUUGCAUAUAAUUUUUAACAAUUUAAUUUUUUAUAAUUAAAAAUUAAUAUAAAUUUACUUUAAUUUUUAGGAUUAAAUUGGUAAUUUAAUUAUUUUCUUUUUAUUAUCCAAACAAAAAAAUUAUUAUAAAAUGAUAAUAUUGUAAAAGUAAGUCAAAAACUAAUAAAAAGUAACGGUAGGGGUAUUAAUACUUUAACGGCAGGGAUGUUUCGAGAUAUUUUAAAAAAUACAGAGAUUAAAUAGACACUAAUCUUAAAAUAUAGGAACUAAAUAAAUUUUUACCCUUAAUUAAACUAAAACAAAUCCUCGUGUACGUAGUAACAUGCAGAUCAGCUCACUAGCCCUCAAGGUGUAAGCUACCGGACUGCACAUUUAUUAGAGAACCAGAAUUCAGAGACAUCAGUGUCCAGGCUAGUGGGCUGUGGCUAUAUGGUAGAUGAAAAUUCUUUUAUUGGCCAUAGCUAAUUUCAGCUGCAGGAAAGAUUAGGCAGUAGGAAAUAUUACACAUAUCCAGUAAUUUUAAGGUUUCAGCAGGUUCGGGCUUUCAGUUCGAUUUAUAAAUUCUGUAGAGCUCUUCUAGUAUACACACGAGUUGAUUACCAUAUUGUGCUAGGACAUUAAUUGGCAAGUCCAAAAUCAAUUGCAGUUGGCAGAAUCUUUAUGACAAGCAGUAAUAAAAGGCGAAUUCUGGAAAAAUAUAAAGGGAUUUUUAAGUUUUGUUAGCUUUCCCAAGUAUUUAUCGCACAAUUCACAGUCCAAUCACACCCAUAAUAUUGAUGCCUUUUUGAUAAUCCUAUACAUUCUGAAGGGGUAAAAUUUGGGCAAAUUUAUUUAUGGACGUGAUUCAGUUCCACAGAAUUUUUAUUUUUAUGGACUUGGAGCGUAAUCAAAGACAAUCGAUAAAAAUUUCUCCUGCUACGAAUUUUGCAUCAGUAAUACUAGCAAACAUCAUGUUAAUUUGCCCCCCGAAAAAAAAAUCANNNNNNNNNNNNNNNNNNNNNNNNNNNNNNNNNNNNNNNNNNNNNNNNNNNNNNNNNNNNNNNNNNNNNNNNNNNNNNNNNNNNNNNNNNNNNNNNNNNNNNNNNNNNNNNNNNNNNNNNNNNNNNNNNNNNNNNNNNNNNNNNNNNNNNNNNNNNNNNNNNNNNNNNNNNNNNNNNNNNNNNNNNNNNNNNNNNNNNNNNNNNNNNNNNNNNNNNNNNNNNNNNNNNNNNNNNNNNNNNNNNNNNNNNNNNNNNNNNNNNNNNNNNNNNNNNNNNNNNNNNNNNNNNNNNNNNNNNNNNNNNNNNNNNNNNNNNNNNNNNNNNNNNNNNNNNNNNNNNNNNNNNNNNNNNNNNNNNNNNNNNNNNNNNNNNNNNNNNNNNNNNNNNNNNNNNNNNNNNNNNNNNNNNNNNNNNNNNNNNNNNNNNNNNNNNNNNNNNNNNNNNNNNNNNNNNNNNNNNNNNNNNNNNNNNNNNNNNNNNNNNNNNNNNNNNNNNNNNNNNNNNNNNNNNNNNNNNNNNNNNNNNNNNNNNNNNNNNNNNNNNNNNNNNNNNNNNNNNNNNNNNNNNNNNNNNNNNNNNNNNNNNNNNNNNNNNNNNNNNNNNNNNNNNNNNNNNNNNNNNNNNNNNNNNNNNNNNNNNNNNNNNNNNNNNNNNNNNNNNNNNNNNNNNNNNNNNNNNNNNNNNNNNNNNNNCGGGAAAAAUAUAUAUAUAUAUCCCCAUCAAGUAAUCAACCUCUUGAACAGAAAAGCCUGAGAUUUCAGAAACUCAAACAGAGAAACUUGACAUUUUCUUAUAGCAUGAUCAAGAUCAUUAUGUACAGUGGGGAAAAACAAAAAACAGAGAAAGUAAGACAGAAAACUCAUGCGUAAUUAGGUUUCAUCUACAAGCACAAUUAAUCACCGAGUAAUUUUUUUAAAAAAUUAAUUUCUUCAAGCCGAAAAGAAACCAUCAAAGGCAGCAAGUGUAAUCUGGCUCUUAGGCUCCAAUACCCACUUGACAAAUUUUCUGAUCUUGAUCCCAUCAGCCACGAUCGAAACAUUAACAACAUCAGCAGUAGUAGCAGCAGCAGUAGCAGUAGCAGGAGCAGCAUUGUUAUUUUGCUUGAUAGUCAUCUCUCUUUCAGCAGCCAGUUUCCUUAAAUUAUUGACCCUCCUCUCAUAUUCUUCAGCAACCAGCAUAGCAAUAUCAGCCAUGUCUCUUUUGAAAUCAAUUAACUUUUUUUAUUUUUGGUAAUUUUUGUUGAUCAAUUGAGCAUUCGAAACUUUUUAUACAAGGGAUUUGUCGGUCGCAUGAAUGGAUAAGACGGACAGGUAAUCCUGUGAUUUUUAAAAAUCAUUUUUUUUAAUUUUUUUUAAUUCGACGUGUGUUGUUUGUUUUAGAACAUGGGUUAGUAGGGGGCUGUUUUGGUUUCUAUCGACUUUGGAAAUGCGCAUCCCAUGUUCUGUUUUUUCAAUUUUUUUUUUGUUUUUUUUUCUUAAAUUGUAAAAAUAGUUAACAUGGGGUAGUUGAAAACUUGAAACGAGCAAACCAUGAUCGGCUUCCUUAUUUAUAUUAUUAUUAUUUUUAGAAGUUGCGUCGAUCAAUUAGAAGUUGAAAUACUCGAAAAAGAAAUAUGCUUUCACACCCACUGAAAAAGACUCGAACUGUCUUAAAUAAAAUAAUUAAAAACAAAGGCUAAUAAUUGAUUUUGGGAUAUUCGAGAAGGGAAAUAUGAGUUCUCAUAAAUUUUUAAAGAUCUUGUGUCAUAUAUUUUUAAAUGAUAGUGUAUGGAUAAGAUUUUAUUUUUUAAUUUUCUUAAUUUUAUUAACUAUCAAUCACCGCAUGUAUAUUUAUUAAGGAGAAGAUUAAAUCAGAAGAGAAUUCUGAUCAAAAUUAAGUAGUUAUUUUUCAAAUUUAUUAUCGUAUUAUUAUUACAAAUAAUGCAACUAGUUUAUUUUCUCCACUUUCGUAAGGUGUACACCAAAAUGGUGUGUUGCGUCAAUCUCAUCACGCUUGAAUCCAUAAGCUGAAAGCCACCCGUACUUUGUUUUAUCUAUGACCUCAGAAAAUUGAUUAUCAAUUCUAAACUUAAGCUUUUCUAAAGUUUUCAAAACUUCCUCUAUAUGUAUCUUCUCCGAAAAUGAGAAGUAUGAAAAUUAUUUAUUUAAAAAAUUUUCUGAUUUCAAAUAAAUAAUUAUUUUAUAUUAUUACAUAUCCUUCAACAUUUAUUAGAAAGUAGUGUGAAAAAUAACUGAGUGCGCACAUUAGUUUUUACUUUAUACCGAACAUCGGCAGGGUGGUGACGGUCGGUGAUAAAACCAUCGACCGAAAACCAUCAAAUCCAAUGAAACAAAAACUGGUGGCAAUUUUGUAAUUGACAACAUAUUUAUAAAACCACUGUCGUGGUAAGAACAAUAGUAAAUUUGAUCAAAGAUGGGCACGCGUCUCUUGAUUGUUAGACAUCACAUGACCCACAAGUCCCCCAAAAUAAUAUUAUAAAUAUCUCCUCCAUCUAGACAAAUCUUGGUUGACAUUGAACGAUUAGCUAGACUUCAAGUUUUGCUCCGACUUUUUCAUUUAUUUAUCAGCAUAUUAGUAAAUGAUUUAAAAAAAAAAAAAUCUUCAACUGCAACUCAAGACCAAUUCUAUUAAAAUGUUGACAGCAAGUCUACUUCUCAUACUGGUUAAAUUGUUUAUGGUAAUUUGCUUGACACAUUGAAUUAGCCACAGCCACGCAUGCUGCUUACAAAUUUUGUUUUUAACACAAAUAAAAAGGCGGUGGUGCCAUUUGGAUAGCUCGUGCUGGAGUUGGUUUCAUCAGCUCCGAUGGCGAUGUGUGGAUGUUCUAAUUGCAUGGGUCAAGAAUCGUGGAAUUGACUAUCCGGCAAAUCAUUUUUGGUUUGGUAUACAUACUAUAUGUUCUGUUUAUGCAUGGUUGGCUCAAUUCAUUCAAUAAAUGAUAAAUAGAUCAAAUAUAAGAAAACCCAUAGGUCCCAAUUAUGACAUUAAAGCAACUUGCACAAUUUAAUCAGCGAUGGCAAUCUUUCACGCAAAAGCUAUGUACAAUAUGUGGAAACAUGAACUUACUUACAACAAUUAAACCUGCGUUUGUGUGAGGUUUAAUCAAUAGGGGCGAUCUUUCACGCGAAGGCCAUGCAUACGAGAUACCAUCAGAAAUAUCAAUUGUCGCUCCUGGUUUUCUUGCAACUAUGGAUAAGCAAGCAGAAAAUUACAGUAGCGUGGGCGACAAAGCAAAGUAAAGGAAAUUUUCACAGGUAACCAUUCACAUAUUCGUAAAUGUAUCCGAACAGCGUAGACAGCGCCUCAGAUUUUCAUCUGGAAACUGUAUAAGACUCGUUUUUGAGAUCUACAUGAAUCGAAAGCAACAUAGUAAAGACUGACCUACCAAAAUCGACAGUCAGUCCGUCUUUGCAGUAUAUUAGUCUUGGAAACCAAGACUAUGAAUCCUUCAAAUUAUAGGAGACCUAGCGAUUUCAGCUGCUGAACAUGCUCAGGUGGGAGAGGUGCCGGAGACCAAUCAGAUCCUGUCAUCUCGCCAUCAACAUCCUCAACAACAUACUCCUGGCAUAACACAUCAGAGCAGAUUCACAAGAAAAUCAAAUAAACUACAAUACACAAUGACUGCAAAAUUAAAUUUAAGAGUACAUAAGCUACAUCUUUAGAUGAUAUUUCAAAGCAUCAAUAACGCAAGCCAAUCAAAAGGCUAGUCAAAACAACUCAAAACAUACUUUAUUUUAUUUUUUGGCUAAAGAGAAUUAAUGGAAGUUUGGAUGCCAAAAAGAAGUGAAGUCAAUGUAAAAGAUAAAACCUCAGAACUUAUAAGCACACUUGUCAGGACAAAGAACACCUGCUUCACUUGACGCGACAUUUUUUUUUUCCCCUUCAAAACAAAUGAAAUUUUAUUGCCCCAUCCAUUGGUCUAUUAAUUAAACCAUCAUUCGUCCAAAAAAAAAAAGAUUAAAGAAGUGAUACUAUUUUUUUUAUAAUUUUCCAGUUGCUUGAAACAAAUCUAUUUUCAGCGGUUCAGUUGAAGCUAGAAAGUUAAUGCACCACAAUGAGGCAAUCUUUUUAUAACAUCGCAUAAAGAGGAAAAAAGUAGCAUCAUUAUCACCCAACUUACUUUUGUUAGCAUUCGUUUUGCAAGUAUGUGAUAAUGCCGCUGCCAAAUCCGCUGUCCAACCAUUGUAGCCACCAAAACACUGUAGAAUAUUCCAAUCACAGUAAACAAUCCCAGCACAAUCAAAGCCAUUAUGAAUAGCAGCGGUAGCCCUGCUUCACCAGCACCGCUCAGGCAACCACAUUCACUUGCUGUACUCGCACAACUCUCAAAGCAUGUGGUACAGUCAGUCCACAUACAAAGCGUUCCAGGCAAAUGGCAGUCUGCACAUAUUCUGCAUGCAUAACAUAUGAAAAGUAAACAUCAAGUUCAUCACCAAUUAGCUUUCUCCUGAUAAUCACACAACCUAUCAGAUACUUUUCCAAUUGUAAGAACUACUCAAUUAGUUUAUAUAUUUGAAAUAUAGGGGAAAAAAAAAAUACAAGUGAUUGUAAGUUCUUUCUACCAAUAAUUAACUCUAGCAUACACUCUUCAUACGCAUAAAGGAAAUCUAUCCCCAUAUUUUACACUAUUUUAUCAACCCAUAUUGCCUCUUGCCCCAGCAGUUGGCACACUUUCUCAUGACAUUAAUAAUAGGAACCUAGGCAUUAAUAAUAGGAACCUAACUUACAGAAAAAAAAAACUACACUGUUGUUUUUUUAUGCAUCACUCAUCAAUUUCUUCUUUAACAUUAAACUUUUUAUUAAACAAGUCACAACCAUGAGGUCAUUUAUCUCAUAAAUACACAAGAUGGGAUUAUGGGGCAAUGUAGACUUAAUUUGUUACAUACUGUAAUUGCACAUGCAUGUGUGUGCAUACACUUAUCAAUCUUUCUUCUCUCUCCCUCCCUCUCCUGCUCUCACAAUGCAAAUAUAAGAGAGGCAGCUAUUUCCACAAAAUACGAAUCAACUAGCAAAAGUCUAACCAAAAAAUUUCAAAGGAGAAACUCAGAAUAAAGAAGUUCAUUCCUUAAUGAAUUCAAAUUCACAACUUAUAAAACAAUUAUGCGCCUAUUUUCUAAAAAGAACAAAAGGGCAAAUGAUUAUUAAUCAUUCUCUGCAGAAUAUGAACAAUGAACAUGACUAUAUAAAAGAACCAACAAAUUAGUAUAUGCAGAUCCCUACAAUGACACAAGAAAAUAGGAACGUCUUAUAGGGCAUCAGUUGUGCAGAUGACAGCAAAUAAUGGAGUAGAGUUAUACCCGGGCUGACAGCAACAAAGACAUAAUUCUCUACAAGGUUGAGCCAAGUCAUUCCGCACUCUGCGGUCAUAACAGGUAAUGAAGCAUCCAGAUAACCCCAGCAAAGCAAAAAACAACAGUGCUCCUGCAGCAAAAAUAAAAAAGAAAUGUAAAAUACAGACAUCAAGAGCUUUGACUAUCAUGGCAGAAGAUUUAAACAAUGGUCAAACCAUGAAUCUAAAAGCAUCAAGUAUGCUUAGAAGCAUGCACAUGCCAAUUACCACUAAUGGAUAUAAUACUGUUGUUACUCUCUCCCAAAGCAAAAGAUAAUCAAGAUUUCUGCCAGCCAGCCGCGGGCACAAAACUGAUCCCAGCAUUUUGGUGCACACACGUAUCAGAUUCCCAAAAAGUCAUUCAACCAUCUAAAUCUCAAUCCUAGUCAAGAUUUUUAUCCCUAUAACUCAAUCAGAUGCCAACUUACUCUUUAAAACUGAAACGAGGUCUCACACUUCAGUUGAGAAAAUGUUUUGCUACCAAAAUCAGUGGCAGAGCCACACAGUGGCCAAAGGGGGCAGCCGCCGUCGCCGAGUUUAAUUAAAAAAACAUUUUUUUUAAUUUAACCCAAAUUUUAUAUUUGCCCCCAACAAAAUUUGUGAUUUUUCCCUAUUUGCUUUAAAUAAAAUACAUAGCAAUAGGUCUAAAACUUUAAUUUUUAUCAUCAAAAUCAAUUUAAACAAGUACAUUAUACCCAAAUUCAAUGAAAAUACUUGAAAAGAAGAUGGAAUUCUUUAAUUUAAGAAAGCUUCAAAUAGCAUUUGCACAUCAUAAAGUAUGUUAAAUGGAAUUUCAAAACUUAAAAAGGUUUAGUGAAACCCAAAAAUACCAGAAAAUAGAGGCAACCUUUAUCACCCAAAACCUUGUCAGCAAAUAUGAAAUGCAAGAAUUUUUUUUCAAAAUGAGUAUAUUUAAAUUCCAAAACAGUUGAGAUAUGACACCAUUUUUUCCACCCGAAGCAAUGAAAAAUUUACACAAAUCUAAAACCUCGCAAAGGUGAAUGAUGUUGUUCAGCCAGUUCUGCAUAAAACUUUAUUAAUCUAACUCUCACUUUCAGAACUGCCCCACUACAAGAAAAGCAUACCAGAAAAUAACAGAUAACAGAUAACAGCAUCACAUUACAUUACAUUGCAAGAGAUUUCAUCCCAACACAUAAGAGGAAUCAUUCCAUGACACUGCUAACCAGACAUAAGAUAUGUAGUUAAACUGGCUAAAGCAAGUAGCCACAAACAUAAUAAAGAAUAACCUGCAAUAAACAGUGUCCUACAGCAAAUUCACACAAGAUGAAGACCAGCACUGUUCGAAAGUAGCAUAUCAAAGCCUUAAUAAUCAUUAUCAUUUCAGGUUCUUGAGAUUUUUACCACAUAUGUAGUAGAAACUGAGCUCACUAUCAAAACCCCAUGCCAGACGCAGCCAGGACUGCUGAUAAGUAUCAACUAAAUACACCAAAUAUGCCAGUGAAGCAAUUACCUAAGCACAAUGAAUGAAAAAACAGGAAAAUGAAAAUCCUAGGGGAAAAAAAUAUUUACCAUUACGAAAUAACAAAAAUUGCAAGAAAACAAGUAAGAUUAAAGCACCAACAACUUACAAGCUGGACAGCCAGAAAUAUAGAUAUGAUGUCUCUAGUCACAAAGAAACGAAAUUUCAAGGUUCUCCAUCGCCUAUCAGCAGCAACAUGAACUCUCAAAUGGUAAGGGGCUUUACAGGUUGUGCAAUGAGCAAAUGCAAACCCUUCCUGUAAGUAAAAAAAUGAUUAAAUAAAAAUAGAACACAGCUAAAAAGAACCAUGCCAGAUAAAAGCAAGAACCACAAUGCAGCUAAAGAUCAGAAGAGUCUUCCCAGAAAAGAAAUUACUGGGUAAAAUCCAAAUAGGGCCAAAGUAGUAAUUCUUAAAUGGACGAAAAUGAUAUUACCAUAUGGAGAUUGUUUGCAAGGAGAAACUAAGAAACAUAAAAGAUACCAUUUCAAAAGGCUGUAUAACAAUACAGUAUGUUCUGUAUCCCAUUAAGUAAGUUUAGAGUGUCCAUAAAUUACAGCAUUGAAAUUUUUUGGUAUACUUUUAUAUAAAACCAGUUUCAGACUAUAAUAAAUCAGGUGCUAGCUACGCAAAGAUCACUGAGAUCACACAGAAACUAUAAACUGAGCAUACUGUGAAUGGUUCUAGAUUUCUAAACCAGAAAAUCGAGAUGGCAUCAAUACCCUUACGGCUCGCCAAUGAUCCAAACAUUCUCGGUGUACAUACUUGGAUGUUCCUUUGCACUUGCAAGGAGCAAUAAAGUCCCUACCUGAAGAAAAUGCACAUGAAUAUAUAAAAAUGAGAGCAUUGACAUGUAUUUUAACUCAAAGUUAAAAACAAGGAACAUACAAGAUUAUCAUUUAUCACUCUAUAACAGCCAGAUAACAUUGGCAUCAACAUCACAGUGAAAAGCAUUUCUGAACUAGACUGUGACAAAACACCACAACUACAAAACCUAAGUGUGUUUAAGAGUUGCUUUUAUCAGUCUCAAAUAGCUAAAAAUGCAAUCAUUGAUCAUUGUCAGAAACGCACAAAACUAUAUAUAUAUAUUUUUUUACUAGGGCAAAGCACUUCCAGGUGGUUUUCCAACAGAAGCACUCCCAAAAAUCAUCCCAUAGUUGACUUCACUUCAUAAAUUCCUAAAACCAACAAAAAAAUUUUUAUAAUUAUUUCCUCACAUUUUCCAGCAUUUAACGGAAAAAAAAUAACCUACUUAUAUUUUAUUUUAUUUUCGCAUAAAGCUUCACUGUGAAGUUGCUUCAUUUUUCUUCUAAUUUCAGUUAAUUCUCCUAAUUCUUUCUCGAAUUUGAAAAUUAAACCAACUAAUUCACUCACUGAUACGAAGCAAAAACAUAAAUAAAGCUAAAACAGAGCAAAUGUCGGCUACAAUUUUAAAAAAAAGUUUUACAAAAUUGAGUAAUUUCGCUACAAUUACCGUCAGUUUCGAGGCAAAUACGGCACUGAAUUUGUUCACCGGGGCCGGCUUCGAGGUCGAUCUCACUGGGCUCGGUGAUUGUCGGCGGCGGGAUCAGCGGCGACGCUUCGGAUUUGUCACCCAUCGAAAUUUAAUAAUUAAUUGUUUUUAAGGACUCGAAAAAUGAAAAUAGAGCGAGAGAGAUCAAGACUACAUUUACAGAAAAAUCAUUUAGUUAGAUUUCUUAAAACCCCAAUUUCGAUUUUAAAAAAAAAAGAAGAAAAUUUGUUGAAUUUUUUUCUUUCUCUCUCUCGCUCUGAGGGAGAGAAAUUUUCAACGUAAGUGACGGGUUUUUCUGGUGGCAAAAGAGAGCAUCAGGAUUUGUUUUUAAAAAAAAAUUAAUCAACAAAACAAACAAAAAGUUCCUACGAGAUGGUGGAAUUAUUGAAUUUCCAUAACUGCCCAUCUGUUUUUCACAUUUUGGCAAUUAAAUGAACUCUCACACUUACUGAGAUUCAAACACUCUUUUUAAUGGGUUAAAAAAUAAUAGUCAUCAUUUUAUAAUUUAUUACAUUAUAUAUACUUUUUUUCGAAUUAUACUUUUUUCAUCGACAAUCACUAUCUACAUCCUCAAAAUCAAAACAUUUAUUUCUUUAAUUUUAAAUUGAGUUAGAUUUUAAAUUUUAUAUGUCAAAAAAAAUUUACGUAUGAUACUCUCAUUAUAGAUAAAAAUUAAAAACUUUAAUUAUAUUUAAAUUAUCAUUUACGAUACUACCCAUUUAUAUUUAGAUUUCUAUUUACUAAUUAUGAAUUUACACACAAUAAUUUCAUCUAAUAGCUAAGGAGCUAUUAAUUUUAAUUCUAGUCUUAUUGCUCUUGUAAAGAGAUACAAAUUUAAGAAGAGAAAUCAAAAUUUUUCAUAACAUAGAAAUAAAAUAGUAAAUGACUCCAAUCUUGAAAUUGACUUCUGCUUCCGCGCGUGGGAAAAAUACAAGGUAGUUGAAGAUUUGACGUUAACAAUUAACAAGGCUUGGGAAAAAAAUUAAUAAAUGAAAAAAUAAAUCAAAUUAAAUUGUCUGAGCCCGGGUUCGAACCGGGGACCUCUAGUGUGUGAGACUAGCGUGAUGACCAACUACACCACCCAGACGAUGCCUAAUGUUUGGCAAGUUUUUAGUUUUCACUUUAUUUUGUAUUUUAAAGUCCCUAACCCGUUAAAAGCAACACAACCCAACACUCUGUUUUCUCCUCUUCCUUAUCAAUCUCACCGAACUCGAAGUCGAGAGCAGCUGAAGUGCUGAACCCUCUGUUUUCUCCUCAAAACCCUAGGAACGUUUUCAGCAAUGGCGAAAAUCAACAAAGUUAAGAAACUAAAACAGGCAACUACGAGCCAAAAACCCAACAAAAAAAUACUCAAAAAAGAACCCAAAUCCCUCAAAAAACCCGAACCGCCUCCCGUAGCCGCCGCCGCCGCCACCAGCAGCAGCUGCAGCUCAUCGUCCGAAUCGGAGUCUGAACCGGAGUCAGAAUCCAUUUCAAGCCUCCUCGAACCUUACUCCAAGGACCAGCUCAUCGACCUCAUCACCGCCGCCGCCACAAAAAUCCCGCUUUUGCACGACCACAUUCUCGAAACGGCCGACAGGGACGUGUCCCAGCGGAAAAUAUUCGUUCACGGGCUCGGAUGGGACACGACGCAGGAGAGUUUGUUGUCGGCGUUCGGAGGUUCCGGAGAAAUCGAGGAGUGCAAGUUGGUGAUCGAUAAGGUGACCGGAAAGGCAAAAGGGUUUGCUUUUAUUGUGUUCAAAACGAGGAAAGCGGCCGUGAAAGCGUUGAAGAAUCCGCAGAGGAAGGUGAAUAACCGAAUGGCGUCUUGCCAGCUGGCGUCAGUGGGCCCCACUGGUGCCGGGGUGAAGGAGCAGGGGGCGGCGGCACAGGGGGAGAGGAAGAUUUAUGUGAGCAAUGUGCCGAGAGAUGUUGAAAAGGAGAAAUUGAGGGGGUUUUUUGAGAGAUUUGGUGAGAUUGAAACCGGACCGAUAGGGUUUGAUAUUACCACUGGGAAGUCAAGAGGAUUUGCAAUUUUCGUGUAUAAAACUGUUGAGGGAGCGAGGAAGGCUUUAGAGGAGCCGCAGAAGAUGUUCGAAGGGCAUCAGUUGCAAUGCCAAAAGGCAGCUGAGGGAAAGAACAGGACGAGUAGUAAUAGUAGUAGCAGUAAUAAUCAAGCACAGAUGAUGAUUCAGAAGCAGCAACAGCCAAUGCUUCAGGGGCAACAGCAAGGGCAAGGGAAUGAGCAGGAGCAGGUGCUUGCUGCUAUGGCAGCAGCACAGAAUUUGGCUUUGUUCGGGCAGCAUCCGGGAAUGCAUCCGUUGUAUGGAGGGUUUUUGGUGAAUCCUGGGUUGAUUAAUCCAAUGGUGGCUGGUGCAUUGCAUCAGGGUGCAAUUCCUGCUAGUAAUGUGGGUGCAAUGGCUGGUUCGUCAGUGCUUGGAUCAUUCGGGCCUGGUGCUGCUCAGGGGUUGCAGCAGCAGCAGCAUGUUUAUCCGAAUGCUCCGCAGAGUAAGACUCAGGGGACUGGUGGUGGGUCAUUUCCUGGGUAUACUUCAUAUAUGUGGUAUGGUUUAUUGUCUUUGCUUGAUUUGUUAUUUGUUUAUAUUUUUGUGAAUUUUGAUCUUUUGCAUGCUUAGUUUUUUUUUUUAAUGCUUCUACAAUAUUUGUUGAUUUAGCACAUACUUUCUUUUGUUUUAAUAUGUUUUCAUUUAGAUUUGAAAAUUUUGAUAUUUAGUACUAUUAUGUUUAGAUUUUCUGAUUUCUUAAGUCAUUCUUUAUUACUCGAGAGGAAUUGAUACAUAAACCUAUUUAUAAAUUGGUUUUGGUACAUUGCUGUUUUGAGUUGCUGCAGUUUAAGAUGUUUUUACUCUUUAUAUUUUGCCCCCUGUUUAUCUUAAUGAGUCCACAUUUUUACCCAGCUUUUGAUUUCAUUUUUCAUAUGUGUAAAAACAACAAUAUUUGUUGUCUCUCCUUCUUUCUUCAGUCAUUCUUUGGCCAUGGUACUUGUUUUUAUAUUGCCAAGAAAAUUGUUGUCUUAUUAUUAUUUUUUUUUUUGGUUUUCUUCUAGUGAGUUUCUUCAAGAGUUCUUUCUAGUUUUGUUAAGUCUUCUCUGCAGAUUUGUCAAGACAUGGAAUUAUAUGCUAAUUUUUGUCACUUCUUAAUACUCUAUCCUAUUAUUUGCAAUUUGUAGAGUAGCUUCCGUCUCCUUAUCUUUUCUUAUUGAUUUCACUGAUUGUGGAAGUUGCUUUCAUGCAAUUGUUUCUCCUCAGCCCACAUCAUUCGUUUGAACGAAAAAACCCUUUUAUUGGUGUAGUUGAGUUAGCAUAAUCAAUUUCAUUUGUUCUGUUUGGUAGAUUUUUGGUCAAUAGUUGUGAUCUUUUAACUGUUUUGGGUCAAUAUGAUGUGUGCAAGUCUUGAUCUCUGAUUUUUUACUUUUUCGAGCCUUAACUUUUGGAAGUUUUUGGUAAAUAUAUUUUAUCUGAGAAGACAAUAUCAUUUAUGAUAUUUACUGUCAUUACGUGUGUGGGCUCUAUUUGCAGAUGAUACAGCUGAGCUUGAGGAACAAUAUUCAUGCACCUUUGGAAGUGUUUUAUGUAGUACUUUGUUCUGGUUAAAUUGCUAAGUGACAUUUUGAAGUUUGUAAUCUUUUUAAAUGAUUCAGACUUUUGAAUUCGGCCAAAGCAAGGCCAUAACUUAGUGGAUUUUUCUUCUUCUACUUCAUCUCUGCUUCUUUUUACCCCCUUUUUUUCCCCCCUCUUACCUUUUCCUCUCCUUGUUUCUUAGCUUUCGUAUAUUUUAUCUUCUAAACAUUGGUAACUUAUGGUUUUUAUUUAGCAAAUUUUAAUUUCUUUACAUUAUGGUUCAAUUUAUUUUCAACAUUUCAUUUUUACUUGUCAAGUAUUUGAAUGUCACACUAUGAAUUUAUUUGCUGUCAUUGUUCCAUCUGGCUUGUGAUUAGUCAAUGGUUUUGAAACGCUGGACUGAUUUUCUUUUCUUGUGAAACACAUCACUACUUUGUUUCUGAUUGACAUCAUUAACGCUUAGGCCUUAUUACAUAUGUUAUACAGUUGAUAUGAGAUACUCUUAGCAUCUAACCCUUUUCUUGGAUUGAGUUAGUUUCAGGACAUACCAUUUGUUUUCUUUCUAUAUGCACUCAGUGAAAGCAUUUGAAGGGAUGUAUAGUUGUGUUUCAGUGCAUCUGUAAACACUUGUUUAUCUGUAAUUAUUUAUUCAUGUUCAUUUUGUUAGUGUUGUGGACGUACUUGUGGAAAAAACCACUUACAAUAAAUAAAAGCAAACCAUAGGCCUACGUAUCUCUUAAUUCUUUAGUAUACCAAAGCAACUAGUUAACGCAGUCGCUGCCAUGCACUGUCAUUCAUUAUUCAUGAACAUCCUUUGAUGAAGUAUGUGUAUGGUUUGAACUUUUAGUUUAGUUGGAUCUCGAAUUGCAUUUUUGGAUCCGAAAUUAUAAACUUUUGGGAUGGAUCAACCAAAAACUUUAGUUUUGAAGCUUUUGGUUUUAAGAAAGUCUUAUGCCUUUUAAUCUAUGAAGCUUGAUGUAUUUUAAGAGUUGAAUAUUUCAGUAAUAUAUCUUAAAUAUUUUCAAUUUAGUCGAGUGUGAGACUAAAGUUGUUUCCAAAUGAAAUUAUGUAAACCACAUUUUGUGGUUAUCUAAUGGGUUUAUAGAUGGACUUUAAACAUUUUAAUUGGGCAGUUCUAUAUAUGGUUUCCUUGAAUCUGAUAUUUUCUCUUUGCCUAAUUAAAAUGUAUAAGAUCCAAGCCCAAUGAAACCAGUUAUAUGUGGGUAGGUAGAUCUGAAAAAAGAAUAAUCAUAUAAAUCUUCCACAUUUUCCUGUUAUAUUUUGUGAUGAAGCUAUGUUUUUACCACAGAUUCAAUCAGUUCUAGUAUAAUAUCAUACUAUUCACCGUUUUCUUUUUAUGGUGAUGGUUAUAGCGAUCAGCUUACUGUCAACUAUGAACAUGCUUGCCCACAAAUUCAAUUAGCCAUAUAAGCUUUAAACUUUUUUCCCCUUUGUUUCAAAUGCAAUCUUCACCAUUGUUACAUUUUUAUAGCCUUAGUUGUGCCUGUUGUGUCAAGUUCUCUUUGUUCAAUAUGUUUAUAUAGCUUUCCUCAUCAGCAGAAUCUAAGUGAGACUUUUUUACAGCCCUGUAAUUGUAUACAAAUUAUGUCGUUUGCUUUUGUAAUAUCAUGAUAAAAAUGAUGAUUUUGGUGUGUUUCAAAUAGCUGAUCUCAAAUUGUUGGUUCCAUAUUUCUUUCCUCUCUUGCAUUUUAUUCUCUACUGGCAGUCUUGUUCAACUGUGAUCGCUACAACCUCUCCGUUUCAAACACAUAGGUUUAUGUGUUGCAUCUUGUCGUCUUUUGCAAAUAGGGUUAUAAAAAAAUUUAGUGUUUAGAUAUUAGUUGGACUGCGUUGUGGCCCUAUAUAAAUAUGUCCUUUGCUUCUGCAUUUUCAAGAUUAAAUUUUUUUAAAAAAAAAUUGAUUUUGGUAUGUUUAUUGUCUCGAAAUGGUUGGUUCCACUUCCAGGUCUCUUUCCUCUCUUGCCUUGUGUUCUAUACUUGUAGCCAUUUGUAGUACAAUGUUGCUAUUUCUGUUGUUAUUUCCCCCUAGUCAAAUCUCGAAAAUCUCACAAAAACGACGUCGUUUCGUUUUGAUCUUUUUCUUUUUAAUUUUAGCUGCUAGCACUGUGUCGAGCAAUCCGUUUCAAAGCACAUGACGUCAUUCGUUGUUCUCCUUCAAUCCGUCUCAAGCACAUUGAGUGCGAGCAUAUUCUUUGUCCUUCGAUUUCCUUUCAACAACACUCCAGUUACAAAACCCUAAGUACAAAACUCUUAAAAUGCAAAACCUUAAUUGGUUCCUCAAAGUUGGGUGCAAAACUUUUAAAUUGCAAAACCCCAACUAGUUCUUCAAAGUUAGUUUCAAUUUGUACGUGGGUUUUGACAUAAGGUAACAUAUUAGUUUUUUAACGUUUACUUUACUUGAAUCUUGAGCUGGUUCGCGUGAUGGUUGUGGUUCGUCGUCUGUGGCUCGUAUGACGGCAAUUGUUGCCGGAGAACUCGAGGAAUGUUGAGAUUGUAGAUUUUGUGGCUGUGAGAGUUUAUUCAAAACGGUUCAUUUCGGCAUGCCCACAGCAGACAAUAUCUUAUUAGUUUUGGGUUAGGUCAUGACAAAUUGUAUUAGAGCAACUUCGCGUGUCCUCUUGAGCGAUAGUGAGGCAAACCUCAGUGAGGACAUCGAGUCCCUAAGAGGGGUGUGUAUAACACCUUAGGCAAAUCCUACAUCAGCAAAGUACGGGAGAGAUGUUGGGUUUAUAAGGGGUGAUCUAUACCUUAAUUAGCAAGUUGCGUUUUGGAGUGUAUAGGCGCCUUAGAAAUAAAAUCGUGCGGACUUUGUUAAGGUCUAAAGCGGACAAUAUAUUGUUAGGUCUGGGUUGGGUCAUGGCAAAAACAAAACCAAAACAAAAUGAACUGUUGGUUUUGAAUGAACUAGAUCUGGGUUGGUUUUGUUUCUUGAAGCCGAAACGAACUGAUUUGAAUAAACUCUCACAGCCACAAAAUCUGUAAUCUCAACAUUCCUUGAGUUCUCCAUCCACAAUUGCAAUUGCUCACAACUCAUAGCCAUCACAUGCGCCACAGAUGAUGGACCACAGCCAUCAUGCGAGAUUCAAGUAAAGUAAACGUUAAGAAAUCAAUGAGAUUCAAGUAAAGUAAACGUUAAGAAAUCAAUACGUUACCUUAUGUUAAAGUCCACAUACAAAUUUGUCGGGGUUCUGCACUCAAUUUUAAGAAAUCAAUUGGGGUUUUGUAAUUUUAGAGUUCUGUACUUAGGGUUUUGAACUCCAUUGGAGCUAGGGAAAAAUGGAAUUGCAUUCAAUUGACUAAACCACUUUUCAAGCGGACAAAAAUGCUUUCGUGUUCAUCUUUUAAGCUUUUAUUGAAUCGGCGAGGGCUUUUUUAUUUUUUCUAAUGAUUACAAUCUACAAAUAUAUUAUAUUCGAGGUCUACUAUGUAGGACUAUCGAGAAAGUUUGAAAACCCAAUGUCACUGACAAUAUGGGGCGGAAUCAUAUUUUAUAUUUUUGAAAAGGGCAAAAAGAGCCAUCGGAGCUCGACAGUCAACAUUAUAAUAAAGGUUGGAGUUAUGAGAGUUAAUUGUAGUCUUCUCUUAAUUAUUUUAUAAUUAAAUAAAAACAGUUUUUGUCCUCACGAAUUAUGAGUAGAGUAGAUAUCUCUUUAUUAAUGAGGGUAAAAAAUUUAAGAAUUCUUUAUAAGAUUAAUGUAUAUAAUUUCUAAUAGUAUAAUCUUAUUGUAAAUAAUAGUUAAUUCAGUUGUAUCAAUUGUAAUCUAUUGUAAUAUCAACAAUAAUCCUUCAAAUCAAUAUUAAGAAAAAAAAAAUUAUAACACUGUUUCAGAGUAUCAUCCCGCUAUUGUUCUGUGAGAGAAGUACUACUGGCAUUUGGAAACAGCGAUUUUGGCGUCCUUGCUUUGGAGAUCAAUGAUUUUGGUAUUUCUUACGAAAAGAGCUUUCCACUAAAAGCACUUUGCAAAGGCGUAUUAGUGAAGGUGACACUUGUUUCUUAUGAUGCAUUUAGAGUACUUUAUGAGAAAAGAGCUUUCCACUAAAAGCACUUUGCAAAGGCAUAUUAGUGAAGGUGACACUUAUUUCAUUCUAUGCCCUAAAUUUGGAGAUAUAAUUUGCUAGAAAUGUCGCACACAUGCUCUGAACCCUUUAUGCUUUUAAAAUGAAAAGCAACUUGAUUUAUACGACGGAGUUCGGACUAUCUGCUAAUUGUCAUUUUGAAAGUGAUUCAGCAUCAGCAACCAUGCCGUUAGUUCUGAGAAACCAAGAUUAAAGUAGCUAAAUCAUAAUCAUAACAUUCUUUUUCGGAUUAAAUCGUUGAUGCCGCAGCUCGAAGUUCUACAUUACUCUAAAUCGUACAAGGAAAUAAGAGAAUUAUGCUUAAAACCAUUACCCUAAAAAUGGCCCCCUCAUAAGCUAAACAUAAUCAUAGAAAGUUAAUACAAGUCACAAAGAGACAGUAUUUCGGAGGAGGCCCUGCCAUUUAUCUAGUUCACUUCUUCCUCUUCUUUGGUGGCUGAAGAGCUUCAUCAUCUUCGUCUUCCUCAUCCUCUUCAUUCUCUACUUCUUCCACUUCAUCCUCAUCCUCGUCCUCGCCCCCAUCAUCGUCGUCGUCAUCAUCCUCAUCAUCGUCAUCGUCAUCAUCUUGCUCUUCACCCUCUCCAUCUUCAUCGUCUUCCUCUUCACCAUUCUCUUCGGCACCGCCUGCCCCUGCCCCUGCCCCGGCCCCUUCUCCAGGACCUUUCUUGGAGUUACUUUUCUUGUUGUUGGAGUUAUUGUUGCCAUAGUCCCCUUCAGAUGAUAACUCCUCUUCACCAUCCCCAAACCCACCAUCUCCAUCCUCAUCAUCAUCCCCAUCAUCAUCAUCGCCAUCAUCCCCCUCUGCAUCAGAUGGUUUGCCUUGGGUUUCUGGAUCUUCCUUGAUUCUAGGUUUCAUAGUCAGCAAGGUCCAAAAGAGAUCCUAAGUCCAAAAGCCAAUUUUAUUGGGUGGAUGAAACAAUUAUAAUAUAUUAAAAACAAAGCAUUAAAUUAUGAUAUUUAUUGAGUUGGUACAAGUUAACGGUCCUACAAGCAGAAUAAGUUUGAUCUUUACAACUACUAUAUAAGGUAAAAUGAAUAGAAAGUUGCAAUUAUAUUUUUUUUUGGAAUAUUGAUGAAAUUAAACAAGGGACAGCAAAUAAUCUAAGAUUCUAAGUUCUUUAUUCUAUCAUCCCAAAAGCUUGGUCGCUAUAUGACCUUGGUGGCAAAGGAAUAUGUGUUCCUGCCACUUGAGGAAAAGAAAAAAGUGCUUUUAUUCUACCCAAAAGUAGGUUGAGGCAUUAAAUUAGUACAGUCCCACCCAUAUGCUCUUUUUCGGAAGAAUAUAAUUUAGAUGGUGACACCAGAAGAACAAGAACUAGGCAGGUCCCUUGCUAUUUUCAUCGAUUCCUUUACGAGCUAAAAUGGGUCAGAUAUCUGUAUACGAAAGAAAAGAAAUGGCGGCAGAAUAACAUCCCCUUAUCUGGGGAUCAAAGAUAUCUAAAUGGAGAAAUUCUCAUUAAUUCAAUAUUUAUAACUUGAAAAUUAUUUUAUCGAAACAAUUUAUAUUGUUGUCCAACACGCCUGAAAUUAAUACUAAUUCAUCUGAUUUGAUAGAAAAUUAACAAAAUCUCUAAAAGCGUUUGUUAGCGAAUCAUUAUGGAACAAACAAUGAAGAGGCUUUUGGCUAAAAGUAAUAAAAAAUGUUAUAUUUCAUAAAAAUUGUAAAUAUUAAUUCUACACCCAACGAAUAACACGUGUUCGACGACAAGGACGGCAUCGCCGAAUGGAAUAUUCGAUGUCCCAUCUUCGUUCAAUUAUAGUUUUUUGUGAAGACAUUUUGACUUUGGACUUCUGCAUAUUAUUAUGUUCCGAUAAAAACAUAUUUUAAUUAUUUUAAGUGGGCCCCACGACGCUUAAAACCCUGGAACUCAAAACCAUCCUAAAAUAACAACUAAAUCUUUCUCUCAAGUUCCGUUGCUUUUCAUUUUUCCCCCAAAUUUGGGAGGCGCAUGCUAGCCCGCACAGCGUACUAUGACUUUCCCUAUUUUUCAUUUUUCUUACCUUAAAAUUCACAAAAUUCGUUAUCUAAAAGAACUCCGAACUUUUGAAAAAUUUUAAACAAAAACAGUGGCUUCAAAAGUUCAAAUUUGUCAGAAAAUAAAUCCAAAAAUAAUGAAAUAUACUGAAAUCAGAUAUUAAAAAAAAAGAAAAUUUGUCAAUCAAUUUUCAGUUGCAGGAAUUUUUUUUUCAACGGCGCACGUUAGCCAACAAAUAAUAUGAUAACCAAAAUCAGCCGCGCACCCGCGCAAAGCAAAAAAGCACACAAACGGAAGAAAGAAGCGUUGAAAAGACACCACCAGAUACAGGCGCAUGAUAGCACAGCAACGUUAAAAAAAAAACUAAAAAUAAAGAGUUUCUUUGGAAAAACUUACCUGCGCUGUUAAGAGUUGAGCUUUGACCAGAGACGAAACUAGCCAAGUCACGAGCGCCUGCACCGUGCAGGUUACCGAACCGUUAUUGACCGUUACUGUCACUGAACCGUGGCGACUCGCCAUUUGUACGGCAAAGAACAGACAAACAAAUAACUAAAAAAAAAAAACCUGCAAAAUAAUUGUAAGCCGGUAACCGUUAGAUCCCCUUAUGAGCAGCUUUUCAGCCAUCAGAUCUCCUACAGUCCAGUAUCACUAAACGACAAAACGACGACAAAAAAUAGAAAUUUGCAUAAAUUUUUUAUAGAAGAAAUAAAACUGAAAUUAAAGCUUUAAAAAGUAAUUUUGAAAAUAUAGAAACGAUAAGAAACAACUUUAAUUCGGUGCAGAAGAAUUUGAACUUGAAUUUUGAGAUAAAUAAGCAAAAUUAAACGAAAUUCGCAUGGAAGAAGCUCGUUUUGAAAGAGAAAUGAAGAGCAAGAGCAGAAGAUUUGAUGCUCGAAAACAAGCUUUGAACUAGAGGAAGUCAAGAGUAAAAUUGAAAGGGAAGAGCGAAUCGGAGAGCGAGAGCGUACCGGAGACGGAGAUCUGAGGGAGGAGGGGCGAGAUCUGAAGAUUUGAAGCUCUAAAACUGAAGAAAAGAAGCAAAAGCAGCUGCGUUCAUUUUGGACCGUCCGAUCUUGAUCGAAGAGACGCUGGGGUGAGCAAAGAGAUAUAGAGAAUAAUAUCUAUUGCACACGAGAGAGAGAAGGGGGUGGGGGGUGGGGUGGAAGCGAGAACUGGUGAGUGACUGACUGAUUGCUGCCCGUAAUUUUCCAGUCACAGGUUUCGGGCAAAAAGGGGCAGGGCGGGCAGCGUCCUCAUCGUAUUAAAAUGACCUCUGGGUUCUGUCUGCCCGGAUUUCAGGGUAAGGACAAGUGUGGGUUAUCUCUGUGAUAUUUUAUUAUAUUAUUCGAAUUAUUUAAUGACUUUUCCUUCCUAUUACUUACCUUGCUUUAAACGUUUUCCACGUGGCAUAUUCUGUUUUGUCCGUUAGUUGGCAUGCGUGACCGCAGUUUUGGUGUAGUUGACUUUGGAUAAGAGUUAAUCUAACUAGAGUCAACUUACUUCGAAUGUAUAGUUGAGUACUUGAGUUAGAUCGAUCGUGAUUUCAAUUCAACCACUUCUAACUCUUGGGCCCACUUUUAUUUUUUUUAUCUUCUACUUUCCUAAAACUUUUUGGAUUUUUGUUUUUAUUUCAUUUGAUUACUUUUGUAGUUUUGUUGCAUUUCGAUUUUUUUUUUCUUUUUUGUCAAGUAGGGUGAGUGAAGUGAAAUCUAUACCUUUAGUCUCUAUCCGUUUAGGAUUUGAAUAUGAGUGGUUAAUUAAAGAAAAUAUUUAAAAAUAAUUAGAUGAAAAUCUUUAAAGACUAGUAUUUAAGAUUUAGAACAAUUAAUUUUUGGCAUAAAAUUUGUGGAAGAAAUAUAAUUGUGAAAAAUAAAUUAAAAGAGCUAACGAGAUGUAGCUCUUGUUACCCUUUCUUUUUUUUUUACUCUCAUAGAAUUUUUUUUUUUUUUUUGGGUUACUAAGAUCAAAUGGUUUAGGAUUGUUUCUUAUUGGAAAAUUAAAGCUAUAAAUUGAAUAAAAGUCACAUUUGUUAUCCCCAACCUUUGUUUAAAUAAUAAUAUGCAUAUAAACUUGGCAUAACAUUAUAAUGAUGUGAAUAAAUUUAGAAAUGAUAGUUUUGUGAAAAUGACGUAAAAACAAGCACACAAUAAUAUAUUAAUAAAAAUGUAGUGUUAGACAUAUGUAAUGAGUACUAGAAAAAUAGGAAGUAGUGUGAAUUUUGAAAAUAAUAAUAAUACAAAUGGGAAUGCAAAUAUUGACAUCUGAGGAUGAUGCGGUUAGAAGAACGGUGAUGGUGACAAAAGUCGUAGUUACACCAACUACUAAGUAAUCAACUUAAACUUGGUCAUUUAUCGUUUUAAAUAAUGGAAAAAAAACUGAUGUUUACUUAAUAACAUUCGAUUUGAUACAAAAUUUAUAUCCUAAAUGAUGUGGUACAUAAUAUAUCAUAUUUAUUAAUAUUGUGGAUCAUUUUAAUAAUAAUUACCAUCAUUAAUUAGGAUCAUGUUAUCAAGCAUACAUAUUUUGUAAGCAUAUUAUUACUCAUUCAAUAAAAACCUUAAUUUCACAAAAUUGCAUAUGAAAUAGAAUGAUUUAAACAUUAUAACCAAACAAUUGUAACUACUUAAUUACCGUCUUAUGUUAGUCGAUAUUGCAUUUUUAAAUUAAAAUCCAAUCGACGUUUACUUCAAAACUUUGAAAUUUAAUACAAAAUUUAUGUCCUAAAUGAUGUGACACAUGAAGUUCGUGCCACCAUUCAUUAAUAUUGUGGAUCAUUUCAAAAAUAAUGACCAUCGCUGGUUAGUAUCACGUCACCGAGGAUAUAAAUUUUAUAAUCAUAUCAUUACUCAUUUAAUAAAAAUCUUAAUUUCAUAAUAUUGUAUAUUAAAUAUUAUGAUUUAGAACAUUAUAGACAAACAACUGCAGCUACUUAAUUACUGUCUUAUGUUACUCUAUGUUGCAUUUUCAAAUCAAAAUCCAAUACGAUGGCCAUUGCAAAGUUUUCGGUCCAAUUUUGGUUCAACCCAAAAACAUUAUGAGAGCUCAUUUUCUAUAGAAGGUUUUAGCAAUGGUGGAGGCUCAAUCAUUUGGAAACAAUUUUAUAAGAACAAUGAUGGCUGAGAUGAACCUGAAAUAAGAAAAAAUAACUAUUUAGAGGUAACGCUAACAGUGACCGACAACGAUAUUCUGACGUAUAAGUUAGUUGGAAUUUGAAGGGGAUAUGGGGUUUAAAAAAAAAUCGUUUUAUAGGAGAAAAUGUGAGUGUUUAUGAUAGUGAGAGAAUUUGACUCUUUUGUAAGACUAACUUGAUCUUCUUUGGUGGGGUGCCCUUUAGGACAUCUUUGUGUAUUUUUGGACACGAGACGGACCGUUAUUGGUUAUUUUCCUCCUCCGAUAGAGAUUUAAGAGUAAUUUAGCCUUUCUUGUUGAGACUCUUGAGCUGUCUUGAGUUGAACAGUUGUCCUUUGAGGGACUAUCCUUGCUGGCGAUUUGCCCUCAAUCGUGAUUAGCUCAUUCCGAACAAACCAAUUGAGUUAGAGAAGCAUUUGAUUUUACUAGAUGUGAAACAAGUGACUAUACUUGCAGUUCCCCUUUGUCAUAUCUGACUCUUGUGGCUUAUAGUGAGAUAUUUGGAGACAGCCCAAGUGGGGACGAUGUUGUAAUGAUGUGGUGUGGCCUCAUUUGGUGAAGCUGUCAUUGUCUCUGUUGUCCAAGGCUACAUGUGGAGGCUUUGAUGCGUUGUAGGAAACAUUGUUUGUAAUUCUCAGGCAGCUUGAGUGGCUGAAGCUCAUUUUUUGGGAUCUUUCUAUUCUGACCUUAUCCUUUCAGUUCCUCUUCCAUUCCUUUCAAGCGCUCAAAGGUCAUGAGCAACAGUUUAAAUGGAGUUUUUUUUUUUUUUUUUUUGGCUCUUCCUCAUUUGUGUGUGUGUGUGUCUUUAUGCAGAGAUUUACAAUGUUGUCGUUGAUCUGGUUUUUCAGAAAGAGCAACGUGAUAUGAGUCCAUAAUAAUAAUUCGAUACUCAUCUAGUUCAUCUUCUACUUCUCCAUGGUACAUUCGUAAAUAAAUAGGCUACAAAGUUUUGAAAACCCCUCCAAUGGGGAUUGUCAUCCAGUAAAUAAAAGAAUUCAAUGAAAGUACGAAACUUAUGCAUUGAAUAGGCAGUUUUCGUACUUUCAUGUAGUUUUAUAGCCCAUUCAUUAUAUAUUUUUCAUGAGUUUUCAUGCAUUUGAUGCAUUUGAUGGAAUUGAAAUUUUGUUUUUUUUUUUUCAAAUUUCUUUCUUCUUGUCAAAGUACAGCGAGCAAAGUGAAAUCCAUAUUUUUAGUCCCUGUACUUUUUUUAUUCGAAUACGAGUUAUUAAUUUAAGAAAAAAAAUUAAAAAUAAUUAGAUGAAAUUCCUUGAAGGCUAGUAUCUAAGUUUUAGUACGUUAAGUUUUGGUAUAAAAUCCAUGGAAGAGCGAAAUCUAAUUGCGAAGAAUAAAUUAAAAGAGCUAAUGAGAUGUAGCUGAUGUUACCCAUUUUUUUCCCGUUUCAUGAAUUUUUUUUUUUUUUGGGCUACUAAGAUCAAAUGGUUUAGCAUAUUUCUUUAUUGUAAAAUUAAAGUUAUAAAUUGAAUAAGAUUCACAUUUGUUAUCCCCAACUUUUGUUUAAAUAAUAAUAUGCAUAUAAACUUGGCAUAACAUUAUAAUGAUGUCAAGAAAUGACAGCUUUGUGAAAAUGACUAAAGAAAAGCACACGAUAUUAUAUUAAUAAAAAUGUAGUGUUAGACAUCUGUAAUCAGUAUUAUAAAAAUAGGAAGUAAUGUGCAUUUCGAAUAAUAUAAUAAUCAUGAAUGGGAAUGCAAAUAUUGACAUCUGAUGAUGAUGCAUUUAGAAGAGUGCUGAUACCUAAUGGGGACUAAAGUUGUAAUUAUACCAACCACUUAGUAAUCAACAUUAAAAUUUGUCAAUUAUCAUUUUACAUAAUCGGGUGGAAGAAAAAUAUAUUAAAAUGGGUUUUAAUAAAAAAAAGAAUUAUUGUUAAAAAUAAAAAAUAAUUAAGAUUAAAAUUUAUAACAAAUGAUAUUAAUAAAAAAGAAACCGAUAAAAAUUUGAGAUUAGGAUUAGGGUUAAGGUUUCGGUUUUUGAAUUUCCCUAAAUUUUAUAUAUUCUUUAAGUUUUAGUACGUUGAAUUAUAUUUGUAACCCUUAGAUGGUAAUGGAAUGUAAACAAAUUUUAUGGAUUAAUUUAUCUUUUAGAUACUUUGAAGGGUAAAAUGAUAUUUUAUAUGGUAUAAGUAAACUACUUGAUUAAUUAUUUAUAUUCUUAAAAUCUGUAAACUCAAGAUAAGAAAAAAUUUAAUUUUUGAUUUUCACUGUGGUGAUAUUGUAAAAAAAAAUCAUGAUUAUUAUAUUUAUUUUAUAAAUUAAAAUAAGAAAAAAUUAAUUUAAAAUCUUAAAAGGUUUAUUACUAUUUUUAAGGGAAUUUUCAAUAGUAAAUUUAUUUUUGUCAUCUAACUUAAAAUAUGUCGGAUUUUAAGGGGAAAUGAAAUUAUCCUUAUUAAUCCCACAAUAUUGUUAAUUAGUUACGUUAUGGGCAUUCUCGUAUUUUACUAAGUCAAAUGAGUCAACUGUUAAAAAUAACAAUAAUUAGGGGAAUAUAAGGAAAAGAGGAGAGAGGAAAGUAGGGGAGGGAAAGAAAUAAAGGAAAAAAGACAAUUUCAUGUCCAACCAAAUAAUGAAAAAUGAAAUUAACUCUCUUUUUCACUCCCCCCAUUUGAAAUGAGUUAUUCAUUGAAGAUAACUAAAGUACCAUCCCUUUUGCACUUUUUUAUUUCUCGAUUUACCUUUAAUUCCCCCACCAAUUUAUCAUCUACAAUAGACUUUAAUGUUCAGACAAUCUCCUUAUUUUCUAUUAUGAAGCUCAUCUGUAGUUUUGCAAGGUCACACAUUAUUUACCCCAAUGUUCGUAGCCAUUGAGUCUCCAACACUUUAUCAUAUCCUCCAAUGGAAGAAUAUAAAAAUCAACAAAAAUGGAAAAAAAUCCCUUGUAAUAAUAAUUUAACAUUGGUGCACUUUCUCCUGAUGCCAUUACCACUUUAAAUUACUCUUUUAACUUCGAGUUGUAAUCCCACCUUCCUUGCAAUGUCUUCACCAAUGAAAUUAUGAGUGCUUCCUGAAUCUGCUAGAACUAUUGUUGUAAGUGGCCCAACAGUCCAUUUUACCUGCAUUGUACCCAAUGUCCUUGCUCCAAAAAUUGCUUGUAGAGGGAUCUUUGCACCACCUUGGAAUCUUCUAUAAUAGCAUCAUCCUCAUCCAUAACAACAUCAUUGUCACCAUCAUAACAUGCUUCAAUCAAAAAUAAUUUUUUGCAAUGGUGCUCUAGAGUGAACUUUUGAUCACAAUUGUAACAUAAUCCUUUGGCUCAUCUUUCUUGCAUUUCCGCUGGUGCUAAUCGUUGAACUAGAAGGGUUGAAUUGCCUGGAAUUAGUUCUUUUUUCAAUAAAUAGUUCUUUUUUCCCUCAAUAGUGAUAGUGUUGUGUCGCUAUGAGAUGUUUGGAGCUUUAUACAACUGGACUAGUCCAAUGGCUAAUGUCAAUGUGGUUGGUCUACCGAUAAGAAUGUUUGCCUUAAUGGUGUCUUUCAACCCACUGACGAAAUAGCUAACUCGUCGAUCUUAUGAAAGAUGUCCCACCUUAGCUAACAACUUCUCAAAUUGGGUUCGAUAAUCACCGACAAACCCAACCUAUUGUAAUUUGAUUAAUACGCUAAAAAAGUCUCGAAAUUAGGUGUCGCCAUACCUAGCAUGUAAGCCAUCACAAAACUCUUGCCCAGUCGUAAUGUCUCAUUCUUGAUUAAUCAGUUGGAACCAUAGUCAUCUCCCUCUAAAUGGAAUGAACCCAACGCCACAUGUUCGUCUUCUAGAGUUUGAUAAAGAUGAAAAAACUACCAAACUCUACAAACCCAACUAGUUGUGUCUUCACCACCAUUGAACUACGGAAAAUCAAGUUUAAUUAGCCUUGGAAUAUAUGACUGUUGUGUGCUACUUUGACGACCACUCAUGGAGUUUCCUGAUUGCCCUUGAUUAUGGAGUGGGGCAUUAAAGUAUUCUCCUUCCUCUCGUUCUAUAUUGGUCUCCAGUAGGGAACUUUUUGAAUUAAGCUUUCCAAAUAGUUCAUUGAUCUUCUCUAAAAUCUGUAGUUGACCAGUCAUAAGAGAACUUACAUCUUACUUUAACUUCUCCACCCUUUGAUCUAUGCCCAUUCUUUAAUACCACUAUGUUACGUACUAGGGGUUGUUCUCCUUUUGUUUGCUGGAACCUAUUGUGAAAAUUUAAAAGCGACUGAAAUUCGUCAGGUUUAUUGAGGAACUAAUGACCUCUGUACUUGAAUUAUUAGAAUGAAACUUGACUGAUCUCCUUUAUUCUCUAGUGGCUUGGAACAAGUAACCAAAAAAUUACAACGUUCACGUCCUGAAAAAUGGCUAAAGAGUUGUCAUUAACCUUCUGCAAUUACUUCCUACGAUAAAAUAGCAAUAGUUUGCAUUAGAUUGAGACUAGAGAUGGCCAAUGGGUUGGGCGUCAUGGGCACAACACGUGUCCGUACAGCACGGCGCGACACGUGCACGUUUCAGUAGGGCACGUGGCACGGCAUGGCACACACGUGGGCCAUGCCAGGCCUUAAAAGCACGGCACGAUUAGGAUGGGACAAAGUACGGCACGCGAAAAGACAUGUAAUAAGCACGCUUCAUUGGUGGGCUAAGCACGCGGCCCAUGAGCCAUCAAUAGUACGUGGGGCAAAGUAUAUUAAAGUAAAUUUUUUUAAUGAAAAAUAAAUAUAAAAUACCAUGAAUUUACAACUAUCUUGUAAUUAAUUUUUUUUAAUAUAUUUUUUUUAGUAUAGGAUUUUAAAAAUUAAUUUAAGUCGUAGUUUAAAUAAAUAUUCUAAUUUUUUAUGUUUAUAAUUUAUUAAAUGGAUAAAUAAAUAUCAUGAUUUUAUAAAUGAUAAAUAAAAAAUUUUAUGACAUUAAUAUUUCAUUUAUGAAAUCAUAACUUAAUUAAUAGUUAAUGGAGAUAUGUUUCAUUUGUGAUUGAAAUAUUUUUCAUAUUUAUGCACAAAAAAAUAAAAUUAUGAACAAAAUAUUUUUAUGAUAAAUUAAAAAUUAUAUUUUCAUUCAAUGGAGUUCAAGUGCAAUUAUAAUAUUAGUUGUUCAAAUAAAAUUAGGUGUAAUUGUUAUUUUAGGAUUGUAAUUUUAUUUUUCAUUAAUCAUUACUAUGAUUUAUGAAAUUAUUAUUAUUAUUAUUAUUAUUAGGCUGGUGGGCUUAAAAAAACACAUCAGGCACAUGGGCUUGAAAAAAACACAUCAGACACGUGAGCUUUUUUAAGCACGCUGAACAUGUGAGCUUAAAGUUAAAAAAAAAAUUGGUGGGCUUUUUUGGGCACGGCACGAGCGGGCUCAUGCUGUGGGCCAUAUCGGACCCUUAUAAAAAAAAGUGGGCCGAUGUGCCGACACGGCCCAUUGGCAAUCAUUUAUCUAAGACUUUGCGAUAUUUACUACCGGCAACCAAUUAUUUUUUUUAAAAAACAAUAAGACCAAAUAAAUAACACAAUGUUGUUGUUGUCGUUGACUUGGGAUUUGAAGAAAGAGUAAUGUGAUAUGAACACAUAAUAGUAAGUCGAUGCUCAUCUAAAGUUUUGAAAACCCCUCCAACAGGGAUCAUGACGCAAUACAUUACAAAUUUCAUGAAAUUACACAACUUAUGCAUUGAGUAUGUAGUUUUUGUACUUUCAUGUAGUUUUAUAGCCGAUUAACUAUAUAUUUUUCAUGAGUUUUCAUGCAUUUGAUGGAAUUGAGAUUCUUUUUUUUUUUAAAUUCUACAUUCUAGCACUAAAAGAAUUGAUUGCACAUAAUUUUUCUAUUUCAGUUCCCUUUUUCAUAUAUAUUUUUAUUUAAUGGUUAGUUUUGAAAUAUUAGAGAAAAUUAACUUCAACGAUAUCCAAAGGUAGCAUAGAAGGGGGGUGAUAUGAGAAGAAUACUAAUUGUUUCAUUUCUUUUUGUUUUCUUUGUUGAAGAAGGGAGGUGCAUCUACAAUACCCAUAGGUGAUAGCUUGUAUGGUGGACUUAGAGUGUGUUUGUUUUUUAACUUAAUUACUUAAAGUGACCUAACUUCAUUAAUUAAGUUAAUUAGAGGUGUUUAUUUUUAUAAUUUAAUGGGACAUUUUAGACAAUUUUACCUUAAUAAAAUAAGCUAAUUUUUUUUUUGGCUUUUUACUGAAUAGAGAAGUCUGAAUAAGCCAAUUAAUUUCUAAUAAAAAAAAAUCCCUACUUUUUAAAUUAUUUUCCAUGACUAUUCCAAAACUCACCCAUACACGUUCACCUAUUAAUAAUCUCAUCUUAUAUUAUGUAUUAUUAUUGAGAAUUGCUGAUAAAAUGUGAAACUUAUGGUAUUUUGUAUAUUAUAAUUUCAAAAUCAUUAUAUAUUCAAUUGAAUGUGGUUUUUCUUAUAUAUAUGUUAAAAUCUUGUGGUAUUUAUGUGCUUUAAAUUUAUUAAGGAUACAAAUGUAAAAGUACAUGUUUUUACUUUUUUAAGUUCAAAAAACAAAGAAUUUAAUACUUAUUUUAGAGAUUAAGAAAAAAAAUAUUACUCAAAUUCAAACAUUCAGGUCUAUUCAUAUUCAUACUAAUUUAAACAAUUUAGACUUUAGAUAAAAAAAAAAGCUACCUUAAUAUUAAUACAUAUAUAGUAUUCUCACUCUUUGUAGUCUUGUACAUAGUAGAUAUAAUUUUCUCACUCUUUGUAGUGUUGUACAUAGUAAUUGUUGAGUUGUAUUUAAUUAGUUUAUUAUUGAACAUAAAUUAUAAUGACUUUAAAAAAAAUGAUGUAAAAACUAGCCCACGAUAUUUUUUUAAUAAAAAGGUGGUGUGAGUUUUGUGUAUUAUAAAUCGAAUGCAAAUAUUGACAUUUGAUUAUGUAUUUAGAGGAGGGAAGGGUGAUAAAGAAUUAAAGAUAGUUAAAGAAUUAAAUUGAAAUCUGACUUCGAGAUUUUUUUUUUAAUUCCCAAAUCAUACAUGUUAUUUUAAACGAGAUGCCCAAUAAAAUAGAAAUAUUUAGAACCUUAAUUUCAUAAUAGUCAAAGUCCACCACCAUUAAUUAAUCUUUUGUUUAAUAGAUAGUGUAGCAGGUCUAGAUCAGACAAGUAAACGUCCUGGACGAGAGAAAAAGAAAAAAAUUGCAGGUGCCGGUUAAUAUCCGGUAUUAAAGCAACCGAAUACCGAAUGCCUGCCGGUUGCAGAGAAAUAUUUUAUUGCAUGAAAAUGUAAGAAAUGAAGUAAAAUGUACGCCUAUCCUGGCGAGCGAGCAGUCACGUGCGGCAAGUACAUUUUUCCAAACAAUAGCGAUGAUCCGUUCAGAAAAAUAGUAGAUUGAUUUUACAGCUUUGGUUGACUUCACCGGGAAGCAGGACCGGACGGAGGUAUGUGAAGUUCGUGAUUUAUAGCUCGGCACAAACGGAAAUAUGAAGCUUGUAAUUUGCGAAGGUGAACAAUAAAGCUUCAUGGCUAAGUCCGUGCAACUUUUGAGUGCAAUUAUUGAAGUGGAAGGAGAUGGGAAAGGAGAUAUACUGGUAGUUUGUUUGCGUUCUUGUAAAUCUGACUGUAUUUCAUGACCUGUGAGGAAAAUUAUUUGUUGUGCGUGCGGGUUCAACACUUCCGACCAAAUUUUAAUGCUUGGUCACCACCCUCCAAUCUUUAGUAAAUUUCAAUCGUUUUUGUUGUAAAUACUUGUUGGAGAUCCAUCAGCAGCUUCGUUAUCACGAGGGAUGGUGUUUAAAAAACUUGUAAUUUUCUGAAUAGGGUCGUAGUGGAUCACAGUCUUCCAAGUUUUGAUUCAUUUUACUGAAUGUAUAAAAUUAAGGAUUUAAAACAGAAAAAAGAUGUUUAAAUUAAACAUUUAAAUCGUACAUCGUCCUUCAAUAUUUAAAUAAAAUAUAAAAUUAUUUAUGAUUUUAUUAAGAUAUAAAUAUUUUUUAAAAAAAAAACUUGAAGACAACUCAUAUGUGUCUAGCAUCUUUAGCCAUCAAAUUUGGACCACCUACCAUACCCACCUCAAUAAGGUCCAUAACCCAUGAUGUGAGAGAAAAUGGUAUUAAUUUGAUCCCCCUUUGGUAAAUAAUUUCAAUAAGGUCCAUAACCCAUGAUGUGAGAGAAAAUGGUAUUAAUUUGAUCCCCCCUUUGGUAAAUAAUUUCUUUAGCUUCAACCGAAUUUAAAUGCUUGUAAAUUAAUUUCUACCGUGAUUAUAAAAGUGAACUAUAUAAUAGGGGUGGGCAUAAACCCACAACCCAUAGGUUAACCAAAAUCCAAACCAAAUUAAAUGGUUGAGGUUGGAUAAAUCAUGAAAAUUGAUUAAAUAUGAGUUUUAUAUAAAAAAAUCAUUUUAUUAUGGAUUGGGUAUGGUUUACCCAUAGUUUAUAGACAAAACCCCAACACUUAAACUUAUUGUCUAAAAUCAUAACUAAACUAAAAUUACAAUAUUAAUGCUCGUCGGUCUCAAUUCAACUUUAUUUUAAGUUUUUCUCGUUUCGAUAGCUUUAGUUUGCAGUUUGGGGAAUUUAUACAAAUAACCAUAAAAUUUUGUGAUUUUUUCAUUUUAACCCCACAAAUUAAUUUUUAUCAACAUUAGCCCAAAAAAAAUUCCAGACCAAAAUGCCCCUCUCACAUUUGUCCCCCAAGACUCUCUCUUUCACGUAAUCUCUCCUAAAGCCAAGAACACCCAUAGUCGGUGGCAACUUCACCCAUCGUUGGCGGCGACUCCACCCAUCAUCGGCGUCCGAUCUACCUUCUACGGCGAAGAAAAUCAACUAGAUUCAUUAUUUAACUUCAACAAAAUCUAGGUUAGCCAUUUUAUUUAUAUUUCAUUAAUUAAAAAUGAAAUUUUAGAAUAAUAGUGGUUGUAGUUUGAGAAUAAUGGUGUGGUUGUAGUUUGAGAAUAAUGGUGGUAAUAGUGGUUGUAGUUUGAGAAUAAUGGUGGUGGUGGUGGUGGUGGUGCUUGUAGUGGUGGUUGUUGUUUUGAGAGUGUGUUGUUUUGGGAGUGUGCUGUUUUGUGCGUGAUUUGUGAGUUUGUUGUUUUGGGUGUGAUUUGCUGCCCAGCAAGCGUCAUUUGCUGCCCAGCGACAGGCGCUAGCGCGCACAGGCGCGACCCUGUCGCAUCAAAUUACAAUUUUUAUUUUUUUUAACGUGAAGUUAAUUUUCCUAUUAUUUUAUUAUAAAUGCAAUCUAAUAAUGUUAAAAAUAUUAUAGAUACAUGACGAAAUCAGAAGUGUCAAGAAACAAAUUGAGCAAGAUGAAGUUAGCUUAUGCCGAUCACUUCCCAGGGCGAAUUUCAAGCAUGUGUAACUUUUCUACGGUCAUAAAAGCCAUCGAGCAAAAAUUAACAAAACGGCAGCUGCAUAUGUUCAAGAAAUACAUAUUUGGGCCUUUCUUGGAGUGCCAAAACUUUCCGUUUAGUGGUGUAAUUUUGCACAAUGUUUUGCUUAGGCAAGUGGCCCAUGGAGAAUACAGGGAGGAUAAUCAAUUAUAGUUUCAAAUUGGUAAGCAUUUGAUAUGCAUGUCAAUUGGAUAAGGGUGUCUGGUUACUGGACUUUCCUAUGGUGAAGAUACCGCACUAACAAAUAACAAGACGAGUAUUUUGGUGGUUUGUUUCGCAACAUCAAUCUUAAGCAAUUUGAUGCAUUAUUUGAGGAGUUGGAGUUCAAGGGUAUGGAAGACAUUGACGCAUUAAAGAUCACACUCUUUUACUUUGCGGACAGAGAAAUGGAAGAAAUGGCCACUGUCAAAUCAAUUUCUCAAGGCUGAACGAAGUAGAUGAUAUAAAUUACUUCCAAAAUCGUCCAUGGGGUCGUUUAUCGUGGGAAAUAAUAUACGAGAGUCUUGACAAUGCACUAUACGAGAAAGACGAGAAAUUUAAGGCGACUCGGUUGGAAAAGUCAAAUCAUAAAAUAGAAAAGUACAAUGUUUACGGCUGAAAUUGCAUGAGCACAUACAAGCUGAUCAAGCUGAAAUACUCUGCAGGAGCAAGUUUUCUUUUGUAGGUCAACUAAACCUUCCUUAAUCCCACCACCUACAACUUGAAAUCGAUGCGGAGACACUGGGCGAACGAUCAUUCUUUCAGCUAUAGUUUUUCUCUCAGUGACUAUUUCAUCCGCCCAUGUUGUUAGCCGAGUAGUCAUUAAUUCAGCGACAAUUUUUCUAUCAUAAAAUCAUUGCUGUAAUAUUUUCCUAAAGUAAUCAACAAGAUGAGUAACAUGAAAUUUUCUCGGUUCCCUCAUGAAAGAAUUAACACUCUCUACGAUGUUGGUUGUAAGUAUGUUGUACCUUCUACCUUCAAACUGAGACCUUACCCAAUUACAUGUAUCCAUAUUAUUUUCUAAGUAAUCAGCCGCACCCAAGUGGAGCAUCCACAACCCUUCAAGUUGUCUUUUAAAUUCCUUGUGUCCAUAAACUUUUGCUGUAUUAAUAAAGGCAGGCUCAAAUUCAUCCUAAAGAGCUUUGGACAUCCUAAACUUUGACUUAAUGUUACUUUUCACAUGGUAAAAACAAACACCAUGAGUUGCAUUGUGAAAUACUUUCAGAACGACUCUCAUUUUGGCAGUACAUUUAUCAAAGAUAAUUACCAACUCUAGCUUAUCGCCAAUCACUCCGUGUAACUUCAUCAUAAACCAUUCCCAAGCAUCAUUAUUUUAUGAAUUCAUGACCCCAAUGACUAACAGAUACAAUUGAUUGUUGCCAUCCAGACAUGUUACUACGAACAUGCUUCCACGAUAUAGUACAUUUAGAUGAGUACCAUCUACAACAAUGACAGGCUGAAUGUACUGCAUAAAACCCUUGAUAGAAGAUCCAAGUGCUACAAAGUAGUACAAGAAAUUAUCAUCUCCAUCUCGUUCGAGGUGAGUGACUGUACCCUCAUUCGCUUUAGUUAGUACGUUAGAGUAUUUAAGGAGCAAGUUGUAUGACUCUGCAGGGUUGGCUCGAACUAUUUCAAGACCAACUUCUCUAGCUCGAUAUGCCUGCUGAUAUGUUAACUGAACACCAUAUUCCUGCUGCAUAACUGCUCUGAUGUUAUUUGAAGUAUAAAUCUUCUUUUUUUGAAUAUAUUUAUCUGCAAUAAUAUGACCGACAACUCGGCUCCUUACUUGUCAACGACUAUCAACUAAUACCUCAUUAUGACAAGUGUAUACAUUGUCAAUUCUCCUUACCACCCAAGGAACAUUAUGCUCGUUCGAACUUCUAAUUGCUUGAAUACACCAUUUACAUGAUUCCGAACAACAAUGAGCCUCAAAACGUGUCGUUGUAGACCGUGCAAUCUUGAAAUCAAAUUUAUCCCUAAAGACAACCUUGCGCAGUUGUAGUAUUAAUUCAUUCUUCUCAGCGAAUAACUUACCUACACUGAUAUCAUCUGAGUCACAACUACUAAGAAAGCUUAGAGCAACUAUGUUCAAAGGCAAAAUUGGAGCAAGACUUGUGACAAUGUCAAUUCUCCUUAUCGAUCCAACCAUUGGAGGAAUAUAUCGAUUGUCUCUAUUAUUCACAAGAAUAUCGUCUUCACACUCAUCCUCAUGCUGAAACGACGGAAUAUUGGAAGGACCGGUUCCUCCAUCAUCACCUGCAUUAUUGAAAUGAGUGCCACUCAUAGUAUUAGAAGGUCCUGCACAAACAUUAUCCUUCUCUGUCUCAUCAACAGGAUCAUCAUUGUCUCAGAAAUUAUUGUUGUGAUACGGAGAAUACCGUUGCUCCAACGACGUCGUUAGUGGUAAUACAUCUUCUCUAACAUCCUCUAACGUAAUAUCGUUGUCAUCAAUGUUGUCAUUAUUGUUGUGGUUUGGAGAGUAAUAUUGCUACAAUGACAUUAUCGGGGCCAGACAUAUUUGCUCUAAAGGAAGUUUAUGUUCUGACGGGUGGCUCAACAUCUUCGCUCGGAAUUCGAGGUGAUGGGGUAAUGAAUAUAGGAAUGCAUUCAUAGUUGGCCACAUUGGAUGCCAUAUGCAACACAACCCUCACCAUUUCAUUAUCAAAUAUAUCCAUGGGCAGUGCACAUAUAUGAUAUAACGUGUUACUAGACAUCAAAGUUGUCUUCAUUGUGAUACUAUAUUCAUGAGGAUUUAUUUGUAACACUUCAUAUAUUCUUACCAAAAGCUAAUCAAACAGACAAUUUUUCCCAACAAAAAAAACUCUAUUUUUACCAUUUACAUACUUCAUACAGCCAUCCUCUAACGUCUCCUACCAACCAUCAUAACACAAUUCAAGCACAACUGAAUCCAUUAAACCUGAAAUUAUAAAAAAGAAAUUAAUUGCACACUAUCAAACUAAUAAAGAGUCAGUUGCAAUAAAUCUGCCUCUUCAAGCGACAGGCUGCCUGUUGCACUAAAUUCGUGCGAUAGACUGCCUGUCGCACAAAAAGGCAGAGUCGGUGAAUCUGCCUCUUCGUGCGACAGGCAGCCUGUCGCCCGAAGAGGUAGAUUGUCGCACGAAAUUUUCAUGCGACAGGUGCCUGUCGCACCAAGAUGCAAUCGCACUGAAACUCUCUCGCAAGUUGAGAAAAUAACUCUUACCAUCAGUGAUGCGGAUUGGUAUUAAAUCCGGAUGGAUUAUGAUCGGAGUUCACUUUUACCGUUCGCCGUCGGCGUUUGCCGUCGUCGGUGAUGAUUCAAGAGUGCAAGGCUGCGUUUGGUUUGAUAAAAGGGGAGAAGGAAAGUUGCUUUUAGUUUGUAAAUAAGGAUAAUUUAGGGAGAAAACUUUGUGUUUGGCUAAUGUUGAUAGAAAAAAAUUUAGAGAGCUAAUUGUGAAAAUAACAAAGGUUUUUGGGUUACUUUUGUAAAUUUCCCUUGCAGUUUUGUGGCAUCCUAAUGUUUCCCCACAAUGUGUAUCUUGUUACUCUUCAAAAAUUAAUUUAAUCACAUAAGUGAGCUUGACCAAUGACUGAUUCUGAAAUGAUUUUGCAUUGAUCUGGAGAGAGAAAUGCUUUGUGAGUUAGCUUAUCAUUUAAUUUAUUUCUUACUUUAACAAAAUAAAAAAAAACCCUUAUUAAAAACUUACUCUAUGUGUAUAUUUUUUUUCCUUCUUUGAAUUUAUUUAUUGAUGUCAUGUUUGUAAAAGCUUAUUAUUAGAAGUUACAUUCUCAUUUAUUGAGAAAAUAAUACUUUUCAUGAUUAAACUUUAUUUUAAUUUUCUAGUAUUCUUUAAUUUAAGGAUAAAGUUAUUGUAAAAUUUAUUAUUUAUAAUUUUUAUCCACUAUAUGUUUUUCAUAUUUUACUAUGAAUUUAAUAAUUAAUAAAAAUUAGUAAUUAUUAUAAAUUUAAUAUAAUUAAAUUUAUCAAGAUAAAAAAAUAUUUUAAUAAUAAAAUUGAAACCAAACCCAAAUCAAAUCUAAAUAGAUUAGUUUGGAUUGGAUUAAAAAUAUUUGAGUUGGUUUGGGUUGGACCCAAACUUUUAUGGUUCGGUUUGGGUUGACUCAAAACCCAACCCAUGUCCACCCCUCUAUAUAAUAUAUGAGAUGAGAUCAUGAAUAGAAUAUGAAAUUUUAAGAUGGCAAUUAUUAAAUGAAGAUGUUCGAUGCACGUCAAAAAUGAUUUAACGUAUGGAAUUAGUGAAGAAAAAGAAAACGAUGUUGAAAGUGAAAGAGAAAAUUAUUUUAAUUUCAAUAUGAGACGUGAAAUCUAUGUAAACAGUUUUGAAAGACGGAAAAGGAUCAUCAGUAGAAAUUGAGGGAAAAAUAAAAUAGAAUAUAUUGAGAGCAAAAAGUAAAGGAAAUAAAAUUAUAAAUGUGGGACUGUUUGAAUUGAAAAAGCCCCAAAAUAUGAAAACUAGAAUUCACGUGUUCUUUUUCAACCCAUGCUAUCCAGUUGCCUACUAACCACGACACUCGGUAUCACUGCCUUUUUAAUUUUUUAUUCUUUUUAUUUUACAGCCGUAGGAUUCUGUUCACCGUAUCCAACGAUUUAUUUAACCGAUAUGUUUCUAAUAGAAACUAUAACAUAAUAAGGUCCUAACUUUAAUAAAACUGCUUGUUAAAUAAUUUAAGUUAAACAUUACAGCCAAACAACUGUAGCUACGUAAUUACCUCACGAGAGUCUCACCUAAGUGGUCUCAUCGAGAAACUUCACUUGAAAACACAAUUAAUCUUCCCCUAACCUUUCACCAUCAAUUUCUUUUGGGUAUUUUUCGUUUUCUUUGCUUCCCCUGCGGUUGUGGAAAGUAAUGUACUAAUAUCCAUUCAUGGUGAUUUUAAUAAUAAGUAACAUUAAAACUUUUUUAGUUAAUAAUGGUAUAAAAAUUAAAAUACUAAAUGUAAUAUUAAAAUGUACGUUAUUAUAUUUUUUAAAAAAUAUUUUAUAAAUUAAUUGAUUGUAUAUUUUUGUAUUCAGUGGUUUUUCUUUUAUGCUGAUUACAUUAUGAUAAAAUAAUUAGAUUAUAGGCGACAUAUCAUUCAAAUCUUACUCCAAAAUAAAAUUUAUACAUAAUAUCAUCAAUGUCCUAAAUAAUAAACAUCAUUUCAUACAAAUUUUAUAAACAUUUACGACAUAGCAUACAUAUGAAGAAAUUAUAAGCGACACAUCAUAUAUCAAUGGCCGAAGAUUUUUUUCUCUUUUAUUCUCUAUUUAUAUUUUCCAACUUAAUACAAAUCAGCUAACCCUCAUUUGUUAAGUGUUGAGCACAUCCAUACUUCAUUUUGAAGUAUGCUCUAAUGAAUUCACUUCACCCUUGACAAAAUAUUUUUUCUUCUUUUUUCUUACAUCUGACUCAUUUUUAUAUGUUGGGUUACAACAAGUUUUACCUCUAUGUUAAAGCGAUUUAAAUAAAUCAAUUUUUCUUUGGAAGCACAAAAUAAUAUAGGAUAAGAAAUAGAUUCGUAUCCAAUAUUAAGCUGCAUUGUUUUGAUUUUUUUUUUUAUAAUCUUAUUGCGCAUCUAUAUUUAUAGAAGUGUAUUAUUAACAUUUAAUUAUAUAUUAUGUUCUAUCCAAUAAUUAUGGUCAUCAUAAUAUCAAAAAUCUCAACAUCGAGUCCGCAUCCAAAAAAUUAAAAAACAAGAAUCAUAAUUUAUAUAAAAUUUUAUUUGUAUUUAAUUAUUAGUCAUUCACGUUAAUUUGAAAUUUUUUGAGUGAUGACACACUCCUGGAAAGGGCACCGAGUUGAAAGUCUUCAUUCUAGAUCUUAUCUCCGAGAUAAACAUGUUGUAAUAAGAAAUGCAUAAACAAAUUGAAACGAAUGAUUCACAAACAAACUAUCUUAUUAAUUAAACUCCAUCAUCAACAAUAUUUUUAAGUUGAAUACCGCAUAACUUGAAAGAAAGCUUGUAGUCCUAACAAUAUUGAACAUAUAUACUUUUUUUUUUUAAAGGAACAUAUAUACUUUAUUUGAUAAGAUCUUCAUUUUCAUGUUUUUUUUAAAGUGAAAAUUCUUCAUCUAUAUCUAAAGUCUACGGGAAAGCCCAAAUACUAUUUCUUUUUUUUUUAUUAAAGAGGGCUCUUCAAAGAGAGCUAGACAGGAACAAAACGGGAAAGCCCAAAUAUUAUUUCAAGAAAGAUAUUGGAGGCAAGAGGUCUUAAACCCUACUUAUAAAGAAAAAAAGAUUUUGAUGGACUAUCAUAAAUGGGAUUGGGAGGUGGAACCUGAUGAGUUCAAACCAAUAUACUCUCUAAAACAUGGAAACAACUUUGGCAUAUACUUACUCCUGCUUAGAGUUGUUUUCAUGUUUUCGGUAGUGCAUCAGUCUCAACUAAGGGUGGGUGUUCGAUUCGAUUUGAUUUUGUUCGAACCAAACUGAACCGAACUGUAUUAUGGCAGUUCGGUGUAGUUCGGUUUAGAUAAUAUAAACCAAAUGGUUUAUAAAUAUCUAAAUCAAUUGAUGUUUGUUUGGUUCAAUUUUAAACCGUAUCAAAUUAAAAAAUCAAAUGGUUCAGAGAGAAAAAUUAAAUUAAAAAUUAAAAAUAGGUUUUAUGUUAACUAAUACGAGUGAUAACUAAUGUGAUAGUAUAAAUUUUAAAGUUUCUUUUAUGUGUGAUUUUGUGUGUUCCUUUCAUAUUUUAUUUAUUAUUGUGAAUCUAUAAUUUGUUGUGAAUUUCUAAGGUAUCAACGUUUGUUUCGUGCUUAACUUUAUUAUGUUGGUGGAUUUAAUUUUAUUUUGUUGUUUAUUUGUAAAUUUACGGACUCAAUAUUGUUGCUGUAGUAAUAGUCCAUUAGUAUUAUGUUGUUUAUUAGUGAAUAUAUAGAGUAAAAUUACUCAAACCAAAUUAAACAAAACCAAAACAAACUAGACUAUAUAACUAAACCAAACUAAAUUGAAUUAAUUUGAUUCGGUUCAGUACAGCUCUAGUGUUUGAUUCAUUCUUUUUUUUUUCACAAAACUGUAAAUCAACUGGUUUUGAUUUGGUUCGGUUUUAAGCAAACAUGUUUAUUAAAAGGGAGAUAUGACAACAUAUUGUCAAGGAAUGAGUAUGUUGUGCAACAACCCAUCCAGUACUUAGACAACUUCCAUCAUAAAAGUUGCUAAGUAAGCCUAAUGAACUUUUCAAGCUAGCUAAGAAAGGAUGUUUGUGAGAAAGCUAGAGAGAAGAGAGCAAUAUGGCCAAAGCGAUUUUUAUUAAUAGAAAGGGAGAAUACAAGAAAGCUUUACAAAGAUGCUUGAGUUGCUAGGUGUGUAGUGUGGUGUUGAGCAAAAUGGUAGGUGUCAUGCCCUAUAUAUAGAGUGGCUUGCCUAGGUCUAGAGUCUUUUGUGCAACUUGCACUUGCUUAAAUAUUCCCUAGUUUUUAGAAUAUAUAAGUGUAUAAUUAUCUAGGCAUUUACAAGUGCUAGUGUGUUGUAGAGAUUUCUAGAAUCAGGUCGGGGCUACUCGCUUUGGCUAGUGAAUUUGAAUUGUCCACUUGCUAAGUGCAUCACAGUUCACUAAUUAUACGAGGCAACCCACUGCUGAGCACACCCUGCUGCUAAGCGCAUCUUGCCUUUGGGCGAAUCUUUAUUAAGCAAACCCAUAUGCGCUAAUUUAGCUCUCGCUGUUGACAAAUUUAAGCGACCCGUGACAAUAUGAUGCAAUAUCGGAAGCCUUUUAUAUUUAGGUUUACUAAAUGCGCGGCGGGGAGAAUUUAGGGCUAAGAGAAAUUGUAGCUGCAUGGCUUUUGAAUUUCUUUGUGAAUCUAUCUAUUACUUAUUAGACAUAAUAGAAUAUUGGGCUAAUUGGGUAUGUUGGAACUUGGGCUUAUAUAUGUACGUCUUAUAUAUAUGUGCCGUCAUCACACAGGGAGAAGAAAAGAAAACUGUCAAGAACAUGAAGUGGCUGCAUCUAUAUAAAGAAGAAAAAUAAAAUUGAUUUAAGCGGUGUUUCUCCACUAAAAGAGAAAAUCAGGUGGCAACAAAAAGUUGAGUGGGGAUCAUUUCAGCACCCUCUUUCUAUCUCAAUAUCUUCUCCUCAGAUCAACCUCACCAUUUGUUAUUGGUAGGCACUUCUUCCGAGAAAGCAUACAAAUGCAUUAACAUUUUAACAUUUAGGAUAUUUGUUAACCAACAGUAGAGACUUCUGCGUCAUUUCAGAAAAUCGAGCUAGUGCAAAAGGUAUUAUCCAAGAUACACGUAUUUGAUUUUAUUUAAUUUGAUGGACACAGAUGAUAUGAUAUUUAUGGAACUUUAAAUGAAACUAUAUUUGAUUAGGGUUAUUUUUGUGAGAAAUGUGGUAAUCAUAAUAUAUAUUCUUUGUAAAGCAGACACUCACAUUAAGCUCGAUCAAAUAGAAGUCCAAAUAGAUGAAUAAAGUGCCAAACAAAUAAUAAUAAAAAAAAAAGAGGUCUGAUUAUGCUUAAUCUUAAAUACAAUGUAAUGAUUUAAGGAUCCAAAUGUCAACAUAGUAUACGCUCGAAUGACCCCUUCUCAUAAUGAGAAUGUAUAUAAUCUUAUUAUGAACUAGUCUUGUAUGGAAUGAACUUAUAAUCAUGGAAUCAACUCAAUUAUCAAAUUAUAUGUUAUAAGUUCAUAAUUCUAACCCAUUCCCAUUUUGUUCCAAAAAGAUCUAUUAAUUGUUUGAUUCUAAUUAGAAAGAGGGAUCUUAAACUAAGAAAUCGAUAUUAAAAACUAACUAAAAACGAAACGAAGGUAUUUUAAUAGUAUUCGUUGAUAUUCCUUGAAUAUUAGUUUCCUCUAAUAUAUUAGAGUUUCUAUCCAUUUAUCUACGCUUUUAAUUUUGUGGAAACAAAAAAUUGAAGAAACCUAUUUGUAUCAACGUUUGUCAUAUAUUUUUGUGUGUCGAAAAAAAUUGCAUUUUGAUCCCAAAUUCAGAAUUCACCUAAACUUAAGUUAUAUAUACACGGGUAUUUUGGUUUAUUUUCAAUUUCUUGAAAGCCAAUAACUUCCCUUACUCACCGGAUUGUAAUUUUGUUACAAAUUUCUAAAAGUGAGUAAUCAAAGAGGUGCUCCAUGACGCGCAUGAUGAUUGAAAAAAUUGCCCAAUCAUUGAACUAAAUAAAUAAAUAAAAUGAUUUACUUGUAGAUAUAUUGUAUAUGGUCCAGAAGCGAUUAUCAUUUUAUCAACAUUGCUUUUUUUUGGCUUCGACUUGUCUCCAAAUCUCUGCAUUCUGAAUGCAAAAAUGACUUGUACCCACAUACAUAAAUACAGUUAAUAUUUUUAUUAAUAAUUCGCACGUACUAUAAGCAAACGCAUGUGAGGAUUUUAUUUUUUUUUAAAUCUCUUCUAAUAGUGAAAGUCUUUUAUAUUGAUAAUUGAUAAUUAAAUAAAUCGGUGCACAAUAUUUAUUCCGAUUUUUUUUGAUUUUUUUUUUCAAAUAUUGCCCAAUAUAAAAGAGAUUCAAAUAUAGUGAUGUAAUUUCAACCAAUAAAAUUGAGUUUUCGACACUUUACCUUUUUGAUAUUUUAACCUUCAGCUUGUAUAAUAGGAGAUUUUCCAGUAAAAGCAGUUGAUACCCAUAAUAUAAAACGUAGAUUUGGGCAUACAAUACAGAUUCGAAGUAGUUCCACUCAAUAUUGAAUUAUCUUCUUUUUUUCUUUUUAAUGUAGAAGGGUAGGCACAGCUCCUAUUAAUUAUUUAUCUCUUAUAUUCCUUAGGAACUGAAUUUUUUUUUGGGUGAUUAACUACAUAAAAUUACUUAAAUUUUAAAAAUCACUCACCUAAGUCCAAGAAGCUAGCGUUGAAUUACUUUGAAUUGAAUUAUUAAGAAGUCUAAUUUUUGCAAAAUAUUAACAUCCGAAUCACUAGAAAUGUCUAGUUAUAUUUUGUCUUCAUUCAAUUUUGUUGGAUCACCUUCUUUUUUUUUUUUUUAAUUAAGGUGACAAUGCUUUAAUUCUUUUUGUGGCAAAUACAAGGAUAUCCACUUGUAUAUAUAUGAACCAAGCAAAUUAAGGAAAAAAAAAUCGCCAUACAUGAUUGAUUGAUGAUUUUUAUUUUUGUUUCUUUUGAUUGAAUCAGCAAAAUUUUGUGAUGACAACAAUUAGCCAUUCUGAGUGGCAACCGUCUUUGGAUUGCACUCAAGAAUAACACUACAAAUAGGACAAUAAAUAAAUAAAAGGCAAGUGUUUGCGUGACGUUUCCUUUGUGAAUUUUUAUAUAUCUCUUUAUGUGAAUCAAAUGCGCACACUUGCACAAAGAGAAAGAAUAUAAACGAAAAGGAAAAUCACUAAUGGAAUCAGCCAACCAUUUCAAGGCAAAGCAGUGUUUGGCACCACCCCCCACCAUUAUAUAUUCUAUCUUUUUUAGUACACAUCAUUGCCACUAUGACCUAAUUAACUAAUCAUUUAAUCUUGUCCUGUAUAUAUCUCUAACUAUUUAUUUCCUAUUAGAUAAUCCAUUGAUUUCAUAUUAAAAUCAUGAGAACAUUAAUUGUGAAACCUUAUGUGGCUAUUGGUUGAUUUAAGUGAUAGAGAGCUCUUCAUGAUUAAAAAAAGAAAAGAAAUUUUGAAAUUUAAAUUCCACUCAUUAAAAAAAGUAAUUUAUGCACGAAUGUUAAUGGGUUAUAUUAAUUAAUUAUGGCGGGUGCAAAUCAACGAACACAUUAUUCGGAAUCCAUUUUCGAAAUAUUUAGGAAUCCGCAGCAUUUAUAUUAAUGUAAUAUUAGAAAAAUUGAGCAGCCGAACCGAGAGUGACGCCAGUGACAAGGCAAAUAUGUUGGCCAUUUGUCGGUUUAAGAUUCUAAAAUUCAAAAGGAAGGUAAACUUUUUGUAAUUAACAGUAUGCGAUCCCUAUGGCUAUAAAAAGACACAAAGGUCAUAAAAGUAUCUUUCAUGUCCAAUUUGUAUAUUUGAUAUGAGGAAAUUUUAUGAGCUUUAAUUUAGGAUUAGAUGUUCUGCACGAUAAAGUCAACUUAAAUCUCAAUCAUAUAUUAAAAUUAAUGAAUAGAUAGUGCACAAUAUUUAAAAAUUUAGGAAAAUUUAAUGAACAAGUGAUACAAAAUCUUUAAAAAUUUAAGAGAGAACUUUAGUCUUUUUAUUUUGUCGAGCUUCUUUCACAAAAAUGUAAUUAAUUUUAUCUCUAAUUAAUAAUAAAAAAGAGAGAAAAGAAAAAGAAAAAUUAUAUCCUUAAAUCUAGUUGUGGGUUAACUAAAGGUUAAAUGUCCUUAUUAGGAUAUCACCUUGUAAAAAUAAUUACACAAUGAAAAGCGAUUGCAGUAGUUAAUUUAGAAUUGGAGGCCUAGAUAUUCCUCAGAGAUAUGGAUAAAUCAAAAGAGAAUUUAAAUGCAGUCUCUCUGCUAUAAAAUAAUCGAGAGAAGUGUAAAGUGUUUAAUAUAAAUUAAAUACUACGCAUAACAUCAAGUUGCUCCAAUAUUGAUAAGAUUAUUAAAUAAUUGGUACGGGGAUUUCUAUAAAGCUAGCUAGCUUAUUUUAUACAACCAAUUCUGUACGUACAUGUUAUAUUUUCAUCAAAUUCUCAUACGUGGUUGUCCUCAUUCUGCAAAUAGAAAUCAAAAUAAUACAUUAUUGCAUGCUGUAAAAUAAAAUAUGUAUAUUCUUUGCUAAGAAAAGAAAAUGCCGACGCUUUAAUUUGUUAGAAUGAAUUGAAUAAACUACUUAUCAGUAAGUUGUUUUUUAGCUUGAGCACAGCUAGGUCAUGCUAAUAUAUCUGUUACUGAAGAUAACAACAAGGAAUUUAUAUUUUAAAUUUUAUCUCUACUAAUAAUAAAUGUUUAAAAUCUGCAGCUACUUCAAUAAUUAAGUUGAGGUCACUCUUGUCUCCAGUUGGAUAUGAGGAGCCAAUUUUAGGGUUGGUGUUAGGUAAGAGAUAACCAAACUCCCAAUAAUAUUUUGUUAAAAGGAGAUGAUACAAAUAAUUAAUUUCUUUUUUGGCGAUUAGGGUUUAGGAGCCUCCGUAAUCACUAAUGGAUUGGCACAGCUUCUGUUUUAGCUUUUAAAUGACUUGGAAGGGUAUGGAGCACUGUCGAGCUGUCCCAUGAAAUCCAACAUUAAUAAACAUAACCCCUUCAUGCUAGUGAGAGGUACUUAGUACUUUCAGAAUUAUUACGUACUUUUAGAGAUGCAUGGGGAAAUCAUUUUAAUAAAUGUACUUGCAUGAAGAACUAUACUUUAAUUUCAAGAAAAAUUUAAGUGGGAUAAUCGAUAAGUUAAUGAUCAUUAUUUUGAAUUGCACUUCAUGCAUACUUGAUAUUUCUUAAUUUAGACACGUUCAUUCAGUUACGACAUACCCCACUUAUAAGCAGUUUCAUUAAAUGACGUAUUUAUAAAAAAAAAUGUAAUAACAUUAUUAAAGAAAAAGUUGUUUUUUACUUAGCCAGCAUUACAAAUUAAAUUGAUAUGGUAAUAAUUUUUAAUUACUCCUCGAGUUUCUCUUAAUAGUAUUUUAAAGAGUACUUUUAUAUACGCACUAAAUCUUGUAUGAUGAUGCAGUAGGCAUUGUUAAGCAUGGAGAUGAUGACAUGACUAGCACUGUUAAGCAUGAAUUAAUAUAAACCACAACAGAGAGAAAGUCAGGAAUCCAUGUGAUUUCGCAUAGUUCUUGGAGAUCAAAUCAAUUUGACAUUGUGUUCCGUAGACGAAUAUGCAAUCGACUUGUCCAAAUUAAAAGUAGAAUAAGAAAAUGACAUCUUCAAGAAGCUUCAAAUGGGAAAAUAAUUCAUACCACUUUUGCAAUUUGCAUUAGCACAGACUUUGAGGUGGCAUCAUCAAUUUAGUCACACGUUGACCAAAAUUCAUAUAAAAAUUUGAUAAAUAAAAGAGAAAAUGUCUAAGAAAAAAAAUGGUACCAUAUAAGAACUUCAAUUGUAGUUAGAAUAACAGAUUAAUUAAAACUGGAAUUAAUUACAGAAUUUGAAGGGAUUACAAUGAAGUUACCAAAUUUGUCAGCAAAUAAAACUAAUAAUUUCUCUUUAUUUGAUUGCUCCUUAAUAUUUUCUUUAAAUUAAAGAAAGAAACUCAAUCUUAUUAUGAAUCCGCAAACAAAAAGGCGCGUAUCACCUCGCUAUUUAACGACCCUUUCAUUUGCUGACGCACACUCCCCCGGCAAAACAAUCAUUCUCUCCCACGCUCGUCACCGGCAUUUGAACUUCACUCGCCCAAAAAAUACGAGAAAGAGAAAAUUUUGGGAAAAAAAAACACCUAAUAGAUUUUGGUAAUCCCAUGUGCCGGACCAUUUUAAUUAAAUUCUUACAAGGUGCGAGUAUUAACCUUUUCAGCAUCAAUUAGUAUAAUUAAUGCACCAGUAUUAUGUAUUCAUCAUAUAUACUAAAAAUUAAUAUCAAUUUAUACAUCAAAUCACACAAGUUAUUGUAUAAAAUUUAUUGUAUUUUUUGUAUACAAUUUUAUUGAGGUCGCCUUUUAGUUGAGCAACAAUUUUAUAAAGCUACAUCGCUUAUAAUAAUUACUAAAUUUAGUAAAAUAUUCAGUUUCACAUUCGACAUAAGAUUUAUCUUUUUUUUUUUCAAAUUUUCUAAAAUAACAAUGGGAAGAAUUUAUAUCACUUUUUUAACCUAUUUUUUUCUUAGAAUUUGAGAUCAGUCAAAGAAAAUUAGUUUACAAUUAUACAUUCAAGCUCCGAAGAACCGAACACAAAAUUUAUUUGCUCUUAUAUCAAUUUAUAUAAAUUUAUAAACAGAUACAAAUAGGCGUUGUAAGCACACACUCCAGGAAAGGGCGCGUAAAGGGGAGGAAGAGGAACCGGCGAAGUAUAAGGAGGAUAUAAUCAUAAUCUAUCUGGUACGCACAUUCAGUAGAUAGUGGAAAGGUGACAAGAGUAAAUAUGUCUUGUAAUAAAUAAUAAUAAUAAUAAUAAAGAUUAUUAUAAUAUUACGUAAUCUUUGACUCCAUGUAGCUUAUGAUAAACACAAAAACAUAUUCUAAUUUAUACCCAAUUAUUAGUUUUGUAAUAUAAUUUUUGUUUUCUUAAAAAUAAUAACAAAUGGGGAAGUACUGUUUGAGGGACUCUUUUAAGCUGUCGUGUUGUUAGUAUGAUUCUUCUAAGAAAUGAUGGGACUUAAACUUGUUGGGGUUUUGAUAGUGGGAGGAGUUGAAGAACAAGAUAAACGGUUGCUCUUGCUGGUUCGGUUUGCCUUUCAUUUGUUGGGAGUUGUCGUUUUGGGAGCUGUUUGUGGUUGAGGUUGAGGAGAGGGAGGGAAGAUUUUUAGCGGGAAAUUAAUUAAAGUUACUCUUUGACUCUCUCAUAUAGUCAUAUGCAUGUAUUGUCAGCAACUUUUGAAUUGAAAGGUUUGAUUUCUGUUUCUGUUUCUGCUUUUGUUUUGUGGGUGUGAUUGCUUUCUUUUUCCUGUUUGGUUGCCAAGAAAAGGGAAGGACAUGAAAGAAAGUUUAAAAUAUUGCUUUGUUUUUGCUCUGCUUUUAUGACUAACAACAAAGGUUUCUUUUUCUUUUUUUUCUUUUUUUGAGUUUUGUUAAGGUAAAAGAGGUUUUGCUUUAUUAUGUGUAUUUAGUGAUGAAUAUGUUGAAAGGUAGUUUGAGAGUAGAAAUUAUUUCAUUUCGGUUAGCUUAAAGUUCUUGCACUUGUUACAUUUUCUUGCUUUGAUUACGCUUUUGGAAAUAGUUAAGCUGGACAUUCAAUUCCAGUUUCUACUUGUUUCUUUAUUAUAUAUGAAUGAAACGGUAACUUGUUUGUCAUGAAUGUUCCUAUUGGAUUCAUCUACUAUUUGGCUUAUUGAAAUUGAAUUUCUUAAUUGCAAGAGAAGUGAAUUUUUUUUUUUAAUCCUUUUUUAUGUAUGCCUUGUUUCAAAGCUUCAAGAAUUGUGGAGGCAAACAAUUUGAAGGGUUGUUUUGCGGUCUAUGAAAUGUUGAUUUAAGUCCAACUGCUGAAUUGGCAAUUUUAGGUGUGUAGCCGCUCUCUGAUUCUCACUAGUUCUUGUUUGAACCUGUUCUCUCCUAGUUUGCUGUCACCUCACCGCUAUCUCUGCUUGCACGUUCGAAGGAAUAGCAAGCAGAAAACUACAAAAAGGAAGGGGUAGCACAUUGAACCUAGAAAAGAGAGUUGAGGGUUGGAACACGAGUAUAACAAAAAUUCUUGGGAUUAUUUGUAUUUUGUUCAUUUUAUAGAGCAGUUGAGUUGACAAGGGAAAUUUUUACCCCCCUCAAUUUUCUUUGUGGGGAACUUUAUGAUCUGCCUCCAAAUUUUGAAUUAUUAUUAUUUGUUUAUAUUUUUCUAAUGAUUCUGAUAUAUUUUAUGAAUGAUUUUCUACAUACUGUCAUAUUCUUUUAAGUCUAGAUAGCAAUCAGAAUUUGUGGUGCGUACAGGUCCACCAUUAACAAAUAAAUGGGGACAAGCAAACAGUAAACUUCAAUUAUGGAAUGACUUGGCUGUUUAGAGCUGAUCUGGACCUUUAAAAAAAAUUAAAUGAAAAAAAUGUAAUGAUUAUUGUCCAAACUUUGGAUACACUUGGCUACAUGCUGUGUGUUCUGCAAAAGCACAUUUGGUCCAAGUUGCUUCUAGCUUGUUGACUGGCUUUUUUAGCAACUUAGUUGGUUUGUAGUAGUUACAAAAAGUGCUAUUCAUUCUCUAUUUGUUUGACAGUUUGGAUAUACUGUUCCAUUUUAGACAUCAGGUUAUUAUAAUGCUGAAGAAGCGCUAAGAUUGUUAUGCAGACUUAAGAAAAAUCUGCAUUUACAAGUCUGGUGGUAUCAAUUCAUUUAGUUUCUUGGCAAUAUCAAAUAAUCUGAAAAUCUUCGUGACGUUUGUUGCAGCAAUUGACAGAUGACAUAGCAAACAGACGAGAAGGAAAAGGUGCUGCAAGUAUAUGAUGGGGUGUCCAAGAUAUUGACGCUUUGUUACUUCGUGAUGUUUUAGUGACUUAAAUUUGUUAAAUUAUAUGGGAGAAAAAAAAAAUUUUAUGCCAUUCUUGGAUUUCUUGUCUUUUGCUUUUUGACGUUAGCGGCUAACUGGUUCUAAUCAUGAGCAUGGAAUCCCAUAAUUUUAUAGCCCGUUAUAUCAGUGACCUUCUGUCAGAGCCUUUUUCUUGUUUCACCUUUGAAGUGGAGAGUGCUGUUUAAUUGAAGUCUUCCAUUAGCUGUUUAAUGUUUCUUAUUUUAGUUAUAAUUGGAGACUGCUGUUCAAUUUGAACCUUGUAGGUUCCCAUUACCUCUUGUGGUAUUUUCAUUCCACCGUUUUAUCUUUAUGUUUAUGCCUAUAUUUUGUUACAUAUGCCAAAAGCUUAUUUGACCUGAUCCUGUUAUUAGUUUGAAGAGCAUGAACUCUCCGUCCACCCAGUAUGUCACCCCAAGAAGGUUGGGCAUUUAUGAGCCCAUCCACCAGAUGAGCACAUGGGUAGAAAAUUUUAAGAGUAAUGGCAAUCCAAAUACAUCAGCACCUAUAAUUGUGGAGGUGGAUACAAGACUAGACAAUCAGGUGCAAAUUAUGACCCUUAUUCUUUUUGAUCUGGAAGUUGAGGCGAUGUUUCCAAACUGAUUCAUAUUUUUCAUUCAACUUUCUAGUCAGAGGAUACUUCUCAUGGAUCGCAAGGACCUUUCUGCAAGUACGAACAAGAAGCAAGUAAACCUUUUGACAAGGUAAGUUUGAUGAUCAAGGAUUUCUUCUCUUGUUCUAAUUUAUAUAGCUUCGAGUUCCUGCUAUUUAUCUUUCUACUUAGAAAAUAAUCCACUUCCUCUAGAUUUACACACAACUGAUGUACACAGUCUGAAUUUGGGGAAAUAUAAGGAAUGGCCAUUGUACCUCAGAAACUAACAGUAACAGAAAUUUUCAGUUAAAGUUUUGUACGUUCUCCUUUCAAUGAAUUCUCCAAUCAUAUGCUGAUUCUGUAUGUUUGUGCCUCAUUCACUUUCUCAUUCAUUUGAGUAUAAACACCCAGAGACUGACACAAUCAUGACAUCUAAGUGAUGUAGAACAUCCUGAAGAUGUAUGUGUGUAUAAAAAUGGAAGUUUCCUUUUUCUCCUUAUUGUAAAUCUUAUAAUAAAUGAAUCAAAGUUUGGAAUUUUUUCCAUUUCUUCCCUCCUAUCCUGUCUAAAUUUCUCCUAUUUCCUUCUAAAGUUCUCUUAUUUCUAUACUAUUAAGUCUUUCAUUUUCAUGUUGUCUUCCCUCAUCUACCUCUGCUCAAGACAGUUGACUGAAGUUUCAGCUAGUAUGAGGGAGGAGUUUCUUAUGGCUCUCCUUCAUUUUAACUGUUGAGAUUUAGUUUGGACACCUUUUGGUUGUUGUAUAAUAGCACGAUUUGUAAUGAACUGCCUUUUAGUUCAUAGACCUUCCUCUAGUCAAUGCAUACAUGAUAAUGGUUUACCAAUUUUAUCCAUUUCGUGAAUGUUUCUCUUCAACAUGAGAUGAUUCUGGUUUGCAUCUUUGUUGCUGAUGUUUGCAGAUACAGAGACGUCUUGCACAAAACCGUGAGGCUGCUCGUAAAAGCCGUUUGCGGAAAAAGGUAUAAAGGGGUCUGAAUCCAAACAGAUAUAGUAUGUGCAACUAGAGGUUUCAAACUUUCUGUUUGAUUAAUCUUUUGUUUGCAGGCCUAUGUUCAGCAGCUAGAAACAAGUAGAUUAAAGCUAGUUCAGCUGGAGCAGGAGCUUGACCGAGCUAGACAGCAGGUGUGGAGAAGAUGUGCCUUUUUUUUUUUUUUUUUGAAUCUAUUGCCAUGAUGAUUGAAGAGGGCCCUUUUCUCCUCUUAAUUUAAAAGUUAAAAAUGUUUGUAUAUUUCAAGUGGUAAAUGCUGCACUGCAGGGUCUGUAUGUAGGUAGUGGAGUAGAAGGUGUGCAUAUGGGGUUCUCUGGAACUGUAAACUCAGGUUUGUUUGUAAAACUGCAGCAUUUAUGAUGGUCGGUUUUGAUAUCUUUCCUUGUCAAAAUUCUGUAUGUUGGUUUUCAUGUCCUCGUGCACAAACAUUGCUAUGCCUUAAAAAUUGCUUGUCUCUGAUACUUUGUGGUUAUUAUGGUAUUUGACAUUCUUAAAUGCCCGAUAUAAAAUGUAAGGCUGUGGCAUUCUAAUCGUAAGCUGUAGUUGCUAUUCUUAUGGAGUAAGAAGAAUGCCGCACAGCCAAGUUUACUGUCAAAUAGUCCUGCUGUAAAAUAGUAUCUGGAAGCAUUUGAGGGCUAAUACAUACUAUCUGCCUUUUGGGUCCCUGGAAAUUCUCUUUGCUCUUCUAGAAUUUUGGAACUUGAUUGAGUAUUGCUUGAGGACCUCUAAUAUCCUCAAUCUGUUCCACUAAUAAAUAGAUAUGUUUUGUUUAACUGGAAUUUUUAGGAACUAGUUGUGAACACGGUAUACUAAAUUGUAGUGAUUUGUAGCCAUAGCUAAAUUUUAUGUAUAGCAAUGUAAUUUUGUUUUAGAAUUGUCUAAAGAAAAAUAAUUAAACUUUGCAUGGGCAAUUAAAGUAAAACUUAUUCUAAUAAAUGUGGUCAAAAUGUACAUGAAAUAUAUUUAUGCUCCUAGCUUACCAUCGCCAUUCAUUGUAUAUCCCUUUGUUUUCAUUUCCUGAAGCACCUGUUGCUUACAGCGCAUUGUUCUUUUGUUCUCUCGUGUUUUUGCAUUCAAUAAUUAGUCGUCAUUGAGAAUUCUGCAUGGUUUACAGCAUUUGAGAUGGAGUAUGGACACUGGUUGGAAGAACAAAGCAGACAAAUUUGUGAACUGAGGAAUGCUUUGCAAGCACAUAUUGGUGACGUAGAGCUCCGCAUUCUUGUAGAUGCUGGCAUGAGCCACUAUUUUGAACUUUUCCGCAUGAAAACAACAGCUGCAAAAGCAGAUGUCUUCUAUGUAAUGUCUGGCAUGUGGAAAACACCCGCUGAACGUUUUUUCUUCUGGAUAGGAGGAUUCAGACCUUCAGAACUCCUCAAGGUAAUUCUUAUUUCUUUUUCUUUUGUAAUUGAAAAAGUUGUCUUAUUUGGUGCAUAGGGCAUGUUGAUUUUGUGGUAGAAGCUGUGGGAUCUAAAUGUGCUAGGCUGAAUUUUAAGACUUGGCAUGAUUUUCAUGCCUAGAUGUUGGAAAAAAAAGCACCAUUUAUUAGGUAUUAUAUUUUCAUAUAGACAAUUCUUUAAUUUAUAAGCACAUCACCGACCUGCACCUACCCAGUUAUCUAUUUUUUUCUCUUAUUAUUUUCAAACUGUGACGAUCAUGUUAGGGUUUCCCAAGUCUUUGUAAUUUCAGUAAAGUAUAUGGUCGUAGCCUUUUUCUUAUAAUAUGGUCCUAGUUCUUAAUAUGUUAAAAACUUCUACACAUUUAUAUAAGCACGUGUUUUACUUUUACGCUUAUUUGAAAAGGACUAAAUUUCACUGAAUGUCACUAACACAUUUGUGUUUUUAACAGGUUCUUGUUCCUCAGCUUGAACCCUUGACAGAGCAGCAACUUAUUGAUGUUUGUAACCUAAGACAAUCAUGUCAGCAAGCAGAAGAUGCACUUUCGCAAGGCAUGGAUAAACUGCAGCAAACGCUUGCUGAGACUGUAGCAGCUGGUCAGCUGGCGGAAGUUGGUUACAAUCCACGUACAGGUACUGCAAUGGAUAAAUUGGAGGCUCUUGUCAGUUUUGUAAGCCAGGUAAGAAUCUGCAUUCUCUCAUUGCCCACUCAAGUGGUUUUCUUCCAUUUUCUCUUUGCACUUCCAAAUUCCAAUUUCUUCUUGACAUGUUUAACAACUCGACAAGUUUUUGCACUGCAGGCUGACCAUCUUCGCCAGGAAACUCUGCAGCAAAUGUCUCGUAUCCUAACAACUCGUCAGGCAGCUCGAGGGUUGCUUGCUUUGGGUGAGUACUUUCUUCGACUCAGAGCUCUGAGCUCACUUUGGGCUAAUCGUCCUCGGGAGCCCACCUAGCCUUACAGCUAGCUCGCACUCUCUGGGAGAUCAAUAUUUACCGGUUGAACAUUGUUUCCGGAAUCAGUGGUACAUCUGGGUAAUGUUGUCAUAAACAAAGUUUCCAGAAAUCUAGCUGCUGACAUUUUUCAAGCAGCCGCAUGCAUCCCGAGGAAUUGUAAAUACAAAUAGCCCUUUAAUGAUAGAGGAAAUUUGUAAUUAAAUCAAUUUUCAACGCGUGUUGUACAUUCGGUCAUCUUGGAACAGUUUUCUUUGGGUAAUAUAUCCCAUCUACAGAUGGAACUUUGUUGUGUAAAUUUUUGUAGUUUCCCCUUCCUGCUCUAAAUGUUUGAUUAAUAAACUGUCCUUGUUCAGGAAUGAGCAAGAGAUACUUAUGCUGGAAAAACCAGUGAAAUUUAAUGAAGUUUUGCUUAGUCAGUCCGUGAGCAUUAGUUGUUUCUUUUCUGAAGUUCACUAGUCACUACUAUAUUUAGGCUCCAUUUGUGAUUGCUGUGUGAUCCUAGCUUAAUUGCAAAAUAAUUAAAAUUUGCAGUAAACACCUACUUAAUAUUUAUCAGACGUUCAUCUAUUUUAACUUGGUAGUUAGGGACAGGUAGAUUAAAAAGUCACACAGCACUUCAGUUUCAAAGAAGCAGAAAUUGAAAAUGGGACUUGGGCAGCAAGAGGAAGAAACAACACACAUCCAAUUCACUAUGUUAACAAUGAGCUGAAAUGUCUGGACAUUCUGCUUGAUAUUAUUGAAACUAAGCUCUCUGUAGAGUCCGAUAUUCAGAGGAUUUGAAAUGUUACAUGAUUUUCCCCAGCUUGUAACAGAUUUAUCUUCACAACUUUGACAUGGAAUAGUCCAAAGGAUAUUCAGAGGAUUUGAAAUGUUACAUGAUUUUCCCCAGCAUCAACUAGAAAAUCUGCGUAUUUCAUUACAUGGAAUAGUCCAAAGCAUCAACUAGAAAAUCUGCGUAUUUCAUUAAAAAAAAAAAAAGGUAUGAUUAUUUUCUAAAGUUUUGAGUUUAAAAAAAAAAGAAAAAGAAAAUUAAUCAUUAUUGAAAAGUUUGUUCAUCAGGAGGGAGCUGUAACAAGUACCUGCAUCAUCUUUUGUAAAACACAUUGGUGGCUUAAUUCUGAAAACAUUUCCAUGUAGUCCUCCUUUGCCAAUGAGAACACCAAGUUCUUCAAUCAGAGACCAGUCAGCAGUUAGCAUCGGAGGAAAUUUGAAGGGGAGUGUAAUUCAUGGCACAAGAUGUUAAAAAAGUAAUGAAAAAUGAGCAACUUUUUAGUCGCAUGAGGUUAUGAGAGUUGUUGAUACCUCUAAGCUUCUCGAAUAAGACUGCAGUUUCUGCCUUGGCGGGUGUCUUCUCCUGCCUGUCAGUUACCAAUUCCAUCCCCACCAUUAGGCCUCUCCCUCUCACAUCUCCAAUGACUGAAUCAAGAUUUUAAGAAAGUGUGAGAAGAAAGCAUAAUGAAAUCACCACUCCGAAGAAACUACAUUCAUAUCAACUUAAUAAAUAGUCGAACCAAGGUCAAUAGAUAAGAAAAGAAAGAAAUGGACUAGUUCAAGAGCAAUUACUAUCAUGUCUCUCUUGUAAAGUUCUCAAGCGUCCAAGCAAGUGAGAACCAACAUCAGCACAGUGUGCUUGCCGCCUUUCUUUAUCAAUGACCCUGAGCACAGCAAGUCCACCAGCAGAACACACCGGGUUUCCACCAAAAGUGUUAAACUGAAUCUUUUGAGCCAUUACAUUUGCUAUUUCUGGUGUGGUCACUACAGCUCCUAAUGGCAAACCAUUGCCAAUUCCCUGAUAAAUGUUUUUAGUGAAAUGUAAAAGAAUGAUAGCAUGAUGAUACUCAAACAUAACCAACUAAAAGAAACGUCUAAGAAUAAGGACAUUGUAAUAAAUGAGAGUUUUAAGUUGAAACAAACGGUUUAUCUUAUCUUAAACAAUCUGUAUAUAAACCUUUGCCAUGGUAACUAUGUCAGGAAUAACCCCUUGUGUCUCAAAACCCCAGUAAUGACUUCCUGUGCGACCAAAUCCAGUUUGUACUUCAUCAGCAAUGCAGACACCUCCAGCCUUGCGCACAAUGUCAUAGACCAGUUUUAAGUAUCCAGGGGCUAAUUCAACAGCUCCUCCAACUCCCUGAAGCCAUUCAAAAUUUAGUAACAAAAAAUUAAAGCUACAAAUUUCUAGCAACCAAUUCAGGGUUGCCCUAAAUGCCAAAUUUACAAAUGUUUGGGAAAAAUUAUAGAUGGCACCUGAAUGGUUUCAGCAAUAAAACCAGCAACUUUUCCUGAAGUUCCAAAAUCAAUGUGAUCUUGCAAAUCUUGGGCAUAGCGGGCAGCAUCUGAACCAAAGCUUCCAUGAUAUGGAUCAGGAUUUACAACAUGAUGAAUUUCACCCUGCAAAUGGCCAGAGUGAUUGGGUAAGUUUCAACAAAUUAGCAUGCCUUGCCUGGUACCUUUCUCACAUACCCUAAGAGAAUGUAUGCCAAUCCAAAUGCCAUGCUAACUGUUUGUACUCCGAAAACACAAUUGGUAGACAAACCUGUGGAAUGGGAUAUUUCCAUGUAUUUAGAGCUGUCAGUCCAAUUGUACCAGAACUUCCACCAUGAUAAGCAUUUCGCAGGGCAAUCAUGCCAAGAUUACCUGUGGAAAGUCUGGCCAUUAGCAUUGCUAACUCAUUUGCUUCGGUCCCAGAAUUGACAAAAUAUACAACCUGCAUUUCCAAUUGAAUUAGAGGAAGCUUAUGAUACCCAGUUUCUUGGGGAUUUAAAUUUGUAAACACAAACAUGUCCGGGACGAAUUACAUAAAACACUAAACUCAAGAGAGAGAACCUUUAGGUUUCCAGGCAUUUUCGAUGCUAAAGCCUCUGCAAAAUCAGCUAUGGCAUGGUGCAAGUAUAUGGUUGUCGCAUGCUGGAGAAGCUUGCUUUGCUCAAAAAUAGCAUUCAGAACAUCAGGAUGACAAUGACCACAGGACACAGUAACUAUUCCAGCAAAUGCAUCCAAAUACCGCCUACCAUUCUCAUCAAACAGAUACUGCAUCUUACCUUCAACAAUAUUAAGCUGUAUAAUGAAAAUUAACAAAUUAGUGAAUUGCGUUUGUUGAAUAUCUAACCAGAAAUUCAACGUUUUAAGAAAUUAAGUACAUUGAAAUUGACCCACAUCAAGAUUAAUUCCCUGCACUGAUCGUUACCAGCAAAAUCAUAUAUUGGAGAAGUAUAUAUUCUAUCAAACCUUCAUUAAAACAGCAUUUAAGCUUAAUAAUCUCUAAGAAAUUACAAAUAACACAACUUAUAAACCUAAUAAAUCCACCUAAAGAUUAAAAAAUAUAUUUAUGAAAAAGAAUUCACAAGUUUUUCAUAUUAGUGCUAUAGAAGUCUAAAAAGCUCAAACUUUUAAGCUCAAAAAGAAAACUUUCAUUCAUUUUAUUACUAAAGAAAGAAAAAGAAUCCCAUUAGGAAAAAAAAAAGGGAAAAAACUAACAGGUUUUUGAUAAUAAUGAAAAAUAGAGGGACCCAGAAAUUGCUUUCGCUUUUGAAACACUUGAUCAGCCGAGGGACCCGUGUAAGGUUUAGGAUCAUGAUCAAAAGGCGGCAGCUGCGGAGGAGUAGUAGCAACAGCAGAAGCAGAAGCAGCAGUUGAGAAAGAAGUGCAAAUAUUCAACUUGGCUUUGGAUUCCUUCACAGUUCUUUUCAAGAUUUGUCUCUGCAAAAACGCCAUUGGAUGGAUGAUGAUGCAGAGAUAAAGAAAGAAAACAGAUUUUUUUUUUUUGAUGAAAAUAUUUCGAAUUUUUAUUUGUUUGCCAAAGUAUGGAUUGAAAAAUCGACAAUGGAAGUUGAGUGGAAAUGGAACGCUAACUGAACAGAACAGUUAACUUCAAAGUUAAGUGAGUGUGGAACGGAACAGUGUAAGAUUUUAAUAAAUAUAAUUUGGUGAUUUGGCGCUUGUUACAGAACAGAAUAGAUUCUUUGAUGUUGUUUUUUGUCGCACACAUUAUUUUUAUUAAUCUUCACAACCAUUAGCUACAAAAAUAUAGUUGCUAAACUGAUCUAUACUCAAAUCGUUCAUAAUUUUUUAUCACACGUGUAUAUAUAGUAAUAUAUAAUAAGAAUUAGUAAAUAAAAAUCAAGUCAUUAUCCAUUUAAGUACAUCUUAUAUUUAGACGUUCAAUGUCUUCUCUCACUCUCCCACACACAAAUUCUUUAAACCAACAUGUAAAAAUUUUAAUAAGUAUAGAACUAAUUUCGUAUAAAAAUAAAAUUUUAAUUUUUUGUGUUAUUGCUACUUUGAUAGCUAAUUUUUUUUAAAUGUAUUUUUCUUAAAAACACUUCUAUGUAAGUUUAUCUAAUUCAAAUUUUCAACCUUCUUUUUUAAUUUGGAAUUGCGAAAAUAAGUUAUAAUGUUGAGUUUGAAACCAAAGCUUAACUCUAUUGUCAUACCCAGCGUUAAGAAAACUUAAAUUCAUAUAACGUAUGUGUUUUAACAGAAUUAUUAUUAUUAUUAAUUUUUUUAAUACAUGUUGAGUAUAAAACUGGAAAUGUAGGUAGGGAUGGCAAAAAUCUCCAUGGGGACGGGUACCCUCAGAAAUUUUCUCUAUUCACGGAGGGUAUGGGGAUAAUUUCGCAGCUCUGCUGAACCGUACAUCCGCCUUGGCCGUACAGCAGAUAAUUUCAUACCCAAUUUCUUAUUCGGGGAAGGGACAAGGAAAUUUUUUUACCCAAUUUUUUUAUUCGGGGAGGGGACGGGAAUGAGGUGGAAUCCCCAUCCCCUACCCAUUUCUCCAUUUUAAUUUUUAAUUUUAUUUUAAUUUUUUAAAAUUACUAUUAAAUAAAUAAUAAAAUUAUAAAUAUUGGUAAAAAUAAAAAAAUCAAAAUAUUUAUAUUAUUAAACUUUUGGGCCUAAUUAACUAAUUAAAGUCCUAAAUUUUUAUUUAGGACAUUAAAAAAACCGAGUAGAUUCUAUUAGCCUAAAAUUUUUUAAUUUUAAUAUUCUUUAAAUAUUUUAAACUUAAAUCUAUUUUUUAUUGACUUAAAUCUAUUUUUUAUUUAUUUUUAGAUGUUAUAAUUGCCCACAGCGAAUCACAAUUUUAAUAUCUAAUAUAAUAUAAUAUAAUAUUUGCUCUUGAUUUACUCCGAUUUAACUAUUGUAUUGUAAAGAGAAUAGUCCACAUUUAUAAAGUGUCUACACCACAAAUUAAUAGUCCACAUUUAAAUUGUUACAAAUAAAUUCGAUUUUAUUUGUAACAAUUUGGUAUUAGACUAUUAAUUUGUUCAUGAUAGUUUGUAAAAAAAGUUUGUAUCUCUUGCAUGCUGCAUUACUUACUAAUUUAAUAUAUGUGACUUUUGUAAUGGAUAUUAAUGUAAGAUAUAUUUCGAACUUUACUUUUAUUUGAAUUUUUUAUUUUAAUAUGAUUAAAUCAAAAUCGAAAAAAAAUGUAUUAGUUAUUCGGAGAUCGGGGACCCUUUGGGAUCCCCUGUUAUUAUUCGGGGAGGAGAUAAGGAUUCUCUCAAGUAAUUCUGACGGGGACGGCGACAUACGCAAAAUAUCAUAGAUGGAUACGGGGAGAUUGGUCCCCUCCCCAUUGCCAUCCCUAAAUGUAGGUAAAUGAAUUAAAUGCAAUCAUAAUAAGCUGUCAUUCAUUGUAUGUGUAUCUUUAAAUAUUAGGAGAAUAUUCAUCAUUGCCCUAUCACGCCAACCUCUCAAUGAUCGUGCUUAUAUAAAAAAUCCCACUAAUUAUAUUUUAAUUUGAUUGGAUUAUGAUUACGAGUCGACUCUUAGUAAGACUAAGCAUGAUAUAUAAACGUGAUUCCCUUUAUUGUUAUUUUUAUUUUAUUAUUUUUAAGUUCACAAAUAGAUAAGCCCGACCAAACGUAUCACGUCUAUAUAUAUAUAUUUUUUGCCUAAUAAAAAUUUAAUCUCCUUGUUACUCAUUGAGUAGGAUUCGCGAUUCAGGAUUCUGAACACAUCUGUAUUACUGUUGAGGGCAAAAAUAUAAUUUCAUAAGGAAACCAAAUGCGUACGCUAAGGUGGAGUGGAGCAGGAAAAGAGACAAAUCUAUGCAUCAAAAUUCAAAAGUGGCCUCUUCCUUUGCUUUCAUGCGUUACGUAACCUAAGAUGAGUGUCCAUUUCUGUGGUUUCUCUCUCUCUCUCUCUCUCUCUCUCUCUCUUUAGAAUGGUGUACAAUCUUCUUUAUUGUGACGUGUUCCAUUUUCUCUCUAGAAAACUGAAGCAGAUACUUUCCCUCUCCAUAAAAUUUAAAAAAUACUAAACUUCUCAAAAAUCAAGGUAAUCAACAUAAUAAAAAUGAAAGAUUCAUGUUUUAAGUUUGUUUACCGUGAAACAUGCAUGUACCCAAGCUCCUGUAACUCAGUGGUUCACGAUGUUGCUAAGAUGGUUCUUGGUCAAUCAGAGCCUUAUACAUGACUGAAACAUAUGUCUCCGUGAAACAUGUACACACUUCACAAUUCACCUGUUUCCUUCUCUUCUUUCUCAUAGCUCACACAAACAACUAACAAGCAACAACAACAGGUCAGCACAACGGCAGGCCAGUGACAUCAUAACACUUUGACCAGAUUUGUUGCGCCAACGACCAGAUCUGCUGAUUGUUGCAUCAAUGGUUGCUCCACUUCACUUCGACUGGAUCUGCUCUUUCCGCAAUCACCAACGAAACCUGCAAAGCCAUCAACGAGACUCGCUGCUGCUUGAUCUAUCGGCUUCCGCUUAAUAUGCGCAAAGCCAUCUACAGUUGUUCCAUCGAGGUCGAGACCGAUAGCCAUCAUCACCAAGUCCUCCGAGCUCCCGAAAUUUUUCAAUUCAUAUUUCAAUUUUUUAUUUAUGAAAAUUAGUGGAUACAGACUAAAAUGAGGUAAUUACAUAAAAGUAAUCUUGUAAUAACUAAAUAAUUAUAAAAAAGCCUCAAAAUUAACAAAAAUAGCUCAGAAUUGCCCUUAAACCGAUUGUCCCAAACUCAACACGAAUUUUAGAUCCGAUCUGAUCCAAUUUGAGUAUAAUCGAAUCCGAUCAAACUUGAAAUUUAGGUUAAAUUCAGAAGAGUUUUCCCUAACCUAACCAACUUGAAAUCUGAUUGGGUUAAUUCGAACUCGAUUUUGCCUAGUCCUAGUAAAGAUAAAAGAAAAAAAUAAAUAUAAGUAGGUGUGUUUGGGACUGGUUUGCGACAAUUGAGCUACUAAGUUGUUUGGUUACACAUUGUAGUUCAGCUUUGGUAGCUCAGUAAUUUUUUUCUCCUAGCUAUGUAUUAAGAUUAUUAAUUUCUAUUCCACAGCUAUAGUUUUUACUCUAUAACAACUACUAUUAGUGAUAUGCCCUGAAGGCCAAUCAAAUGGCGCUUGCUUUUAGGGAAUUCUUGUAUUUAAUUAGUAUUUUUAUAUUUAUAAAAUGGCAAAGUUAUCAAUAUUCAUUAAUUAUAAUAAUUAAUUUAGUUCAAGAAGUAAAAUAGUUAAAGAAUACAUUCUCGAGAUUGUCGAGAAUAUGAAACGUGUAUCUUUUGUGCCUUUGUACUAUAUUUUUAAAAUAGUUCCUCUUCCUAGCGAUAGAUUUAUGACUCCUUUCUGAUAUGUGAUACUAAAAUGGAUGGUGAAUUUCAUAUCAUUAACAUGAAAUGUCAAGUCAAACAUAUAGGUACUUGUUGCAAGAACAAGUUUACUAAACUUGACCAAAUAAUAAUAAGCCAUAUGGUUUUGAGUGUUAAUGGUUUUCUAUAUAUUGUAACAGACACUAUUUUAGUAAUGGUCUUUAGACUAAAGGCAUCACAGUGUCUUGUAAUAGACAUCUAUUUUAUGUGAAAGCAUAAUGAUUGAUUUCUAAUCAAGGAUGAGAUCCAACAAUAGCUGUCAUGGUUGGCUGUGAAAGAAGACAAGUAUAUGGCUAAUAUGAAAUUCAUCAUUUUGUAAUAAACAAAAAAAUUGUCCCUUGUAAGUUAAUAUGGAUUGGCAUGAGAAAUUCUUGGCCAAGGUGAAAUAUAUUUGAAGGCGUUCAAAUUACAUUUUUUAUGCCAAGUUCAUUUAGAUUGAUUUUGAGAUAAAGCAUAAGUGCGUAACACACUAAACCAUAAGCCAUGCUUUUCUCUGGACAUAGAUAAUGAAGAGACCAUAACAUAGAGAAACAAUGAAAUAUGUUCAACAAAUCCAAAAAUUCUUAUUAAUUAGAUGGUUCUGAACUACUAUUAAGUAUUACUCAUAACUUGUAAAAACCUUAAGAUCAUUAGUGCUAAAGAUAGAAACUUUAAGAUCAUUAGUGCUAAAGGGUAUUAGCAAUGCAUCUUAAGGUCAUCAGAAAAGUUAUAAUCGAUGACUAAAGAGAUUAGCAUCUUUUAAUAAAUAAAGAGUUAUCAUUAAAAUGGUUAUACUACUUUAUAAUAAAGAACUUAAAAUGCCACACAACUAAUAGAAAUGAAAAAUAAGUUACUAGAAUAUGAGAAGCUAAAUUUUCUAAUUUUAGGAAAAUCGAUAUUCAUUAAAGAAUAAAUAUAUAUCUUAAAUAUGAUUUAACAUAGAAAAUUUGAUGUUCCAUAAACAAUUUAAAGAACAAAAUAAAUUUCAUAAAUCCUUAAUCAAACACUAGGAUUAAAAUCAAGCAUGUAAAAUAACCAUAUUGGUCAUGUUUCGGUUCAUGAAUGAUUAUGGACUUCUAGACCAAUUUUGGGUAUAGAAUUUUGGGCUUUUAUUGAACCUAAUAUGGAUUACAAAAAAACAUAAAAACAUGUCACAAAAAAUAAGCCCACAAUUAGCCACUUGAUUUUAUAAAAUAUGAGCUUAAUUUGUUAAAGACAAAAUUAUGUAACUAUGCUAUUUAUUUAUUCAAAACUAAUUUAAUUAAAUAAAGUAUUAGAAUGAUCAGAUCACAUCCAAUAAAGAAAAACUUAGUGAGUGGGUCUAACUCACGAUAACGUUUGGUGCCAUUAUUCAAAAGCGAGCGAUAAUUUUGUUUGGUUAAAUGAAUGAUCAUGAACUAGUAUUCAUGUUCUUCAUUAUUUCUCUCAUUGCAAAACGAAUUUUGGUGAUUCUAAAUCCUAUUAACUCUUAUAAGAUUUAUAAGUGUAGACUAAUUAAAGGCAUCACAAUUGGAGUGUUUUAAGAAUAUCAAAUCACACAAAACAAAAAACUAUUUGUUCGGUGAUGUGUUUCCUAGACAAUGUUCGAAACUUUCUAUUUUUGGUGCUUCUUACCUCACGAAAUUGUUUCUAAAACUACAAGUGAGUAAUUAAACUUUAGUCUUUUCUCUUAAUUUUCGAUUUUGAAUGAAGCCUACCGGAGGUUUUUAUAACUUUCGCCAUUCGUUUUAAUUUUACUGUGCAAAAGUUGUGUUUUUAAAAAUCUUAUGGACAAAUGUUAUCCUUCAACUAUAUCUUAAAAUAUACAACACUUCACUACCAAUCGUGUCCUUAUUUUAUUUGUAUUUAUUCUUAAAUGUAAUUGUGAUAGAAUAAGAAUUCUACAAGAUUAACGAAGAAGUAUUUAUGGAACUUCUAAUGAUACGACUGUAACCAUUUUUUUGCCUUUAGCUUACAAGCGGCAUUAUGUCCAAAAAAAAAAAAAAAAAAACCUUAAAAGCGGCAUUAUGUGACAAGCCCACAAUGUGAAAGGAACAUUUCAGCCCACGCUGAAAAUUCACUGCCUUUUGAAGGACCCCUAAUGAGUUGGUCCACCAGGCCCAAUUCCCAUUCUCGCGCCCACCAGCUGCUUGACCAAAUAUCUGAUAGAAGAGGAAACAUGGGCCAAAAGAGGAGCAUAUAUGUAAGCAUCUCAUGAUCGGAUACAUGUUCAAUGUUGAGCCGAGUUUUGAUUGAGCGAUAAAUCAAUGGUUAUUAGAUAAAAUAAAUAAAAAAAAAAAAUUUAAAACAAUUCUAAUCAUUAAUUUAAGCUCAGCUCAACACUGAAUUUAAUCCCUCGUAAUCCUUUGCUCUUACUUGGAGAGGAAAAGGCAUGGAAAAAAUAAAAGAAGAAGCAAGCCAACACCACAACAACGUCAACUCUAAAUUGAAAUUCCAAACACUUGCAACGCCUUGCUGUGCGGGGAGGCAGCUGCGGCGAAGCUUAUGCUCCUUCUUCUUUGGCAGUGCUUUUUGGACACCGUUUUUAGCUUCUGCCAACUAUGCCUGGGAUUGUUUUCUUGCCAAAGAUGUGAAACGACAAUUUUUCAGCUUUGAUUUGACUGCGGCAUUCGAAUAGAGAAGUCAAGACAUAGAUGCAAGAAGCCUUAAACUUGUGUGCAGAAGAACAAGACAGUGCAAGCAUAUACCAGAUUUCAAAUGCUGAGCUGAUUGACUGGCAGACAAUGUCACAAAGAUGCUGUUUUCCAGUGGACCACCAAACAGCGGAUUUCCAAACAAAGGUCAUCAAAGUAGACAUCUGGAACAUUUAACAGCUGACAAAUAAAUGAAAGGGAAUUUUUUACAUGUUAAGGAACCUAUGGAUACCAUGAACUUCUGUACAAUGGAGAGUUGGGAUUUUCCUUCAAAUCAAAUAUCCAAUCCUUAAGCUACCAGUAGUCACGACAUGAACACAGCCCUUUCUUGAAAUGGUGAAAUCGAGUAGCAUCUCUCACAACGAUCUCUCUGUCCACAAGUUUGCAGAUAAAUUUAAUGGCCGAAUGACAGUCAUUGCAGACUCUGAGGUUCUUCAUGAUCCUCAAUGUAGUAUUCUCCGGAGUACUUAUUAGACCAAAUGCAAUAGCAAGUUUCUCGCUGUGAUGUCUAAGCAUCUGCUCCUUCACAUCCUCCUCAACAUCAUGCAAUACAGACGCAGUGUCUGGAACAAAACCCAUCUCUUUUAUUUCGUCCCAUAUUUUUGCCAUCUUAUUGUAGAUUGCAUCUCUCUGAGGGUGAAGCCAAUCUUCAACUCCAAAGACAUGAACUUUGUUCUGGAUUUGAACCCAACUAAAUCCUUGAGUUUUCUUCACACCUACGUACUUCAUUGACUUUCUAAUGUUAGCCGCAUCUUCCCAUUUUCCACAGGAUGAAUAUAAAUUACAGAGGGCUGAGUAGGCCCCACUGUUGUCAGGCUCAAUAAGAAGCAAUUUCUCUGCUGCAAUUUUUCCAAGGUCCAAAUUCUUAUGAACCCUACAAGCAGACAAAAGUGAACCCCAAGCUACUACAUCUGGUUCAAGUGGCAUAUUUUCUAUAAAAUUAUAUGCUUCUUGUAGCAAACCAGCACGCCCUAAAAGGUCAACCAUACUCGCAAAAUGGCUUGGGGUGGGUUUGAUUUUGUGCACAUUUUUCAUCAUAUUAUAAUAUCUCCGCCCUUGUUCCACCAAUCCCCCAUGGGUACAGGCAGUGAGCACGCCAACAUAAGUUAUAUGGUCCGGUUUUAUACCAAGUUCUAACAUCCUCUCAAACAGUUGUAUUGCCUCUUCUCCAAGACCAUGUUGAGCUAAAGCUACAAUCAUAGAAGUCCAAGAGACAGUCUCCUGGCGCCAAUGAAUAAGAUUAAAUACUCGCCUUGCAGCAUUGAUGUUUCCAGCUUUCGAAUACAUGGUGAUUAAAGCAUUGCUCACAGACAGUGAUGAUGCUUCUCCUGAUCUUAAGGCGCUUGCAUGAAUUUGUUUGCCAUGGUCCAAAGAAGCCAAGCUUGAACUGACACUCAACAUGGCUGACAGAGUGUAGUUAUUUGGCUUGGGGCCUUCUCUAACCAUUGAUCUGAAAAGCUCCACGGCAUCUUUAUUCAAGCCGUUCUGCUCAUAUCCCACAAGCAUGGCUGUCCAUGCAACCACAUCACGAUCUCUUAAUGAGUCAAAGAUCCUUCUAGCUGGGCCUAUAUCCCCAAUCUUGAUGUACCCAUCUAGUAGCGUUGUAAAUGCUAUAACGUUAAGAUACGAAAUCCCACUCUGCUCUACAAUCUUUUGAGCAAUUUCAACCCCACCAACCUUUGCAUAGCAUGAAAUCAAAGCAUUUCCCACAGGUCCUGUGGCAUCAAACUCAGUUCUCAUAAUAUAAGCAUGAAUCUGUUUUCCAAGUUUCAACUUCUCAAGAUUAGCACAAGCGGAUAAAGUACUAGCUAAGGUGAACUUAUCAGGCUUUAAGGAAGAAUCCUUCAACAUGUUUGCAAACAUACCCAAAGCUUCAAAAUCAUAUCCAUUCUGACUAUAACCCGCUAUCAUUGAAUUCCAUGUAACAACAUCCCGCUCAAUCAUUUGAUCAAAUUGAGCACGAGCAAGAUCCAACCGACCAGAGUGUAUAUGCAAUGAGACCACAACAUUCCAGCUGGAUACGUUCUUCAAUCUCAUCCCAUCAAAAACAGCCUUAGCCAUCAUUUCAUCACCAACCUUAGCAUACAUAUUCAACAAAGAAUUUGUCACAUUAACACACCCACUAAGGCCAGUCUUAAGCACAAAUGAAUGCACCUUCUUACCUGCACUCAAAUCUCCUAAAGCUGUACACGAAGCAAGCACACUAGUAACUGUGAACUGGGUCGGUAAAACUUGAUCCUUAACCAUCUCUACAAACAUUCUUAUCGCAUUUUUAAAACGACCGAUCUCGUUGUACGUAACAAUGAUUGUAGUCCACGAAACAGAAUCCCGAUUAGGCAUCAAAUUAAAAACUUCACAUGCCAAAUCUAGUCUACCUUGUUUUGCAUAAGCUGAAAGGAUUGUAUUCCAUGAACAUAAGGUCUUCACAGGCAUUUCAUCGAACACUUUCUUAGCGUAAGAAAUUGACUCCGUUUUUGCAUAGAAAUUCAUGAGGCUGUUUUUCAAGAAAACGCUUAAGUGAAGCCCGCAUUUGAUUAUACGAACGUGAACCAAUUUCCCCACAAAUGGGUUUCUGGAUUUGAGGUUUGAUUGGAGAAGAUGAGCGUAGAACUCCAAUGGAGAAAUCAAAGAAGGCGGGUUUGGGGUCUCCAUUAGAGAUUUUAUUAAGUGAGUUAAUUAGGAUUAAAGAUUAAAUUAGUAGGUUUUGUUUCAUUCAAAAUCUAUUGAGGAGGUUUCGGAAUCAAGAAAAAGAUAAAACCCCCCAAAAAGAAAAUAUCGGAAUUGGCGGGAAAUGGGAAAUAGUCGUUAAGAUAUGGCUUGUGGCUAACGGUCAAGGAUGUGGGGAGUCAUAUUUUUCUUCUGUAUAUAAAAGAGAGUUUUUAAACAUCUUUGCUGAUAUUAAUUUUGUAAUAAAAUGGAAAUAAAGAUUUAUAAGUUUUUUUGAAGAAAUGCUUGAUGACCUCAUGACCAUAUGAAAAUGAUUAUAUAAAGAAAAAUAUUUAAAAUAAAUUAAUUGGCGUUUUCAUAUGAAAAUGAUUGCAUAAAAAGAAAAAUAUUUGUAAGAAGUUAAUUGGUUUUUCUUUUAAUAACUAUUAUCAAUUUUUUGUUACUUAAAUGGUGGUAAAAUUAUUAAAGAUAAAAAGGAAAAAGACAGAACAUAGAAUUAUAAGAAUUGGUUCCUAAAGAAACUAAUAUUUGGAAAGAUUCUAAGAGUCCUCUAAAAGACUCUUUAAAUAGAUAAAUCUUCCUAUGAUACACAAGAAUCAUUCUCACAUACUCAAAUUUGCCAAGCCAUCAACAACUCUAAAGACAUAAAAGCAAGCAAAGUGAAUAUCUCAUAUGAGCAUGCAAACAAUAUUGAUUGAUUUCAAACUUAAUCAUUGUGCUAGCCCUGAACCAUCUAAGACUUUCUUCUUUAUUCAAAAUCAAAAUAAAGUAAUUUUAUUAGAAACAUAAGAGUAAAAUUAAAGAGUUAUUAAGGACAGAAAGAGGAAAGAAGAAACUCUCUUUAAACGUCUUUAAAAAAUGGCUAAGAGAGUAAAAGCGUAAGCCAAAACGUAAACAAAAUAAAAGAUUGCACGAAGCUAUAAUUAUUAUAUCUAAUUAUUCAAAAAGUUAUUAUAUCUAGAAAAAUUAUUAUCCGUCCACCCGAGGUUUAUCCCAUUAUUAAAAAAUUUUUUUACAAAAGUUUGAAUUUAUUUAAUUUUACAUAUCCCAUUAUAAAAAAUAUUAUAAAAAUCUGAAUUUGUUUAAUUUUAAAAUCAAUGUACACAAUUCAUAUUAACCAUCUGCUAAAAAGACAUAAUAAUUACUUUAAUGAAAUGACAAAACAAAAGUAAACACAACUUAUAGUAGUAAUUAUUUUGUGAGGGUAGUUUUGUCUAUUGGUUGGACAAUUGAUACACAUUAUAAACAAUAGACAGAAAUUUGAACAAAUUAAAUUUUUUGCAAUAUUUUUGAACAAAUUAAAGUUUUUGUAGUAUUUUUUAUAACAAAAUAAGUUUUGGGUGAAUGACUGAUAAUCUCUCUUAUUGUUAUAGGAUGUGUUAUCAAAUAAAAAUGAUCACAAGGACAACGAAAGAAUAUAUCAUUCCUUGCAUAUUUCCAAUUCUUUUUCUUAAAAUAAUAUCUAGUCUUUUUUUCAGGAUGUUUCUAUAACAUUCAAUCGUAUUCAUCAUUCCUUGCACUAAGUAGCAUCUUACGACAGAGAAAUUCUAAUACAUCUGAGGUAUAUACCAUGUCUGUUAUAGAAUAAACAAAUAAUGUUAUGACAUAUGUGCAUUUAUUUUGAAAAACCAUCAUGCAAGUGGUGUUUGUAUUAAAUUCAACUACACAUGUCAUGUUUGUAUCAAUUGGUUGUAAUACAUCUGAGGUAUUCUAAAAUUUCUCCUUGCGGCAAGAUAGCUAGGAAAGAAAUAAAUGUGCAUAAUUCAUUGCAUGUUUCCUAUUUUUUUCUUUUUUCCCCUUAAAAUUUAAUGUGAUGUAGAUACAGUUUCAUUUAUCAAAUAAAUAAUAAUUAAUAUAUUAAUUUAUAACACCGUCUCACCAUCUACUUGAUGCACAAGAAAGUAUAGAAGAAUAUCGCCUAAAUUUUCCAUUUUGUUCUUACUCUCUAUCAUGAUGUGGACUCAUACGAACAUGGUCUCAUUUUUCCCUACUUUGCGUGUCUUUUUUGUCCAUCACUUCUGUUUAAAAAUUCUAAUUACCCAACUUUCAUUGUCCAAAUUUAUAUGAAUGGCCCUUAUCAUCUAAGGCACUCGAAUAAUUUUUUUUUUCCUUCUAUAUGAAAACGUCCGCACAUUAUAAAAUACAAAUUAUUAGACUUUACACACUACGAGAUAGCUGCAUUAUUUACAGCUAUACAUUACCUGUAUAUAGCACCAAAACAUAAUUUUCCAAAACAUAAUUUAAUAUAAUGUGUCGACAUCCACACUGAAAAAGGACUCUUAUUAAUAACAUAAUUUAAUAUAAUGUGUCGACUUCCACACUAGAAAAGGACUCUUAUUGAUAAAUAUGAAUUUUAUAACUUGUAAACAUCCUCACAAAUAUGAAUUUUAUAACUUGUAAACAUCCACGAGAAUGACUUUUUCUAUAUAAAUCCUAGCUAAAUUUGAGUUUAACUGCAAAGCUUAUGAGAAAUGAGCCUAAGUAACAAGUUUCACUCUAAAGGGAAUGUGCCCUUUUCGUGGGAGAACAAGCCUGGAGUCUCCAAGGUGAUCAUCCACAACGGUUUCGAUGGCGACGGGCACUGUUCAUCAAAGCUGCCGCCGCCACCAUGUCAGGAGGAGAGCAAAAAAUUUUCGGUCACGUGUCCAGAAAGUUCUUCAAGAAAAGGUCUAGGUCUUUGGAACAAUAAUAAGCAUGAUCAACCAGACCCCUUUUUGGUAGCCUUGAAGGAGUGCACCAAAAACCCUAGAAACUGCAGCAUGAAAUCUUCUAAUAAAAAUAAUAAGCCAGGGAUGAUGAAGGGUUUCUUUAGGUUCGGUUGUAAGCAUAAUUCUUGUAGUGUUAAGGAUAAUAAUUCGGGGAAAGUUGCUCAGCUUCGUCUAAUUUGAAAGAUGGAGAGAUGUGAGAAAUUAAAUGAAAAAUAAAAUGUAAUCUGGGAUGAAAUUAUUAGAUUUUUAAUUAUUUUUAGAAGUCUUUUAUAUAUCGAACUCUAUAGUAGAGUUAUUGAGUAUGUUAUAUGAGGCUUUGUAAAUUAAGUACGGAUAUAAUAAGAUUUGUUAAAAUAUAAUCAGACUUAUACUGUGUCAUUUACAUAGAAUUCACUCAAGCUUCAGCUUCAUUUAUCAUUCACACGUUUCACCUUGACUGAUUUUUUCUUUUUUUUCUUUAAAAAUAAUUGGUGGAUUCAAAAAUUGUGGGCUAUAUGUUUUGGCCCGAUUAAUUCCAUGAUGGUUUGUAAUUUUGAAUGUUAAAAAUAUUGGAGGACCUAUCUACCAUUAUCCUUUUAAUUAAUUUUUCAUUUGCUAUUGGAUCAGCAUUGAAGUUUUACAUCUAAAUUAUUUUUUUUUAAAAACACAUCUACAUUAUUUUUUAGAUUAUUAUUAUUAUUAUUAUUAUUAUUGUUUUAUUAAUUGUUUAUAUGACUUCCUGAGAUAGAAUUUAUGAUGGUAUCAGGCUUUCAAUUUCGUAAGAAAGUCCUAAUUGGUUUCUAACCAAUUUAAUUAACCACUUAAAUUUGAAUACUGAUAAGAAAUAAAGACAUAAAAAGUUAUUAUAAGCUUUACGGAACCCUCUACCUUUAAAAAAUAAAAUUGCAAGAAAUGUAUAUAUAAAUGCAAUCACAAUGAUACGUGAUUUGAAAUUAAUAUUAACUAGGAUGGCCAUCGGAUAUAGUUUUAUCUUGGAGAUUAGGGCCAGAUUCGGUAUUUAAAAUGUAAAUCGGUGAGAUUUUUAUAUAUACAUGUUUAGUUUUGAUUAAAUAUCGGGAAUCAACCACUACUUUAGUUUCUAUGGUUUGAGCUAGUUGAAGGUAAAUUAAUCUUUUAAUACUUAAAAUCAUUAUUUACUAUUAUUAUUUUUUAUAUGCCAAAGUAGUUGGUUAAUAGAAAAAUCAAAAGUAUAGGUGAUUCAGAUACAUUGUCAAAAAUCUUUGAUGACUGAUUGUAUGAAAUUUUGACAAAAUUGAGGUAGUAUGGAGAUAAUUUUCCAUAAUAAUAUUGAGUGAGGAUAUUUUCACCCUAUAGUUUAUGUAAAUUCACUUAUAUUAUUUGUAAAAAAUUCACGUUAUUUUUUACAAUUUGAAAUAGAAAAAAAUUUAAAUAAUUAAUCAAUUAAAUCCUUCUCACAACUAAUAAAUUUUAUAAAAUUUUUGAUAUUAUAUCACAAAUACAUUUUUGAAGCUUAAUAACCACCAAUAUGAGGAUUUAACUGGUUAAUUGUUUAAAUAUAUUCUUAAUUUGAAAUUGUUAAAAAUAAUGUGAAUUUUUUAAUUAAUAUUUUUAAGGGGAUGGCAGGGGCGGACCCAAGAAUUUUUAUCAUCCCAGGGAAAAUUAAAAAAAUUAUAAAAUUUAUAAAGUGAUCAUAAAAAUUUAUAAGUAGAAAGAAUUACAUUAAAUAAGGGAGGACACGAAAAACCUUAUCCUUAUAAAUAUGUACUCUAGACAAAAAUAGUUAUAAAAAAAGUGUAUAAAACAAAAGACAAUUUAAAUAUAAAAGAACUAUUUUUCAAUUAUGGAAUCCGACAUUGCGACCUAUAAUAACAUGUAAUUAUAUAAGGAUUAAUAAGUCAAUUAAGAAUUUUAAGCUAAAUUAAAUUAAUACAUGUAAUUACAAUCAAUUAAAACUUGUAAGUAAACUUUAAUGUUUGAAGUUAAAUACUUAAUUAUCAGGCUUAACUAAAUAAAUUAAAUGACUAAAAUUUGUUCAUCUUUUAAAAUUAUAAAUAUAAUAUUAGUCAAAAGUUUCAAUAAUAAAAUAAACUCAUUCAGUAAAAAUAUAUUUGAGUGCGGUUGUUUCUUUGGCAGACGCUCUGACUCUCUUCGAAGAAUCAGAUGCUGAUGAUUUUUCUAUAAAAAACUCUUCAAAAUACUCGAAUUUUAUUUUCUAACUUGUCCUCUUAGUUAUUGUAACUAAUAAGUGAAAUCUCAAAAUUCACAUAAAAAGUUUAUGAAAAUGUUGAUAAUUGCUAUUAUAUUUUGUUUUUGUAAGUAUUUUUAAUACUAACGAUAAUUUUAUAUUAGAUUGACAUAACUUUUUUUUUCAAUUACAAUUUUUAAAAAUAAACUAAUAUAGUAAUAACAUUUUAGCCCCCUAAUAUUUUCAAUCUAUGCAAUAAAUAUACAAUUUAAUCAUUUUAUAAAAUAAGUCACUAAUUUCAAUGGGAAAAAAUAUAAUUGAAUUAAGGACAUAUUUGAAAAUAAAAUAAAAACUCUACUAUAAUAUAAAAUUGAUGAAAAUAUAAGGGUAGUUGAGCUAGGGACAUUUAUAAAAAUAAAAUAAAAACUCUAUUAUUACAUAAAGUUGAUGAAAAAAUAAGGGGUGUAAAUGAGUUUUUCCUUAUCAAGAUCCGGUUACAGCCCAAUGUAGCCCAACUAUAGGUCCGCCACUGACUUACAUAAUUUGAAGAGUAGAAAUAUCACCAUUUAUAAUAUCAAAUUCGAUAUUUAUUUUUAUUAUUCAUACCACCCUUUCGUUGAUUUUAAUCGAUUAUAAAAUCUGGAGAGAUUCCCGAUUAUAAAAUAACGCAUCAAAUGAGCAAGAAUCAAAUAAAAGGGCAAUUAAACACCCAUAAUGAGUUCGCACAGAGAAUUAAUCUGCUUUCCAAAAAAACGUUUCGCCAAAUAAAAUUGAAAUAAAAAUACAUAAAGUGAAAAAAAAAAAAAACGCAUCCAAUGGGCAAGAAUCAAACCAAAUUAAUCAAGGUCAUUAAUCAUUCAUUACAGUGAGUGAAAAACGACAUAAAUCCACUUUCCGAAAACGUUGCACCAAAACAGAAGCAAAAUUCCAACAAGAAAUCAAACUAUAGCACUACCAAUAGGAAACAAAAGAUUCGAAAUCUUUUCUUUCCUUAAACAGAAUAAAGCCCUUUACUAUAAGUUCAAGUCCAAACCCUAGAGUCCUUUUGAAUCAACUUUAGUCGUAUCUCUUCUUCUUCUUCUCCAUUAUAACAUUAUUGAAUCGUGCAUGCAACAUGAUUGUUAUUAAUCAUCACCAAGAACCCCCCAGGAAGAAAGCAUAUAAAUACGAGUUUAUUGCCACAAAAACUGUAGAGCAAGCAGCAAUAGCCAGUGGCAAGCCCUAUGAGGUCACAAGAACCAUAGUUGAAAUGCGAGACUUCGGCAAUCCUCCUCAAUUUGAUCCAAAAAAUCCAUGGCAGAUCAGAAAAUCAGUCACCGGCAGCGAUGUCUACAACGGGAAGCUUGUGCUUUCGCAUUAUGAAUUUUUCGACCACGUUUUUCGAUAUUGGACGUUGGAUUUGUGCAACUAUGUGGACCAAGGUAACCAGUAUUCGGUUACAAUAGCCGACUAUACUGACGAACGAAAUCCUAAGAGGUUUAAAAGUGAGAACAUAUUCGUCCAAGGAAAUCAUGGCAUUUUUUUUCUCGGUUGGACCGAUGUUGUUCAGAGCCGGCAUCUUCUACCAGGUGAUGAGAUCGGAUUGUUUUGGGAUGUAAGCUCUUCAAAUUUUGGAUUUAAGCUUCUGAGUCGAGGGAAUUCUCAUAAAAAUUGAGGUAUGAUUGUUGUUGAGAGCUUAUUAGAUCCAGGAUUAAAAUUGGAGAAAGAUACAUUGUAAAUUCGUCUCGAAUUUUUAUUGGAGAAUGAUACAUUAUAAGUUUGUCUCGAAUCGAAUAUUUAAUUUUGAAUUGGAAAAAUUUCCAUUAUUAGUAUUUAUAUUGAAGGCAUAUAUAAAAGCUUUUUCAAUAAAUCAGUUUGGUUCUUGAAACAUUGAAUUUUUUUUUUAUGUUAAUCUUUUUACAGACUUUUGGUUUUUCAAUCUUAUCUUGUUAUUUUAACGUAUAUUUCGUAGCACAUACUCUUACUGAGAUUGUGGUUUACAAUUAUUAGAUAUAAAUCUCUUUUAAUAUAAGAGAUUUUUUGUAUAUUUAUGAAUUUGUCUCUCAAAAUACUCUGUUGAAUGUAGUCGUUAUUAACAUUAUUUAUUCAAUCGGUUUUAUCAGUUACAAGAUUUAGUUAAAUGGUAAAUUUUUAUUACAAGAUUCUGUAUAAUUAAUAUUUAAAGAGACUCUUAAUUAAUUGGCUUAGCUUCUUGCAGUGAAUAAUUUGAGGUAGGAUUUGGUGCAUUCUAAGGGAUUACAUGGAUAUGAGGUGAGAUUAAGUGCAUGAUAACUUUUUCAUCCCAAUAUCUAUGACAUAGAGAGGAUGCAUACUAAAAUAUAAAAAAAAAAAAAUUUAUAAUUGAAAUAAGUUUUGUUAAAAUGAUAAUCUCUUCAUUAGAGAAUUAUUAUAUACACACGCACACUUGAUCAAUUAAUGUUUGCCUAAGAUCCCUUUUCGACAUCAUCGUAUUUUAAUUUUGAGGACUCACAAAAAUUUCUCGAAAAUCUUGUAAGAUAUAAAGAAAUAUAGGUUUUUCUUUUUUUAGAAUAUUUAAUUUAGGGAAAAAAUUGUUAUAUGGUGCCGAACAACAACAGUCUGUCCAAUUCACAUUAAGCAUAAUAAUUUCACUAUCAAAUUUGUCUAUAUACUCCAGUAUUAUUGCAAUUUGGAUCAUCUUGAUUUCAUUUCGGCUUAGAUAUCAGUGAAUACCAUGUAUUGGGUUCUAUAUAUUCACAUAUCUAUAGAGAUGGCAUUGCUGAUCCUUUUCUCUGUUUUAUACUAUGCCUUCUAAUAAUUUAAAAAUUUUGCCCAAAAGAAAAAUUAAAAAAAAUGUGAAGAUUGUUUAUUUAUUCAAUAGUGCAUGAGCAAGUACAAUUUUAGAAACCAGCUGGAAAGCCUCCUUUUCGUGGGUCACUUACACCCACAAGCUCUCCAACACCUUCAUUUUCCUUUAUAGACUCAAAUUCUUGAACUAUGAACUGGCAAAUUGUUCCACCAGCCAUGCUCUCCAGCACAUGGCCCUUCUUUCGAAGGGAUGCCCUGAUAUUCCCCGGAAUCUCAAAGUGGUCGCCGAUCACUGUUGUCCAGUUCUCGUAGUACACUAUGUUCGGUAUCAGCUAGGUAAAACAGAAGAGGAACACAAAAGAAAUUAAUGCACGAAAUGAACAUUGAAUUAGAUUUUGAGAUUAAGAGCCUCAAUGUCACUUAGAAAUGAAUUUGAGAGAUCGAGAUUCGAACUUUAACUUAUAUGCGCUAGUAUUUAGUAGUUAAGAAAUUAAAAUUUAAUAUGGAUAAAAACUUGCACAGGUUAAAGUAUCCUUUAAAAGCAAAGCUUAUGUAAGCUCUAAGAGAGAAUCUUAAUUCAUAUCUGAGAGGGAAAAGAGAAACAUACCUGAUGAUAGACCCUUGGAGCCAUGACAGCAGAGAGAGGAUCCAUUCCCCGGACAAAAUGGUUCAAGAGAACCCCUGUAAUCCCGCCUAUAAUAUUGGCUCCGCCGCUGGCACCUAACACAGCUAUCAGUUUCUCAUCCUGCACAACAGCACAAGCAUUGCGGUCUUUAAUAAGUUUUCGUUGUUAAAAUCAAUGCCAAUUUGAGCAGAAAGAUAAGGUAACAUAUAUACCUUCAAUACGAUAGUAGGUGUCAUGGAUGAUAAUGGCCUCUUCCCCGGUCUAAUAAAGUUAGCAGGUGCUGGUGGUGGAAGAUUUUUGCUGCCAUUCAUAGGCAUGGAGAAAUCAUCCAUUUCAUUGUUCAGGACUAUUCCUGUACUUGGUGACAGAAUUUGUGCUCCGAAGUAUGCAUUCACUGUAGUUGUCAUGGAAACAGCAUUUCUCUCAUGAUCUACAAUCGACAAAUGACUAGUGCCAUGGUCAUGGAUCUGAUUCCACCUUUAAGAAAUCAAGGGAAAGUGGACUUGGUUUAAAUCUGGCUGUUUUUUUUCCAUGAAAUAAUCAAAGCAAUGGUCUAAGCAUGAGAACAAAAUAGAAGUUGUCAUAGCAAUGUAAGAUUGUAUAACUGGAUAAAUUUUGAUCUACAAUCGACACAUGACUGCCCAUGAGUUUUGAGCUGUGAAACUCAUGGGCAGUAAAUUUUGAAGACUUAUCAUUAUACACUAGAUCAAUUUGUUGCGUCUAUGUACUCUAUUUCGUAUUACUUGACUUCACUGCAAUUAAAUGCUCAAUCUUCCACCUAGGAUAUUUAGAACUGGAUUAAUUGACAUAUGUUGAACAAAAGGUCGUUACAAGUGCUGCGGAGUGACCACAACAUGACCAAGGUUACAGAACACUUAAAUUAAAACCUUCAAGGUCCCCCUCAUCAACAUAAAUCCUCUGCUCAUAGGCACAUGUAUGUGAAACGAAUGUUCAGUUUUGGGUAACAGAGAAAUGAAUGAAGCAUAAAUAAAGCAAAAUGAAAGCAAUUUACCUGCCACCAUAGUGCCUGGGAUCAAAAGUCAUAUUAUCGUAAAUAGUUUUCUUCAGUGUGCGUGCAAACUUAGGAGAGAGCAUAUCGGAUACAACUUCAGAAACAUUAACGUAUUCAGGAUCACCAAGAUUCAUCCUCACAGCAAAGCCAUGUUUGAGAGCUUCUAUUUGGCGGUGGAUCCCAAGGGAGCCGGAUAAACCUGAAGGGACUUCAUAUUGAGCAAGAAUGUUUAGCACCUGCGGCAGUAGAAAUGAAAAGGCUCUGUUAUUGUUAACCAUUUCAUAUGAAACACAAGGUAAAGCAAUCAAAGGGAUACACUUACAAGCAUCAUUGUAGCACCGCCGGAAGAAGGGGGUGGCAUGCUAAUUAGUUUAAGGCCCAGAAUGUUAGCAGUGAUCGGUUCUCUCACUUUAACUUCAUAUCUCUGCAAAUCCUUAAUUGUCAAUAUUCCUCCAGCCUUCUGAAUAUCUCUGACUAAAUUAAAACCAACCGAUCCAUUAUAGAAGGCUUUCAAGCCAUAUUUUGAAAUUUUUCUCAGCGUCUCUGCUAGUUUUUUGUUGCGGCAGAUAUCGCCAAGCUGCAAGAUGUCGCCAUUUGAUGUAAAUACAUCCCUUAGUCCCUCAUCUGCUAAGAUCCCAGAUUUAGUGCUCUGCAUUUGCAUGUAAAGGUAUGGAGAAACCUUGAAUCCCCCACGAGCAAGAGCCUCAGCUGGCCGUACAAGCCUUCUCCAUGGAAGCUUCCCAUGUUGUUCCCAAGCUUUGAAAAGGCCUGCAAGGCCACCUGGAACGGCUACAGAGAGGAUGCCACUUCUCUUCAGAGUAUCAUUGCCGCCAUACAUAUUCUGAAGAUAGAGCAACAGAAACAUAUAAUUUAAUACAAUUCUGUUGAGCAAUAUAAGCUUCAGAGGACACAUCAAUGUUUAACAUGAGUACCUCGGAAGCCUGCGCUGGGGCAGUUUCUCUCAUGUCUAAUGCUUGUGCCUUCCCAUCGGAUUGCCUAAUCAGCAUAAAGGAUCCUCCACCAAUGCCACUCGAUGCUGGACUAACAACUCCCAAACAGAGAGCAACAGCGACAGAUGCAUCAACGGCAUGACCUCCUGCUUUAAGCACAUCCAUGCCUAUUUUGGAACAUCGACCAUCAUCAGUGGCAACAACACCAUGGUGUGCAACAAUCACCUCGCGUCUGUGUUUGUUGGAGCCACCAAGACCAUCAAUACUUGAGGUAGAAGCCAACAGAGAAACGAAGAGCAACGUAAUGGCAGGCCAUGACAAUGCCAAAGCUGCAAAAACAACAUGAAGUUCAAAACUUUUUUUAUCACUCCAUUUACAUCUCAAAAUGUAAUUUAAGGAAAAUGGGGCAAAAUUACAGACUACUAACAACAAGAAACCUAAAUCAGAGGAAACAGAAACAGAUAAGAAAGUUUCAGAACACACGAUGUUAGCACACCAGGAGGCAUAUGCAAAAUCAUAAUGUAGAGCUAAAAUCCCAAAGAUUUAAUCGAACCCUUUACAAUUGAGUCCAUAAUUGCAUCGAAUUCAAUCGAUAAUCUUCAUUGAUAAGUAUCCAACAUCCUAUCAUAUAAGCAUCAUAAAGGUUAUCACUCACUCAAGCACUUGAUUUGAAUCUGUCAAAAUAUUAACUGAAACACCAAAUAAAAAUUGUCUAAUUACUCACAUGAUAUGAACUCAUUACAAUUUAUGCAUCAAUAAUCAACGUCAAAACCUUCAUUAAAGCAAUAAAAUCACUCUAAUGGCAUUAACAUGAACUCAAUAAAAUCUUUGCAAGCAUAGAAUACAUUAAAAACCCAGAUCAUGAAUUAGCAUUACAAAACCAAAAAAAAACAAAAAACAAAAAAUAAAAUAUUAAGUUCAGAACAAGCAAAACUCACUGGAUAUGAACUCCUUCAAAUUUCUAAACAUCAACUUAGUUUCCAGAAUAAAGAUGAAAAAUGAAUGUAUUUACAUGAUUCCCUUCCACACAAACUAAUAAACCAAACCCUGCUUCUGCUUCCAUGAUUGCCUGGGAUUAUUGAAGGAAUAGAAGAUUGCACGCGCAGCACUAUUUUGUACAUGUGGCAAUGACCUAUUGGCCAGACGCUUUUCAUAUGAGGUGGGAGAAAUAGAGGCCUUAUGGUCCUGGCUAACGGGUAAUAUUACCAAAGAAAGAUUCAGCCUUUUUGAUGUUGAAGAGUCGAUAUAUUUUCAAAGUCACUUGCCUUUUCUCUUCUUACACUUUGUGAAGUGAGCUGGUAGUGGUAAUAAUGCUAGUGGAUUUUUCAGUUGAAAAGAAAAAGUUGCAAUGAAUGGAUGUUGGUUUCAAAACAGAAUUACCUUAACAAUAUCUUCCAUUAGAAAAGUAGAUUCUCUUUUAUAUCCGGAAUUAACAUGAAGCCUUAAUAGAGCCGUAAAGUUAAAACAAGCAAAGUUGAACUUUUCCAUAUAACAACUAGAACUAUAAGUCUAUAAUUGUGUGCUUGAAAAUUUCCUUUUCUUCUUGUAUAAUCCGAUCCAAUGUAUUUAGAACAAAAAGAAGAGACAGUAAUUCAAGCAAUGAUAUUGCUGGCACCCAGUUUCAAAUCAAGAAUUCCCACAUUUUUUGUGUGUCACUUUCAUUCUCGGUAAAUGGCACAUCAAGUUGAUUGUAAGAAGCCACAAAUUUUUCCUGGCGAUCUAAACCACUGUAAAAACUACACAAUCCCCCCUCCCCCCCCAACUGAGACACAAACUUUGUAUAAUUAACACUUUAAAUAUCUAUAAAAUAAAAAAGAAAAUUAAAAAGUUUUAUGAAGCUUCAAAAAUAUAUGAGAAAAGUCAAAAGUUCUUACAUGACAUAUUUUUUCUUGCUCUUCUCCUCCUUUUCCUUCUUUCUUCGGCUUGUACAAUGAUGAAUUAAUUGAUAAAGACAUUGAAACGAGCAGCAUUUUAUAUUAUUAAUCCUGGUUACCUCCUUGAAAUAAUAAACAAAGACAAUACCCCCAUUUGUCUAGCUUUCAGUUGUUGAGUAUUGAAUAUGAAGCCCCAAAAUGUUGCAUAAGCUCCAAAAGUGAUUUGAAUAAUAGAAUAUUUGUCGCCAGCAUGGGUUGUAUUAUAAAAAUAUUUACUGGCAUCGAUUUGUUUUACUCGACUGCACACGUCCUGUUGUUCAUUGUUCCCACAUCCCUAACGGCUACUUUAGACUAAAGGGUUCCAGCAAUUUGUCUUGCACUACAUCAGAAAGAUCCUGUAUAGAAAUAGUUCAAAAUUAGUGUCAAUUUAUAUAAUUGCAUAUUCAUAUUUUUCUCACAUUAGUAGUCAUAAAUGAACAUUUCAAAUUGGAAUAUCCUUAAGAAUUUUUCGCUUCAGAGUUCAGAGUGAUGGUGGACUAUAGAAAUCGUCAGGCAAUCGGCAAGCGAAGAGCAAUUGAUAGAUAUUUGAUAUGUUGAGAGCCCAAUUCAUGAGUGAAUAUUAUGCGAAGUUAUAUACGAGUUAUAUGCCGAUCACAUGGGUAGUGUGAAAUACUCAUUUUUUUGUAAGAAAAGUGAGAAAAUAAUAUGUAGACUACUCUCAUAAAUUGAACCUAUUUCGAUGUGUUUUUGUGAAUUUUUAGAUAUCUAAGAACCAAUUAAUACAUACACGAACUUUAAAGGUCAAAUUUCUAUUAAAACAUAUUAUUUUUAUUUAAUUUUGAAACAAAAUCUUGAGAGUAAGACGUAUAUAAAUCAGUUUCUAUAAAAUUAUUGUACUAAAUUCAUGUUUGAAUCGGUUAUAUAUAAAUGGGUAUCUUUCCUGUCCCACCUUUCAUGUUUUAAUUUUGGAAAAAAAAAAUUGUGGUAACAAAUAAUCAUCAACUUCGGGAAAAAAAAAAGUUUAUCACCGUAUAUAUAAAAUGCAAAUUAAUAUCAUCUUCGAUUUCAUAGCCAAAAAUCCCAAAUGUGAUUGAUUCGGAAUUUCGGACAAGCUUCAGCUUUCUUGAUGUUGGUGACCCAUGGGCCAGAAUCUUAUCCCAGGCCUAGGGUAGCGAGAGAAAUAGUGGUUCAUGGGCCUCGAUACCUCUGAUCCAUCAAGAAACCAUACCCAACUCAAUGGGCUGAAAUUCAAACACAAGGAUUUAUUGUUUUAUUUAUGACUAAUGAUAAAUAUUCCAAAUUUUUAUUUAUGGUACAUGAUCGAAUUUAACAAAAUGACGAUGAGACAUUGUCAUUGAAAUGAUGUGGUGACUUGCACAGUGCAUAUGAAUUCAAUCUUCUGAUUUGGGUUCCAGGAGACCGAAAUGAGCCAUCAAUACCCAAACAAAAGUAAAAAGCUCCCCGCCAUUACUAACUUGUUCGACAUGUGUCCUUGUUGCUCUGCUGUGACAUGCUGCAUAUGACAUCAAUUCCACCCACACUUUGCUCACUAUCUCCCAUUUCUUAUCCUUUAAAUAAUCAAGACUUUGGAGCCUAUCGACCAUCCUUUUUGCUUGAUCCAACGGCAUGGAAUUCACAGAUGAAUUCAGUUUUGCUCUCGUCGCCGGUGAAAUUUUUCCUUGAAAACAAAACUUGGCCUCAUCACGGAGAGUUUCCAAUCCAACAUUCUCCUUGGAAUUUAGCAUGGUAGGCUUCAAAACUAAAAGAUACAACAUGUAGUCCGAGAGGAUCUUGCUGAAUUCUCUAGCAUUGUAAGUCUCUUCAUCCGAAAUUGCUUCUUUAGCAGUUUUUUCGUAAAGGAAUUCUGUAGCAAUGUGCCAGAAUAUAAUGCUUUUACCAAAACUAAAAUUAACUUUUUCUACGAAUUGGAUGAGAUCACAAUUUGUAUCCAUUUCCUUCAGAGUACAAUCACCUUUAGCUGAAAAUAAUUUCCGCAAACCUUUUCUGAUAUCCGCCUCGAGAUCAUAUUCAAAAUUAGGAAUUUUAAUAGUUCCUACCUCUGGAUCAUUUAUCUCUGGAUCCUGUCCAGACUCUGUUUUUCUUCUAAUUUCAUCCCCAUUCUUAGAUUUUCGUUUAAUUUCAUUAAAUAUAAACACCCACAAUUCUUUAGUUAAUGGCUCCUGGGACAGAGAUGUUUUUAUUCUUAUCUCAUUGGCAAAAUCAGCUAGGCCGAAACAAGCAAUGAUUUUGUCUAUUUGCAGAAAUUUGAUGAUCCUGCAAGUAGUAAUGGCUAUGUGCUGAAAGAUUUUAUCGAUGCCGUACCUCUUGCUUUGAUAAGCCUUUAUGACGCUUAGUCCUGAGACAGAACCAGACCAUCUGCGAAGCAGGAAAGGAGUAGCAAACACAAACACCUCGUGCUUGCCACCAAUGCGUGAUUGUUGCCACUUUGAGCUCUUGAGAUUGAGAAACCACCGGAUAAUACGAGCUAUGCAGGAUUUGUGAUGAUUCCGGAGAGCAACAAACGUCCACUCGGAGAAAUUGCCCAUGAAGAAAGAUAUGACGUCGAGGGCUAUAGCACCCAAGAACAGAGUGUAUGUAACUCCAAGAUCAAAAUCAUUGAGACCAUGCUUCUCAACUUGGAAAUAGAAAACUGAAAGGGCAGCCACGAGUGAACCAAAACAUAUGAACCGCAAGAUUACAGAAUGUGUUACCUGAAUCUUGGUGUGCAAAACUUCAUAAACCAAGUUGAGUUCAACCUCAAUUAUUCUCAAGGCAUCUUCUGGACCAAAAAUACCAAAUGAAGGACCUUCAAAAGGAAAAUCAGUGAAGUUGGAGAAGAGAUCGACAACUAUCCCUCUGAAAAUUUGGAAGUAUUCGCAAGCCACCUGGAGAUAAUCCCCACCUUGGUUCACCUUAACAUCUUUUGCAAGUUCAAUGAUAGUAGAUUCCCGGAAUUUUUCCCCGCUUGCAAGAUACAUGGCAAGAGUCCUCUCAAAGCACUUUAUAAUUCCCGCAAUAAACACGAGAAUUGUUGGGACAAAAAGCUUGUUUCCUGGAAGCGACAGGAGGAAGACGUAAAAAGUGAAACCAGCCUGGAAUAUGAGUCCAAACAAUUGCCUGAGCCAGAGUUCGUUAUCUUCGAGAGCAAAUGCAGUUAUGGUGUCUGGACCACCGAGGUGUAGCAGCAGAAAUGGAGCCCAAAGUACUAGAAGCUCAUUGCUCUUCGUAGGAGUUUGAGAAUUUGUUGCUCUUUCAGCUAUGAGUCCGAUGGCAAAAGUAGCAGCCGAGUCUGCGAGCAAGUAAGCUGACCAGAUUAGCAGGAUUAUGAGUUUAUAGCCCAUGCCUUUUCGGAGGGGAGCAAGCAGAAUCAAGACGGUUUGCAAUAAAAGACUGAACAAGAUUACACCUCGUAUGUUCCAGUUAUCCCAUGUCUUCUUGACACUUUCAGGGAUUGGAUUAACCAUUUUCUCUCCCUUUUGCUGAAAAAAACUUUUAGUGUAAACAGUUGCUAUAGUGUUGGUGAGUUCUUGAAAGCUGGAGGAGCAUUUGUAUAUUUGUUCUGUGGUGUUACUACCAUUAGUGUAGAAGGAUGAAGUCAAGUCAAUUUUUUUUUCAAAUUUAAAUUUUAUUGUUUUAUGUAAAUUUCAAUGGAUUGGGGAAGUGAAAGAGGACGUUUGUGAUGUACAUUGAAGCCAGACGAGUGAGUAAAGUGAAAGAGGACGUUUCCCUUUCAAUGCUGAUGACGUGGAUGGACUUCACAAGUAAUGACAUAUGCCAGGGAUUUGUCCGUGGUAUACCCCCAAAAAAGGGUAUUUAUCUAAAAAUACCCCCAUACUCAAAUAUUCUUCGUAUGUGUCUUUUCUAAUAUGCAGUUACGAAAUUACCCUAAUGAAAAACCUAAAUCAACUAAACUACCACAACUAAUCAUGUAACAAAAUCCCUAAUUUUUUCUCAUGAGCAGCUUCUUCUUCAGCCCGUUCUUCUGGAUUUCUCCUCCUCUAUUUUACAAAUCCCUGUCAUUUUACAACUAUUCUUCUACACACUCUCGCCUCUCUACAAACCAGUAGCUCAGCUGGUAUUGAAAUGUGUGCAAAGUCUUGUGCCAAAAGCUUAAUUUUCAUAUCUCGCAAAAGUCAGAUGACAAGACUUCACUUGAUUAGGCUUAUGCUUGUCUUUUACCUUGCAUUAAUUUUCAUCUCUUGCAAAAGUCAGAUAAUAAGGCUUCACUCGAUUAGACUAGUAAUUGAUUUAACAUAUUCAUUUUCUGAUUAAUUGUCAUCCAAUUUGUUUUGCACACACAUCGGGUAGAAUUCAUCCAAAAAAAAUGGCUUGUAAGGUGCGAGAGUCCGAAUACUUAUAAACCUACACACCAAGCCUUAGCUUAGCAAUAUGACACUCAAUUAUAGUUCAUAACUGAUAUGCACGGUGGCCAUAUAUUGGGGCCGGGUGACUUCACAGAUUUCAUACAAGGUGAAUAGCAGGCCUUCUUCUCAACUUACUUCGUCUGUGCAGAGAGAUUUCAUCAAAAAAUUGGUAAAACUCAUUCAAAAGACCCACUUAUGAUGUUAGAAAGACCAAAUACCCUAUAAAAUGCUUAAUAAAGUGGUCGCACAAUUAUUCUUGUGUAUACGGUACCAAUGAAAUAGAAAACAGGAUAAACCUUAAUAUCUCUAGCUACUCAGUCCAAUAGACAGUAUAAUCUAAAGAUGUCGUGUUGUUGUAUUGUUACACUGGUGAGACAAUUGCUGCAUGUUGCAGACAUGAUACCUCUAGUACUUCAAAAGAUAGCAUAUCACGAAACACAUCCAGACUGUAGUGAGGUUAUUUCGAAAAUUCCUUGGCCCAUUGUGCGAGUACGUGACAUCUCGCAACAAAAAUCAGGGUAUGUACUAUAUACAUAAUGUGUUUUGAACAUAAUAAUAAGAAUGAUGAUUUUUAACAAUUGAUUUAUAUGAAUUUUUUUAGUGGUGACUGUGGAGCAUUUUUGUUGCGGUACUUGGAGGUCCUAGCCCAUGGACUUGAUGUCAAUUCAUACUGCCAACAAGAUCAUGUUACACAAUUUCGACAAGCCUUGGUUGUAAAAUUAUUUGGGCAUAGGUCAUGGAAAAAAACUUUGUAGUGUCAUUUUUUGGAUUAUGAGAUGUAAUAGUUGUAAUGAGGAUGUUGUUGAUAUUUGAUGUCAUUAAAGACAAUUGACAGCAUUAAUAUAUUUUAUUUCUUUGUUAUUUAUAUUAAUGAUAGAUAAGAUAGUUUGCACAAUAUAUGCACAGGGAAUAAACUGUAAGAGAAUACACGACUGCAGUCGGGUAUUUGCACAGAUACAUGACUACAGUCGGGUAUUUGGAAAUAAACAUAAUACGCUCUGUGACAAAAUACUCGACUGCAGUCGGGUAUUUGCACAGAUACACGACUGCGGUCGGGUAUUUGGAAAUAAACAUAAAAAGCUCUGUGACAAAAUACUCGACUGCAGUUGGGUAUUUGCACAGAUACACGACUAUAGUCGGGUAUUUACAAAUAAAAAUGACAAGCUCUCUGUGACAAAAUACUCGACUGCAGUCGAGUAUUUGCACAGAUACACAACUAUGGUCGAGUAUUUAGAAAUAAAUAUGACAAGCUCUCUGUGACAAUCGGGUAUUUGCACAGAUACAUGACUGUAGUCGAGUAUUUAGAAAUAAACAUGACCAGUUUUUUAACAGCCAAAAUACACGAUUGUACUUGGGUAUGUGCACAGAAUAAAAACUCUUUUCAAUCAUUCAUUAUAUUGAUGACACAAUCAAUAUAGAUUUUAAACAUAUCAAACUUCAAAUAAAUGAAACUAACUAUAGUCCGGUUGCCUAUCAAAUAACACAAAUCCAAUAGUUAUUGAAAUCGUAAAUAAGUCGUAAUACAAUAGAAGUUGUUUAACAUUCAUCAUAAAUUUUUGGCAUUUUCAACCAAAACACUCGGUCCAUAUUUUAUAAGCUUCUGGUCGCCUCCCUUCAAUACUUGUUCUUAGAAAGUCACACAAACAUGUUUAUUCAUCUGCGAAACAAAAAGGUAGAAAUUUAUCACUAAAUAUGAAAGAUAUUAAAAAAAUUAAAACAACAAAAAAUAACAAGUAUAUAAGGUUCAUAGUAGUCGUGUAACUUAUUAACAAUUAUAGUAUGUAAGUUUAUACAUACACGCUAGUAGUCGUGUAACUUAUUAACACACACGACUAUAGUCUAGUAAUAGUAAAAGGAUAUAUAUAGUGAAAAAUAUAUAUUUUUUGAACCAAUAGAAUGAUAAGGUGUCAUAAUAAUUGAAAUUUUUUGCACAUUUUCACGACUACAGUCGUGUAAAUACAUACAUACACGACUGCUGUCGUGUAUGUCGGGUGCAGAAAAAAAUUUGACAACAACUUCAGAUUUUAACGAAUGUAGUUAUAAAAUCCAUCAAAUAACAGUCAUAUGAUACAAAUGUAAUGAAAAUAUGAGUUGCUUUAAUGUUUAUCACAAACCAAACAAAACUCUAAAAAUAAUAUAAUGUCAACAAAUUGAAUAGAUAGCCCAAAAUAAAAUAAAAAAGUUUCAAAUAUUUUAAUCAUGGGAUGAAUAAUACACCCAGCUGCAAACAAACUCAGUGCAUUAGCUGUUUGUGAGUGAUUUUGAGUGUGGUGUGAGUUUUUGUAUAGGUGAUAAAUAUGUGAGAAACAAAGAGUGUUAUGAGUUGUGUGUGUGUUUUAUAUUUUUCUUUAGGGAUAUUUUAGACAAUGUACCACAGAAAAAGACAUACUUAGAUAAUUUUCAAACAUAGAGUAUAUUUAACUAAAUAUACUACUUUUAAGACAUAUUUAAUUAAAAACCCCGACAUAUGCCCAAAGAACUGCAUGGAUCUCCGAAGCACGAACUUCGCUGAGAUUGAAAACGACAUAAAUAGGUACAAAAUUAGACAUAAUUCCUGGGCUGAGCCCGAAAGAAAACAAGUAAUAAUUAAUACCAGCAGCUUCUUGUAAAUAGUAAGUAUAGAUGUGUGCAUUUUUAAUAUGAAAACAUGAUUGGUAAAAAUCAGUGGAAACACGUUUGAUAAGUUAGUUCAAAAUAAUAUUAUUACAGUGUGCUACUCAAAGAUUCAAAAAAUAUAAAUAAAAAUUUGAUGAUCCUGUAAGUAGUAAUGGCUAUGUACUGAAAGAUUUUAUCGAUGCCGUACCUCUUGCUUUGAUGAGCCUUUAUGACGCUUAGUCCUGAGACAGAACCAGACCAUCUGCGAGGCAGGAAAGGAGUAGCAAACACAAACACCCCGUGCUUGCCACCAAUUCGUGAUUGUUGCCACCUUGAGCUCUUGAGAUUGAGAAACCACCGGAUAAUACGAGCUAUGCAGGAUUUGUGAUGAUUCCGGAGAGCAGCAAAUGUCCACUCGGAGAAAUUGCCCAUGAAGAAAGAUAUGACGUCGAGGGCUAUGCCACCCAAGAACAGGGUGUAUGUAACUCCAAGAUCAAAAUCAUUGAGACCAUGCUUCUCAACUUGGAAAUAGAAAACUGAAAGGGCAGCCACGAGUGAACCAAAACAUAUGAACUGCAAGAUUACAGAAUGUGUUACCUGAAUCUUGGUGUGCAGAACUUCAUAAACCAAGUUCAGUACUUGAGUUCAACCUUAAUUAUUCUCAAGCCAUCUUCUGGACCAAAAAUACCAAAUGAAAAAGGUUCUUCAAAAGGAAAAUAAGUGAAGUUGGAGAAGAGAUCGACAACUAUCCCUCUGAAAAUUUGGAAGUAUUCGCAAGUGUAGUGAAUUGACCUGCUUACUAACCUAGCAAGAUCAUCCACUGCCCAGGACCUUGAACAAGAUUAGUCAUGUUGCUAAUUGACAAGACUCAAUCCAGAAACCUCACAGCAAUAAUCUCAAAAUCCCAAUCAAGAUCAAAGACAAAUAGAUUGAACAAGAAUCAACACACAAAGUAACAGGAAACAGAGAGUUACGUGGUUCAGUUGUACCAAUGGUGGCACAACCUACAUCCACGGGAGAAGCCUUUGAUUAGUCUUUUAUUGGUUAUCAAUAGAGAAUCAAAUACACAGAGAUACAAGAGAAUACAGAGAAUCCUCUAGAAUCAAUCCUCUCUUCUCUCUUUUUCCUAUCACUCUAGAAAUACCCUUCUGAAGCGGCUUCGUUACUCAGCUUAUAACGGCAUCAGUAACAAGAACCUCAAACCCAGAUUGCCCAGCUUCCCUACACGUGCAUAACAGAAUUUAACGAACUGAACUUAGGCUGCUCACAUGCUUCUCACAUGCGUCACUUAACGGAUGCCUCUAAACGACAUACUUUGGCUGUCGUUUUGAAAGCUAUCAGUUUAUAGGCGAAACACGUGCUUCCUCAUGUGACUUAAGUUUAUAACAUCCAUGUGAAAAACGCUGCCGUUUUAAACCUUCUGAGUUUGAUUCACACUUCAGAGCAAGCCAGCUGGAGAUAAUCCCCACCUUGGUUCACCUUAACAUCUUUUGCAAGUUCAAUGAUAGUAGAUUCCCGGAAUUUCUCCCAGCUUGCAAGAUACAUGGCACGAGUCCUCUCAAAGCACUUUAUAAUUCCCGCAAUAAACACGAGAAUUGUUGGGACAAAAAGCUUGUUUCCUGGAAGCGACAGGAGGAAGACGUAAAAAGUGAAACCAGCCUGGAAUAUGAGUCCAAACAAUUGCCUGAGCCAGAGUUCGUUAUCUUCGAGAGCAACUGCAGUUAUGGUGUCUGGACCACCGAGGUGUAGCAGCAGAAAUGGAGCCCAAAGUACUAGAAGCUCAUUGCUCUUCGUAGGAGUUUGAGAAUUUAUUGCUCUUUCAGCUAUGAGUCCGAUGGCAAAAGUAGCAGCCGAGUCUGCGAGAAAGUAAGCUGACCAGAUUAGCAGGAUUAUGAGUUUAUAGCCCAUGCCUUUCCGGAGGGGAGCAAGCAGAAUCAAGACGGUUUGCAAUAAAAGACUGAACAAGAUUACACCUCGUAUGUUCCAGUUAUCCCAUGUCUUCUUGACACUUUCAGGGAUUGGAUUAUCCAUUUUCUCUCCCUUUUGCUGAAAAAACUUUUAGUGUAAAGAGUUGAUAUAGUGUUGGUGAGUUCUUGAAAGCUGGAGGAGCAAUUGUAUAUUUGUUCUGUGGGGUUUCUACCGUUAGUGUAGAAGGAUGAACAUUAGAGCCAAGUCAAUCUUUUUUUAUUUUUAAUUUUAAUUUUAUUGUUUUAUGUAGAUUUCAACGGGGUGGUAAAGUGAGAGGACGUUCGUGAUGUCCACUGAAGCCAGACGAGUGAGUGAAGUGAAAAAGGAUGUUUCCCUUUUAAUGCUGAUGAUGUGGAUGGACUCCGCCAAGUAAUGACAUAUGCCCAAAGAACUGCAUGGAUCUUCAAAGCACGAACUUUGUUGAGAUUGAAAACGACAUAAAUAGGUACAAAAUUAGACCUAAUUCCUGGGCUGAGCCCGAAAGAAAAAAAGUAAUAAUUAAUACGAGCAGCUGGCUGUAAACAGUGAAUAUAGAUAUGAAUAUAUGCAUUUUUAAUAUGAAACCAUGAUUGGUAAAACCAGUGCAAAUUAAGGAUAACAAAAGGCACUGCCUGCAGCCGGUUUGAUAUUAUCAAACUUUUCCCUACACGAAAUUUAAAUUACUAAAUUCGCAUCCGCACUCGUUACAGGUUUUGACAAUUAUCAAAUUUACAAUGGUACUCAAUAGAUUUUUUUAUGAGUUUUCACAUUUAAAAACCACAAAUGCCAUGAAAAAUUCAUGGAUUUGCGGCUGCGGCUCACAUGUGAAAAGAAAGUGGGUGUGCUGUUGCUGCUCAUGAGUGAAAAUGAAAUAGUUUGGAAGGCUAGGUUUUACGGCUGCUGCUCACAAGUUAAAAGAAAAUAGUUUGGGUUUCCUUUCAGUUAAGUUAUGAGUUGCAACUUGUACACACAACACAUGACAUGUUUACACUUUAUAUUUAUUUAAUUUAUAUAUUUUUAGCUUUAAUUAUUUUUCAAUUAAAAUUACAUUAAAAAUAUUUGGAGAAAAAACUACGGGUUUGGCGGAUAUCCAUCGGAUAUUUGGUUAAUACCAAACCCACCCGCAACGUAAUGUGGAUUUCAAUUUCUAAUAUCAAGUCCGCCCGCAACCCGUAAAAUUACCCGCAACGGAUGGAUUUUAUAGAUAAAUUUAGACAAAUUUAUAAAUUUGCAGGUAACAUUGCCAUCCCUAAUGAAAACACGUUUGAUAAUUUAGUUCUAAAUAAUAUUAUUACGGUGUGCCGCUAUAAGAUUCAAAAAAUUAAAAAAAAAAAUUUGUUAAUACAAUAUCUUUGGCAUCGGAACAUGAAGUAGAUACUAGAUAAUAUUAUCUAUUAUGGGGCCCAUGUGAAUUAUCGUGCACUUAAAACGAACAAGCAUUAAUUUCGUUUUUUCUUUAGAGGUGGGCCUAAUUAAAAAAAAAAACACAAUAAAUUUUUCGUUUCAUUUUCAAACAUCAAAUAUAGUAACAUUUGUCUGAAUUAAUCUGUACACAGACAAUUAUCAAGGAUACAAGCUCGUGCAACAGAUGUACUUCUACAAAAAAAUAUCUCUACCAAUAAAUAUCCUGGAGAUAUCUGAUUUAAGUUCCACAAGAUAUCUGCUCGUCUCGUGCGAAGCAUCAUCAUCCUUUAAUUGAUUAGGUCAUUUCAAUUGAUAUAGCAUGAGUUUUUUUCGUUAAGAUCAAGAAGUGGUAGCCUAGCUAAAAUCCUCUUGAUAUGAAUCUAUGAUCAGAAAGAAAACCAUUAUUAUGACAAAAAAUAAUCACAACCACAAUAAAUUUGAAGAUUUGGGUAGACAAACAUCAUGAAAGAGACAAAAUUAUCUUUACACAAAGUAAAAAUAAAUAAAUAAAAUGAACAAAGGACACAAAAUUAACUUAAAAAUUUGCUCCCACUAAUAUUUUGAAAGGAUAUCGACCAUACUUACAUUUAUGUGAUAAAAAAAUUGUCUGCAUCAUGUAAAGACUUGAACUUGUAUACAUAUUACAUAAUGAAAUUGAGGGCACAAGCGAAAACCCAACUCUAGACCAAGACUCGCCUAAUAAAAGAUCGAUCUUUAGGGAAAAAAAGAAGAUGAAAAUGAAGUUAGAUAUUUGGCAUAAGCUCCAAAAGUGAUUUGAAUAAUAGAAUAUUUGUCGCCAGCAUGGGUUGUAUUAUAAAAAUAUUUACUGGCAUCGAUUUGUUUUACUCGACUGCACACGUCCUGUUGUUCAUUGUUCCCACAUCCCUAACGGCUACUUUAGACUAAAGGGUUCCAGCAAUUUGUCUUGCACUACAUCAGAAAGAUCCUGUAUAGAAAUAGUUCAAAAUUAGUGUCAAUUUAUAUAAUUGCAUAUUCAUAUUUUUCUCACAUUAGUAGUCAUAAAUGAACAUUUCAAAUUGGAAUAUCCUUAAGAAUUUUUCGCUUCAGAGUUCAGAGUGAUGGUGGACUAUAGAAAUCGUCAGGCAAUCGGCAAGCGAAGAGCAAUUGAUAGAUAUUUGAUAUGUUGAGAGCCCAAUUCAUGAGUGAAUAUUAUGCGAAGUUAUAUACGAGUUAUAUGCCGAUCACAUGGGUCGUGUGAAAUACUCAUUUUUUGUAAGAAAAGCGAGAAAAUAAUAUGUAGACUACUCUCAUAAAUUGAACCUAUUUCGAUGUGUUUUUGUGAAUUUUUAGAUAUCUAAGAACCAAUUAAUACAUACACGAACUUUAAAGGUCAAAUUUCUAUUAAAACAUAUUAUUUUUAUUUAAUUUUGAAACAAAAUCUUGAGAGUAAGACGUAUAUAAAUCAGUUUCUAUAAAAUUAUUGUACUAAAUUCAUGUUUGAAUCGGUUAUAUAUAAAUGGGUAUCUUUCCUGUCCCACCUUUCAUGUUUUAAUUUUGGAAAAAAAAAAUUGUGGUAACAAAUAAUCAUCAACUUCGGGAAAAAAAAAAGUUUAUCACCGUAUAUAUAAAAUGCAAAUUAAUAUCAUCUUCGAUUUCAUAGCCAAAAAUCCCAAAUGUGAUUGAUUCGGAAUUUCGGACAAGCUUCAGCUUUCUUGAUGUUGGUGACCCAUGGGCCAGAAUCUUAUCCCAGGCCUAGGGUAGCGAGAGAAAUAGUGGUUCAUGGGCCUCGAUACCUCUGAUCCAUCAAGAAACCAUACCCAACUCAAUGGGCUGAAAUUCAAACACAAGGAUUUAUUGUUUUAUUUAUGACUAAUGAUAAAUAUUCCAAAUUUUUAUUUAUGGUACAUGAUCGAAUUUAACAAAAUGACGAUGAGACAUUGUCAUUGAAAUGAUGUGGUGACUUGCACAGUGCAUAUGAAUUCAAUCUUCUGAUUUGGGUUCCAGGAGACCGAAAUGAGCCAUCAAUACCCAAACAAAAGUAAAAAGCUCCCCGCCAUUACUAACUUGUUCGACAUGUGUCCUUGUUGCUCUGCUGUGACAUGCUGCAUAUGACAUCAAUUCCACCCACACUUUGCUCACUAUCUCCCAUUUCUUAUCCUUUAAAUAAUCAAGACUUUGGAGCCUAUCGACCAUCCUUUUUGCUUGAUCCAACGGCAUGGAAUUCACAGAUGAAUUCAGUUUUGCUCUCGUCGCCGGUGAAAUUUUUCCUUGAAAACAAAACUUGGCCUCAUCACGGAGAGUUUCCAAUCCAACAUUCUCCUUGGAAUUUAGCAUGGUAGGCUUCAAAACUAAAAGAUACAACAUGUAGUCCGAGAGGAUCUUGCUGAAUUCUCUAGCAUUGUAAGUCUCUUCAUCCGAAAUUGCUUCUUUAGCAGUUUUUUCGUAAAGGAAUUCUGUAGCAAUGUGCCAGAAUAUAAUGCUUUUACCAAAACUAAAAUUAACUUUUUCUACGAAUUGGAUGAGAUCACAAUUUGUAUCCAUUUCCUUCAGAGUACAAUCACCUUUAGCUGAAAAUAAUUUCCGCAAACCUUUUCUGAUAUCCGCCUCGAGAUCAUAUUCAAAAUUAGGAAUUUUAAUAGUUCCUACCUCUGGAUCAUUUAUCUCUGGAUCCUGUCCAGACUCUGUUUUUCUUCUAAUUUCAUCCCCAUUCUUAGAUUUUCGUUUAAUUUCAUUAAAUAUAAACACCCACAAUUCUUUAGUUAAUGGCUCCUGGGACAGAGAUGUUUUUAUUCUUAUCUCAUUGGCAAAAUCAGCUAGGCCGAAACAAGCAAUGAUUUUGUCUAUUUGCAGAAAUUUGAUGAUCCUGUAAGUAGUAAUGGCUAUGUACUGAAAGAUUUUAUCGAUGCCGUACCUCUUGCUUUGAUGAGCCUUUAUGACGCUUAGUCCUGAGACAGAACCAGACCAUCUGCGAGGCAGGAAAGGAGUAGCAAACACAAACACCCCGUGCUUGCCACCAAUUCGUGAUUGUUGCCACCUUGAGCUCUUGAGAUUGAGAAACCACCGGAUAAUACGAGCUAUGCAGGAUUUGUGAUGAUUCCGGAGAGCAGCAAAUGUCCACUCGGAGAAAUUGCCCAUGAAGAAAGAUAUGACGUCGAGGGCUAUGCCACCCAAGAACAGGGUGUAUGUAACUCCAAGAUCAAAAUCAUUGAGACCAUGCUUCUCAACUUGGAAAUAGAAAACUGAAAGGGCAGCCACGAGUGAACCAAAACAUAUGAACUGCAAGAUUACAGAAUGUGUUACCUGAAUCUUGGUGUGCAGAACUUCAUAAACCAAGUUCAGUACUUGAGUUCAACCUUAAUUAUUCUCAAGCCAUCUUCUGGACCAAAAAUACCAAAUGAAAAAGGUUCUUCAAAAGGAAAAUAAGUGAAGUUGGAGAAGAGAUCGACAACUAUCCCUCUGAAAAUUUGGAAGUAUUCGCAAGUGUAGUGAAUUGACCUGCUUACUAACCUAGCAAGAUCAUCCACUGCCCAGGACCUUGAACAAGAUUAGUCAUGUUGCUAAUUGACAAGACUCAAUCCAGAAACCUCACAGCAAUAAUCUCAAAAUCCCAAUCAAGAUCAAAGACAAAUAGAUUGAACAAGAAUCAACACACAAAGUAACAGGAAACAGAGAGUUACGUGGUUCAGUUGUACCAAUGGUGGCACAACCUACAUCCACGGGAGAAGCCUUUGAUUAGUCUUUUAUUGGUUAUCAAUAGAGAAUCAAAUACACAGAGAUACAAGAGAAUACAGAGAAUCCUCUAGAAUCAAUCCUCUCUUCUCUCUUUUUCCUAUCACUCUAGAAAUACCCUUCUGAAGCGGCUUCGUUACUCAGCUUAUAACGGCAUCAGUAACAAGAACCUCAAACCCAGAUUGCCCAGCUUCCCUACACGUGCAUAACAGAAUUUAACGAACUGAACUUAGGCUGCUCACAUGCUUCUCACAUGCGUCACUUAACGGAUGCCUCUAAACGACAUACUUUGGCUGUCGUUUUGAAAGCUAUCAGUUUAUAGGCGAAACACGUGCUUCCUCAUGUGACUUAAGUUUAUAACAUCCAUGUGAAAAACGCUGCCGUUUUAAACCUUCUGAGUUUGAUUCACACUUCAGAGCAAGCCAGCUGGAGAUAAUCCCCACCUUGGUUCACCUUAACAUCUUUUGCAAGUUCAAUGAUAGUAGAUUCCCGGAAUUUCUCCCAGCUUGCAAGAUACAUGGCACGAGUCCUCUCAAAGCACUUUAUAAUUCCCGCAAUAAACACGAGAAUUGUUGGGACAAAAAGCUUGUUUCCUGGAAGCGACAGGAGGAAGACGUAAAAAGUGAAACCAGCCUGGAAUAUGAGUCCAAACAAUUGCCUGAGCCAGAGUUCGUUAUCUUCGAGAGCAACUGCAGUUAUGGUGUCUGGACCACCGAGGUGUAGCAGCAGAAAUGGAGCCCAAAGUACUAGAAGCUCAUUGCUCUUCGUAGGAGUUUGAGAAUUUAUUGCUCUUUCAGCUAUGAGUCCGAUGGCAAAAGUAGCAGCCGAGUCUGCGAGAAAGUAAGCUGACCAGAUUAGCAGGAUUAUGAGUUUAUAGCCCAUGCCUUUCCGGAGGGGAGCAAGCAGAAUCAAGACGGUUUGCAAUAAAAGACUGAACAAGAUUACACCUCGUAUGUUCCAGUUAUCCCAUGUCUUCUUGACACUUUCAGGGAUUGGAUUAUCCAUUUUCUCUCCCUUUUGCUGAAAAAACUUUUAGUGUAAAGAGUUGAUAUAGUGUUGGUGAGUUCUUGAAAGCUGGAGGAGCAAUUGUAUAUUUGUUCUGUGGGGUUUCUACCGUUAGUGUAGAAGGAUGAACAUUAGAGCCAAGUCAAUCUUUUUUUAUUUUUAAUUUUAAUUUUAUUGUUUUAUGUAGAUUUCAACGGGGUGGUAAAGUGAGAGGACGUUCGUGAUGUCCACUGAAGCCAGACGAGUGAGUGAAGUGAAAAAGGAUGUUUCCCUUUUAAUGCUGAUGAUGUGGAUGGACUCCGCCAAGUAAUGACAUAUGCCCAAAGAACUGCAUGGAUCUUCAAAGCACGAACUUUGUUGAGAUUGAAAACGACAUAAAUAGGUACAAAAUUAGACCUAAUUCCUGGGCUGAGCCCGAAAGAAAAAAAGUAAUAAUUAAUACGAGCAGCUGGCUGUAAACAGUGAAUAUAGAUAUGAAUAUAUGCAUUUUUAAUAUGAAACCAUGAUUGGUAAAACCAGUGCAAAUUAAGGAUAACAAAAGGCACUGCCUGCAGCCGGUUUGAUAUUAUCAAACUUUUCCCUACACGAAAUUUAAAUUACUAAAUUCGCAUCCGCACUCGUUACAGGUUUUGACAAUUAUCAAAUUUACAAUGGUACUCAAUAGAUUUUUUUAUGAGUUUUCACAUUUAAAAACCACAAAUGCCAUGAAAAAUUCAUGGAUUUGCGGCUGCGGCUCACAUGUGAAAAGAAAGUGGGUGUGCUGUUGCUGCUCAUGAGUGAAAAUGAAAUAGUUUGGAAGGCUAGGUUUUACGGCUGCUGCUCACAAGUUAAAAGAAAAUAGUUUGGGUUUCCUUUCAGUUAAGUUAUGAGUUGCAACUUGUACACACAACACAUGACAUGUUUACACUUUAUAUUUAUUUAAUUUAUAUAUUUUUAGCUUUAAUUAUUUUUCAAUUAAAAUUACAUUAAAAAUAUUUGGAGAAAAAACUACGGGUUUGGCGGAUAUCCAUCGGAUAUUUGGUUAAUACCAAACCCACCCGCAACGUAAUGUGGAUUUCAAUUUCUAAUAUCAAGUCCGCCCGCAACCCGUAAAAUUACCCGCAACGGAUGGAUUUUAUAGAUAAAUUUAGACAAAUUUAUAAAUUUGCAGGUAACAUUGCCAUCCCUAAUGAAAACACGUUUGAUAAUUUAGUUCUAAAUAAUAUUAUUACGGUGUGCCGCUAUAAGAUUCAAAAAAUUAAAAAAAAAAAUUUGUUAAUACAAUAUCUUUGGCAUCGGAACAUGAAGUAGAUACUAGAUAAUAUUAUCUAUUAUGGGGCCCAUGUGAAUUAUCGUGCACUUAAAACGAACAAGCAUUAAUUUCGUUUUUUCUUUAGAGGUGGGCCUAAUUAAAAAAAAAAACACAAUAAAUUUUUCGUUUCAUUUUCAAACAUCAAAUAUAGUAACAUUUGUACGAAUUGAUCUGUACACAGACAAUUGUCAAGGAUACAAGCUAGUGCAACAGAUGUAUUUCUACAAAAAAAAAUCUCUACCAAUAAAUAUCCUGGAGAUAUCUGAUUUAAGCUCCACAAGAUAUCUGCUCGUCUCUUUCAAAGCAUCAUCAUCCUUUAAUGGAUUAGGUCAUUUCAACUGAUAUAGCAUGAAUUUUUUUCACAAAGAUCAAGAAACUGUAGCCUAAAAUCCUCUUGAUAUGAAUCUAUGAUCUGAAAGAAAACCAUUACUAUCAUACUAAUAACAAAAAAUAAUCACAACCACAAUAAACUUGAAGAUUUGGGUAGAAAAACAUCAUGAAAGAGACAAAAUUCUCUUUGCACAAAGUUAAAAAAAAAAAGAAAAAAAAAUAAAAUGAACAAAGGACACAAAAUUAACUUAAAAAUUUGCUCCCACUAAUAUUUUGAAAAGAUACCAUACUUACAUUUAUGUGAUAAAAAAUAUCCGCAUCAUGUAAAGACUUGAACUUGUAUGCAUAUUACAUAAUAAAAUUGAGGGCACGAGCGAAAACCCAACUCUAGACCAAGACUCGCCUAAUAAAAGAUUGAUCUUUAGGGGGAAAAAAAAUGAAAAUGAAGUUAGAUAUUUGGCAUGAAUGACGUUAGACAUUUUGCAUCAAUUAUUAACCUGCUUUUGUCUUGGUUGAAAGUGAGUUAUGCAAAUAUAUACAAAAAGAAAGGUUGAAACAUUAACUAUUUUGAUGUUUUCUAACGAUUAAACUUACACUAGGCCAGCAUAUAAAGGAAAAAUAUAAAUCAAUAUUUUUUUAAUGUGCACAUUGCACAAUCAAAUCAUAUACCAGGUCCCAUAAAAGAUAGCGUUCUAGACUUUACCAUGCAGGAUGCCAAAAAUGAUCCAAAGGCUAUCAAGAGAAUUUGUUCAGCUAAAGGCCAGCGACUGAGUGAUAGAGUUCUCCUUUUGUUCACAGUAGGCCUUAGUACCGACGCAUUCUUUUUAAUUUAACUUGGUUUUUCCACACACUAGUGAGUUGGCUCAUUUUUCAUCGAUUAAUUCAGCUACUUAUGAUUUUAACAACAGAUAUUUCUAGAAGCUAAUAAUAUAAGUUACAAAUUAAAAUUUCAACCAAAAAAGAAAAAAUCCUCAAUCUAUCUAUUCCUGUUUUUGUUCUCUCAAAAAUAACAUUCAAGACGCUAAAAUCCAUUGUUUCAAAUUUUUAUAGCAACACAAAAAAUGGUUAAUCCAAUUCUUGAAAGCGUCAAGCAAAUAUCGGAUAACUGGAACAUACGAGGUGUAAUCUUGUUCAGUCUUCAUUACAAACGAUCUUGAUUUUGUUUGCUCCUCUCCAAAAAGGCACCGAUAAUAAAGUGAUAAUCUCGGUAAUCUGUUCAGUGUACUUGCAAAAGAUAUUUCGGAGAAGAAGCAUAAGGAGCUUUUAGCAUUUUGGUUUCCAUUUAUGUUGUUCCUGUUAGAUUUUUAAUUUAGAAUUGUUGGACCCUUAAUUUAAUGUUGCGUUUAUCUGUGAAUAAUUAUGUGUUGUGAACUGUCAUAUAAGGAUAAGCCUAAUUAAAAGUAAUCCAUUAAGAUUUUUAGUAAUAUGAGCUUAAUGUAUCUCAUAGAGUGUGGAGUUUUAAUGUGUAAAGACUUAAGUGUAAUUUUUAUUUCUAUGAUAGGCUAAAAUAAGAAUACUUAAAAACAAUAGGAAAAGUUGUCAAUAUAAGUGGUCAUGGUCUCCAGGUCACACGUAUCUUUUUAUUUUUUCUGACAUUCCAUUAUUAGAGAGAGAGAGAAUAUAGAGAAAAUUAAAGGAUUAUCUAUGAGAACAUGUUGAUCUAGAAAGCCAACCACACUACUCCGAAGAGCAAUUAAGCACUAUAUUCAGGUAAGAUUCUGCAUAUUUUAUUAUUAAUUUUUGGUGAUACAAAAUGAAUGUUCUUGAAUUAUAGGCGAUGUUUUUCACUAAAGGAUUUUUUGUUCUAACACGUGCUAUCAGAGCCUCUUCAUAUUGAAUCAUUGAUAAUUAAAUUUAUUUUUGUUUAAUAAUUAAAUUUUUGAUGUUCUCAAAUUUAAUAAUACUGGAAUUAUUAAAAUUAUUGAGUUUGAAAAUAAAUUGAGAAUUGAAAUAUUUUUUGGCGUUCUUGAAUCUAAUAAUUCCUAAUCAAAUUUGAGGUUGACUUCAGCUUUCUUGUUGUUGAUGACUCAUGGGCUAGAACCUUAUCCUGGGCCUGGAGUAGUGAUAGAAGUAGUAUUCAUGGGCCUAGAUAACUCUGAUCCAUCUAGAAACCACAUCCAACCCAACUGGCUGAAAUUCAAACACGAGGAUUUAUUUAUGACUAAUGAUAAGUAUCCUAAAUUUGUGUUCAUAGUACACGAUCGAGUGCAGCAAAAUGAUGAUGAAACAUUGACAUUGAAAGGAUGCAGUGACUUUGCACAACACAUAUGUGUUCAAUCUUCUGAUUUAGGUUCCGCAAGACCAAAAUGAGCCAUCAAUACCCAAACAAAAGUAAAAAGCUCCCCACCAUUACUAACUUGCUCGACAUGUGUCCUUGUUGAUCUGCUGUGACAUGCUGCAUAUGAUAUCAAUUCCACCCGAACUUUGCUCACUAUCUCCCAUUUCUUAUCCUUAUAACAAUGAAGACUUUGGAGCUUAUCGACCAUCCUUUUUGCUUGAUCUAACGGUAAGGCAGUCACAUAUGAACUUAGUUCUGUUCUCAUCGCCAGUGAAAUCUUUCCUUGAAAACAAAUCUUGGCCUCAUCACGGAGAAUUUCCAAUCUAACAUUUUUUUUGGAAAAGCAUGGUAGGCUUCAAAACUAAAAGAUACAGCAUGCAUUCCGAGAGGAUCUUGCUGAAUUCUCUAGCAUUGUAAGUCUUUUCAUCUGAAAUUACUUCUUUAGCAGUUUCUUCGUAAAGGAAUUCUGUAACAAUGUGCCAGAAUAUAAGGCUUUUAUCAAAACUAAGUUAACUUCUUCCAAGUAUUGGAUGAGAUCACAUUUUGUAUCCAUUUCAUUCAGAGUACAAUCACCUUUAGCUGAAAAUAAUUUCCGAAAACCUUUUCUGAUAUCCGCCUUUGGACCAUUUGCAAAAUUAGGUAUUAUGUCCAGAUUCAGCUUUUCUUCUAAUUUCAUCUGCAUGCUUAGCUUUUCGUUUAAUUUCAUCGAAUAUAAACCCCCACAACUCUUUAGUUAGUGGCUCCUGGGACAAAGAUGUUUUAUUCUAAUCUCAUUGGCAAUAUCAGCCAGGCUGAAACAAGCAAUGAUUUUGUCAAUUCGUAGAAAUCGGAUGACCCUUUAAGUAGUAAUGGCUAUAUACUGAAAGAUCUUGUCGGUGCCAUAACUCUUUCUCUGAUGAGCCUUUAUGACGCUUAGUCCUCAAACAGAACCAAACCAUCUGCGUAGCAAGGAGUAGCAAAACGGUUAUCAGGUCGUGUUUGUGUCAUGUCAAUCUUGUGCUGUGUCAAGUUUAAGCUGACCUAAACAUGAGCCAUUUAAUAAUCGUGUGAAAAUAUUAAGACCCUAAUCUGACAUGGAAAAUAAAUAAGUUACUCAAUAACUUGCUUAAUAUCUAUAUAUUUAACAAGAUUUAUAUCAAAUAUUUGCAUUCCAAUAUAUGCGCAUGUGUGUGUGUGUGAACCCUGUGAAUUGUGUGAAAGUAGGAUACUCCAAAUUCGUGGAUCCAAAAGUUUUAUAAAACGUUCUUGCUGGAAAAAAAUGUGAAUUAAAGAUUCCAUUGAAUUGAAUUGGGUUCUUGAAUCUAAGAAAUUGUGAGAAUUGUUGAUCUCUCUCAAUUAGAAAAUCCAAGAUUUGAAUUGAUGUCCUUUCAUUGAUUCCUCCUAAAUUACGUUGAUUUAUCCUAAAGAUUUCAUUUCAAUUAAAUUUUGGUUAUUCACCAUGUACAAGGAUCCCCACUAAGCAUCCAUGGCUGAAUGGUUAAAGCACCCAACUUGGCGAAUUCGUUGAGGGACUUGAACCCUCAUGAUUUCUAAAGUCGACAGAUUUUCCUUUCAUUAUAAAUUUCAUUGUUGCCCAUAUUAAUAUUGACAUGUAGAAUGUGACUCUAUUUUUACUCUCGUCUGAUUAAUCAAUUCUUCAAAAUUCAAAAGAAAUGAUCGAUCAGACCACGAAGGUGGAGUGAAUGAUUUGAGUCAAGAAUAUUCGAUUCUUUCUUUAACCUAGAAUCGAUUCAUAGUAGCUUUUUUCUUUUUCAUAAAAAGAAAUAAGAAUUUAUUGUGAUUUUUUGAGUUAGUUUUUCAUUGCGUAAACCUAGUCUAUAUACCCUUAUCCUUUGUUUUACUUUCUUUUUUAUUUACCAAAAUGGGUAGUCAACUUCAUUUGUUAAAACAACUUCCAUUGAGUCACUGCACCUAUUCCCCUUUUUCACUUUCUAAACCCAUGUUUGAUCUUGGAAAAGAGAAGAGGAUUUGGCUCAGGAUUAUCCAUUUUUUUUUCCUGGGUUUUUCUGAAUUUGAAGGUUAGCACUUAGUAAGUUUCCAUAUUAAGACUCAAUCCAAUUAAGUCCGUAGCAUCUACCAAUUUCGCCAUAUCUCCAUAUCCCCUUUGUGUUUUAGGAAUUCAAUGUUGUCCCCCCGUUCUUUCAUUUCUACCAAAACAUUAGAAUUCCGUAGAUAUAGACUUUUAUAUAGAAAUGUGUUUUGCUUUCUUGUCAGAAAUGAUUCUAUCUUCUCUGUAUCCGCAAAUCAAUUAAUGCUUCUUUCUCUUAGAAGUAUAACCAUUGAUCAUGGCGAACCUCCUAUUGAGAUUAAAACCUCACCUUAUAAAAUUCAUAAAGACCCGGAGACAGAUUUAGAUAGCAUUAUUCAACAGAAUAAUUUCUGUAAUGCUAAUCUAAACACAAUAGAAAAACAGUUGACCAGAAUAGAAAAUCAAUUCCAGAAGUCAACCAUAGCUGUUUCCCCUGUUACAUCAAAAUCGGAUUCUGACAAAAAGCUUAAGGAGUCUAUUUUCAAACCUUUUCAGGUUUCGAAAACUAGUCAAAAGUUUGUUCAAGAGUCAAAAUCAGAUUUUGCUAAAGCCAUUAAAGAAAAACUAGAUAGAAUAAAAGCUUCUUCUUCCUCUUCUAGUAAAAUCCAAAUAGCCCCUGAUAGUGCCCAAUCUAGCAAGAUUGGUGUACUAGAACAAGACAAUGUUUCUAUAGCCUCUUCUGAUAUAGAAGCAUUUAAAGAAGAACCUAUUUCCAAAGCCAACAAAAUCCAUUGGGAAUUAGCCAUACCUACUGUCAAGUCUCCACCUGAUUUGGCCAUAGACAACAGACUUGCUGCAUUAAACCAAUCACGAUUUAAUGCAUCUUCUAUCUAUGAGUGGAACCUUGAUGAUAUGUCUGAAUACAACAUCCUAAGAUUGUUGCAACAAAUGACCAUGACAACCAAUGCUUAUAAAACUCAGUUGGGAACUUCUGACAAGGCCAUUGUAGAAAUUCUCAUUGCUGGUUUUACUGGUCAACUUAAAGGUUGGUGGGAUCAUCUUCUCACCAAACAGCAACAAUUAGAUAUCCUUGACUCUAUUCAGACAGAUGAGAAUGGAGCCCCCAUCCUUGAUGAAAUCAAUAGUCCAAUUUAAGAUGCUGUUGCUACCUUGAUUUUGACUAUAUUCCUUCAUUUCAUAGGUGAUCCUUCACACCUAAGAGAUAAAAAUGAUGAGUUACUAUAUAACCUGAGAUCUAGGAAACUUAGUGAAUUCCAAAGUUACAAAACCACAUUCUUUACCAGACUCUUCCUUAGGGAUGAUGCAAAUCAUAUAACUUGGAAGGAAAAAUUCCUUGCAGGUUUACCUACCAUAUUAGGAGAAAAGGUUAGGAAUUCCAUAAAAGCCCUCUAUGAUAACCGUAUUCCUUAUGACGAACUCACCUACGGUGAAUUAGUCAGUUUUGUUAAUAAGGAAGGCUUAAAGAUUUGCCAGGAUUUGAAACUUCAGAAACAUCUAAAAUGGGAGCUUAGGAAAUCUAAGCAAGAAUUAGGCAGUUUCUGUAAGCAAUUCAAUUAUGACCCCUUUAAAACUUCCAUCUCUAAAGAUUGUAAUGGUAAGUGUUCUUCACGACCUUACAAAAAACAUUACAAGUCCAAGAGCCAUAGGAAAUCUUUCCAAGAAUCUAGAGAACUUUCGUAUAAGAAACCUUCAAGGCCUUAUAAGAAGCCUAACUUCUCUGGAAAGAAGGAUUUUAGAGCGAAACAGAAAGCCCCUUUUAACUACAAAGAAGCCACAUGUUACAAGUGUGGAAAGAAAUGCCAUACUGUAAAAUUUUGUAGAAUGAAUAGAAAGCUCCAUGAGUUUGGCCUUGAUGAAGAAACCCUUUCUAAAGUCACCUCUCUGUUUGUAGAGUCUUCAGACUCUGAGUCUUCCAUGACGGGAGAUAGUGAACCUCUACAGGUUGAUGAGUUAAUUGACUCAGAUACAUCUGUAUCCAGUGAUAGUGAUUCUGAUACAGAAUCUUAUUUAAAGAAGAUUAAUGUCUUGACUAAAAAACAAGAGACUUUUCUAGAAUUGGUUAAAUAUAUUUCUGAUCCAAAUCUUCAAAAAGAAUACGUUGAUAAACUUUUAAAAACCCUAGAACUCAAUAAAACAGAAACUUCCAAAGCCCCAAUAAUUAAAAGGAAUACUUAUGAUCUCACUAAGAUUUUGGAUAAAAAGAAAACAAAGAAAACUAUAGCUCCUAGUAUCCAAGACCUUCAAAAAGAGAUAAAAGAAAUCAAACUUGAGAUAAAAGAAUUAAAAGAAAAACAAAAAAGUGAUUCUGAAACCAUUCAACUCCUCCUACAAAGACAAUUAGAUGAUAAUUCUAAUAAAGAAAUUGAAACUGAUAAUGAAAAUGAACAAAACGUGGAAAACAUUGAAUCCAUACCAAAUGAUUUUCUGUUUGUUUUAAAACAAAUCACUACGAGAAAGUACCUAAUAAAAAUUACAUUAAUUCUUUCUAAAGACUUUGAGAUUGACACCAUUGCCCUUUUUGAUACUGGUGCCGAUCUAAAUUGCAUUAAAGAAGAUAUUGUCCCUAAAAGAUUUCAUGAAAAAACAAAUGAAAGACUCUCGGCCGCCAAUAAUUCAAAAUUAAAAGUAAAAUCUAAAGUUGAUGCCUCAGUAUAUAAUAAUGGUUUUGAAUUUAGGACUUCCUUUCUUUUAACAAAUGAUAUCCAUCAUACUAUUAUAUUAGGAACUCCCUUCAUUAACCUUAUAACCCCUUAUACUGUUAACUAUGACAGUAUAUCUUUUAAAGCAAAAACAAAAAACCUUGUUUUCCCUUUCAUUGAGAAACUUAAAAUAAGAAAUUUGAAUACAGUUAAAGCAUGUUCUAUUUAUCAGAACCAAAUCAAUGUACUCCUCAAGUCAAAACAAAAUGACCUGAUUUGUUUAAAAAAGGAUUUGAGUUUACAAAGAAUCGAAAACCAAUUACAAAACGAAUUUGUAAAAAGAAAGAUCACUUAUUUUAAAGACCUCAUUGAAAAAGAAAUAUGUGCGGAUCUACCCUCUGCUUUUUGGAACAGAAAGCAACAUUUAGUAGAUUUGCCUUAUGAAAACUCUUUUAAUGAAAAAUAAAUACCUACCAAAGCCCAUCCAAUCCAAAUGAAUAUGGAAUUGGAACAACAUUGUAAAGAAGAAAUAAAAGACUUAGAAUCAAAAGGACUCAUUGUAAAAUCUCGGUCUCCAUGGUCUUGUGCCGCUUUCUAUAUUAAUAAAAACUCUGAAAUAGAAAGAGGAACACCUAGACUUGUAAUAAAUUACAAACCCCUAAAUAAAGCAUUAAAAUGGAUUAGGUAUCCCAUACCUAAUAAAAAAGAUUUACUCCAAAAACUGCAUUCUGCUUUCAUAUUUUCAAAUUUUGAUAUGAAAUCAGGUUUCUGGUAAAUCCAAAUCCAUCCUAAAGAUCGUUAUAAAACUAUUUUUACUGUUCCCUUUGGACAAUAUGAAUGGACUGUUAUGCCAUUCGGUUUAAAGAAUGCACCUUCAUAAUUCCAAAGAAUUAUGAAUGAUAUUUAUAAUCCUUUUUCCGAUUUCUAUAUCGUCUAUAUUGAUGAUGUAUUGAUCUUUUCUCAAACAAUUGAUCAACAUUUCAAACAUUUAAAAACUUUCUAUCUUGCCACUAGAAAGGCUGGUUUAGCCAUUUCUAGUUCUAAAGUCUCAUUAUUCCAAACAAAAAUCAGAUUCCUUGGUCAUUACAUCUCCAAAGGAACUAUUACACCUAUUGAGCGAUCUCUUGCAUUCGCAGAUAAAUUUCCUGAUAAAAUUCUUGAUAAAACUCAACUACAAAGAUUUUUAGGAAGUUUAAAUUAUGUUCUUGAUUUUUGUCCUCAUAUCAAUAGGAUUUCAAAACCUUUGCAUGACUGAUUAAAGAAAAACCCUGUUGCAUGGACAGAUGAACACACUAAAGUUGUUAAGCUCAUAAAAAGUUCUAUUAAAGAUAUUCCAUGUUUGUUUCUUGCUAAUCCUGCAUUACCUAAAAUAGUUGAAACUGAUGCAUCCGAUUUAGGUUAUGGAGGAAUAUUAAAGCAAAGAGAAAAUAAUAAAGAACAAAUAGUACAGUACAUUUCUGCUCAUUGGAAUGAAUGUCAAAGAAAUUACUCUACUAUUAAAAAAGAAAUUCUUUCUAUUGUUUUAUAUAUAUCUAAAUUUCAAAGUGAUUUAUUAAAUCAAAAAUUUUUACUCAGAAUUGAUUGUAAAGCUGCAAAACAUGUUUUGGAAAAAGAUGUUCAAAAUAUUGCUUCGAAAUAGAUUUUUGCAAGAUGACAAGAUUUUGAAUGUUUUUUAUUUUGACAUUGAAUUUAUUAAAGGAGAUAUGAAUUCUAUCCCUGACUUUCUAACCAGGGAAUUUCUUCAAAACAGAUAAUGCCGCCCAAGAAAAAAGACAAAGAUAAAGUUGUUCUUAAAGACACUGAGUCACAAGCAACCUCCAAAGAAUCCCUAUCAACCCCCUCUAAAGAAAAAUUACUUUCUUCUGCCAUACCCAUCAAAUCAUGGAUUGAAAUGGUUGAAGAACAUGAAGCCCAAUAUAAAGCCAUAAUCUUCGAAGAUCAGGUAAAAGAAUGGAUGAAUUCUAUUACAAAGUCUCCAGAGCUUAUGCUCGCCUUACAAAAUAUUUUUCAAACCCAAGAGAAAGAAAAACUUGUUUCUAAAGCAAUUUCAAAACCUUCUUCCUCUAAAGAAAUCGUUUCAUGUGAAAGCUCUUUUUGGCAAAUUAUUGUUUCUCAAUCAAAGCUUUCACAAAAAUCAUCGAAUUGGCUUAAUAAAGCCUAUCAACAAAAUGUUUUAACUAUGGAUGAUGGGUUUUAUCAUUCUGAUCCAUUUCAAGCAAUUUCAAAGAUUUUCCCGAAAGGCUGGUUUUUCAAACCAUGGGAUUUAUCUAAACCCAAGUCUUUCUACCAAGGCAUACUUGAGUUCACUGAGUCAGUAAAGUUUAAACAUUUCUUCCUUAGUGAAGCUCAUUCUGAGCCAGUCUAUUCCACGGCUACCAUUCUUAAAGUCUUAAGUCCAAAUCAGUGGGGUGACCAACUCCACAAACCAAAAACUUUUCCCGCCAAUUUUCAAAGACGUUUAAACUAUUGCUUAUCUUUCUCCUACUGGGAUUAUCAGCAGGCCUGGUUUAACACAUUUUUUAUCCAAAAUCCAAAAAAGUAUCACUCUUGGUUAUUUUUCUUUAAUUCAAAAAUAACCGUCCAAAGCCUUCCAAAUUGGUUCCAAAUUUGGUGGAACUACUUUGGGCCAAGCCCAGAUAUUCUAACCCAGAAUGCCAUUAAAUGUUUAAAUUUAUUUAAAGCCCAUUAUGUUCCUUCUGAGUCUGAGAAGAUGUUUCCUCCUUUUCUCUGUUUCUGUACAAACUUUUUCCUUCCCUGGGUUUGGAUGUGGAAUUUCCAAUACCACACCAUAGACACCCAACUAGUCUUACAAAGAACCUUCAAAGUCAAAUGGUGGUCUAAAUUUGACGAACAGUCAAAAUUGUCUAAAGCCACGGUCCAAUCCUGGCUUUUUACAAGAGGCCUCAUUGCCCCAAGUAAAGACAUAGUCAAAGCCCAAAGCACUUUCCUUGCCCAGAGAGUAAAAGCCCAAUCCCUGCUGGCCAGUGCUAAAACCGAGGAUGAAUAUUUCAAAGUAAUGCAGCAACUUCUUGCCACAAGAUCAGAGACAUCUGCUGCAAGUUCUUCAUCAAGCUCCUCAGGAGAAGCUGAACCGUUCAUCUCCCUCGGAAAUGAAAAUGAAGAUGACUGCUUCGGAAUAUUCUCUCCAUUAAAGCAUUAAAGCUUCGUAUAAAAAAAAAAGAUUGUCUUAUAUCACUUAUUUCCUUAUAAUUAUUACUCAUGUAAUUAACGAUUGAAUUUCUCUUUGUAUCAAUUACUUUGUUAUAAUUAUUUUCCGAAUGUAUUUGUAUUUAUAUUAUUUUUGGGUGGUCCCCUGGACACAAGUGAGAGCGCACAUGUCUCUUUACCCAUCUUUUGUUUUCUUUCAAAGUUGUAAAGAAGAAAGAUGCUGUCCCCUACAUGCCUUGACGAUCCCGCUCCAUCAUCUACGCAUGUGAAGCUAUAGCAAAAGCCAAUAAAGCAAAGUCCAUUCACCAUGAUGCUGUCUCCACUCACCAACCACGUAGGUAAAGCUACAGUUUCGCUACACUGGACAAAUAAAGCUACAGUUGAAGCUACAGACUCGCCACAGUUCAAGCUUCAGUUGUCUUAAAUUCAAAGCUGUGUGACAUUGAGAGUCAGAGUUUUGUUUACAACAUUUACAAUUUCUCUCUCUCUCUCUCGGGAAAUCAGGAUCAAGACAUUAAGGAAAAUUAUUCCUGUCUUGUAAUUUUCCCUUUCUACAAAAUCUGUAAACAUUUUCCAUUGUAAAGCUCUCGGAUCCAAGCAAUCUAUGUAAGCAUCUCUCAUUUAAUCUAUUUAAAGUUUCAAAUGUACGUUUAAAUUUCUGCAAAUUUUAAAUUUAUAUACACUACUACAUUCUUCUGAGGCAUAAAGACCGGAUCUCUCCCUUUGGUCGUAUUUCUCUUCUCCCUUCAAUCAAUCAGAAUACUAUUUCUGGGAUCCAGAUCUAGUAUUAUCUAUGAGCCCUUAGAUUUUGUUGCUAGGCUUGAUUAAAAUUAUUUUGGUAUAUCGGCUGGAAAACAGAACGUGCGUGAUAUUGAUAUGUUUUAAGUCAGAUUUGGUCACAAAGACAGAUUAAGUUCUGCAUCAAUCUGGUAACAACGCCACGUACUGAUUUAAUUUCAAGUUAUAGAUUGCAUAUUAAACCUUAAUACAUAAAUUUGUCUUAAUUUACAUCCAUCCUUCGAUCCUAUUUACCUUCUGAGUAACUUGGAUCCGAGAGGUUUAAUCUUAUUUAAAAUUUCUGCAAAUUUUAAAUUUAUAUAAACUAAAUAGGAUAGAUGCUUACAUAGAUUGCUUGGAUCCGAGAGGUUUAAUCCUAUUUACCUUCGAUCCUAUACAGAAGGAUAUAGGAUCGAAAGAUGGAUGUGAUAUUAGAAAAUGAAAAUGUUUUAUUAAAGAAAUCAAGUCGCAAAGGUGGGAUGGGUUCUUAUUAUUAUGAUUAAAUCGGUACGUGGCGUUGUUCUACCUGAUCAAUGCAGAGACUAGUUUGCCUCAGGGACCAGAUCUGACUUAGAACAGAUCAAUAUCCCGCAUGUUCUGGUUUCCAGCCGCCCUUUUUGAUACUGGUGCCGAUCUAAAUUGCAUUAAAGAAGAUAUUGUCCCUAAAAGAUUUCAUGAAAAAACAAAUGAAAGACUCUCGGCCGCCAAUAAUUCAAAAUUAAAAGUAAAAUCUAAAGUUGAUGCCUCAGUAUAUAAUAAUGGUUUUGAAUUUAGGACUUCCUUUCUUUUAACAAAUGAUAUCCAUCAUACUAUUAUAUUAGGAACUCCCUUCAUUAACCUUAUAACCCCUUAUACUGUUAACUAUGACAGUAUAUCUUUUAAAGCAAAAACAAAAAACCUUGUUUUCCCUUUCAUUGAGAAACUUAAAAUAAGAAAUUUGAAUACAGUUAAAGCAUGUUCUAUUUAUCAGAACCAAAUCAAUGUACUCCUCAAGUCAAAACAAAAUGACCUGAUUUGUUUAAAAAAGGAUUUGAGUUUACAAAGAAUCGAAAACCAAUUACAAAACGAAUUUGUAAAAAGAAAGAUCACUUAUUUUAAAGACCUCAUUGAAAAAGAAAUAUGUGCGGAUCUACCCUCUGCUUUUUGGAACAGAAAGCAACAUUUAGUAGAUUUGCCUUAUGAAAACUCUUUUAAUGAAAAAUAAAUACCUACCAAAGCCCAUCCAAUCCAAAUGAAUAUGGAAUUGGAACAACAUUGUAAAGAAGAAAUAAAAGACUUAGAAUCAAAAGGACUCAUUGUAAAAUCUCGGUCUCCAUGGUCUUGUGCCGCUUUCUAUAUUAAUAAAAACUCUGAAAUAGAAAGAGGAACACCUAGACUUGUAAUAAAUUACAAACCCCUAAAUAAAGCAUUAAAAUGGAUUAGGUAUCCCAUACCUAAUAAAAAAGAUUUACUCCAAAAACUGCAUUCUGCUUUCAUAUUUUCAAAUUUUGAUAUGAAAUCAGGUUUCUGGUAAAUCCAAAUCCAUCCUAAAGAUCGUUAUAAAACUAUUUUUACUGUUCCCUUUGGACAAUAUGAAUGGACUGUUAUGCCAUUCGGUUUAAAGAAUGCACCUUCAUAAUUCCAAAGAAUUAUGAAUGAUAUUUAUAAUCCUUUUUCCGAUUUCUAUAUCGUCUAUAUUGAUGAUGUAUUGAUCUUUUCUCAAACAAUUGAUCAACAUUUCAAACAUUUAAAAACUUUCUAUCUUGCCACUAGAAAGGCUGGUUUAGCCAUUUCUAGUUCUAAAGUCUCAUUAUUCCAAACAAAAAUCAGAUUCCUUGGUCAUUACAUCUCCAAAGGAACUAUUACACCUAUUGAGCGAUCUCUUGCAUUCGCAGAUAAAUUUCCUGAUAAAAUUCUUGAUAAAACUCAACUACAAAGAUUUUUAGGAAGUUUAAAUUAUGUUCUUGAUUUUUGUCCUCAUAUCAAUAGGAUUUCAAAACCUUUGCAUGACUGAUUAAAGAAAAACCCUGUUGCAUGGACAGAUGAACACACUAAAGUUGUUAAGCUCAUAAAAAGUUCUAUUAAAGAUAUUCCAUGUUUGUUUCUUGCUAAUCCUGCAUUACCUAAAAUAGUUGAAACUGAUGCAUCCGAUUUAGGUUAUGGAGGAAUAUUAAAGCAAAGAGAAAAUAAUAAAGAACAAAUAGUACAGUACAUUUCUGCUCAUUGGAAUGAAUGUCAAAGAAAUUACUCUACUAUUAAAAAAGAAAUUCUUUCUAUUGUUUUAUAUAUAUCUAAAUUUCAAAGUGAUUUAUUAAAUCAAAAAUUUUUACUCAGAAUUGAUUGUAAAGCUGCAAAACAUGUUUUGGAAAAAGAUGUUCAAAAUAUUGCUUCGAAAUAGAUUUUUGCAAGAUGACAAGAUUUUGAAUGUUUUUUAUUUUGACAUUGAAUUUAUUAAAGGAGAUAUGAAUUCUAUCCCUGACUUUCUAACCAGGGAAUUUCUUCAAAACAGAUAAUGCCGCCCAAGAAAAAAGACAAAGAUAAAGUUGUUCUUAAAGACACUGAGUCACAAGCAACCUCCAAAGAAUCCCUAUCAACCCCCUCUAAAGAAAAAUUACUUUCUUCUGCCAUACCCAUCAAAUCAUGGAUUGAAAUGGUUGAAGAACAUGAAGCCCAAUAUAAAGCCAUAAUCUUCGAAGAUCAGGUAAAAGAAUGGAUGAAUUCUAUUACAAAGUCUCCAGAGCUUAUGCUCGCCUUACAAAAUAUUUUUCAAACCCAAGAGAAAGAAAAACUUGUUUCUAAAGCAAUUUCAAAACCUUCUUCCUCUAAAGAAAUCGUUUCAUGUGAAAGCUCUUUUUGGCAAAUUAUUGUUUCUCAAUCAAAGCUUUCACAAAAAUCAUCGAAUUGGCUUAAUAAAGCCUAUCAACAAAAUGUUUUAACUAUGGAUGAUGGGUUUUAUCAUUCUGAUCCAUUUCAAGCAAUUUCAAAGAUUUUCCCGAAAGGCUGGUUUUUCAAACCAUGGGAUUUAUCUAAACCCAAGUCUUUCUACCAAGGCAUACUUGAGUUCACUGAGUCAGUAAAGUUUAAACAUUUCUUCCUUAGUGAAGCUCAUUCUGAGCCAGUCUAUUCCACGGCUACCAUUCUUAAAGUCUUAAGUCCAAAUCAGUGGGGUGACCAACUCCACAAACCAAAAACUUUUCCCGCCAAUUUUCAAAGACGUUUAAACUAUUGCUUAUCUUUCUCCUACUGGGAUUAUCAGCAGGCCUGGUUUAACACAUUUUUUAUCCAAAAUCCAAAAAAGUAUCACUCUUGGUUAUUUUUCUUUAAUUCAAAAAUAACCGUCCAAAGCCUUCCAAAUUGGUUCCAAAUUUGGUGGAACUACUUUGGGCCAAGCCCAGAUAUUCUAACCCAGAAUGCCAUUAAAUGUUUAAAUUUAUUUAAAGCCCAUUAUGUUCCUUCUGAGUCUGAGAAGAUGUUUCCUCCUUUUCUCUGUUUCUGUACAAACUUUUUCCUUCCCUGGGUUUGGAUGUGGAAUUUCCAAUACCACACCAUAGACACCCAACUAGUCUUACAAAGAACCUUCAAAGUCAAAUGGUGGUCUAAAUUUGACGAACAGUCAAAAUUGUCUAAAGCCACGGUCCAAUCCUGGCUUUUUACAAGAGGCCUCAUUGCCCCAAGUAAAGACAUAGUCAAAGCCCAAAGCACUUUCCUUGCCCAGAGAGUAAAAGCCCAAUCCCUGCUGGCCAGUGCUAAAACCGAGGAUGAAUAUUUCAAAGUAAUGCAGCAACUUCUUGCCACAAGAUCAGAGACAUCUGCUGCAAGUUCUUCAUCAAGCUCCUCAGGAGAAGCUGAACCGUUCAUCUCCCUCGGAAAUGAAAAUGAAGAUGACUGCUUCGGAAUAUUCUCUCCAUUAAAGCAUUAAAGCUUCGUAUAAAAAAAAAAGAUUGUCUUAUAUCACUUAUUUCCUUAUAAUUAUUACUCAUGUAAUUAACGAUUGAAUUUCUCUUUGUAUCAAUUACUUUGUUAUAAUUAUUUUCCGAAUGUAUUUGUAUUUAUAUUAUUUUUGGGUGGUCCCCUGGACACAAGUGAGAGCGCACAUGUCUCUUUACCCAUCUUUUGUUUUCUUUCAAAGUUGUAAAGAAGAAAGAUGCUGUCCCCUACAUGCCUUGACGAUCCCGCUCCAUCAUCUACGCAUGUGAAGCUAUAGCAAAAGCCAAUAAAGCAAAGUCCAUUCACCAUGAUGCUGUCUCCACUCACCAACCACGUAGGUAAAGCUACAGUUUCGCUACACUGGACAAAUAAAGCUACAGUUGAAGCUACAGACUCGCCACAGUUCAAGCUUCAGUUGUCUUAAAUUCAAAGCUGUGUGACAUUGAGAGUCAGAGUUUUGUUUACAACAUUUACAAUUUCUCUCUCUCUCUCUCGGGAAAUCAGGAUCAAGACAUUAAGGAAAAUUAUUCCUGUCUUGUAAUUUUCCCUUUCUACAAAAUCUGUAAACAUUUUCCAUUGUAAAGCUCUCGGAUCCAAGCAAUCUAUGUAAGCAUCUCUCAUUUAAUCUAUUUAAAGUUUCAAAUGUACGUUUAAAUUUCUGCAAAUUUUAAAUUUAUAUACACUACUACAUUCUUCUGAGGCAUAAAGACCGGAUCUCUCCCUUUGGUCGUAUUUCUCUUCUCCCUUCAAUCAAUCAGAAUACUAUUUCUGGGAUCCAGAUCUAGUAUUAUCUAUGAGCCCUUAGAUUUUGUUGCUAGGCUUGAUUAAAAUUAUUUUGGUAUAUCGGCUGGAAAACAGAACGUGCGUGAUAUUGAUAUGUUUUAAGUCAGAUUUGGUCACAAAGACAGAUUAAGUUCUGCAUCAAUCUGGUAACAACGCCACGUACUGAUUUAAUUUCAAGUUAUAGAUUGCAUAUUAAACCUUAAUACAUAAAUUUGUCUUAAUUUACAUCCAUCCUUCGAUCCUAUUUACCUUCUGAGUAACUUGGAUCCGAGAGGUUUAAUCUUAUUUAAAAUUUCUGCAAAUUUUAAAUUUAUAUAAACUAAAUAGGAUAGAUGCUUACAUAGAUUGCUUGGAUCCGAGAGGUUUAAUCCUAUUUACCUUCGAUCCUAUACAGAAGGAUAUAGGAUCGAAAGAUGGAUGUGAUAUUAGAAAAUGAAAAUGUUUUAUUAAAGAAAUCAAGUCGCAAAGGUGGGAUGGGUUCUUAUUAUUAUGAUUAAAUCGGUACGUGGCGUUGUUCUACCUGAUCAAUGCAGAGACUAGUUUGCCUCAGGGACCAGAUCUGACUUAGAACAGAUCAAUAUCCCGCAUGUUCUGGUUUCCAGCCGAUAUACCCAUUUAAUUAAUUCUUUACCAAAUAUUGAUUAGAUUCUUUAAGCAGAAAAUAUUUUCUUUAGCAAGCCUAGCAACAGAUCUAAAGGCUCAUAGAUAGUAUUAGAUCUGGAUCCCAGAAAUAAUACUCUGAAUGGUUGGAGGGAGAAGAGAAGAUACAACAGAAGACAGAGAUCCGGUCUCUUUGCUUCUGAGGAACGUAACAAUUUUUAUGGCAGAUCUGAUACAAAUCAGUCUGCAAAGCAUGCAUAAAAUUUAAAUUUCUGAAACUUAAAUGCUUUAAAAUAAAUUGUGGAAAUUAAAAAUGCUUUAAAUUAAAUUACAGAAAUUUAAACAUACAGAAAUUUAAUUUUAUUACAAGCUUUAAAAGAAAUUACAAAUUUUACAUUUGAUUUUUCUUUGCUUUGUUUUUCUUUAAAGGAAAAUGUUACAGAAGGAAUGGGAAAUUAAUCUGAAGACAGAAAAAUUCCUUGUCGUCUUUCGAUUCCCGAUUCCCAGAGAGAGAGAGAGAGAGAAAAGGAGAAGAAGAAAGAAGAAAAGAAAAAAUAGAAUUCUAAAAAAUCUGAAGAGUCUAAGUCUUCCUCCCGAUUUAAAUACAAAGACUGGAUCUUUAACUGUAGCGAGUCUGUAGCUUCACAACUGUAGCGAAACUGUAGCUUCAUCACUGUAGCGAAACUGUAGCUUGAGACAGUAGUCUUUGGAGUUGUCUUUAGAUAUUCUUUAAAAAUACAUGUAUGAUUUGGGUGAAGAGACAUGUGCGCUCUCACUUGUGUACAGGGGACCACCCGAGGGUAUAAAAAUAUAUAUUCUCAUACAAGAAAGGAAAGAUACAUAGUAGAAAUAUGGAAUAUAAUUACUCUUUUUUUUUUACAUGCAUAUAAAUGAUAACUAUUUACAAUGCUUUAUCGGAGAGAAAAUUCCAAAACAGUCGUCUUCAUUUUCGUCUCCAAGAGAAAUAAAUGGCUCUUCAUCUUGUUCAUCGUCAUCAGAGGAGUCAGCAAUUGAAGACUUUGAUAUUGAAGUGAGGAGCUGCUCCAUAACUUUAAAAUAUUAUUCUUCAGUUUUGUCCAAAACAGUCGUCUUCAUUUUCGUCUCCAAGAGAAAUAAAUGGCUCUUCAUCUUGUUCAUCGUCAUCAGAGGAGUCAGCAACUGAAGACUUUGAUCUUGAAGUGAGGAGCUGCUCCAUAACUUUAAAAUAUUCUUCUUUAGUUUUGGCGCUGGCCAAAAGAGAUUGGGCUUUGGAUUUUUGGGUAAGAAAUGUUUCUUGGACUUUGACAUCUUUAAUGGUGGGGGGUAAGAAGCCUUUAGAACAGAGCCAACUUUGGAUCAGAGUGUCAGUUAAUUUGGUAUGUUCGUCGAACUUUGACCACCAUUUUACUUUAAAAGUUCUUUGUAAAAUGAGUUGGGCUUCUUGGGUAUGAUAUCUGAAAUUCCACAUUCAUACCCAUGGAAGGAAGAAAUUUGUACAGAAACAGAGAAAGGGGGGAAACCUUUUCUCAGAUUCAGAAGGGAUAUAAUGGGUUUUAAAGAGGUUUAAACAAUGGGUGGCAUUUGGAGUUAAAAAUCUGAGGUAUUGAGUCAAAAGAGUUCUACCAUUGUUGAAACCAAUUAGGGAGGCUUUGAACGGUUAUUUUUUAAUUAAAGAAAAAUAACCAGGGAUGAGAUUUCUUUGGGUUUUGUAUGAAAAAUGUGUUAAACCAUGCUUGUUGGUAAUCCCAAUAGGAAUAAGACAAACAAUGAGGUAAACGCAUUUGAAAAUUUAGAGGGAAGCUUUUUUGUUUAUGGAGUUGGUCUCCCCACUGGUUUGGGCUCAAGACUUUUAGAAUAGUAACCGUGGAGUAGGCUGGUUCUGAAUGGGUUUCACUGAGAAAGAAAUGCUUGAAUUUUACAGACUCAGUGGCUUCUAAAAUGCUUUGAUAAUAAGACUGGGAUUUUGUCAAAUCGCAAGGUUUGAAAAACCAGCCUCUAGGGAAAAUUUUUGAAAUAGCUUGGAAAAGAUCAGUAUGGUAAAAACUAUCCUCCAUAGAUAAAAUAUUUUGGAAAUGAGUUUUAUCAAACCAAUCGGAGGUUUUCUUUGAAAGUUUUGGCUGGGAAAGAACAAUUUGAGAAGAUGAACUUUCACCAGAAACAACCACAUUUUGAGAAGAGGGUUUUGAAAUCUCUUUAGGAAUAUUUUCUUUAGGAGAAAUUUGGCUUUGAGAAAAGCUUUGUAGGGCGAGCAUAAGCUCAGGGGAUUUAGAAAUGAAUUUCAUCCAUUCAUUUACCUGUUCAUGUGAGGCAAGCACUUUAGACUGGGCUUCUUGAUCCUCUAUCAUGUCGAUCCAAGACUUGAUUGGCAUGGCAGAAGAAAUUAAUUUUUCUUUAGGUGGAGAGGUUUGGGAAGCUUUAAAAGGUGUUUGGGACACAGGGUCUUUAAGAAUCCCUUUCCCCUUGUCUUUCUUUUUGAGAGGCAUUUAUCUGUUUUGGAGAAAUUCCCUAGUUAGAAAAUCAGGGAUAGAAUUUGUAUCUCCUUUAAUAAAUUCAAUAUCAAAAUAAAAAACACUUAAAAUAGCUUGUCAUCGUGCAAAAAUUUGUUUUGAUGCAAUGUUUUGAAUAUCUUUUUCUAAAACAUGUUUUGCAGCUUUGCAAUCAAUUCGAAGUAAAAAUUUUUGAUUUAGUAAAUCACUUUGGAAUUUAGAAAUGCACAAAACAAUAGAAAGAAUUUUCUUUUUGAUAGUAGAAUAUUUUUCUGGCAUUCAUUCCAAUGUGCAGAAACAUAUUGUACUAUUUAUUCUCUAUUAUCUUCCUUUUGUUUUAAUAUGCCUCUAUAACCUAAAUCUGAUGCAUCCGUUUCAACAAUUUUAGGUAAUGCAGGAUUUGCAAGAAAUAAACAUGGAAUGUUUUUAACAGAAUUUUUUAUUAGUCUAACAGCUUUAGUAUGUUCAUCUGUCCAAGCAACGAGAUUCUUUUUUAACCUAUCAUGCAGUGGUUUAGACAUCCUAUUGAUGUUGGGACAGAAAUCAAGAACAUAAUUUAAACUACCUAAAAAACUUUGUAGUUGUGUUUUAUCAAGAAUUUUAUCAGGAAAUUUAUCAGCAAACAAAAGUGAUCGCUCAAUAGGUGUAAUAGUUCCUUUAUAAAUAUAGUGACCGAGGAAUCUUACUUUUGUUUGAAACAAUGAGACUUUAGAACUAGAAAUGGCUAGGCCAGCCUUUCUAGUGGCAAGGUAAAAAGUUUUUAAAUGUUUGAAAUGUUGAUCAAUUGUCUGAGAAAAAAUCAACACAUCGUCUAUAUAAACAAUGCAAAACUCAGAAAAAAGAUUAUAAAUAUCAUUCAUGAUUCUUUGAAAUUCUGAGGGUGCAUUCUUUAGUCCAAAUGGCAUUACAGUCCAUUCAUACUGUCCAAAAGGAAUAGUAAAGGCAGUUUUAUAACAGUCUUUAGGGUGAAUUUGAAUUUGCCAAAAAUCAGAUUUCAUGUCAAAUUUUGAAAAAAUAAAGGCAGAAUAUAAUUUCUGGAUGAUUUGCAUUAUCCCUAAGGAAAAGUCUGGUAAAGAAUGUGGUUUUAUAGCUUUGGAAUUCACUAAGUUUCCUACACCUUAGAUUGUGUAGUAACUCAGCGUUCUUAUCCCUAAGGUGCGAAGGGUCACCUAUGAAAUAAAAGGAUAUAGUCAAAAUCAGGGUAACAACAGCAUCCUGAAUUGGACUAUUGAACUCAUCAAGAAUGGGGGCUCCAUUCUCAUCGACUUGAAUAGAGUUUAGGACAUCUAAUUGUUGCUGUUGAGUGAGAAGAUGAUCCCACCAACCUUUAAGUUGACCAGUAAAACCAGCCACCAGAAUUUCUGUUAUGGCUCUAUCAGAAGUUCCCGCCUGAGUUUUAUAGGCAUUGGCUGCCAUGGUCAUUUGUUGCAACAAGCCUAAGAUGUUGUACUUAGACAUACCAUCAAUAUUCCACUCAUAGACAAAAGAUGCAUUAAAUCUCGAUUAAUUUAAAUCACUCGGUCUAUUAUCUAUAGCUAGAUCUGAUGGAGUCUUGACAGUAGGUAAGGCUAAUUCCCAAUGGAUUUUGUUGGCUUUAGGAGCAGAUGGUUCAUCUAUAAAUGCUUUUAUAUCAGAAGAGGCUAUAGACAUUGUCAUGUUCCAGUACACCAAUCUUGCUAGAUUGAGCACUAUCUGGACCUUAGAAGAAGAAGAAGAAGCUUCUAUUCUAUCUAAUUGGUCUCUAAUGGCUUUAGCAAAAUCCGAUUUUGACUCUUGAACAAGCUUUUGGCUAGUUUUCGAAACCUGAAAAGGUUUGAAAAUAGGUUCCUUAAGCUUUUUGUCAGAAUCUGAUUUUGUGCUAAUAGGAGAAACAGCUAUGGUUGACUUUUGGAAUUGCCUUUCUAUCCUAGUCAACUGUUUUCAUAUUGUAUUUAAGUUAGUAUUACAUGAAUUAUUCUGUUGAAUAAUACUACUUAAAUUCGCAUCAGAAUCAUUUGGUUUAGGGAUUUUAUAAGGUGAGGCUCUAAUCUCAACAGGAGGUUCAUCGUGGUUUAUAGCUAAACUCCUAAGAGGUGGAUGCUCAGAUUCUCUGACUCUAUUGCUAUCAGAAAGUUUUCACUCAGGAAUUUUCUUCCUAAUAGUAAUAGGGUUUGACUCUUUAAAAGGAUAAGAGAUGUUGUUAUUCGAAGAAUAUAUCUCAAACCAAUCAAAAAACAAUAUAUGAAUUUUAUGUGAAUUUACAAAUUCAUAAUAUGUCUCUUGAAUUUCUUUUCUUUGAUUUAGAAAAUGUUUAAAAAACCAAAGUCUUUUGUCUUUAUUACCGUCUGAAUAAAAAUCAUUAUGGAGAAAAGUUUUAUCCAGUUCAAAAUCUUUUUCAAUAACAUUUAUAACAUUUUCUGUGACUGCAGAAAACGUAGGAGAAGUUGGAGGAGAAGGUUCCUUCUCUUCCUGUCUUUGUUCAUGUUGGCUGCUAGUGUAGAUUGGGUGAGGAACACUAGUGGUAUAAUCAACAGAAUGUAUAGAGGAACUAGGUAUAUCCAAAGUGGAAAACGUAGGUUGACUCUUUACAGGUUGGAAAGGGAGAUUUAUAAUAGAAGGUACUUUUGAAAAUUUUCUUUCCAAUGAAGGAAUUCUUGAACAUGAAUAUUUAUCAGAGAAUCUGGUUGAUGUAGAUCUCUGAAAGGAUAAUUUGACUUUACCAUCUGAAUACUGAGUCACAUGUUGCAACUCUGUAUUUGGCUCAAGUUGUUUUGGAAUCACUGGGGCAGUGGCUCCUUCAAGAAUCCAUUCAUCGGGAAGAUUGACAUCUUUCCAUUGAAUAGGUUUUGGAAUAACAGUGUUGGCUUUAGACAGGUCAGUCUGUAAGAGAAGAGUCUCAUCUCUUUUUGACUGAAAUUUAUGUUGCGUUCUAAACGUAGAAAUCAUAGCUUUGUAGGAAAUUUUAUAAAUUAAGGCUACAGGAAUAGAUCCCUCAAUCAUAUCAUAAUUGUGGGUCUUGAUUUGUAAAAUCAUACUUUUUAAAAUGUUCUUAUCUUUUAAGGAAAUCGUUAUGUUUGGAUAACAAUUAAAUGAAAUGGGACCUUUACACAGACUUGAUUCUAUACUACUUAGUAAAGAAUCAUCAAAAGAGAUGAAUCGACCAUCUCUCAGAACGGCAAGGAUGGAAGUAUUAAGUCAUUCUUUAGUAAAGGGUUUUAUGCCGACUUGUAUAAAGCCGAUGUGAAUAUAAUUAAAGCUUUUAUCUCUUAAUUUCUUUAAAGACUGCUCUGAAAAUAAAUGAAUUGUUUCAAAAGGCUUUGAAAGGGUUAUAUCGCGUUCUUCAGUCUUUAUAACAUAAUCAUUCUUUAAAAAAUCAAGCUUUUUUGUUUUAUAAAUCAUUUCUUUAUUAACUUUAGGUAAUUCCCAGUUAUUAAUUGCUUUAUUGAAAUCUUCAAUCACAAAUUCUUCCGAAUUCACAACAUUCUUUGAAUCACUAGUUCUUCCAGAAGAAGAGCUAGAGAAAGAUGAUGCUUUACAGAGUAGAGAAUCCAUGGUGUUAAAACUAAAAUCUAUAUGAAUGCCUACAGGUAUGGUUUUACAGCCCUAAACGGAAAAUCUUAUCCUAAAACGGGACUUACUACCAGUAAAAAAUUCAGCACACACACAGAAAACAAUUUAAAACAACAUAGAUUCUUUACAAUAUAACUUUAAUUAUAUUCACAUUGGCUUAAUACAAGUCGGCAUAAAACCUCUUACUAAAGAAUGACUUAAUACUUCCAUCCUUGCCGUUAUGAGAGAUGGUCGAUUCAUCUCUUUUGAUGAUUCUUUACUAAGUAGUAUAGAAUCAAGUCUGUGUAAAGGUCCCAUUUUAUUUAAUUGUUAUCCAAACAUAACGAUUUCCUUAAAUUCUUUUACAGAAACUAUUACACAUAUUGCUAUCAUUUCUGAUAGCAAUAGAGUCAUAGAAUCUGAGCAUCCACCUCUUAGGAGUUUAGUUAUAAACCACGGUGAACUUCCUGUUGAGAUUAGAGCCUCACCUUAUAAAAUCCCUAAACCAAAUGAUUCUAAUGCGAAUUUAAGUAGUAUUAUUCAACAGAAUAAUUCAUGUAAUACUAACUUAAAUACAAUAUGAAAACAGUUGACUAGGAUAGAAAGGCAAUUCCAAAAGUCAACCAUAGCUGUUUCUCCUAUUAGCACAAAAUCAGAUUCUGACAAAAAGCUUAAGGAACCUAUUUUCAAACCUUUUCAGGUUUCGAAAACUAGCCAAAAGCUUGUUCAAGAGUCAAAAUCGGAUUUUGCUAAAGCCAUUAGAGACCAAUUAGAUAGAAUAGAAGCUUCUUCUUCUUCUUCUAAGGUCCAGAUAGUGCUCAAUCUAGCAAGAUUGGUGUACUGGAACAUGACAAUGUCUAUAGCCUCUUCUGAUAUAAAAGCAUUUAUAGAUGAACCAUCUGCUCCUAAAGCCAACAAAAUCCAUUGGGAAUUAGCCUUACCUACUGUCAAGACUCCAUCAGAUCUAGCUAUAGAUAAUAGACCGAGUGAUUUAAAUUAAUCGAGAUUUAAUGCAUCUUUUGUCUAUGAGUGGAAUAUUGAUGGUAUGUCUAAGUACAACAUCUUAGGCUUGUUGCAACAAAUGACCAUGGCAGCCAAUGCCUAUAAAACUCAGGCGGGAACUUCUGAUAGAGCCAUAACAGAAAUUCUGGUGGCUGGUUUUACUGGUCAACUUAAAGGUUGGUGGGAUCAUCUUCUCACUCAACAGCAACAAUUAGAUGUCCUAAACUCUAUUCAAGUCGAUGAGAAUGGAGCCCCCAUUCUUGAUGAGUUCAAUAGUCCAAUUCAGGAUGCUGUUGUUACCCUGAUUUUGACUAUAUCCUUUUAUUUCAUAGGUGACCCUUCGCACCUUAGGGAUAAGAACGCUGAGUUACUACACAAUCUAAGGUGUAGGAAACUUAGUGAAUUCCAAAGCUAUAAAACCACAUUCUUUACCAGACUUUUCCUUAGGGAUAAUGCAAAUCAUAUAACUUGGAAGAAGAAAUUCCUUGCAGGUUUACCGACCCUACUAGGAGAAAAGGUUAGGAAUUCCAUUAAAGCCCUAUAUGACAACUGGAUUCCUUAUGAUGAGCUUACCUAUGGUGAACUUGUCAGUUUUGUCAACAAAGAAGGUUUAAAGAUUUGUCAAGAUUUGAAGUUACAGAAACGACUAAAAUGGGAGUUUAGGAAAUCUAAGCAAGAAUUGUUAGUUUCUGUAAACAAUUUAAUUAUGACCCCUUUAAAAUUUCUACUUCUAAGGAUUGUAAUGGUAAGUGUUCUUCGAAACGUUACAAAAAACAUUACAAAUCAAAAAGCCAUAGGAAACCCUUUCAAGAUUUUAGAGAACUUUCUUAUAAGAAACCAUCGAGGCCUUAUAAGAAGCCCAACUUCUCUAAAAGGAAAGAGUUUAGAGCCAAACCAAAAACCCCUUUUAACUACAGAGAAGCCACAUGUUACAAAUGUGGAAAGAAAGGCCAUACUGUAAAAUUCUGUCGUAUGAGCAGAAAGCUCCAUGAGCUUGGCCUUGAUGAAGAAAUUCUUUUUAAAGUUGCCCCUUUACUUGUAGAGUCUUCUGACUCUGAGUCUUUCAUGACGGGAGAUAGUGAGCCUCUACAGGUUGAUGAGUUAAAUGACUCUGAAUCUGUUUCUUCUAGUGAUUCUGACACCAGUAAUUCAGAUUCUUAUUUAAAGAAAAUCAAUGUUUUGACCAAAGACCAAGAAAUCUUUCUUGAGCUUGUUAAACAUAUUUCUGAUCCAAAUCUUCAAAAGGAAUACCUUGAUAAACUUUUAAAAACCCUGGAUUCUAAUAAAGCAGAAACUUCUAAAGUUCCAAUUAUUAAAAAGAAUUCUUACGAUCUCACUGAAAUUUUGGGUAAAAAGAAAACAAAGAAAAUAAUCCCCAAUAUCCAAGAUCUUCAAACAGAAAUCAAAGAAAUCAAACUUGAGAUUAAAGAAUUACAAGAAAAACAAAAGAAUGAUUCUGAAACCAUUCAACUUCUCCUACAAAAACAAUUAGAAGAUAAUUCUGAUAAAGAAGUUGAAUCUGAUGGUGAUAAUGAACAAAAUCUUGAAAACAUUGAAUCUAUACCCAAUGAUUUUCUGUUUGUUUUAAAACAAAUCACUACCAGAAAAUACUUGAUUAAAAUCACUUUAAUCUUUUCAAAAGAUUUUGAAAUUGACACCAUUGCCCUCUUUGACACUGGUGUCGAUUUAAAUUGUAUUAAAGAGGAUAUCGUCCCUAAAAAAUUUCAUGAAAAGACAAAAGAAAGACUGUCAGCCGCCAAUAAUUCAAAAUUAAAAAUUAAAUUAAAAGUUGAUGCCUCAGUGCAUAACAAUGGUUUUGAAUUCAGAACUUCCUUUCUUCUUACAAAUGACAUACACCAUACUGUCAUUUUAGGAACUCCAUUUAUAAAUCUUAUCACCCCAUAUACUGUCAAUUAUGAUAGUAUAUCUUUUAAAGCAAAAAACCAAAAACUUGUUUUCCCUUUUAUUGAGAAACCAAAAACAAGAAACUUAAAUAUUGUCAAAGCUUGUUCUGUUUACCAGAACCAAAUCAAUGCCAUACUUAAAUCUAAACAAAAUAACUUGCCUUGUUUAAAAAAGGAUUUAAGUUUAUAAAGAAUUGAAAGCCAAUUACAAAAAGACUUUAUACAAAGAAAAAUCUCUAAUUUUAAAGAUCUCAUUGAAAAAGAAAUAUACGCUGAUUUACCAUCUGCUUUUUGGAAUAGAAAACAACAUUUGGUAGAUUUGCCCUAUGAAAAUUCUUUUGAUGAAAAACAAAUACCCACUAAAGCUCGUCCAAUCCAAAUGAACAUGGAAUUGGAACAACACUGUAAAAAUGAGAUAAAAGAUUUAGAAACUAAAGGACUCAUUGUAAAAUCUAGAUCCCCGUGGUCUUAUGCCGCUUUUUAUGUAAAUAAAAAUUUCAAAAUAAAAAGAGAAACACCAAGACUUGUAAUAAACUACAAACCCUUAAAUAAAUCAUUAAAAUGGAUUAGGUAUCCUGUACCUAAUAAAAAAGAUUUGCUCCAGAAAUUAUGUUCUGCCUUUAUUUUUUCAAAAUUUGACAUGAAAUCUGGUUUUUGACAAAUUCAAAUUCACCCUAAAGACCGUUAUAAAACUGCCUUUACUGUUCCUUUUGGACAGUAUGAAUGGACUGUAAUGCCAUUUGGACUAAAGAAUGCACCCUCAGAAUUUCAAAGAAUCAUGAAUGAUAUUUAUAAUCUUUUUUCUGAGUUUUGCAUUGUUUAUAUAGACGAUGUGUUGAUUUUUUCUCAGACAAUUGAUCAACAUUUCAAACAUUUAAAAACCUUUUACCUUGCCACUAGAAAGGCUGGCCUAGCCAUUUUUAGUUCUAAAGUCUCAUUGUUUCAAACAAAAGUAAGAUUCCUUGGUCACUAUAUUUCUAAAGGAACUAUUAUGCCUUUAUUUUUUCAAAAUUUGACAUGAAAUCUGGUUUUUGACAAAUUCAAAUUCACCCUAAAGACCGUUAUAAAACUGCCUUUACUGUUCCUUUUGGACAGUAUGAAUGGACUGUAAUGCCAUUUGGACUAAAGAAUGCACCCUCAGAAUUUCAAAGAAUCAUGAAUGAUAUUUAUAAUAAUUUUUCUGAGUUUUGCAUUGUUUAUAUAGACGAUGUGUUGAUUUUUUCUCAGACAAUUGAUCAACAUUUCAAACAUUUAAAAACCUUUUACCUUGCCACUAGAAAGGCUGGCCUAGCCAUUUCUAGUUCUAAAGUCUCAUUGUUUCAAACAAAAGUAAGAUUCCUUGGUCACUAUAUUUNNNNNNNNNNNNNNNNNNNNNNNNNNNNNNNNNNNNNNNNNNNNNNNNNNNNNNNNNNNNNNNNNNNNNNNNNNNNNNNNNNNNNNNNNNNNNNNNNNNNNNNNNNNNNNNNNNNNNNNNNNNNNNNNNNNNNNNNNNNNNNNNNNNNNNNNNNNNNNNNNNNNNNNNNNNNNNNNNNNNNNNNNNNNNNNNNNNNNNNNNNNNNNNNNNNNNNNNNNNNNNNNNNNNNNNNNNNNNNNNNNNNNNNNNNNNNNNNNNNNNNNNNNNNNNNNNNNNNNNNNNNNNNNNNNNNNNNNNNNNNNNNNNNNNNNNNNNNNNNNNNNNNNNNNNNNNNNNNNNNNNNNNNNNNNNNNNNNNNNNNNNNNNNNNNNNNNNNNNNNNNNNNNNNNNNNNNNNNNNNNNNNNNNNNNNNNNNNNNNNNNNNNNNNNNNNNNNNNNNNNNNNNNNNNNNNNNNNNNNNNNNNNNNNNNNNNNNNNNNNNNNNNNNNNNNNNNNNNNNNNNNNNNNNNNNNNNNNNNNNNNNNAAUUCUGUUAAAAACAUUCCAUGUUUAUUUCUUGCAAAUCCUGCAUUACCUAAAAUUGUUGAAACAGAUGCAUCAGAUUUAAGUUAUGGAGGCAUAUUAAAACAAAAGGAAGAUAAUAGAGAACAAAUAGUACAAUAUGUUUCUGCACAUUGGAAUGAAUGCCAGAAAAAUUAUUCUACUAUCAAAAAGGAAAUUCUUUAUAUUGUUUUGUGCAUUUCCAAAUUCCAAAGUGAUUUACUAAAUCAAAAAUUUUUACUUCGAAUUGAUUGCAAAGCUGCAAAACAUGUUUUAGAAAAAGAUGUUCAAAACAUUGCAUCAAAAUAAAUUUUUGCAUGGUGGUAAGCUAUUUUAAGUGUUUUUUAUUUUGAUAUUGAAUUUAUUAAAGGAGAUACAAAUUCUAUCCCUGAUUUUCUAACUAGGGAAGUUCUCCAAAACAGAUAAAUGCCGCCCAAAAAGAAAGACAAGGGGAAAGGGAUUCUUAAAGACCCUGUGUCCCAAACACAUUCUAAAGCUUCCCAAACCUCUCCACCUAAAGAAGCCCAGUAUAAAGCGCUUGCCUUACAUGAAUAGGUAAAUGAAUGGAUGAAAUCCAUUUCUAAAUCCCCUGAGCUUAUGCUCGCCCUACAAAGUUUUUCUCAAAGCCAAAUUUCUCCUAAAGAAAAUAUUCCUAAAGAGAUUUCAAAACCCUCUUCUCAAAAUGUGGUUGUUUCUGGUGAAAGUUCAUCUUCUCAAAUUGUUCUUUCCCAGCCAAAACUUUCAAAGAAAACCUCCGAUUGGUUUGAUAAAACUCAUUUCUAAAAUAUUUUAUCUAUGAAGGAUGGUUUUUACCAUACUGAUCCUUUCCAAGCUAUUUCAAAGUUUUUCCCUAAAGGCUGGUUUUUCAAACCUUGCGAUUUGACAAAACCCCAAUCUUAUUAUCAAAGCAUUUUAGAAGCCACUGAGUCUGUAAAAUUCAAGCAUUUCUUUCUUAGUGAAACCCAUUCAGAACCAGCCUACUCCACGGCUACUAUUCUAAAAGUCUUGAGCCCAAACCAGUGGGGAGACCAACUCCACAAACAAAAAAGCUUCCCUCUAAAUUUUCAAAUGCGUUUUCUCUGUUUCUGUACAAAUUUCUUCCUUCCAUGGGUAUGAAUGUGGAAUUUCAGAUAUCAUACCCAAGAAGCCCAACUCAUUUUACAAAGAACUUUUAAAGUAAAAUGGUGGUCAAAGUUCGACGAACAUACCAAAUUAACUGACACUCUGAUCCAAAGUUGGCUCUGUUCUAAAGGCUUCUUACCCCCCACCAUUAAAGAUGUCAAAGUCCAAGAAACAUUUCUUACCCAAAAAUCCAAAGCCCAAUCUCUUUUGGCCAGCGCCAAAACUAAAGAAGAAUAUUUUAAAGUUAUGGAGCAGCUCCUCACUUCAAGAUCAAAGUCUUCAGUUGCUGACUCCUCUGAUGACGAUGAACAAGAUGAAGAGCCAUUUAUUUCUCUUGGAGACGAAAAUGAAGACGACUGUUUUGGAAUUUUCUCUCCGAUAAAGCAUUGUAAAUAGUUAUCAUUUAUAUGCAUGUAAAAAAAAAGAGUAAUUAUAUUCCAUAUUUCUAUUAUGUAUCUUUCCUUUCUUGCAUGAGAAUAUGUAUUUUUAUACCCUCGGUUGGUCCCCUGGACACAAGUGAGAGCGCACAUGUCUCUUCACCCAAAUCAUACUUGUAUUUUUAAAGAAUAUCCAAAGACAACUCCAAAGACUACUGUCUUAAAGAUCCAGUCUUUGUAUUUAAAUCGGGAGGAAGACUUAGACUCCUCAGAUUUUUUAGAAUUCUAUUUUUUUCUUUUCUUCUUCUCCUUUUCUCUCUCUCUCUCUCUCUCUGGGAAUCAGGAAUCGGAAGACGACAAGGAAUUUUCCUGUCUUCAGAUUAAUUUCCCAUUCCUUCUGUAACACUUUCCUUUAAAGAAAAACAAAGCAAAGAAAAAUUAAAUGUAAGAUUUGUAAUUUUUUUUAAAGCUUGUAAUAAAUUUAAAUUUCUAUAUGUUUAAAUUUCCACAAUUUAAUUUAAAGUAUUUUUAAUUUUCGUAAUUUAUUUUAAAGCAUUUAAAUUUCAGAAAUUUAAAUUUUAUGCAUACUUUGCAGACUGAUUUGUAUUAGAUCUGCCAUAAAAAUUGUUACGUUUCUCAGAAGCAAAGAGACCAGAUCUCUGUCUUCUGUUGUAUCUUCUCUUCUUCCUCCAACCAUUCAGAGUAUUAUUUAUGGGAUCCAGAUCUAAUACUAUCUAUGGGCCUUUAGAUCUGUUGCUAGGCUUGCUAAAGAAAACAUUUUCUGCUUAAAGAAUCUAAUCAAUAUUUGGUAAAGAAUUAAUUAAAUGGGUAUACCGGCUGGAAACCAGAACAUGCGGGAUAUUGAUCUGCUCUAAGUCAGAUCUGGUCCCUAAGGCAGACUAGUCUCUGUAUUGAUCAGGUAGAACAACGCCACGUACCGAUUUAAUCAUAAUAAUAAGAACCCAUCCCACCUUUGCGACUUGAUUUCUUUAAUAAAACAUUUUCAUUUUCUAAUAUCACAUCCAUCCAAGUUACCCACAACUGAAGCAACAGACUCGCCACAGUUCAAGCUUCAGUUGUCUUAAAUUCAAAGCUGUGUGACAUUGAGAGUCAGAGUUUUGUUUACAACAUUUACAAUUUCGAUGGAUGAGGGAUGCUUACAUAGAUUGCUUGGAUUCGAGAGCUUUACAAUGGAAAAUGUUUACAGAUUUUGUAGAAAGGGAAAAUUACAAGACAAGAAUAAUUUUCCUUGAUGUCUUGAUCCUGAUUUCCCCCGAGAGAGAGAGAGAGAGCAGAAGGAAAUAGGAUCAAAGGAUAAUUGUGUUUUCGAAAUAAUUCUUUAUUGAUUGCUUUAGAUAAAACAAAUUGGAUCGCGGUUGUUCAAAUUUUAAAUUCAGUUACCAACUUUAGAUUAAGUAGAUUUGCUUUGGAUCGCGGUUGUUCAGGUUUUAUAUUUAUUAAAUGAGUACGUGGCGUUGUUAAACCAGAUCGAUGCAGAAGGGAAUCUGCCUUUGGACCCAGAUCUGACUUAGACCAGAUCAAUAGCCCGCACGUUCGGGUUUCCAGCCGAUAUACCAACUUAAUUUUGCUUUAACAAAUAAUAAUUAAGUUCUUUAAACGCGGUUGUCAGAUUUUAAAUAUUUUGCCAAAUCUUUAUUAAAUUCUUUAGCAAGCCUAGCAACACAUACAUCUAAAGGCUUGGGUACAAACACAGUACCAGAUCCGGUUCCCGAAAAUGGUGCUCUGAAGGAAUGGAGGGAGAAGAGAAGAUUUUACAACUGAGAAUCGAGAUCUGGUCUCUUUGCCUCAGAGGAACGUACAAUUUAUAUGGCAGAUCUGAUACAGAUCAGUCUGCAGAGCAUGCAUAGAAAGCUUUAAAAGACUGAAAUUUAAAUGCUUUAAAUGUAAAUUGCGGAAAUUUAAAUGUUACAUAAAAUUAAAUUGCAGAAAUUUAAAGUGCGGAAAUUAAAUUGCUUUGAAUAAUUACAUUUAUUUCUUUUGAUCCGACAACUUUAAGAUUUUUGUCUUCGGAUUCCAGAUUCCUAUUCCCAGAGAGAGAGAGAGAGAAUUCUAGAGAGAAAGGAGAGAAGAAGAGAGAGAAGUUCUAAACUUAGAAAUGAAAAACCUGAGGAGUCUGAGUCUUCCUCUCGGUUUUUAUACAAAGAUCUUUAAACUGUUCACUGUAGUGGGAUUUUAAGUGCACAGUAAACUCUGGAAAUCUGCACUGUUCACUGUAGCGGAGCUUUAAGUGCACAGUAACAUUUGGAUCGUAUCUUUGAAUAGCCGAUUCUUUGUACAAAAAUUGAAAUACAAUACGAGUGAAGAGACAUGUGCGCUCUCAAUUGUGUCCAGAGGGCCACCCGAAGAUACAGAACAAAUAAUUUUUUUUUUAAAUAAUAGUUAUUUACAAUGCUUUAAAGGAGAAAAAAUUCCAAAACAAUCAUCUUCAUUUUCGUCUCCAAGAGAAAUGAAUGGCUCUUCAUCUUCAUCUUCAUCUUCGUCUUCAGAGGUGUCAGCCACUGAUGACUUUGACCGGGAGGCGAGGAGCUGUUCCAUGGCUUUGAAGUAUUCUUUUUCUGUUUUGGUACUUGCCAAUAGUGAUUGGGCUUUGGAAUUUUGGGUCAAAAAGGUUUGUUGGGCUUUGGAAUGUGUUAUGGUGGGUUGAAGAAGGCCUUUCGCAGAGAGCCAAUCUCGGACCAAAUUUUCAGUUAAUUUUGACUGUUCGUCAAAUUUGGACCACCAUUUUACUUUAAAGGUUAUUUGAAGGAUGAGUUGGGAAUCUUGGGUAUGAAGCCUAAGGUUCCACAUCCAUACCCAUGGAAGGAAGAAAUUUGUACAGAAACAGAGAAAGGGGGGAAACCUUUUCUCGGAUUCAGAAGGAGUAUAGUGGGCUUUGAAGAUGUUUAAAUAAUGGGUGGCAUUCGGGGUUAAAAUUUGUGGUAUUGGGCCAAAAGUAUUCCACCAAUUAUGGAACCAGUUUGGAAGGCUUUGGACGGUUAUUUUUGGGUUGAAGAAAAAUAACCAAGAAUGAGAUUUUUUGGGAUUUUGGAUAAAAAAGGUGUUAUACCAGGCUUGUUGGUAAUCCCAGUAGGAAUAAGUCCGACAAUGAGGUAAACGUGUUUGAAAAUUUAAAGGGAAAGUUUUAAAAUUAUGGAGUAGGUCACCCUAUUGGUUUGGGCUCAAAACUUUUAAAAUAGUAGCCGUGGAAUAGGCUGGUUCUGAAUGUGAUUCACUAAGAAAGAAAUGUUUGAACUUAACUGAAUCAGUGAUUUCUAAAAUGCUUUGAUAGUAGGACUGAGGUUUUGUUAAAUCCCAUGGUUUAAAAAACCAGCCCUUAGGGAAAAACUUUGAAAUUGCUUGGAAAGGAUCAGCAUGGUAAAAUCCAUCUUCUAAAGAAAGAAUAUUUUGAAAAUGGGUUUUAUCAAACCAAUCGGAGGUUUUCUUUGAAUGUGAUAGUUGGGAAAGCACAAUUUGGGAAGAAGAACUUUCACCAGAGACAAUCACAUUUUGAGAAGAGGGUUUUGAGAUUUCUUUGGAGAUAAGGUUUUCUUUUUCUUCUUUUGAGAAAAUCUGGCUUUGAGAAAGGUUUUGUAAGGCGAGCAUAAGCUCAGGGGACUUUGUAAUGGAACUCAUCCAUUGUUUUACUUGGUCAUCAGAAGAGGUGGUUUUGUAAUGGGCACCAUGUUCUUCAACCAUUUCUAUCCAAGAUUUAAUAGGCAUGGCUAAGGAAAGUAAUUUGUCUUUAGAAGGGGUAGCUUGGGGUUCUUUAGAGGUUGCUCUAAAUUCAAAAACAUAUUGUACUAUCUGUUCUUUAUCAUUUUCUUUUUGCUUUAAUAUGCCUCCAUAACCUAAAUCAGAUGCAUCAGUUUCAACAAUUUUAGGUAAUGUAGGAUUAGCAAGAUAUAAACAUGGGAUGCUUUUCACAGAAUUCUUUAUAAGCUUUACAACCUUGGUAUGUUCAUCUGUCCAGGGAACAGGUUUUUUCUUUAAUCUAUCAUGCAAGGGUUUAGACAUCCUAUUAAUGUUAGGACAGAAAUCAAGAACAUAAUUUAAACUUCCAAAAAAUCUUUGUAAUUGGAUUUUGUCAAGAAUUUUAUCAGGAAAUUUAUCAGCAAACAAAAGAGAUCUCUCGAUUGGAGUGAUUGUUCCUUUAAAAAUAUGAUGACCAAGGAAUCUGACUUUUGUUUGAAAUGAAGAAACCUUAGAACUGGAAAUUGCCAAUCCAGCCUUUCUGGUGGCAAAAUAAAAAGUCUUUAAAUGUUUGAAAUGCUGGUCGAUAGAAUUUGAAAAUAUUAAUACAUCGUCAAUGUAAACAAUGCAAAAAUCAGAAUAAGGAUUAGAGAACAAAUUGCUAAAGCCAUUAGAGAACAAUUGGAUAGGAUAGAAACUGCUUCUUCCUCAUCUAGCAAAGUUCAGAUAGCCCCUGAUACUCCUCAAUCUAGCAAGAUUGGAGUAUUAGAACAAGACAAAAUGUACAGAGUUGCAAAUUGUUCUCUAUCGACUUGACUUUUUAUGGACUGAAAAGGGAGAUUUAUAACAGAGGGUAUUUUUGUAAAUUUCCUUUCUAAUGAAGGAAUGCUUGAGCACGAUGCUUUAUCAGAAAAUCUGGAUGAGGUGGAUCUCCUGAAUGACAGUUUGACUUUACCAUCGGAAUACUGAGUAACAUUUUGCAACUCUGUAUUGGGCUCAAGUUGUUUCGGAAUCGCUGGUGGAGCGGCUCCUUCAAGGAUCCAUUCCUCUGGAAGAUUUACAUCUUUCCAUUGGAUUGGUUUAGGAAUGACUGUGUUUGCUUUGGACAAAUCAGUCUGCAAGAGAAGGGUCUCAUCUCUUUUCGACUGGUAUUUAUGUGGAAGAUUUACAUCUUUCCAUUGGAUUUUGUAAGAAAUUUUAAAAAUUAAUGCAACAUGGAUGGAUCCCUUAAUCAUAUGAUAAUUAUGGGUUUUGAUUUGUAAAAUCAUGCUCUUUAAAAUAUUUUUGUCUUUAAGAGAAAUUGUUAUAUUGACAAAUCAGUCUGCAAGAGAAGGGUCUCAUCUCUUUUCGACUGGUAUUUAUGUUGUGUGCUAAAUGCAGAAAUCAUUUCCAAGCCUUCUUUGGUCAAAGGUUUUAUUCCUACUUGGAUUAAACCAAUGUGAAUAUAUUUGAAAUUCUUUUCUUUUAAUUUCUUUAAAGAUUUUUCUGAAAAUAAAUAAAUUGUUUCAAAAGGCUCUGAAAGAGUUAUAUCACGUUCUUCAGUCUUUAUAAUAUAAUCAUGCUUUAAAAGAUCAAGCAUUUUUGUUUUGUAAAUCUUUUCUUUGGAAAUUUUUGGAAGUUCCCAACAAUUAAUUGCUUUAUCAAAGUUCUCAAUAAUGAAUUCUUCUGAACUCACAACAUGCUUUGACUCACUAGUCUUCCCGGAAGAAGAGCUAGAAAAGGACGAUGUUCUAUAGAUCGGAGGAUCCAUGGUCAAGACCUUAUGGUAUAUUUUUGGUUUGGUCAAAAUGGCUACAGGUAUGGAUUUACAACCCUCAGCGGAAUCCUUAUCCUAAAACGGGACUUACAACCAGUAAAAAUUUACCACAAAACAAAACUUCAAAAUAAAACACAAGAUUUUAAACACGAAACUCUAAACAAUAAAACACUUUCCUCCCCUUGGCUAUGAUACCAGAAGGAAAUAGGAUCGAAGGAUAAUUGUGUUUUCGAAAUAAUUCUUUAUUGAUUGCUUUAGAUAAAACAAAUUGGAUACCAGAAGCCUUCAAAGAAGAACCUUCUACUCCUAAAGCCAACAAAAUUCAUUGGGAAUUAGCCCUUCCCAUUGUCAAGACUCCACCGGAUCUAGCAAUAGAUAAUAGACCAAGUGUAUUAAAUCAAUCCCGAUAUAAUGCAUCUUCAGUCUAUGAGUGGAAUAUUGACGGCAUGUCCGAAUACAAUAUCCUAGGAUUGUUGCAACAAAUGACAAUGGCANNNNNNNNNNNNNNNNNNNNNNNNNNNNNNNNNNNNNNNNNNNNNNNNNNNNNNNNNNNNNNNNNNNNNNNNNNNNNNNNNNNNNNNNNNNNNNNNNNNNNNNNNNNNNNNNNNNNNNNNNNNNNNNNNNNNNNNNNNNNNNNNNNNNNNNNNNNNNNNNNNNNNNNNNNNNNNNNNNNNNNNNNNNNNNNNNNNNNNNNNNNNNNNNNNNNNNNNNNNNNNNNNNNNNNNNNNNNNNNNNNNNNNNNNNNNNNNNNNNNNNNNNNNNNNNNNNNNNNNNNNNNNNNNNNNNNNNNNNNNNNNNNNNNNNNNNNNNNNNNNNNNNNNNNNNNNNNNNNNNNNNNNNNNNNNNNNNNNNNNNNNNNNNNNNNNNNNNNNNNNNNNNNNNNNNNNNNNNNNNNNNNNNNNNNNNNNNNNNNNNNNNNNNNNNNNNNNNNNNNNNNNNNNNNNNNNNNNNNNNNNNNNNNNNNNNNNNNNNNNNNNNNNNNNNNNNNNNNNNNNNNNNNNNNNNNNNNNNNNNNNNNNNNNNNNNNNNNNNNNNNNNNNNNNNNNNNNNNNNNNNNNNNNNNNNNNNNNNNNNNNNNNNNNNNNNNNNNNNNNNNNNNNNNNNNNNNNNNNNNNNNNNNNNNNNNNNNNNNNNNNNNNNNNNNNNNNNNNNNNNNNNNNNNNNNNNNNNNNNNNNNNNNNNNNNNNNNNNNNNNNNNNNNNNNNNNNNNNNNNNNNNNNNNNNNNNNNNNNNNNNNNNNNNNNNNNNNNNNNNNNNNNNNNNNNNNNNNNNNNNNNNNNNNNNNNNNNNNNNNNNNNNNNNNNNNNNNNNNNNNNNNNNNNNNNNNNNNNNNNNNNNNNNNNNNNNNNNNNNNNNNNNNNNNNNNNNNNNNNNNNNNNNNNNNNNNNNNNNNNNNNNNNNNNNNNNNNNNNNNNNNNNNNNNNNNNNNNNNNNNNNNNNNNNNNNNNNNNNNNNNNNNNNNNNNNNNNNNNNNNNNNNNNNNNNNNNNNNNNNNNNNNNNNNNNNNNNNNNNNNNNNNNNNNNNNNNNNNNNNNNNNNNNNNNNNNNNNNNNNNNNNNNNNNNNNNNNNNNNNNNNNNNNNNNNNNNNNNNNNNNNNNNNNNNNNNNNNNNNNNNNNNNNNNNNNNNNNNNNNNNNNNNNNNNNNNNNNNNNNNNNNNNNNNNNNNNNNNNNNNNNNNNNNNNNNNNNNNNNNNNNNNNNNNNNNNNNNNNNNNNNNNNNNNNNNNNUACGGUGAACUUGUCAGUUUCGUCAAUAAAGAAGGAUUAAAGAUUUGUCAAGAUUUGAAAUUACAGAAACGUCUUAAGUGGGAACUUAAAAGGUCUAAACAAGAGUUAGGCGGUUUCUGUAAACAAUUCAAUUAUGGCCCCUUUAAAACUUCUUAUCCCAAAGAUUGUAAUGGCAAGUGUUCUACUAAACCUCGUAGGAAACAUUACAAAUAAAAAACUUUUAGGAAACCCUUUCGUAAUUUUAGAGAACCUCCUUAUAAGAAACCUUCGAGGCCUUAUAAGAAACCCAAAUUCUCUAAAAGAAAGGAGUUUCGAGCCAAACCAAAGACCCCUUUCAAUUACAAAGAAGCUAUAUGUCAUAAAUAUGGCAUGAAAGGUCAUACUGCAAAUUAUUACAGGAUUAACAAAAAGCUUCGUGAACUUGACCUCGAUGAGGAAAUCCUUUCCAAAAUAGCCCCCCUUCUUGUCGAAUCUUCUGAUUCCGAAUCUUCUAUGUCGGGAGACAGUGAUCCAUAUCAAGUUGAUGAACUUUUUGACUCAGAUGACUCUGUAUCUAGCAGUAGUGAAUCUGAAUCUGAUUCAUAUUUAAAGAAAAUCAAUGUUUUGACUAAAGACCAAGAAACUUUUCUUGAACUUGUAAAGCAUAUUUCUGAUCCAAAUCUUCAAAAAGAAUAUCUUGAUAAACUUUUGAAAACUUUGGAUUUUAAUAAAGCCGAGACUUCUAAAGUCCCAAUUGUUAAAAAGAAUUCUUAUGAUCUUACUCAAAUUUUGGAUAAAAAGAAAACAAAGAAGACGGUUCCUAAUAUCCAAGAUCUUCAGAAAGAGAUAAAAGAAAUCAAAUGUGAAAUCAGAGAUUUAAAAGAAAAACAAAAAAGUGAUUCUGAUACUAUCCAACUUCUUUUACAAAAACAAUUGCAGGAUAAUUCAGACAAUGAAUCUAAUCCUGAUAAUGGUGAUGAUAUUAAAGUAGAAAACAUUGAGUCAGUACCCAAUGAUUUCCUAUUUGUUUUAAAGCAAAUCACCACAAGAAAGUAUUUGAUUAAAGUCACUUUAAUCUUUUCUGAUGAUUUUGCAAUGGACGCCAUUGCCCUUUUUGACACUGGCGCCGAUUUAAAUUGCAUUAGAGAAGACAUCGUCCCCAAAAGAUUUCAUGAAAAAACAAAAGAAAGACUUUCUGCCGCUAAUAAUUCAAAACUGAAUGUCAGUUCCAAGGUUGAAGCCUCAAUCCAUAAUAAUGGUUUUGAUUUUAAAACAUCUUUUGUCCUCACAAAUGAUAUUCAUCAUGCCAUCAUUUUGGGAACUCCUUUUAUAAAUCUUAUAACUCCAUAUACUGUCAAUUAUGAUAGUAUAUCCUUCAAAGCAAAAAACAAGAAACUUGUUUUCCCUUUUAUUGAAAAACCUAAAACAAGGAAUUUGAAUAUUGUUAAAGCCUGUUCUGUUUAUCAAAACAGAAUAAAUAACCUAAUUAAAUCAAAACAGCACGUCCAAUCCAGAUGAACAUGGAAUUGGAACAACAUUGCAAAAAUGAAAUCAAAGAUUUAGAGUCAAAAGAACUCAUUGUUAAGUCAAGGUCCCCAUGGUCUUGUGCCGCUUUUUAUGUUAAUAAAAAUUCUGAAAUUGAAAGAGGCACUCCUAGAUUAGUCAUAAACUACAAACCUCUUAAUAAUGCUCUAAAAUGGACUAGGUAUCCAAUACCUAAUAAAAAGGAUUUACUCCAAAAACUAUGUUCUGCUCUUAUUUUUUCAAAAUUCGACAUGAAAUCUGGUUUUUUGGCAAAUUCAAAUUCAUCCUAAUGACCGUUACAAAACUGCUUUUACUGUUCCAUUUGGACAGUAUGAGUGGACUGUUAUGCCCUUUGGUUUAAAGAAUGCACCCUCAGAAUUUCAAAGAAUUAUGAAUGAUAUUUAUAAUCCUUAUUCUGAUUUUUGCAUUGUUUACAUUGACGAUGUAUUGAUAUUUUCAAAUUCUAUCGACCAGCAUUUCAAAUAUUUAAAGACUUUUUAUUUUGCCACCAGAAAGGUUGAAUUGACAAUUUCUAGUUCUAAGGUUUCUUUAUUUCAAACAAAAGUCAGAUUCCUUGGUCAUCAUAUUUCUAAAGGAAUAAUCACUCCAAUCGAGAGAUCUUAAAGGAACAAUCACUCCAAUCGAGAGAUCUCUUUUGUUUGCUGAUAAAUUUCCUGAUAAAAUUAUUGAUAAAACCUAAUUACAAAGAUUUCUUGAAAGUUUAAAUUAUGUUCUUGAUUUCUGUCCUAACAUUAAUAGGAUGUCUAAACCCUUGCAUGAUAUAUUAAAGAAAAAACCUGUUCCCUGGACAGAUGAACAUACCAAGGUUGUAAAGCUUAUAAAGAAUUCUGUGAAAAGCAUCCCAUGUUUAUAUCUUGCUAAUCCUACAUUACCUAAAAUUGUUGAAACUGAUGCAUCUGAUUUAGGUUAUGGAGGCAUAUUAAAGCAAAAAGAAAAUGAUAAAGAACAGAUAGUACAAUAUGUUUCUGCACAUUGGAAUGAUUGCUAGAAAAAUUAUUCUACUAUCAAAAAAGAAAUUCUUUCCAUUGUUUUAUGCAUAACAAAAUUUCAAAGUGAUUUAUUAAAUCAAAAAUUUCUACUUAGAAUUGAUUGCAAAGCUGCAAAACAUGUUUUGGAAAAAGAUGUUCAAAAUAUUGCAUCAAAACAGAUUUUUGCACGAUGGCAAGCCAUUUUAAGUGUUUUUGAUUUUGAUAUUGAAUAUAUUAAAGGUGAUACAAAUUUUAUUCCUGAUUUUCUAACUCGGGAAUUUCUUCAAAACAGAUAAUGCCGCCAAAGAAGAAAGACAAAGGUAAAGCCGUUCUUAAAGAUUCUGAAUCUAGAGCAACCUCUAAAGAACCCCAAGCUACCCCUUCUAAAGACAAAUUACUUUCCUCAGCCAUGCCUAUUAAAUCUUGGAUAGAAAUGGUUGAAGAACAUGGUGCCCAUUACAAAACCACCUCUUCUGAUGACCAAGUAAAACAAUGGAUGAGUUCCAUUACAAAGUCCCCUGAGCUUAUGCUCGCCUUACAAAACCUUUCUCAAAGCCAGAUUUUCUCAAAAGAAGAAAAAGAAAACCCUAUCUCCAAAGAAAUCUCAAAACCCUCUUCUCAAAAUGUGAUUGUCUCUAGUGAAAGCUCUUCUUCCCAAAUUGUGCUUUCCCAACCAUCACCUUAAAAGAAAAUCUCCGAUUGGUUUGAUAAAACCCAUUUUCAAAAUAUUCUUUCUUUAGAAGAUGGAUUUUACCAUGCUGAUCAUUUUCAAGCAAUUUCAAAGUUUUUCCCUAAGGGCUGGUUUUUUAAACCAUGAGAUUUAACAAAACCUCAGUCCUACUUAUGCGGCUAACCGCUUGGUCUCUUAAGCGCAUCCGGCAGGCCGUUGCCCCUGCUCUUCGUCUUCUAAUCAUUUGCUCUCUCUACAACCCAAAACCUGCUCCUCUCUCUCACUACAACCCACCAUUUUCUUAUACUUUUCUUUCCAAUUUCAUGUUUCCAAACCAUUAAUCAUCUCUUCAACAACAAUUUUUCAUCAUCUAAACACCAUUUUUUACUCAAAAUUUAUAGAUCCCUAAUUAUUUCAAAUAGCCCAAACAAUUUAAUCCAAGGCAUAAACCCCUAAUUGUUUCACAUGGCAUUUUCAGUAGUCACCACAACAAGCACAAGAGUGAAGACUGCAUCGUUACCUUGUCUUUAACUCGAAAAUGAAAGACAACGAAUGAAGCUAUGUUCAACUACUCCAGAUGACAGCAACCUUGUGAUGGAUUCGACUGUUAUUUGCUGUGUAGGAGAUGGUAGCUUCGAUUUUAUGUGCUUCGUAUAAAAAUCUUGCAGAGAAAUCAGAAAUUUGAGAAAGAGAUGGUGAGAGAUGUGAGAGAGGGAAAAAAGGGGGCACCAGUUCAACGAGUUGCCCCUUUUUUCUUUUUCAAAUUUUCAAUCUCAACCGUUGGAUUCAUUUUACUAAAUCCAACGGCUACAAGCCAAUAACCGCUACAAUGCCGGGAAUCGAGGCCCGCAUAUAAAGGAAAAUUAAAAAAUCAAUAUUUUUUAACGUGCACAUACUACAAUCGAAUAAUAUACUAGGUCCCACAAAACGUAAAGUUCCAGACUUUACCAUGCAAGAUGCCAAAAAUCAUCCAAAGGUCAGUGACUGAGUGAUGAGAGUUCGCCUUCUGUUCACAGUAGGCCUUAGUGCCGACGCACUCUUUUUACCUUUAAUUAACUUUUUCCACAAAUAAGUGAGAUGACUCAUUUUGCACCAAUUAAUUCAACUACCCCUAUGAUUUUGACAACAGAAAUUUCUAGGAAUUAAAAUUUCAACCCCAAAAAGUAAAACAAACCUCAAUCUAUCUAUUCCUGUUUUUAUUCUCUGAAAAAUAACAUGCUAGACGCUAAAAUUCGUUGUUUCUAAUCUCUAUAGCAAUUCAGAAAAUGGUUAAUCCAAUUCCUGAAAGCGUCAAGAAAAUAUGGGAUAACUGGAACAUACGUGGUGUAAUCUUGUUCAGUCUUUCAUUACAAACAGUCUUGAUUCUGUUUGCUCCACUCCGAAAAGGCACGGGCAAUAAACUGAUCAUCUCCGUAAUCUGGUCAGCGUACUUGCUUGCAGACUGGGCUGCUAAUUUUGCCGUCGGACUCAUCGCAGAAAAUGCAAAGGAUACCUCCGAGAAGAAGCAUAAGGAGCUUUUAGCAUUUUGGGCCCCAUUUCUAUUGUUACACCUCGGUGGUCCAGACACUAUAACUGCAUUUGCUCUUGAAGAUAACGAACUCUGGCUCAGACACCUGUUUGGUCUAAUAUUCCAGGCUGUUGCCGCUGGUUAUAUCUUCCUCCUGUCUCUUCCCGGAAACCAGCUUCUGUUCCCAACAAUACUCAUCUUUAUUGCUGGAAUUAUUAAGUACGUGGAGAGGACUCGUGCUCUGUUUCUUGCAAGCUCGGAGAAAUUCCGAGACUCGAUGCUUAGGAAACCUGACCCUGGCCCAAAUUACGCAAAGUUCGUGGAGACAUAUGUUUCUAAUAUUCGGGCUAAUAUUCAAACAGGCAUAUCGUUGGUGCCAGAGGCUCGAUUUUUUUAUAGGGAUCCUGGUAAUAUUGAGAAUAAACUAGAUUAUCUGGAGGUGAUGCACUUUGCUAGUCAAUACUUCAAUCAUUUCAAAGGGCUAAUUGUCGAUCUCAUCUCCAGCUUCCGCCAGCUUUACAGAACACGAGCUUCGUUUACUACGGAGUUUAGUCCAGAAGAUGCAUUGAGAAUAAUUGAGGUUGAACUUAACUUUAUUUAUGAUGUUUUCCAUACCAAGAUCCAGGUAACACAUUCUGUACUGGGAAUUAUUUUGCGAUUCACAUCUUUUGGCUCUGUUCUUGUAGCCCUUUCAAUUUUCUAUUUACGAGUGGAGAAGAAUGGUUUCAAUGAGUUUGAUGUUGGAGUUACAUACGCCCUGCUCUUGGGUGCCACCACCCUGACAUCAUAGCUUUCUUCGUGCUUGUUUUCUCUGAUGAGACGUUUGUUGCUCUCAGAGAUGGAAACACUGAGUCAAGACUUGGGAAGACCAAAAGCCGGAUAGCCGAUGCUCUCCGCUGGUGUCUUGUGCUCAAGAGCCCAAGGUGGCAAGAAUGUCAUGUGCAGCAUUCACACCGCGGAAUCAAGCAUGAGGUGUUGGCAACACCCUUCAUGUUUCGCAGGUGGUCUGGUUCUGUCUCAGGACACAGCUUGAUAAGAUAUUGCCUCAAGGCACGUCCAAGCAGAGUGCAUAAUCUUGCCUGCUGCAAUAAAGUCAUUAAAAAAUUGGGCAUUGAUAUAAUCUUUCAGAUUAUAGCCAGGACCACAAACAAGGGCAUGCAGUUUCUGCAAAUUUACAAAAUCGUCAGGGUUUUAGGCUUUGUAAUCAAGAAACUCCUUGUUUUAUUGGGCCUAGCUGGUAUUGUGGAUAAGAUAAGUAUCGAACUAUAUCUAUCCCAUGAGAAAUUUCCUAAAGAAUUGUGGCUGCUUAUAUACAAUGAAGUUAAAAGAAAAUCUCUGAGUGCAGGAUCUCCUGAGGCUUUGAGGAGAAUAUGCUCAGCUAAAGGCGAUUGGAUUCUGCAGGAGUGGAAUGGAGAAGUUGUUCUAGAGAGUUAUGGUAUUGCUGAUGUUGCCUAUGAUGAAAGCAUUCUAUUAUGGCACACUGCUACCGAACUCCUUUACUACACUACUGAAGAAGGUGCUGAUGAAAUUACUUACAAUGCUCGAGAAUUCAGCAAGCUCCUCUCGGAUUACAUUCUGUAUCUUUUAGUAUCAAAGCCUGCCAUAAUGGAUGCUGUGGCAGUAAUUGCAAAAAUAAGAUUGCAAGACACUUGUGCAGAUGCCGUCAGAUUCUUUAAAGAAAAAGGCAUAAAAUCAAAUGAGGUAAAGAAGGCCUGUGAAAGCAUUCUGAAAGUGGAUACAUCUUUUCCACCUAGGGAUGUGAAGGGGGAUAAAACAAAAUCUGUAUUGUUUGAUGCGAGCGUGUUGGCCAAAGAACUUCAAGAGUUAGAGGUAGGGAAGAAAUGGAAGUUAGUGAGCCAAGUGUGGGUGGAAUUGUUGUCGUAUGCGGCAUUUCACUGUGGCCCAAGGACACAUGCUCAACAAGUAAGUGAGGGAGGGGAGCUUAUUACUUUUGUAUGGUUAUUGAUGGCUCAUUUUGGUCUUGUAGAGCAAUUCGAAGAUAAUAAGCUGGAUACAAGAACUGAAAUUAAUGGCCAAAUGUUCACUCAAAUUACGGGCUAGAAAUUUACAUGUUGGUUUGAUGUCAUGCUGUAUAUACGUGUGUACUAGAAGUGAAUCAUCCUGUUGAAUUUUUGUUGUUAUUACUUGUACUAGUUCUUAAACAACAUGAUAUUUGGCCCCAAAUUCUUUUCACCGAAUUUUUCAAAAUUAACUUUUUCUAUUAAAAUCAAACCAAAAUUGACAGAUGGUCCAUCGCCGACAAACUUUUGCUGAGCUAUGACCCAUUGCUAAAAAAUAAAUAAAUAAAAAUAAAAUAAAAAUAAAACUUUGUCAAAUUUGAAUUAACGAAAUUUCAGGCCAAAUAUCAUUUUUUGUUUUUAAAUGAUCUUAGCACAAAAGAUGGUAGGUUUCUGCCUCUAGGGAUUACCAUGAUUCAAACAUAAUAGUUAUAUAAAUUAAAAUAUUUUUAUAUUAACUGAAUCAAAUUAAUAUACAUGUACAAGUCAACUCAUUUUGCACGAAUCAAUAUUUGUAUCUUGAUCAAACUCAAUCAAUCACUUAUUUAUGGAAAAAAAAAGUUGAUUAUAAAAAUCUAUCACCUUAUCUUAAUUCACUGUUCCAACAUACUACUUGUUAGAUUAAGUGAAUUAAAAUAAUAUCAUUAUGAUACUUGUCAUCAGAUUUGAGUGCGGUUCCUAAUCUGGCUCAGAGCAGUAGACAUGCUGGCUGCUUGGUUAGGUCAAAUGGGUUGCUUGGUUCAUCGACGAUUCAUAUUCAUCACAUAAUGUUUGCGAGGGAUAAGGUUUUGUUUUAUAAUAAUUUUAGGGAGUCCUAUCAAAGUAUUGUUAAUAUUCAGAUUCAAAAUUAUUAUUAACGACGAACGAGUUAAGAAAUCAAUUUUAUGAUUAGGAAAACGAAUAAAUAUAUCAUGUCAAUGAUUUUGAGGAGUACAAUGUGCAUUUUUUUCCCUUAAAAUUUUAAAAAAGACAAUUGUUGCGUGUGAAGUAAUUAUUUCUUAUAAUAUUUGAUGAUAUAGAAAAUAUUAAAGGAAGAAUAUAUAAACAAAGGGAGCGGAGCUAUUACUUCUUUUGAGAACAAUAGUGAUAGGUGAACAAAAAUUAGUAUAACAAAUUGCACAUUAUCACUAAUAAAAUAUUUUCAUUACAGGAUAAUCAAAUUUCACUAUAAAAUAAUUUUUUUCUUUUGUCUCUUAUAAAUUUUGUACUCUUUUCAAUAGCAGGAACCCAGCACAUCAUUAGAAAAUAAAGCACAUAGAUAUAAAGCUACAUUUCAUUAGAAAUGAAGUGUCAAGGGGGUGGUUAGAAUGGUAAAAAUCCAUGCUAACAGCAAUCCUAAUGAUAUGCUAACAAAGGUAGUUUCAACAGCCAAGCUCAAGGUCUGCUUGAGCCUGGCUGGUCUGUGUGUUUGCUGAAGUACACAGGUUGGAAGACAAUACUGAUCAGGUCUGAUUUGUUGUGGAGAGUUGUUAAGUGUGGUGAAGCAAAUCAGAAUUUAGCAAAACGACAUUGUCUGUUGCGUUUUGGGACUGGAGUAAAACGACGUGGAGUAUAGCGUUUUGAUGGGCAUUAGCUUACACAUUAAAAUGACUUGCAAGGAUGCCGUUUUUGUUUUAAGGAAUCAUGAGCCGUGCGUGCGCAAAUAAGGCUGUUAUAAUUCGUUAUUGCUCGGGUGCGUCACGUGAUUUUCUGGGCUUCAUCAAAAUUAGUGACAGAGCUGUUGAAACAGCUGGCUCUGGUGAAACUAACAAAGAGAAGCUGUGACAUAUAUAGAGAGAGAUUACUGUUAUAUUGGGCAUAUUCUUGACCUGUGAGAGCUGCUCUGUAGCUCUCCGUGAUUCUUUUUAAUAAUCAAUAAAAAAUGAUAGUAUUGUUUCUCCCGUGGAUGUGGGCUGAUGAAAAUCAGCUGAACCACGUUAAUCGUCUUGUUCUUGGUUCUUUUAAUUCUUGUGUUCAUCAUCAUUCUCAGGAUCUCAUCUUUGUUUUCUGAUUGGUCAAGUUAAUUAGACUUAAUCCUGAUUCAUUCUGGAAAGCAUCUUGAUUGGUUUGGCUUAAAGAUUUUGGGCUGCAAUUUGGGAUUACUCGAGUUCUUGAGCACAACAUUUGCAACAAUCUAGACAGAGAUUAUGAUCCUGAGGUUAUGGCUUGUCAGUGCCUUAGAAUUUUCAGAGGGAUAGUUAUCGAUCUCUACCCCAGCUUCAAAGAUUUUCCUCCAGAUAGACCCCGCUUUGGUGUUUUUACUCCAGCAGGUGGGCUGAGAAUAAUUGAGGUUGAACUCAACUUGGUUCAUGAAGUUUUGCACGCCAAGGAGCAGGUAACGGGCUCUGUUCGGGGAAUUAUGUCGAAGUUCAUAUGUUUUGGCUCGGUUGUGGCAGUUCUUUCAGUUUGCUAUUUCCAAGUGGAGAAGCAUGGUUUUAAUGACUUUGAUGUAGGGGUUACAUACACCUUGUUCUUGGGCGUCAUGGCCCUUGAGAUCAUAUCUUUCUUCAGGCUUUUUUUUUCUCGAUUGGACGUUUGUUGCUCACUGGAAUCAUAACAAAAGCUGCAUAUCUUCUAUUAUACGGUGGUUCCUCCAACUCAAGAGAUCACGGUGGCAACGUUCACACAGCAGUGGCAAGCACAAGGUAUUUGCUGCUCCUUUCCUGUUUUGCAGGUGGUCCGGUUCUGUCUCAGGACCGAGCGUCAUAAAGGCACGUCCAAGCAAUAGUUAUGGCAUCGUUAAGUUCUUUCAUAUUACAGCCGUUACCACCUUCAAGGUCAUCCAAUUUCUGCAAAUUGACAAAAUCAUUGCUUGUUUCGGCCAACAUGAUAAAUGGGAUAAAAAUAAGAUCAUCUCUAUCCCAGGAGCCAUUAACUAAAGAUUUGUGGGUGUUUAUAUUUGAAGAAAUGAAAAGAAAAGCUGAGUAUGUGGAUGAAAGUAGAGAAGAGUUGAGCCUGCAUAUCAUCCAGAGGAACAUACUGAUCCAGAGACAGGUAUCGCAAUACCUAGUGAGCCUCCACAUGAUUCAAAGGAGGAUAUCAGAAUAGCUUUGCGGAGAAAAUUUACAGCAGAAGGCGAUUGUACUCUGAAGGAAUUAGAUACUAAAGGCGAUCUCACCAAAUUCGUGAAGGGGCUACCAAAAGAGUAUGAUUACAAGUUUAAUUUUGAUAUAACCCUUACACUGUACUGUGGCACCUCGCGACUGAACUCCUUUACAAAGACACUGCUGAGGAAGUUUCAGAUGAAAAGACUUUCAAUGCUCAAGAAAUCAGCAAGAUUCUCUCUGAUUACAUGCUGUAUCUUUUAGUACUGAAGCCUGCAAUUCUGAAUUAUAAGGCAAAUGAUAUUUGGAAGCACAGCUGGAUUCUAAGCCAAGUAAUAAAAUGAAAACUCUUAGUGCGGAUGUCAAGAUACUUGUAGAAUCAAAAUAGAUUUCGGGGAGGGAAAGUGCUCAACUGAAUCAACCUAAGAAUGCCCAUCUAGUUGAAGAUGCAAAAACGUUGGUGGAGAGCUUCAAAGUUUGAGCAUAAGGAAAAGAAAUGGGAGACAGUGAGCAAAGCGUGGGUGGAAUUGUUGUCAUAUGCAGCAUCUUAAAGCAGCAAAUCACCAAUGACACAUCUUUAGCGAGUAUCGGUGCAGUGCUUAUUACAUUUGUUUGGCUAUUGAUGGCUCAUUUUGUCUAUUGGAACCUAAACCGGAUGAUUGAAUUCAUGUAAUGGAUGUCACAUCCUUUCAAAUGUGAUUAGUGUUUCAUUAUCUUGAGUACUAUCGUGUAAAGUCAUUAUUAUGUUGAAGGGAAUAGAAUGGUUUCAUCAAUGGCAGCAUCAACCAUAUCACAACUCUUUACUUAAUUUAGCAGGGAUAGCUUUUCUCUCCCAUUCCCCGGAAUUCAAUAGCCUUUAGCUGAACAUAUUCUCUUCCAAACCUCAGGAGAUCCCGCACUCAGAUUUUAUUUUAAUUGAUUUCAUCAAAUACGAUACCAUCUAGGCCAAAAAAGCAACGAGUUUCUUGAUAUAUUGAGCCUAAAGGACCAAUGAUUUGGUGAAAGAGCAAAAAUUGGAUGGCCUUGUUUGAGGUCGUGGAUAUAUUCUGAAAGAUUUUAUCAAUGCCCAAUAAUAAAUGACUUUGUUGCGGCACGCAAGAGUAUGCAAACAAUUCUCGAAGUUCUGUACUCUGUUUGGACUUGCAUGAAGUCAAUAUCUUAUCAUGCUGUGUCUACCCUGAGAUACAGCCAGACUGUUGUAAAAAUUUUAAUGUACUCGCAAGCGCACGAAUCUAGAGAUAGAAUAGUGGUAACGAAGUCGAUCCCACAGGGAUUGUUAUAAAUUAAAAAGUCUAAUUUAAAUCUAAAAUUAAUAUUAAUUCUAACCUAGUUGAGCAAAUUGAGUUUUUAAGAAAAUUAAACCAAUUAAACUAAAGAAGCAAUUAAAAUAAAGGAGAAUUCAAUAAGAUAAGAAUUACCAAGGUUUCAGAAUCCACCACUAUUCAACUAGUAAUUAUCUAAUUAUUAAUUAAUCCCCAAUUUUAGAGUGACAACUCGAAAUCAAUCUAUGUCAUCUCAUGGAUAUAACAAUUAAGCCCAAGUAAUUAAAUCUAAUGUAGGUUCUUUUUCUGCUUAAUAAUAUGACAUCUAAGAAUCUCAUGUAAACAUAUUGAAUAACAAAGAGUCAAAGGCGGAUGUACGGUACAGCAGAAAAACAAAAAUACAAAAAUAGUGGAAGGAUAUAUAAAAUUAAUGUUCUUCAAUUAAUUGGAUAAAAAAAUUUCAUGUUCUUAAUUAGUUUCACACCUCGGAUAGUUGAGAAAUUCAGAAUUCUUGCUUCUAUUACCAAGGGACAUGAACUCAUUGAUAUAAUAACUAUAUAGGCAACAAGCAAAGUGCGGACUGGAACGUUAUUCCUAUAACACUUUGACAUUGUUGUGAAAAAUUUUAAUAUACUCGCAAGCGCAUGAAUCUAAAAUUAGAAUAGUGGUAACGAGGUCGAACCACAUGGAUUGUUAUAAAUUGAAAAGUCUAAUUUAAAUCUAAUAUUGAUAUUAAUCCUAACCUAGUUGAGCAAAUUGAGUUUUUAAGAAAAUUAAACCAAUUAAACUAAGGAAAUUAAAAUAAAGGAGAAUUCAAUAAGAUAAGAAUUACCAAGGUUUCAGAAUCCACCACUAUUCAACUAGUAAUUAUCUAAAUAUUCAUUAAUCCCCAAUUUUAGAGUGACAACUCGAAAUCAAUCUAUGUCAUCUCAUGGAUAUAACAAUUAAGCCCAAGUAAUUAAAUCUAAUGUAGGUUCUUUUUCUGCUUAAUAAUAUGACAUCUAAGAAUCUCAUGUAAACAUAUUGAAUAACAAAGAGUUAAAGUUUCCUAAGCACUCCAUGUAAACAAUUUAAUGAAAGACAUAAAAUCAAAAAUAAUCAUGUAUAAACUUUAUAGAUCAAAGCAUAGAAUUAAUCGAAUAUUAAUCCUAACAAUCAAUCAUGCAUGACAGAAUUGAUGAAAAGAUUUUAUUAACAUCCAAUUAAUCAUGUGAAAUAAAAACCAUAAUCAUCAAAGAACAUAUAUAGGGAAUUAAUUAAAUAAAAAGAUAAUUAUUUUAUUGAAUAGGGUUUCAUCUUUAACCUCAGUGUAAGAAAAUUAGCUAGACAUACUUGAAUUGAGAGCAACAAAAAAAAUAAAAUCAGCCAUGGGAAGCCGAAAUAUUGCUGCUGCGGAUUGCUCUCUUCCAAAGCCGAAUUCUCCUCCACAGACGGCUACCCUCCCCAAAAGCCAAGAGCUUAGCUUUCUUAUAUAGCCUUUAAAAUGGGCCCCACCUUGUCAAUCCUAAAGCCAAAAGGAUUUGGCCUUUUAUUUUUCUUUACUCUCACUCACGUGCUCAUCAAUUAAGCUUGUACUAGGAUUUCCUUUUUCCAAUUGUAAAAGCCAAGUGGGGUCCCUUCUAAAAGCUAAAAUCAAUUUCUCUCUUUUGUCCGCAUGAGCAUGAUGAAUUUACUUGUUGAAUUCGGUUCCUUGGCUUGAUUUCCACAUGCAUGUAUGUCUAAUUCCUUCCAAAAAUCAAUUAAUCUUUAAUGCUUACAAAUUGAACUCCUUUAUGCUCUUUUUAUCCAUAAUCUCCAAUUCAUUCCCUAUUCAAUAAAAUAAUUCAAUUAAUUAAAAAUAACAAAUAAAUAUAACUAACAAUUAUUUAAUUAAUGGUAAAAUAUGUAUGUAUUAUAUGCUCAUCACAGACCACCUGCGAAACAAGAGAGGUGUUUCCAGCACCUCAAGCUUGAUUCCGAGGUGAGAAUGUUGAGCGUGACAUUCUUGCCAUCCCGAGCUCUUGAGAACAAGAAACCUGCGUAGAGUAGCUGCAGUUUUUUCUCUUCCCAAGUCUUGACUCAUGGUUUCCUUUUCGAGAGUAACAAACGAAUGAUCAGAGAAAACAAGCAUGAAGAAUGCUACGAUGUCAAGGGCUAAAUUGGCACCCAAAGAAGGCGCAUGUAACUCAUUCAAACUAUGCUUCUCAAUUUGGAAACAGAAAAUUGAAGGAGCUCCCACAAUAGAACCAAAAGACUUGAUCCACAAAACAAUUCUCAAUACAGAAUGUGGUAACUGGUCGGAUCUUGGUAUGGAAAACAUCAUAUAUGAAAUUGAGUUCAACUUCAAAUUGUUCUCAAAGGCAUUUUUUGGACUAAACUUCAUGGUAAAUGAAACUCGUGUUGUUGUUAGGCUCGAGCUGUUACAGACGGUAUUAGAGUUGGCUCGUGACUCUUGUGUGGAUGAUUAAUUGUUAUUAAAGAGGACAUGAGGUCCUAAAGAAAAUAAAUAACAAAAAAUAAAUCAUAAGCAUAUGAUUUUUUUUUUUAAAUUCAAACAAUCAUAACAUUAUGAUUAGUUGAUUACGUUGCAGAAAAAAGAAUUAAUUUUUUUUAUGAAAAAACUUGUUUGGUGGUACAAAUGCAAAAUAUUUAAUUUUAGUGCAUAAUCUGCUUAAUCUAUUCAUUAAAAACAAAACAAAAAAGAAUCAAUUCAUACUUAUAAUGUAAGCUUCCACGGACAUAAUAAAUUAAGCUCCAAAAUUUUCCAUACAAGAAUUUUCCUCAUUUUAUUAUUAACAUUUAACAAUAUAUAUACUUAGCAAUUAACAAAUAAUAUAUAAUAUAUUAUUAUAUACCAUCAAAACAUAAAAAAAGAAAAGAAUUUGGGUUGCCGGAGGAGCAUUGGUUUAUGUUUUCAGUCAACGUUGAAGGAUUAAAAAUAAAAAAUAAAAUUGAAUAGUUUCCCAUGGAACUUCACGAUGCACAUUAAAUUGCUAUCACGCAGUGGUGAUAAGGGUAUCCUAUUGAAGGAUCCACGUGAUUUUAUUUUUCUCAACAAAAACAAAAAUUGGUUUUAAUUUUUCUUUAGAUGUGGGCCUACUGAGAGUUUGAUUAUUUUUAGAAAACGUCAAAAUAAGGUUUUCAAUUAAGGUGCGUUUGGUACUACGUCGGUCUAAUAAUUGUUCUUAAUAAUUUUUUGUAUUUGUUUUAUGAUAUUAUAUUAGUGGAUAUGAAAAUAUAUUUGGUAACUUAUUUUAGCUGUAGUAUUUAAAAUGAAAAGUUGUAAUGAUAUGCUCGAUAGUUUAUCUGAAAAUGACACCUUCAAACAUGAACUUAUAUCGUUUUGAUAUACCGCACAUUACUAUUGUUGUUUUCAUCACCCUGGUGUGAUGGUGGUAAUCAGAUAUCAUUACUCAUUAUUAAAAUAUAAAAUAUAUGGCACCGGCGUUUAUGCCUUGUACAAAUUAAGUUAGUUAUUAUAUAGCCUUCAACAUAACGAAACACUGACAUUGAAUGAUACGACUCGCAUGAUGAGACACUGACAUGAACUCCAACUUAUGAUUUAGGUUCCACAAGAUCAAAAUGAAGCAACAAUAACCAAACAAAAGUAAUAAGCUCUCCGCCACUAGUAACUUGUUGGGCAUGUGCCUUUGGUCUGCAAUGACUUGCUCCAUACGACAACAAUUCCACCCAAACUUUGCUCACUAACUCCCAUUUCAUAUCCUUUUCCAGCUUUUGAAGCUCGUUGGCCAAUUUUAUUGCAUCAUUAAGUACAGAUAACAAUACUUCCCAAGCAUUAAAUUCAAGCAUGAUUUUUUCGCAUGCAAACUUGACCGGAUUUGGUUUUAGACUCUUUUCUUCAAAAAAUUUCUUGGCCUCAACACAGGUAUCUCGCAGUCUAAAUUUUGAAAAACUGGCCGUAGAAUUCAGCAGGGCGGGCUUCAAUUGUAGAAGAUACAGCAUGUAAUCCGAGAGGAUCUUGCUGAGUUCUCUAGCAUUGUAGGUCUUUUCAUUUGAAACUUUUUCGGCAGUGUAGUAAAGGAGUUCAGUAGCAACGUGCCAUAUUAUAACGCUCUCAAUAAGACUAAAAUCGCGAUAUGUUGCCGACAUGUUCCUCAUGAAUGCUAUGAGAUCACCAUUAGUAUCGAAUUCCUGCAGAGUACAAUCGCCUGUAGCUGAACAUAUUCUCUUGAUACCCACCUCUGGAUCAUCUGCAUACUGAGCUUUUCUCUUCAUUUCAUCAAAUAUAAACCGCCACAACUCUUUUGUCAGUGGCUCAUGGGAUAUUGAUGUCUUUAUUCUUAUAUCAAACAAAACAUCACCUAGGCCGAACAAAGCAACGAGUUUCUCAAGAUUGAAGUCUAAAAGCGCAAUGAUUUUGUAAAUGCGCAGAAACUGGAUGAGCUUGUUUGUGGCAAUGGUUAUAUCCUCAAAGAUUUUAUGGACGCCGGACCUAUGAACGAAAUCAAUGAUUAGAAGAUGCAAAUAACUAUUGACUUUCUGUACUCUGCUGGGAGGCGCCUCGACCCAAUACGUUAUCCAACUGAGUCCCGCGACAGAACCAGACCAUCUGCGUAACAGAAAAGGUGUAUCCAACACCUCGGACUCGCCGCCACCACUGUGUGAAUGCCACCGUGGGCUCUUGAGAAUGAUAAACCGCUGAAGAAUAGAAGCUAUACGGUUUUUGAAAUUUCCAAGUCUUGAUUCAUUGUCAUCAUUCCCGAGAGCACCCAACGUCCAAUCCGAGAAAAUGAGAAAGAAGAAAGAUAUGAUGUCAAGAGCCAUGGCACCCAAGAACAGGGCGUACGUAACACAAACAUCAAACUCAAAGAAACCAUGCUUCUCAACAUGGAAAUAGAAAAAUGAAAGGGCUGCCACAACUGAGCCAAAACAUAUGAGCCGCAAAGUAAUUCCCAAAACAGAGUGUGUUACCUGGAUCUUGGUAUAUAAAACUUCAUAAACCAAGUUGAGUUCAACCUCAAUUAUUCCCAAGGCAUCUUCUGGACUAAAAUCACCAAAGAAAGGCCCUGCAAAAUUAACCCUUUUGAAGUUGGACAUGAGUUCGAGAAGUAUCCCCUUGAAAAUUUUGAAGUAUUGACAACCCACCUCCAGAUAACAUCUGUCUUUCUUGAUCACAAUAUCACGUUUUUGAUAGUGCUCCGCGAGUUCUCGAAGAGUCGACUCUCGAAAUUUCUCCACGCUUGCAAGAUAUAAAGCUAGAAUCCUCUCAAAAUACUUGAUAACUCCAGCAAUAAACAUGAGUAUUGUUGGGAUGAAAAGCUUGUUUCCAGGAAGCGUCAGAAGAAAGACAUAAACAGCGGCAACAACCUGGAAUAUGAAUCCAAACAAGUGCCUGGGCCAGAAUUCGUUAUCUUCAAGAGCAAAUGCAGUAAUGGUGUCUGGACUACCGAGGUGUGACAACAGAAAUGGAACCCAAAAUGCUAAAAGCUCAUUGUUCUCGGCAGGCUGCUUUGAAUGGUCAGGAGUAUCCCUUGCUCUUUCAGUGAUGAGUCCAACGCCAAAAUUAGCAACCCAAUCUGCAAGCAAGUAAGCUGACCAGACUACCGAAAUUACCAGUUUAUUUCCCGUGCCAUUUCGAAGGGAAGCAAACAGAAUCAACACCAUUUGCAAUGAAAGACUAAACAAGAUUACACCUCGUAUGUUGCAGUUAUCCCAUAUUUUCCUUACACUAUCCGGGAUUGGAUUAACCAUUUUCUCUCCUGCUUGGUAAAAAGAUUAAAGACUAUAGUCUCACAGUUGCUAUUGUCGAGCUAAUAACUCUUUUGAGAGGCGGAGGAGCAGUCAUACAUUUCUCGAGUCAACAUUGACGCCUUGACUUGACUCACGGGGUUAAAACUCUCAAACUGUGAUGCACAUCUAAUAAAUGACAGUUGUACCAACAUCAUCAAAUCAAAAAUUAAAAAGUUGGUGGGAGCUAUUGACAUUUUGAGAAAUUCUAGAAUAUAACGGUCUAUAGUUAUUGUCAGAUAACAAUUAAAUUUGUCGAAAAAAAGCUUGUCAACUAUAGUAAAUAAUAGCAAGUUUAGGCUCCUCAUCUCACCCAAACAGGUUUUGAGAUUUGAAAACCUUUACUUGCCCUAGAAAGAUUUCAUGCUUUUAAGUUUCCAAUAGCCUACUUAUGGCCAAGCUUAAUUAGCUAGUUUACGCUUCUCGUCUCACAUCGAGUAUAUUUUGAGACUUAGAACUUUUACUUUCCGUAGAAAAAUUUUGUGCUUUUAUGUUUUGCUCGCCUACUCACAAUUGAGCUGAAUUAACAAGUUUAGGCUUCUUGUCUCACAUAGAGCAGAUUUUGAGACUUAUAACAUUUACUUGUCUUAGAAGGAUUUCGUGCUUUUAUGUUUUUGCUCUCCUUCACAUGGCCAAGCAGUAUUAGCAAGUUUAGGCUUCUUGUCUCACCCCAAGUAAAUUUUGAGAUUUGAAACCUUUAUUUGUCUCAAAAAGAUUUCGUGCUUUUAUAUUUUGCUCGUCUACUUAUGGCCGAGCUGAAUUAGCAAGUUUAGGCUCUUUGUGUGACAUGAACAAAUUUUGAGACUUGCAACCUUUACUUUCCUUAGAAAGAUUUCAUGAUUUUAUGUUUUUUCUCGCAUACUCAUGGUCGAGCUAAAUUAGCAAAUUUAGGCUUCUUGCCUCAUAUCAAGCAAAAUUUGAGAUUUAGAACCUUUAGUUGUCUUAGGAAGAUUUCAUGCUUUUAUUUUUGCUCGCCUACUUGUGGCUGAGUUGAAUUAGCAAGUUUAGGCUCCUUGUAUGAUCUAAACAGAUUUCAGGACUUGCAACUUUUACUUUCCUUCGAAAGAUUUUGUGCUUUUAUGUUUUUGCUCGGCUACUCAUGGUCGAGCUAAAUUAACAACUUUAUGUUUUUUAUCUCACAUCAAGUAGAUUUUGAGACUUAGAAUCUUUACUUGCCUUAGAAGGAUUUCGUAUUUUUAUGUUUUUGCUCACCUACUGGUGGUCGAGCCGAAUUAGUAAGUUUAGACUUCUUAUUUCACCUUGAGCAGAUUUUGAGACUUGAAAUCUUUACUUGCCUUAGAAAGAUUUCAUGGUUUUAUUUUUCUACUCGCCUGCUCAUGGCCAAGCUGAAUUAGCAAGUUUAGGCUCAUUUUCUUAUCUCAAGCAAGUUUUGUGACUUGAAACAUUUACUUGCCUUAAACAAUUCAUUUUGUUUAUUCUACUCACCACGAAAGAGGCGAGCAAGUAAUUUUGGCCUGGGCAAUUUCAAAUUCAAAUUGGAUUCGGAUGAAUCUUAUCAGAUUUUAGAUAAUUCAUAUGAGGAAAAAAUUCAUCAAAUUAUAAUCCAAACUUUAAAUUUGACUUGAUUCAAUCUGAAAUAGUUUGGAUUAGAUUGAGAUCGAAUGACUAUUUUGGAUUAGUUAAGAUUCAGAUCGGUUCAGAUUGCAAUCAAAUUUGGGACUUCUUUGACAAUUUUCACAAAAAAAUUUAUAAAAUCUAUAAUAAAUGAAAUCACAAAACACAAGUAAAACCAUAAAAAAAGAUGCAGUUGAGUAAUGUAAACCACACAACUAAUGUAAACCAUGAACUGAUCAUCUUAAAAUUCUAAUCGAUGGUAUGCAUGAGUUCUUUGGAGCUUUGAUGGCUUUCGGUCUACAACUCACCAGCUAGUAAUCGAUGUUGAUCAAGAUGCAACUCGGAUCGGCAGGUUGUAUCUUUAUGGCAUCGUAGGUCUGAGGAGCUUAAAUUUGUGGCGACUAAACGCUGAUCAAGAUGUUAGGUUUUGUACUCCCGAGGUAAUUUUCUAAACCAAUCUCUUGCUCGUUCUUCUAGUGUUAAGGGGAAUGCUCUGCACCUCAGUAAUGAUGUUAAGUUUUGCACUCCUACACUCUCAUUAAACUAUUUUAUGUGCAUUAAUGGGUUACUUUUCCCGAAAUAAUGAAGUUUCGAAAAGCGAAAAUCACUUAGAAUCAUGGUGUUAAUGAUUUUUGCUAAUAGUAAGGAUUCAUUAUCUAGCAUUAUUCUUCACCUUUAAUUUCUCCCUUGACCUUGCAUCUCCUCAAUGGUUUGGGCUAGCCUUUGUAUCUCAACUUCUAGCCCUCUAGCGCAACCAGGGUUCUGUACCGCCACUUGCUCACCUUCACAUUCUGCAUCUAACAAACGUUGGCUCAACUCUCUUUACUCGAUGUUCUUCUCCUUUCACACCUAUGUUGUGAGAUUUGGGUUGUUUGAAUGAAAUCAUCCAUUCCUGGUGGUAAUCGUACAACAUUUCCAGGUCUUUCUGGUGCUUGUUUCAUGUGGCUUGACUUAAGUAUGUCUGCAUUCCUAAAAGGAUUCCUUUCAUUGAGCCUCAUAUGCCUUUCCCUUAAUUCUUGCAAUAACAUAGCCAAGCCGUCCAUUUGCUUCAUUAUCUACUAAAUUCUUUCAUUCAUCGCCCUAUCUAUAACCUUAUGGGUGAUGUUGGGAAAAGGGACUACCACAACCAGUUGUAAAUUAAGCGAAAAUAAAACUCUUUUCCUCUUUGUAUGAUUAAAAUAUGAUAUGUACCACAAAUAAACAAGCAGAAAAAUAAACUACCAAAAUUCAAAGCAAACACCAACCACGAGAAACACAGAUUUUUUUUUGUGAAAAACCCAAAGUAGGAAAAAUCACGGGAUCGUAGUUCGAUAAAAUCUUCCACUAUAUUAUUGGGAUUAUAGUAUAAAUUCUUCUCUAGAUAAUAUUAGAGACUACCAACAUAAAAAAUUUCAAUAUUCUUGGCUUACAGUAAUAGUCUAAUAUUUGUCUCUUUAACAAAUGGGUAUCUCAAAUAAUAGCAAAAGAGAGGAUAAAAUAAAAAUAAAAUCAACAGGAUUGUAGAGGGCGAUGCUAGGAACUUACACUCAAAAUUUGGGAGAAAUCAGAGUUAAUUCUGCCUUCUGAUCAUCUAAUUAAAAAUUAAAAUCAUUAUUCCCAAAUAAAAGCAUCCACUGUCUUUUCUCUCUCUCCCGCCGCUUCUUCUGCAUGCUCACAUUAUUUAGGGCAGCGACUUUCACUUGCUUUAUAGGCAAAUUUCAUGGCAAAUUUCAUUUGCCUCCUUUAAGUUUCUUUUAAUUGCUUAAUUGUCUACACUUAUUCAACUUUAGGCUUGGGCUACCCAAAUGAGAUGGACCCAACAAAUUCCCCCUUCAGAUUAUAUGGGGGGGCAUCACGAAGCCCGCUUUCAGUAUACAAUUUUUUCAGCUUUUCCUUAGGCAAUAACUUUGUCAUCAUAUCUAGCUCAUUCUUCUUUGUUUGAGUCUUUUCAAGCUGUAACUAUUUCUUCUUAACCACGUCUUGUAUCGAAUGAUACAUCAUAUCAAUAUGCUUGGAUUUUGAAUGGUAUGUCGAAUUCUUUAUUAAGUAAAUAGCAUUUUAUCUGUCGCAGUACACAAUAAAGUUGUUUUACUUCACACCGAACUCUUGUAGGAAAUUCUUUAUCCGCAAGGUUUCUUUGCAACCUUCAAUGAUUGCAAUAUACUUUGCUUCUAUAGUAUAUAGAGCAACAUAUUGCUGAAGUCUGGACUGCCAUGAGAUUGCUCCCCCUGCAAAGGUGAGCAAAUAUCCUAAUAGAGAUUUUCUGGAAUCAACAUCCCAUACUAUAUCUGCAUCUAUGUACACUUGUAACACAGAUUUAUCACCACCAAAACAUAAACAUGUCUUGGAAGUACCUCCGAGGUAUCUGAGAAUCUAUUUUACCUUUUUGCAGUGUUCUUUGCCUAGAUUGGAGGGAAACUAAUUGACUACACCUACUGCAUGAGCAAUAUCUGGUCUUGUACAAACCAUGGCGUACAUCAAACUACCAACUAUUAAAGCAUAAGAACUUUUUUCAUCUUUUGCUUCUUUUUCUUACUUGUAGGAUAAUGCUCGGAACUAAGCUUGAAAUGACCCGCAAGUGGAGAAUAAACAGAUUUUGCCUUGCUCAUGUUAAAUCAUUGAAAAACCCUUUCAACAUAUACUUCUUAAGAUAACCAUAACUUCCUAGUUUUUCUACCGCGGGAAAUCUUCAUGCCAAGAAUCUGUUUCGUUGGUCCCAAGUCCUUCAUUGCAAAAGACUAGCUAAUUCUCUCUUUAGAUUGUCAAUAUUACUAGCAUCCUGGCUAACAAUCAACAUGUCAUUCACAUAAAGCAAAAGAAUGAUGAAAUCAUUAUCACCAAACUUCUUCACAAAAACACAAUGGUCGCACAUAGUCUUGUUAAAACUAUAAUUAUCUAUGAAAGAAUUAAAUUUCUUGUACCACUGUCUUGAUGCCUGUUUCAGCCCAUACAAACUUUUCUUCAACUUGCACACAAGUUCUUCUUUGCCUUUGACACUAAACCCUGCAAGCUACUCUAUGUAUAUUUACUCCUCUAAGUCACCGUGCAAGAAAUUGUCUUUACAUUAAGUUGUUCAAUCUCUAGAUUCAAGUUAGUUGCUAAUCCCAAAACAACUCGGAUAGAAGACAUUUUCAUCACAGGAGAAAAUAUUUCUUCAAAAUCAACACCUUUCUUCUGACCAAAACUUUUCACAACUAAUCUAGCCUUAUACUGCUAUUGUGAGUUAAUUUCAAAUCUUCAACCUGUAAAUCCAUUUGUUCUUCAGUGCCCUCUUUCCCUUAGGUAGCUUCACUAGGUCAAAAAUGUGGUUUUCAUUCAAAGAUUUCAUAUCUUCCUACAUUGCUUUAGCCCACUCAUUUUUAUGUUUAUGAGACAUGGCUUAUUCAAAACAUUCUGGCUCCCCUUCAUCUACAAGCAUCACAUAUUCAUGUGGAGGGUAUUUGGUGGAAGGUCGUCGUUCUUUAGUAGAUAUUCUCAAUUCUGGCUCAAUUAGUGGUAUAGGUGGUUCUGGAGGUGUUAGGCCAACUGGUUCACAUCUUUACUUAUGAUUAAUUUCCUUGCCACCGGGUCCCAUAAUUUGUACCCAAAUUUUUCAUGCCCAUAGCAUAAGAAAAUGCAUUCCUUGGUUUUAUCAUCAAGCUUCGAUCUUCCUUCUUUAGAGAUAUGAACAUAUGCUCUACAACCAAAUACUCUCAAGUGUUUAUAAGAGAUAUUUUUUCCUGUCCAAACUCUCUCAGGUACAUCACUAUCUAAUGGAGCUGAAGGGAAAAAAGUUAAUCAAGUUAACAACAGUACAUUUUACCUUUGCCAAGAAAGAUUUAGGAAGCUUAGUAUAAAAAAGCAUACACGCGAUCCUCUCUUCAAUUGUUCUGUUCAUUUUUUUUGCAACAUUAUUCUGCUGCGGGGUUUUUGGUACAUUCUUCUCAAGUCUUAUUCCAUGGGAUCUGCAACACUACUCAAGUGGUCCUCUGUACUCACCAACAUUAUCUAUGCUGACACAUUUUAAUUUUCUUCAUAUCCCUUUCUCAAUAUAAGCAUGGAAUAAUUUAAAUAUAUCAAGCACCUAGUCUUUAGAUUUCAAAGCAAAAGCCUACACUUUUCUAGAACAGUCAUCAUUUAAAGUCAUAAAAUAAGCAGCUCCUUUUAUUAAUCUACUUUGCAUCAUGCAAACAUCAGUGUGAAUGAAAUCAAGGAUUUGUAACUUUCUUGAUGGAGAAAAGCUUUUAAAAGCUACUAAGUGUGUCUUUCCAGCUAAGCAAUGAAUACAAGUCUUGAAGGAUAUCCUUGCGAAGCUCGGUAAAAAUCCUUUUCUAACAAGAGUUUCCAAUCCUUUCUCACCAAUAUGACAAAGCCUUUUAUGCUAUGUUUCAAUGUCAGAAUCUUUUACAAGCACAUUCACAUCUUCUUCCUUGAUCUUGGCUUCUAACACAUAGAAUGUGUUAGCCAAGAUCCUAUUUGUGUCUUUCCAGUUAAGUAAUGAAUACAAGUCUUGAAGGGCAUACUUGCGAAGCUAGGUAAAAAUCCUUUUCUGGCAAGAGUUUCCAAUCCUUUCUCACCAAUAUGACAAAGCCUUUUAUGCUAUGUUCAAUGUCAGAAUCUUUUACAAGCACAUUCACAUCUUCUUCCUUGAUCUUGGCUUCUAACACAUAGAAUGUGUUAGCCAAGAUCCUAUUUGUGUCUUUCCAGUUAAGUAAUGAAUACAAGUCUUGAAGGGCAUACUUGCGAAGCUAGGUAAAAAUCCUUUUCUGGCAAGAGUUUCCAAUCCUUUCUCACCAAUAUGACAAAGCCUUUUAUGCUAUGUUCAAUGUCAGAAUCUUUUACAAGCACAUUCACAUCUUCUUCCUUGAUCUUGGCUUCUAACACAUAGAAUGUGUUAGCCAAGAUCCUAUUUGUGUCUUUCCAGUUAAGUAAUGAAUACAAGUCUUGAAGGGCAUACUUGCGAAGCUAGGUAAAAAUCCUUUUCUGGCAAGAGUUUCCAAUCCUUUCUCACCAAUAUGACAAAGCCUUUUAUGCUAUGUUCAAUGUCAGAAUCUUUUACAAGCACAUUCACAUCUUCUUCCUUGAUCUUGGCUUCUAACACAUAGAAUGUGUUAGCCAAGAUCCUAUUUGUGUCUUUCCAGUUAAGUAAUGAAUACAAGUCUUGAAGGGCAUACUUGCGAAGCUAGGUAAAAAUCCUUUUCUGGCAAGAGUUUCCAAUCCUUUCUCACCAAUAUGACAAAGCCUUUUAUGCUAUGUUCAAUGUCAGAAUCUUUUACAAGCACAUUCACAUCUUCUUCCUUGAUCUUGGCUUCUAACACAUAGAAUGUGUUAGCCAAGAUCCUAUUUGUGUCUUUCCAGUUAAGUAAUGAAUACAAGUCUUGAAGGGCAUACUUGCGAAGCUAGGUAAAAAUCCUUUUCUGGCAAGAGUUUCCAAUCCUUUCUCACCAAUAUGACAAAGCCUUUUAUGCUAUGUUCAAUGUCAGAAUCUCCGCUCAAACAAAUUUUUUUUAAAAAAAUAAUAUAAAAUUAAAUGUUUCUUUUUUCUUUUUUUUUUGGUUGAGCACGUAUUUUCCAUGCAAAUCCAUCCUAGGGCCAGUGUUGUUUUGAGCAAGGAAUAUGGUGAAAUCUAAUAAUUAAAAGAGAAAAAAAUAAAAAUGUUUCGAUCAAUAAUUAUAUUAAUUUCUUAUAUAUGAAGUUGACUUUCAACCUCAGUUAUUCUCAAGGCAUCUUCUGGACUAAAUCUUUAUAAGCGCCCGGUUCUAUAAGCACAAAAGUCAAAGAAAGACAUAGCUACAGAGGGAAGAAAUGAAAAAAAUAAGUGAGAGAUGAGAAAUGAAAAAUAUCGGUUGUGAAUUAGUAAAAUAAUAAUAAUAAUAAUAACAACAACAACAACUUGUAUCUAAUCUAUUAAUUAAAGUCAACUAUUCAUAUAAUCUGAGAGUCUAAAAAUAAUAUGAGAAUUUAAACAAUUUUAAGGGUAGUAGGGGAGACUUCCCCACAUACAUUCACAUGGGAAUCGCACAGCUCAAGUCUUUAAUCACCGAAAUUUCUUAAGUUCAAGCUAAUAAAAGAGCACUAUUUAAUACCGCCAGAGGAUUUCACUAAUAGAGACAUAAACAAUUGUAUAAAUAAUCGUAUACAAAUUGAUGUGUUUUAAGACUAAAAUUAUAAAUAAUAAAAAUAAAUUAUGUAGCUAUAUGAGGUUUUUUUUUUUAAUUCCAAAAAUUAUAACGUUGCCCAAAAAAGGAAUAAAAAAUUUAAAAAUAAAAACGUGUUUUGCGGCAUCAAUAUUAAACUCUUAAAUUUAUUGCAUAAGUCUAAUUCUUUUGUUUUCAAACGGGACUUUACUCGUUUUCGUCGUUCGUAGAUCCGUAUAUUGAUCCGCGUGAUGGUCAGUCAAUAUGCAUCUCGAAAACAAGAAGUGUUAGUUAGAUUGUUUUUUGUUUUUUUAGUCGGUCAACCGUCAAAGUUGACUGAACAAAUAAAUCAAUGACGGCCCAUCACCUUUCAGAGAGCCGCCACCCCACUCUUGAGCAAAAAUGGUUAAUCCAAUCCCUGAAAGUGUCAGGAAAAUAUGGGAUGAAUGGAACAUACGAGGUAUAAUCUUGUUCAGUCUUUCAUUACAAACUGUCUUGAUUCUGUUCGCUCCCCUCCGAAAAUCCACAGGCAAUAAACUGUUAAUCUCGGUGAUUUGGUCAGCUUACUUGCUCGCUGACUGGGUUGCUUAUUUUGGCGUCGGACUCAUCACUCAAAGAGCAGGAGAUAUUUCUGACGGACCUGACCAUCCUUCGAAGCAGCCAGCGGAGAGCAAUGAGCUUUUGGCAUUUUGGGCUCCAUUUCUGUUGUUACACCUCGGCAGUCCAGACACCAUUACUGCAUUUGCCCUUGAAGAUAACGAACUCUGGCCCAGGUACUUGUUUGGAUUCGUAUUCCAGGUUGUUGCCGCUGUUUAUAUCUUUCUUCUGACGAUUCCCGGAAACAAGCUUUUAAUCCCAACAAUACUCAUUUUUAUUGCUGGAAUUAUCAAGUAUUUUGAGAGGAUUCUUGCUUUGUAUCUUGCAAGCGUGGACGAAUUUCGAGACUCGACUCUUAGAGAACUCGUGAAGCACUACCAAAAAUGUGAUAUUGUUAUAAAGAAAGACACAGAUUAUCUGGAGGUGGGUUGUCAAUACUUCAAAAUUUUCAAGGGGAUACUUGUCGACCUCAUGUCCAACUUUAAAAGGGUUAAUUUUGUAGGCCCUUUCUUUGGUGAUUUUAGUCCAGAAGAUGCCUUGGGAAUAAUUGAGGUUGAACUCAACUUGGUUUAUGAAGUUUUGUAUACCAAGAUCCAGGUAACACACUCUGUUUUGGGAAUUACCUUGCGGCUCAUAUGUUUUGGUUCAGUUCUAGCAGCCCUUUCAGUUUUCUAUUUCCAAGUUGAGAAGCAUGGUUUCAUUGAGUUUGAUGUUUGUGUUACGUACACCCUGUUCUUGGGUGCCAUAGCUCUUGACAUCAUAGCUUUCUCCGUGCUCAUUUUCUCCGAUUGGACGUUUUGUGCUCUCCGUAAUGAUGACAAUGAAUCAAGACUUGGAAAUUUCAAAAACCACAUUGCUACUAUUCUUCAGUGGUUUAUCAUUCUUAAGGGCUCACGAUGGCAGCAUACACAUGAAGGUGGCGAGUACGAGGUGUUGGUUACACCUUUCUUAUUUCGCAGAUGGUCUGGUUCUGUCUCAGGACUCAGCUGGAUAAGAUUAUGGGUCAAGGCACCUCCAAGCAGAGCACAGAAAGUCGAGAGUAGCGUACAUCUUGCCUGCGACAAAGUCAAUCAUCAUUUCGGCUUUGCAAUCAAUGGUUUCAUUCAUAAUUGUGGCAUCUAUCAAAUCUUUCAGCUUCUGCACAUUUACAAAAUCAUUGCUCUUUUAGACUUUAUGAUCGAGAAACUUGUUGCUUUGUUCGGCCUAGGUGAUACUAUGUUUCAGAUAAGAGUCAAAACAUCAACAUCCCUUGAGCCAUUGACAAAAGAAUUGUGGCAGUUUCUAUUUCACGAAAUGAAAAGAAAAGCUCAGAAUGCAAAUGAUCCAGAGGUGGCUAUCAAGAGAAUUUGUUCACCUACAGGCGAUUGUACUCUACAGGAAUUGGAUACAAAUGGUGAUCUCACUGCAUUCAUGAAAAAGAUGACUGCAACAUAUCGCGAUUUUAGUAUUAUUGAGAGUGUCAUAAUAUGGCACGUUGCUACUGAACUCCUUUACUACACUGCCGAAAAAGUUUCAAAUGAGAAGACUUGCAAUGCUAGAGAAUUCAGCAAGAUCCUCUCGGAUUACAUGCUGUAUCUUUUACAACUGAAGCCUACCGUGCUGAAUUCUACGGCAAGUGCUUCGAAAUUUAGACUGCGAGAUACCUGUAUUGAGGCCAGCAGAUUCUUUGAAGGGAAGAAGUUAAACCCAAAUCCAGUGAAGUUUGCCUGUGAAAAAAUCAUGCUUGAAUUUAAUAAUUGGGAGUUAAUGUGUUCUGUACUUAAUGAUGCAACAAAGUUGGCCAACCAGCUUCAAAAGUUGGAGAAGGAUAUGAAAUGGGAGUUAGUGAGCAAAGUGUGGGUGGAAUUGUUGUCGUAUGGAGCAAGUCAUGGCAGACCAACAGCACAUGCCCAACAGGCUACUAAUGGUGGCGAGCUUAUUAGUUUUGUUUGGUUAUUGUUGCUUCAUUUUGAUCUUGUGGAAUCUAAACCAUUUUGAAUUCGUCUCUGUUUCAAUAUGUUGAAGGCUACGACUAACAUUCUUUAGAUCCAUUAUAAAAAUGAGCAACAUACUGCAAGACCAAAACGAGCCAAUCCCUCUAGGCACCGUUAAUAACCAAUUUGUGGCAUGUAUCCUUGAUCUGCAGUGACAUGCUGCAUAUGACUACAGUAUAAUUCCACCCAAACUUGGCUCUGUAACUCCACCAAGUUUUGAAGCACUUUUGACAACAUGAUUGCAUUAGUUAAUACAGAUUUUGUUUGAUCUCCCUUUCAGUCAUGUGUUCAAAAGAUAGUAAAUGUGCAGAAAUUGGAUGGCCUUUUUUGUAACAUUGGCUAUAUUGAGAAUGAUUCGUCGAUGUUACGAAACGAAUGAAAUUAUUGAUUGGUAUCCUGUUACUUAGAAUGGUGGAUAAAUGCAGUGAAAUACGAAGUUUUGUAAAGAUAUAGUAAAAAUGUUAAACACCGAUACUUUUUAUAGCUACUUGUUAUUUUUUAAUUCCUAAAGUGAAAAUGGGCUUUAAAAAUAUUAAAUUGGAAUUACGCCCAUAAGAAAAAGCUUAGAAUUUAUGUCAAAAAUCUAGCUAGAAACAAAAUAGCUCAUGCCAAACAAAACCAACAAAAUUGAACUGAGUCCAAUUAAUUUGAUUUUGUUUUGUAUGGUUUAAAAUCUCCCAAGCUUAAAAAGCUAACUAAACCUAAAGUGCCCAGUCCUACUCUUUUUUAAGCUUCUUCGAAAAAUUGUUAAUUUUAUGUAUUUUCAAGUAACUUAAUUUUCUUUGAACAAGUUACUUGUGUAUUUGUGUUUAACUAUAUACUUACCUCAUCCACAAUGAUUUUUCAUUGCUUGAACAACAAAGGUUUUGGAGGAAGUGAGAGUAAAUGGUUUUUCUCUGAGAACAUCAAUUAUGGAGUUAUCAAUGAAAUGAGGCGCUUGUUCGGGAUUUUAAUUGAUUCUCAAAUAAUCAAUUAUUAAAAAGAAAUCACAAAAGAUAGUUCAGUUGGUCAUUUGUCAUAGAAGUAAAAAGUCCAUGGAUCACAUCCAAGAGCAGAAGUAAAACCACCUGCAUUGACCACGUCCCCCAAAAAAAAAAAUGAAAAGAUUAAAUUGAAAAUUUACUUAUUUUAUGUGAAUUUUGCAACCAGCCCCUCAUUAAUUAUUAGCCUCUUCAAUUUUACAGAUUUACGUUUUAUCCUAAUCAAGUUUGUAAUCUUCCUAUUGUUACCCCUGUCAAACCAAAAUUCUGGUCUCGCAAGUCGCAACUGAUCACGUUCAAAUGAUACCCUUUAAUUUGCGUGGAAUUGAGUGGGGUGCCUGAUUGCUAAACAAAUUCGCUUAUUUAAAAAUCUGGCCCCAAAUUAUGUUUAACAAACAGUCAUUUGAUUGUAAUUAGUGUAUUGUGUAAAAAAAAAAAGCUGAAAUUAACAAUCUUUGUUGGAUAAAAAUAAUUGAAAUGAAAAAUAGCGAGUAGAUUUUCGAACAAGGAAUAAUUUAAAAACCCACCACAAUCUCAAGUGUAUCAAAUCAGAUGUUACAUAAUAAAGAAAAUACGCUAACAUAUGUUGGAAUAAUUUCCGCAUGAAAAUGUUCUCAAAGGAAUGAUUAUGAUUUAUCAAAGAAUUUUUGAUAGAAACAUGUAUGUCCAGAGAUUAUUGAUAGGAAUCGAUGAAGAAAUUGAAAUGUAGUCCUAAAUAAGUAAAGGAUUUUAAUAGCUCAGUUGGUUGAUCGUUAUAUCUUGGCACAGGCUUGGCACGCAGGCUUCCUACGUGCAAAAGCUAAUUUUUUGAUUGCCUCAUAUGUAUCGCCUCUUUGUCUUUUGUUUUGCAAGCGAUCAUUGCUUCCUUUUUCGUGUUGACGUUUCUUUUUGGAUUUCUCGGAAUUUUUAUCGGGCGUUGACAUCUCUGGACUACCAUCCGCGGGGCGUUUUUUAUCCCCGGACGACUUUCCAGGGUCAUUAGAAGGACUAGUAAGAGUUCCCGGUGGACUGUCGAUCACUCCCCGUAAAUGCUGUAACACAGAACCGAUAGCUGUCUUAAGCUGACAUAUUUUUUCAUCUAUUUGAGCAACCUGUUGCUCCAGUUGAUCAAUUGCUCUCUCAUAAUCAGCAUGUUUACCAGAUCUUGAUGAUGUGGCAGCGGACAUAUCUGGUCCUGAGGGUGGAUUGAAUACUUCUGCUCCUGGAAAAAUUUUAGCCACGCAUCAGUUAAUUAUUCUCAUUCGGAGAUCUAAUUAACUUGCUGAAUACGUAAUAUAGUUACAAUAUCAUUACAUGUACAUACUUUUCAAAAUGCAUGAGUCAGGCUGAUUUUAACUCAAGCUUUUGAUUUAAAAUUUUGAUAUAAACUUUGAAUCACUGAUGUCUUAAUGGUAGAUAAAUUGCAUCAUUAAAUGCUAUUUUAACUAUCAAUAUCAAUAUAUCAUUUGAUUAUGUAAGAUAAAUAAUGGCUCAAAAUGUUUUGUAAAAAACUUAAGUUAAUAGUUCAACCCAUACAUCAUUGUGCAAAUCCCAGAUCUACUGAUUAAAAUAUAAGCAAAAAAAAAUUCACUUUUCCUGAGUAAGGUGAUAGAAAUUUAGAAAAAUGUUAUUACUGAAAAAUAAGGAGGAGUAAUUUACAGACUAAAAGAGAUUGAAAAAUUAUAAAAGCAAUAUAUGUAAAAGAUUUAGUUAGAUAAAAUAUCAUUCGAUAAUGAUUGCAGAUUAAACGUACCUGUGUUUCUUCCAAGAAAAUCACUUGAUCCACACUCGCAGGAAGCUAAGCAAUACAACAAACGACUGAUGAGCCCAGUUUCAAGCACUCUCCCAUCGUGAGGGCUUUAUUUAUAUAAAUAACCAUGGCUCACUGAAACUGGUCAUUUGGUCAACGGUUACAAUUAUUCGGAAUUGCAAAUAGGUUCCGAAGUUGUUUGCAUUUUUCCUAAAUAAUUUUCGGGAAGGCUCAACAACUUCCAUUUUGUCGUAUACUGGUUCCCGCGUUUUCAAAUUUCUUCUAAAGCUGGCGGUGCUUAAUAAAGUUGAAAAAAGAAAAAAUGAUAUUUUUAUGUAUGUUUGACUUCAAAGGAUUAGGAGAACCCUUCUAGAUUCACUAGACUUGUUAUAUUAAUCAAGUUGAGUUUCUUUUUUUUUUGUUUAUGUAUAUUACGUUUAUGUAAAGUGAAAUACAUUACUGAUUUGAAUCUGGAACCUUUUAUUACAAUGCAAGAGAUUAUACCGACCAAACAAAAAUGCUUACCAGGUUAUACCAUCUAUAAAUGCAUAAACCAAAAAAGUAGGGAUCUUACUGAAAUUUGGCGUGGCUACCCUCCAGCAGCUUCAGCAUGGAAGAUAAUCAUCACAUUAGUGAUAGAAUAAUAGUUUGAGAAAUGCUAUGCUUACUUUAAGUGCCCAAAUUAAGGUGUUAACAAUAGAGUAUUAUCAUUUGAAUGAAAAAUGAUAAGAUUUAAUAACUAACUAUCACUUGAGCCAAUUAUUAAAUAGUAUUACAUUAUUUGCUGCAAAAGUUAGGAUACAAAUUAAGUAUUCCAACUAAGUAAGUAUAACAUUAUCGUAAUAGUUUUUAGAUUCCAACUGAGUAAGCAUAGCAUUAUUGCAAUAAUAUUUAUUUUCAAUACAUGUUGGUCAUUAAUUGGUGAUACAUCAGCUGGAAAACCAUUUAGCUUAACAUCUUAAGGAUAGAAUAAUUGAUGUUUUUUUUGCUAAUAAUUUAUGAUUUUUAUUUUUAUUUUUAUAUGAACGAGCCUAGUUGUAGAGGCGUAUUAUUGAUAGUAAAAAUGAAAAUACAAAAAUCACGGGGAAAGUUUUUAGAAGUUUUGGAUUGUAAAAAAAAUCUAUCAAUUUUUUACCAUACAUUCAUACAUUCGACAAUAAAGUUUGAAAAUAUCCGAAAACAUUGUAAGUUAUCAGCAAUUCACCCAAAGUCUUUAAAGUGUUCAGUAAAUAAAAUUAUUUAAAAUAUCAACAUUAAUAAACUAAUGUAGAUCGACUUCAGGAAUUUUUCAUCUUUACUUGUUUGAUUCAAUCCUACGACAAACUACAGCCUUUCGUUCUAAGGAGAUAUAUUGCAGUAUCUUGCAUUGAAAAUUAUCGGUAGCUAAUACAUCGCAUAUAUUUUCUUUGAUGAAAUGAUUAAAAAAAUAUGAAUAAAGAUUUUGAAACAAAUUGUAAAUAUUUAAUAUUAUUUAUGAGUAAAAUACAGCUAGACUCUGCCGGUUUCUUAAUUUUAUAUUGUGCCUAGCAAACCGUAGAUCUUCCCUUCAAAAAUUGAAUAAAAUUUUCCUCGGAUCUGGAGGAAACGAAAAUUUGCACAACGUCCUUAAUUCCUGUGAAGACUUCCUUUGUUUAGGGGAAGUCUUUCUUUAUUGAACGUAAAAUUGUUUCACGUAAAAAGUCUUCCCUUUAUAUUGUAUGAGUAAGAAGAAAAAGAAAGAAAGACAUGAGAUAAUGGAGAAAACGACUUAUAUUUCUUUAAAGGAAUUUGUAACGGUUGACGAACUUGACUUCCUCUGAUAUGAGAAAAUGAAAUAGUGUAAAUCUCGAAAUUUUAUCCUGAAUAAUUUUAUCUUAAAUCGAACUUUUAAUGAUAUAACAUGUAAUGUGUUAUUUGUUAACCCGAAAUUUUUCAUAAUUUUUACAUGAAUUAAUUUUAUUAGUUUAUCAUUUAAGUAAUAAAUGUUGCAUUAUUAAAAAUAAAAUUUUAAAAUAUAGAGCAAAGGGCAUUACUCUUUUUGGGGUGGCGGCCUAGCCCCAAGAUGUACAUGGUACCACGACUCCCACUAUCUCUUUCUCUGAGCUCUUUUUCCUGCAAAAAGUCAAAAGCGUUGAAGAGAGAAAAAAGAAGUAAAUAAAAGAAAAAAAAACUGAAAAGCAAACAAGCGGGAUAGAGUUUUUUUUUUAAUACUAUUUAAAUUUAUAAAAUUUGUAAUUAAAGUUUUCUGUGAUCCUUCACUUUUCAAGAAGUAUUUUUAUAAUUUUAUCUUGGCAAAUAUUUGUUUAGUCAUUAUAUUUCAACUUAAGUGUUUAUAUGAUUCUUAUAUUUUAAAGAAUACCUCAAAAUGAACUUACAGUUAAAUAUGUUCAUUCUUACCUUCAUUUUACUUUCCUUUUACAAUAACACUGUUUCAAAAAUAUUUUUAACAUUUUACAUAUAAAAAUUUAAUUAGUAAAUUUAAAAAAAUUAUUUAUUAGUAAAUAAAUUCAUAGAUAUCAACGUGAAAAUAGUAGUAUUUUUUAUUCAUAAGCAACAGUCUUCCUAAUAAUUAUUUAUAAAUAGAUUAGCCAACUUAAAGUACUUUUCAAUAUCCUUGCAACAAUCUCGCUGAUAAUUAUUUUAUAAAAUUAAUUUACCAAAUUAAUCUUAAAAGUAGAAUAAUAAUAAAGAUAUUUGUGUAAAUUUUUAUGUUACUAUUAGGAUUAAUUUGAUAAAUUAUCAUUUUUUUUAUUUUCAUUAAUAUCCACAAGAAUAUUGUUGUAAGGAUAUUGUUGUAAAAGGAUAGAAAAUGUAAGGGUGGGAGUAUAACAUAUUCAACAGUAGGAGUGUCUUGAGAUGUUUUUUUCCUUAAAUAUAUGGACUAAAUGGGCAGUUAUCGAAAAAUAUAGUGAGUAAAUGAGCAUUUACUUAUUUUAUCUUCAGCACCCCAUUUUAUCGUAAAUAUUGACAUUUACAUAAUUUACAGGGAAAUUACCAAUUUUCCCAAUCAAAAUAUACCACUUACCUUAAAUACAUUUUUAUUCAUACCUAUUGUAAAUUGAAUAAAUCAUAUAAAUGAAAUAAAAAUAAAAAUUUGAGUACUAAAAAUGAGAAAUAUAUGUUUCAAUGUAAAUAAAAAAUUAAUAAUAAAUAUUUUUCUUGUGCCUUUUGUUAUUCUUCAAAUACUUUUCUUAUAAUAAAUAUAUAUAUUGUAUUCCAAAAAUAAAUUCUUAAGUAAAUGACCUAUCUAUAUCUUUCUUUGUUUAAAUUUUGUGUGGUAGGAGAUUUUUGGAUACUAUGAAAAUAAUAUAGAGUAAGUAAUAUAUAUUGAUUUCAAUAAGUGAGAAACUAUGAAUCUCCCUAUAUUGAUUUUAAUAAGGGAAAACUAGCAGUGUCCCUAACUAAAAAAACUAUAGAUAAAUUUAAUUGUACACCUAAAUAAUUUCACAUGCAUUAUUAAUUUACUCUCAAUAUUUUAAAAAUUCAUUAAUCUACUCUACUAAUUAGAUUUUUCUUUAAAUUUAACCGUUGAGGGCAUGACAAAAUAAUGAUUAAUUAAACAAUCAACCGAUGAAGCCAACAUCUCAACAAAUCAUGGACAAACAAAGAGAUUAUAAUAAUUUUUGUUAUUUAGAGGCUUUGCGAUUUACCUGUAGAGGUAGAACUUUUUCAUUGAAUCCUUCAAUAAGAUAGUUAAUAGUAACUAAAAGCUUGAAGCAAAAUAUUUCCGGCACCACUAGCAAACCGGGAUCAGUUUGUAAUUACCAUGAGAACUAAUUAUCAUGGGUUUCGCCAAGUUUUUAAAACUAAAUUCUCUAAACCAAUCAAAUCUAUAAAACUCAAUUGUUGCAAUGGCUGUUUGGCAGCUGAGAAAUGAAGAAAGCGGAAGAAAAUGAGAGAGGAAGAGGGAGAAAAUAAAUACAUAAACAAGUAAAAUUAAAAUUAUAUUAGUGGAUAUUUUAGUCAUUUAAAGUUGUAAUAGGUAUCUUAGUCAAAUAAUAAAUUUGACAGUCCAUUUCUUCAUUUAAUAUCCGAAUGUUCUAAAGAGGUGGACAUCAACCAAUGUAAUAUCAAUAAUGAUAGAGCCACAAAUCGUUUUGUACAAAUUGAUGUAACAUGAAAAGAUUGGCUGAAAAGUAAUAACAAUUAUUAUUUUUUAAUUAUAUAGGCUAUGAUAGUUUUAUACAACUAAUCUUCUCAUACUACAUUAGUUUGUAUAAAUUUACUUGUACAAAAUGGUUGGACUCUAUCAUUACUCAUGUAGUAUUAUUAUUCUUUAAUUUUUUAUUUACCUUUUAGUCCUUCACUCUUUUCAAAAAUUUUUGGGGUAUUUUCAUAUUUUUAAAGUGUGUGAGUUGAAUUAUGCGAAACUUGAAAGGUUAUAUGAAAUUAUCCCUUGUUAAAAUUAAAUUAUCAUAUAAAUUAAGUGCUAAUUUGGUGAUGUUGUAGCUUUUAAAUAACUGUUGUUAGUUGUACUAUAAAAAUAAUUAGGUAUAAAGAAAAUCAAUUAAUCUUUUGGUGAAAUGUAUUUUUGGAAAAUUAUCAUUAUACCACCUUUGUUUUGCUUUAUGUUUAUCUAACCACCACAAAAUUCUAACAUGUUCUCUGCACCACCUUUUCUUUUUAAAUUUGUAUCAAUGAACCACUUCUGCACUAACACCGUUAAAUAAUUUAAACGAAUUAACAAUUUUACCUUUAAAUAAAUUAAAAAAUUAUUUUAUUUUAUAAAUACUUUGAAAAAUAAAAAAUUAGAAUUAUAAAAUACCCUAAAUUUAAUAAAAAAUAAAUCCCAAAAUUAGAAUUUUUAUUUUUAAUAAAAUUAUAUUUUAAUAAAAAAUAUAAAUAUAAAAACAAUUGCAAAAUUUUUGGAUCUGCUGUACGGCCAAGGCGGAUGUACGGUACAAUAACAAAAAUAUGAGAUAUCUGCUGUACCGUACAUCCGCCUUGGCCGUACAGCAGUUUUGGAUUUAAUAAAAAUAUCCUAAAUUAUUAAAAUUUUCGGAUUUUUUUAAUCAAUAAAUUCAGUUAUUUUAAUAAAAUUUUGCAAAAUUAUAAUUUUUUAAUAAAAAUAAUUAUUAAAAUUUUACAAAUCGAAGUUUAAUAAAUAUCAGCUAAUCACCUCUAUUUGAGAUUUAUUUUUUAUUAAAUUUAGGGGUAUUUUAUAAUUAUAAUUUUUUAUUUUUAAAGCUUUUAUAAAAUAAAAUAGUCUUUUAAUUUAUUUAGGGGUAAAAUUAUCAUUUCUUUUAAAUUAUUUAACGAUAUUAGUGCAAAAGUGGCUAAUUGAUACAAAUUUAAGAGGAAAUGUGUUGUAGAGAAUAUGUUAGAAUUUUAUGGUGGUUAGAUGAACAUAAGACAAAAUAAAGGUUGUGCAAUGAUAAUUUUCCUAUAUUUUUAAAAGUGCUGUGAGUUUUAAAAGCAGUCAUAUGCAUUUAUUAAAUCUUAUUAUUAAACUACUGUAACAAUAUAAAUGACUGAAUUGGACAUAAUGUUGAACAAAAAUUUAUUUACACUUCUAUAAACAUGUAUAUAAAAUAAUUUUUUAUUAUCUAUAUAUAAUAAUUGCUAUGUAAAAUAAAUAUUUUAUAAUACUAAUUUUAUUUUUUAUUUCAUUAUCUUAUAUAGUUGGUAAUAAAUAAUAAUAACUUUUUUAGCAGUAAUGAUUUUAUUUUUUAAUUAAUAAGGAUAAUUUUAGAUUUUUAUAACAUAUACGAGGAUAUAUAUAACAUUGUACUAAUUAUAAAAUUAAUUAUCAAAAUCAAAUUUCAAAAGCUAUUCAUUUUAUUCUUUUCAAAAUUUAUUGUAAAAUAGAGUGAUUUUGCUAAAAAUGAUUUCUAAAAAAAUUUACCAAACAAUUAAAUUAACUUUUAACCUUUAAAAAUCACUUUUGAUCUUCCUAAAAAUAAUUCCAAAUAUGCGCUAAGUUGCUACCAAAAUUUUACAAUGAAUUACUAUGAUUAAUAAAUUGUUAAUAAGGUCCAAAAUUAAUAAGGUCUAAAGGUGAUAAUUAUUUUAGUCUAAUUCGAAUCAAUUUUUAUGUAGCCACUUGUAGUUGUUGUUUAAUGAGGAGAUUCCGUUGUAUGGAAUUUAAUAAGUAUGCAAAUAUGCUAGGCAGCAACUUCAGCAGCUUAAUUAAUGAGGGAGCACUUUGAGCCAUAUCCUGUGCGAGUUUAUUUGAGUAGUUAAUAAUAGAUUAAUUUUGUCUAAGUAGACAGCUGUAUUAAUACCUAACAGACAGAUUUUGAUUAAUAAUAGAUAUCUAAUUUUUAUGUUAAAUUUCAUCUUAAACGAAGUGACAUGUAAUAUAUUAUUAAUCAAAUGGUGACAACAUUUAACAAGUUUUAAGAGAAUCAAUUAUAUUGUCUCACCAUAUUUCCGUGACUAGGCCAUAUAAUUUUCAAACAAUUUUAUUUAAUGGACCAUUUCAGUUUGAGUCCAGGGAAAGUAAGAGUUGACAAAAAAACUAUAUUUGGGCUUUGCCAACCCCUCUAUCUUUUAAAAAUUAAAAAAAAAAAGUUACAUUACCACAUUAUUUUUAAUAAAUUGUAAGAAAAAAUUUUAGAAUGUAUAACACUGUCUCAUAAAAAAGAAAAAAGAAUUAAUAAAGUCUCUGCUUUGGAAAAUACUAAAACUCUGAUAUUAAACUUACUAAUAUGAUGCAAGUUAGUUAAUUCGUUCACCCUGUAGUUCAAACUAUUAGUUGACGACCACCGUUGAUAUCAAGUUUGACAAUCUUUAAAAGUCGCUGUUCGUUUUAGAGUUGAGUAAUCAAUCAAUGCUUAUCAUCGAUAGAUGUCACUGAUUGCAUCAUUGCCGCUAAGGUGAAUGAGAUCGAUAAAUAAAUAAAGACAGCUGUUUCAGUAAUAGAAAUUGAAUUCUGUAAUUGCAAGACUCGAAGAUUUAAGAGGAAUUUUUAUAUUUAAUAAAGAAAGACUUUACACGAGCAUUGACUGAAAAGGGCAAAAAACAAAAAACCCUUCUAGCACAGUAACAUUUGCGAGCUGCAUCUGUGCAACCCAGCCCAUGUGGCCAAUAAACAAAAUUGUCUUUGAGUACGCACCCCAUUUGGUGUCGAUAUUGAACAAAUUUGUUUUGGGGAACGUUUUUGUUGACAACGACUACGGGUGAAUCCUGAUUAGUGAACCCCCAUUAGUUUAAAUAAGUGUUGACUAGACGACUGACGACCUCUCAACUCGAGUUCCAUUUUCCUUUCACAUCUCUUGUCAGGUUUUUUUUUUUUUUUUGCCCUUUCGGAGCUGCGAAUUGCAACCGUCACAUAUACAAAGAGGUAAUAAACUCUUUAGAGUUUAAACUUAACAGUUGUUUUUCUGUUUCUUAUCCUUCAAAAUUUCUCCCUAAUUUUUGGCUCCUUUUAUUUUUCAUGUUUGUCUGGAAGAAAAAUUUAUGGUGCUCCAAAAACACUGCUCCUUUUCUAUCUCCUUGCCACGUUCAUAAACGCGUGGCAAGCAAUGGAUGGAUAAUAAAGAGCAAUACUUUCCUAGUUUAAUUGACAUACAGGAGUCUGUACAUAGAUUAUUUUGUUGUUAAUACGUUCUUCUCCUAAACUUUGUUUGUAGACGAACAUGUCAGAAAGUGAGCAACACGAAGAGGAGGAUCCCUCCCAGCCCCAUAUUCAUGAUAUGAUGGCAAAACUCAUAAGACAACAAGACAAAAUGAUCAAACUAUUGGAACAAAUUGCGCAUAGUAGUGGCUCUAAAAAAGUUGGAGAGACAAGUAAUAAUGAAGAUGCUCCAGAAGAUGACAAAACAAGUAGUGAUGAAGAUGCUCCUGAAGAUGACAACCUGACGGGUACGUUAUGCUAUUACAUUAUAUUGUUCUUAUAUUUCUUGUUUAUGAUAUAUACCCAUUUAUUUUAAUGAAUGCAAAAACGUGAAAAUAACAGAGAAAUAAAGUUUCUGGAAUAAUGGGUUCGAGAAACUUGGGGGUAAAAAAAAAAGGUUUGCACAGUAAGUUCUUAGACUGAAUAUAUUUCAAAUAAAUUAAUAAUAUUUACAAAAUUAAUUAAUUAAAUCUUUGUAAUUUUUUCCUUCGUUACUUAAGUUUCUUGACUAUUUUGGACACUAAAGUUACCACAGUAAAAGAGUUCACUUAAUUAUCUUUUUUUUUUAGCGUAAAAGGACUAAAUUACCUAUAAAACUAUCAUAGCUUAUACAAAUUUUUUAUGAUGCUUACAUAUUAUGGCAUAAUAGCAUGUGUUUGCUUUUGAGAAUUUAAUUAUUUGAUGUUGUAUCAGGGAGAAGGAUAGUUAUAUUCCCAUAAUACGACCAAAUGGUCAUUAAGACCCUUUAUUUUUUUAAUAAUGAACAUCAAAAUCUCCUUACGUUUAUUUUUGCCAUUUAUUUGGAUCGUAAAAAGGGUAUUUCGGUACUUCUGCUCUUUGUCGACUUUGAAUUUAAACAAUGAGCCAGUUGUCUCUUUGUUUUUUUUUUUCCUCCUUUUUUUUAUAAGCUAACCUAGUUUGCCAAUAAUAAUUUAAAAGAAUGAUUUUAAGCUCCUUUGAUUCUGAGAUUAAAGGAAUGCACAUGGUUUAAAAAAAAAAGAAAAAAGGCAAGAGCAGUGGAAGCAAUUAAGCUUAUCAGAACUAAAAUUAAUAUCCAACAUUAAACCAUCACUUAUAAAACAAAUUAAAUAUAAUAAUUAAGCACCAUCAAUUAAUCAAAAACCCUAACAGCCGCCGUAUUCUUCUUCACUUUCACAUUCUUUAUCUUUUCCUCCAUAUUUUGCACAAAACAAAGGAAACUUUACCAAUUAUCGUUCUGGAAAUGCAAGCAAUUCAUGGUUUCCAAGACGACUAAUGCCUGUUGAAUUUGAAAAUUCUCUAACCCAUAAUCCAUGGCUUUGGCAAAUGUUCAAUUUUAGCUACUGAUUUUGCAUGCUUUGAUUCAUCAGUAUAUAUGUAUAUAAAAAAGGAUGAAUUUUAUUUUUCAUUUUUAGGUUAAUUGAAAUGUUUUUAAUUCAAUUUAAAACUUUGGAAAAACAGUCAAUAUGUCGUUCCACAUAUAGAAGAAACAAAUGCCAUGAUAUGAGCAUAACAAUAAAUUUAGCAUUUGACAUCCAUAUAAACGGCAAAAAGUAAUAGAAAGAGUUAUGGUGUUCAUUAGUGAAAACAAUUAGGGUCUAGAUGGCCAUUUUAUCAAACGAUGGGAGAUAUGAUUGUCAUUUUGCUUUUUAUGAAGAUAACAUAUUUCAAAUAAAUUUUCUAUUAAGAAACCUAUAAAAAAAAUCGAAGGCUCUAAAGGAUAAAAGAGAAAUUAAGAAUUUUUAGGGACGCAAUUAAUUAAAUUGUGUAAAAUAGCCAAAGACUGUGAUUGAAAUAUGGAAUUAAUAACCAAAGACUUUGACGCCCCUUCAAAGUCCCUUUGAACCUCAUCUUUAAAUAAACCCAAUUAGAUUAAUACUAAAAAGUUCCCUACUCACCUUAAUUUCAAAAACACCCUUCUUCGAAAUAACAAUUUCUCUUUCUAAAAAUGCUCAUAAAUGCAGUUUUUUUUUUUGUCUCUCAAUCCACCUUCCACAAAUUUGUUAAUAAACUCAACUUUUAUGAUGUCAAGAGCCAAUUUUUAAGGUACGACUAGCACAUUUUUGGAGAGUAUUGAACUUCAAAAGAUAUCUUAUUGAAUGUUAAGUUAUCGAUCUUUGAAAUAUUCCAUUUUAUCUUGACAUUAGAAUGAGAUUAAUAGUGAUGCAAAAAGUUUGCAGGCAAAAAUAGAUAAAUAAAUAAAAAGAAAAAGGAAAACGAAAAGAAGCUCUAUAAUGCAUAUGUGUGGGUUUAAGUAUGGGUAAAGAGAGUUUUGUGAUAGAGAAAAACGUAUCCUUUUUUUUUUUUUUUGAAUGAAAAGAAAUACAUUGGUUUACAUUUUUAACUUUAUUGUAAUUGCAAGAAUGAGGGUUUUUAUAGGAUCAAUGAAGGGGUACCAAUAGUGCCACUCUUACACAAAGUAUCCAUUAGGGUGGAGCUUUUUUCUUUUUCUUUUUUAAAUUACAAUUGAAAUUCUACACAAUCUCCUGAGUCAUGAUGGUAUAAUCCCAAAUAUUAAGAAGAAAAUCUACCUCUAAGUUGCAUAGGGGAGAACUUGAAACCUUGACCUCAAGAAUGCAAUAAGGAGGUAUCCCACCACUCAUAAUUUAUAUCUUAAUUCCGGACUUAAAUGUUCUCCCAAACUAUAAUUUUAUUAAAUGAGUUAAAAAGUCUACAUAAAAAAAAAAAAAGAUAACAGCAGUGGAAACCAAAUAUGGCACUGCGAAAACUAAAAAGAAAAAAUUGCAAUCACUGAGAAAUACUAAUUUGUCUAAUAUUUUCCAUUUCCAAUUAAAAGCAUGCAUGGUAGGACUUAAAUUAUUGAGUCAUCUAAUUUUUCACAGCAAAAUAUAAGUGGUGAUUGGUAGUUAUCAAGUUACAAAAUAUUAAAUCUUAAUGAUGUAAGAUGCUUAAUACCUCGAAUUUGCACUCAAAUGAUAAUCCAACCGGUCAGACACCUCUAACAUUGCGAACAUACUGCAAAGUGAAAUGGACAAGCCAGCCAUUUAGGUUUGAAAAUUAUAGGUUAUUUCAUCGCUAUUGAUCUUGAUUUUUAAUUUAUACUUGAAUUUGCUUUCAAAUGAUUAUAUAACGGGCUUUCCUUGUACCUUAAACUUAAUUUAUUUACAUAACUAUCGUCCUAUUUCAAAUUUACAGUACCAAUCAGACGUAGAAGAUUAAAAUUGUAUAGAGCUGCACUAACUGGCGACUGGGCGGUGGCUAGAGGUAUUUAUGACGUACAUGAGGGUGAAAUUAGAGCUCCGAUCUCAAAAAGAAAAGACACUGCUCUUCACAUUGCAGCUGCAGCAAAGCAAUAUGGUUUCGUGAAGGAACUUGUGCAAAGAAUGGAACCAGGAGAUUUAGCUCAGGAAAAUAAUGUUGGAUAUACAGCUCUUUUCUUUGCUGCAGCAUCCGGAAUGGUGGAACUGGCUAGAGAGAUUAUGACGCAUAAUAAAGCCAUAGCAACGGAACAAGAUGACAAGCGGGUGCUACCAAUUGACUUGGCUGCAUCAUUGGGCCAUGAAGAUAUGGUAGUGUACCUUUAUGGACAAAUUAAAAAUUCCUUGAAUGAUGAAGAUCGCCGCCACUUACUUCUCACGUUGAUACAAACUGAUUUGUAUGGUAAGCACUGUUUUUAAUUCAUUAUCUUCACAGAUUGCUGCGGUACUAAUGAAUACAUUUUGUCCAGAUGUUGCAUUGCGGGUGUUUGAGGAUCUGCACGAGAAGUCGGCCAUUGGUCGCGCUGCAAAUGAAGAGACAGCACUACAUGCUUUGGCUCGAAAGAAUCUGAAUUAUUCUCAUUUUACCAAACAAUAUCAGCGAGGAUUUUUUAGUAGGGUCUUCAAUCUGGGUUGGUCCUACGAACCCUAGAACUCUUUAGGCUUUAGCAUUUAUUUCUUGUCAUACUUUAACAAUCUUGGUUAUUUAUUUCGCUGCUUUGUGUUUUGCAAUUGGAAAUUUCAGGUGCCAAAGAUAUAGAAAAUAAAAGGCAGAAAGCACUUAAAUUAGUCCAACGCCUUUGGGAAAAAGUUGUAUUGUUGAGUGAUUCACGCAUUUCAAACCUAAUUGCAGAACCCGAACUAAUAUUUGAUGCUGCGAGACAAGGAAACCUCGAGUUUCUAUUGAUACUUAUUCGUGAAUAUCCUGAUCUGAUAUGGAACAUUGAUGAAAAUGGUUAUACCAUAUUUCAUACUGCUGUUUUGCAUCGUCGAAAACGUAUCUUCAAGCUUAUAUAUCAGAUAGGUGCAGCAAAAGAUUUGAUACUUAAGUUCGAAGACCCAAAAAAAAACAAUAUUCUACAUUUAGCUGCAAUGUUGCCACCACAAGAUCGACUCAAUAUUGUUUCAGGAGCAGCUCUCCAAAUGCAACGGGAGUUAUUGUGGUUUGAGGUGAAAUUAUUUGUUCAGCACUCUGCUACUAUAGUCCUCGGAAAUUUUUUUUUUUUUUUUUAUAAACUCACGUUAAUGGUUUUCCAUUUUAUAGCUUUAGCUAAUCUUUUUUUUUUUUUUUAAUAUCUUUUUUUAUUCUACUGAUUGUUUUUCCUUUAUCUUAGUUCGCUUACGAUUUCCAUUUUAUAACUUAACGGGACUAGGUGCCUGUUUUAUUAAUAAGUUUCAUCUUACACUAUAACUGUAGGAAGUGGAAAAGGCUGUUCAACGACGAUCUGCUGAGGCCAAAAACGAAGAUGGUCUUAGUCCUAGAGCAUUAUUUACUAGGAAACACGAAAACCUGAGAGAACAAGGGGAGAAAUGGAUGAAGGAUACUGCAACAUCUUGCAUGCUUGUGGCGACACUUAUAGCCACCGUCGUUUUCGCGGCAGCUUUUACAGUGCCAGGAGGCAACAAAGGAGACACGGGGUUUCCUUUCUUCCUGGAAAAAGUUUCAUUCAAGAUUUUUGCCAUAUCGGAAGCAAUAUCACUGGUAUCGUCCUCUGCAUCUAUAGUAAACUUCUUAUCCAUUCUCACUUCUCGGUAUACAGAAAAAGAUUUCCUUCGCCUGUUGCCUAAAAAGUUGCUUAUUGGACUUGCAACACUUUUCGUGUCAAUAGCAGCAAUGAUGGUAGUGUUUUCUGCAGCAUUUUUCAUUGUCUUCAAGGACAGUAGAUUGUGGGUAGCUAUUCUAGUUACGGUAAUUGCUUCCAUUCCAGUCAUCAUGUUUAUUGUGCAACAUUGCCAACUCCUUUGUGAUGUCGUACGAUCCACCUACGUAUCAAAUUCUCUCUUCCAGAGAGAUAAAAUUAGUCUUUUCCAUAAAGAAGAUGAAGCAAGUGAACGUCAGCGGAUGACCAAGUUAUGCAAUGGACGUUUGGCUAUUCAAUGCUUAAAUGUUCAAGCUAGAGAGUGGCAGCUGGUUUGAAGACGCUCUUACCAAAUUUUACUAAAAACCUCUCCACACAAUGUAAGCUUGGACACCGAGUCAACUUAAAUUCUCGUUUGAAACAUAAAAUAUUGAUAAAUGUUGCAGCAACAACAAUAAUACAUCAUCUUGUUUCAGUUGAGGAAGAGAUUCUGUAGCUGGUUCAGCUCUUAUCAAUUAGUUCUUACUUACAAAAGUUCGAAAUAUAGACGUCAGAGUUAGAAAAUAAUAAGAGAAGUUAGCUUAUUGUCACGGGAUGAGUGUUUUGCGCAGCUAACCCGUGCGGGACUUAGACAACUUUGUCGAAUAUUGCUAAGUAAGCCUAGAGCUUCUCGAACUAGAGAAGAGAACAAUUGAGCCAAAGAAGAAAACUUGUAUUGCACAAAGAGAGAAUACAAUGCUUGAGUUGCUUACAAUGUUUGUUGGAUACAAAUGCCUAAUGCUAGGGGUGGGCAAACGGUUCGGUUUUUGCCGAACCGAACCGAACCGAACCGAAAAAUUCGGUUCGGUUCAGUUCUAUGAGCAAAAACCGAAUGGUUUAAAAAAUACUGAACCGAUUGGUUUUAAUUCGGUUCGGUUCAAAACCGAAUUGAACCAAAAAACCGAUCGGUUCGGUUUAAUUCAAUUACAAAUAUUUAAAAUCAAAUUUCAAUUUCAAUCACAAAAUUCAAAUCCCUAAAGCUAAAUCGCGAUUGCAUACUGCCCUUGCCUCUCUCCCUCGUGCCUCUCCCUCGCGUCUCUCUCCUCACGGCGGAGCUCCACAACGGCGGCACCACCCCUCGGCAGUAUCUUCCCCCUCUGCGCGUGCAUGGUGCGGUUCGCCUCAGCCCCUCUCGGUCUCUUCCUCGCGUCUCUUCCUCAUCUCACACCACGGUCAGCGCCUAACACAGCCCCUUAGUAGCAGCACAGCCCCUCCCCUCAAGUACAGCGACGCCGUCGUUAACCCUCAGCUUGGUUGCUGCAGCAUCUGGAAGGUACAUAUGCUCUUUGGUCCAAACCUCCUGGCUCCUGCCAUCAGCCCGCGUCUUUAAUCUUCACUGCUGCAGGUUUUUUUUUUUUUUGUUAAUCCAUGUUGUGGACUUGGUUAAUAGUUUGAAGUUUAUGUUGGUGUAUAUUGGUUGUUGGCAGUGUGGAAAUUGGAAUUGUAUAAUUGUAUAUGUGUCGAAUUGUAACAUAGUGUGGAAUUGCUGGCACGGCAGUGUGGAAUUGUAUAAGUUAUGAGAAAACGAUCGUGAAAUGAUUCUAAUUUCAUUGACUAUGAUUAAUUUGGGAAAAAAGCUUUACAAUGAUUCCGUGUCUGUUUGUGUUUGAAAGGAAUGUUUUUGUAUUGGUAAGCCAUUCAGUGAUUCCAGGAGCAGAAUCACAGUAAGCUCCCCAGACACAAUUAUUCUAAGCCUUUAAAAAUUUGUAGACUAGUUUUUCAAUUUCUUUUAGAUUUUCUCUUCUCACAGUUUAAGCGUUGCUCAUGCCACUGGAAUUGGUUACUUCAAUUCCAUUACUAGGCCGAAUAAUUAAAUGAAAUAGAGCUUGUGCCUUUCUUGUGGAGCCUUACAUAUUAAAUUUGAUUCAAUAAUAAAUAUUAAGAAUAUUCAAUUGAAUAUAACUUGCAGAAGGUAUAUUUUGUAAAACUUUAAUUUAAAUUUCUGUAAUGGCUUGGGAAAGUUGAUUGAGAUUAUCCAAAUGUGCUUAAUUCAGUUCAAUACUUCAAAUUAUUAAAUAAAUCAUUUUUCUUAUUUCUUUUUAUUUGAUUUAUUUUAGAUGUCUAAUUAUUCAAGAGUUCAAGACAACCUUGAUUGUGUAGCCGAUGAUUUGGAACAUGAAGUUGAAGUUAAUGAUAAUGAAAAUGAUUCGNNNNNNNNNNNNNNNNNNNNNNNNNNNNNNNNNNNNNNNNNNNNNNNNNNNNNNNNNNNNNNNNNNNNNNNNNNNNNNNNNNNNNNNNNNNNNNNNNNNNNNNNNNNNNNNNNNNNNNNNNNNNNNNNNNNNNNNNNNNNNNNNNNNNNNNNNNNNNNNNNNNNNNNNNNNNNNNNNNNNNNNNNNNNNNNNNNNNNNNNNNNNNNNNNNNNNNNNNNNNNNNNNNNNNNNNNNNNNNNNNNNNNNNNNNNNNNNNNNNNNNNNNNNNNNNNNNNNNNNNNNNNNNNNNNNNNNNNNNNNNNNNNNNNNNNNNNNNNNNNNNNNNNNNNNNNNNNNNNNNNNNNNNNNNNNNNNNNNNNNNNNNNNNNNNNNNNNNNNNNNNNNNNNNNNNNNNNNNNNNNNNNNNNNNNNNNNNNNNNNNNNNNNNNNNNNNNNNNNNNNNNNNNNNNNNNNNNNNNNNNNNNNNNNNNNNNNNNNNNNNNNNNNNNNNNNNNNNNNNNNNNNNNNNNNNNNNNNNNNNNNNNNNNNNNNNNNNNNNNNNNNNNNNNNNNNNNNNNNNNNNNNNNNNNNNNNNNNNNNNNNNNNNNNNNNNNNNNNNNNNNNNNNNNNNNNNNNNNNNNNNNNNNNNNNNNNNNNNNNNNNNNNNNNNNNNNNNNNNNNNNNNNNNNNNNNNNNNNNNNNNNNNNNNNNNNNNNNNNNNNNNNNNNNNNNNNNNNNNNNNNNNNNNNNNNNNNNNNNNNNNNNNNNNNNNNNNNNNNNNNNNNNNNNNNNNNNNNNNNNNNNNNNNNNNNNNNNNNNNNNNNNNNNNNNNNNNNNNNNNNNNNNNNNNNNNNNNNNNNNNNNNNNNNNNNNNNNNNNNNNNNNNNNNNNNNNNNNNNNNNNNNNNNNNNNNNNNNNNNNNNNNNNNNNNNNNNNNNNNNNNNNNNNNNNNNNNNNNNNNNNNNNNNNNNNNNNNNNNNNNNNNNNNNNNNNNNNNNNNNNNNNNNNNNNNNNNNNNNNNNNNNNNNNNNNNNNNNNNNNNNNNNNNNNNNNNNNNNNNNNNNNNNNNNNNNNNNNNNNNNNNNNNNNNNNNNNNNNNNNNNNNNNNNNNNNNNNNNNNNNNNNNNNNNNNNNNNNNNNNNNNNNNNNNNNNNNNNNNNNNNNNNNNNNNNNNNNNNNNNNNNNNNNNNNNNNNNNNNNNNNNNNNNNNNNNNNNNNNNNNNNNNNNNNNNNNNNNNNNNNNNNNNNNNNNNNNNNNNNNNNNNNNNNNNNNNNNNNNNNNNNNNNNNNNNNNNNNNNNNNNNNNNNNNNNNNNNNNNNNNNNNNNNNNNNNNNNNNNNNNNNNNNNNNNNNNNNNNNNNNNNNNNNNNNNNNNNNNNNNNNNNNNNNNNNNNNNNNNNNNNNNNNNNNNNNNNNNNNNNNNNNNNNNNNNNNNNNNNNNNNNNNNNNNNNNNNNNNNNNNNNNNNNNNNNNNNNNNNNNNNNNNNNNNNNNNNNNNNNNNNNNNNNNNNNNNNNNNNNNNNNNNNNNNNNNNNNNNNNNNNNNNNNNNNNNNNNNNNNNNNNNNNNNNNNNNNNNNNNNNNNNNNNNNNNNNNNNNNNNNNNNNNNNNNNNNNNNNNNNNNNNNNNNNNNNNNNNNNNNNNNNNNNNNNNNNNNNNNNNNNNNNNNNNNNNNNNNNNNNNNNNNNNNNNNNNNNNNNNNNNNNNNNNNNNNNNNNNNNNNNNNNNNNNNNNNNNNNNNNNNNNNNNNNNNNNNNNNNNNNNNNNNNNNNNNNNNNNNNNNNNNNNNNNNNNNNNNNNNNNNNNNNNNNNNNNNNNNNNNNNNNNNNNNNNNNNNNNNNNNNNNNNNNNNNNNNNNNNNNNNNNNNNNNNNNNNNNNNNNNNNNNNNNNNNNNNNNNNNNNNNNNNNNNNNNNNNNNNNNNNNNNNNNNNNNNNNNNNNNNNNNNNNNNNNNNNNNNNNNNNNNNNNNNNNNNNNNNNNNNNNNNNNNNNNNNNNNNNNNNNNNNNNNNNNNNNNNNNNNNNNNNNNNNNNNNNNNNNNNNNNNNNNNNNNNNNNNNNNNNNNNNNNNNNNNNNNNNNNNNNNNNNNNNNNNNNNNNNNNNNNNNNNNNNNNNNNNNNNNNNNNNNNNNNNNNNNNNNNNNNNNNNNNNNNNNNNNNNNNNNNNNNNNNNNNNNNNNNNNNNNNNNNNNNNNNNNNNNNNNNNNNNNNNNNNNNNNNNNNNNNNNNNNNNNNNNNNNNNNNNNNNNNNNNNNNNNNNNNNNNNNNNNNNNNNNNNNNNNNNNNNNNNNNNNNNNNNNNNNNNNNNNNNNNNNNNNNNNNNNNNNNNNNNNNNNNNNNNNNNNNNNNNNNNNNNNNNNNNNNNNNNNNNNNNNNNNNNNNNNNNNNNNNNNNNNNNNNNNNNNNNNNNNNNNNNNNNNNNNNNNNNNNNNNNNNNNNNNNNNNNNNNNNNNNNNNNNNNNNNNNNNNNNNNNNNNNNNNNNNNNNNNNNNNNNNNNNNNNNNNNNNNNNNNNNNNNNNNNNNNNNNNNNNNNNNNNNNNNNNNNNNNNNNNNNNNNNNNNNNNNNNNNNNNNNNNNNNNNNNNNNNNNNNNNNNNNNNNNNNNNNNNNNNNNNNNNNNNNNNNNNNNNNNNNNNNNNNNNNNNNNNNNNNNNNNNNNNNNNNNNNNNNNNNNNNNNNNNNNNNNNNNNNNNNNNNNNNNNNNNNNNNNNNNNNNNNNNNNNNNNNNNNNNNNNNNNNNNNNNNNNNNNACCACCCCUCGGCAGUAUCUUCCCCCUCUGCGCGUGCACGGUGCGGUUCGGCUCAGCCCCUCACGAUCUCUUCCUCGCACAGCCCCUCAGUAGCAGCACAGCCCUUCCCCUCACUGCUGCAGGUUAUUUUGUUUAAUCUAUGUUGUGGCCUCUGUGUUUGAAUUGAAGCUUAUGUGGGGUUAAAUUUGUGGAGGUGUUGGUGAUGGUGUAUAUCGGUUGCUGGCAGUGUGGAAUUGUACAAGUAAAAUAGUUGUGUAAUUGUAUAUUGUGAGAAACUAAGAAUAUUGAUAUGUAAAUAGUUGUAUAAUUGUAUAUUGUGAGAAUAUUGAUAUGAAUUCGGAAUUUGGAUACAGAAAAAUGAGAAUGUUUCCUUUCAGACAUCUUUGCUUAGCAUGACCUGCCAUUUUAUAUUUUUAUGUACUGUUUUUUUAUUGACUUGGUUGCCUAAAAAUUAUGAUCUUCAUCGCAAUGGCAUCAUAGAUUUUUAAAUUAGCUUGUUACUAUGAGUUGAUAUGCAACAGUGAACACUUACAAUAUCUAACUUUGAUGGGUAAACUGUGACUAGCCAGAACUUAUGUAGUUAAAAGAUAACUAAUUUUUCCUGGAAUGCACCUAUUGCACCAUAUAUCUGGUUGUUACAGAAUUGGUUGCGGACUUCUCUUUUCGUGGAUACAACGACGGACCUAAAUAAAUUAGUUGAAGACAAUGAGUUUAUGGAUCAACUUGCGGAAGGUAUAUUUUGUAAAAUUUUAAUUUUAAUUUACUUUUUAAGUAUUAUCAAUAUUAUAUAAUUUGUUUAAUUUUAAUCUAAGUUUAUUUUUUAAGUAUUACUAACCUUGUUCAAUUUGUCCAAUUUUUGUAUGUAGAACUUCGCAAAUCAACAACAGUCGACCAACUUUGUAGGUCAACAUGAAAAUUGCGGUUGAACAUAAACCAUUUUAGGUAAUUAAAUUGAUAUAUAUUUAUUAAUUAAUUAUUAAAUCGCUUUAUUUUAUUUAGUUUAAUUAUUGAGUGCUUUGGCUUAUUUUGAAAGUUUGAAUUUUGAUGUAGGUGAUGUGGGUGGCGGAUGAAAUUGUUGCUUGUGUAUUGAAGUUGAAGGCUUCUCUUAUUUUGUUUUGUUUAGAGUAUGGGAUUUUCAUGUAGAUGAUGUGGGUGGUGGAUGAAAUUGUUGUUUCUCUUAUUUUGUUAUUUACUUGAUGGCUUUGUAUUAGGACUUUUGUUAUUUUGUUUUUUACUUGAAGGCUUUGUAUUUGAAGUUGUUAAUUGUGUAUUGCAGACUUAUUGUGUUUUAUUUUUCUUGUUGUGAACUUAUAUUCUGUAAAAUGUAGGGAAAAUUUGUAAAAUGCAGUAAAAUUAGGCGAAAAUUGUAAAAUGUAGUAAGAUUUGGUUAAAACUGUAAAAUCCAUAAAUAUGUGCGAACCGAACCGAACCGAAAUAUUUCGAUUCGGUUCGGUUCGGUUCUAAAAUUCGGUUCGAUUUGGUUUGAAUUUUUUAGAACCAAUUGGUUCUGGUUUGGUUCGGUUCGGAGCCCGAACCGAACCGAACCGGAAAAUGCCCACCCCUACCUAAUGCCAUCCCAUAUUUAUAGGGGAGGCUUUGCCUAACUUUGCCUAACUUUGCCAAACUUGGUCAAACUCUAGAGUAUUCUACAAUUUCCUAGCUAUUUACAUGUGUUGGAAUUGUAUAAAGUAUUCUAGAAUAUUUACAUGUUCACAUGUGCUAGAGUUGCCUAAAACCUUCCGGAAUUGGGCCAAGCUAGCACUCUUGGCCUUGUGUUGGCUCUCUAGCCCGAAAUUGUGGGCAAAUGGGCUAGCGAAUUGGGCGGUCCGCAACAUCCUCCCCCACCUAAGCUCGCGGCGUCUUCGUCGCGCUCUCGUGCUUGAAAUUCUGGAUGUGCUCAGCGAAUUGCCACAAGUCAUCUUCACGUUCCCAAGUGGCUUCGCUCUCGGGGAGGUUUUUCCACUUCACCAAGUACUCGCUAUGUGCUGGCACGCCCCUCCUCGAAACCGUGUGGUCCGCAAUGAUGUAGUCCACAUCUUUGUCGAAUGCGGUGACAACGGCAGUUGGCGCGCGCCUCGAUUCUCUGCGACUUGGUUCUCCCAUGUCUUCGUGAUAUGGCUUGAGAAGGCUCACAUGGAAGACCGGAUGGAUCUUGAGUCUUGGCGGAAGUUGGAGUUGAUACGAAACGUUGCCCACACGUCGAACAACUUGAAAGGGUCCCUCGUAGCGCCUCACUAACCCCUUGUGGACUUUCCGCAAAGUCUUGAACUGUUGGGGUAGGAGCUUGAUCAUGACUUGAUCACCUUCCUUGUACUCAACAUGCCGUCUCCUUAUAUCCGCCCAUUUCUUCAUUUUCCUCGCGGCUUUGUCGAGGUAGGCUCGCGUGAUGUCCGCUUCCUCAUGCCAUUCGCGGGCGAGCUUGUGUGCCGCGGGGCUUUUCCCUCCGUAAGUCGAGGCUAUGGCAUUGGGGGUCAUGGGCUGGAAUCCCAUGAUGAUCUCGAAUGGACUCUUGCCCGUAGCCUCACUUCGCUGCAAGUUAUAAGAAAAUUGGGCGAUGUCAAGUAGUUUCGCCCAAUCCCGCUGAUGAGCGCUCAAAUAAUACCUCAAGUACAUCUCAAGGAGGCCAUUGAUGCGCUCGGUCUGCCCAUCCGUUUGUGGGUGGAAGCUUGUCAAGAACUUGAGAUCGGUCCCCAACAUCUUGAAGAGCUCCGUCCAAAAACGCCCAGUGAACCGAGGGUCUUGGUCGCUCACAAUGCUCUUCGGAACUCCCCAAAGCUUCACAAUGUGCUUGACAAAUAGGCGGGCUGCCUCGUCCGCUUUGCAAUCGACUGGUGCGGCAAUGAAUGUGGCGUACUUGUUGUAUCGGUCGACAACGACCAUGAUGCUACCGCAACCUUCGGACUUGGGCAGCGAAGUAAUGAAGUCCAUGGAGACACUUUCCCAUGGCCUUGUUGCUAGUGGUAGCGGCUCCAGUAAUCCCGCUGGAAGUUGAUGAUCCACCUUGUCUUGUUGGCACACAAGACAAGUUCGCACAACCUUCUUUGAUGUGUGAGAUAAGGUCGGACUUCGGUUGGCUCAUGCUAAGUGUUGCCAAUUUCGCCUUGCGGCUUAGAGCGUCCGCAACGACAUUGGCUUUCCCUGGUUUGUACUCGAGUCGAUAGUCAAAUUCCGCUAGAAAAUCUUGCCACCGUGCUUGCUUCGAACUCAACUUCUUUUGAGUUUGAAAGUAGCUUGUCGCCACGUUGUCCGUCAUGAUUGUGAAGUGCGAGCCAAGCAAGUAAUGUCGCCACACUCUUAGACAAUGGAUGAUGGCUGUCAUCUCCUUUUCUUGCACCGUGUAGCGGCGUUCUGCAUCAUUUAGCUUUCGACUCUCGAACGCUAGAGGGUGGCCUUCUUGCAUGAGGACUCCUCCUAUGGCGAAAUCCGAGGCAUCCGUUUGCACUUCGAAGGGCUUUGUGUGGUCCGGAAGGGCGAGGACUGGUUCCUCCGAAAUUGCCUUCUUCAACUCCUCGAAUGCGCGUUGGCACUCUUCGGACCAAUGCCACGUUCUGUUUUUCUUGAGCAUAUCCGUCAAGGGUGCCACCUUAGCUGAAUAGCCCUUGAUGAAGCGGCGGUAGUAAUUCACCAGUCCAAGGAAUGAGCGAAGUUCGGGUACUUUUGAGGGAGGCUCCCAAUCGAGGAUGGCUUUUACUUUGUCAUUCUCCAUCAUGAUCUUCCCGCCCGCAAUCUUGUGGCCAAGGAACUCCACCUCUUGUUGGGCAAACGAGCACUUCUCUAGUUUGAGGAAGAGCUCAUUGUCUCGAAGUACUUAGAGGACUUGUCGCAAGUGUUGGGCAUGAUCCUCGAGCGUGGUGCUAUACACCACUAUGUCAUCCAAGUACACGACCACGAAGCGGUCGAGGAAUGGUUGGAGCACCUUGUUCAUGAGUGUGCAAAAUGUGGCGGGGGCAUUAGGAAGGCCAAAAGGCAUCACAAGGAAUUCAAAAGACCCGUACCUUGUUGUGCACGCUGUCUUCGGUUCGUCUCCCUUGGCGAUGCGCACUUGGUAGUACCCGGAGCGCAAGUCAAAUUUGGUGAAGUACCGUGCUUUGCCAAGUUAGUCGAACAAGUCCGCAAUCAAUGGAAUCAUAUACUUGUUCUUGAUGGUGCUCUUGUUGAGUGCUCUAUAGUCGAUGCACAUCCAUAGCGAUCCAUCCUUUUUCUUUUGGAAGAGGACCGGUGCACCGAAUGGGGCCUUUGAGGGGCGAAUGUAGCUUGCGUCCAACAAGUCUUUGAGUUGUCUCUGCAACUCCUCUAAUUCGGGUGGCGCCAUGCGGUAGGGCGCCAAGGCUGGUGGCUUCGGUACUUGUUGUAUCGGUCGACAACGACCAUGAUGCUACCGCAACCUUCGGACUUGGGCAGCGAAGUAAUGAAGUCCAUGGAGACACUUUCCCAUGGCCUUGUUGCUAGUGGUAGCGGCUCCAGUAAUCCCGCUGGAAGUUGAUGAUCCACCUUGUCUUGUUGGCACACAAGACAAGUUCGCACAUAUGCCUCGAUGUCGUCCCUCAUGUGCGGCCAAAAAUACGAGGCUUGGACUAGUGCGGUGGUGCGCUCAAUUCUUGGGUGACCAGCCCACUUGGAGUCGUGGCACUCCUUGAUUACUUCCUUCCGCAAGUUUCCGAAUGGAGACUAAGAAGCUUGGGUCCUUCUUGAAAGCCUUCUUGAAUUGCAUGGCGGAGAGUGUCUUCUCCUCGGACUUGCCUCGUUUCGUGAGAACCAUGCAUGCUUUACUCCCGUCGAGGAUGCUUAGGGAGUUUGUAGCGGGCAGUGGGAAGGCAUGGACUUGGUCGAAGAAUUCCAUGCCGAGGACCAUCUUGAAGUCGUCCAUGGGCACGAUGGAGAAGUCAAGCUUUCCGCUCCACGUACCAAGUGUGAUGUGCACGCCUUGUGCGAUUCCCGCAAUUGGCUUGGCGGGUGAGUUCACAGCCUUCAUUGUGCCUCCUUCCUUGGUGGCCUUGAGGCCUAAACGCUUGGCCUCAUCUACGGACACGAAAUUGUGUGUUGCUCCCGUGUCUAGCAGCGCACGAACGGACUGACCGUUUACCUUUGCGCUUACAUACAUGAGCCCUUUCUUGACGAGUGCGGGCUGUUGGCGAUUGAGUGCGCCGAGGCGUUGGAGAGAACCCAUGCUGAGUUGGGGUUCCUCCGUGGACAUUGUGGGGUUGCUCUUGAGUUGGGCAAGUUUGCGGAAGCUGGACUUGUGGAGAGUGUGCCUGCUGUACCGUACAUCCGCCUUGGCCGUACAGCAGUUUCGACUCUCGAACGCUAUUGGGUGGCCUUCUUGCAUAAGGACUCCUCCUAUGGCGAAAUCCGAGGCAUCCGUUUGAACUUCAAAUGGCUUGGUGUGGUCCGGAAGAGCGAGGACUGGUUCCUCCAAAAUUGCCUUCUUCAACUCCUCGAAGGCGCGUUGGCACUCUUCGGACCAAUGCCAUGUUCUGUUUUUCUUGAGCAUAUCCGUCAAGGGUGCCACCUUAGCUGAAUAGCCCUUGAUGAAGCGGCGGUAGUAAUUCACCAGUCCAAGGAAUGAGCGAAGUUCGGGUACUUUUGAGGGAGGCUCCCAAUCGAGGAUGGCUUUUACUUUGUCAUUCUCCAUCAUGAUCUUCCCGCCCGCAAUCUUGUGGCCAAGGAACUCCACCUCUUGUUGGGCAAACGAGCACUUCUCUAGUUUGAGGAAGAGCUCAUUGUCUCGAAGUACUUGGAGGACUUGUUGCAAGUGUUGGGCAUGAUCCUCGAGUGUGGUGCUAUACACCACAAUGUCGUCCAAGUACACGACCACGAAGCGGUCGAGGAAUGGUUGGAGUACCUUGUUCAUGAGUGUGCAAAAUGUGGCGGGUGCAUUAGUAAGGCCAAAAGGCAUCACAAGAAAUUCGAAAGACCCGUACCUUGUUGUGCACGCUGUCUUCGGUUCGUCUCCCUUGGCGAUGCGCACUUGGUAGUACCCAGAGCGUAAGUCAAGUUUGGUGAAGUACCGCGCUUUACCAAGCUGGUCGAACAAGUCCGCAAUCAAGGGAAUCGGAUACUUGUUCUUGAUAGUGAUCUUGUUGAGCGCUCUAUAGUCGAUGCACAUCCACAGCGAUCCAUCCUUUUUCUUUUGGAACUUUGCAAUCGACGGGUGCGGCAAUGAAUGUAGCAUACUUGCUGUAUCGGUCGACAACGACCAUGAUGCUACCGCAACCUUCGGACUUGGGCAGCGAUGUGAUGAAGUCCAUGGAGACACUCUCCCAUGGCCUUGUUGCUAGUGGUAGCGGCUCUAACAGUCCCGCUGGAAGUUGAUGAUCCACCUUGUCUUGUUGGCACACAAGACAAGUUCGCACAUAUGCCUCGAUGUCGUCCCUCAUGUGCGGCCAGAAAUACGAGGCUUGGACUAGUGCGGUGGUGCGCUCAAUUCCUGGGUGACCAGCCCACUUGGAGUCGUGGCACUCCUUGAUUACUUCCUUCCGCAAGUUUCCCCACCUUGGCACGAACAGCCGAUCUCCCUUGGUGAGGAGGAUGCCUUCCUCUUGCCAAAACCGCCUUGUCUUUCCUUCGAGCACCUUCUCCAGCAAAUCCUUUGCUAGCGGAUCUUGUUGGAGGCCUUCCUUGAUGCGUGAGACAAGGUCGGACUUCGGUUGGCUCAUGCUAAGUGUUGCCAAUUCCGCCUUGCGGCUUAGAGCGUCCGCAACAACAUUGGCUUUCCCCGGUUUGUACUCUAGCCGAUAGUCGAAUUCCGCAAGGAAAUCUUGCCACCGUGCUUGCUUCGGACUCAACUUCUUUUGAGUUUGAAAGUAGCUUGUCGCCACGUUGUCCGUCAUGAUCGUGAAGUGUGAGCCAAGCAAGUAAUGUCGCCACACUCUUAGACAAUGGAUGAUGGCUGUCAUCUCUUUCUCUUGCACCGUGUAGCGGCGUUCCGUGUCAUUUAGCUUUCGACUCUCGAACGCUAUUGGGUGGCCUUCUUGCAUAAGGACUCCUCCUAUGGCGAAAUCCGAGGCAUCCGUUUGAACUUCAAAUGGCUUGGUGUGGUCCGGAAGAGCGAGGACUGGUUCCUCCGAAAUUGCCUUCUUCAACUCCUCGAAUGCACGUUGACACUCUUCGGACCAAUGCCACGUUCUGUUUUUCUUGAGCAUAUCCGUCAAGGGUGCCGCCUUGGCUGAAUAGCCCUUAAUGAAGCGGCGGUAGUAAUUCACCAGCCCAAGGAAUGAGCGAAGCUCGGGUACUUUCGAGGGAGGCUCCCAAUCGAGGAUGGCCUUUACUUUGUCAUUCUCCAUCAUGAUCUUCCCGCCCGCAAUCUUGUGGCCAAGGAACUCCACCUCUUGUUGGGCAAAUGAGCACUUCUCUAGUUUGAGGAAGAGCUCAUUGUCUCGAAGUACUUGGAGGACUUGUUGCAAGUGUUGGGCAUGAUCCUCGAGUGUGGUGCUAUACACCACAAUGUCGUCCAAGUACACGACCACGAAGCGGUUGAGGAAUGGUUGGAGUACCUUGUUCAUGAGUGUGCAAAAUGUGGCGGGGGCAUUAGUAAGGCCAAAAGGCAUCACAAGGAAUUCGAAAGACCCGUACCUUGUUGUGCACGCUGUCUUCAGUUCGUCUCCCUUGGCGAUGCGCACUUGAUAAUACCCGGAGCGCAAGUCAAGUUUGGUGAAGUACCGUGCUUUGCCAAGCUGGUCGAACAAGUCCGCAAUCAAGGGAAUCGGAUACUUGUUCUUGAUGGUGAUCUUGUUGAGCGCUCUAUAGUCGAUGCACAUCCGCAGCGAUCCAUCCUUUUUCUUUUGGAAGAGGACCGGUGCACCGAAUGGGGCCUUUGAGGGGCGAAUGUAGCCUGCAUCCAGCAAGUCUUUGAGUUGUCUCCGCAACUCCUCUAAUUCAGGUGGCGCCAUGCGGUAGGGUGCCAAGGCUGGUGGCUUUGCGCCUUGUUCCAGUUCAAUCGCAUGAUCUACCUCUCGCGGAGGUGGGAGCUUCUUCGGAAGUUCUGGAGGCAUCACAUCCUUGUAAUAUUCGAGGACGGCUUGAAUUCGUGGAGGGACUUGGUUUGGCGACGUUCCGCUAUUUCCUUCCUCAUUUAGUUCCCGAAUGGAGACUAAGAAGCUUGGGUCCUUUUUGAAAGCCUUCUUGAAUUGCAUGGCGGAGAGUGUCUUCUCCUCGGACUUGCCUCGCUCCGUGGGUACCAUGCAUGCUUUACUCCCGUCGAGGAUGCUUAGGGAGUUUGUAGCGGGCAGUGGGAAGGCAUGGACUUGGUCGAAGAAUUCCAUGCCGAGGACCAUCUUGAAGUCAUCCAUGGGCACAAUGGAGAAAUCAAGCUUUCCGCUCCACGUACCGAGUGUGAUGUGCACGCCUUGUGCAAUUCCCGCAAUUGGCUUGGCGGGUGAGUUCACUGCCUUCAUUGUGCCUCCUUCCUUAGUAGCUUUGAGACCUAAGCGCUUGGCCUCGUCUACGGACACGAAAUUGUGCGUUGCUCCUGUGUCUAGCAGCGCGCGAAUGGACUGACCGUUUACCUUUGCGCUUACAUACAUGAGCCCUUUCUUGACGAGUGCGGGCUAUUGGCGAUUGAGUGCGCCAAGGCGUUGGAGAGAACCCAUGCUGAGUUGGGGUUCCUCCGUGGACAUUGUGGGGUUGCUCUUGAGUUGGGCAGCAAGAGCGUUAAGCGACCUCUUCUCCGGACAGUCGCGUACCCAAUGAGGCCCACCUUUGCCUUAGUUGGCCUUUUUGUCCUUGGAUUGGGUAGAGUAUUCGGUGAGCGAUUCCGCAACAGCGAUGGCGUCGUCAAGUGUCUGAACGCCACGCCUAUCAAGUUCGGUCUUGGCCCAAUCCUUGAGGCCAUCUUGGAAGUAGAAUAGUGAAUCCUUGUUGGACAUGUCGCUUAUCUCUAACAUGAGGGUAGUGAACUCGUUGAUGUAGUCCCGAAUGCUACCCGUUUGCUUGAGGCGACGUAAGCGCGCUCGCGCUUCCUUCUCUGCAUUGCUUGGGGCGAACUGCUUUCGGAGUUCUUGCUUGAAGUCGGCCCAAGUGUCGAUGGCGCAAAUGCCCUUGCCCAUCUCGCCAUGCUUGCGACUGCACUUGUGCCAUGCCCAAUCUGAGCGGACUUCAUCCACUUCCGCACGGACAGCGCGUAGUUCGUCUUGAACAAAACUACGAAUUUUGAGCAACUCAUCAUGGAAAGAACGAAACUCACCUCGGAGAAUGUUCGCUUGCUCAUGGAUGAGAGCUUUUGUGGCCACCGUGAACUCGGCGUAUUCUCCCUCGAGACCAUCCACUCUUUCCUCCAAUCCCACGAGGCUAUCUUGAGCGGCGGACAAUGCUAUUUCGAGAGUGCCUACACGAGGCUCCAACGCAUCCACGGAUAGGGCCUUGGACUUGCCGCGAGUCUUGCCUUGGGCGCGUUCUCCCUCUCGGCCACGGCUUGGUUCCGGUGGAACAUCCACACCAACAACACCCUCUUGUGCUACGUUCGAAGGGUUGGCCAUUGCUUCGUGAGCUAAUUUGCGUGCGUGCAAACCUUAGCUCUGAUACCACUUGUCACGGGAUGAGUGUUUUGCGCAGCUAACCCGUGCGGCACGUAGACAACUUUGCCGAAUGUUGCUAAGUAAGCCUAGAGAUUCUCAAACAAGAGAAGAGAGCAGAGCUUCUCGAACUAGAGAAAAGAGCAAUUGAGCCAAAGAAGAAAACUUGUAUUGCACAAAGAGAGAAUACAAUGCUUGAGUUGCUUACAAUGUUUGUUGGAUACAAAUGCCUAACUUCCGGAAUUGGGCCAAGCUAGCACUCUUGGCCUUGUGUUGGCUCUCUAGCCCGAAAUUGUGGGCAAUUGGGCUAGCGAAUUGGGCGGUCCGCAACAUUAUGAUGUUGUUAGAAUCAGGUUGGUUAAGAUGGCAAUUUGAUUAAUGAAAAAAUUUUUAUCCGACCACGAUGUUAAAGCAGGGUAAAUUUCUCAUUACAUUAAUUUCUUCAUUGGCAUGUACAGCAAUCAGGUAUUUGCUCUGUGGCCCUUGCUAAUUUGGAACUGCUCUCGAAGGCGAAAAUGAGUCAUUAAUACCCGAACACAAAUAAUAAGCUCUCCACCAAUAGAAACUUGAUGGGCAUGUGUCCAUGCAAUGCAUUGACUUGCUGGACUUGACAACAUUCCACCUUCACUUACUGAAAAAGUUUCAAAUGUAAAGACUUGCAAUGCUAGAAAAUUCAGCAAAUUUUUGAAGGAAAGAGUUUAAUUAAAACCAAAUCCGUUGAAGUUUAUUAGGGAUAAUAUCCCCCAUAUGACUUAUGUUAAUUAAAUAUGUAAGGCUUGAACAACCUUCAACUCUUGAACUAUCUUUUGAGCUGAGUUAGGUACAUAGGCUUCCAUAAAAUUCACCCAUGAAACAAUCAUACUUGAAUUUAAUACAUGGGAGGUACUGUUAUUUGUUCUGGAUGAUGCAGCACAUGGGCAACUAAUGGUGGGAGCUUAUUUGUUUUAUGUAACAUAUGGGGAAAAAAAAGGUGAGGCGGUUAAAAAGUAAAUAAAAGGAAAAGAAGAAGCUUGAAACAGGGGAAUAGAUACACACGUGUAAGAGAGUGAAAGAAGUUGUAACCCGACCCGUUUGACCCGAAAAUCGACUCGGUCGUAUGUUGUGGUUCUGGCCGCCCCACCGGUCAAGCUUGGUACCAAUCUGAAGCUUGAAGACCGGCCAUCAUACCCCAGUCAUCCACGUCGCCGGAAAACCUAGAACGUCAGUGACCAAAGCUUGAAAAACCCGCGACUUUUCCACCUUGUUCUGCCGGGAUUUUCGCUGGUUUUGGGUGACACCACUGGCUUGAUUUUGUUCCCCACGACUCCCUUUUGAUUUUCCAACCAUCCACAGCCAUCGAGAGUAGUCGAUUUGCAGUGGUUUUGCAAUUGUAAUUACACCGCUGUCGAGCUAGAUUCUGGUGUCGUCGCCACGCGUGGGAGCACACUGCCCGUAUCAUUGAACUCAGCUCAGCGAGAAGUGUCUGACCUGAGCUUCCCGGUCACUGUUACUUGAAUUACGACCACCGUUGACCAGCGAGGGCAAUUCGGUAAUUUCACAUUUUGAGGGCGAUUUUGUAAUUUUGAGCCUGCAGAUAUUUUAGUAAUUCCUGAAAUUGAGGAUUUGGUGUAAUUACGAUUCCGAGGGUAAUUCGGAAAUUUACGAUUUUGGAGAUUUUGUUAAUUCUAUUGACACAGGAGUUGCAAAUUAUGGAUAGAUGUUUGUUUCUAGUUUAUUGCAUAAAUUUAGUCCUAAUACUGAUUUACGGAAAAUAAUUAUGUCAUUUUCUUGAUUUAGGAGGAUCCGCUAGCGAGAACCAGUCUGCAAACGUGGACGAUAACUGAACGUGAACAUCAUCACUGUGAAUGAAAUAUACAAAACCUAUUUUCAUAGUUAAUUAUGAUAGUAAAGCAUGUUUGCGAAAUAAGUAUUUUAAAUGUUCUGAUUUAAUAUUUUUUUGAAAUGGAUUUAAUUCACGCAUUGAUAUUUUAUUGAAAUGUUUGAUUAAUGAUUUUAUGUAUCAACUUUGGAUAAUAUAUGAUAGUAUUUUAAAGAUAAGAAAAGUGGAUUUAGACGUGAUGAUGAAAAGAAAAGUAUGAUUUAAAGUAUGGUUAAAAUGUAUAUGAAUAGGAGUAUAGAGAUUGUUUUUAAAAUCAUUGGACAGUACUCUUCCCUUUAGAUACUAUGAUACAGAUGAGAUGAAAGGCCUUUGGGGCCCGUCUGAAAACACAUAGAGACUUUGAGCCGUGUUUGGGCGCUUCUGCCUUUUGGGGGUAUAUGCAUGUGAUAUGAUGGUAACAGUGAUACAGAUACAAAUGAUACAGAUGAUAUACAGGCCUUUUGGUCUCGUCUGAGUACACACAGAGGAUUUGGGCCGUGUGCUUGAGCGCUUUUUUUCUUUGGGGACUAGAUUAUGCAUGCACAUAUAUGAUGAGAUAUGAGAUGAUAUUUCCUUGUCUAUCUGUGUAGCUCCGAGGCGUGACGGUACCUAGAUAGUACAUUAUUGCCCGUCCGUUGAGGUCAAAAUACGACGAGAUUAUUCCCUUGGGUACUCAUUUAUUGAUGAUUUUCAGAUUUGUGUAUUCUAUAUGAUAUUGUGAUAUGAUUUCUAUGGUUAUUGGGUACAAUAUUAUAUAUGUUUUUCAAGGUUAAUAAUAUGAUUUAAAUGUUAAAUGAUUUAUUACUGGUUUCGAGCAUAUGGUUUGAUGAAAUAGUGUUUGGAAAUGAUAUGAUUAUUUCUUUUAAAGUAAAAAUUUGUUUUCAAAAAUUACUAUCCACUUAUUGAGCUCACUUUAUUAUAUUAUCUCCCUCCAACAGGAGAUUGUAGGUACACCAGACCGACCUAGCGACUGUAAAUAUAUUUUGAUUUUUGGCCACGUGAUGGUGUUAGAAGAUAUAGAUGAUUUUUUUGUUAGGACAUCCUUAUCAUCUCACCCUUUUGGGAUUGUAUAAUUUUGUUAGAUUAUUUUUUUGGGAUUAAGAAUAAACUAAUAUAUAUUAAUAUUAAUUAUAAUAAAAUAUUUUAAUAUUCUGGAGAUAUCUUGAGUAAAACUCAACAUUUUCAUUGAGGAUGUUGAUCAUUGGAGUUGCUUGUAUAUUGAAUUAUUUUGGGGAGUGUUAUGUUCAUAUUUACAGACUGAGAGUGUUAUAUUUAUAAAGGAGACUCUGCUGAAUUUUCGGCAGAAUUCUCACUAAUUAGAUUAUUAUCAAGUCAGUUUUGAUGAGACUAGAUUGACUCGAUAGGGGAGAUUUGAGGCGGGUCUUUUCGUUUUAACAACUUUGCAAGACUAGAAGGAGCCAUUAAUAAACAGAAUUAGUAACCUCUCCACAAACACUAAGGUAGCGUUUACAUUUUGGAUUGAAGUAGAAAUUAUGAAAAGUGUGAAUCCUAGGAUUGAGAGUGUGGAGUGGGAGUGAGAGUAUGUUAUUUACUUACACUGGAAUGGAAGUAUGGAAUGAAGAUCAUAAUUUAAUUUAUAUAUUUACUUUGUCUUGAAUUGGGAGUAAAUAGUUUCAAAUUAUAAUUUUACCCUCAUUUAAAUAAUUGUGAUUUUUAAUUACAAAGUUAAUAAAAAAAUAUAUUUGAUGAAUAACCAUUUAUUUUAUUAUAUUUGUAAAUUUAUAAUAAUUAUUAAUAUUCUUAAUUAUGUACAUCACAAUUUUUUAUUAAUUUUAAUUAUGUAAUUAAAAAUUAUUGAUCAGGGCAAUAUAAAUGAAAUAUUUUUUACUAUUAACCUAGUACAAAAUUAAUAUUUUCUUAGCAUAAACUAUUUAUUAUUAUUAAUUACAAUAUUAAAUUAAUAUACUCUAUUAUAUAAAAUAAUAAUAUAAUAUAAUUUAGUACAAAAUUAAUAUUUUCUUAGAAUAAACUAUUUAUUAUUAUUAUUAUUAAAUAAAUAUAAUACUAUUAUUUUAAAUCAAUAUAAUAAUAUUAUAUUUUUAAAUAAAGAUAGUAUAUAGUAAUAUUAUUAAUUCUCCAUUAAUAUAAUAAUAUUAUUUUUAAGUAAUUUUAACUUAGAAUCAAUGUAAAUUAUUAUUUAGUUAAAUAUAAUAUUAUUAUUUAAAUAAAUAUAAUAUUAUUUAUUUUAUUUUAUUAAACAUAAUUAUAUUAAAUUUAAUAAAAGGAGAGUAAAAAAGGAAGAGGUGGGAGUGGGUUCUCCACCUCCCCCUGUGAGAGUCCCACUCUCACUCCCCACUCCAAAAAUAAGUGGGGCUCACGGAAUGAGAUUUCCAAUCCUCUCUUAAAAUAUGUAAAUAAACAUUAAAGUGUGAAGAAUCUACACUUCUCAUUCCCACUCUAAAAAGUAAUCACAACAUAAAUUGAUGGGCAUGUGUGCUUGCUGCAUUGACUACAAUUCCACCCAUACUUGCUCACUAACUCACGUUUCUUCUCAUACUUUGCUCACUAACUCACGUUUCUUCUCAUCCUUCUCCAACUUUUGAAGUUUUUUGGCCAAUAUGCUCGCGUUAAAUAAUAUUACAGACCGGCUUUUGUCUCCCUUCACAGUCUUAGGUUCAAAAGAUGUGUAAAUUUGUUCUUUCCAUUUUUUGUGUUUCAGCUUGUCUCUUGCUUUAAAAAAAAAAUAAUUUCCUUAUUGCACAAAAUUACUCCUAGCAACCCAUAUAUAUAUAUAUAUAUAAUGAAAACAUAUAAAUGAAGGAUCUGAUUUCUGAUACAUGAGUUCGAUGUUAUUAUCUAUAAUUUAGGUUCCACAAGAAUAAAACUAUGCAUCAAUGUCCAAACAAUAAGAAGAUGUCCACCUUACCAAUAUUGGAAUCUUACCCCAAAAAAAUUAUAAUAUAAGACACAAAAUUAGUAGUUAAUUAGUUGUAAUUUUAAACCAAAACUUGAGACUUAUUUUAACAAUGCAAGAAUUAGUGGAAAAUGAGUGAGAGUUUGCUAACCAAAUAGUGAGAAGAACUUACGAAAAAUUAGAUCAAUUGUAAUUGAAAAGGUGCAAGAGCAAAUUUGAACAUCCAACCAAUUUUUUGAAUUUUUGUAUUAAUCAUAUUUAUAUAUGCAAUCUUCUUUAUUUUUUAACUUUAUUCGAAUUUUAUAUACUAAAGACAAAAUAAAAUAAAAAAAUUGUUUUGGAUGGUAGUAAGAUAUUCUAUUUGACUCAUUUAUUUAUAAAUAGUACAGCAGAACAUAAUGAAUUCACACUGAUAAACACCGAUUUAAAAGGAUCUGACGUCCCCAAUGAAUUCACACUGACAUGAAUUCAAACUUGUGAUUCGACUAGAUUAAAAUGAUGCAUCAAUAGCCAAACAAAAGUAAUAAGCUCUCCACCACUACUAACUUGCUCGGCAUGUGUCAUUGGGCUGCAAUGAAUUGCUCCAUAUGACAAAAUCUCCAUCCACACUUCCUCACUAUCUCCCAUUUCUUAUCCUCAUCCAGCAUUUGAAGCUCGUAGGCCAAUGCUUUUACAUCCUCAAGUGCAAAGAACUCCUUUCUAUCAUGAGGAUCCGAGAAUAGCAAAUCCAGUUCAAGCAUAAUUUUUUCACAGGCAAACUCCUCCGCACUUGGUUUUAAACUCUUUUUUCGGAAGAAUUCGUUUGCCGCAUCACGGGUGUCUCGCAGUGUAAAUUUCGUAUGACAUGCGCAGAAUUCAGCAUGGUAGGCUUUGUCAAGGCUGCUCAUUAUUCAAGCAGCUUGGUGAAGCCACGUCAGCAGAAGGUUGUUAGUGAAGAAUAACAGCUCAGCGUGAUCAGUCAAGUGUUAGUUAUCCAGCUCAUGAAAGUUAGUUAGUUAGUGAGUUACUAGCAAUUCUCACGUGUAAGGAAUAAUAUAAAUACUUGUACUGAUUUGUAAAAGNNNNNNNNNNNNNNNNNNNNNNNNNAUAUAUAUAUAUAUAUAAUGAAAACAUAUAAAUGAAGGAUCUGAUUUCUGAUACAUGAGUUCGAUGUUAUUAUCUAUAAUUUAGGUUCCACAAGAAUAAAACUAUGCAUCAAUGUCCAAACAAUAAGAAGAUGUCCACCUUACCAAUAUUGGAAUCUUACCCCAAAAAAAUUAUAAUAUAAGACACAAAAUUAGUAGUUAAUUAGUUGUAAUUUUAAACCAAAACUUGAGACUUAUUUUAACAAUGCAAGAAUUAGUGGAAAAUGAGUGAGAGUUUGCUAACCAAAUAGUGAGAAGAACUUACGAAAAAUUAGAUCAAUUGUAAUUGAAAAGGUGCAAGAGCAAAUUUGAACAUCCAACCAAUUUUUUGAAUUUUUGUAUUAAUCAUAUUUAUAUAUGCAAUCUUCUUUAUUUUUUAACUUUAUUCGAAUUUUAUAUACUAAAGACAAAAUAAAAUAAAAAAAUUGUUUUGGAUGGUAGUAAGAUAUUCUAUUUGACUCAUUUAUUUAUAAAUAGUACAGCAGAACAUAAUGAAUUCACACUGAUAAACACCGAUUUAAAAGGAUCUGACGUCCCCAAUGAAUUCACACUGACAUGAAUUCAAACUUGUGAUUCGACUAGAUUAAAAUGAUGCAUCAAUAGCCAAACAAAAGUAAUAAGCUCUCCACCACUACUAACUUGCUCGGCAUGUGUCAUUGGGCUGCAAUGAAUUGCUCCAUAUGACAAAAUCUCCAUCCACACUUCCUCACUAUCUCCCAUUUCUUAUCCUCAUCCAGCAUUUGAAGCUCGUAGGCCAAUGCUUUUACAUCCUCAAGUGCAAAGAACUCCUUUCUAUCAUGAGGAUCCGAGAAUAGCAAAUCCAGUUCAAGCAUAAUUUUUUCACAGGCAAACUCCUCCGCACUUGGUUUUAAACUCUUUUUUCGGAAGAAUUCGUUUGCCGCAUCACGGGUGUCUCGCAGUGUAAAUUUCGUAUGACAUGCGCAGAAUUCAGCAUGGUAGGCUUUGUCAAGGCUGCUCAUUAUUCAAGCAGCUUGGUGAAGCCACGUCAGCAGAAGGUUGUUAGUGAAGAAUAACAGCUCAGCGUGAUCAGUCAAGUGUUAGUUAUCCAGCUCAUGAAAGUUAGUUAGUUAGUGAGUUACUAGCAAUUCUCACGUGUAAGGAAUAAUAUAAAUACUUGUACUGAUUUGUAAAAGCUUUAUGAAUUGAAUCUUAUCAAAUACAAGUAUUGAGAAUUUUCUCUUUGAUUUUCUAUUCAACCAAACAGCACAUCUCUGUUUUCUUUCUUGGUAUUAGAGCCACAAAUGGCCAGCUCAAGCAAUACAAUCUCAAAUCAAACAAUCAUUAACUCAAAUCAACAUACACAAACAUCAUUUACUUUUGCUGCAACUGUGAAACUUGAUCGAUUGAAUUUCUUACUUUGGCGCAAACAAGUGGUAACUUCAAUCAGAGGAAAUCGCCUUGAAAGAUUCAUUCUAGAGCCGCAAAUUAUUCCAGAACAGUAUCUAGUUGAUUCAACAAUCGAAGGAUCUGGUGAGAGCAUUGAAAAUCCAGUCUAUAGUAACUGGAGAGCACAAGAUCAAAUACUCCUUGGCUGGCUGCUCUCAACUAUAAGUGAAGGUAUUCUUAGUUCUGUUCUUAGCUAUGACACUUCAUUUGAUGUGUGGAGAUCUAUUGAAAAACAAUUUGGAGUUCAAUCUGAGGCUAAGAUUAUGCAACUCAGAUAUGAAAUGAACAUCUUAAGAAAAGAUUCGAUGAAUGUUGAGGAAUAUUGUGCUAAAAUGAAAUUACUCGCCAAUAAACUUGCUUGUGCUGGUGAUGUAAUCACUGAAAAGGAUCUGUUAAUGAGAGUUUUGAAUGGUUUAGGUUCAGGUUAUCUAGAUCUAACUUCCAUAAUCACUGCAAAUAAGAUGAGCUAUGAUGAUGCUUAUGCAUUGUUACUGACUCAUGAAGCUAGACUUGAACAAAAUCAAAGUGCCAAAACUGUGUUUAAUGCAAACUAUAGCACAAUGAAUGUGAAUCAUCCCUAUAUGAGAGGAAAUUUUAGAAGAGGUGUUGUUGGAAAUGGAAAUUAUGGUCGACCUGUGACUAGAGGAUUUAAUGUUGGAAGAGGCAUGUUUCACAAUCCACAUUCCAGAGGUUUUUCACCUGGUGUUGGUAAUGUUGGGGGUUAUGGCAGGGGCCAGAUGAUGCAACCUUUUAGGCCACCUAUGAAGCCAAACUUUCAUCCUUCAGCUAACAUGCAUGCUGAUGAAUUACCAACCAUAUGUCAGAUAUGCCACAAAAUAGGACAUGCAGCAGAUGAAUGCUGGCAUUGAUAUGAUGACAAUCACCUAGGCAUUUUGGAAGGGGCAGGUCUUUUGGAUCUAAGGCUGCAUACACAGCUAACUUUGAUCUAUCUCUCACUUAUGCUGCUCCUUCAACUGAAGAACAAUAUGCUGCACCCUACUCAACCUACAAUCCCUUAUCCUACUCCUCUUAUCCAUCAACAGACACAGUCAUUCCUGAAGCCUAUCUUACCAACUAUGAAGGGCCUGCUGAUGAAGGGUGGUACCUUGAUAGUGGUGCCACACAUCACUUGACUAAUAGUAUGGCCAAGAUGAAUGUCAGAGAGGAAUUCAGAGGAUCUGAUCAACUUGUCAUCGGCAAUGGCCAAGGUUUGCCUAUAACUCAUAUUGGUAAUGCAUGUUUUACUUAUAAAGGAUCAAUUGCUGCACAUAAACCAACACAUAUACUACUUAAAGACAUGUUAUUAGUACCUGAUAUCACAAAGAACCUGCUUAGCAUAUCAAAAUUAACUGCAGAUAACCAUCUCUCUAUUGAAUUUGUUGAUAAUGUUUGCUAUGUGAAGGAUUCUCUGAAGAGGCAAGUGCUUCUGACAGGAAUUGCUGAGAAAGGAUUGUAUAAGCAGCUUCUAAGACCAUCUGAGUCUCUUCCUUGUUCUUACAUGGGUCAACCUUCAUCCACUCAACCUUUGUCAAUGUUAUCUGCCUGUUCUUUUGAUUCAAGUGUUCUUAAAAACACUCAGAAUAAUGAUCCCAGUUGUGUCACAGUUUGUAAUGCAUCAAUAAAUAAAUUUUCCAGUUACAUUUCAUCUUGUGAUGCAUUGAAUAAUAAAAUUCUUCUUCUUCACAAACGUUUUGGCCAUCCUAAUUCUCAAAUUCUAAUGCAUUUGCUAAAAGGAAUUACUUCAGUUAAUCUCUCAAGAAAUAACAUAAAACAAACACUUGAGCAUAUCUGUGAAGCAUGUCAAAUGGGCAAAUCCCAUAGGCUGCAUUUUCCCAGCACAGAAACUAAAACAACAAAACCCCUUGAGCUUAUACAUACAGACCUAUUGGGACCCUCACCUACACCUUCUAGAGAUAGCUAUGUCUAUUACAUAAGCUUUGUUGAUGAUUUUAGCCGAUACACUUGGAUUGAUCCUCUUAAGUUGAAAUCUGAGGCAUUAGAUGUGUUCAAACUAUUCAAAUUGCAGGUUGAAAACCAAUUUGACAGCACCAUUAAGAACCUGCAAUCAGAUUGGGGGGAGAAUACAGGUCAUUUACUCAAUUCUUAAACUAAUGUGGAAUCAUUUUCAGACAUUCUUGUCCUUAUACACAUCACCUAAAUGGGGUGGUAGAAAGAAAACAUAGACACAUUGUUGAGCUAGGACUAACCUUGUUAGCACAAGCCAAGCUACCAUUUAAAUUUUGGUGGGAUGCCUUUCUUACAGCUGUUUACCAUAUAAACAGAUUACCCUCAACAGCUCUGAAACUUCUUACCCCAUAUGAGAAAAUUUUCAAACUUAAACCUGAUUACAACAUGCUCAAGUGUUUCGGGUGCACAUGUUAUCCUUAUCUAAGGGAUUACAACAAACACAAAUUUGAUUAUCACUCAAGCAAAUGUAUUUUCCUUGGCUACAGUUCAGUUCACAAAGGUUACAAAUGCUUGCAUUCAUCAGGCAAGAUGUACAUAGCCAGACAUGUUGUUUUUGAUGAGUCAACAUUUCCUUAUUCUACAGACUCAGUUUUUCAUUCUAAUGAAUCAUCAUCUUAUUCGAGUCAAUCCCUUACACCCCAACAAGUGUUUCAUCUGACCACAUUAUCUACAACACUAAUAUCAGAUGGAAACAGCUCAUGCAAUCCUCUAUCUGCAAUUUCUACCAGCAGCAGUUCACAACAUUCAGAUAAUCCAUCUCAUACUGACAAUCAGCAUUCCUAUUCACAAACACAUACCAUGUUUAUUGAACCAUCUACAGAGCCUCAAAAUUCACCACCUCAACCUGCACCUGACAUAUCCUUAUUAGCUCAACCUACACCUGUUAUAUCUUUUCCAGUCCAACCUCAUACACAUCCAAUGACUACCAGAAGCAAAACUGGUAUCUUCAAACCAAAGCUUUAUACAGCAACCCUUGUUCACAAAGAACCUGAUUCUGUAUAUGAGGCUAUGCAAAACCCAAAAUGGUUUAUAGCCAUGAAAGAAGAAUAUGCAGCUUUGAUGCAGAGUGGUACAUGGUCCUUAGUGCCAAAAACAAAUGAUCAGAGAGUUGUUGGAAACAAAUGGGUGUAUAGGGUUAAAUACAACACUGAUGGAAGUUUAGCUAAAUACAAAGCUAGGUUAGUUGCAAAGGGAUUUCAGUAAAUUAUAGGAGUGAAUUGCUUUGAAACUUUCAGUCCUGUCAUAAAACCAGCAACUGUAAGAGUAGUCUUGAGUUUAGCUGUGAUGAAUCAGUGGAAGAUAAGGCAAGUUGAUGUGAAUAAUGCCUUUCUCAAUGGAGACUUAACAGAGGAAGUGUUCAUGGAUCAACCAGAGGGAUUCAUCAGCUCUGAGAAACCAGACUUUGUAUGCAAGCUUCACAAGUAUCUUUAUGGACUUAAACAAGCUCCAAGAGCUUGGUAUGAUAAGUUGAAAGGCUAUUUGUUGCAGUGGGGAUUCACAAAUUCCAGCUCAGAUACCUCCUUAUUCUUGAAAAUAAAUAAGUCAUCUAUGAUUUUAGUUCUUAUAUAUGUUGAUGACAUUUUAAUAACAGGACCAAAUAGUUUUGAGCUAGAAAAAUUCUUUACAGAAUUCAGUACAAAGUUUGCUUUGAAGGAUCUUGGAGUUCUCUCUUAUUUCUUAGGCAUUGAAGUACUGUAUGAUACAGAUUGUAUUUUCUUAUCUCAAAGGAAAUACAUAAGGGAUUUGUUGUCAAGAGUUGAGAUGAUAAAUUGCAAAGAUAUUGAUACUCCUAUGAGUACAGGAAUGAAGCUACAGAAGGAAGCUCAAGGUAAUCUUGGUUGUUAUGUUGAAGAUGUAACACAUUACAGAAGCAUUGUUGGUGGAAUGCAAUAUUUGGUAUUAACAAGACCAGAAAUUGCCUUUAGUGUUCACAAGCUGAGUCAAUACGUUUCUGCACCAACACUGCAGCACCUUAUGGCUUGCAAAAGAGUGCUCAGAUAUCUAAAGGCUACACAGAACUAUGAACUCAAAUUUAUUAAGGAUGGUGAUCUGAAACUAACAGGAUUCACAGAUGCAGACUGUGCAGGGGAUCUGGAUGACAGAAAAUCGAUUGGAGCCUAUUGCAUCUAUCUUGGUCAUAAUUUGAUAUCUUGGUCGUCUAAGAAGCAGCCUGUUAUUGCUAGGUCCAGUGCAGAGAGUGAGUAUAGGUCCCUAGCCUCAGCAAGUGCAGAGAUAAGCUGGCUGCAAUCUCUAUUUUCUAAGUUGAAACUACAAUGCAUAGAGAAACCUGUUAUUUGGUGUGACAAUCUUAGUGCAACAGAGUUAGCUCACAAUCCAGUUUUCCACUCAAGAACAAAGCAUAUUGAGAUUGAUAUUCAUUAUGUUAGAAACAAAGUCCUUGCUGGAGAACUAAACAUUCAAUAUAUACCAAGUGAGGAGCAGGUAGCUGACAUCAUGACCAAGCCACUCUCAUUCAUCCAUUUUAACUAUCUUAGGGCCAAACUCAACGUCAUGUCCUGUCCCUUGAGUUUGAGGGGGGCUGUCAAGGCUGCUCAUUAUUCAAGCAGCUUGGUGAAGCCACGUCAGCAGAAGGUUGUUAGUGAAGAAUAACAGCUCAGCGUGAUCAGUCAAGUGUUAGUUAUCUAGCUCAUGAAAGUUAGUUAGUUAGUGAGUUACUAGCAAUUCUCAAGUGUAAGGAAUAAUAUAAAUACUUGUACUGAUUUGUAAAAGCUUUAUGAAUUGAAUCUUAUCAAAUACAAGUAUUGAGAAUUUUCUCUGUGAUUUUCUAUUCAACCAAACAGCACAUCUUUGUUUUCUUUCUGGCUUGAAUUGUAAAAGAUAAGAGCAUGUAAUCGGAGAGGAUCUUGCUGAACUCUCUAGCAUUGUUAGUCAUUUCAUUUGAGACUUCCUCGGCAGUGUAGUAAAGGAGUUCGGUACUAACAAGCCAUAUUGCAACGCUUACAUUAAUACUAAAAUGAACAUGUGUGCUUGAAAUAUCCUGCAUAAGUGAGAAGCCAACUCCUGCAGAGUACAAUCUCCGGAAGCUGAACAUUUUCUCUUAUUAGCCGUCUCUGGACUCUGAGCUUUUGCUUUAAUUUCAUCAAAUAAAAACUACCACAAUUCCUUUGUUAAUGGCUUGUGGGAUAGGGAUGUUUUAAUUCUUAUCUCAUACACAAUAUCACUUCGGUCAAACAAAGCAAUGAUUUUGUAAAUGUGCAGAAACUGGAUGACCUUGUUUGUGGCAAUGGCCAUACAUGGAAUCAGUCGAUCAAUGCCCAAAUAAUGAAUUACUUUCUGGCAGGCUAGAUGCAAACCACUCUUGACUUUGGGUACUCUGCUUGGACGUCCCUUGAGCCAAUAUCUCAUCCAGCUGGAACCUGAGACGGAACCAGACCACGUGCGGAACAAGAAAGGUGUGGCCAACACCUCGUACUUGCCACCGCCAUGUGAAUGCCAUCGAGGUCUCUUGAGAAUGAGAAACCAGCAGAGAAUAGCGGCUAUGCGGUUCUUGAACAAUCAAGUCUUGAUUUAUCGUCAUCAUUCUGGAGAGCAACAAACGUCCAGUCGGAGAAAACGAGCAUGAAAAAAGCUAUGAUAUCAAGGGCUAUGGCGCCCAAGAACAGGGUUUAUGUAACACAAACAUCAAACUCAUUGAAACCAUGCUUCUCCACUUGGAAAUGGAAAACUGAAAGGGCAGCCACUACUGAACAAAAACAUAUGAACCGCAAAAUAAUUCCCAAUACAGAAUGUGUUACCUGGAUCUUGGUAUGGAGAACUUCAUAAACCAGGUUGAGUUCAACCUCAAUUAUUCCCAAGGCCUUUUCUGGACUAAAAUCAUCAAAUAAAGGUUCUUCACAAUGAACCCAUUCGAAGCUGGGUAUGAGAUCGACAAGUAUCAAUUUGAAAAGUUUGAAGUAUCGACAACCAACCUCGAGAUAACCCCCUUUUGUCUUUCUCACAACAUUAUGAUGUAAGCUUAAUUUAUUUAUGCAUGUUGUUUACGUAAGAAUUGGCUAGGAGUUCUAUUAGUGUUGAUUUUUAUUAGUUGAGUCAGUGAGUCAUGUUAGUGAGUUGUAAUGGAAGUUAAUUUGUAUUUUAAUUACUAUCUUCUAGCAGUUUCAUUCAGUUAUUAUAAGUUACAUUGUCAUGUGACCUGUGUUAUAUUUAAACUGAAAAAUUGAAUGAAUAAAAGAGGUUAUUCACUGAAUUAAUGCUUCUUUUCUGGAGAGAACGGUUCUCUCGAACAACCGUAUUUUUCUUCCUUCUUUAUUGCUUAUAAUACAACUUAGAACAUAACAUUUUACCAUUUUUCUUUUGCAAAGAACGAAUCCUCUUCAAGUGCUCAACUUCUCCUCUAAGAGCUGAGUCUCGAAAUUUCUCCAUGCUUGCAAGGUACAGAGCACGAAUCCUCUCAAAGUACUUAAUCGUUCCAGCAAUAAACACGAGUGCUGUUGGGAAAAAAAGCUUGUUUCCCGGAAGCGACGUGAGGAAGAUAUAAACAGCGGCAACAGCCUGGAAUAUGAAUCCAAACAAAUGCCUGAGACAAAGUUCGUUAUCUUCAAGAGCAAAUGCAGUUAUGGUGUCUGGCCCGCCCAGGUGUAGUAUAAAAAAUGUAGCCCAAAAUGCUAGAAGUUCAUUGUUCUCCGCUGGCUGCUGCUUUGAAGAGUAUUCAGCAGUAGGAGUAUCCCUUGCUCUUUCUGUGAUGAGUCCGACGCCAAAAUUAGCAGCCCAGUCUGCAAGCAAGUAAGCUGACCAGAUUACGGAGAUGAUCAGUUUAUUGCCCGUGGGUUUUCGGAGGGGAGCAAAAAGAACCAAGACAGCUUGUAAUGAAAGACUGAACAAGAUUACACCUCGUAUAUUCCAAUUCUCCCAUAUUUUCUUGACACUUUCAGGGAUUGGAUUCAGCAUUUUCUCCCCUUUCGUUAAAAAACUUUAGUCUCAGAUUUGUUAUAGGCAUGGAAUUGAUCCUGAAUUUGAAAGCUAGAGCAUUGAUAUCUACCUAAUGACACUGUUACUGUUAGAGUGAAAUGAUGAAAAUAUCAAAGUACCUACUGUAACUCUCAGUGUGAAAUGUUGGAAAUAAUAAAAGAGCAGUGACUACAUUGAAGUACAUUAUCAAAGUCAUAAAUAGAAAAAAAAAAGUCAUAAUUUUCAUCAUGUGGUGAUGAAGGAGCGUUCUAUGGUGGAGCUAGUACCUCCGCCAUAGCCAGACCCAAAAAGAUUUAAAAAAAAAAAAAAACUACCGACUAACGAUGUUGUUACUGUCAAUAUGAAAUGUUUGUGUGGAAAAUAGUAUAAAAAUUAUAAGAGAAAAAAAAAUUGGCAGUUUUUGUUAUUUACCACUGCUUAAUUAUCAAUCAUACUAGGUGCUUAUAGCUUCCCGAUUGUAAAAUAUCAUUUAGUAUUGUAAUUGUAAUUCAAAACGAAAAAAGAUAAGAAAACUUUUACUCCAUCUUUUUUAUUAUUUUUUUUUUUUUGUGGAUCAAUUACACUGAGGCUCUGACGUUUGUUGUAAAAAUCUGAAAAUAUAUUAGAGAUUUCCAAAUUUUGACAUAUUAAUCCUACUUGUUUAAUUUUUUUACAUGUCUGAGCUUUUUUCAGUACAUUAAAUUCCUGGCCAACCCAUUUACUUUAGACACCCAUUACCAAAAUUUAUAACUUAAACUUUUACUUUAUAAAUCUCUCGUAAGUCACAUACCUACCUUAAUUAAAUUAAUUUUCUUAUUUCCGUAGUUUCUCUCUAUCCAUAAUUAAAUUCCAAGCUUUCAUGGAUUCCUUUCGUAAUAGCCUUCAAUGGCUUGUUGAUUUUUCAGUGGCUACUAUCGUCGUUUUUUUCCUCUUUUGAUUUAUUUCGGUUGCUUUAUUUCUAUUUCAGUUCUUGAUUUUGAUGGUGGUAGAUCAUAAACUACUGGCUUUUUUUUUAAUUCUUAUCAUUAAUUUUAAUUCUUUUAAGAAAGGGAAACAAAUGAGAAGAUGAAGGGACCGGAGAGAUUAUUACAAAUUUAAGGACACUUUUAUCUAUUUAUUGAUAUAUUUAAUAUGGAUGUAUGUGUCAAAAUUUGAAACUUCUGAUUUUCUAAUCUUGCAAUAAAUAAUGGGGCUACAGCCUACAGCCUACAGCAACUACUGAGCCUUGGCACAGUGGCUAAAGCCACUCCCUCACAAGUGUAAGAGAAGUGGUUUGAAUCCCCACAAAUAUUUUGUAGGGAUUUAAUUUAAAUUUCCUUCUUUAUAAAAUAUAAGCAAUGUUAUAUGAGAUUUGAUGUAAACUAAUCCUAGUAUUAUGUGAUUAUAAACAUCAAUUAUAAUAUCAUGUAAUAUGUUGUAUUAUAAACAAUAGUCUCAUAUAAUAUUAAAAAAAAAAAGGCCUACAGGGUUGAAUAACCCAAUGAGCACAUUUGGGACAUUCACUACUUUGGGAUAAGUCUAAUUGUGGUUAGGAAAAGGACAAAAAUCGGGUUGGUAUCAUAGCUGGACCCAUUAUUAUUUCUACACCGAUAUUCAUACAAAGCUAAGCACAAAACGGUUCGUUUUGUGCAAAGUAUAAAAUCCAUUUACACUUGCAAGCAACAACACCACACACGCAUGGAACAAAUCCCCUAGGAGUGCAGCUCCUGUCUCUCUCUCUCUCUCUCUCAUUCUCCCUCUUUUAUCCCCCACCACACAGUAGUGCAGCAACCAUACUAAUGCUCAUGAUGUUACGAAUGAUACAAAACUUCCCAUUCAGAGGAACAAUUGCUGCAGUCCUUGGCAAUCAUAAGCAAUUUUAAAGAACCCAAUCAAACCAAACUUGAGAAGGUCCCUCAUGUAAGAACAAAAUUCAAGCAAAAAUAAGCAAGGCAAUCAACAUUAAUCACCAAAUUAAUAUAUGUUCUGUAAAAUAAUUUAAAGACCACGAUAUCCUUAACAAGAAUAAUAACUAUUCAAAAUCUAUGAGGUCUCAAAAACAUAUUAAUUAAUCUUUAACAAUUAAGCAGUCUGCAUCUUUAAUUACAAAUUAAUCUUUAAUCAAUUAAGCCGAUUGUGUUGGGGGAUAGAGAGCGAUGCAGCUGAGAUCAAGAGAAUGAGGGACAACGGAGCCGAGAGAGUGAGGGAGACCAGAGCUGAGAGAGUGAGGGAGAUUGGAGCCCAGGGAGCCAGCUAGAUGCUUCAAGCGAGAGACGAGAGAGCUGUCACUGUUGCUGCAUCAUGAGGGAGAAUGGAGCUGAUAUCGAGCUUGUGUGUACACGGGAGAGAGAGAAAAAUGUUGUUGUGUGGUGGGGGAGAAAAGAGGGAGACGGGAGAGAGAGAUGGGAGGAACGUUGCUGCAGGAUUUGUUGCGUGCAUGUGUGGCAUUGUUGCUUGCACGUGUGAAUGGCUUUUAUACUUUGCACAAAACGGUCACAAAACGAACCGUUUUGUGCAAAGAUUUGUGCUGAGCUUUGUGAUAAUAUUAUUUUCCUUAUUAUUUUGGACGUUUGUGUCAUUAGUGAGCGUCCUGAGGGUAGUAAUGGCAACUUAAAAAUAUUUUCUUCAGUGAACGUCGACAGAUUUAGAAAAUAUUAAUAAAUUAAAGGAGACUGCUAAGGUACAGACUCUGUACCUUACAACACCCUCACAAAAUGGUCGUGGGCUCCACUUGGGCCUACUUUUCAUUUGCCUGUGCAGGGGUGGCUCUAAGGUGCAGAAUCUAUAAGUUAGCAGGUGCAGAAUCUAUAAGUUAGCCUCCCUCAUAAAUUAAGGUAGUGUUUACUUUUUGGAUUGGAUUGAGAAUCCUGAGGAGUGGGAAUCUUAGGAUUGGGAGUGUGGAGUGGGAGUGAGAGUAGGUUGUUUACUUACACUGGAAUGGAAGCAUGGAUUAGAGAUCAGAAUCUAAUUUAUGUGUUUACUUUAUCUUGGAUUGGGAGUAAAUAGUUUCAAAUUACAAUUUUAUCCUUAUUUAAAGAAUUAUAGUUUUUAAUUACAAAACUAAUAAAAAAUAUAUUUAAUGAAUAAUAUUUAUUUUAUUAUAUUUGUAAAUUUAUUAUAAUUAUUAAUAUUCUUAAUUAUGUAUAUUUAUUAAUUCUCUAUUAAUAUAAUAAUAUUAUUUUAAAAUAAUUUUAACUUAGAAUCAAUGCAAAUUAUUAUUUAGUUAAAUAUAAUAUUAUUAUUCAAAUAAAUAUAAUAAUAUUUAUUUUAUUUUAUUAAUUAUAAAAUAUUAAAUUAAAUUAAAUUAAAAAAAUAAAAGGGUAAAAAAGGGAGAGGUGGGAGUGGAUUCCCACUCCCACUCCCCACUUCAAAAAUGGGUGGGGCCCACGGAGUGAGAUUCCCACUUCCUUCCCAUUUAGAGGAAGUAAACGCUAGAGUGGGAGGAAUCCACACUCCUCACUCCCACUCCAGCAAGUAAACACAACGUAAAUGGUUUCUAAUGGAAUCUGCGCGAUGCUGUACUAAGUUAUUAACCACUCUUUCAAAGGCAGAAGCUGUACGAGUAAUUGAAUAAAUGACGUGGGGGCUCCCAACAUAUAUGUGCCAUAUAAACGAUGUACCGUAAAAUCUCUGAACAGUAAUACUUUAUAAUAAUAAUUUUCAUUUAAUAGUAAAAAAUUUUAGCUCUAAUUUAGAUAAGUUAUAAAUAAGAAUAAAACCCUACAUUGUAGUAAUUGUUAUUUUUCCAAAACUCAUCUUAAACUUUUUGCAUACAUAUAGUAAUAAUCAUUUGUUUAUUACAAAAAUACAUGCUAUGUUACAUUAAUAGUUUAAGAUGAAAUAAAUUUUUUUUCUAAAAUUGCUUGUUACAACAAUUUAUUUUUCAAAAUUGUUAUCGCAUCUUUAAACUUGAGAGUACGUAAUCACUCCAUAGAGUGGACACCUUCUUGUUGAAGUUAAAAUGUUUUUAGUUUAUCUAUUAAUUAAUCAUUAAUGUAAUGCAUAUUUUACCUAUAUAUUACUUAUUAACUAAGUUAAUUAAUAAUUUUUGUAACUACACCUGUAAUAAGUUAGAAUCUCUUCAUAGUAAUAAAUUUAGUUUGGUCUCAAUAUUACAAGUGUAAAGAAGUUUUGUUGUAUAUUAUAGAAAUUUAUUAUCUUUUCAAUUUAUGCAUGGAUGCCACGAAAUUGAGAACUGAAUUAAUACUUUUUAAAAUAAUAUAAAAGAGCAGGAUAUUAAAGGAAUUUUAUUUUGAUAGAACGCUCACAUAAACAGUGUAAAAAAAAUGGCUUACUUAAUUAAAAAACAAAGUAAAAUAGCAACAAUUGAUCACUAUUUCUGUUAACGCUCUACUUUGCUCUGUUUUGUAUCAUCAUUUUUUUUAUACAAAGGCAUUUGUCCCAACAAUAUAGAAUUCUGAGUGUUGAAAAGUCAAUUUUUUGGGCACCGAACCAAAGUUAAAUUUUCAAGCAAUUUGGCUUUGACAAUUUGGAGGUUUUUUUGGCCUAUAAAUAGAGAAGCGGAAUGAAUUUCCAACCCAUCCAAAAUUGUGAGAUAGAGCAUAGCAAUUGAGCUCUUCAAGAGUGUAGAGAGAGUAUUUUUUUGAGUGCUAAGGGGAUCUAUUAGACUGUAUUGGGCAUUGGAUUUUUUAGAGUUUUUUUCCUAAAUUUUAUAAAUUCUCAUUUAUUAGUAAACUUUUUUUUCUAAUCUUUCUUUAUGGACGUAGGUUUAAUGCCGAAUCACGUAAAUUAUUUUAUCAUAUUUUCUUUACAUUUGUUUAUGAUACGGGCAAUUUUGGAAGAAGGUUUACGAAGGCUUAGAGAAGAAGAGAGAUAGAGAGUUGAAUACUAGUUGGCUUGAUACUUCUAUUGAAUUCAGAGCUGGCCUUUUUAAAGGCUUACAACACAAAUAUCUAACUAGAAAUAAGGAACAAAAAUAACAAAAUAUAAGGAGAUAAUGCAGCACCAUGUGCCACGAUUCCCACAUAAAUUUAUUCAGUUCUAUUCUACAGCAACAAAACUACUAACGGCUAAUUUACUCCUCUUGACUUGGUCCUACAGCACGCAACAGAGCAGUGAUAGCAAAUAGCACAUAUCAGUCCACCCCCCUAAAAUGCGACUUGUCCGCAAGGAGAAAGUCAGGAUAUUGCCGGUUAAAACGCCAUUGAUUCUCCCAGGUGGCAUCUUCCUUGGGUGCACCAGCCCAUUUUACAAGAAUCUCAGUUUUGGGACGAUAUUUGCCUUUACGAAUAAUGCGAGUAUCCAAGAUAGCCUCAGGUUGUGGAAGAAUCGUAAAGUCGUCGCUUGUAGGAGGCAAAGUAGGAGAAGAUUGAACUGAACCUACUCGUUUCUUCAAAAGACUCACAUGGAACACGUCAUGAAUUUGAGACCCAACAGGCAGCUGCAGCUGGUAAGCAACAGGCCCCACUCGUGCAAGAAUUUUGUAAGGUCUAAAGAAUCGUGGUGCUAACUUAAGUGAGCCACGAAAAACCACUGAAUGUUGACGAUACAGCUGCAACUUAAGGUACACAUAAUCACCAACUUCAUAAACAAUAUCACGACGAUGUUGAUCGGCCUGUGAUUUCAUUCGGUCACGAGCCACGAUAAGAUUUUGACGUAAGUCUCGCAAUAUUUCCUCUCAAGAACGCAAGAAAUCAUCCACUGCCUGAACUUUAGUAGUACCGGGAAUGUAGGAUAGCAAUGAGGGAGGAGGUACACCAUAUACAGACUCAAACGGAGAAACUUUAGUUGAUGAAUGAGUGGCUGUAUUAUAACUGUACUCAGCCCAAGGCAACCAAUCAAUCCACUUUUUAGGCUGUUCAUGAGUGAAACAACGUAGAUACUGUUCCAAAACUCGAUUGACAACCUCGGUUUGUCCAUCCGUUUGUGGAUGAUAACUAGAGCUCAUUGAGAGAGUGCAGCCUUGUAACUGAAAUAAGGACUUCCAAAAAGAACUAAGAAAAACACGGUCUCGGUCACUGACAAUAGAGGUUGGCACACCAUGUAAGCGAACAAUUUCCCGUACAAAUGCCUUUGCUACUGUCAAGGCUGUAUAAGGAUGCUUUAAAGGAAUAAAGUGGCUGUAUUUUGACAAUCUAUCAACAACGACCAUGACAACAGUAUAGCCCUGGGAUGGAGGCAAACCAUCUAUGAAAUCCAUAGAGACUGCAGUCCAAAUUCUAUCCGGCACUGGCAAUGGUUGAAGUAGGCCCGCAGGUUGUAGACAUUCUGUUUUACAACGUUGACAUAUAUCACAACCGCGUAUAUAUUCCUUGAUUGCCGUUCGCAUUCCAGGCCAAGUAAAAUUCUUUUUGAGUCUGCUGAGUGUCUUAUGGUAACCAAAGUGGCCACCUGUCGGUGAUGAGUGCCCUUCUGAUAAGAUUGCAGAAACUAGAGUAGAAGUAGGACUUAAUAGAAGUUUUCCUUUUUUUAUCCAAACACCUCCUCUUCUAAGGCACUGAGAUUCAUCAGAACUAGACAACUUGGCAUAAAAAGGAUCUUGAGAAACUUCUUGUUGGAGAGUGGACCACCAAUCGGCAACGGGCAAGGAAAUUGCGAAAAAAUGGAAAUUUGUAAUGCGGGAUAAAGCAUCAGCUCCCUGAUUCUUUUUACCCUGCUUGUACUGGAUAGUGUAGUCAUAACCCAAAAGUUUUGGUAGCCACCGUGUCUGAGCAGGAGUGGUAAUACGUUGCUCAAGUAAAUAUUUCAAGCUCCUUUGGUCUGUUUGGAUGAUGAAAGGUUUGCCUAGCAGGUAUGGACGCCAUUUCCGAAUUGCCUUAACAAUGGCUAACAUUUCUUUCUCAUAUGUGGACAAUGCCAAAGCUGAUCCUUUAAGUGCUUCACUAAAAAAUGCUACUGGUUGGUUUUGUUGCGUCAAUAUAGCACCGAUUCCUUUGUUACUUGCAUCACUUUCAAUCACAAAAGGUUGUGUAAAAUCAGGAAGACGCAGCACUGGGGGAGAAGUAAGGACAUGCUUAAGUUGUGCAAAAGCAGUGGAUGCUUCCUGAGUCCAAAGAAAUCUUUCCUUUGUCAACAAACGUGUCAAUGGAGCAGCAAGUUCUCCAAACCCACGAAUAAAUUUCCUAUAAUACCCGGCCAAACCAAGGAAACCACGAACUCCUCGAGAAGAAGAAGGAAUCGGCCAGUCCAUAACAGCCUUAAUUUUUGCGGGGUCGACUGCGACACCUUCUAAGGAAAUGAGGUGGCCCAAAUAGUCAACCUGUAAAACCCCAAAACGACAUUUUGAUUUUUUAGCAAACAAAGUGUUAUGUGACAAUAUUACCAAUACAUUGCGAAGAUGUUGUAAAUGCUCAGUCCAGGUUCGACUGUACACCAAUAUGUCAUCGAAGAACACUAAGACGAACUUUCGAAGAUAGGGCCGAAACAAGUCAUUCAUAAGACUCUGAAAGGUAGAGGGAGCAUUUGUAAGACCAAAUGGCAUGACCACGAAUUCAUAGUGGCCUGCAUGUGUACGAAAAAUCGUUUUGUGUAUAUCUUCCUCUCGGACUCUUAUCUGAUGGUACCCGGAUCGAAGGUCCAAUUUGGAGAAGUACUUCGCACCAUGCAACUCGUCGAGCAACUCAUCAAUUAUUGGUAUAGGAUAUUUGUCUUUUACUGUGAUGUUAUUGAGAGCACGAUAGUCAACACAAAAUCUCCAUGUGCCAUCCACUUUUUUUACUAACAAAACAGGAGAGGAAAAAGGACUCGUACUAGGACGAAUCAAACCAGAGUCAAGAAAUUCAUGCACCAUCCGCUCAAUUUCAGCCUUUUGGUAGUAGGGGUACCGAUAUGGACGUACACUAAUGGGCUCUUGAUUUGGUCGAAGUGUUAUUUGGUGAUCAUGUGUCCUUGGCGGGGGUAAAGAUGUUGAAGUAGAGAAGAUAUGAGAGAAUUCAGUAAGGAGAGAUUCAAGGUCAGCUGGAUGUGGGGUUGAUUCAUAGGAGUAUUUUGUAGGGACCACUUGUAAAAAGAAACUCAUACCAGACACAUGCAGCAAUUCCUUAGUAGUCAUAGGAACCAGGUUAGGUUGUUGAAGGCCCUGGAAAGUGCAAACUUUGCCAUUUUGUUGAAAUGUCAUUUUGAGUUGUCGAUAGUCCGUCUCGACGGGACCCAAAGUCUCCAGCCAUUGCACCCCAAGCACAGCUUGACAAGCGGCCACAGGCAAUACAAAAAAAUCAGCUUGGAUUGGAUGACCUUGAAUUUCCAAAGUAAGCGCUAGGCAACGACCAGAACAAUCAACCUUCUCUCCAUUCCCGACCAUCACUUGAAGUGUUUUGUCUCGGAUCACUGGAAGUCCACAUUUAGUUACAACAGACUGAUCAAGAAAAUUAUGAGUGCUGCCGCCAUCGAUGAGCACUGUGAGGUCCCUAUUUUUCAACUUACCGGGGACUCGAAGGGUUUGUGGGUGGGUAGUUCCUGCCAUAGCGUGGAGAGAUAUUUUUGGUAAAGAUGUAAAAGAGAUAUCAUCAUCAGAAGGCUCAGUUUCAGCUGAGUCUACAACAGUUGUAAGGUCUUCCAACAUAAAGAGUUGUGGUCACUCGCAUCGAUGUCCAGGCAUGUACUUCUCGUCGCAAUAGUAACAAAGACCUUUUUCUCGGCGAGCUUUGGUUUCUUGCCCAGUUAUCCGUCGAAAAGGAAAUUGAGAGGGAGUUGCCAUAGGUGUGGUCUUCUGUGGAGGAGAAGGACCAAGGAUGCCCGCGGUUGUAUUCGGUUGCAGUCUAGAUGGUGGUGUUGUGGAUGCAGGACGAGUAGGGAAACUUGGUCGACGCUGCAAGUUAUUCCUUUCUUCAAUCAAACGAGCCACGCUAAUAGCAUCUGAGAGAGUGCGUGGUUGCUUAACGCGAACGUCCAGCCGCACGUCAUCUUUGAGCCCUGCAAUGAAGCUUCCAACAAGAUGACUCUCAGGCAAGUUAUCCACACGGUGAGAGAGCUGCUCAAAUUGUUCCUGAUAAGCAGCCACGGUGGUGACUUGUUUAAGACGACCUAAUGCUUCUGACGGGUCAUCAUAAUCCGUCGGUCCAAAACGACGAAGAAUGGCUUGAGUGAAUUCUACCCAUGUGGAAGGACCUCGAAACUUUGUGAACCAUCGAUUCCAUUGUAAUGCAACCCCCUCUAAAUGAAAUGAAGCAAGUUGAACUUGCUGCUGAGGAUUAAUUCCUUUAAACUCAAAAUACUGUUCCGCUUUAAAAAUCCAACCAGUUGGAUCACUGCCUCCAAAGGUCGGGAAGUUCAGUUUGAGGUGGGCUUGGUUGUGGUCGUGAGUAGCAUUGGAUGUGUGAAUCUGAUUCAGAAAUGAGGUAGGUCGAUGUGACGAUUCUCCUGGUGCGAAAGGGUUUACUUCUGUCGCAGCUGAGUUGGUGGUAGCGUUGACUCGAAGUGCUUGUAGUUCAGCGAGGACUGUUUGAAGGGUUGCAUUAACUUGAUUGAAGUUGUUAUUGAGGCAGUCAAAGUUUGAUUCAUGCCGAGUUAAGAUUUCGUUGACUUCAUUCUUGAAUUCAGCAUUUGUUUUGCCACGAGUGUCCAUGAACGGAACCGUGCUCUGAUACCACUGAUACGGGCAAUUUUGGAAGAAGGUUUACGAAGGCUUAGAGAAGAAGAGAGAUAGAGAGUUGAAUACUAGUUGGCUUGAUACCUCUAUUGAAUUCAGAGCUGGCCUUUUUAAAGGCUUACAACACAAAUAUCUAACUAGAAAUAAGGAACAAAAAUAACAAAAUAUAAGGAGAUAAUGCAGCACCAUGUGCCACGAUUCCCACAUAAAUUUAUUCAGUUCUAUUCUAAAGCAACAAAACUACUAACGGCUAAUUUAUUCCUCUUGACUUGGUCCUACAGCAUGCAACAGAGCAGUGAUAGCAAAUAGCACAUAUCAGUUUAUCACUACGUUUACAUUUAUUUAGAAGUCAUAAUCACCGUAAUAUUGAUAAUCACUCAACCCACGCUUCCACAACAUUGAGCAUUAGUGAUAUAAGAUAGUAGAUAAUUUGGUGUUAAAAAAACUUUUAAAGUAUAAAUAGCUUCAAAUUUUUUAAAUAUAAUAAAGUGUUUAUUGAGAAAAUAAAUUUAGAAAGUAUUUUUAACAGGAUUAAAUAGCCACGCUCAAUUAAAAGUCAUGUUCAUUAUAAGUAGUUUACAUAACUGCACUUAACACUGACAACAAGACGGAACGGUUCAGGCAAUCCUUAUAAAUAUUCGGUACAAAAAUGCCUGCACCAAUGCUUCAACUUAUUAUAUUUCUUCGUUCAACUGAUGAGCAAAAAAUUAAAUGGUUCCUAAAAAAAAAUUAUAAUAAUAUAUUAACCAAAAUUCUAUUAAAUCGAAUUUACCUUCUUUUUUUUCUUUGGUCUGUGCGAUGGCCUAUCACCUAAUCUGAGCGACGGCCAUCGCCCAAAGAAAAUUGGUGGUUGUUGGACCAUCACAUAUUUUUAAAUUAAUUUUAAUAAAAAAUUAAUUUCUAUAAUUUCGGUAAAGGGAAUUUCGACCCCAUAGAUCAGUGUUCGAUUAAAAAAAGAAGGAAAAAAAGAUUCUACGAGAUGCAUGGUAAAGAAAAAUGAAUGUAUCAGAUAACAUUACAUUGAAUGGCCCAAAUGAUUUGAUUAUGUAAAGGCCAACACUAAAUUAUGUAAAAAGAAGACAAGUAUGGAUUUUAAUUUCUCUUUAGUGGUGGAGCUAGUGACAGUUUGAUGCUCUGGAAACGUCAAAAUCAUGUCAUCUACUUGUGAUGCGUUUGCUAUCGUUGGUUUUGGGUAAUUUUUAACCUACCACCAAAUAAAUUAAUAUUUUGUACCGCGUCUCUAAAAAAUUUGACUUAUUGCACCGCACCCCCAAUUCUGUUAUUUUCUCAAUUAAGUUUAACGGUGGAGGGGUAAAAUUAAAAGUUCAUUCUUUAAAUUAAUUUUAGUGGGAAUUCUCUUUAUUGCAAUUGAAAUAAAAAUCUUUACAAAAUUAAAGGAAAAAUAAUAGUGGUGACAAUGUACAUGUAACAAGAAAUUUUUGUAUUGCAAUUGAAAUAAAAACUUUUUAAAAAAAUUAAAUGAGCUAAAAAUUUUGUAUUUUUUCAUAUGGAGGGGCAUUUUUGUCAUCCAAUCAAAAGUUAGACGGAACUAUUAGAAAUAACUAAAAAAUUAACGGAAUUAGGGACGCGGUGCAACACAUCAUUUUUUUUUGGUACGCGGUGCAAAAUAUCAAUUUAUUUGGGGUAGGUUAAAAAUUUCCCGUUGGUUUUUGUGCUUCACGUUUUGUUAAAACAAAAAUUAACCUCCGCUUGGUGGCUUCAAUUAUCAGCCUACUUUUGUUUUGGGCGAAAGCAAUGUAGACGAGACGGGAUCAAAUGGAUAGUGAUAUUUCUAAAUUUGUAUCCGCUAUUUUUUUUUUUUUUUUUUGAUACCUAUACGCAUUAAUUGUCCGCUAUUCUUUUUUUUUUUUUUUAUAAUACUAAACCUAUUAAAUAUCUGUUAUAGUACGGACAUUUGACAGAUUUUGUGGGUAAUUCUCGCCACUCGAUCGCCUCUCCAAAAUUUAGUAGACAACAUUGCACAUCAGUUAUAAAUCUAAUAUAUAUAUCACCAACUCAACCAAAUAAAUUUAAAUUUUUUACAUAAAUUUAAAUUUUCAAUAGUUAAAAAUUAAUGUCAAUCAUAAUUUUAUAAACUAUCAAUGCAAUAUUAGGUUCAAACUCACACAUCGCACCAUGAAAUAAAUAAAAUUUCUCUUUAAAAAACUUCUCAUAAAAUAAUCGUGCAAAUAUAAGUGUUUAUUUCUUACAAAGAAUCAAUAUUAUAUCUUCUUGUGGUUUCUUUCUAAAAAUUAAGUUUUAAAAAAAUUAUUAGCUUUAAUAAAUAUAAUAUAAAUUUAUACAAAUAUGUCUAUUACGAAUAUUUAGAUCAACAUACAUUCAAUCAAUUACAGAAUAUAAUUAAUAAAAGUGACAAAUCGUGUAUUGUGACAUCUACAAUGAAUAUCAUCACCCAACAUGCACAAGGUACAUCAGAGCUCUACAACAAAAAUCCUCUCAAAGUCAUCACAGAUCUAGACCAAGACGGAAAUAAAAUUACCACUUACUAAAAACCUGAUUUUAAUGAUUUUGAAAUAUCCAAUUUUUAUGGUAGCUAGUUUACUUUUGAUGAAAUGAAAGGAAAAGUGCUUGGAAAUUUAGACUACAGGAUACCUUUUUUUUUGGGCUGUAACCAACUAGGAUCAACCCGACAACCCAUAUUCGACCCAGAUUAACGCCUCAAAAUUCUAAAAUAAGAAUUUAUUUAUAAAUAUAGUAAAUAAUCGAAUUCAACAUAAUGAAACAAUGACAUUAAAAGGACUUGACUUCCCUAAGGAAACAGUAACACAGACGGGAAUUCAUUCAAACUUGUGGUUUGACAAGCUCAAAGUGAUGCAUCAACACCCAAACAAAAGUAAUAAGCUCCCCACCACUGGUAACUUGUUGGGUAUGUGCCCUUGUUCUGCAACGAAUUGCUCCAUAACACAACAACUCCACCCACACUUUGCUCACUAGCUCCCAUCUCUUGUCCUCCUCGAAUUUUUUAAGCUCCUGGACCAAAUCUGCUGCAUCAUGCAGUUCUUUUAUAUCGUUGUCUUUGAGCAUGAUUUUUUCACAGAUUUUCUUGACCGAUCUUAUUUUUCGGUCCGAUAAAUCAAAUAAAAUUUGCGCCACUAAUUUCAUCAAAGUUGCCGCAAUAUUCAGCAUGGUAGGCUUCACUAGUAAAAGAUAGAACAUGUAAUCAGAGAGGAUCUUGCUGAAUUCUCUAGCAUCUUUUGUCUUUUGAAUUGAGACUUCCUCAUUAGUGUAGUAAAGGAGAUCGGUAGCGAGGUGCCAUAAUACAACACUUGCAGGAAGUUCAGGUACAUCUUCUGUUUUCCUUUCUGUGAUUUCCUGGACACGAGCAUUUGCCAAUUUCUUCAGAGUACAACUGCCUGAAGCUGAACAUAUUCCACUAUUCCCCGCCUCUGGAUCAUUUGCGUCGUCAGCUUUUUCCUUAAUUUCAGAAAAUAUAAACUUCCACAUUUCUUUCAAUAAUGGCUCAUGGGAUUGAGAUCUUUUGAUUCUUCUCAGAAGCACAACAUCACCUAGGCCUAACAGAGCAAUGAGUUUCUCUGUCAAAAAGCCUAAUUCUGCCAUGAUUUUGUACAGAAAAUAGAUAACCUUGUUUGUGGCAAGGGCUAUAUUCUGAAAGAUUUUAUGGAUGCCACAGCUAUGAAUGCAACCAUCUAUUGCAUUGACCGUACAUGCAAUGAUUCCAUCAAUGCCCAAUUUACGAAUGACAUUCUGGCAGGCAAGUUGCCAACAACUCUUGACUUUGUGUACUCUGCCUGGACGUGCAUUCAGCCAAAAUGUCAUCACGCUGAUUCCUGAUACAGAACCAGACCACCUGCGAAACGGGAAAGGUGUAGCCAACAACUCGUACUUGCCACUAUCAUGUGAAUGCUGCCACCGUGGGUUCUUGAGAAUAAGAAACCACCGGAGAACAGCAACUAUGAGGUUGCUGAACUUUCCAAAUCUUGAUUUAACGUCAUCAUUCCGGAGAACAGUAAACGUCCAAUCGGAGAAAAUGAGCAUGAAGAAAGCUAUGAUGUCAAGGGCAAUGGCACCCAAGAACAAGGUAUAUGUAACUCGAACAUCAAACUCAUUGAAACGGCCAUGCUUCUCAACUCGGAAAUAGAAAAUUGAAAGGGCUGCCACAACAGACCCAAGCGAUGUGAACCGCAAAAUAAUUCCCAAUAAAGAGCAUAUUACCUGGAUCUUGGUGUGGAAAAUUUCGUAAAACAAGUUGAGUUCAACUUCAAUUAUUCCCAAGGCCUUUUCUGGACCAAAACUACCAAAUGAUGGACCUAUAAUAGCAAGUCCAUAUGCAUGGAAGUGGUGCAAGAGAUCGACAACUAUCCCUUUGAAAAAUUGGAAGUAUUGGCUAGCCGCAUCCAGAUAAUCCGCGCCUUCCUUUAUCACAUUUAACCUGUGCUCCACGAAUUUUCUAGCAGUUGAGUCUCGAAAUUUCUCCUGGCUUGCAAGAUGCAAAGUACGAAUCCUCUCAAAACUUUUUAUCAUUCCAGCAAUAAACACGAGUACUGUUGGAAACAAAAGCUUGUUUCCGGGAAGUGACAGGAGGAAGAUAUAAACAACGGCAACAGCCUGGAAUGCGAGUCCAAACAAGUGCCUGAGCCAGAGUUCGUUAUCUUCAAGUGCAAAAGCAGUUAUAGUGUCUGGACCACCGACGUGUAACAGCAGAAAUGGAGCCCAAAAUGCUAAAAGCUCAUUGUUCUCUGCAGGGAUCGAAGGUUCAGGAGUAUCUCUUGCUCUUUCAGUGAUGAGUCCAACGCCAAAAUUGGCAGCCCAGUCCGCGAGAAGGUAAGCUGACCAGAUUACGGAGAUGAUCAGCUUACUGCCGGUGCCUUUUCGGAGGGGAGCAAACAGAAUUAAGACCGUUUGUAAUGAAAGACUGAACAAGAUUACACCUCUUAUGUUCCAGUUAUCCCAUAAUUUCCUGAAAGUUUCAGGGAUUGGAUUAACCAUUUUCUUGCUUUUUGCUUUGAAUUUCAAUAAAAUUCUGUUGCAGAGUUUCUACAGCGAUUAGGGCAGUUGAUUUUGUGCUUUUUGUAUGUGAAAAAUUGAGGGGGAAUUAAUAAGGAGCUUUUGGAAUCCUUCUCUAUCUUCUUCCUUGACAACUUCUUGCCGAACGAAAGAAUCAUUUUCAGAACAAGAAUUAAGACAAAGACAUAGAAAGAGUAAUGGUAAACAAUAUUCAUAUAGCAAUAAUCAAGAAAAGAAUAACACUGCGGAUUCAAACAAUACUACUCUGACUGGCGACCGAAUAACAGAGCUAUAUGGCGGUGUUUUACAAAUUACGGUGACACUUUGUAAAAAUAUUUUUCCAGAAAUAAAUUUGUAAAAGUAAUCACAAAUAACAAAUGACUAGCUAUUUAAACCCAAAUUACUAAAUGCAUCUAUUUAAUGCAUGCAAUUACUUCAUUCGGUUAUGACUUAUGAGGGAUCUUCUUAAUAGAGGGCAACUUAUGUUUAUCAGGGAGCUAAAUAGCGCAUUCGUCGACCAUUUUAAUCCUACAUAUUCGAGAUAAAAUUACGAAAGAAUGUUCAAGGCCAAAUUACAUGUUUUGUGAAUUGCUUCCCGUUCAAUUAUGUAAUGUUUAUACUUUUUUUGGAAUAAUUGAUAUGUUGUUAAUUUGAUGCAAAAAAAAUUACAAGGGUCUGAAUCUGAUUAUCAUUUAGAGAAUGUUUGAUUUCCAUCUCAUGAUGAACUCCGACAAAAUCUCACCAUCCGAAUACGAGUUACUACAUACUAAUAGAGUUGAAAAACUAGAGUUAAUUGACAUCUUUUUAAAACUUUAUAGUUAUGUACAAUAUCAAAUUAUAUUAAAAUUUCAAUCACGAAAUUCCGACAAAUAUAUAUGUAUCAUAUAACCUAUUUGUUAAAAAGUUUAAAAGACAAAAAAAUAGUUAUAGAUGAUAAUGCAAUUCUUGUCUUAAAGAAAAAUCAGCAAAGCUAAAGAUAUAGGUUUUAGAUAUUGAUAAAGAUUGAGUUUCAAUAUAGAGAUUUAAAAAACAAUGGGUUUUAUAUAGUCUACUAAAAGUGAAAAUUCUAAAGAUAACGAAAACACGAGGUGGAGGAAUGUUUGGCGUGAUACUGAGUUUACUUCAACGUUAAUGAUCUGUAUUUAGAAUCUUUCUUUAUCUUUUUCCCUGAAAACUGUGUGUACAAGGUAGGAACCAUUUUAGCAAGAAUUAAUUAAGAAAGGGCAGCUGCUAAGUUACCGGCCACGUAACUUACACCAAACCAAAGUAAUCAUCCAAUAUAAAAAGAUAAUAAUAUUUAAAAUAAUUUGAGAUUAUCUGUAAUUAAAAUUAAAUUCUUUGUAAGCUACAUAUAAUGUAACUUAACAAGACCUUUAACAAAAAAGUAAAAGGAAGACAAAAUAAUUAUGCAGUAGAAUCAAGAAAAGAACCAAGAAAAAGAAAGAAAUAACAUUGCAGCAAGAAUCAGGAAAAGCAUGAACUUUCCAUAAUUUUGGCCGGGGUUAGGUUUUCUCUAAGCAUCGAGUCUUGGAAUUUCGCCAAGCUUGCAAGAUAGAAGGCACGAAUCCUAUCAAAAUACCUGAUAAUUCCAGCAAUGAAAAUGAGCACUGUUCAAAUUUAGCAGCCCAGUCUGCCAGCAAGUAAGCUGGCUGUAGUGAAUAUAUGUACACUUGCUCGCUUUAUUAAAUAAACUAAAACAGGCACUCAAGCUUGUUAAGACGGGUGCUCGGGUUUGUUAAGACAGGGGGUAAGGCUUGUUAGCCCAGGUGCCACGGCUUCAACAUUUAAAAAGAAUAUUAAAUUACACUAUAAAAGCCACCAGAAUGAGUUUUAUUGAUGAUCCUAAGCGAUUUUACAGAGCUUAGACAGAAAUUUAUAAGAAGUAAAAUCGCUUACACAGAGAAAUUUAUAAGAAACAAGAUGGCUCUUUCUCUCUCUUAAUUCUCUCUACAAAAUUCUCUCAAUCUUGCUGAAACUGCCUCAAUAAUCAGCUUAUCUAAUAGUCGUUUAUAAACCCAGAUUGCGCCAGAUUCAUCCACGUGAAUAACAGCUUUGUAAAUUGUAACUAACUUGAUUCUCCUCUCACGUGCUUCGAUGCAUCACUGAAACCUUUGCCGAAACGCCUUCAUGUCUUGCCAUUUUGAUAUUAUUGAGUAGCUUAUAGGUAAAACGGUGCCGUUUAACAUUAUCAAGUUUUGAAUUCAGCAAAUUCGUCCACAACUAUGAAGCAAAUAUUAGUGGCUAUAGAGACUGGACUUUAGCGUCUUGUAAGUCAUAAAUUAAGAUGAAUUUUUAGCUUAUUGAGUUUUAUUGGAUGUUAAUUAAUUGUUUGUGAAUCCUUCUUUAUAUAUCUUCUUCCUCGAAACUUGGUGCAUAAUGAAAGGAUCACAGAUCACUACAGAACGUAAACUACGAAAAGACAGAGGUGGAGUAAAGGAAAACAAUAUUCAUGUAGCCAGAAUAGAGAAAAGAAUUGAAUAAAUAAAAGAUGGAAUCAAGAAAAGGAAAAAAAAAUUCCACAAUUUCUGGACUCAUUGGCUCAAAAUAUUGUGUUUAUUUUUAUUCAUUUGCAUUCUUACAGCAGAUUAAUGCAAAUUAACAAUAAGAAUAUCGAACACAAGUUUAUACUAGAUUGGUACCAUUGGCAAAUUGGUAACAUAAUAUUUAUAACUAUGUACAAAUUUCAGAAAAUAAUCAAAUAAGCAAAUCAGAGAAAGGAAAUCAAUUAAAACAGACAGUGCAGGGAGGAUCAACGCCAGUUUCUCUGUACAAAAUUACUUCCCAAGUAAUUCCCAGAACAGACUACUUUUAAGAAUGUUGAUGUACUGCUGAAUUUUAGGCUUUAGGCAAGGAUAAAUCAAAUAGUGACACUUUUAAGAUUAAUUUUAAAGCAUUAGAACUAAAACAUGUAAGCCCAAAAAAAGGAAAUUAUUAAUGCACUAAAAUUAGGGGUGGGCAGAAACUCACAACUCAUGGGUUUACCCAAAUUCAAAUCAAUUAAUGCACUGAAAUGAUUUGGGUUGGAUAAAUAAUGAAAAUGGGUUCAAUUUGGGCUUUUAUGUAAGAAACCAUUUUAUAAACUAGUGCAAAAAUAUGAACUAGAUUCUAGCAUGAGGAAGAGAGCACAUAGCCGGAUCAUAGGAGCGCAAAUCAGCUCAACGGCAAGAUAUUCAGGAGCCAGCCUGUCAACCAUCCCCAUGCUAUUCAAAAUCUGUUUAAAAUCAGGCUGCCCUGGCUUUAGAAGUAGAAAAGGCCCUGCACUUUCCUUUGUUAAUUAUGAUUACCUGAGAAGAGAAUGAGAGCUGGAAAUCGUGAUGGGUAAUAAAUUUAGCACCUAAUCUUGACCUUGACAAAACCCCACCACCCGCAAGUCUGCAACCCAUUAACCUUGUCACCUAUUCUCUUCCGCAUCCACAAACUCUUCAAGCUUUCGUUUUCUUUAUUGGCGCCAAGCUGCCCAAGUCCUCCACUGCUGCGAAUAUGCGUACCAUUUAGCUGGUUCAAUAAUAGAUUGGCAUUUGGCAAUAAUAUAUUUCUCGUAAACAUGAAGGCAAUAUACUGCUACAAAACAUCGCGAAGAAGCAAAUAAUCAAUCACUGCAACAAUGGUUCCAAUUCAGUUGCUUUUUCCAUGCCUUAUCAAAGACGAUUGGUCGUCUACUAUCAAACGACAUUUCAUUCAAUUAUUACAGACAGAUCCGACAUGUCGCUUAUAGUUUUAAUAGACGACAGUAGCAUGGGCUGGCGCAUACUAUUGACGACUUGUCGUCUAACAAAUACGACAAUUCGUCCAAUGUACAUUGUAAAAAUGACAUGUAGUUAUAAUAAUUUUUUAUGAACAAAUGAUAGAUCACUAAAUUUUUCGUAUAUUGAAGGUUUGUUUGGUAGUGGCUAUAGAAACAAUAGACUUUAGCGUCUUGUAUGUGAUAUAUUGAGAUGAAUUUUUGGCUUAUUCAGUUUUACUUGGAUGUUAAUUAAUUGCUUUUGGAAUCAUAUAUCUUCUUCUUAUCACAUACUUAAGAUCACCUAGGCCAAAGAAAGCAAUGAUUUUGUAAAUGUGCAGAAAAUGGAUGACCUUGUUUGUGGCAAGGGCUAUAUUCUGAAUGAUUUUAUGGAUGACACAAAGCUGAAAGUAACCACUGAUUGCAUUGACCGUACAUGGAAUCAGACGAUCAAUGCCCAAAUAAUGAAUGACAAUCUGGCAGGCAAGAUGCAAACAGCUCGUGUACUCUGCUUGGACGUGCCCUGGGCCAAUAUCUUAUCCAGCUUAUUCCUGAGACAGAACAAGACCACCUGCGUGUUAGGAAAUUGAGUUUCCUCCCAAGAUCUCUCCAAGUAAUUUAUUAAGCAACAAAUUAAUAAGAAAAAUUAAAUGGAGAAUAUACCAAUCACACAACACAAGAUUUACGUGGAAAACUCUAAAUUCGGAGAAAAACCACGGUUGUUGUCAAAAAGACAACCAGAGAAAAAAUAUUCACUAUGUGGAAAAUUAUUACAACCACACUCUCAUAAAUUUUCUCUCACCCAAGCCCCAGAUACACCCAAAAUACUAAAAUUUCCUAAUACUCACUUAAUACUUAACUUGCAUUAGAUUUUACAACUUUGAAUGUUUCUCUCUAGGAUGAUUAGAAUGAAGGAAGGGCAUCUCCUAUUUAUAGGCAAAAAAACUUGCCUAAAAGUCUUCAAGUUUGAUCAAAUUUGGUGGCUUACCCACCAAAUUUGAUCAACAAAUUUGGUCAUGUUCAACCAUGGAGGCUAAAGUCUUUACUUUGACAUUCUCCCACUUGGAGAUUUGAUUGAGAAUCAAUCAAUCUCUGCACCACCCUUGUUGUCUUCACCGUUAGUCAUAAUUCUCAACAUAGAGAAUUAUCAUACUCCACCAUAAAGAGUAUACCACUUAGAAUUAAUUACCAAUUCUAAGAAUUUUACAUCGGCACAUGUUGAAAUAUCCUGCUGAAAUUUAUGGUGCAACUUCCAUGUUGGCUUUCCUGAAAAUUCAUCAGCCAUCGACAUAAAUUCCACCACACACCCUGCAUCAAUGCCAACCAUGCCUUGUGUGUAAAUCUUGUGGACCCGCUAGUAGUAAAACAUCCCCUUUCAUGGUACUAGCAGUAUACCAUGAGGAUGUCAUCAUCAUUUAUUUUACAAGGGAUCAUCGUCUCCUACGAUGAUGAGAGACUUACCACUAGCAAUACUAUCAGUAUCUGAUCUGGAGCCACUUGCCGAUCCUGCUCCAUUUCUACUAUGACAAUCUCUUUUUAAGUGCCCCAAUUGUCCACACCCCCAGCAGACUCCUUUCUUUUUAGAUUUAUCUUUCUACCAAUUCCCUACAACUGCCAAAGCCGAGACAUCCGUAGUUUUAGUGCUUGCACCACUCAGUCUUCUUUCUUCUGAGAGUAAAGUACUAGUAACUUCUUCAAGAUCUACUGUCUCCUUCCCGUACAUCAAAGUAGGUAACAAGUGUUUGUAGGAAGUUGGAAGUGACCAUAGUAACCUAAGCGCCUUGUCCUCAUCUUCAAUUUUAACUCCAAUGGCUUCUAGUUCUGACACAAUACCAUUGAGAACACUGAGGUGAUCGGAAAUUUUUGUACCUUCAGCCAUUCGCAGUGUGUGAAAUCGCUCCUUCAGGUACAAUCGAUUUGAGAUGCUCUUUGUCUGAUACAACUUUUCUAGCUUCUCCUAAAGUUCUUUCGCUGUAGGAAUUUUUCCUACAUUUGCAAGAACAUUCUUUGCUAGACACAGUCGUAUGGCACUUGCAGCUCCACAUUAUGUUGUUAGCAAAACCCACCAAACUAUUUAAAUAAAUAAAAAAAAUUAUUUAAACCAUUUUUCAGUAGCGUACUUUCUUUGUAAGGAUAUAUAUUUUUUUUAAUGAAAAACUUUGAUUAAACUCUUAAAUGAAAAGACUUAUGUGUGUUGGAAUUUCUUCCAACCAAAUUACACAGCUCAGAUUGCUAACAACAUAUUUAGCUAAUCUAUAAGGGUGUCAUUAUUACUUCUCAAUACAUGAUUGAUUUUGAAGUGAUCUUUCACAACCAUACAGUCUUAAAUCUCGACAAUUAAUUAUGAUAUUUCUUUCAUACUUCUUUCUAAAUCUUUCACCGAGUUGACAACAGUCUUUGAGUUUGAUCCAACAAUUAGCAGCAGUGUCUAUUCCCAUUUUGAUUCCAAAAUUUAUUGUUUCAGCUUCAGCUUCUGUUAGGAAAUUGAGUUUCCUCCCAAGAUCUCUCCAAGCAAUUUAUCAAGCAACAAAUUAAUAAGAAAAAUUAAAUGGAGAAUAUGCCAAUCACACAACACAAGAUUUACGUGGAAAACUCCAAAUCCGGAGAAAAACCACGGCUGUUGUCAAAAAGACAACCAGAGAAAAAAUAUUCACUAUGUGGAAAAUUAUUACAACCACACUCUCAUAAAUUUUCUCUCACCUAAGCCCCGGAUACACCCAAAAUACUAAAAUUUCCUAAUACUCACUUAAUACUUAACUUGCAUUAGAUUUUACAACUUUGAAUGUUUCUCUCUAGGAUGAUUAGAAUGAAGGAAGGGCAUCUCCUAUUUAUAGGCAAAAAACUUGCCUAAAAGUCUUCAAGUUUGAUCAAAUUUGGUGGCUUACCCAUCAAAUUUGAUCAACAAAUUUGGUCAUGUUCAACCAUGGCUUCAACCAUGGCUGCUCCCAUGGUUCAAGAAUGGAGGCUAAAGUCUUUACUUUGACACUGCGAAACAGGAAUGGUGUAGCCAACACCUCGUACUUGCCACCACCAUGUGAAUGCCGCAACCGUGGGCUUUUGAGAAUGAGAAACCGAUGGAUGACAGCGGCUAUGUGGUUUUUGAGCUUUCCAAGUGUUGAUGCAUUGUGGUCAUCCUUGUCGGAUGAAGCUGAUGGCGCUGCCGUCGUGGUCGUCGGACGAAGCUGCUGCGGCGCGUGACACCAUCUAGCUUCUGCUCACUGUGCUGCUACUACUGCUUACCAGUAUCCUCUUUGCAUUGUUUUGGUUAUUUUCAUCUUUUGAUCUCAAAUGGCACCUUGCUUCUUUUGAUUGCUGUGUUUGUGAUGUGUUUAUUAUGAUUUUGUGAUGAUUCAUAAAACUUUGCAGAUGAUAAGUUUAAAUUAGGAAAAAAAAAUUAAAUGAGGCCCAAAUGGCGUUUCGGUUUAAUUCUUUUUUAUAUUCGGUUCUAAUUCGGAAUUUUUUUUUUAAUAUAAAGUAACUUACUUUAAUCGGUUUUGUUUGAUUUGUAAUUGAACCGAACCCGCCCUCCCCAAUAUGUCUCUAUGGUGCAUAUUUGGCGCAUCUUAUUAUAUAGUAUCAGAGGCCUACAUUGUAUUGAAGUAUCAUAAUCUCAUGUUUGGCAAUUCCACCGCAUUGUAUAAACAAAAAUUUUAAUGUGGUAAAAUCCCAAAUUAACAAAACCCAUGUGAGGUGUCAGAGUUACAUGGGUUUACAUUACAUCUAAAAAUAAAUAAAAAAUAAAACUAAAAAACUUUUCUUUGUAUUUUCAAAUCACACUCUUAGAGUCUUAGGCAAUUCCACCGCUAGAUGAUGUUUUUGAUAAAAAAAAUUGCUGCAUUUUGAUUAUCAAACUGUAUCUCUACAAUUUUGACUGUGUUUUUUCUUUCUUUCUUUCUUUUGAUUAACUGUGGAUCAAAAUUAGUGUUUUAAGCUUUUACACAAUAGUGAUAAAUAAGAUAUUUGACAAAACAAAUUCUAAAAAAAACAUAUUUGACAAAAUUGCGAAAAAGAAGAAGAAGAAGAAGAAGAUUAUAGUUAUAGAAUUCGAUAAAAAAAAAAUAGUAAUAUCCCAUUUUGUUUGUUUGAGAAAUGUCAAAAAUGAUAGAAUUUAUUAGUUUUAUAAUUAAUAGGAGAUGGUAAUAUUUUAUAUUUAUAAUAUUUCUCCAAAAAACAUAUGAUAAAAAAUUAAUAGCACCAAAUAUAGGAUAAAUAAAAAUUAAUACAAUAUAAAUGUAAUACCCCCUGCAUUAGAUAAUGUGAUACAUCCAAAUACAGUCAAAUGCACCCAGUAUCCAUUAACUCUAAAAUUUGACUUUGGAAGUUAUAAUAUAUAUAUAUAUAGAGAGAGAGAGAGGCGGGGAGUAAAUUAUUUUUAAUCUUAAUUUCAAUUAUUUAAGUAUUAUUAAUAUGCUAAACAGUUUUUAUUAAUCUUAGAAUAAAUCUAACAAAUUAAUUAUUUAUUAUGGUAAUUUAUUAAAUAUUCAAAACAAUUUAUAUAAAAAGUGCAUUAUCUUAUAGAGUAUGUUGUUUUAACAUUAUAUUUUUAUUUAUUAUAAAUGUUUAAAAUCAAUUUUUGGAUUAAAGGGUAUAAUAUUGGGUUUCUGGGUGUUCUUUUUACUUUUCUUUAAUUUUUUUAUCCUGAAAAAAUUGGAGAAAAAAAAAACAUUGUUUUGGAUGCACAACGGGUAUGGUAGUAGAAAGACAUUCUUUAUUUCAUAGAUAAUAUUCCCAACUUGACUCAUUUAUUUGUGGAUUAUAUGGUAACCUAUAACAGAAUGAAACGCCGAUAACGUAAUGAAUUCAAUCUUUUGGUUCGACAAGAUGAAAAUGAAGCAUCAGUAGCCAAGCAAAAGUAAUAAGCUCUCCACCAUUGGUAACAUACUGGGCGUGUGCCAUUGGUGUGCAAUGACUUGCUCCGUCUGACAAAAUCUCCAUCCAUAUUCUGCUAACUGUCUCCCAUUUCUUAUCCUCAUCCAGCUUUUGAAGCCCGUUGGCCAAUUUUAUCGCAUCCUCAAGUGCAGAGUCAGAUGACUCAGGAACCGGUCCAUCCAUGAUCUUUUUACAGGCAGCCUUCGCCGGUCUUGAUUUUAUACCAUUUUUUUCAAGUAAUUUGUCAGCCGCACUAUUGGUUCGUCGCAAUAUGUGUUUCGUAUAACUUGGCGAAGAAUUCAUCAUGGUAGGCUUCAAUAGUAAAAGAUAGAACAUGUAAUCCGAGAGGAUCUUGCUGAGCUGUCUAGCAUUGUUAGUCUGCUGACUCUGCUCAUUCGAGACUUCCUCGGCAGUGUUGUAAAGGAGUUCGGUAGCAAGAUGCCAUACUGGGACGGUUACAUUAAUACUAAAAUACACAUAAUUCUUUGAAAUCUUCUUCAUGAUUUCGAUGAGAUGAUAUCCAUUUGUACCCAAGUCGUGGAGAGUACAGUCGCCUGAAGAUGAAUAUACAGUUCUCUUGACACCCGCCUCUGGAUCCUCUGCAUACUGAGAUUUCCGUUUGAUUUCAUGAAAUAUAAACUGCCAUAAUUUCUUUGUUAAUGGCUGAUGGGAUAGGGAUCUUUGGAUCCUUAUGUCAUCAAUGAUUUUAGAAAUGUGCAGAAACCGGGUGACAUUGUCCGCGGCAAUGGCCUUACGUGGAAUCAGUCGACCAAUGCGCAGAUAAUGAAUGGCUUUCUGCCAGGCUGGAUGAAAACCAUUCUUGACUUCGUUUACCCUGCUUGGAGGCACCUUGAGCCAAUAUCCUGUCCAGCUGAUUCCUGAGACAGAACCAGACCACCUGCGAAACAGGAAAGGCACAGCCAACACCUUGUGCUUGUCAUCAGCAUGCGGACGCUGCCAACGUGGGCUUUUGAGAAUGAGAAAGCGGUGGAUAACAGCAGCUAUGCCGUUUUUGAACCUUCCAAGUUUUGAUUUGUCGCCAUAAUUCCGGAGUGCAACAAACGUCCAAUCGGAGGAAACGAGAAUGAAGAAAGCUAUGAUGUCCAGGGCUAUGGCACCCAAAAACAGGGUGUAUAUAAGGCGAACAUCAAACUCGUUGAAACCAUGCUUGUUGUCACAAGGCUAUUUUCUUCGAUGCGGCAAGCCCGUGAUGGCGCUAAGUUUUCCGCUUAGCCAGCCACUCGACAAUUCGCAACGGAGGCUACGUGUGUGAAACACACCCUAAGAUUUUGAUGGGUGUCGAAGCCAACAAAAAUAAAUUCCUACUCUAAAUAAAUUGUGUAUAGUGAUUGAGCAGGGUCGUGUCCACAGAGAUCGGUAAUUAUUUAAAUCCUUUUGAAACGUAAAACGUAAAAUGGGGGAAUUGUAGACAAUAAUAAAAAUCAAAUUAAAUAACAAGAAUGCAAAUUAAAGUUGUAAUUCAAAUUGGAGAAAGCUCUGGUUGAAGGAAUUAACUCAGCUUGAUUCGACUACUGAUCAUUGAUUCAAAUAUAGAUUAUUAUUAUUAAUUAUGAAUAGACCGGUUAUAGCUACUGAGACCCUCUAAUAGCCAAUCUCUCCUUAACUAGUCGAUAACCAAGGUACGACCGUUGGUUAUUUCCCUAAUCAAUAGACAACCCUAGAUACGAUCAUAGGAUUUAAUCAAUUGACAGCCUGAGAAACCAGAGAGACCCAAAUCCUAAUCAACACAUAUGAUGAUUCAUUUAAAUUAGAUUCUGCUGUACGGCCAAGGCGGAUGUACGGUACAGCAGUAUAAAGCCAAUAAUUUGUUAUUGUUAUGCAAAUGGAUGUGUAAAAUAGAAGUAGUCUUAGCUGUAAUUUUUAUUUUUCCCGCCAAAGUUUGCUUAAGUUGAUAUGUUUAUGAAUUUGCAGUGUUUGUGUGCGCUUGUCGCAGAAACACAGUUUCUGCAUUUUUGGGUGACAAGAUUGUCUCCCGUGUGACAAGUUCUUGCCGCACUAAUACAUACUGUGUUUUUGGGUGUUAUUGUUGUCGCACGUGCGAUGAACGAAUGUCGCCCGUAUUGAGUUUCUGUAUUUUUAGGCAACAAAUUCCACGCCUUAUUAACAAAAUUCUUCUGCCGCUCAUAAUUUCUCCAAGGGAACAAUCAUCCCUAAACAUCAUCUUGUAGCUCAAUUUUAUCACCAAUCAAUAGAAUUGCACCUACAAAAGUAAAUCACAAGUAAAUCACUAUUAUUAAAUGCAAAACAUCGAUAUUAAGGGAAGUAAACAAUGCAAAACUAGUGCAUAAAUUGCACUGAACGUUUUUGGGUCAGAGCCCCAAUCACAGCGUCCUCCAUCCUAUGGCCAGGAAGUAUCAAGCGAGACUCGAGCAAGUUGUAUGUAGUUAACAGUUCUCGGCUCGAGCAGGAAUUGGCUAGUACAGCCUCGACCCGUUUGAGCUGGUCAGGUUCAAGCGGGAAGUGGACACCCCAAGAACCUGCAACACAAACAAACAUUUGAUUAGAGACAAACCAGUAAAGCGCAAACGACAAGGGAGACAAGACAUCUAAUACGAGCAGGCAACCUGGGACCACGAAACGGGGUGGGACGCGGAAGUCCUUCCCAUCAACCUGUGCAACUUGACCCCAGGGACCCCCUGCGAAGAAGAACUUCCUCUUCCAAUUCCCACCACCACCAGUAGGGAGAUCGGUUAUGGGUUUCCUGGUCUUGGUACUUGAUUGGAAGUAAUACCAGCCGGCAUCUUUUGGGCUGCUUUUCAGCUGGUACAGGUGCAUCACCUCGUCGACCGUGGGCUCGCUUUGGCAACAUCUGUCCCACAGUAUGAACAGACCAGAGAGCACUCUCCAACCGUUUGGGUUCAACUGACCAGGAGAUAGAUUCAACCCGCUAAGUAUCCGGGCAAAGUAAGGUUGCAAGGGACACCUCAGCCCAUACUUAAAGCUAUCCAGAUACAGGGUAACAUAUCCCCUAGGAGGCCGGCUAGGGGUAUCCUUCUUGCCUGGGACCUUGAGAAGUAUUUCACCAGGAAUGCUGUACCUAAGACGGAGGUCAGCGAGCUCGUCAAACGUGGUCGUGCACGUCAUAUAGUCGAUGGCAUAAUCACGCAACAAGGCUCUACCCCCUACUGUACCCCGUCCUUCUGGUCGUGACGUUCCAGAUGGAGACACCUCACCAGAGUCACCUUCGCCAUUCUCACUCAAAGUAUCCUCGGAGCCAGAAGAUCUCUCCUCACCAUUACUUCCGCUCGUAGAGGUUGUUUGGGGAGACAUCCUCCUAGCACUAGUCCCGACACUAGACCUAAUGGGCUCUAAGGGGAUCCCGGGGUCAAAAGCAGGAUCGGUGAGCAGACUAGGCAGGAAGUCCAACUCGUCGUCAUCAACCUCAAUGACCUUCUCUUUGCCUUUCGACAUUCCCUAAGCUCUAACCACAACACCACCAACUACUACCCAAACAGAAGAGAAGAGAAAUUAUCUACAACUAUCCGAGACCAAGGAGAUAGAAGAAAUACCUGAAGUAAUGGUUCAGUCAGAGAAAGUCAGAGAUGGAGGCCUUUUAUGCCGGAACUUCUUUGCCGGAGAGACAGAGACGGAGACGGAGUGAAUGAUGAAUAUGCCGUUCGAGAGGAUUUGGUUUUCCUAAUGAGGACGGACUCUUGGGUUGCCAGCAUGUAACAGCGCCGAAUCCCGAGGGUCUCAUAACCGUCGUUUUGAAAUUCAAAUGGAGGGGGGGAUUUCUGCCACGUCACUUCGUCCGCAAUUAAAUGCGACAUGACUCUUGGCAGCCUUUUCCAAUCCCACGCGAGCGAGUACUAUCGAGUUUCUACUGCUGGUCCACUACAUUAUCCAACACCAGAAACUGGGGGACCGGUGUUUGGGAGAAAUACGUCGACGAGACCAGGCAUGGUGAGCAGAUAUCUGAUGGCAGAGUUCUGCGAACCGGUGUGUUCCGUAAAAGCCUGGUGCGCGGGGGAACAGGAGCAGAAAUAUCCUGCUCGUCCACGAGCACGUCAUCCGCGAGGCCAAUUUCCUGUAAGAGGCAUAAGGCCAUUCCGGCUAGAGGUCGAGAGGCGAGGAGACCCGGUCGACGGCAGUUGGCAAGACAUGCUCUCCAGCCCGAGAAUCUAGGCACGACAGCCACGCUUUCCCCAGAACCACGGCGGAACAUGCAAGAUCCCACGUUUGCCCAUAACGCAGCAGUCGGAGUCCCAUACCGUCCCCCAAAAAGCGGAAACAAGAUCUCACAGAACCACGACAGCCACGCUUUCCCCAGAACCGUGGCGUAACACGCAAGAUCCCACGUUUGCCCAUAACGCAGCAGUCAGAGUCCCAUGCCGUCUCGAAAAAAGCGGAAAACUGGGAUUCAGAGGAGGCCUAUAAAAAGGUAGCCAACGAGGUAAAAGGGUGAGCAUUUUUUUGAGAUUAGAAAAGAAAUUCAAAACUGCUGUACGGCCAAGGCGGAUGUACGGUACAGCAGAACAUGCAUAACAAAGCAAGUUCUAGAAUAAACAAACUAGGAUUGAUAUUCACAUAACAAAAAUAAUUAGAGCAAAGUGGUUGCUCAUAGGCUCAAAUCCUCACAAAGUUGGUAAAUUUGCCAUCAAAUCAUGUACACUCUUCAAAUGAAUCAACCAUCAAUAGUGGUGUAGAAUGAGAAGAAGGUAUGAGUAAGAUAUAAAAGGAAAGGUAAAAAGGAUAAUAAGCGAGAAAGAUGUAUGUAGUAAAAAAAAAUGAAAGAUAAAAUAUGAGUGAUGACAGAGUAUGAUAGAAAAAAAAAUAAAUAUAAAUAAUUUGAGAUAUAUGGGAAAAGAGUAGUGACAGAGAAAGAAAAAGAAAAUUAAUAAUAUAUGAAGCAUACUAACUCAAAAAUUAUUUAAGGAUGAGUAGAGUGAAAAAAAAAAAGAUAAGUAGAGUGAAAACAAUAAUUUCAGAUAUCAAUAAUGCAAAAAUCCCUCCCCCACACCAAGAACUUACAUUGUCCCCAAUGUAAGAUAAUCAAAGCUCACAUAAAAAUUAAAGCGUAAGGAUAAAAGUUUAAGGGCAAAAAGAAACUUCCCUGAAUUGUGAGCUUUGAUCCACAUAACGUCUAUGGGCUUGGCGGAAAUGGUGGGGUAAAUCCCACACUCUCGAAGUAUGCAGCCAAAUUCUGCUCCAUCUUGUUCAUGCGGCUGGAAUGCAAGUCGUAGGCUGGUUACGGACUAUUGCUGCUCGACUGGAGCUUGCGGGUACACGGCUGGUGGUUCAGUUGCGCGCGGAUGGGACUGAUGCUACGAACUGGUGACGUUGGAUCUGCGUGCUGCGGCUGUUGCUGCGCGCUGGGGGAUUGCUGGUGCGCGCGCUGGUGACGCUUGUUGCGUUGCGUGCUCGGCUGGAGCUUGCUGCGCAGCUUGGGGCUGAGCUGCUGCGUGGCUGUGUUGCUGCGGGACUGUUGCGCGCGAGAGCUGGUUCUGGGUUGCGUUGCGGGGCGUGCUCGUUGCUGGUGCUUGCGUUGCGCGCGACUGAUGCUGCAUUCUCCGGCUGGCUGGUUUGCUGCUGGCGUGCUGCAAACGGCUGGAGAAGAAAACAAUUUCUGGAAAAUUAGAGAUUUUGUGAACAGUAAAUAUAUAUAUAUUUUUUUAACAAUGAUUUUUUUUAUUUUUUUUAAAUAAAUAAAAAUAUAUAUAUAUAAAAGAAAGAACAAAAGAAAUAAAUAAAUAAAAUAAAAUGAAAUAAAAUAAAUUAAAAUUAAUUUUUUAUUUUUUUUUAGUGAUGAAUCACUUUGAGACACUAAAAAUUUCAGAAGUACUUUUCUAAUAAGCACGUGGGCACGCCUUCUGCUGUACCGUACAUCCGCCUUGGCCGUACAGCAGUUUGCUUAACCCAUGUGCAUCACUCAAUUGGUGGGGGCAAAUAACGUCUUAAGGAAAGCGACUUAUUGUAACGUGCCUUGAAGCAUACAAAAUUUCUGCAGUUUCUUCCUACAUACAGAGUUAGUUGUAAACACAUUACUUUACAUAAUAAAGUUCCACCAUUAUUGUUGUAUUUCUCUACAUUUGUCAUUCUCCACAAAUAUUCCUCCAACAAAUAGACUACUCUAUCGAGUUAAAGAUAAAAUAAGGCUACGUUUGGAUUGCGGCGAAAAUGUAAAAAAAAACAAUCUACUUCACAAUUUUCUUUAUUUUGAUUGAAACCUUCAAACUAGGUAAAUGAUUGCUUAUAGUUCUUAUUGAAACCUUCAUAUUUUCAAAACAAAAAAAAAAGUGCUAUUUUACCCAAUUUUUCUUUUUUGUUUCUUUUAAUUAAGCUUGUACUCCACCAUUUCUCACUCAAAAUUAAAACAUAUCUUGUAGACUUGAAUUCUUAAACUAUUGCUUCCUCUGCAAGAGGCCAAACUAACUCAGUAAUCCUUUGAGGAUAAACUUAUCAUAAUCGUACUCUAUGUCUUAAUAUAUUAUAAUUACUAUAAAUACUAUCAAUCGCAUGUUUUUUAAUUUCUAUAAAUUAAUAUUGGACCUUACCUAACUUAAUCUUUUGAGAAAGGGAGAGUAAUAGGUGGAACCGCAAUCACAUCGAAUAAUAUACUCACUUUGUGUCAUUUAAUUGAUGUUUUAAUUUUUAGCCAUUUAGGUCUCUAUUUCAAUCCCACCCCAUUUUAGACAUCUUUCUUGAUGUCUUGGAAUUCAUAUAAUCCAACGUCAGAUUCACUUUUUACUUAACGGAUUUGUUAAGACUUGUCUUUAAUAUUAAACCUGUGUUAAUAACUUAAGCUUUUGGAUAAUUUUCUCCUACUACAAUUAGAACCCAAAAUGAGUGAGGAUUGGUAGCAACAAGCAGACAUUGCUGAGACACAAGCCACGAAUAGAUGAUGCUAUUUGCUAAUCUCUCUAAAUGUGCUCUGUAUUUGAGACUCCAGACGGCUCACUGUAGUCGCCAAUUGACUCAUUUGGUUCUCCAAGUUCUGAAUGCUUGUUGUAGUUGCCUGCUGAAAUUGUUGAGUGUUAGUCGCAAGUGAUUUAACAAUUUCUUCAAGAGAUAUACCUGACUUGGAGUUUAACUGUGGAGGUGCUGGUUGUCUUGGUGGAUACUGUUGUGGGAAUCUUGAUUGCCUAACUUCAUAGCUGAAGUUGGGAUGAUCCUUCCAUCCCGGAUUGUAUGUUUGUGCAUAAGGAUCAUACCUCCUCUGAGGCAUGCCUGGAAAUCCUCCAACUGCAUUGGCUUGUUCAACGGGUUCUUCUUGAAAUGUAGGACACAUAUCGGUUGAAUGACCCAUAUUGUAAUAAAUGCCACAAGUUUUCACCUGUUGUACAUUACCUACAAUAAACUUUUUCUACAAGAGAAGUAAGUUUAUCUAAACGUUGUUCAACAGAAGAAAUAUUUACCUCAUUCACCUUCCUUGAAGUAGGAUCUUGCAUGCUGCCAAAUUGUUGUGCAUUGGCAGCCAUAUUUGAUAUCAACUCCCUUGCUUGAGUAGGGGUCUUGUUCACCAACACGCCUCCACUAGCAGCAUCUAUCAUACUCCUAUCCAUCAAUGAUAGUCCUUCGUAAAAAUAUUGAAUAAGAAGUUGAUUAGAAAUCUGAUGCUGAGGACAGCUGGCACACAAUUGUUUGAUCGCUCCCAAUACUCAUACAAAGUCUCCCUAGGAAGUUGUCUGAUCCCACAAAUGUCUUUUUUGAUGUUGGCAGCUCUUGAAGCAGGAAAGUACUUCUCGAGGAAUUGCUUCUUCAAACCAUUCCAUGUUGUAAUCGAUCCAGGAGGCAAGUAGUACAACCAAUCUUUAGCUAACCCAUCUAAAGAGAAUGGAAAAGCACGCAGCUUAAUCUGCUCUUCAGUCACGCCUUGUGGUCUCAUACUUGAACACACAACAUGAAACUCCUUAAGAUGUUUAUGAGGAUCUUCACCUGCAAAACCAUGAAACUUGGGUAAUAAAUGAAUAAGACCAGACUUUAAUUCAAAAUUUACCUCCAAAUCUACAUAUUGAAUGCAGAGUGGUUGCUGAUUCAAGUCUGGUUCAGCUAACUCUCUAAGAGUUCUUUCUACAGGUGCAGGUCUAUCCAUCACUUGUUCUUCUGAAUCGCUAGAUGAUUCAACUAAAUCAGGCACCGUAUCUGUUUCAGAAAGCAAAGGCGACGAGGAUCGUUGCUUAGCUCGCUUCGUCUGCUGUCUCAACUGGCGAGCUGUCUUCUCAAUUUCAGGAUCAAACGAAAGUGUACCUGUACAAGAAGAAAGAACCAUACACCAAGUAAAACGUAAAAAGGAUUAAAUAAAUGACACCAAUCCCCGGCAACGGCGCCAAAAAUUUUAUGGUUGUCGAAGCCAACAAAAAUAAAUUCCUACUCUAAAUAAAUUAUGUAUAGUGAUUGAGCAGGGUCGUGUCCACAGAGAUCGGUAAUUAUUUAAAUCCUUUUAAAACGUAAAACAUAAAAUGGGGGUUUUGUUGACAAUAAUAAAAAUCAAAUUAAAAUAACAAGAAUGCAAAUUAAAGUUGUAAUUCAAAUUAGAGAAAGCUCUGGUUGAAGGAAUUNNNNNNNNNNNNNNNNNNNNNNNNNNNNNNNNNNNNNNNNNNNNNNNNNNNNNNNNNNNNNNNNNNNNNNNNNNNNNNNNNNNNNNNNNNNNNNNNNNNNNNNNNNNNNNNNNNNNNNNNNNNNNNNNNNNNNNAGAUUAAGUUGAUAAUUAAAUAGUGGCCAAUUACCUAAUUAACAAACAUAAUCAUGAAAAUAAUUCAGAGAAUAAACAAAUACCCAAAAAGCAAUAAAACAAUUAAAGCACAAGAAAGAUCUCACAGUAGUGAUGAAUCAAAGCUUCAUUCUCCUUCAACCAGAAAAAUAAGUUUAGUUCUUCAUAGAGAGAAGAGAAAAAUUAAAUCUAGGGUUUCUUUCUUUUUCUCCAAUCCAAAAAAUCCCCCCUUUUUCACAAUUGAUUCCUCCCUUAAAUACUCUCUCUCUCUUCUCCUUUAGAGUUCUAUUUAAAAUAAAAUACUAAUAUCUGAAAUAUUAAAUUCGUAAUUACAAAAAUAACCAAAAAUACAAAACACAUUAAACUAAAAACUGCAGGUCUGUAGUUGACAGCAUGCGCCCACGCCUUAUCAACAAAGUUCUUCUGCCGCUCAUAAUUUCUCCAAGGGAACAAUCAUCCCUAAACAUCAUCUUGUAGCUCAAUUUUAUCACCAAUCAAUAGAAUUGCACCUACAAAAGUAAAUCACAAGUAAAUCACUAUUAUUAAAUGCAAAACAUCGAUAUUAAGGGAAGUAAACAAUGCAAAACUAGUGCAUAAAUUGCACUCUAACAGAUUUUCAACGAUACAACAACCGAAACACAACACAAACACAAGGCACACGAGAUUUACGGAAGCACCGACUUCCAACCUUUUCUUAUUAAUCAAGAACAAGGAACUAAAAAUAGCUUCCAGCAAGAAUGCUUGCAGAAUACCACUCACUGUCUACAAAACUUGGCUCCCCAAGCUCUCCCCCCAUAAUGCUACUUAUAGCAUUUGUAAGUGACAGCCCCACUUACUAGGAUAGUAUAGAUUAUUCCCAACCCAUACCUUGUUUGCCACCAGCACACAUAAACAAAUAAGCCCACUACCUAAGUGCAUUGCCCAUACACUAUUGUUUAGGUUACAUUGAAUAGUGGCGGACCAUCCCCACUUAGACAAGAUCCCCAUUAUAGGUAGUGCCCAUGCAGUGGCGGGCCUCCGCCACUAAGAAUUGCUCCAACAAUCCUCUUGGCCUGAUGCUUGUGUGCGGAACAUGUUCUGUGCGUGUGCGCUCCAUUGGCGCGCCUGUCCGCUAUCCGUUAGCGUGCGCGCUGCCUGGCACGCUUUGUGUGCGCGCAUGCUGCUUGGCGCGCUCUUGCGUCCGCGCUUGCCCGCUGCAUACGCUCGCUCACUGCCCAUCAGCGUGCACAUGCCUUGCGCGCAUUUGCGUGCACGCUAUACCCUCGGAGCACUUGUGCGCUGCCUCGCGCAUAUCCCGCGCGCGCUGCCCAUCAGCCCGCUAGUUGCUGCCACUCCCCAGCCCGCGUGCAGACUUGCCUUGUUUCCUCACACAUCCGUUGCCUCAUUAUGCUUGGCACAAGGCCGCAAGCCAAGCAUUGGCGUGCCUCGAGUUUUAAGGCUGUAACACUUGUCCACUUGGAAAUAGAAAAUUGAAAAGGCUGCCACCACAGAACCAAAACUUAUGAACCGCAAAACAAUUCCCAAUACACCCUGUGUUACCUGGAUCUUGGUGUGAAAAACUUCAUAAACCAAGUUGAGUUCAACCUCAAUUAUUCCCAAGGCUUCUGCUGGACUAAAAUCAUCAAUGGAAGGUUCUUCAAGUUUAACGUCUUUGAAGCUGGGGACGAGAUCAACAAGAAUCAAUCUGAAGAGAUUGAAGUAUUGACAACCCACCUCGACAUAAUCUCUGCCUUCCUGUAUCGGAAUAACACGAUCAUUUUCACGAGACAAAGCACGAAGCCUCUUAAAAUGCUCCAGUUGUAUUUUAAGGGAUAAGUCCCGAAAUUUCUCCAGGCUUGCAAGAUACAAAGCACGAAUCCUCUCAAAAUACUUUAUCAUAGCGGCAAUAAACACGAGCACUGUUGGAAACAACAGCUUGUUUCCGUGAAGCGACUGGAAGAAGAUAUAAACAGCAGCAACAACCUGGACUACGAGUCCAAGCAAUUGCCUGAUCCAGAGUUCGUUAUCUUCAAGAGCAAACGCAGUUAUAGUGUCUGGACCACCAAGGUGUAACAACAGAAAUGGAGCCCAAAACGCUAAAAGCUCCUUCUCCGUGGGCAUCGAGAGCUCAGGAUUAUCUCUUGCUCUUUCAGUGAUGAGGCCAAUGCCAAAAUUAGCAGCCCAAUCUGCGAGCAAGUAAGCGGACCAGAUUAUCAAGAUGAUCAGUUUAUGGCCCGUGGUUUUUCGGAGGGGAGCAAAAAAAACCAAGACGGUUUGUAAUGAAAGACUGAACAAGAUUACACCUCGUAUGUUCCAGUCGUUCCAUAAUUUCUUGACAAGUUCAGGGAUUCGAUUAAGCAUUUCCUCGCUUUUCGCUUUUCAAGGUAUAGAGAUUAAAAACAGUGGACUUCUAGCGUUUUGAAGCUUAAAAAUUGACAGGGAACAAGAACACGAGAGAUAAAUUGAUGAGGAAUUUUUGGAAUCCUUCUUUCUCUUCUUCCUUGACAACUUCUUGUCGGACGAAUGAAUCAUUUUUUAAAAAUUUAGAAAACACAUUAAAAUAAGAGGAUUAAAGGUCAGCAAUAUUCAAAUAGCAAGAAUCAAGAAAAGAAUUUAAGAAAAAGAAGACAAAUCGCGGAUUCAAGACAGAAUAAUGCAGUAUCGCGCUGUUUCACAAAUUAUAAUGACGCUUUCUCAAAAUAUUGUUCCAGAAAUACAUUUGUAAAAGCAAUUGCAAAUAGUAAGUGACUAGCUAUUUAAACCCAAAUGAUUAAAUGCAUCCAUUUAUGCUCUGAUGCUUGCAAUUAAGUCAUUUGGUUAUGAUGAAGGGUCUUCUUAAUAGAGAGCAACAUAUGUAUAUCCGGAAGUUAAAUGCAAUUCCUGCCUUCUAGAAAAAUAUCAGCCCAAGUUAAGAUGUAGGGUUUACGUAUUGAAAAAGAGUGAGUUCAAUAAAGAGAUUAAAAACAAUGGACUUUAGAGUCUUCAAUAAGUGAAAAAUUUUGAGAUAACAAAAGCACGAGAUAGAGGAUAAUUCGGCUUCUUACUUAGUUUACUUCAAUGUUAAAGUAAUAUUUAGAAUUCCUUGGAAACUUUGUCUAAAAGGCAAAAGCAAGGAUCCGCUUCAUUGCAAGGAUUGAUUAAGAAAUGACAUGAAGGAAACAAUAUUCAUAUAGCAACAAUUAAGAAAAGAAUAAAAAAAAGAUAGAAUCCCAAAAAAAAAAAACAUUAUCCACAUAUUGACUUAUGAAAUAAGAAAAAUUAUGGAUUAAUAAAAGAAAUUACUCCAUUGGAAAACCCUAAUGAGCUACGGGAAAGCUUCUCCACCGCCGCUGGCGAGCGACCGUUUCACCAAAAAGACAAAGUUUAGGGCUGAAGGGGCUGAUGGAGAUAACCCUAAGCCCUUAUCCUACCGUGAUAUUGCCAUGGAGGCGAAUGGGGGUUCUGCAAAUAUGGGGUUUGGCAUGAGGGACGAGUGGGAACUGGAAGAGGAGGAUGUCUGUUGCAAGGAGGACGAAUCUAUGCCCUAUAUUGCUUUCUCACAAAGGGUUCACGAUCGACUAGCAAAACCUUGGGCGAACUCAGUUGUCGUUAAAACUCUUGGACGAAACUUGGGAUAUAGAGUUAUCAGUGAGCGUUUGAAGAGACUCUGGAGUUCUACAAUGGGUUUCUCCAUCAUUGACUUAGCUAAUGAUUACUACUUGGUCCGUUUUCAGAACGAGGGAGAUGUGGAAUAUGCUCUUACUGAGGGGCCUUGGACCAUCAUGGGGCAUUAUCUUUUUGUUCAGCAAUGGACGCCGGAGUUUGAUGCUACCACGAAUAGAGUUGAUCGGAUUGUGGCUUGGAUUCGUUUGUCUGGCAUGAAUAUUCACUUUUAUCAUAAAACUAUUAUUCGGCGGUUAGGGCAAAUUGUUGGCCCGGUCAUCAAGAUAGACUAUCUCACUGCCGCAGCCCAAAGGGGAAAAUUCGCUCGCAUUGCGGUUCAACUAGACCUUGACAAGCCGCUGGUUUCUCAAUUUAAUUUUGAGGGAAGAAUCCAAAAGGUGGAGUAUGAAAAUCUGCCCAUGAUUUGUUUUUGUUGUGGCAAGUUUGGCCAUUAUCAAGAUGCUUGCCCUGACGGUGGUACCACGCAUGUGGAAGCGGCACAGCCAACUUCUUGUCCUGUUGCUGCAAACCAGAAUAUUGUGGUGGAGGAGGGUUCUAACCAAAAUGAGUCUAAGUUUGGAUCGUGGAUGGUGGUAACCCGUAAACCUCGCCCUCGUAGAUCUACAGAAAGGGUUUCUUCUAAGGUCUGGGUUCAGGAUCAACAGGGGCUGAAUGUUCGUGUGUCGCGGUUUGAUGUUUUAGGCAAAGUGAUGGAUGACGAAAGUGUACCACAAAAUCAGGACAACACUUCGGUAGUCCAUCAGGAAAUCCUGGAGCCAACAGUAGAAAACCCCAACACAUUAGCCCCAAAAUCCAGGAGCAUGAAAAAGAAACAAGUGAGUCACUUUAUGCGGAAAUAUCCUACCAAGAAAAUUUCAGUUUCGGCAAACAACUCCAUAGCUGAAAAUAUCAACCCAAACAAUCACAGCCGUAACCAGACUUUCCAACCACAUAAGCCUACCCUAGCCAUGCAAGGCAUGCACGCACAUCUCAAGGUUCUUACAACAUCUGAACCAAGUGCCACCUCCGAUGUUCCCUGUAGCUCCAUGCAUGGCAUGCAUGCCCAUCCCAACACACUGGCUGCUUCUCCGAUGCCUGUUCAUGUAACCCUUAACCCGUUAAACCACAGUGCAGUUUCUUUCCCCAACCUUCAGCUACAAUUUCCUCAUCCUCGGUCUCAUCAUGAACACUUGCCUGAGGGAGUUUUGGCCCUAAAUUUGGAUAAAGAGCCUCCCGAUGAGGAUGGAAUGGAGAGCCCUAAUUUCCGGGGGGGAGAUUUUAGGGAGCUUGAUUCAGAUGUUGCGGGUAGGAUUUUGCCUUCAACUGAUGACGAUAAUUCAGGGGUUCCUGACACCUUCAUGGAUGAUGAAGCUGAAGCCAUAGGGCUGUCUUAGUUUCGCCCCCGUUCCCCUUUUAAAAUAUUUUUGUUAUGUGUAUUACAACUAUGUUUUGGAAUGCUCAAGGUGCUGCCUCACCGUCCUUUCGUCGUUCUUUCUCUGCUGUGGUUACCAAUUACAAGCCCAUAAUGGUGGUGUUAAUGGAGCCUCGCAUCAGUGGGUCCAAGGCGGAUAACUUCAUCAAGAAUAGUGGUUUUGACAAGUCUCACCGAGUGGAAGCUGAGGGUUUUUCGGGCGGCAUUUGGAUCCUUUGGAAAAAUUUAUUUGAUGUUGAGAUAGUGGAGAAUCAUACUCAAUUCAUUCACCUCAAGAUUUCAAGGAACAAUAAUCUUCUAACUUGGAUGACGGCAAUCUACGCUAGUCCUAAUCCAAGCAUUAGGCGACAUCUUUGGAAUGAGUUGGCAAAGAUUGCUUUGACUGUCCAGGGCCCUUGGCUGUUAGGUGGAGAUUUUAAUACUAUUCUGUAUAAUUCUGAGAAGAAAGGAGGAUCUCCGAUGGGCGCAGGAGUGUGCAGACUUUUUCAGUCUUGGUUUCAUAGUCACGGCAUGCAUGACCUUCCUUUUCAUGGGCCACGUUUUACUUGGUCUCGCGGCAAUCUUUUCAAACGUCUUGAUAGAGUGAUUUGCAAUGGAGAUUGGGCUCAGACUUAUGCUGCCUCUACUGUCCUUCACCUUCCAAAGUUUAUUUCUGAUCAUCGGCCUCUUCUAGUGAAAGAGAAUAUUAAUCCUCCGAGAAAUUUAAAUUCUAGGCCGUUUCGUUUUCAGGCGGCUUGGCUCACGAAUGAUGGUUUCAAGGAUUUUGUGGCCACUUCAUGGGAUCGGAACGUCACCUAUAUGGAGGCGGCAAAUCUUUUUCGGCUUAAAGUCAUGGAUUGGAAUAGGCAGCAAUUUGGGAAUAUUUUUUGGCGGAAACGACGAUUAAUGGCUCGGCUGGGGGGAAUUCAGCGGGCCUUGGAGAAGUAUAGUUCUCAAGGGCUCCUUGAGCUUGAAUUAAAGUUGAGAACCGAGCUUGAAGAAGUGCUUACUCAGGAAGAAAUUUUCUGGCUUCAAAAGUCGCGCAAAGAUUGGCUCCUUUUAGGUGAUCGUAACACUUCCUACUACCAUCAGAAAACUUUAUCUAGAAGGCGUCGGAAUCAUAUUACAGCCAUUAAAAAUAAUGCGGGCACUUGGAUUUAUGAUAAAGAGGAAAUUACGCAGCAUGUGAUUCAGUUCUAUUCAUCCCUGUAUUCUUGCGACUCGCCAAAUUUCCGGGCAUAUCCGCAUCCGAACUCUUUUCCUAUUAUUAAUGAUGAGGAGCUUCAAUAUCUUCAGGGGAAUGUGGAUGAUGAUGAAAUUAAAAGAACCAUCCUUGGCAUGCACCCUCUCAAGGCCCCGGGUCCGGAUGGCCUCCAUGCCAUUUUCUAUCAAACACAGUGGGAUACGGUUGGCCCAUCUCUUUGCUGCUUAGUGAAAGAUGUUUUUAAGCAUAAACGUUUGCCGGGGGAUCUAAAUACUACAUUGCUUGCGCUUAUUCCAAAGAUUGAGAAUCCCUCUUCUUUGAAGUUGUACCGUCCCAUCUCUCUCUGCAAUGUAGCGUACAAGACCAUUACCAAGAUUAUUGCUAAUCGGCUCCAAUCGAUUUUACCUCAUCUGAUUGGCCCCCACCAAACUAGCUUUGUUCCCGGUCGUCACAUAACGGAAAAUAUUGUGAUCGCUCAAGAAGUCAUCCAUUCCAUGAGGAAAAAGACUGGUGCUAAAGGUUUUAUGGCGAUCAAGGUUGAUCUUGAGAAGGCGUAUGAUCGCCUUAGUUGGGAAUUUAUCAAUGAUACUUUGUGCGAAGCUCAAAUUCCCCCCGAUCUCAUUCAGACUAUUAUGGCUUGUAUUACCUCAGUCAAAAUGCGGGUUUUGUGGAAUGGGGAAGUGACGGAUGAAUUCGUUCCUUCCCGUGGAAUUCGCCAGGGUGAUCCGUUGUCUCCUUAUCUUUUUGUUCUCUGCAUCGAACGCUUGAGCCAUGGGAUUCAUAAUGCCGUGACUGCUGAUAAGUGGAAACCGAUUCAUUUGGCUCGCAAUGGUAUCCCUCUCUCUCAUCUUUUCUUUGCGGAUGAUCUCCUGUUGUUGGCUGAAGCUUCUAUUGAGCAAGCUCGUAUUCUAUCGGCAGUCUUGGAUGCUUAUUGUUACAGUUCAGAAGCUAAGGUUAAUGUUAACAAGACUAUGUUAUACUUUUCCAAGAAUGUAAGGGGUAUAGAUGUGGCCAGGAUCUCGGGUAUUCUUGGUUAUUCUGUCACGCAGGAUCUUGGGAAGUAUCUUGGGGUCCCUCUCCACCACUCACGGGUCACCAAUAAAAUGUUCCAGGAUAUUAUUGAUAAAGUUGAAAAGCGGCUCUCUGGCUGGAACGCUUCCCAUUUGUCUCUGGCUGGCCGCAUUACUCUGGCUCAGUCGGUCCUUCAGGCUAUUCCCAUUUACGUCAUGCAAACUGUUUCUAUUCCGGCUGGUAUCAGAGAGAAGAUUGAUAGGGCAUGCAGGCGCUUUAUUUGGAGUGGCUCUUCACCUAAUCAAAGCCUUAGCAUGAUCAGCUGGAAGGAUAUUUGUAAGCCAAAGUCAGCCGGGGGGUUGGGGUUCAAAUCCUUGGCUAUCAUGAACCGAGCCCUUCAUAUGAAACUUGCUUGGGGUCUCCUCUCUUCCCCAAACAGCUUCUGGGUUCAGGUCCUUGUCUCUAAAUAUGGGGUUGACAUUCGCAAUCCGCCUCUUUUGCUUCCAACGCGCUAUGGUUCUCACUUGUGGAAGUCUAUCGGAAAUGUGUGGAGUGAUGUUUUGGCAAGCCGACGCUGGUGCUUGGGAGAUGGUAAAUCCGUUUGGUUUUGGUGGGAUCUUUGGGUGACUAAGGAUGUCCCUCUUGCGGCUUAUACAACCAAUAAUCUUCCUAGCAAUAUCUUAAACGGUAAAGUGGCUGAUUUUGUUAAAGAAGAUGGUUCCUGGCUCUGGGAGCGUUUUGAACAAUUUCUUCCUGCUAAUAUCAUUAUUCAGAUUGCGGCUUUUCAUCCCCCAUCCCCUGAUAAGGGUACGGAUUCUUUGUUUUGGACUCACUCCAAAUCUGGGCGUUUCACUACUCACUCGGCCUACUUGGCCUUUUCGAAUGAUACUCCCAUGCAUGAUGACAGGCUCUGGCGUACGGUUUGGAGUUGGAAGGGUCCCCAAAGUGUGAGGAUCUUCUUAUGGCAAGCAUUUCACGAUCGUCUGAAAACUAAGGCCGAAUUAGUUCGUCGUCACAUCCCGGUAUCAACCUCCUGCGACCGGUGUGGGGCUGCGACUGAGGAUGCUAUGCAUGUCUUGCGGGACUGUGCUUUGGUUAAGCGUUUCUGGCUCCUGAUUCUCCCAGAAAAUAAACGACAACAAUUCUUCAAUUGGCGGCUCCAUGAUUGGCUUCGUACGAACCUGGGAAUGGUCGGAGGGCUAGGGAGUGUUUCUAAUUGGGCCAUCUUCUUUGGUAUUGCUCUCUGGAGACUUUGGUUUUGGAGGAACCAAUUCAUCUUUAAUCAAGUUUCUAUGGAUCCGAAUACUGUUUUAAUGGAUGUUUUUAUGCGCACUGCGGAAAUGCAUAAGAUUCAUUCUCAUCCGCUUACCUCAGGACAUACAAGAGUGAUGAGAUGGAUUUCUUGGAAACCUCCAGAUUGGCCUUGGUGCUCUCUGAACACGGAUGGUGCCCAUAACAGGGAGGGAAUUUCUUCUGCUGGGGGAUUGAUUCGCGAUCACAUGGGUCGCUGGAUAAGUGGUUUUGGGAUGAUGAUAGGUUCCUGCUCUGUUACAGUAGCGGAGCUUUGGGGUUUGUAUCAAGGGUUGCAGCUAGCCUGGAAUUCUGGUAUAAGAAAGCUUAAAGUGGAAAUAGAUAGUUGUUGUGUGCUGCAGUUGGUGACCAAGCCAACAUUGGAAAUCAAUCACUAUACUCCUCUGAUUCGAGCUAUCAAGGAUUAUCUAAAGAUGGAUUGGCAAGUUUCUGUUUCCCAUAUUUACAGAGAAGCUAACUUCGCAGCGGAUUAUAUGGCGAGCCUAGCCUUCUCUAUUCCUCUUGGUCUUACUAUCUACCAUACUCCCCCGUUGGGUGCUAGACCCUUUUUGUUUAAGGAUGCUUAUGGGGUUGCCCAUUCUCGCUCGAUUGUUCUUUAGCUCUGCCUAGAGCCCCUUUUUACCAAAAAAAAAAAAAAAAAAACAUUAUCCACAGUUCCUAGACUCAUUGGCACGUGAUAGCAAUUGUUGAUUCAUCUUGAUUGGACUGUAUGAAAUUAAUAACAAAUUUGUUUAAGUUUAAUAAUUUAACAACGUCUAUUCAAUUGACAUUGGCAUAUGACAAAGAAAAACUGGAUACAAACAAUUUUUUUUCCUAUAUUUUAUGUCAACGAUGACAUUUUCAUUCAACCAAUAAGUACACGACAUUUUCAUUUCGUCAAAAUGUCUCUAAUUGGGCAAUUUUCAGAAACCUCCCCUAAGGUUUGAUAUAAUUUCACUUAGAUGGCGAGUUUGAUUGUAUUCUCACUUACCUCCCCUGCCGUUAGUAUACAUACGGUUUGACCGUUAGUGGACGAGGGUAAAUAUGUAAAAGGCAAGGUGAAAUUAUAAAAAAAUCAAAUAACAAUAAAAAAAUGGUUUAAAAUCUAUUGGACAAUUGUAUUAACCGAUUAGACACAAUAUCCAUUGUGUAAAAGAGUGCAUUUCUCUUUCUCUUCUCUUUCCCCAGCACAAAAAAGCAGUGGCUGUCAAUGUCUCACCAUUUUCACUCCACUCACCUACUCUCAUCUGCUAGAACAAAAAGAAAUACACAUUAAGCGCAUACAUAACCCAUGAAGAAGAAAAACGUAGGUGGUCGGAGAAUGCCACCGACCGGUGACGAUCAACAGCGACCGAAAGAUGCCACUGUUAUUGAAGUUUGUAAGAGGUUAAUUACUUUAUGAAAGUCUAAAAUUUAUAAAUACCUUUGGUUUUCUUGUUUUUGGAGUUUUAUAAGUGGUUAUUGGUUGUGUUUCAUUUGUCUUGUUCAUGGGUUGGUGGUGGAAAAAUUGAUUAAAAGGAAAAUGAGUUUAGCCAUAUGUGGCCAUAAGUUGAAAAAAAUUUAAUUAUUAGUUAUUUUAUGUUUAUGAUUUACACCAUACAUAGUGCAAUAAGGCUAUAAAGCCAAAAAUUUGUUAUUGUUAUGCAAAUGGGUGUGUAAAAUAGAAGUAGUCUUAACUGCAAUUUUUAUUUUUCCUGCCAAAGUUUGCUUAAGUUGAUAUGUUUAUGAAUUUGCAGUGUUUGUGUGCGCCCGUCGCAGAAACACAGUUUCUGCGUUUUUAGGUGACAAUUUUGUCUCAUGUGCGACAAGUUUGAGAGAUUUGAUGAUACAACACCUUUUCAGUACGAGCAAGGCAAUUGAGAUGUCGUAUCAUCUUUUUGUACUCAGUCAUAUGCACAAGAUUGAGUUUUUGUAUAUUUUGUAUAAAUGUUAUACUAACAUAGUGACAAUACCAUGUAUAAAGUAUAACUCAACUAUCUAUCAUGACCACUGUUACUGUAGUUAUUAUUUUUGUUCUUUUUGUAUAUAUGGGCGACUGCUAGAUGUAUAGGCUGAUGAAAUUCAGUCAAAUUAUAAUUGUGAUCAACUGUAAGCUGCAGAAAUGCACAUGUAACUAUUAUUUAAGUGAUAGUGUCAGUUCUUAUUAGUGUUAUUUUUCAAUUUAAUUAACUGAUAUUAAUGUUUUUUAGGUUUCAGCAUAAAUUAAAAUAUUUGUUAUUUGUAUUGUCGGUUGGGUGACAAACAACUUGAUGAAGAGUAUAGUAUAUUGCUGAAAGAAGUAAAUUAUGUUUUUGUAGUUUUUUAUUUCACCUCCAGGCAAACAUUCUGAAAUUUGGGGAGACAACAUUGUCGCACAGGAGACAACAGCUUGUCUCCCUAAAUUUCAGAAUACUUGUUUCAAAAUUGCAAAAACAAACAUUCUGAAAUUUGGGGAGACAAGCAUUGUCGCACAGGAGACAACCGCUUGUCUCCUCAAAUUUCAGAAUGCUUGUUUUUGCAAUAUCGACAAUGUUGUCUCCCAUGCGACAAUGUUGUCUCCCAUGCGACAAUGUUGUCUCCCAUGCGACAAUGUUGUCUCCCAUGCGACAAUGUUGUCUCCCAUGCGACAAUGUUGUCUCCCAUGCGACAAUGUUGUCUCCCAUGCGACAAUGUUGUCUCCCAUGCGACAAUGUUGUCUCCCAUGCGACAAUGUUGUCUCCCAUGCGACAAUGUUGUCUCCCAUGCGACAAUGUUGUCUCCCAUGCGACAAUGUUGUCUCCCAUGCGACAAUGUUGUCUCCCAUGCGACAAUGUUGUCUCCCAUGCGACAAUGUUGUCUCCCAUGCGACAAUGUUGUCUCCCAUGCGACAAUGUUGUCUCCCAUGCGACAAUGUUGUCUCCCAUGCGACAAUGUUGUCUCCCAUGCGACAAUGUUGUCUCCCAUGCGACAAUGUUGUCUCCCAUGCGACAAUGUUGUCUCCCAUGCGACAAUGUUGUCUCCCAUGCGACAAUGUUGUCUCCCAUGCGACAAUGUUGUCUCCUCAAAUUUCAGAAUGUUUGCCUGGAGGUGAAAUAAAAACUACAAAAACAUAAUUUACUUCUCUCAGUAAUAGACUAUACUCUCCAUCAAGUUGUUUGUCACCCAACCGACAAUACAAAUAACAAACAUUUUAAUUUAUGCUGAAACCUAAAAAACAUUAAUAUCAGUUAAUUAAAUUGGAAAAUAACACUAAUAAGAACUGACAUUAUCACUUAAAUAAUAGUUACAUGUGCAUUUCCGCAGCUUACAGUUGAUCACAAUUACAAUUUGACUGAAUUUCAUCAGCCUAUACAUCUAGCAGUCGCCCAUAUAUACAAAAAGAACAAAAAUAAUAACUACAGUAACAAUGUGCCAUGAUAGAUAGUUGAGUUAUACUUUAUACAUGGUAUUGUCACUAUGUUAGUAUAACAUUUUUACAAAAUAUACAAAAACUCAAUCUUGUGCAUAUGACUGAGUACAAAAAGAUGAUACGACAUCUCAAUUGCCUUGCUCGUACUGAAAAGGUGUUGUAUCAUCAAAUCCCUCAAACUUGUCGCACGGGAGACAAACUUGUCACCCAAAAACGCAGAAACUGUGUUUCUGCGACGGGCGCACACAAACACUGCAAAUUCAUAAACAUAUCAACUUAAGCAAACUUUGGCGGGAAAAUUAAAAAUUGCAGCUAAGACUACUUAUAUUUUACACACUCAUUUGCAUAACAAUAACAAAUUUUUGGCUUUAUAGCCUUAUUACACUAUGUAUGGUGUAAAUCACAAACAUAAAAUAAUUAAUAAUUAAAUUUUCUGCUGUACCGUACAUCCGCCUUGGCCGUACAGCAGUAAUUUCACUUAGAUGGCGAGUUUGAUUGUAUUCUCACUAUUUAGACUUUCAUAAAGUAACUAACCUCUUACAAACUCUAAUAACAGUGGCAUCUUCCGGUCUCUGUUGAUCGUCACCGGUCGGUGGCCUUCUCCAACUACCUACGUUUUUCUUCUUCAUGGGUUAUGUAUGCUCUUGAUGUGUAUUUCUUUUUGUUCCAACAGAUGAGAGUAGGUGAGUGGAGUGAAAAUGGUGAGAGAUUGACAGCCACUACUUUUUUGUGCUGGGAAAAGAGAAGAGAAAGAAAAAUGCACUCUUUUACACAAUGAAUAUUGUGUCUAAUCAGUUAAUACAAUUGUCCAAUAGAUUUUAAACUAUUUUUUUAUUGUUAUUUGAUUUUUUUAUAAUUUUACCUUGUCUUUUACAUAUUUACCCUCAUCAACUAACGGUCAAACCGUACGUAUACUAACGGCAGGAGAGGUAAGUGAGAAUACAAUCAAACUCGCCAUCUAAGUGAAAUUAUAUCAAACCUCAGGGGAGGUUUCUGAAAAUUGCCCGUCUCUAAUUAGAAGGGGAAAAAAAAUAGUGAAGUGUCAAUCCGCAUAAAUAGAAGCCACAUAGUGUGUCCGUUUUUAUUAGCGAAUUUAACUCACAAUUGGUGGGAAAUAUGCUUUUCAUUUAGUUUCGAAAACGGGGAUGACAAAUGGGCUAGGCCUAGCCUAGGACCAAGUGUAGGCCUAGUUUCUUAAGAAAUCCAGAACCCUGAAAAGCCUAGGCCCAAUAUAGAGGAGGUGGGGAUCUUGAGCCCGCCAUAGGCAAAUUCGGUCAAAUUUAUGCACAACACUUGACAGCACUGAGCAAAUCCUCCAAUACUUUGGCAUCAGAACGGCAGUGCAUUGAUGUGGGACAAGCAUUUUAAAUUUAAUUAUUUUUAACAACUACUAGAGAUGCCCAACAAGGUGGGCGCCGUGGCAUGACAAGAGCAUGGCACGGCAUAAGCACACUUUGAUGGGGCAGGUGGCAUGGCAGGCACGCACGCGGGUUAGGCCGAGUUUAGAAUUUUAAGCACGCGAGCCUUAAAAGAACAACACAAUUAGAGAUGGGUUUAAACAAGACAUGUGAAAAGGUCGCAAUAAGCACAUUUUACUUUUUGAUGGAAGUAAAAUUAAAAUUUUAUGAUUUUAUAAAUAAUUUAAAAUUAAACCUUUUAAUAUAUUUUAUUAGCACAAAUUUUUUAACUUCAAUUAAUUCUUAGUUUUAAAAAAAAUACUCUAAUUGAUUUAUGUUUAUAAUUUAUUAAAUGAACAAUUGACAUCAUGAUUUUAAUAAAUAAAAUUAUAAAUAUCAUGAUUUUAUAAAUAUAAAUAUGUAUUAAUGCUAUUACAGACUAUGAUCUAUAACUCUUUGUAAGUCCAAGUUAACAAUUAAGUUAACCAUUCAGAAAAAUUUAUUAUUAUUGUUGUUGUUGUUGUUAAGUAUUAAAAAAGAAUUCGAUUACGGUAAGGUCUAACUUGAUAAUUAGUAUUACAUUCUCUUACUAUUAUUAGUUUAUUAUUGUUGAAUAUAUACUUGAAUUUUUAAUUUUUAAUUCUAUUAAAUUUGAUUAGAGGUACAUGGAUCCAAUAUAUAUAUAUAUAUAUAGGCUUGUAAAAGUACGCCAACAAUUUGGCAUGCCCCAUUAAAAAUUUAAAAAAACAAAGAAAAAAAUUUAUCAUGCUUUUUUUUUUUUUUUUGCACGGAAAUUGUGCUUCACUUGUGUCAUGCCAAGCCUAAGCCGAAAAAAAUAAGGCACGACAAGGUGCACGAAGCACAUGAUGGGCUCGACAUGACAUAAGCACAAGUACGCAUAUGCCUUCCUUCGUCGGCCCAACCCGUUGGCCAUCUCUAACAACUAUUUCAACUAUUGUCAAUUAGAUUUUAUUGGAGUUGUAUUUUAGUAUGUUAUUAAAGUCUUUUUAUUUGUAUUUAGGUGGGAUUCUAUUUCACAUUUGAGUUUUCUUAGACUAGUGGAUUUGCUCCAUUAUAAAUAUGUAAUUUGUUAGAAAAAAAACUUCAAUAAAUAAAAAUUUCUCUUUUCUAAUUCUAUUUUAAACUAGAGCGUUAUCUAAUGGCUCUUUGAAGCAUCAUUAUUUAUAUAUCCAUCACCUUUGUGUAUUACUAUUUCCCUUCGAAGAAAAUUUUCAAUGUCCAUGUAGUGUUUUUUUCACCGAAAGAAAGUCUUUUUGUUGUCAAGUUUAAAAAUAAUCUAUGUAAAACGUUAAUUGGAGAUUUAUAUGCACAUACAUUUUUAGAUUUAAAGUUAUUAACUUUGUUAUAUUUAUGUAAUUGUAGAAGCAAAGAGCUAGAAAACUGAGGAUGAAAAGAGGCGAAAGAGGCCCAAAUUGAGGAGAAAAUUUUAAUAUCUUUUUUGUUUUGUCGAGAAGACAAAAACUCAAGACUCGUAUUUUCAUUUUUUUACUUUUUACAUAUAUUUCAAAAAGGUCGGAACGUGUCAACUCAGUGGCCAACUAAAAAAAGCCCCUAUCUUCUAAACAGUUGAAACACCGGUGGCAUGUCAAAGAAGGAAAAGCAAAAUUUUUAUGUUCUUCUUAUGGUGUUUUAUUUAUGUAUUUGAAAAUUAUCUAAACUUAUCAUUUCUACAUUGAGAUAUUUCAGAAAAUAAUUCAACAUGAAACACUGACAUUAAAAGGAUCUGAUUUCCGGAACACGAAUUCAAUAACAUGAUUGAUCAGCUGCCACAAUCAGUUUUUUUCCGCUCUUCGCCGACCGUUGCUAAUAUGGAACUGCUCUCCAAGGCCAAAAUGAGUCAUCAAUACCCAGACAAAAGUAAUAAGCUCUCCACCAAUACUAACUUGUUGGGCAUGUGUCCUUGCACUGCAUUGACUUGCUGCUGCACUCGACAACAAUUCCACCCACACUUUGCUUACUAAGUCCCAUUUCUUCUCCUCCUCCAACUUUUCAAGCUCUUUGGCCAGCAUGCUUCCGUCAAAUAAUACUGAUUUGGUUUUAUCUUCCUUCACAUCCUGUGGUAAUUCAAUAGAUGCAUCCAUGUUAAGAAUGCUUUCACAGGCCUUCUUCACCUCCUUUGGUUUUAUACUCUUUUCUUUAAACAAUCUUUCAGCCUCAGCACUCGUAUCUUGCAAUCUUAUUUUCGCAAUACUUGCCACAGAAUUCAUCACUGUAGGCUUCAGUACUAAAAGAUAGAGCAUGUAAUCAGAGAGCAUCUUGCUGAAUUCUCUAGCAUUGUAAGUCUUUUCAUCGGCAACUUCUUCUGUAGUGUAGUAAAGGACUUGGGUAGCAAUGUGCCACAAAAGGAGGCUUUCAUCAUAAGAAACAUCCGCACUGUAACUCAUUAAUUUGACGAGAUCAUCACCUUCUGUGCCCAAUUCCUGCAGAGUCCCUUCACCUUUAGCUGAACAUAUUCUCUUGUUAGCCUCUGCAUUAUGUGCUGCAAACCGAGCUUUUCUUUUAAUUUCUUCAAAUAUAAACACCCACAAUUCUUUGGUUAAUGGCUGAUGAGAUAACGAUGCAUUGAUUCUUAUCUUAUCCACAAUAUCAGCUAGGCCUAACAAAUCAAUGAGUUUCAUGGUUAUAAAACCUAAAAGACUAAUGAUCUUGGAAAUGUGUAGAAACUGGACGGCCUUGUUUGUGAUAUUGGCUAUGUUGAGAAUGAUUCUGCCAAUGCCAUGAUUAUGAAUGAAAUCGUAGAUCGCAGUCUUCUUAUUUUGAAUCAGUUGAUCAAUUCCCAAGUAAUGAAUGAUGUUCUCGCAAGCAAGAUGCAAACAACUCUUCACUUUGUGUACUCUGCUUGGACGUGCCUUGAGCCAAUAUCUUAUCAAGCUGUGUCCUGAGACAGAACCAGACCACCGGCGAAACAAGAAAGGCGUAGCCAACACCUCAUGCUUGAUUCCGCGGUGUGAAUGCUGCGCAUGACAUUCUUGCCACUGUGGGUUCUUGAGAACGAGACACCAACGGAGAGUAGCGGCUAUGCUACUUUUGAUCUCCCCAAGUCUUGACACAUUCUUAUGAUUCCCGAGAGCAACAAAUGUCCAAUCCGAGAAAACAAGCAUGAAGAGAGCUACGACAUCCUGGGCUAUGGCACCCAAGAACAAGGUGUAUGUAAUUCCAACAUCAAUCCCAACAAAACGAUACUUAUCCACUGCAAAAUAGAAAUACGAAAGCGCAGCCACAAUUGAGCCAAAAGAGAUGAACCGGAAAAUGCAUCCGAAUACAGAAUGCAUCACCCGGAUCUUGGUAUGCAAAACUCCAUAAAUGAAGUUGAGUUGAACCUCAAUUAUUCUCAAGGCAUCUUCAGGACUUAGCUUAUCAAAGAAAGCUCUGCUCUGUUCACGCUCGUUGAAGCUGAAGAUGAGGUCAACAAUGAACCCUUUGAAAAGAUUGAAGUAUAGAUAAGCAAAGUGCACCACCUCCAGAUAGUCCAAGUUAUAUCCUGAGUGAAGUAUUUGUGCUGAAACUUUGGCCUCAACCUUCGAGUCGGGUUUUUUAAGCAUUGAGUCUCGGAAUUUGUCCAAGCUUGCUAGAUACAGAGCACGAGUCCUCUCAACAUACUUGAUAGUUCCAGCAAUGAACAAGAGUAUCGUUGGGAUAGAAACACUGUCGUUGGGAAGUGCCAUGAAGAAGAUAUAAACAGCAGCAGCAGCCUGGAAUACGUAUCCAAGCAAGUGCCUGAGCCAGAGUUCGUUAUCUUCAAGGCCAAAUGAAGUUAUGGUGUCCGAACCACCGAGGUGUAGCAAAAGAAAUGAAGGCCAAAGUGCUAAAAGCUCAAUGUUCCCCGCAUACACAGCCGUAUACGAUUGAUUUUCAGAGAUGACUCCGACACAAUAAGUAGCAGACCAGUGUGCGAGUAAGUACGCUAGCCAGAUGAACAAGGUUAUCAGCUUGUGCCCUGUGCCUUUUCGGAAGGGAGCAAAUAGAAGUAAAACGGUUUGUAUUGAAAGACUUAGCAAGAUUGCAACCCGUAAAUUCCAUGUAUAAAAUAUUUUGGUGAGUCCUCCAAGGCUAAAAUUAACCAUUUUCUCUUCCUUUUGUUUCUUUUGAUUUUCCCUUCGCUCUGGCGAAAGAAAACUUCAUCUCAGAGUUGCUAUAGGCUGCAGCUCUUUGAAGGCUGAUAUAUACAACAAUAGCAUUUGGGUCACUCUACUUUUAUGAUUUCUCAAUUAAUGACUGAACUUUCUUAAUCUAUAUCAACUGGAUCCCCAACUCACCCUUUAAUGACUGGAACAUCCUUCAGUGGUAAGUUUAGUUACCAUCAUAACUCUUACAUUGUGAAAUACGAUUGUCAAGACUCAAAAUUUAGGAUAGUUUGGGAUUAGUGCGGCCAAUUAAAUAAGUUACUUUGUUAUGUUGAUAAAAUAAACUGCUAAAAAAAUAAAUUUUUAAAUAUUUACCCAUAAUUUUUUGUUAAAACUUACUAAAUAAAAUACUUUUAUUUUUUUAACUUCAAUCCUAAAUAUUGCCUCAAUAUAAUGACAUUAAUUUAGUCAUUUAAUUAUGAUUAGAAUGUAGGACAUAUUGAUAAAAAUUAGACUAACUAUCAUCAUUUUGAAACUUAUAAAAUUUAUGGAGUCGAAUGUUAUUACUCAAUUAAUAUAUAUUUUCUGUAACUCUUAUCGUGUGAAAGGAUGAACGUGUGAACAAAAGAAAGGGCUGUUGUUUGUAAAAUGUCAAAGCAAUUUUUUUUUUUAAAUUUUUAUACAAUUAAUUUCAACCAUGAUUAGGAUUUCAAUGUUCAGUUAGCAUUGAAUUGUUAAAUUAAAUAUUACCCUAAUGGAAACUUCUCUAUUUUUCAAUUAAUAGAACCAGUAGUAGGAAAGAGACAAUGUUGAAUGAAUAUCAAAAUGCUAAUUUCUUCUUUCUAGAGUUAUUAGCACAUGUUACCAAAGACUUGUUAUACUUGUGCAAUAGAUCCACUUACCUUUUUCUAUAUAAGAAAAUAGAAAGCAAUAGUUUCUUAUUUCUUUGACUUCACGAAUUUUAAUAAGUUGAUACGUUGGGGAAUAAAGAGAGAAAAAGAAACCAAUUGAUUUUUAGAGACUAGAAUUAUUGGCACAUGAUACCAAUUUUCUUUUAAAUUAUUAUGCAUAACAACUUUCUUCUUGUACUUUUUUUAAACGUCCAACUUUUGUAAUUAUUAUAAUGAAAUUUCUCUGGGGUUGGUGCUCAAUAAGAUAUAAUGAGUCCCCAUCUUCUUUGUUAAGAGGACAGCCGUUGUCAUCUACCAAAUGAUCUGGAUAAUUUUCAAAAAUAUUAGAAUGACUUAAUUUUAGAACAAAAUUAUAUUUUUAGUCUAAUAAUUUUAGAACAAAACUAUAUAUUGAAGGUACGUACUAAUUUAAGCCUCCAUUGAGUUUCUGUAUUAUUUUUCAUAAAUUAUAAUGUAUCAGUAGAUUAUAGUGAUAAAAAAUGGGAUGAUAGGCAAGAAUGACUUGUCAAAAUUGGAGAUCUGUCACUGUGGGGUUAAAAAGUUACAUGGACAACUCUAUGGGCCAAAUUUUCAAAAUGAAUAACAUUAUAAGGGCCAAAUGAUAAAUACCUCAAUUUACCGGAGUCACCACAAAAGACCAGCAGUCUCAAAUUCAAACAUCGAAGUUCCCAAAAUACAUUCGCCAAAUUCCCGCUCAACACUCACAGUGAGUGAGGGGAUCCGCAAUUCCUCCCUUGAUUGGCCCAUAAACGACGACGGAUCACGUUAAAUUAUCGCCGCCGUCAUAAAAAGGUGAGUCUUUUUUGGGAAAUUCGUCAUGUGCGCGUAUAAUUUGUUUGUAAAAUUAUUAGUUGAGGUAAUUUUGAAAUUUAAGCCAAACUUUUGUUAGAUUUUUAUACAAAUGCCGCCAAAGCGAAGAGGAAGACCUGCUAAAAAAGCUUUGUCUUCAAAUGCCGAAGAGGCUAAAGAGUCCCAAGUUGAAGAUAAAGAUGCUGAAUUGUUUUACCGAGAAGGUAAAUUUGGGAAUCCCCAACCUUUAAUUAAUUUUUAUUUUUCUUCAAAACCCUAAUUUAGUUUUUUGCUCAGUUGAACGACAGUGUGCUGCAGUUAGAGCAAUUCGUGACGUGGAGCUUGAACAGACUCUCACUGGGUUGCGCUUGCUCCGCUCAUAUUUCAAUGAGGAACAAAUGCAAACCCCUGUGCUUCAGUUUUUCGAAGAGAAUCUUCCAAACCUUACGGUUCUAAGAGAUGAUAAAAAUGGAAAAUUUGAAGUACGGUGGAAGGAUGAAGAUGGUAAUUUCUAUAUGGACAAUGCUGAUGGAAAAGAUAUACAUGCUUCUCUUUUACAUCGAAUGUCCAUAGGUUAUCCUUACUGCUCUGGCGCUCCAUCAUUUAGUGGCUAUGGAUUCUCAAGCAAAGCAGGUAUUGUGUGAUAUAUAUAUUUUUUCUCCCACUUGAUGCAUUCGACACGAGUUGGGAUGUAUUUUCAUCAUUACUGUUUUUGACAUUGAGUUUCCUUAUUCUUUGCAGUGAAAACAAACCUCCUAGGUGUUGAUAAUUUGCAGAUCGGAGACUUUGUAUGUUCUUUCCAUCUCACCUUUAUACUUUUACUUCGGUUCCUCGUGAAAUGUUGCUUAACUGAAGAUUAAAAAGUAGAAAACAAGCAUAUAUGAAAAGAGCAUAGAGAAUUGUUUGAGUUGAAUUUCAAUUGUUAGUCAAGAAAAUCAUGGUUUGUUAUGCAUUUGAACUGAUGUGUUUUUCUUCUUGUUGAAAUCUGAAUAUAAAAUGACUGCCCUUCGCCAUAUGCUUGAUAUGUGAAGUGUUUUUCUUUUCGUAGUAAAAAAUUUCACGAUAAAUAUUCUGCCUUUAAAUUGAGAAAUGCUUGAUUUUAUGGUUAGAUUGCUUCGAAUAUAUGUUAUUUGAACAGAUUAGUUUAGUCCAGGCAAAAGGACCUCGUGCAACAGACUCAUGAGAGUAAAUUCUAGAAGUUUUUCCGAAUGCUUUUUCAAACUAACUAAAGAUUAAAGAAAAGCUUUCAUAUGUUUAUUGUUUUUCUAGUUUGACAUUUCUGUUUUGUAGGUUUUGGAGGAGCCAUCCAAUUCUCAAAUGUUUGGAAUGCAUGAAGCCCUCCGAACUCCUGGGGUUUGUGGCCUCUUCUUCAUAUCAUUAUUUGAAUUAACAGUUUUAAAUUCAAUGAAAAGUUCAAAUCUAAUGGUACAAUUCUGGGUUUUGAGAAAAUGAUUUAGCUGUCUUAUAGUCUCCCAGCUAUCUGCAUCCUGCGUAUGAUUCAGUGAAAUUGAACAAAAAUCCCUGCACUGCUAAGACUUUCUACCAUAAAAAAUUUUGAAGUUAAAUCAGUUUGAUGUCUGUUAACGGAAGAACAAUGCAAUAAGGCCAAUGAUUUUGUGAUGAAAUCAUGAGGGUGAUUAAAGCUAGUGUGCUUCAGUCACUUUUUAUUUGUCACAAAGUGCCUAAAUUCCUUGAGCCAUAUGGCUGCUGAAACCCCCCACUGAUAUUAUGAGCUUUGACGUCGCAGGUGACCAGCCAAAGGCUGUCUGUUGGGGUGACACCCAAAACUCUAAGGCAGCCAAAGCGUGGUGAGAUGCUUCUUUCUGUUCAUGGCUCGCCCCUUGGGGUGUAUGAAGAGGAUAACAUGGGAGCCAUACAAGGUAUGCCUUUAAAUCAGAAAUUUCACUUUCUGAUUCUUGAUCUUGAAACUGUUGGGAGAAGAAAUACUUUUAUUGUGUUCUGAAAAUAGAAGUACUCUGAAUCCCUUUGGAUAAACAAUGUAACCUACCCUAACAAAGUGACAGAUGUAUCUGCUUCAUCUUGUGAUUUGUAUACAGAAACUUGGCUUAAAUGGAGGAUGUAAUAUAUCCUUGAUUCUUAUAAUAUGUCUUAGUUUUGCUCUGAUUUUUGAAUUCUUGAUUGCAGAAUCUGAAGAAGGUUGAUCAUAAUCCAAGAAUCUGCAAUGGUUGCCCAUUUAAGGCUGCUCUAAAUGUACUUUCAUCAUUGUACAUGUAAUUGUUCUUUUGUUCAAAUGUGCUGUUACCUUGACACUGAUCUUUAGCUAAAGUUAGUGUUACAUUUUAACAACUAAUGUGACUUUGUUUUUCCCUGCCGUAGUUAUGUAAGAGAUGGAGCUCUUUUGCCACUUCAUUUGUUAGAAUGUGGGUAUUGACUAUUGAGACCAAGACUUGAUGAUAAAAAAUAGAAUAGAGCCUUGAUAAAAUAAUAAUAUUGUGGCCAAAAUAAAUUUAUUAAUUAAGCAAAUAUUAAUUAAUUGAAUUAUAAUUUAAUACAUUGACCCUAAGUCGAUUAGCAAAGCCUAUUAUUCAAUUGAAGUUUUAAUUUUAUUGAGUAUUAAUUUAAUUGAGAUUGCGUUCUCAUAAUUCAUAGAGGGUUUUAUUUCUCCUACAAUAGAGUAGAGUUAGAAAUGACAUUGUUUGAUAAUGAUAUUAACUACAAAUAAUUUUGUGAGAUUGCAAUACUACAGCCAAUGAAUCUUGGGGAAGUAUUCAAUUGGUCAUGCAAAUAAAAUAGAACAUAAAUUUUGGCUACAAUUUUUUCAUCUAUGUAUCUCGGCAGCAGUAUCUUGAAUCCAUCGAUCUGAUCAUAUAUGUCAAACAGCUAUCGAAAAAUCCAAUUUCAUGCUCAAAGAUGCCCAUGCCGCCAAAAGUAACCAAUUUCAAAGAUAAAUCCCGCUAAUUGAACAACGACUGCAAUUAGAUUUAACUUUUACCCCAUUCAUUCUAAAGCAUGGACAGUAUUGAAAGAAUCUGGGUAAAAUGGCAGGAAAUAUUAAAAGGCAAAGAGACAUGAGAGCAUAUAUUACUUCAAUGGACCCUGUUUCAGUUCAGCAAAAUGGAAAGUGCACUUACUGUUGCAUUAUUAUAAGUACAUACCCUUGAAAGACUACUAAAAAAAAUGCAUCAAAAAAUUUAUCUUAACUUAAUGAUGUGAAGAAAUCAGGUUAAUAGUGAGGAUCUGAGAGCAGCUUUUGUCAACCCUGAAGAGCAGAUGGAAUACAAAGUGAGGUACAGGGAGGAUCGCCACCAAAAUUAAUUCCCAAAUAAUCCCCAGCACAGAAUACGUUUAAGAGUGUUUUAUAUUCCACUGACUUUUGGCAAGGAGAAACCAGAGAGUGGCACUUUAAGAUAAAUUUUAAAGCCACAGAACUGCAAUAUGUCAGCAAUAAACUGAAAUUAUUAAAGUCAUGAUAUAUUGAAAACAACUAGAUAAAAUGUCUCAAAAAUAUGAAAUAGAUUCUAUUAUGAGGAAGAAAGUAAAUACCGGAUCAUAGGAGGGCAAAUCAGCCAACGGCAAAAUAUUCAGGAGCCAGCCAGUCAACCAUCCCUAUACUAUACACAAACUCUGUUUUGAAUCCAGGCCUGAUUGGAAGGAAUCAGAAGAAUGCAAAAAUGAGUCAUUUAAUUUCUUCAACCUAACUCUUUGCAGUGCUCAGUGACCUGGUCAAAUCAGUUUUGGCACUUCCAGAUUGUGAACCAGCCAGAGAAGAACUGAAAGUUUCCAAAGCCUCAAGGAAGAAUCUUUUAUUAGGAACUAUACCAUUUUGUUCCAUACGCUUCAGUAACUUCUGCACAAGCUCCUUCAUAUUGGCUUUAGUGUAGGCCUUAUAAAGAAGUUUAUAUGUUGAUGAAUCUGGGGUCACCCCCAUGUUAUGUGAAUUCUCAAAGAGCAAAUCUGCUUCCGUUGGCAAACCGUUCAUGCAGUAAGCCUCAAGCAUUGCAUUCAAGGUUGAAACUUUCAUAUCCUUCCCUAAUUUAGACAGCUCAUCAAAUAUUUCUCUGGCCCUUGAAACAUUGUCACAAUACCCAUACAUCGUAAUGAUACACUCAUAUGUGAUGAAGCUGGGCGUGUACUUCAUUGCAGUCAUCUUUUGAAAAACAUAUUCAGCUUUCCCUUGAAGCCUUGCUUUCCCAUAGUUUAUGAUCAUUGAAUUAAAUGUAGGCAGUGUUGGUUUCUCUUUGGAGUGCAUCAAGCUCUUAAAAACUUGCUCCAUCUUAUCAAAAGCUUGCCUCUUCCCAUAUGAAUCAAUCAGCAGAUUAAAUGUGAUAAUAUCAGGUUUACACUGGUUACUUUUCAUGCGAGAAAGUACAGAUUCCAUUUCUUUUAUCAUCCCAUUUUUCCCAUAUGCAUCCAUCACACCAUUAUAUGUAUAGAUAUCAGGAGCAAGGAUGCUCUCAUCAAGUUCUUUGAACAAAGCAUUGACCUGAUCUACAUUUCGAGCUUGGGCACAAGCUCUCAAAAGAAUGUUGUAUGUCACAAUGUUUGGCUUGCACCGUUCCAUUCCCUUCAUCUUCUGAAAAUAACCUAGUGCUUUGGCCAAUGCCUUUGCUUUAUCCCGGGUGUGGAGAUGUGCGGUGAUGAGAGCAUUAUAAACAGAAGGGUCAGGCCGGCACCCACUAUUACGCAUCUCAGAGAAAAGCCACAUGGCCAACCUAGUUUGGCCCUUCUUCCCCAUAACUGCUAUUAACUUCGAAUAAAUACCAGUAUCAGCAAUGUACCAACGUUGUUUCUGCAUCCAUCUGAACACCUAAAAAUGCAAUAUUUAAGUCAGGCAAACUGUUUGCUUGAAGAAAUUCACCAUGGCAAUGCCAACUUCCACAUUGACACACCUUAGAUCUAAACCCAUUUUCCCUUUGCACAAAAUAAGUCAAAUUGUAUUAACUCAAUGCCAUCACAGAUUAAUACUCAUUAUGUUGCAUUUCUAUGAGUUAAUCUUAAUAUGAUCACAAUGCUCAUGUAUAAGGCCCGAAUAAACAUCUCUCUCUAGGACUAAAAUGAAAUAUGGAACCACAAACGGAAGGUAUUGACAUUGCUAAAAAGCAUUCCACUUAAAAACAUCACAUACUAAGUGCUUCCCAAGAAAACAAUUCAGGGGCGUUUCUUUUUUUUUUUUUUCCCCCAUCUAAAAGUACUUCUCCAGAAAACAGUCCCAUUGUUUUUUAAUGAAAAAAGAGCUUGUGCCUAUUUCAACAAGUCAGUAAAAGCAGACAUUACAAUUUUGAUACUUGAAAGCGCUUAUAGUGGCGUCAAAAGCACUUCAAAACACGCCAUAAGAAAACUCAAACGCACAAUUCAGAAUCAUAAUUAUAGAAAACAUACACACAAGCGACAGCACAAGAAACUCAACAAACUCCAACUACCCAGAAGCCAAAAUUGCACAAAAACAGCAUAAAAAAUUGAAAUUGAACCAAAAAAAAAAAAACCUCAAGGCACUGAAGCCACUUAUCAGACUUGCCAAGCUCUUCAAAGAGAAGAAAGCAAUGCUCACUCCUCACCACCUUCACAUACUUAUUAAGUGUCCUCACAAGCGGCUCUUUGUCACUAAAACUUCUCAUUAAAACCCUUACAAGCUCCUUGGACUCCAGCUCUUCGCUCUUUCGACCCCUUUUACUUCUGGGUCGGGUCCAAACGCAGCAUAUUCCGGUCCUCGGUCGGGUUCUGAGGCUGAGAGGGAUGUGUCGAUGGGUAAAGUUGUAAUUUUGAGAUGAGCUUUGGUUGAAUGAAGAAGAAGAAGAAGAAGAAGAAGAAGAAGCAGAAGAAGAAGAGAGUGUGGAUAGUCGCAGAGAGUAAGGCGAUAAGUUUGUCAAGGCCAUGUUUGGCAAUUGGAGUUUAUCUUUUCUUGGUGGCGCGAUAUGUUUGUGGGUGAAUUUCCACUUUUCCAGAUUAUGAGGAGGGCUUAUGUGAGAAAUAUGGUCAAGAUUUAGGGCCACUAUCGUAUUAGAGAGUAUGGAGGGGGAUUUUGCAAAAUUUAAUUGAAAUGACAAAAAUACCCAUAUAAUUGGAAGUGAAAGUACGGAUUGAGCCGAUGCGAGUCGAACGCGCAAUCUUCUAAUCUGGAGCCGGCAAUUCAAUUGCGCCACGGGCACACUAGUAGUUAAUAAUAUUUAUUAAAUUUAAUUGGAUGACAUUGGAAGAUUUUUUUAAAAAAAAAUUAGAAUUUGUGAUUUUUUUUAUUUUAUAAAUGUACGAGAAUAUAUAAGGUGAAUUUUGGUUAAGAAAAAAAAUGUAUUGAGUGAUUUUGUUAAGUUGAAAUUUAUAUCUUUCGAGUUAGAAAAACAUUCAGUUAUUGUUCAAAUUUUUCGUAUUAGUAGUCUUGUCAUAAAGUACUCUUAUAGAAAUUGAGUACUUUUCUACCCUUUAAUUUUAGUUUUUAUUUUAUAAUUAUUCUUAAAUGAACAGAAGAAAAAGAAACGUUAGGGUUGCGUUGAAAAUAUAAAAAAGAAAAAAGCAAAAUAGUUUAAAGCUAUGAAAAAGAAUUGAAUCCUAACCAUAUAGUAAGUGUGAAAUGGGAUUUAGUUAAUAAUGUUUGAAACAGCAGUGCUAGGCUGCUAGCGGCAGUCGAUGCUUCUAAGGGGGACAAGUGUCCCUUUUCUGUUUUUGUGCCUUAUUAAAUGCUUUUGUUAUUGUUUUAGUUUUUAGUUGUAGCAUGGAUUAUCAACAUACUCUUUGUAACAGUUAUAAUUUUAUUUUUACCCGCACAACUUUUGAUGAAAAAAGUCUUUCGCCCCGACAAUAGUCUUUAUUCUUUAUGUUUAAUUACUAUAUUAUCAUUUUUUUUCAGUUUUUUUAAAGUAAUAUUUAUUUAAGAAUUUAAAUUGACUGCAACAUUUGUUUAACAUGACAAUAACAACUUUACAUAAAUUUUUUUCACUCUAAAUUUUAUUUUUCUCAAAUAAGAUUUAAAAAAGAAACACUAAUGCACCAUUAUUACUUUUCAACUUCUUUUUUUAACCCCUCUCUUUUAUUAUGAUAUCUACAAAUAAUUUGAGGUUAAUAUGUCCUCUUAAUUAUCAGUAGAGUGGAUUUAACUUAUUUUGAACUUAGAUUUUGAUUUAUAUAUUCAAAUUACUUCGUAUCAUUGAUUUAGUAGAUUCAAAUAAUUUUUUAAUUAUAAAUAUUAAUAUUUUGUUAAGUAAUUCAGUGACUAAAAUUUAUUUUUACUUGUAUAAUUUUUUUAAUAAAUUUAAUGUAUAGUAAUGACUCCAUAAUUUUGUUCAUAAACCUUUAUUUUUUUUGGUUAAUUAUUUUCUUAGGAAAAAGAUUAAACAAAUAUAUAAAGGGUGAUUGUGUUACAACUUACAAAGAGAAUUUAAUAAAGCACAAAAGAAGAAAAGGGACACUUAUCCCCCUUAGAAGACGACUCACACUAGCACUGCUCAUGUUUGAAAAUAUUAAUAAAGAAGAAAAAAAUUAAAAUCUACGAGACAACUGAAGAAAAUAGUUAUUAGCAAGGAAGAGGGUAUUGAGAAUGUCAUAAAAAUUCAAAGAGCUAUUUGAAAAAUAAGAAAAACAAACUCAAAUACGUACGAUUAAUAGACAACUAACUUCAUAAUUAGUAAACAUAGUUGUAGUAGUUAACUAGUUGUGUUGUAAACGAAUUAUUCUGGAAAGUUUCGAUAAUUUUUUUCAUUGCAAGUAUUAAUAGAUUAGAACGAUAUUAAAAAUAAUGUUAUUCAACAACUUGCAAUGUUUUUAAUUUACUGGUGGUCAAAAUUAACCUGUCUUCACGUGACUCUUUCUGUUCCUCCGGCAGCACUUUAGAAUCUUUUCACAUAAUUAUCAUCUGAUUUUAUUAAUUAGUGUUCGGAUUAUCCUAGUGACCUAAUUUUAGUAUCGAUUUCGAAUAAGUUAAUUUACAUGAACCAGGAACAAUAGGAAGAGCCGACGAGGGGAGUUAUUUUCUUGAUGUCUUCUAGUUGUCUUCAAUUUCAUUGUCAAUUUGGCUUGAAAAUUUUUGUUUUUAUUAUAUAUUAAAAGCAACCUGAUUCCCUCUCCAUCUACGAGGUUCAGAGAUCUAGGCUAUUUAUUUUCACACAAGAAAUUUUACUAAAUAGCACCCACAGGCUUGAAUCUUGAAACACAUGAAAACAAAUAAGUUUUCAUUCUUCUCUAGCUAGUUCAAUAUGCAUUGGAAUUGAAAACCCCUCUUUAGCUCAAUGGUUGACACCAUUUUUUCUUGUACUUUUGACCAAUGAUUCAAAUCUUGUGGUAGCAAGAAUAAAAUUUUUCUUUUGAGUUAAUACUAAGUAUCUCUCAAUAUUUAUUUUUUUUGAUACAAAAAGGGCUAAGUUAAAAACUAAGCAAUGACCAUUCGUGGAUAAGCAGUCCCAGAUACAUCAUGCAGCAGCCACUCUUCAGUUCCGGACGGAGGCGUGGGAAACACAUGGACCCCAAGAGGCAAAAGAAGAGCUUGGUUGGCAAGAUAAUCAGCUGCAAAAUUUGUUUCUCUAUAGCUGUGAGACAGAGAUACCUGCCACUCCAUGUUAAGAAGUCUUUUUAUACCCUGAAUGAGAGAGGAGUUAGCAUUGGGAUGAUUGGACUCUGUGGCUAGGAUCACAGUAAUGCAUCGACUAUCAACUUCAGCAAGUAACUGUCUAAUCCCAAUAUUCCAGGCAAGCUGCAACCCUUGAAACAGACCCCAAAGCUCCGCCCCAGUAAUAGUACAAUUGCCAAUAUUCAUACCAAAGCCGUGAACCCAUUCUCCGCAAUAAUUUCUAAUGAGGCCACCUGCACCUGCAUUUCCUGCAAUUUUCCGAGCACCAUCUGUAUUUAGUUUAAAAAAAGGCCAAGGUGGGGCCAACCAUUUCAACCAUUUGACUAUCCUUUCAUGGCCUGGUCUCAAUAUUUAAGUCUAAAAUUGAAUCACAUCUAAUAUGUCAUUCAACUCUUAGAUGCUAAGUAAAUUAAUAACUAAUUUAAAAAAAUUAUGAGAUUCAUCAUCAAAUAAGUGAAUGUAAGUUCUUGACAUACUCUUAUUGUAAUAUUAAAAGAAAAUAAUAUACUUGGAUUUAGUUGAAUUGGAUCUCUGAUUCAGUCAAUGACUCAUCAGUAAACUAAAACAUAAUAAAGUAAAAUAAAACUCUAGAAAAUUCUAACAGUUUUAACAAUGCAACUGCUUAACCUUAACGAACACAGUACCCAUACACAGCGCCAAAAACAAAGCAACUACUAGGAAUUCAGACACCCAUUAGUCCCAUAUUGAACUUAUCUCCAUUUUUGUUUUUUCUUUUGCCUUCAGUUAUCCAACAAAAGAAUAAAUAUCCCAGUUGCAUCAUUUCUGCCUCUUCAUCACUUAAACCUAGGAGUCUUAAUUUUCCUAGAUUUGAUAUAUCAUUAUGUCGUGGUUGUGGACUUCACUUGCUCUAGUUACAAUUUUCUUUUUCCUCCAAGCAUUUUCAUGGAAAACAAGCACAAAGACCAAUAAGAAAUUGCCUCCUGGGCCAAAAGGGUUUCCAAUUUUCGGAUGCCUUCAUUUGUUGGGCCAAUUUCCUCAUAGAGCUUUGCAUAAACUCGCCGAAAGAUAUGGCCCCAUCAUGCACUUACGCUUAGGCUUAACGCCUACAAUUGUCGUCUCCUCACCUCAAGCAGCUGAGCUUUUUCUAAAAACACAUGACCUUAUCUUUGCGAGCAGGCCUCCCCUUAAAGCAGCUAAGCAUAUUUCUUAUGAGCAAAAGGGUUUAGCACUUUCUCCAUACGGGUCUUAUUGGCGAACAAUCCGAAAAAUAUGCACUCUAGAGCUGUUGAGUAGCUUCAAGAUCAAUUCUUUUCAGGCGAUGAGAAAAGAAGAGCUUGAUCUUUUGAUUGCAUCCAUCAAAGAGGCGGCGUGUGCUCGUUGUGUUGUAGAUUUAAGUACCAAGGUUUCCGCUAUGAGUGCUGACAUGACUUGUAGAAUGGUGUUUGGGAAGAAAUAUUCGGACGAUGAAUUCGAUGAGAGAGGGUUUAAGACUGUGAUUCAAGAGGGCAUGGAAUUGGCUGCAAAGCCAAAUCUGGGUGAUUACAUUCCGCAAAUUGCAGGACUUGAUCUUCAGGGCCUGACAAAGCGUAUGAAGUCUGUUGCCAAGGUGUUUGAUGGGUUUCUAGAGAAGAUUAUUGAUGAACAUGUUCAAUCUAAGGAUGAAAAUAGAACCAAGGAUUUUGUUGAUGUGAUGUUGAGCUUUGAGGGAUCGGAAGAAACCGAGCACAAGAUAGAACGAGAGCAUAUUAAAGCCAUAAUCUUGGUAAGCAAUAUCAAAUUGGCACCAUUAACGUAUCUUUGUCAAUCAGGAUGCUUUAUACUAUGGGUCGAGAUUAUUAACAGUAGAACACCGAUGAACUGGACCUCCCGGUUCGGGUUGCUUUUUUUUUUUUUUUAACACUGAUUUCCGGUCCUUGAUGCGGUCUUUAAAGAAUUGAAUUAUUUGGUCGGUUUUUAUAAUUGAAAAAUUACGAACACAUAGAACACAUAGAAAGGGCACCGAGGGUUUUUUAAUUACUAGCUAGUUUAAGUUAUCUUGUUUUGAAAUUGUAACAAUUAUUUGCAUUUUGUUUAUUUCAUUUUUGUCUCCAUUUUAGCUUGUUUAUUGACUGAAGAAUCCUAUUUAUUUUGCACGUUAAAGGGCAUGUACGUUUAAAUAAUUCUUUAAAACUAUAUAUCAUAACUUCAACUUUUAGGUAAACCAAUGAUCCUCUUUAUGUGUUGAGCUUAUGUAUUAUCAAGGACCUAAAUCCUCUCUUCGUGUGAGCUUUCGCAUCAAUAAAUAUAGAUAUGUGAUUGAUAGUAAAUAACGGAAUAGUUCUUGACUAAACAUGACUGACAAAAGCCUGUGACAAAAGGAUCAAUCCUCAAAAGAUUAUGAAAACACAAACAAGAAGAUUAUCCUGAUUCAUUAAUAGUUCUAAACAUUAAUUUUUGUGAUACAUGUUUACUUUAUUUUCAGGACAUGCUCUCAGCUGCAAUGGACACUUCAGCAACAGCAGUCGAGUGGGCACUUUCAGAACUCAUCAAGCAUCCUAAAGUAAUGAAGAAACUUCAAAAGGAGCUAGAAAAAAUUGUGGGCUUAUGCAGAAUGGUUGAAGAAUCAGAUUUAGAAAACCUCGAAUACCUUGACAUGGUUGUCAAGGAAACCCUGAGGCUUCAUCCUGUAGCGCCAUUGCUAAUUCCACACGAAUCUACAGAAGACUGCACAGUUAACGGAUUCUACAUUCCUAAAAAUUCACGAGUAAUUGUAAACGUUUGGGCAAUUGGAAGGGAUACUGAAUCUUGGAGUGAUCCUGAAAUAUUUUUUCCAGAAAGGUUUGUUGGAAGUAGUAUUGAUCUACGUGGACACGACUUUCAGCUUUUGCCAUUUGGUUCUGGCCGGAGAGGGUGCCCUGGAAUGCAAUUAGGACUCACCAUCGUUAAGCAAGUGAUUGCACAACUUGUGCAUUGCUUUGAUUGGGAGCUUCCCGGGGGGAUGUUGCCAACUGAAUUGGACUUGACAGAAGAGUUUAGUCUUGUCACUCCUAAGGCCAAACAUCUUUUGGCUAUUCCAAGUUAUCGCCUUAACAUUUAAUUACAAUGUUGUUUGUUUAAUUAUGGGUUAACAUAAAAUAGUUGUUAAGAAAACAAAAACAAAACAAAAAAAUAAAAUCAUUUGUUACUCAACAAUUACUUGAAAGAAGAUUGUUCUUAAUAUUUGAAAGAUUGUAUCUAACUAUUUGAGUGUGGGUUAUAAAAUGCGUGGCUAUGUAAGAUUUGUUCGAACAAUUUAGAGGUGCCAUAACCCUAGAAGACGACAUGAUGGAGCUUAUGAGUCUCAAACAGGGCAAGGGCCGAGGAGAUAACCCUUAGAGAUUUUGUGAAAAGAUACCAUAGAAUAGUUUUGGAGCUUGGUGUUUUCAAUCAUCCUCAAGCCUUAAAGGGAUUAAAAGAAGGAGUGAAGAUAGGUAGAUCAUGGUAUAACUUGAGGGUGCCAACAAUAAACUAUUACUUAGCAGCCUAUAGAUAGAUAUACAGAUUGAAGAAGAGAAAGUACUCAGAGUCAGAGGCAAGCAGCUUGAAGAAUUAAGAAUAUGGGAAAGAAGAGCUCAAAAGGGAAGUAUGCUAUUUAGGUAUUAUAAUACAAUGAUAUCAAGCAAAAGCAAAGCCAUAGGACCUACCCCCGUACUCACGGUAAAAUGCGCAUAGUAGAUCUUCUUUAUUUCACCAAACAGAAAUCGGUUGAGAUCCAAUCAUCAAAAGAAUGCUCUUUCAAAUUGUAAACUGAUCAUACUUGCUUGUUGAUGGCGUGGUGAGCAGAAAAAACAAAAUACAUUAUUUAAGGCAAGUAAAAGUUUCAAGUCUCAAAAUCUGCUCGAGGUGAGACAAGAAGCCUAAAGUUGCCAAUAAGCUCAACCAAAAGUAGACGUGCAGAAAUAUAAUAGCACAAAAUCUUUUCAAAGCAAGCACAAGUUUGAAGUCUCAAAACUACCCAGGUGAGAUAAAGGGACUAAACUUGCUAAUUUAGCUUGGCCAUGAGUAGGUGAUAACUCUAUGAAAUGAGAGUUAUCAUGGCAUUUGUAAACUUAAAUCAUGAUUACUUAGAGAGCAAAUGACAUGUUUUCAUUGCAUUUUAGUUAUAUUUUGCAUAAACAUCUAUUUUAGUUUAUCUUUAAUCAAUUUUGUUUGAUUUAGAAUAAUUUGUGUGCUUAAAUCUGAUACAUAAUUAUAGGUGACUAGAAGCUCAAAUUUCAAGGAAGGAAUGCUGCUACAAUAGGCUUGCAAAAAUGGGAAAAGAACUUGGCUACAGAUUGAAACAAGUCUAAAACAAUACAGAUGUUGUAGCCGUUGCUUAGCACCCGUUGAUGGAACAAUCCUAGAGCAUUGACAGAGAAAAUUUUGUGUGAGAUAUUUAGAAAAUUAUGAUCAGGAGUUUCCAAAUUUGGAAGAUUCGCGCUCUGUUGCUCUAAUACUCAACUAUAAAAAGAGCACACAUACAAGGAAAAAAAGGAGCCGUCAACCAAGGAGAAAAACUGAAAAGAAACAAUAAGAAAACAAAAUUCAAGAGAGAGAUUGAGGACUCUCACAGAAGAAAAAUUACAGAGAUCAACUAGAAAAUCAGUCAUUCUUCUUAUUUUCGUGUUUUCUAUAUUAUUAUGCGAAUGUAUUUGAUGGUUGAAAUUCUUUCAUUUAUUUUUCUAAUGGAAGUCAUGAACUAAAUUUGAUUGUAGUUGAGUGAUAAAUGAACUUAAUGGAUGUUUGACUUACAUAAGUGUGUUGCUCGGUGUUUGCUAUUGUAUUUUAUCUUAAUUGAUUUAUUUUCAUUCUCUAUUUUGGCUGACCACCCAUUUAAGGAUACUAGCUAAGAAAGAGCCUUAAAAAUGUCUGACUUAGUGGAUCUCAUUAAGACAAUACUUGGUUUUAGAUUGAGUUUCUCAAGUUGAGUAAUCUCAAUUUGAAUAGGGUCAUGCUUAAUAUAAAAUUAGUGAUGAACUAGAUAUAAGGAUUCACCUUGUAGGACAAAUAAAACCUAGAUCGUUUAAUGUUAUAUUUAAUGUUGGCAUAACAAUUGGUUACUGUUAGGUUGCAUUAAAUUAAAGAUAUUCAAUAAGCGACAGCUGAGGAUGCAUGAAUGAUUCUAUCCAGUGCUGUAGUAGAUGAUGUAGCAACGGUAUUGUAAGUGAAAUAAUAGUCAACACCAUUAAAUGAGUUUAUUCACUCAACCACUCUAUUUCCAUUGGUUUUAUCCUUAUGUUUGACGUGAUAAUUUUCUUUACUGCAUUUUUUUAUUGCAUUUUUAUUUUAAUUAGUUUAUUAGUUUUAUUAGUCUCUUUAUUUCCAAUUAAAAUAAAAUUGCACUGUUAAGAUUGCUGUAGCAAAUCUAAUAACAUUAAUUCAUGUGGAGACGAUCUGAAUACUCAUUAAUAUAUUACUUACACUUGCAUUGACACCAAUAACAUUAGAAAUUACACACACUAUAACGGCAUGAAAUCUUUCUAGGGAAAAUGAAGGUUUCAAGUCUCAAAUUCUACUUGAGUGAGACAAAGAACCCAAACUUUCUAAUUUAGCUCGGCCAAGAUUAGAUGAGCAGAAAUAUAAAAGCAUGAAACCUUUUUAAAGCAAGGGUUUAAAGUCAAAACUAGUUGGGUGACACAAGAAGUCUAAAUUUGCUAAGUUUAAUCGGCCUUGAAUAGGCGAGUAAAAAGUUCCAGCUCCUUAAGCCUUUUCUACAAACUCUCUUUCUCCACUAAAUCAACUUCUGCCCUCUUAUCAAAUUAAGCCCUGAGGGUCUCUAUCUCUUUCUAAAACUUGUUUCCCAUGGCUGGAACUUCUUCUCCUUGCUUAAUUAGCUGGUUGAGUUGCUUUUUGAAUUUGUAAUGUAGAUAUUUGGCCUAACAAAAUAUACGGGCUGUUAAAUGUUUUAAUCUAUGAGUAAUAUUUUAGUUAGGUAACAUGAUGCCUUACCUCUUGGUCGUGCUCCAUCAAUCGUUCUCAAGCCCCUAUGGUAGAUGACUUGUUCAGUUCCUCUGCCUUCUCUUUGGUCAUAUAAGCCUCUACAUAAUGCACCACAUGCUGAGUAUGUUCAAUCCUCUCUCCUUUUUCUCUUCUUUCUACUUCUAUAAAGUUCUGAACUGGACUUGUUGACGCAACACUGGGGAUCAAGAGUUGGAAGAAUUGUUACUGUUGUAGUCGAGCGAGCAAUGAUUGAAGAUUUUUGUGUUGAUGUCCCCGAGAUCGGUAGAAAUACGUUCUGAUCUCUUUCUUCUAAUUCCUUUCUACUUUUUUCUUCUUUUUUCUUUUGCUUUUCAACCUUUCUAGAAUUCUAAUGACAUCUUGCCUACCUCAUGGAAAUAGUAUUAGUCAUAUAAAAAUCAAAGAUUGAAAUUUACUUUAAGAAAAUUUUACCUUUUCUUUUUCUUUGAAUAACUUGUUGCACUCUAGCCUCGUGCAAAGGGACUAAUCUACAUCCUGGAAGCUUUCUAACCUUAGAAGAUCUAUCGAUAUUGUCUUCGACUCAUCCCCCUCACAAACCUGUGCAGGGCAUUGAACAAGUCAUUUCCUAAAUACAUUUUUGUUAAAAUUAAAAGAAAAGAAUUUAUUUUUAUAAGAAUCAGACUUGGCUGCCCAAAAAUACAUGGUACCCCAUACUUCAGAUCCUCCGAAAACCAGCCCCAUUCUUCAUAAACCUAGAACCAUCGAUCUUUGAAGUCUUUGUUGGUAGUCGAUAAAUCAAGGAUCAACUUUUUGGCUUUAGGUCAUGCUGAUAAGUAAAACUGGCCAUUGUGCUUCUUCAGGUUACUUUUCAGUUUAAAGCAUCUUUUUAGCUCCUGAAAUGUGAGUUCGAGUAGACUACUUCUUGCCCGUAAUACAUACAUACCACCUAAAACUCUCCACCCAUUUAAAGCUAGCUGACAGAGAACUAAACCUAAUAAACUUAGCAUUUUCGCAAAUAUUGCAUAGGUAAUCUCAACCCACAGUCAAAGAAUUUUCUGCAAAUAGCUACUGUGUCAUUCAAGGGGUUACUUGGUUUCUCUCCUCUCCUUGGUAAUCUUAUUUCUACCUCACUAGGGAUGUGGUAUUUCUCCUUUAGGACAUAUUGGUCACACUCCUGAAGGAUAGACUCUAUCUUAUCCGCAUAAUAAUAGUCUAUGGGUUUAGUUUUAACGAUAGGCACUAGAUCUCGUUUUACUCGUCUUUUCUUUUUUCUCCGCCUCUUAUUACCCUCAUUGGUUCUUCAUCCUCUUCUGUCGUGGUAUCGUUAAUUUCGUCUGUAUAUCAUUUGUCUAAACAUAGGGCCAUCCUCGAUUCCUUUAGAAUCUAACUCCGUCCUACUUUCUAUGGUUUCUUCACCAAAACCUCUCUUGUCAAAAUCUCCAAAAGCCUAAUCUGAGCACUAUCCCAAUAUAUUCUAGGAAUCACUGCGUAUAGAAUCUCUAUCGCUGUCAUCCUAUUAGCGAAAGCUGACAGUUUUUCCCAAAUGGCACCCAAACACCCUUAGUAUCUAAAAUUGCACUAUAUCUUUCUCUAUGAUUUGAAAUCAGAACAAAAAGGAGAGUAAUAUCCAUAGGCUGAAAUAGAAAUUGGGAAGAAAGAAAACGGCACCAGUGAGUUCCAUUAAGAUUGAUCCUCUCUAUCUAAGUUGUUGAACACUUUUGAUUUUCUCUGUUGUUCUUCCUUAUCUUUCAAUUGUAUUUGAAAUUCGAACUAAUUUGGGUAACAAAAAAAAAAAAAAAUGAAAGUAAAUCGAGCCCUCUCGUUUUGAACAUGUUUAGUUGUUUACUUCCAAUGACCGGUUGAAUUUUUAAAUUAAAUCGGCGUCUCUCGGUUACUUCCCCCCAUUUUACUCUAGCCACUUGAUUUUCAGUUAUCGUUUAAGAACCUUCCACGUGGACAUUAUAAUAGGAUAUGACAUGUUCAAAGACGUGUUCAUGUCAUUUCAUAUUAGUGCGCACAAGUCCCAAAGUUCAUGCCGCCUGAUUUGUCCCACGUUACUUUUUCUCUGCCAAGUUUAUUCCAUGAUGAUUAAAAUCUCUCUGGAUUCUUCGUCUUGAUAAUCAAUUUCUAACUUAUCUUAUCUGACUAUUGCAUCAGGUUAUUAGUUUACUUGUCCUCGUACUCCGGGCAUAGAACGGGCAAUCCAAGGGACUAAUUGUUGCAUCUAUUUUCCUGAACACUUUUGUUGGGUUCAAAAACCUAAUAUGAUCAUAAUUGAAAUAUCAUUCUUCGACUUUGAUUAUACAUGUGUCGUAUCCUCAAAGUGUUCCAACACGACAUGGAUUUAGAGAAAUCUCCCUAUAAGAGGUCAUCCUGCUUAUGAGGUAAGGUCAUUAAUCAAUAAUCAGGCAUCCUAUUUAUUUUGCACGUUAAAGGGCAUGUACGUUUAAAGAAUUCUUUAAAACUAUUUCAACUUUUAGGUAAACCAAUGAUCCUCUUUAUGUGUUGAGCUUAUGUAUUAUCAAGGACCUAAAUCCUCUCUUCGCGUGAGCUUUCGCAUCAAUAAAUAUAGAUAUGUGAUUGAUAGUAAAUAACGGAAUAGUUCUUGACUAAACAUGACUGACAAAAGCCUGUGACAAAAGGAUCAAUCCUCAAAAGAUUAUGAAAACACAAACAAGAAGAUUAUCCUGAUUCAUUAAUAGUUCUAAACAUUAAUUUUUGUGAUACAUGUUUACUUUAUUUUCAGGACAUGCUCUCAGCUGCAAUGGACACUUCAGCAACAGCAGUCGAGUGGGCACUUUCAGAACUCAUCAAGCAUCCAAAAGUAAUGAAGAAACUACAAAACGAGCUAGAAAAAAUUGUGGGCUUAUGCAGAAUGGUUGAAGAAUCAGAUUUAGAAAACCUCGAAUACCUUGACAUGGUUGUUAAGGAAACCCUGAGGCUUCAUCCUGCAGGGCCAUUGCUAAUUCCACACGAAUCUACCGAAGACUGCACAGUUAACAGAUUCCACAUUCCCAAAAAAUCAAGAGUAAUCAUAAACGUUUGGGCAAUUGGAAGAGAUCCUGAAGCCUGGAAUGAUCCUGAAAUAUUUUUCCGGAAAGGUUUAUUGGAAGUAGUAUUGAUCUACGUGGACACGACUUUCAGCUUUUGCCAUUUGGUUCUGGCCGGAGAGGGUGCCCUGGAAUGCAAUUGGGACUCACCAUUUUUAAGCAAGUGAUUGCACAGCUUGUGCAUUGCUUUGAUUGGGAGCUUCCUGGGGGAAUGUUGCUAACUGAAUUGGACAUGACAGAAGAGUUUGGUCUUGUUACUCCCAGGGCCAAACAUCUUUUGGCCAUUCCAAGUUAUCGCCUUAAGACUUAUAAUUUUGUUUGUUUGAUUUCUGGAUUAAUACAAAGUAGUUUUAAGAAAACAAAACAAAACAAAUUAACACAUAAAAUCAUUUGUUACUCAACAAUUAUUUCAAAGAAGAUUGUUUCGUAAUAUUUGAAAGUAGAUUUUGUACCUAGAUAUUUGAAUUUUGCAGCAUCAUAAUUAUUCUACGAGGUUUUCAUCAAUUUUUAAUAUAAGUAGCAGUAGAUUAAAAUAAUAGGCGGCCCCAAGCUUUUUUUUUUUUAAUUUAAAAAGAUUUAAAGACCAAAUUAAUUUCUUGGUCCCUAUCUCUCCCAAUUCUCAACCUUGGAUAGCUAGUCAACUAAAACAACUUGAUCACUCAGAGCUCAAACGUAUUAUUCAUUCAAUAAGCUUAAGCUUAUUAAAUAAAUAAUACGAUUAUCGGUUAACAAUUUUUAGUGUUAGGGCCAAUUUGUUGCUAUUGGGAAACUUAAAACUGAUUCUGAGAUGUUAAUGGUUAAUUUUGAAAAGCAGUAGAGGAUCUUCACAUUUGUUACAUUUAAAAGAAAUAUAUAUCCUUAUCUAAAUAGGAAAUAAACUCAAUGAACUAAUGAGAAUUAAUUAAUUUUUUAUUAUCAAUUCUUUUAAGAUAAAAAAAUAAAAGAAAUAUAAUUAACAAUAUACAAAUAUCAAACGUUACAUAAAAAUAAUCGAAACUAUUACAUGCAUACAUGUUUACAUUUUUUAGUUUUUUUAAAAGGUAAACGGGUUGGCAUAGCCCGUAGCCCAAAUCUAUUGUUAAACAAAAUUCCUUCAAAAUCCACUUGGCCAACCCUGGGGACAUAUAUAUAUAUAUAUUUAUUAAUUUAUAAAUAAAUUUUAUUCAGCAUUAUAUAUAUUUUAACUGUUUGCAAUCUUACAACUAUUUAAUAAUAAAAUUUAUCAAUUAUGUUUAAUUAUUUUUAAAACUCAUAUCACUUUUAAAAAUAAAAUUUAUUUUAUAAACAACUAAUAUUUUUCACAUCUAAUUAUUUCUAUAACACUAGUAAAAUCAAUUAUUUUAGAAGCCAUUAUCACACUCACACUUAUUUCAUUUUUACAGGCGAGCUAAAAAUCAAUCUGUUUUCACAUGACUAUUUCCGUUUCUCCGGCAGCAAUUAGAAUCCUUUCACAUAAUUAUCAUCUAAUGUUAUUAAAUAGCGCUUUGGAUUUUCCUAGUGACCAAAUUCAAGUAUCGUUUUCGAGUAAAUUAAUUUACAUGAAAUGGGUCUCAAUUUCAUUGUCAAUUAAUUUGACUUGAAAGAUACAAAAGGAAACAAGUUUAAAAUAUGGCUUGGAAGUUCAAGACAGGUUUCAACAGACUUCUUAUUGUAAUAUUAUGAAAAAUAUGCUUAGAUUAAUUCAGUGACUUAGGUGAUAAGACUAAAUAAAAUAAAAUAAAAUAAAACUUGAGAAAAUUCAAUAAUUGUGACAAUGCAGCCGCGUUACCUUAAUAAAUAUUGAUACAGUGCAAUAUAUACAUUGAUUCAAAAGACACCAUUAUUCACAUGUUGAACUUAUCGUCAUCUUAUCAUCAUUUUUGUUUCCUUUUUUCUUGUAUCUUGAAUUCUAUUAAGAAACUGAAAUUGAUGGAUGAUGCAACUAAAGAGAAAUUGAGGAAAAUUUGGAAAUGUAAUGUCACACAAAGGGACAUGAAAAUUUAUUUAUGUCUACAAGCAAAGACAGAAGAAACCACUAUUUAAUUGAGGAUUACAAUACUUCUCCUAAAUAUAAGGAGAGAAUAAUUACAUUACUUCUUAUACUGGGAGAAAACAGCUCUAUGAUUUAAAACUAGAAGAAUAAACCUUAAGGAGAGACUGAUUUUUUUUUUUUAGAUAAAUGCUCGAAUAGUCCCUAUAUUUUAGUUAAAUUAUCGGUUUAGUUUCUAUAUUUUAAAAAAUAUAUGUUCAAUCACUUUGGCAUACUUACAAGAAUGAAUUAGAAGUAUAUUCAUCAUUAUUAUCAGAACUUAAUGUUUUAAUCUUUCUACCAAUUUGAGUCUACAAUAGUUUCUUACAUUUUAUGAAAUCUAUAAAACCUCAUCAUUUGCUCGCAUGUUGUACACCCACACAUGUCUAGACAAAUCAUCAACAAAUAGAAGAAAAUAAUGGCUUUCAACCAUUGAUGCAGUUUUGGUUGGUCCACAUACAUUACUAUGAACAUAUUUAAGGAUCUUAUGAGUAUCGUAAUUAGUUGAACCAAACUUAACCCUUGUUUUCUUGCCUCCCACACAAUGCUCACAAAACUUCAUUUUACAAGUAUUGGUACAUUUAAAAGGCCUCAUUAAAGUUUGUAGAUUUUUUUUCCAGCACGUCCUAGUCGUACAUACCAUAACUUAGUGGUGUCACUGUGUGCCUCAAAAACAUUAGUUUUAUCAGUUGUACUUCAUUUCAAAUAGUAUAAAUUAUGACGUCAAACUCCUUAUAGAAUCACCAUAGCUCUGUAUGUAAAUUUCAUUGUGUCAUCUUCAAUGGUAACUUUUUAUCCUUUAGCUUUUGAAGCACUUAUAGAAAUUAGAUUUUUUCUUAAUGCUGGAAUCUAUCAAACUUCUUUUAAUUCUCUAACUAUUCUAUUGAACAUUUUUAAGUCGAAUUGUUCUUAUCCCCAUCAUGCGGUAAGGUUGAUCAUUCCCUAUUAUAACUGCACUAGAUUCUAAAUUACAAAAAUCCGUAAACCUUUCCCUCAUGGAAUACAAAUGAUAAAUUGCUUCGGUAUCAAGUAUUUACUUGUUCAAAUUAACCACAUAUGAUGCAGGCAUGAUACUUAGUGCAUAGUCAUAAUCUUUAUCUUUACUUGCCAUAUUUACUGCCACUUGUUUCCUAUCUCUCUUCUGAGCUUUAAGAUAAUCUUUCCUCCAAUGACCCCUUUCAUGACAAGAGGCACACUUGAGUUAUAUUUAUGCUUUUUAGACUGCGAAUUCUUUCUACCAUCUUCUUCCUUUUCUCUACCGUCCUUUCUCUUAUUAACAAAACCUCAAAUGAUGCUCUUUUGAAAUGUUUAUCAUUAUUACAAAUUUUCAAAUUGGUCAGUGUUGUGCAAACAUCCAUGAAGAUGAUUAUGUUUUUCUCGUAUAACAAAGUAGUCACAAAAUGGUAAUAUUCUUCUAGAAGUAAGUGUAGUAGAAUUAUAACAUUAACUUUAUCAUUAAUAUAUUCAUCAAGAUUCUUCGAAUCUGCAAGAAACUUUUCAAAUCUUGAGAUAUGGUCGUGCAUUUACACCCUAGGCUUUAUUAAAAAGCCAUAUACCUAGCUUAUUAUAUGAAGGCGAUUUUCAAGACUUUUCAGUAGGUACUUUUCCUCUAAUGUACGCCACAAAGUCAUUGCACACUCCUUAUUUUUCACCACAUAUUUUACCUCCUAUGUCAAACAAUAUCUUAUCUAACCACAGGCUUCCUUGUUCAUACAAUCUCAAGUUUUUUUUAUCUUAGAAGUAUCUUUCAUUUUCAAAAUAGCAUCAAGAUCGAUUUAAAUAAAGGCAUCCAUAACUUCACGCCUCAAACUUUUCAACAUCGAUCUUUUGGCCUCCUAUAACAUGUGUUGAAUGGUAACGUGACAAGUCUCACCUUUCACCUGACAUGUUUCCUGAAAUAGUCUGAGUAGAUCUCUGUCCACUUUUAGAAGUUUUACCUUCUACGAUUUUCUUAAUAAACUAUUCCCACUUGAUAAAUCAGUACAUAUGGAAAAAUGCAACAGGAAAGUUCUUAAGAAAGACAGUUGGAAUCACACUAGUCCCACUUAAAACCCAAAAUCCAUAGCCUUUUAUCGCCUUUGUGACAGAACUUUCACAAACAUGCACAAGUCCACACCACUAUAUAAGCUACUAAUCCUCCUAGGUACAAGCUCUCCGAAUUCGUGAACAGUACCGUACACCCCAAGUAUGAACCUUUCUCUGAUACCACUUGUAGGCUCUAAUGCAACUUAUUGUGUGUGUAAUGUGGAAUCAAACGCACCAAAUAAUCACAAAAAUAAAGGACACAAGAAUUUAACAUUGUUCAACAAUUAUACCUACGUGCAUGGGAGCAAGAUGAAAUAAUUGUAUUACUAACAAUUAUUAAAGUAUAAUAUUUGAGUAAAGAAACCUCACUUUCCAGAAUUCAAAUACACUCAGUACUCCACACACACUUGAAAGGAAAAUCUCUCAAUUGCUCGUACUUUCCAAUUGCUCACUAUAAAAAAAUUCUUCACUUGAAUUAUUUCUUUUAAAUUUGGGAUACUUAGAAUGAAAGAAGUGUCUUCUAUUUAUAGGAAAAAUAAUGACACUAUUGCACCAACCUCGCCCUUGUCAAUUUGACAAAUCCACCAAUAUUUGGCUGAUUUGUCAACAAUGUUAUGCACCGAAUUUGGUCUACAAUAUUCUUGACUUCAUAAGAUGAUUAUGUCGUGAUUAUGGACUUUGCUUGUUCAUGUCGCACUUAUGGAACUUUGGUUGUUCUAGCUACAAUUUUCUUUUUCCUCCAAGCAUUUUCUUGGAAAACAAACACAAAGAACAGAAGGAUAGUACCUCUAGGGCCAAAAGUUUUCUAAUAUUUUGAUGCCUUCAUUUGUGAGGCCAAUUUCCUCAUAGAGCUUUGCAUAAACUAGCCAAAAUAUAUGGCCCCAUCAUGCACUUACGCUUGGUCUUAGUGACUACAAUUGUUGUUUUUUUACUACAAGCAGCUAAGAAAUUACCCAAAACACAUGACCUUAUUGUUGCCAACAGGCCUCAUCUUCAAGCUUCUAAGCAUGUUUCUUAUGACCCAAAGAAUUUUGCAAUUUCCCCAUAUGCAUCUUAUUGGAGAACAAUCUAAAAAAUAUGUACUCUAAAAUUGUUAAGUAUUGAAUAAGUUGAAGAUAUCUGACUAGCAUGCAACCUUUGACUUUGGCACCAAAGUAGAAUGUUGAAUGAAAAUUUAUAUUCUCUUUUAAAGCCCACCAUUGUUGAUUUGUGGACGUUACUUGGUCUAUAGAUUGGAGUGCAAAGGAAGAGUAUUCGAUCCCAUUUUCUUGAGUUCCCAAUCUAUUUGAGAAGUGAUAAAGUCAAUGGUUAAAGAUUGAGAGUAUGUUGAGAGCUUUAAACUCUUGGUUUAAUGAAUGAGAGAUUGGGUGUAUUGGGGUUUUAGUGGUAAGCUAAAAUACUCUAAUAUUUGUAAUCUCCAUUUAACUAGUAAGGCUUUACUUUUCUAUCUUUGCCCAUAGACGUAGGCAAAAAGGCAAACCAUGUAAAUUCUGGUGUCAAUGUAUGAUUAUAAUUUCUCAAUUUCAGUUUAAUUGUGUGUCUGCUUCAUCCAUUAAUUUCUUUACAUUAAAUAGUGUCAAGAUCAAUUAUUUCCAACUUAUAAGAAAAGAAGAGCUUGAUGUUUUAACUGAGUACACGAAAGAGGCAACGUGUGCCCAAUGUGUCGUCUACAUAAGUGGCAAAGAUUCCAUUAUAAAUGCUAACAUGACUAGUAAAAUGGUCCUCAGGAAGAUAUAUUAGAAUGAUGAAUUCGAAGAGAGAUGGUUUAAGAAUGUGAUUCAAGAGAGCAUGGAAUUGGCUGUAAAGCCUAACUUAGGUAAUCCUCAAAUUAUAAGACAUCAUUUUCAAGGCAUGAAAAAGCGUAAAAAGGUUGUUGCCAAGGUGUUUGAUGCUUUUUUAGGGAAGAUUAUUGAUGAAUAUUUUCAAUCCAAUGAUGAAAAUGGAACCAACGAUUUUGUUGAUGUUAUGCUGGGCUAUGAGGGAUCAAAAGAAACCGAGCGCAUGAUCGAACGAGAGCAAACUAAAGCCACUAUCUUGGUAAGUACAAAGUAAAUCACAUUCUUUAAGUAAAUUAAAUUUUCCCUUGCUAGGUAUAAAGGUUUUGCCACAUUUAAACAACUUGUGCAUUGCUUUGAUUGAGAGCUUCCUGAGGGAAUAUUGCCAACUAAAUUAGACAUGACAGAAAAGUUUAGUUCUAUGACUCAUCAAUUGAGCCAAACAUCUUUUGGCUAUUCCAAGUUUUUUUUUUCACUCUAUGGGGGGUUAGGCGAGACCCCUACCUGCCAUUUAGAAUAUAUAAAGAAAAUACAUGUGGAGGGGGACAUAAACCAAAAUCUCCAAUCAAGAGAAAUAAAUAUAACAGUAAAUGAAAUGAUUUAGACAUAACCUAACAUAAGAAAAAAGACUAAUGCAGACGGUGAUAAUAUUUUUUACGAUACUUGCGGCCGACAAGUAAUUUAAUGCCUUUUUUUGAAUGACCGACAAUGUUAAAAUCAAGGCUAGAGUCAAUUCUCUCAGAAUUCUUAAGAGCAGACAAAAAAAUUGUCAUUAUUCGCUAAGUGAUCGUGAGAACUAUCAUCAUUAUCAGUAUGAGAAUUAUAAAGCCUAAAAUCUGUGUUGGAUGCUCGAUGAAGAUGUGUAUUGUACUCACCUGGUUCUUGGAUCCUAGAAUCAUGAGUCGUGACAUCUUGGCGAAUCGGCUCCUGAAUGGAAGUAGAGUUUAUAGCGUUAGCUCAGCUCUCUGUAGGUACAAUUGGAGACCCGUGUCAGCAAUCUGCUUAGUGAUGGAUAGCUCAGGUCGUGGAGUAUCCAAGGUUUGGGGAGUAUGUGACGACAAAAAUUCUAACUUCUUAUUAUCUAUUCUGGUCUGCCAAUUCCCACUGGGCCGCUGGAGACGGAGUCCCAGAUUGGCCAUGUAACACGUCUCAAUGGUAUGGCCAAGGUGUUUGCAGGAAGCAUAGUACAAUGGAAUUUUCUCAAAAAUUACACUCUGCCAAAAUCUAGAAUCUCCUAUACCAAUUCAUAUUCUUGGCAACAGAAGUUGAGUGACAUCAUACUCCACUAACACCCUGGCUACAUAAGGGCGAGCUAAAGAGGCAAUAGCUUGGUCAAUUCACAAUGGCUUACCAAUAGCAGAUGCAAUAGAAAAUAAUGUUUCCUUACAAUGCAUGAGUGGAUAGGCAAGUAAGGAAAUGAAAUCCAAACUGGGACUAUAGGGGACUCCUCGGAACAUCGAAAAUCGGUGGUCCAUUUAAAAAUUCUCAUGGCACUCCCAUUGAUGUAUCAUGUUUGCCUAACCCAUAGGCGGGAGUAGUCCUCCUCAAUAUCCAAUUGAAUUAACACAUGUCGAUUAUCUAAAGGGGACACCUUGAAAGUUCCCUUUAACCUCAAAGUAUUAAAAAAUUUAUGAAUUAAUUCCAUACUUGGUCUAUUAUAGGAAAAUUUACCUACCAAUAUCAGCUUGAAAGGAAUGACCAUCGCUUGAAUUUCUGUAGUGGAAAAUUGCACAUUAGGCUCUCCCUCGAACAAAGUGACGGUCUUGAUCGGAAUCCUCGAGUUGGAUAGGCCGUUCAUAAUAUCUACCAAAGAUAUUUUAGUGGGUUUAUUUUGAUUCAGAUUAGGGACAUAUUUCAAAUCUGAGGCAUAGGAGAGUGCAGAUGUGGGCUGAUUGGUAUUUUGGAUUAAUGGAUCAUUUUGGAGGUUAUUUAAUAAAAGUGUAGAGGGCAUUCGUGAGGGCUGGGUGUUGGGAUUUAUUUUGGAAAUGGAUUGGGCUUGGGUUUGACUAGUAGGAAAAGUGUGUGGGGCAUGGAAAGUGCUAGUUGGAGACAUACAUGGGGAACACAAAUCUUGUGUUGCCGAAAGUGUUCCAUGGGCAUGGGAAUUACCACCCACGUGCAGACUUUUGAGCUGGUGUUGGUUAGAUGUUUGAUGACUUUGGCUGGGUUCUGUGGUGGUUGUAUGCAACUGGCUUUCGGUUGGUAGUUGUAGUUGGCCGUGAGCACUGUCCCAAAUGCUUGCUUGUGAUUUGCAUGUGGUUUUUUGUCGUGUGGGAGUUGUUUGUGUAUGUGGUGAUUGUUGUUGGUUGGUGGUUGUAGCUUGAACCAAAUCUUGAGGCAAAUAGCCAUAGAGUAUAGGCUGGUUUUGAUGGUGUAUAGGGGCUGUGACAAUAGGGUGAUCUCCCGAAUGGUGUGUGGCUUGUGUUGGUUGCGGGCUGGAGGCUGGUGGCUGGUUGGCUUGAGGUGAAAAUCCAUUCACCAAAUCUGGUGCGACAGUAGGGUGCUCUCCCGAAUGGUGUAUGACUUGUAUUGGUUGCGGGCUGGAGGCUGGUGGCUGGUUGGCUUGAGAUGAAAGCUUGGAGUUGGCUGUUGAAGGGGUGGCGAUGACGGUUGGAGAUGGCUGUUGAGGGGAUGACAAUGGCGGUGUGUUUGCGGAAGUUGGGGGCUGUUGGGGUUGGGCUAGCGUUUGACUCUUGUAUUUUGAUUGAGUUUGCCUUUGGGAUCUCCUAAGAAAUGGAGGUUCAUUUCUGGAAGUGGGGGGAGGAGCCGGUGGUGGAUGGUUGCCAUUUUCGUUAGCCGGCGAGAUGAGAAUCAGCUUGUCUCGAGCAAUGCUUUCUCCUCCAUUUUCAAGUGAAUGGAGAGGAGAUUUUGCUAUCUCACGGCAGCAUUCAUGGUCAUUGAUGUCACAAGUGAUUGCCAUUUCUUUUUGUUCACUUACGGCAUUAGAUGUGAGUGAAGGUUGUUGAAUUUUCAAGAGGAUAGCGGCAGUGGACGUUGGUGGUUGGUGUGCAUGGGGUUGAAUUUGAGAUGGAGGGUCUGUAUGAGAGUGGUUUGGUUUGAUUCGCGGUGAUGGCAAUUGGACAUCCGGCGGUGGUUUGUUGUUGAAUUUUGGGGGUCAUUUAGUGAUAAUGUUGUUUGUUUGAUCUCUAGAUUAGCAUAAGGUAGGUGUUAAGAGAAACAAAAACAAAACAAAUUAAUAAAUUAAAUCAUUUGCGACCCAACAAUUAUUUUAAAGAAGAUUCCUUACUAAUAUUUGAAAGUAGAUAUUGUACCUAAAUAGUUAAGUUGUUCGGCAUCAUAAUUAUUAUAGAAGGUUUUGGUAAAUUUUUAAUUUCAUAAAAUCAUGUAACUCCCGCGAGUCGAACUAAGGUGGCCAGCCAAAUUAAACCACUUGAACUUAGAACUUUAACAAUAUAAUUCAUUCAAUAAACUUAAAGCUUAUGAAAUAAUUUAUACGAUUGUUACUCAAUAAUUUUUAAUGUUAGGGCCCAUUUGUGACUGCUAUUGAAAAAUUCAAAAAUGAUUUUAAGAAGUAAAAAAUCAUUUUAAUAGUUAUUUUUCUUGUCUAUCAUUUUUUGAAAAAAAAAAAAAAAGAUAAGAGGGGUAGGCAAAGUCAAAAUCCAUUUUUAAAUCGGGUGACUAGCUAAAUAAAGCUACUUAGAAGUCACCUAGCCAAGCUCCUCAAGACUUAUAUUUGCAUGCUUAUUUAUGUUUGUAAGUCGAUUUCUUUUGACAUUAUGUCCUUAUUAACCAUUUGUGAUUUUACAAUAAUAAAAUAAUAAGAUUUACUAAAUAUAUGUAAUUACUUUCAAAACUCACGAUACCUUUAAAAUAAAAUUUAUUUAACACAUAACGAAUACUUUUCACUUUUAAUUAUUGUUAUGACACAGCUAACAACAAUAAUUUUAAAAAUUAUUAUCAAACUCUCACCCUUGUUUCAUAUAUACAGGUGAGCAAUCUAUCUGUCUUUACAUUACUUCUUUCCCUUUCUCCAGCAGCAAUUAGAAUCUUUUCACAUAAUUAUCAUCUAAUGUAAUUAACUGGCGUUUUGGAUUUUCUUAGCGACGAGUUCAAGUACCGGUUUCCAAUAAAUUGAUUUACAUGAAAUGUGACCAAUAGGAAAAGAAGAGCCAUUAUCAAACUCACCCCUAGGAUUUGGCUUGAAACAUAUAACAAAAAUAAUAAAUUGAAAAUAUGGCUUUGAACUAUCGAUCAUUCCUUAUCCUAAUAGUUGACACCUCUAUUCAUUACUGUUAAGAAUGAUCGUUCAAAUUACUAGGUUGUCAUAGUAAAACUUUUCUUCGGUUACAGCCCAGUAAAAUGUUAGGGAAAUUGAUGGGUGAAGUAGAGUUACAGUUAAAAUGAAAUUGGAAGAAAAUAAAGAAUAAGCAUAAGGAGGACACUAGAAAAUUACGUGGUUUGGCUUUUAGCUUACGUCCAUGAGCGAAGACAGAAUAAAAAUAUUUUACUAAUGAAAUGAGAAUUACAAGUAUUGUAAUAUUGUAACUCACUUCCCAAAACCCCAAUAUACCCAAUCUCUCACUCACUAAUUACACAAAAGUAUUAGAGCUUUUAAUCUCUCACACAACUCAUAAUUUUUUUUCUCUCUCUCACAAAAUGGAAUUUCUCUCAAAUCUUGGAUGCAGGAACCAAAAUGGGAGCUUCCUUCAUAUAGCCAAAAUUGAAUAUUAUUUUAAUAUUUUGUUCACUCUUCUCGUGGCUUCUUUAAAGCCGUGUUCCAUCCCUCUUUUUUUCUUUCCAUUUUAGCGUGCCAACCACCAUUUGUCGAGAUCAACUUUUGCAGCAUCUUCUUCAUUCUUUUUUCUUCUUCUUUCUAAAAUGCAUCUUCAACGUCAAAGUCGUGUGCCACCACUUUUGCUUCUUCAAAGUUCCUACAGCUCUCUUUGAUUUUUCAUUGUUGACAGCCACUUUUCUUGACAACCAACAGGAAAAGAAGAGCCAUUAUCAAACUCACCCCUAUNNNNNNNNNNNNNNNNNNNNNNNNNNNNNNNNNNNNNNNNNNNNNNNNNNNNNNNNNNNNNNNNNNNNNNNNNNNNNNNNNNNNNNNNNNNNNNNNNNNNACCGCCGCGCGGCUACCCUCCCAUCCCGAUGCCCCCGGACCCCUGGUCCCGUGGGACCCAACGGAAACGGAAUAGGAUGCCCGGAUCAUGACAUACGCCCAAAACCGUCAAAACCUACUGAGCACACCCCGAACAUGCCCAUUUUUCGGCGUUCAAACCGCCGCGCGGCUACCCCCCCAUCCCGAUGCCCCCGGAACCCUGGUCCCGCGGGACCCGACGGAAACGGAAUCGGAGGCCCGGAUCAUGAGUUACGGCCCCUUCUUUGCGGCCCCCGAGGACGUGCGCUAUAGCCCCCCGGGCCACCCCCCAUCCGGCCGCACCCGCCCGAACCCCACCGAACGCGUCCGCCGCCUCCCGAUCCCGCCCCGCGGUCCCCCCCGGGGCAUGAACCGCCCGCCGGCGGGCCGAAACCGGCCAAACCGGCAAAACCGCCCCGAUCAUGCCCGUUUUUCGGCGUUCAAACCGCCGCGCGGCUACCCCCCCAUCCCGAUGCCCCCGGACCCCUGGCCCCGUGGGACCUGACGGAAACGGAAUCGGAUGCCCGGAUCAUGAGAUACGCCCAAAACCGUCUAAACCUACUGAGCGCNNNNNNNNNNNNNNNNNNNNNNNNNNNNNNNNNNNNNNNNNNNNNNNNNNNNNNNNNNNNNNNNNNNNNNNNNNNNNNNNNNNNNNNNNNNNNNNNNNNNNNNNNNNNNNNNNNNNNNNNNNNNNNNNNNNNNNNNNNNNNNNNNNNNNNNNNNNNNNNNNNNNNNNNNNNNNNNNNNNNNNNNNNNNNNNNNNNNNNNNNNNNNNNNNNNNNNNNNNNNNNNNNNNNNNNNNNNNNNNNNNNNNNNNNNNNNNNNNNNNNNNNNNNNNNNNNNNNNNNNNNNNNNNNNNNNNNNNNNNNNNNNNNNNNNNNNNNNNNNNNNNNNNNNNNNNNNNNNNNNNNNNNNNNNNNNNNNNNNNNNNNNNNNNNNNNNNNNNNNNNNNNNNNNNNNNNNNNNNNNNNNNNNNNNNNNNNNNNNNNNNNNNNNNNNNNNNNNNNNNNNNNNNNNNNNNNNNNNNNNNNNNNNNNNNNNNNNNNNNNNNNNNNNNNNNNNNNNNNNNNNNNNNNNNNNNNNNNNNNNNNNNNNNNNNNNNNNNNNNNNNNNNNNNNNNNNNNNNNNNNNNNNNNNNNNNNNNNNNNNNNNNNNNNNNNNNNNNNNNNNNNNNNNNNNNNNNNNNNNNNNNNNNNNNNNNNNNNNNNNNNNNNNNNNNNNNNNNNNNNNNNNNNNNNNNNNNNNNNNNNNNNNNNNNNNNNNNNNNNNNNNNNNNNNNNNNNNNNNNNNNNNNNNNNNNNNNNNNNNNNNNNNNNNNNNNNNNNNNNNNNNNNNNNNNNNNNNNNNNNNNNNNNNNNNNNNNNNNNNNNNNNNNNNNNNNNNNNNNNNNNNNNNNNNNNNNNNNNNNNNNNNNNNNNNNNNNNNNNNNNNNNNNNNNNNNNNNNNNNNNNNNNNNNNNNNNNNNNNNNNNNNNNNNNNNNNNNNNNNNNNNNNNNNNNNNNNNNNNNNNNNNNNNNNNNNNNNNNNNNNNNNNNNNNNNNNNNNNNNNNNNNNNNNNNNNNNNNNNNNNNNNNNNNNNNNNNNNNNNNNNNNNNNNNNNNNNNNNNNNNNNNNNNNNNNNNNNNNNNNNNNNNNNNNNNNNNNNNNNNNNNNNNNNNNNNNNNNNNNNNNNNNNNNNNNNNNNNNNNNNNNNNNNNNNNNNNNNNNNNNNNNNNNNNNNNNNNNNNNNNNNNNNNNNNNNNNNNNNNNNNNNNNNNNNNNNNNNNNNNNNNNNNNNNNNNNNNNNNNNNNNNNNNNNNNNNNNNNNNNNNNNNNNNNNNNNNNNNNNNNNNNNNNNNNNNNNNNNNNNNNNNNNNNNNNNNNNNNNNNNNNNNNNNNNNNNNNNNNNNNNNNNNNNNNNNNNNNNNNNNNNNNNNNNNNNNNNNNNNNNNNNNNNNNNNNNNNNNNNNNNNNNNNNNNNNNNNNNNNNNNNNNNNNNNNNNNNNNNNNNNNNNNNNNNNNNNNNNNNNNNNNNNNNNNNNNNNNNNNNNNNNNNNNNNNNNNNNNNNNNNNNNNNNNNNNNNNNNNNNNNNNNNNNNNNNNNNNNNNNNNNNNNNNNNNNNNNNNNNNNNNNNNNNNNNNNNNNNNNNNNNNNNNNNNNNNNNNNNNNNNNNNNNNNNNNNNNNNNNNNNNNNNNNNNNNNNNNNNNNNNNNNNNNNNNNNNNNNNNNNNNNNNNNNNNNNNNNNNNNNNNNNNNNNNNNNNNNNNNNNNNNNNNNNNNNNNNNNNNNNNNNNNNNNNNNNNNNNNNNNNNNNNNNNNNNNNNNNNNNNNNNNNNNNNNNNNNNNNNNNNNNNNNNNNNNNNNNNNNNNNNNNNNNNNNNNNNNNNNNNNNNNNNNCCCUGGUCCCGUGGGACCCGACGGAAACGGAAUCGGAGGCCCGGAUCAUGAGUUACGGCCCCUUCUUUGCGGCCCCCGAGGCCGUGCGCUAUAGCCCCCCGGGCCACCCCCCACCCGGCCGCACCCGCCCGAACCCCACCGAACGCGUCCGCCGCCUCCCGAUCCCGCCCCACGGUCCCCCCCGGGGCAUGAACCGCCCCCCGGGGGGCCGAAACCGGCCAAACCGGCUAAACCGCCCCGAUCAUGCCCAUUUUUCGGCGUUCAAACCGCCGCGCGGCUACCCCCCUAUCCCGAUGCCCCCGGACCCCGGGUCCCGUGGGACCCGACGGAAACGGAAUCGGAUGCCCGGAUCAUGAGAUACGCCCAAAACCGUCAAAACCUACUGAGCGCACCCCGAACAUGCCCAUUUUUCGGCGUUCAAACCGCCGCGCGGCUACCCCCCCAUCCCGAUGCCCCCGGANNNNNNNNNNNNNNNNNNNNNNNNNNNNNNNNNNNNNNNNNNNNNNNNNNNNNNNNNNNNNNNNNNNNNNNNNNNNNNNNNNNNNNNNNNNNNNNNNNNNNNNNNNNNNNNNNNNNNNNNNNNNNNNNNNNNNNNNNNNNNNNNNNNNNNNNNNNNNNNNNNNNNNNNNNNNNNNNNNNNNNNNNNNNNNNNNNNNNNNNNNNNNNNNNNNNNNNNNNNNNNNNNNNNNNNNNNNNNNNNNNNNNNNNNNNNNNNNNNNNNNNNNNNNNNNNNNNNNNNNNNNNNNNNNNNNNNNNNNNNNNNNNNNNNNNNNNNNNNNNNNNNNNNNNNNNNNNNNNNNNNNNNNNNNNNNNNNNNNNNNNNNNNNNNNNNNNNNNNNNNNNNNNNNNNNNNNNNNNNNNNNNNNNNNNNNNNNNNNNNNNNNNNNNNNNNNNNNNNNNNNNNNNNNNNNNNNNNNNNNNNNNNNNNNNNNNNNNNNNNNNNNNNNNNNNNNNNNNNNNNNNNNNNNNNNNNNNNNNNNNNNNNNNNNNNNNNNNNNNNNNNNNNNNNNNNNNNNNNNNNNNNNNNNNNNNNNNNNNNNNNNNNNNNNNNNNNNNNNNNNNNNNNNNNNNNNNNNNNNNNNNNNNNNNNNNNNNNNNNNNNNNNNNNNNNNNNNNNNNNNNNNNNNNNNNNNNNNNNNNNNNNNNNNNNNNNNNNNNNNNNNNNNNNNNNNNNNNNNNNNNNNNNNNNNNNNNNNNNNNNNNNNNNNNNNNNNNNNNNNNNNNNNNNNNNNNNNNNNNNNNNNNNNNNNNNNNNNNNNNNNNNNNNNNNNNNNNNNNNNNNNNNNNNNNNNNNNNNNNNNNNNNNNNNNNNNNNNNNNNNNNNNNNNNNNNNNNNNNNNNNNNNNNNNNNNNNNNNNNNNNNNNNNNNNNNNNNNNNNNNNNNNNNNNNNNNNNNNNNNNNNNNNNNNNNNNNNNNNNNNNNNNNNNNNNNNNNNNNNNNNNNNNNNNNNNNNNNNNNNNNNNNNNNNNNNNNNNNNNNNNNNNNNNNNNNNNNNNNNNNNNNNNNNNNNNNNNNNNNNNNNNNNNNNNNNNNNNNNNNNNNNNNNNNNNNNNNNNNNNNNNNNNNNNNNNNNNNNNNNNNNNNNNNNNNNNNNNNNNNNNNNNNNNNNNNNNNNNNNNNNNNNNNNNNNNNNNNNNNNNNNNNNNNNNNNNNNNNNNNNNNNNNNNNNNNNNNNNNNNNNNNNNNNNNNNNNNNNNNNNNNNNNNNNNNNNNNNNNNNNNNNNNNNNNNNNNNNNNNNNNNNNNNNNNNNNNNNNNNNNNNNNNNNNNNNNNNNNNNNNNNNNNNNNNNNNNNNNNNNNNNNNNNNNNNNNNNNNNNNNNNNNNNNNNNNNNNNNNNNNNNNNNNNNNNNNNNNNNNNNNNNNNNNNNNNNNNNNNNNNNNNNNNNNNNNNNNNNNNNNNNNNNNNNNNNNNNNNNNNNNNNNNNNNNNNNNNNNNNNNNNNNNNNNNNNNNNNNNNNNNNNNNNNNNNNNNNNNNNNNNNNNNNNNNNNNNNNNNNNNNNNNNNNNNNNNNNNNNNNNNNNNNNNNNNNNNNNNNNNNNNNNNNNNNNNNNNNNNNNNNNNNNNNNNNNNNNNNNNNNNNNNNNNNNNNNNNNNNNNNNNNNNNNNNNNNNNNNNNNNNNNNNNNNNNNNNNNNNNNNNNNNNNNNNNNNNNNNNNNNNNNNNNNNNNNNNNNNNNNNNNNNNNNNNNNNNNNNNNNNNNNNNNNNNNNNNNNNNNNNNNNNNNNNNNNNNNNNNNNNNNNNNNNNNNNNNNNNNNNNNNNNNNNNNNNNNNNNNNNNNNNNNNNNNNNNNNNNNNNNNNNNNNNNNNNNNNNNNNNNNNNNNNNNNNNNNNNNNNNNNNNNNNNNNNNNNNNNNNNNNNNNNNNNNNNNNNNNNNNNNNNNNNNNNNNNNNNNNNNNNNNNNNNNNNNNNNNNNNNNNNNNNNNNNNNNNNNNNNNNNNNNNNNNNNNNNNNNNNNNNNNNNNNNNNNNNNNNNNNNNNNNNNNNNNNNNNNNNNNNNNNNNNNNNNNNNNNNNNNNNNNNNNNNNNNNNNNNNNNNNNNNNNNNNNNNNNNNNNNNNNNNNNNNNNNNNNNNNNNNNNNNNNNNNNNNNNNNNNNNNNNNNNNNNNNNNNNNNNNNNNNNNNNNNNNNNNNNNNNNNNNNNNNNNNNNNNNNNNNNNNNNNNNNNNNNNNNNNNNNNNNNNNNNNNNNNNNNNNNNNNNNNNNNNNNNNNNNNNNNNNNNNNNNNNNNNNNNNNNNNNNNNNNNNNNNNNNNNNNNNNNNNNNNNNNNNNNNNNNNNNNNNNNNNNNNNNNNNNNNNNNNNNNNNNNNNNNNNNNNNNNNNNNNNNNNNNNNNNNNNNNNNNNNNNNNNNNNNNNNNNNNNNNNNNNNNNNNNNNNNNNNNNNNNNNNNNNNNNNNNNNNNNNNNNNNNNNNNNNNNNNNNNNNNNNNNNNNNNNNNNNNNNNNNNNNNNNNNNNNNNNNNNNNNNNNNNNNNNNNNNNNNNNNNNNNNNNNNNNNNNNNNNNNNNNNNNNNNNNNNNNNNNNNNNNNNNNNNNNNNNNNNNNNNNNNNNNNNNNNNNNNNNNNNNNNNNNNNNNNNNNNNNNNNNNNNNNNNNNNNNNNNNNNNNNNNNNNNNNNNNNNNNNNNNNNNNNNNNNNNNNNNNNNNNNNNNNNNNNNNNNNNNNNNNNNNNNNNNNNNNNNNNNNNNNNNNNNNNNNNNNNNNNNNNNNNNNNNNNNNNNNNNNNNNNNNNNNNNNNNNNNNNNNNNNNNNNNNNNNNNNNNNNNNNNNNNNNNNNNNNNNNNNNNNNNNNNNNNNNNNNNNNNNNNNNNNNNNNNNNNNNNNNNNNNNNNNNNNNNNNNNNNNNNNNNNNNNNNNNNNNNNNNNNNNNNNNNNNNNNNNNNNNNNNNNNNNNNNNNNNNNNNNNNNNNNNNNNNNNNNNNNNNNNNNNNNNNNNNNNNNNNNNNNNNNNNNNNNNNNNNNNNNNNNNNNNNNNNNNNNNNNNNNNNNNNNNNNNNNNNNNNNNNNNNNNNNNNNNNNNNNNNNNNNNNNNNNNNNNNNNNNNNNNNNNNNNNNNNNNNNNNNNNNNNNNNNNNNNNNNNNNNNNNNNNNNNNNNNNNNNNNNNNNNNNNNNNNNNNNNNNNNNNNNNNNNNNNNNNNNNNNNNNNNNNNNNNNNNNNNNNNNNNNNNNNNNNNNNNNNNNNNNNNNNNNNNNNNNNNNNNNNNNNNNNNNNNNNNNNNNNNNNNNNNNNNNNNNNNNNNNNNNNNNNNNNNNNNNNNNNNNNNNNNNNNNNNNNNNNNNNNNNNNNNNNNNNNNNNNNNNNNNNNNNNNNNNNNNNNNNNNNNNNNNNNNNNNNNNNNNNNNNNNNNNNNNNNNNNNNNNNNNNNNNNNNNNNNNNNNNNNNNNNNNNNNNNNNNNNNNNNNNNNNNNNNNNNNNNNNNNNNNNNNNNNNNNNNNNNNNNNNNNNNNNNNNNNNNNNNNNNNNNNNNNNNNNNNNNNNNNNNNNNNNNNNNNNNNNNNNNNNNNNNNNNNNNNNNNNNNNNNNNNNNNNNNNNNNNNNNNNNNNNNNNNNNNNNNNNNNNNNNNNNNNNNNNNNNNNNNNNNNNNNNNNNNNNNNNNNNNNNNNNNNNNNNNNNNNNNNNNNNNNNNNNNNNNNNNNNNNNNNNNNNNNNNNNNNNNNNNNNNNNNNNNNNNNNNNNNNNNNNNNNNNNNNNNNNNNNNNNNNNNNNNNNNNNNNNNNNNNNNNNNNNNNNNNNNNNNNNNNNNNNNNNNNNNNNNNNNNNNNNNNNNNNNNNNNNNNNNNNNNNNNNNNNNNNNNNNNNNNNNNNNNNNNNNNNNNNNNNNNNNNNNNNNNNNNNNNNNNNNNNNNNNNNNNNNNNNNNNNNNNNNNNNNNNNNNNNNNNNNNNNNNNNNNNNNNNNNNNNNNNNNNNNNNNNNNNNNNNNNNNNNNNNNNNNNNNNNNNNNNNNNNNNNNNNNNNNNNNNNNNNNNNNNNNNNNNNNNNNNNNNNNNNNNNNNNNNNNNNNNNNNNNNNNNNNNNNNNNNNNNNNNNNNNNNNNNNNNNNNNNNNNNNNNNNNNNNNNNNNNNNNNNNNNNNNNNNNNNNNNNNNNNNNNNNNNNNNNNNNNNNNNNNNNNNNNNNNNNNNNNNNNNNNNNNNNNNNNNNNNNNNNNNNNNNNNNNNNNNNNNNNNNNNNNNNNNNNNNNNNNNNNNNNNNNNNNNNNNNNNNNNNNNNNNNNNNNNNNNNNNNNNNNNNNNNNNNNNNNNNNNNNNNNNNNNNNNNNNNNNNNNNNNNNNNNNNNNNNNNNNNNNNNNNNNNNNNNNNNNNNNNNNNNNNNNNNNNNNNNNNNNNNNNNNNNNNNNNNNNNNNNNNNNNNNNNNNNNNNNNNNNNNNNNNNNNNNNNNNNNNNNNNNNNNNNNNNNNNNNNNNNNNNNNNNNNNNNNNNNNNNNNNNNNNNNNNNNNNNNNNNNNNNNNNNNNNNNNNNNNNNNNNNNNNNNNNNNNNNNNNNNNNNNNNNNNNNNNNNNNNNNNNNNNNNNNNNNNNNNNNNNNNNNNNNNNNNNNNNNNNNNNNNNNNNNNNNNNNNNNNNNNNNNNNNNNNNNNNNNNNNNNNNNNNNNNNNNNNNNNNNNNNNNNNNNNNNNNNNNNNNNNNNNNNNNNNNNNNNNNNNNNNNNNNNNNNNNNNNNNNNNNNNNNNNNNNNNNNNNNNNNNNNNNNNNNNNNNNNNNNNNNNNNNNNNNNNNNNNNNNNNNNNNNNNNNNNNNNNNNNNNNNNNNNNNNNNNNNNNNNNNNNNNNNNNNNNNNNNNNNNNNNNNNNNNNNNNNNNNNNNNNNNNNNNNNNNNNNNNNNNNNNNNNNNNNNNNNNNNNNNNNNNNNNNNNNNNNNNNNNNNNNNNNNNNNNNNNNNNNNNNNNNNNNNNNNNNNNNNNNNNNNNNNNNNNNNNNNNNNNNNNNNNNNNNNNGCCGCCUCCCGAUCCCGCCCCACGGUCCCCCCCGGGGCAUGAACCGCCCCCCGGGGGGCCGAAACCGGCAAAACGGGCCAAACAGCCCCGAUCUUACCCAUUUUUCGGCGUUCAAACCGCCGUGCGGCUACUCCCCCAUCCCGAUGCCCCCGGACCCCUGGUCCCGAGGGAGAUGACGGAAAGGGAAUCGGAUGCCCGGAUCAUGAGAUACGGCCAAAACCGUCAAAACCUACUGAGCGCACCCCGAACAUGCCCAUUUUUCGGCGUUCAAACCGCCGCGCGGCUACCCCCCCAUCCCGAUGCCCCCGGACCCCUGGUCCCGAGGGACCUGACGGAAACGGAAUCGGAUGCCCGGAUCAUGAGAUACGGCCAAAACCGUCAAAACCUACUGAGCGCACCCCGAACAUGCCCAUUUUUCGGCGUUCAAACCGCCGCGCGGCUACCCCCCCAUCCCGAUGCCCCCGGGACCCUGGUCUCGUGGGACCCGACGGAAACGGAAUCGGAGGCCCGGAUCAUGAGUUAUGGCCCCUUCUUUGCGGCCCCCGAGGCCGUGCGCUAUAGCCCCCCGGGCCACCCCCCACCCGGCCGCACCCGCCCGAACCCCACCGAACGCGUCCGCCGCCUCCCGAUCCCGCCCCGCGGUCCCCCCCGGGGCAUGAACCGCCCCCCGGGGGGCCGAAACCGGCCAAACCGGCUAAACCGCCCCGAUCAUGCCCAUUUUUCGGCGUUCAAACCACNNNNNNNNNNNNNNNNNNNNNNNNNNNNNNNNNNNNNNNNNNNNNNNNNNNNNNNNNNNNNNNNNNNNNNNNNNNNNNNNNNNNNNNNNNNNNNNNNNNNNNNNNNNNNNNNNNNNNNNNNNNNNNNNNNNNNNNNNNNNNNNNNNNNNNNNNNNNNNNNNNNNNNNNNNNNNNNNNNNNNNNNNNNNNNNNNNNNNNNNNNNNNNNNNNNNNNNNNNNNNNNNNNNNNNNNNNNNNNNNNNNNNNNNNNNNNNNNNNNNNNNNNNNNNNNNNNNNNNNNNNNNNNNNNNNNNNNNNNNNNNNNNNNNNNNNNNNNNNNNNNNNNNNNNNNNNNNNNNNNNNNNNNNNNNNNNNNNNNNNNNNNNNNNNNNNNNNNNNNNNNNNNNNNNNNNNNNNNNNNNNNNNNNNNNNNNNNNNNNNNNNNNNNNNNNNNNNNNNNNNNNNNNNNNNNNNNNNNNNNNNNNNNNNNNNNNNNNNNNNNNNNNNNNNNNNNNNNNNNNNNNNNNNNNNNNNNNNNNNNNNNNNNNNNNNNNNNNNNNNNNNNNNNNNNNNNNNNNNNNNNNNNNNNNNNNNNNNNNNNNNNNNNNNNNNNNNNNNNNNNNNNNNNNNNNNNNNNNNNNNNNNNNNNNNNNNNNNNNNNNNNNNNNNNNNNNNNNNNNNNNNNNNNNNNNNNNNNNNNNNNNNNNNNNNNNNNNNNNNNNNNNNNNNNNNNNNNNNNNNNNNNNNNNNNNNNNNNNNNNNNNNNNNNNNNNNNNNNNNNNNNNNNNNNNNNNNNNNNNNNNNNNNNNNNNNNNNNNNNNNNNNNNNNNNNNNNNNNNNNNNNNNNNNNNNNNNNNNNNNNNNNNNNNNNNNNNNNNNNNNNNNNNNNNNNNNNNNNNNNNNNNNNNNNNNNNNNNNNNNNNNNNNNNNNNNNNNNNNNNNNNNNNNNNNNNNNNNNNNNNNNNNNNNNNNNNNNNNNNNNNNNNNNNNNNNNNNNNNNNNNNNNNNNNNNNNNNNNNNNNNNNNNNNNNNNNNNNNNNNNNNNNNNNNNNNNNNNNNNNNNNNNNNNNNNNNNNNNNNNNNNNNNNNNNNNNNNNNNNNNNNNNNNNNNNNNNNNNNNNNNNNNNNNNNNNNNNNNNNNNNNNNNNNNNNNNNNNNNNNNNNNNNNNNNNNNNNNNNNNNNNNNNNNNNNNNNNNNNNNNNNNNNNNNNNNNNNNNNNNNNNNNNNNNNNNNNNNNNNNNNNNNNNNNNNNNNNNNNNNNNNNNNNNNNNNNNNNNNNNNNNNNNNNNNNNNNNNNNNNNNNNNNNNNNNNNNNNNNNNNNNNNNNNNNNNNNNNNNNNNNNNNNNNNNNNNNNNNNNNNNNNNNNNNNNNNNNNNNNNNNNNNNNNNNNNNNNNNNNNNNNNNNNNNNNNNNNNNNNNNNNNNNNNNNNNNNNNNNNNNNNNNNNNNNNNNNNNNNNNNNNNNNNNNNNNNNNNNNNNNNNNNNNNNNNNNNNNNNNNNNNNNNNNNNNNNNNNNNNNNNNNNNNNNNNNNNNNNNNNNNNNNNNNNNNNNNNNNNNNNNNNNNNNNNNNNNNNNNNNNNNNNNNNNNNNNNNNNNNNNNNNNNNNNNNNNNNNNNNNNNNNNNNNNNNNNNNNNNNNNNNNNNNNNNNNNNNNNNNNNNNNNNNNNNNNNNNNNNNNNNNNNNNNNNNNNNNNNNNNNNNNNNNNNNNNNNNNNNNNNNNNNNNNNNNNNNNNNNNNNNNNNNNNNNNNNNNNNNNNNNNNNNNNNNNNNNNNNNNNNNNNNNNNNNNNNNNNNNNNNNNNNNNNNNNNNNNNNNNNNNNNNNNNNNNNNNNNNNNNNNNNNNNNNNNNNNNNNNNNNNNNNNNNNNNNNNNNNNNNNNNNNNNNNNNNNNNNNNNNNNNNNNNNNNNNNNNNNNNNNNNNNNNNNNNNNNNNNNNNNNNNNNNNNNNNNNNNNNNNNNNNNNNNNNNNNNNNNNNNNNNNNNNNNNNNNNNNNNNNNNNNNNNNNNNNNNNNNNNNNNNNNNNNNNNNNNNNNNNNNNNNNNNNNNNNNNNNNNNNNNNNNNNNNNNNNNNNNNNNNNNNNNNNNNNNNNNNNNNNNNNNNNNNNNNNNNNNNNNNNNNNNNNNNNNNNNNNNNNNNNNNNNNNNNNNNNNNNNNNNNNNNNNNNNNNNNNNNNNNNNNNNNNNNNNNNNNNNNNNNNNNNNNNNNNNNNNNNNNNNNNNNNNNNNNNNNNNNNNNNNNNNNNNNNNNNNNNNNNNNNNNNNNNNNNNNNNNNNNNNNNNNNNNNNNNNNNNNNNNNNNNNNNNNNNNNNNNNNNNNNNNNNNNNNNNNNNNNNNNNNNNNNNNNNNNNNNNNNNNNNNNNNNNNNNNNNNNNNNNNNNNNNNNNNNNNNNNNNNNNNNNNNNNNNNNNNNNNNNNNNNNNNNNNNNNNNNNNNNNNNNNNNNNNNNNNNNNNNNNNNNNNNNNNNNNNNNNNNNNNNNNNNNNNNNNNNNNNNNNNNNNNNNNNNNNNNNNNNNNNNNNNNNNNNNNNNNNNNNNNNNNNNNNNNNNNNNNNNNNNNNNNNNNNNNNNNNNNNNNNNNNNNNNNNNNNNNNNNNNNNNNNNNNNNNNNNNNNNNNNNNNNNNNNNNNNNNNNNNNNNNNNNNNNNNNNNNNNNNNNNNNNNNNNNNNNNNNNNNNNNNNNNNNNNNNNNNNNNNNNNNNNNNNNNNNNNNNNNNNNNNNNNNNNNNNNNNNNNNNNNNNNNNNNNNNNNNNNNNNNNNNNNNNNNNNNNNNNNNNNNNNNNNNNNNNNNNNNNNNNNNNNNNNNNNNNNNNNNNNNNNNNNNNNNNNNNNNNNNNNNNNNNNNNNNNNNNNNNNNNNNNNNNNNNNNNNNNNNNNNNNNNNNNNNNNNNNNNNNNNNNNNNNNNNNNNNNNNNNNNNNNNNNNNNNNNNNNNNNNNNNNNNNNNNNNNNNNNNNNNNNNNNNNNNNNNNNNNNNNNNNNNNNNNNNNNNNNNNNNNNNNNNNNNNNNNNNNNNNNNNNNNNNNNNNNNNNNNNNNNNNNNNNNNNNNNNNNNNNNNNNNNNNNNNNNNNNNNNNNNNNNNNNNNNNNNNNNNNNNNNNNNNNNNNNNNNNNNNNNNNNNNNNNNNNNNNNNNNNNNNNNNNNNNNNNNNNNNNNNNNNNNNNNNNNNNNNNNNNNNNNNNNNNNNNNNNNNNNNNNNNNNNNNNNNNNNNNNNNNNNNNNNNNNNNNNNNNNNNNNNNNNNNNNNNNNNNNNNNNNNNNNNNNNNNNNNNNNNNNNNNNNNNNNNNNNNNNNNNNNNNNNNNNNNNNNNNNNNNNNNNNNNNNNNNNNNNNNNNNNNNNNNNNNNNNNNNNNNNNNNNNNNNNNNNNNNNNNNNNNNNNNNNNNNNNNNNNNNNNNNNNNNNNNNNNNNNNNNNNNNNNNNNNNNNNNNNNNNNNNNNNNNNNNNNNNNNNNNNNNNNNNNNNNNNNNNNNNNNNNNNNNNNNNNNNNNNNNNNNNNNNNNNNNNNNNNNNNNNNNNNNNNNNNNNNNNNNNNNNNNNNNNNNNNNNNNNNNNNNNNNNNNNNNNNNNNNNNNNNNNNNNNNNNNNNNNNNNNNNNNNNNNNNNNNNNNNNNNNNNNNNNNNNNNNNNNNNNNNNNNNNNNNNNNNNNNNNNNNNNNNNNNNNNNNNNNNNNNNNNNNNNNNNNNNNNNNNNNNNNNNNNNNNNNNNNNNNNNNNNNNNNNNNNNNNNNNNNNNNNNNNNNNNNNNNNNNNNNNNNNNNNNNNNNNNNNNNNNNNNNNNNNNNNNNNNNNNNNNNNNNNNNNNNNNNNNNNNNNNNNNNNNNNNNNNNNNNNNNNNNNNNNNNNNNNNNNNNNNNNNNNNNNNNNNNNNNNNNNNNNNNNNNNNNNNNNNNNNNNNNNNNNNNNNNNNNNNNNNNNNNNNNNNNNNNNNNNNNNNNNNNNNNNNNNNNNNNNNNNNNNNNNNNNNNNNNNNNNNNNNNNNNNNNNNNNNNNNNNNNNNNNNNNNNNNNNNNNNNNNNNNNNNNNNNNNNNNNNNNNNNNNNNNNNNNNNNNNNNNNNNNNNNNNNNNNNNNNNNNNNNNNNNNNNNNNNNNNNNNNNNNNNNNNNNNNNNNNNNNNNNNNNNNNNNNNNNNNNNNNNNNNNNNNNNNNNNNNNNNNNNNNNNNNNNNNNNNNNNNNNNNNNNNNNNNNNNNNNNNNNNNNNNNNNNNNNNNNNNNNNNNNNNNNNNNNNNNNNNNNNNNNNNNNNNNNNNNNNNNNNNNNNNNNNNNNNNNNNNNNNNNNNNNNNNNNNNNNNNNNNNNNNNNNNNNNNNNNNNNNNNNNNNNNNNNNNNNNNNNNNNNNNNNNNNNNNNNNNNNNNNNNNNNNNNNNNNNNNNNNNNNNNNNNNNNNNNNNNNNNNNNNNNNNNNNNNNNNNNNNNNNNNNNNNNNNNNNNNNNNNNNNNNNNNNNNNNNNNNNNNNNNNNNNNNNNNNNNNNNNNNNNNNNNNNNNNNNNNNNNNNNNNNNNNNNNNNNNNNNNNNNNNNNNNNNNNNNNNNNNNNNNNNNNNNNNNNNNNNNNNNNNNNNNNNNNNNNNNNNNNNNNNNNNNNNNNNNNNNNNNNNNNNNNNNNNNNNNNNNNNNNNNNNNNNNNNNNNNNNNNNNNNNNNNNNNNNNNNNNNNNNNNNNNNNNNNNNNNNNNNNNNNNNNNNNNNNNNNNNNNNNNNNNNNNNNNNNNNNNNNNNNNNNNNNNNNNNNNNNNNNNNNNNNNNNNNNNNNNNNNNNNNNNNNNNNNNNNNNNNNNNNNNNNNNNNNNNNNNNNNNNNNNNNNNNNNNNNNNNNNNNNNNNNNNNNNNNNNNNNNNNNNNNNNNNNNNNNNNNNNNNNNNNNNNNNNNNNNNNNNNNNNNNNNNNNNNNNNNNNNNNCAGCCGCCCCGCGGUCCCCCCCGGGGCAUUUCUAAGAGUCGCGGGAACAGCCCUGCCUCAAAAUGCUUCCCCGAAGUCAGGGUGCCUAUAAGCCCUAGUGUCCCCGAGACGGGAUGGCAUAACCUUGGUGGGGGGCGCGGGCGGAGUUGAUAGUUUUCAAAAUACCAAAAAUUGUGCCCGAAGGUCGGGUCGCCAAUAGCUUUUAAGUUGAAGGUAAAAUAUUCAAAAUAUUCAAAUAUUCAAAUAUUCAAAUAUUCUAAUAGAUUUAGCUACAGCUUGAGCCCUUGAUCUGGAGGUCAAAAAAUGCAAAUAAAUUUUCAAGCCCACGGUUGAGAUAGAAUUAAAUGCUCAUUCCAUGGGCACAAAUAAAAUUUAUAUAUAAAUGUAAAUUAUAAAUUAAUUAUAAACAAAUAAUUCAUGAUUGCACAUCGUAAUUGGUUAUUAAGUUGUUGUUUUCUAUGGUCGAAUCAAAAUUAGAACAUCGGUAAAUAAAAGUUAGAUUUAAAAGGUUCAUGGUACAAAAAAUAGUCAAAACAUGAGAGAAACGCAAAAUUAAGGGUCGAAAAAGCCCCCCAAGUUCCUUGGUGGCGAACGCGCGCUGCCUUGCCCUCGAGUGGGCACUGCUUCCCUCGCUUGAGCAUGGGCAGCCUUUUACCACUUCUUCUAAGUUUUCGAACUCCAUUUUCGAUGAUUUUUUGGUAGCCAAAACAUAGUUUCCCAUGUCCGCCAUCCAUGCAAAAAAUCUAAGCCCUUUCACGCGCGAAUAGAGGCUACCUUCGCGGGAAGUUCCCUGAAUAUUUGAAAAGAAGAUACGAAGAUUUAGCUACAGCUUGAACCCUUGACAUGGAGGUCAAAAUCACAAAUGAAGUUUCAAACCCACCACUGAGCCAACCUAAAGUCUAGUAACUAAUGGCACAAAUAUUAUUUAAAUGGAAAAGUAAAAUAUAAAUUAAUAAUGAAACAAAUAAUUAAUGAUCUCACAUCGUAAUUGGAUAUUUAAGUUGUUGUUUUCUGUGGUCGAAUCAAAAUUAAAACGUCUUAUGGUAAAAAAAUAUUAGGUUUAAAAAGUUCGUGGUACGAAAAAUAUGUCAAAACAUGAGAAAAUUGUAAAAUUAAGGGUUCAAAAAGCCCCCCAAGCUCCUUUGGAGCUUGACCACUGCAUUCGUCUCGAAAAGUUAUGCAGUUUAAAAAAAAAAAACACCUCAAUCGGACCUCUGAGCACAAAGUUAUCGCAUUUCAAAAACUUCGACCCUUUCCAAGCCGUGCAUCGGGCGCCAAUGGCACUAAAACGCACCGUUUCUUUUACCUCAUUAUAAAGCGGUCCUUUCCUCACAUAUUUCCGCGCACAUGAAACACAAAUUUUCAACUUCCCCAAAAAAACGUAUUCAUUGUUUCUCUAUUCCCUCGUCUCCCCUCGGGCAACCAGUAGUAGCUGAUGCCUCCUGUGCCUUAUCACGGGCUGUUUGCAUUGCUACAAGGUAUGGUGCUGUCCGUAGACAAUUCGGUUCAGAGAAUGGUGGCCCUCAGACCCAGGUAUUGCUAUAGAACCCAUUCCUUUUUAAUAUUAUUGAAAAAUAGUUUAAUAUUUGGGCAUCUGCCUUUUAUAUGCUUGCGCCAAACAAAAAUUCUGGUGAUUGCCGUGUGUGAUUAGGUUCAUGGUGCCCCGGCACCAUGACACUAAAACGCAACGUUUUUGUCACCUUCUAAAAGAUGAACCUUUCCUCACAUAAUUCCGCACAAAUGAUGCACACUAUUUCAACUUCCCCCCAAACCUUGUUAUCCUCUCCGGUUCCCAUUCAACUCAAAUAGAGGCUACCUUCGCGGGAAGUUCUCUUAAUAUUUGAAAAGAAGAUACGAAGAUUUAGCUACAGCUUGAACCCUUGACAUGGAGGUCAAAAUCACAAAUGAAGUUUCAAACCCACCACUGAGCCAACCUAAAGUCUAGUAACUAAUGGCACAAAUAUUAUUUAAAUGGAAAAGUAAAAUAUAAAUUAAUAAUGAAACAAAUAAUUAAUGAUGAUUUUGAUGAUAACAAACAAAAUUAAGAAUGAUUAGGCUUUUAAAAGUCCAAAUUAUUUUUUAUACAUUUUAAAUAAAUUAUUAUUUUGAUAAUAUAAAGGUUUUAUAUUUAAAGGAAAAGUGAUUUCAUAAAUUGAUUAUUUUCAAGUUAAUGUUUAAAUUGAAAUUUUUUUGAGAACUUUAAAAUCAACAAGUAUUGUUUUGAAAUUCUAGAAAUUAACCUAUUUGAAAUAUUUUAUAAAGUUUUCGGGCGGGUACGACCGGCGGGGGGUGGCCCGGGGGGCUAUAGCGCACGGCCUCGGGGGCCGCAAAGGGGCAGUAACUCAUGAUCUCGGCUGUCGAUUCCGUUUCCACCACCGCAUUCGUCUCGAAAAGUUAUGCAGUUUAAAAAAAAAAAACACCUCAAUCGGACCUCUGAGCACAAAGUUAUCGCAUUUCAAAAACUUCGACCCUUUCCAAGCCGUGCAUUGGGCGCCAAUGGCACUAAAACGCACCGUUUCUUUUACCUCAUUAUAAAGCGGUCCUUUCCUCACAUAUUUCCGCGCACAUGAAACACAAAUUUUCAACUUCCCCCGAAAAACGUAUUCAUUGUUUCUCUAUUUCCUCGUCUCCCCUCGGGCAACCAGUAGUAGCUGAUGCCUCCUGUGCCUUAUCACGGGCUGUUUGCAUUGCUACAAGGUAUGGUGCUGUCCGUAGACAAUUCGGUUCAGAGAAUGGUGGCCCUCAGACCCAGGUAUUGCUAUAGAACCCAUUCCUUUUUAAUAUUAUUGAAAAAUAGUUUAAUAUUUGGGCAUCUGCCUUUUAUAUGCUUGCGCCAAACAAAAAUUCUGGUGAUUGCCGUGUGUGAUUAGGUUCAUGGUGCCCCGGCACCAUGACACUAAAACGCAACGUUUUUGUCACCUUCUAAAAGAUGAACCUUUCCUCACAUAAUUCCGCACAAAUGAUGCACACUAUUUCAACUUCCCCCCAAACCUUGUUAUCCUCUCCGGUUCCCAUUCAACUCCCACCACCUAAUUUCUUAUUCUUUCCCCCAAAAAAUCAUUGUUUUUGUCACCUAAUUUCGUAUUCUAUGUCCUCUGAUCUUUAUACUUCUUCAUUUUGUCUUUGCAGGAACCGGAAUUAUGGGUACAUCACAAAUUCUCUGGGUGUGACUUGUGCUGUGGAGCCUUUUUUUUACAUUUCCAUAUUGCAAGUAUUUUUUUGCUACCAUUGGUAUAUUUGUCUGUUAAAAUCAAACUGCUUUCACUUAUGUUCGUGCGUUCUUGUUCCCUCGCCUUGCAAUUGCAUAUCUCAAAUUAUCUUUCUUACUCUGAUUUAGAUGGCCAAGGUUUUAAGCUAACUUUUUACAAUGCCAAUUUUUAAAUGGUUUUCUAAUGCUGUUCAAAGCUGCAGCCUUUACUUCGUUAAUCUUUUUUUUUUUUGUUUUUUAAAAGAAUUGCAGCCUUUACUUCGUAUAUUUGUCAGGUUCUGACGGGUGCGGUCGGCGGCGGGGGCUAUAGCAUGCGGUCUCGAGAGCCGCAAAGAAAAAUGGGUGGUUUUCCCGGUUUCGGCCAUAACUCGUGAUCGGGGCCUCCGAUUCUGGUUCCGUUUCGUCCCACGGGACCAGCCGGGCGGGGGCAUCGGAUUGCAAAAGUCUUUAAAUUUGAAUUUGAUUUAAGUUUAUAUAGUUUGAACACAAAAACUAGCCAUUACGGACAAAAACAACAAAUAGUCGGCUAGCCUAUUAAUUAGCCAGAUCGCCUCUUAAUACAGUGCAAGUUACCGUUGCAAUUUGAAUUUUGCUGCAGUGAUGCUAUAGUAACACUAUUUUUUAAAAUUUCAUUGUUACCUAAAACUUUUUUAUAAUUUGACUAUGACCCAAAAUGUCAUAAAAUUUUGCAAAUAUAUCAAAUUUCAGAAUUUCUAAAUAAUGCGCGUUAUUCUUAAAACUUUUUGAAAUUAUGCUAUGGCCUAAAACUUUAUAAUAUUUUUCAAAGAGAUUCUUCUCAGAAUUUUAACAUAAUGCUUAUUUAUUUCAAAGUUCCCAAAAUCUUUUUCAGUUUAAUCCAAACUUUGAAAAACACUCAAAUCCUCAAAAUACUCGUCUUAUAAAUAUAAAAUCUUUUUGUUUAUAAAAAGUAAUGAUUUAUUAAAUAAAAUCUUGAGCUUUUUCAAUGCUAAACUAUACAUAUAUCAAAUCAUACUGGCUUUAUAAGAAUUUGUUGCAAUAAUGACUCCGCAGAGCUAAACUUUGCUCUUGAUCAAGCCAUUAUCCGUUGAGUGCCUUGAGCUUGACUUUACUUGAUUCACUUGCAUAAAUAUCAUCCUUCAAGAACUAGUGAUAUUGUGAAAAAUAAUAUUUAUCAUAUCACUUAAGAUACAUAUUUGUUAGCAUUAAAAUUACAAUAUGUGUAGCCCUUUAGGCUAACAGCUACAGCAUCUUCAUUGUUUCAUACUUGUUUUAUUUCCUCUGUAGCCAAGUUCUUUUGUCAUCUCUGCAAGUCUUUGCAGCAGCAUUUCAUCCCUAAUACUUGAGCUUUUUGGUCACCUACAAUAAUGCAUAUAAUCUAAGCACAAAAUGAUCUAAAAUAAAAUAAAUUUAUUAGAAAUAAACUUAAAUGGAUGAUCAUGCAAAAUAUAAUUAAAAUGCAACAAAAAUACAUCAUUUACUCUCUAAGUAAUAUUGAUUUAAGUCUAAAAGUGCAAUGAUAACUUUCAUUUCAUAGAGUUAUCACUCUUCCUUCCCCUAAUUUAUAUUGUACAAAUUUUAUUGUACUCAUAAGAGCACGAAUCUAUUGUAAUAUAGACUUAUGGUGACGAAUGUCGAUCCCAUAAGGAGGUAGAUUUAAUUAUGUGUUGUGUUAAUUUUCUAAGUGUGUAUGUGAAUUGGCUGAAGAUGAUUUUUAAGUAACACUAAGAUUUAAAAUAAAAAUGGCAUGAACAAAUUAAGGAUAAAAAUAAUUCAAAUAAAACACUUGAGUCUCUAGACUCACACUAAAUAUUUCACCAUGGGUUUAGUAUUCCUUUUCUAUUUCAAUGAAUUUAUGAGAGGGUAUCUCCACUCCUCAUAAGCCUCACUCUAAUAAAUAUGGUAUCAAACGCUUAGUGUGCUAGAGGAUAAUGACCUUCCACUAAGUUUGGUGUCAAGUAAAUGUUAUGCGAGACGAUAAUAAUCAUCAUGUCGACAACAUGAUAAGAUCGUUCACUAAAUAACUUAAAUGCAUUUUCUGUCAACACUAAGUUAAGACAACCCACAAAUAUUAGAGGGGAUUCUCUUUCUAAUAAAUAUGGUGUGGAAUACUCAUUGUGUCAGACAGUAACAAUCUUUCACCGAUGAGCCAGUAUACUAUGCAAAAUCUAGACCAGGUACAUUAUCUAUCAACAAUGAGUCAAAAAAACAACAUAAAUCAAAGAGGAAAAAGAAAAUAAACUUACAAGAUUAAGCCCACAAAUCAUGUUAAGACUUCACCUUCAACCGAAACUUAAAAUUAAAUUAGCCACUCAUGAUUGAACAAGGGGUAAAAUGGUAAUUUUAUUAAAAUACAUAAGAAAUACAAGAUGAAAAGAGAAUUAUAGAAAGCAGAGCUCGAAUUUGAAUUCAGAGCUAUCAAAUUACGAGGAAGCUUCCUAUUUAUAAAUGCAAUAAGUAAAUUAUGGCCAUCGGAUAAAAAAGAUUUGGACGCUCAGGAUUACAUCAUGUGGCAAGAUUUAUUUAGUCGAAACACUUCAUCAAGUCCAAUAAAUACGGUCAUAUCAUCAGUCAAUGUCACAUCAUCAGUCAAUGUCACAUCAUGUGUCAACUACAUAUUAGCAUUUUUUGAUCCAAUACGAUGUCACCACAUCAUCUGGUCACGUCUGUUGGUAAAAUGCCACGUCAAUUAAUCAAUGCCACGUCAUCUAUGCCCCACUAAAAUUUUAAAAUUACGAUUUUGCCUUUUAUGAACUUCCUAAGAUUUUUAGUUGUUUUGAGCUUAAAAAUACUAUUUGUUUUGCUGUACGACUUCUCUUUAAUCGUGAAAUGAUCAAAAUACCCCUGAAAUACAUAAAAUACUCAAAUUCUAACAAAAAAACACAUAAUUAAAGUUUAAAGGACUUAAAUACAUAAAGCUAGAAAUGUUAGUAAGGCUUACAGUGCAAAAUGAUGAUUUUACCUUCUAUAAAUAUGCAUUUUCCAACACUCAACAAUUUAUAUUCACAUACUUUUCAUUUAUAAGUAUGUUUCACUAUCAUUGAUAUAUUUUGCUAGAUCUCGUGGUCUCUUCAUGUUAAUAUAUAUGCGUGUGUAAACUAUCAACUCAAAUUUCAACCCCAAAUCUCUUAAACCCGCAUAGGUAGUGCGCCACCUUGCCUUAGCAAAUGGGGUUGUCAUUUACAAUGUUUAUAAAUAAUGAAGGAAAGUGUGUGCUUCGGACAAUCCAAAUUUUGAUAGAAGAGUGGAAUCUUUAAACACACAAAGCCUAAAUGUAGUUUAUAAUAUUUCUUACUGAGUGAAUAGAAAAGUUAAGGGUCAAGGCCUCUGUAAAAAGCAAUGUUGUGUGUAUUCAUUUUUAUUUUAUUAAAGCAAAAAAUCUUUAGGUGCUUAAAGGCACAUAGCCUCUGCUGGUGUUGUCGAGUGGCUGUCCAAGUGAUGCUUACCGCAUUAAAGAGAAAAGGCAUGUGACACCUAUCAUGGUGGUGAUGGCUGAUGGAGAAUCAGGGUUUGAUUCUGAAAAGGAAGCCUGAGAAAUGGCUACUACAUCUAUGAAAUGCAAAUUAUGCAAUCCAAGAGGGGGGUGAAUUAGGAUUUUAAAACUUAUCCUAAGCAAACUGCACAACAAUUCAAUCUAAUACCUUAAUGGAAUUGAAAAAAAUAAAUUUAAUCGAGCACAAUAAUAAAAGAGUAAGGGAAGAGAAAACAAACACAAGGAUUUUUACGUGAUUUGGCAAUCUCCACCUACGUCCACACCUCCAAGCAGACCAAGCUUGAAGAUUUCACUAUCCAAGCCUCCCAAGACUUCAAAUGCUUACAAUUGACUUCCAAAGUGUCAAUGAACCUUUACAACAAAGAGAUUAUCUCUCAAUCUCUUCACACAAGAGUUCCUUACACUUAUACACUCACAAAUUUGAUGAGAAAAAUGAAGAUUACAACGAAAACCCUCUUUUAGAGUGGAUAUACAAAUAAUAGCACAAUGGUGAUUCAAAAUGAUUAUUUGCAAAAUGGAAGCUCAAUAUAUGUUAUAUGAUCUUAUUUAUGCUUGAAUUAGUCUCUAAAAUGAAGUUGGAGUUGGAUUUUUAUAGAUAAAGCCCGAAAACUAGUUGUCAUAAGUAAAUUCCCGCGCCCAAGCAGUUAGCUGCUGAAUUUUGCCAGCUAGCAACUCCAGUACAGUAAAGUUGCCAUUAAAUUUGAAUUUGCUACAGUAACACUUUUCAUAAAAUUACAUUUUUACUCAAAACUUUUUAAUCUAAAUUACUCAAAUUCGCAAAAUACUUUAUCUUAUAAAUAUAAAACCUUUUAGUUUAUGAAAAGUAAUUAUUUAAAUAAACUCUUAAACUUCUCAAAUGCUAAAUCAUACAUCAAUUAAAUCAUACCAGCUUUACAAGAAUUUAUCACAAUAAUUUGUCCGUUGAGCUCUAAACUUUAUCCUUGAUUUCGCCGUUGUUCGUUGAGUGUCUUGAACUUGAUUUCACUUGAUUCACUUGAUUCACUUGCAUAAAUAUUAUCCUUCAAAAACUAGUGAAAAAUGUGAAAUAUAAUAUUUAUUAAAUCACUUAAGACACAUGUCUGUUAUCAUCAAAAUUACAUUAUGUGUAGCCUUUUAGGCUAAUAAUCUAAGGAAAGCAGCAGGCGCGCGAAUUUACAAUCCUCACACGAGGAACUAGUGACAAUAAAUAACAAUACUAGUUGUAUAAGUCAGUAAUUGGAAUGAGUACAAUCUAAAUCCCAGCAUAGUAUUAAAUCACUUAUUAAAGGAAGACUUAUGCUAGCAGCAUAGUAAUUUAAGCUCCAACAGCAUAUAUUUUAAUUGUAGUUAAAAAGCUCGUAGUUGGUCCUUGGAUUGGAUUAUCUGAUCCUCCUCACGGUGUACACUGGCUCACUUGUCCCUUUUGCAUUGAUGCGCUUUUGGCCUUAAUUUAUCGAGUCAUGCCAUCGGCGUUAUUACUUUAAAGAAACUAGAGUGCGCAAAGCAAUGCCUAUGCUCUAUAUAUAUUAGCAGAGGAUAACAUUGUAGGAUUUCGGUCAUAUUCUGUUGGCUUUAGGAAUCUGAGUAAUGAUUAAUAUGGACAAUUAGGCCAUUAGUAUUUCAUAGUAAAUGGUGAAAUUCGUAUAUUUAUAAGGCAAACAACUACAAAAGUGUUUGUUAAAUGAUGUUUUCAUUAAUCAAGAACGAAAAUUGGGCAUCAAGAUGAUCAAAUACCAUCUUAGUCUCAACCAUAAACAAUGCCAACUAAGGAUCAGCGGAUGUUACUUUAAUAACUCCGCUGACAUUUUAUGAUAAAUCAAAGUAUUUGAUUUAUGAGGGAGUAUGGUCAUAGGACUGAAACUUAAAGGAAUUAAAAGAAAGGCACCACUAGGAAUACAGCCUGCGCCUUAAUUUGACUCAACAUGGGAAAACUUACUAGGUCCAGACAUAAUAAGGAUUGACAAGGAAAUCUAACAAGAAAGCAUGGUCUCUCUCUCCACUAGAGCACUCAUCUUCCCCCACUAGAGCGCUCCUCCUCUCCCCUUGCCGUGAGUAGAGGUGCUCGUCUUCCUUUUGGUGGCGAAACAAUAAACCUCAACGUGGACCAUGCCAAGGAAAUCUAAUAUAAUUGUAGCUUUAGCAGCCACGAAGAUAGUGCAUCUCAACAACGAAAAUAUCGACUCUAGCAUUGAUAAAGAAUGUAGGGAAAUGUGAUACUUGGUGUGAAUUGUAGAAUUCCAUGAAUCAUCGAGUAUUUGAACACAAGUUGCGCCCCAAGCCAUUAGGCCAAGGGCACGUCUGCCUAGAUGUCACGCAUCAUUGUCCCACCCCAACCCCCGAACCAAUAUGGGGGCCUACUAGUGUAGGUGAGAAUCGGCGUCCUAUACGCUCCCCACUCGCAGUUGGCCCAAGUUCGAGUCCUCAGUGACCAAAGCUAUGAUGAUCAAUGGUAAAAGAAAAGCCUCUUGAGCUCUCGUCAUGCGCCUGAUCUUCGCGAGGGGACUCUGUGACCCUGACACUUUGCUUAAGCGCUCUUACAUCACAAUCCUAAGUCAGGCAAGAUUAACUGCCAAGUUUAAGCAUACCAAUAAGCGAAGGAAAAGAAACUUAUUAGGAUUUCCUUAGUAACAGCAAGGGAAUCAGGAAAAGCCCAACUUAAAAGUCGGGCAUCCUAACAUUCGAAUUAUAGUAUGGAGAAAUGUCCUCAAUGGCCGACUGGGCCCAAGUCCCCUAGAAAAGAGUGUCCAAGAGAGUGAGAGCCUUGUCGCGCUCAAACCUUAUCACACCAUGAGGCGUUGUUUGCGAGUAGGUUUUUUAUUAUUAUUACGUAAAUUGCUCCUGUAGGUUAUCUUUAGGCAAACUUUCCAUUUUAAUUUACUUCGCUUGUAAAUAUUUUGAUGAAAAAAUCAUUGAAUAAAAUUCAAACUUUUCAUCAUUUUUUUUUUCUCUUCACUUGUAUAUAUAUUGAUGAAAAAGCAUUGACUAAAAUUGAAGGUUUUCAUCACUUCUUUUACCAGUAGCAUAUCAUUUUCAUCACUCAUUUAUCUGUAGCAUAUUCGAUACAACAUAUAAGAGUUUGAGUCCAAUUUAAUUAAUUCAGUGAGAUAUAUCUUCGAUGUGUAUUCGUAAUCUGACGUUACAUAAUCUUAUGUUUAUCUGAAUAUACCCAAAUUGAGGCAUUUAUAUAUUAUAUACUUAGAAAUGUAUAUCAAAAAAGAAAACACAAAACAAAGAAAUUUGAGAUAGUGAUAUGACUGGUAGAGAGAAAUGAACAGUUAUAUUAAACAGCUCAGCUCACGUGAUAUUUCUAAUUAGUAGGACGAUCGCCUUCUCGGCUUCUCCAAUCCUAAUAGGCACAGCUAGUUGGUGGAACUGCUGCAUAUUGUUUGUCCAUGACCUCAAUAAGUUUGUUGGCUAUAGAACCAGCAUAAACAGAAGAGCCUUCAUAAAUCUGCAAAAUUAUUAGAAAUAUAAAUAUAUAAAUUUAAAACCCACGCCAUAAAAUUAUUGUAUGAGGCUAAAUUGAUUAAUUUUAUGCAGUGUAGAUAAAAUGAAAAGGACUUACUUUGGUGUUGAAGAGAAAGCUAUAGUAAUCGCCGAUGUGGCCACCAGCAACAUGGUGGAGAUCCAGCUGAAGCUCGUCAAGAACCCUGGAAACAAACAACAAACAAUCGAUCUUCUUUCGCUGAACGAGUUUGAUAGUGACUUCAUCGUCAAUGAUGCGAACAUCAACCUCAGUAUCCUUCGAUUUUCUCUGAAGCCAAGAGCUUCUUAAAGAUGAAUUGUAAGACUGAUCUGCAGGGUCAACAAGUGGCUUCAUACCCUCAUCGUCGUCUUCUGUCCUGUGCCUCUUUCUCCUCUCACGAACACACCUCUUUUUCUCCACGAGCAAUUUGAGCUCAUUGACUGUUCUGAGAAGUUCUUUGAUGUACUCGAUAGCAUCUCCCACAACUGAUGCUCUAUCAUUCUUUCGUUGUUGUUGUAGCAUAAACAAAAUAAAUAAUUCAGGGAUCCGGGGCGGUCAGAGAAUCAAAGAUUAGGAAUCAAGGGACUUACAUGAUACAUACCUUGGUCGGAUUAGGAACCAAAUCCUUCAAGGCCUUGAACUUACCAUUCAACUGUUCUCUCCUUUGGCGCUCGGUAGCGAAGUGUUUAGUGGGCUUGCCUGCGGUUUCCCUUCUCCUUCCAAUACAGCCCAGGUCCCUAGAGAACUCCAGGACCCUAUUAUCUAAGUGGACUCCAACAUCACCGUCUUCGUAAAAGGCUCCAGUAGCAUCCCUUUCAUCUCCAAUUUCUCCAAACAAAGAAUUAGCAGCAGCUCUUGAGGCGGAGGCGGGAAAGCUGUAGCCAUGGGGUAUAGAUUGGAAUAAUUCUCUGAACAAAGGAGGCUGUGGUUGCGGGGGCAAGUUGAGAUGAAACAGUGGAUCAUACAAAACAUCUGUGGACGUUGGUGGAGGGACAGGGAAGUGGUGAUCUGGGUUAGUGAAGGAAAUGGAAGAAUUUGGUGGGAGCAUGGAGGAGGUUGUGCAUCUGGGAAAUUGUAGGAGAUUGAGAAGGGGUGGCGUUUGGGAUUGGGCAAAUGAAGAGGAAAUAUCGGUGUUAAUGAAGCUUUGUUGGGAUUGGUCAUUUUCAUUCUGAUCGAACCCCCCCAUGUGAUCAGCACUGACGACACCCGAAUCCCAGUUGGAGUGAGAGUGUUCAUAUGGCGGAAGUAUCUGAUGAUUCUGAUUGGCCGGAUCGUGAAUCGAAUGGGUAUUACUGUUGAUGCUAAUGCUUUGUGUAUGAGUGUCUUCCACGUUGAAGGCCAGAUGCUUUUGAAGUUCGAGUUCGAUGGCAGAAACAGCAGCAUCAUCUUCUUUGUGAUGUUUCACAGAUUGAGAAAUACCAUCAUCUCCACCUUCAGCCAUGGAGUUGGGAUCAAAGCAACCUGUCUCCUCAUACAUUUUUGGAUGGUUAUCUGGUGGUUGUCGUCUGUCUGUCUGCAUAUAUCAGUUUACACUUAGCACAAACAAAAACUAAAUAAAACAAGUACCGGUAGCAAAAGAAGUAUAAAUUAAAAAAAAAAUUACUAGAAAAUUAAUUUAUGGUUUUUUAUAUGUGUGUAUAUGUAUAUAUAGACCUUGGAGCUUGAGCACUUUGUACCUGCAGCAAAAAGAAACAAUGAAUGAAAAUCAACGAAGGAUGGAUUUUGUUUAAGAGCGAGAGGAGUCUAGAAUUUUGCAGAUAAAAAAAAUUAAUAAAAAAGAUGGGAUCAGGGAGAAGUAGAAGAGUUUGAGAGCGACUUCCCCUCUGCCUCUCUCUUUCUCUCUCUCUCUCUCUCAUUCUUAUUACUGUUCUGCAGAGUUUGUUACUGAGAUUCCCACUUUGGGGCCCACUCACAACAUCCGUAUUCUCUGUUUCAGUCCGCGUGACUCCAGCUCUGGCUCUUUCUCUCUUCCUUACGUAUUUCCGGGUCUUUUCCUUGCAUUCACUUACAACAAGAAACAACCACCAGCGUUUGGUGCACCACCUGCAUUUUGGUCCUUACGCAUUGAGUAGGUAUGCCGCUUCUUUCUUGAAAAAAUAUACUGUUAUGUUCUUAAUGUACAAAAAUCAAUCACAGGCCAAAAAAAACGAUGGUAAAUUAUCAUCCAAACUAAAAGAAAUGGUAAAUUAUCAUCCAAACGAAAAAAAAAAAUUGUGAAAUAUCCUUUUUCGGCAUCUUCUUGUAUUUUGACACUUUCAUUGUUAUAGUUACUCAUAGGGUUAUUUCCACCCUGCCUUAAAAUGUUUUGAAAUUUUCCACUGUACACCCAAAUGUUUCAACAAUUUCUAAUUCGCUUUCAUCUUCGUUAAUUGGAUAGAAUAUCAAAAAUGUCUUGAAUUAAUUGAUAUUUAUAUUAAAAAUUAUUAAUUAAGAUAAUUAAACAAUAAUCUCAUCAAUUAGCUUCUCAAAUAAAUUUAAUUUAUCAUCGUCAAAUAAUAUUUAGGACAUAAAUUUUUAAAUUUAUCUUUUAACCGUUAUAAUAAAUAGUCAAAUUAAUGAAUUUAAGUGCAUGGCAAAAAUUAUCGAAAUAUUUAGGGACACGGUAAAAAAUAUCAAAAUACCUUGAAACAUGGCAGAAUUAUCCCUUACUGUUAUUAAAUUUCAUCUUUCUUCGUCCAAAAGAUAAAAAGAAAAAGAAAAAGUCAUUAAUCAUUAAAAAAAAAAAAAACAGUGGCAUAGUUGUAAUUGAGAGAAUUCACGCAAUUUGUGCCUAAGAUUUUGUGGUUCUAUUCUGUAACGAGUAAAGAGAGUGAGUUAGUUUUGGUUGCAACUGUUAAUUAAUUAAUCUUUCUUUAUACUUUGACAAUUGACAGUUUGGGGUGUGGACCCCACUGAUCCUUCACACCAGACGCCCGCUCAAACUAACUAUUAUUAUUAUUACAACGGUUUAGCCUUCAACGACCACAUCACGUCAACACGUCCAGGAUACUUUUGGUUUUGUGAAUGGGAUUGGUUCUCCGCAAUCCAGCGCCAGUCUCAAGACUCUCAGGUAUCAAAUAAUUUGGUCGUAGCUUAAGGAAAAGUUUGUGCGCUGCCUACUGCCCGCUUAAUCGACGAGUCAAUUAGGAAACCUGAUCUUUAUUUAAUAAUUUUAACAAAAAUAAUAUAAAUAUUAUGAUUUUUAAAUUUUUAAAUUUAUCUUUUAACCGUUAUAAUAAAUAGUCAAAUUAAUGAAUUUAAGUGCAUGGCAAAAAUUAUCGAAAUAUUUAGGGACACGGUAAAAAAUAUCAAAAUACCUUGAAACAUGGCAGAAUUAUCCCUUACUGUUAUUAAAUUUCAUCUUUCUUCGUCCAAAAGAUAAAAAGAAAAAGAAAAAGUCAUUAAUCAUUAAAAAAAAAAAAAACAGUGGCAUAGUUGUAAUUGAGAGAAUUCACGCAAUUUGUGCCUAAGAUUUUGUGGUUCUAUUCUGUAACGAGUAAAGAGAGUGAGUUAGUUUUGGUUGCAACUGUUAAUUAAUUAAUCUUUCUUUAUACUUUGACAAUUGACAGUUUGGGGUGUGGACCCCACUGAUCCUUCACACCAGACGCCCGCUCAAACUAACUAUUAUUAUUAUUACAACGGUUUAGCCUUCAACGACCACAUCACGUCAACACGUCCAGGAUACUUUUGGUUUUGUGAAUGGGAUUGGUUCUCCGCAAUCCAGCGCCAGUCUCAAGACUCUCAGGUAUCAAAUAAUUUGGUCGUAGCUUAAGGAAAAGUUUGUGCGCUGCCUACUGCCCGCUUAAUCGACGAGUCAAUUAGGAAACCUGAUCUUUAUUUAAUAAUUUUAACAAAAAUAAUAUAAAUAUUAUGAUUUUUUUAUCAUAUAAGUAGUAAAUUAAUUUAAUUUAAUUUUUAAAUUAUAAUAUUUAGUGUUAGUAAAUACUUUAGUAUAGUAACUUAAAAAUUACAACUUUCUAAUCUUAAUAUCAAAUAAAACUUAAGAACCAAACUUUUACAAUUGACAAGUUUGUACAUACAAGUUAUUUGAACGUCUCUCCUCUCUGUUCAGACAGAUGAAUCAUAGAUGUUGAAACUUAAACGACAGCUGCUUAAUUUUCAGUAGCAAAUUAUUCUACUAAAGGAACUGUCUAACAAAUUUUGAAAAACCAUAAGGACAUAACCAAUCAUUACAUGACAGACGAAGACAAAUAGAUCGAGAAAUGACAAUAAGUGAAAGAUUGUUUUCACUUAUUAGUCCAAGGAUGUGAAACCACCAUUACAAAAUCUUUUACCGUCCACAUUUGAUGAACCAUUUCCAUAGAAGCAAUUUCCUCACCUUAUAUGUACCGCUACAAAGUUUCAAAAUUAAUGCAGGCGUGCGUGUGUAUAUAUAGGAAAACUUCGUUGCCAAAAUAUUCCUUAAAAAAAAAUCAUUACCAAAUUAAUAUGUUUCUCUCUCGUUUUUUUUUUUUUUGGGUCUAAAGUUUUGAAUGUUAUUAGAAUUUUACAUAAUAAACAUUGGCAUAAAGCUUUAAAAAGGGUUUUGCACAGAGGCUUUGCAUCAUAAUUAAAAUUUAAAAGAAUCUGCUGCUGACCAUAAGGUACUACAUAAUAAAAUCAGAAAAAAAAAAUCUCUCUUUUUCUCUGCAGUCCGUACUCUUGCCUGGCCAUUUUAAUCCACUGGCUUUAAGGCUCAAAGUAUGCCUGGAGACUUUAAUUGAAAAGUAAAUUAAGAAUCAGAAGCAUGAUGACCUAGUGGAAACCAAGAUUCAAGCACACAAGAUGACAAGAAGACGCAAGAAUGUUCAAGUCCUACUACAACUUCAGCCGAGAAAAGUGUAAAUGCCUCAUUGUUUCUACUUAGUUGUUUGUAAAUUCGGUUCAAGGGGAAAAAAAUUGUUUGUACCGGAAAUAUUCGGCCAGAUUCAUCACUCCUAUCUUGCUCUGGAUAUUUUGUGCUUCCUUAAGGCAUUUUACAGUUCAAUCUUCUUCAAACAGAAGAAUUAAAAAUUUUGUUGAAGGGCAGCCUCAAUUCUUGCAGAAGAACACAGAUAAAUCUAUGACUUUAUAAUCAAUUCUGUAAAUAGCUGACGCAUGAAAGCCUAGUUGGUCAGAUCAAGUUUGGUGUCUUUGAUCAUUUAUUGGCACCAUCAUGUCGAAAUCUAUUUCAGAAGGAACUUUCAAAUCAUUUGCAUCUUGUAGUCAAGGACUGCCUUCUUGCAAUGCUCAAGAUUCUGGAAAUCUAGCUAAAACCCUUUUGAUUUUGUCAUUACCACCAGUCACCAGAGACUUUUAUGCAGUUAGAGCUGUUGGCAAGGUAUCUCCUCACAAUCUUCCAACUACCAUGUGAGGUGUUGAAGACUAGUUGUCAUUAUAUAACACAAACUAAGUACAUAAAAAAUUAUCUUGAAAGCUUGCUUUUCAUUUCAGUUUCCCGGUAACAGCUGCAGUAAUUCUAGCAUGAAAAUCAAAGACUUUCAUUUACAGAAAUUCACUAUUACAAGCAUUUCAAUGGAACAUAUGUAGAAAGUAUCACCAGUAAAACAACACUUAUGAGAGAUGCACUUGUGAUAACACUUCAAAGUGGAUUCAUUGACGACUAAUUGAAAACUUUGUAUUGACAAGAACAAGAUAUGUGAUUGACUAAAAUUCUCUCACUUGGUUCAAAACACACUGAAGUUCCCCAAAGUUCUUGAUAUCAAACCCAGUGAAUGGAGAUCAACAGAGCAAAAUUGAAAACAUUUCUUGAUCUCCAUUUAUAGAAUGUAUCCAUGAUUCUUUGACUGAUGCAUUAUUUCAUCCAGCAGCUUGUAUAUCUCUAAAGUUUUUGGGUGUGAUUUGUCUCCCUUUCUGAAUUCAUAAAACUCACCAUAAACUUCGACUAAACUACAACCAGGAGUCUUCUUCACCUUCCUUUCUUUCAUUUUCUUUCUCAACUUCAAUGCUUCCUUCCAUCUGUUUUUAGAGGAAUAAAUGUUGGUCAUGAGUAUAUAUGCACCAUCUCCCUCAGGUUCAAACCUCACCAAAUUUUCCAUAACAAUUUCUGCAAGCUCAACUUUUGCAUGAAUUUUACAUGCUCCCAGCAAUGCCCCCCAAACAAAGGCAUCAGGCACAAGUGGCAUACUUUUUAUGAGAUCAAGUGCCUCCCUUAUUAGUCCAGCACGACCAAAGAGGUCAACCAUACAACCAUAGUGCUCAGUUUGAGGUUGUAGGUUGUAGACCCUUGACAUGUCCAAAAAAUGUUUACAGCCUUCCUCUACUAACCCUGCAUGACUACAAGCAGAGAGGACACCGACAAAUGUUACUUCAUCUGGUUCUAUUCCGACUUGAGACAUCUCAGAGAAUAUAUCCAAAGCUUUCCAAGCUUUCCCAUGAAUAGCUAAGCCAACGAUCAUGGCAGUAUAUGAAUAGACAUCUCUGCAUUUCAUACUUCGAAACACCCCAAAGGCCUGAUCUAUCCUUCCACAUUUAGCAUACAUAUCGACAAGUGCAUUUCCUAUAAAACCAUCAGUGUUGAUAUGAUUUUUAUCCAAGUAUGUAUGAACCCACUUGCCCAACUCAAGCCACCCUAUAUUAGCACAAGAAUUCAGAACACAGACUAAUGUAAAGUCAUCGGGCUUAAGACCUAAACCUUGCAUUCUCCGGAAUAUGUCCAAUGCUUCCUUGAAUUGGCCCCGAUGAGUCAGGCCCGCUAUCAUGGAGUUCCAAGAAACCACAUUUUUAACAGGCAUCUCAUCAAAUACCUUACGAGCAGAAGGUAUGUUACCACAUUUCAAGUACAUAUCGAUCAAUGCAUUGUGGAUGAAGACAUCUGGACUGAGAUUGAAAUGAUUAUCAGUGAUAUACCUAUGAAUCUUAAUACCCAAACUCAAAUCUCCCAAUUUGGAGCAAGCAGAGAGCACAAUUACGAGGAUCAUCCCAUCGGGUCUUAGAUUGGCUUGGCACAUGUCGAAGAAAGAAAGAAUGGCCUCGGUAGGAUAGUCCAUCUUAACGUAAGCUUGAAUUAGGGUGGUCCAGGAGACCAAAUCCCGUUGAGCUUGAGGGUGUUGACGGAAGUGGAACAACUUGUGAACAGCUUUGAUGAGCCCACAAACAGCAUAUAGUCUCAUCAAAGUGUUGAAAACAUACACAUUAGAUAGCAAAGCCGUCUUCAUGGAAUAGGCGUGAACCUGCUGGCCUACUCUGAGCGACUGAGACUGCCAACAAGCCUUAAGAACAUAAGGUAGGGUGUAAGUGUUGGGAAGAAGGCCUUUUAUCAGCAUCUCUCUAUAUAGAGCAAUUGCUUCCAAGGGGUUGGCAUUCGAAAGACAUUGGAUGAUGAAAUUAUACAAGUAAACUUGUGGAUUUUGCAAGCUGAGGUUUUCAAUUUCAUUGCCUCGCGAGAGCGAGAUGAUUUUAUCAUACAAUAUUUGAGUUUGGUGUUGGGGAGACCCUGUUUUGAUGAUGAAUGCAUGAAAUUGUUUCAGCUGUCCAACAGAUUUUGAUGAUUCUAGUCUCGGACUCUGAUGAAGAAGAGAUAAUUGCUGGAAAGUAUUAAUGUCAUUGUACCUACUCCCACUCGCAACGGUGAGAGGGCUUGCCAUUUUCUCCUCCUUUCUAAAAAUUCAUAAGAUCUGAAAAAAAAAAUUGUAAUCAAUCUACUUGCAGCGUCGGGUUUUUUUUUUUUUUUAAUUAUUAGUGUACCACCACUAUUGAACCUUAUAUUUAUUUAACUAUUAUAAAAUUUUAAUAUAUUUUCUAUUUUAUUUUUUUAAUUCAUUNNNNNNNNNNNNNNNNNNNNNNNNNNNNNNNNNNNNNNNNNNNNNNNNNNNNNNNNNNNNNNNNNNNNNNNNNNNNNNNNNNNNNNNNNNNNNNNNNNNNNNNNNNNNNNNNNNNNNNNNNNNNNNNNNNNNNNNNNNNNNNNNNNNNNNNNNNNNNNNNNNNNNNNNNNNNNNNNNNNNNNNNNNNNNNNNNNNNNNNNNNNNNNNNNNNNNNNNNNNNNNNNNNNNNNNNNNNNNNNNNNNNNNNNNNNNNNNNNNNNNNNNNNNNNNNNNNNNNNNNNNNNNNNNNNNNNNNNNNNNNNNNNNNNNNNNNNNNNNNNNNNNNNNNNNNNNNNNNNNNNNNNNNNNNNNNNNNNNNNNNNNNNNNNNNNNNNNNNNNNNNNNNNNNNNNNNNNNNNNNNNNNNNNNNNNNNNNNNNNNNNNNNNNNNNNNNNNNNNNNNNNNNNNNNNNNNNNNNNNNNNNNNNNNNNNNNNNNNNNNNNNNNNNNNNNNNNNNNNNNNNNNNNNNNNNNNNNNNNNNNNNNNNNNNNNNNNNNNNNNNNNNNNNNNNNNNNNNNNNNNNNNNNNNNNNNNNNNNNNNNNNNNNNNNNNNNNNNNNNNNNNNNNNNNNNNNNNNNNNNNNNNNNNNNNNNNNNNNNNNNNNNNNNNNNNNNNNNNNNNNNNNNNNNNNNNNNNNNNNNNNNNNNNNNNNNNNNNNNNNNNNNNNNNNNNNNNNNNNNNNNNNNNNNNNNNNNNNNNNNNNNNNNNNNNNNNNNNNNNNNNNNNNNNNNNNNNNNNNNNNNNNNAAAAAAGAAAUUAUUUCAACUGCUGUACCGUACAUCCGCCUUGGCCGUACAGCAGUAAUUUUGUAAAAUUUUAUUAAAAUAACUGAAUUUAUUUAUUAAAAAUCCGAAAAUUUUAAUAAUCUAGGGGAUUUUUAUUAAAUCCCAAAAUUUUGCGAUUAUUUUUAUAAUUAUAAUUUUUUAUUUUUUAAAAUUUUUAUAAAAUAAAAUGAUCUUUUAAUUUAUUUAAGAAUAAAAUUAAUAUUUUAUUUAAAUUAUUUAACGAUAUUAGUAUAAAAAUGACUAAUUGAUAUAAAUUUUAAAAAAAAGAUAGUGUUAAUGUAGAGAAUAUAUUAUAAUUUUAUAAUAAUUGGAUAAAAAUAAGAUAAAAUAAUUUUAUUUUUUUUUAGAAAAAGAAUCUACUUACUUCGACGUUACAAACAAACAAACAAACAGACUGCUGACUAAGUUUCACUUUCACCGGAGAACGCUUAAUUUACACAUUUAUCCCUUGAUUAAAAUUGACCAUUGCGCUGCCCUAACCAUACGGGCAACACCGAUGACAUAUUAAAAUGUAUUCUCCUUUACCCUUUCAUACAAUUUUGUAUUUUCAAUCAAAUUAAUUACUGCUAAUUAGAAAAUAAAUAAAUCGAAUUGUAAUUAAAAAAUUAAAAUCGAGGCUUGUUAGGGUUUUAGGUUGCGGUUCCGAAUUCACUAAUGUUGCUUGUGUUAGAUAAAAUAAAUAUAAAAAAUAAUGUAAACUCUUUUAUCUGUAUUUAUUAGAUUAAAAUACGAAAAACUAAUAUACAGAAGCGAGAGACGAUGAAUCAAAGGAAGGAACUCCAAAGAGGCAGCCUAGCCUAGUAAUAUUGGAGGAGUAGUCGACCAAGGCUGUAAAGAGUGUAACGGCCUAAAAGAAUUAAAAAGAGGGAAGAGAGAGAGUGACCUUCUUCUUCGCUGGGUCGCAAUCGCAAACAACAUCCAGACGUGCUGAAUUCAAUUGAGGAAGAAUAAAAAUGACGGAAUUCAUGGACCUAGAGGCGCAAGACGGGGUGAGGAUGCCGUGGAACGUGAUUCCAGGGACGAAGCAAGAAGCAAGCAACUGCGUGGUGCCAGUCUCAGCCAUCUACACUCCAAUCAAGGCAUUCCCUGUUAACAACAAUAGCAUGCCUAUUCUGCCAUAUGCUCCCCUUCGGUGUCGAACAUGCCGCUCAAUCCUCAAUCCAUUCUCCAUAGUUGAUUUUGCCGCCAAGAUCUGGAUCUGUCCCUUCUGUUUCCAACGUAAUCACUUCCCCCCUCACUACGCCUCCAUCACCGAUGAUAAUCUUCCAGCUGAGCUCUUCCCUCAGUACACUACCAUCGAGUACGAGCCUCCCGGUCCCGGUGAGAAAUCUUCAGUCCCUCCGGUUUUCAUGUUUGUUGUUGACACUUGCAUCAUCGAAGAGGAGAUGUCCUUUCUUAAGUCCGCUCUUUCUCAGGCCAUCGAUCUUUUGCCUGACAAUUCUCUCGUCGGUCUUAUCACUUUUGGUACUCUAGUUCAAGUUCAUGAAUUAGGAGGGUUUGGCCAGAUCAUCCCAAAGACCUAUGUCUUCAAGGGUUCUAAGGACGUUUCAAAGGACCAGCUUCUCGAGCAGUUGAAUUUCUUUAUCAAGAAGCCCAAGCCCUCUACGGGUGUCAUUGCUGGUGUUAGAGAUGGCCUGUCUUCUGAUACCAUUGCACGCUUCCUUGUGCCUGCCUUUGAUUGUGAAUUCACUCUCAAUUCUGUCCUUGAGGAGCUUCAGAAAGAUCCUUGGCCUGUUCCACCUGAUCAGCGCUCUACCAGAUGCACUGGCACCGCCUUAAGCAUUGCUGCCAGUUUAUUAGGUGCUUGCGUUCCUGGUUCUGGUGCUAGAAUCUUGGCUUUUGUUGGUGGUCCCUCCACCGAGGGUCCUGCUGCGGUAAACCUGCAAGCAUUUGUUUAUAAUUCUUAUUCUUUUAAAUAAAAUCAUUUUCACCAUUAAGCAUAGCCCACCAACAACUUCAUUUCAUAUUUCUUGCUUCUUCUUUUUAACAUAUAUAGAUUGUGUCCAAGAACCUAUCCGAGCCAAUUCGUUCACACAAGGAUCUCGAUAAAGAUUCUGCUCCUCAUUAUCAUAAAGCUGUCAAAUUCUAUGAUGCACUCUCAAAGCAGCUUGUACAUCAGGGACACGUUCUUGAUCUCUUUGCUUGUGCCCUUGACCAGGUACAUUUAAAAAUCUUAGCGCUCCUUUCAUGUGUUCCAAGCUAAUUUCUAAUUGUUUCUCUUUUCUCUCUAGGUAGGGGUUGCUGAACUCAAAGUUGCAGUUGAGAAAACUGGAGGGCUUGUUGUGCUUUCUGAUAGUUUUGGCCAUGCAGUAUUCAAGGAUUCCGUUAGGCGUGUUUUCCACUCUGGUGACUAUGAUCUUGGACUAUCAUCAAAGUACGGCUUCAUGAAUUUCGUCUUAUACUUCUUUUUGUCUAGAAUUGCAGACUAUCCCUUGCCUGUUUUAACUAUUAUUACUCCACUUUACAAAAAAUAUUUAUUGCUUGCCAAGUUGAUAUAUGCUUACAUGCAUGGAGCUGACUCUCUGUUUCAACAAGAUCUUUCGCUGUCCGAACAUUAUUGAAUUUAGAAUUACUGGAACAGGGUAUCUAUCUUAGUCUCUUUCUUUUGGCAUGCAGUGGUAUAUUUGAGAUUAACUGCUCCAAGGAUAUCAAAGUUCAGGGUAUUAUUGGCCCCUGUGCAUCUCUGGAAAAGGUACAAUAGAAAUUAUUUACAAAGUUCCUCUAGUCUGGGUGGCUGCAUUUGUAAUGUCUAAUUGUUAGCUAUUUGGUGCAGAAAGGUCCUUUGUGCUCUGAUGCUGUUGUUGGUCAGGGUAAUACCAGUGCAUGGAAGAUGUGUGGCCUUGAUAAAGCUACAUCUUUGUGUUUAGUUUUCGAAAUUGUAAAGAAAGAAAUCCCUGAUGCUACUUUACAAUCUACAAACAAUCAAUUUUACUUCCAAUUUUUGACUUAGUACGAACUUCACCUUCCUGAUUAUACUUUUCUUUCCAUUGUGCUUGACAAAGAUGAAACAUUUGACUUCUUAUUGUUAUUUUGCUACAGUUACCAACAUAACUGUGGCCAAAUGAGACUUCGUGUCACAACUCUUUCAAGAAGAUGGGUUGCUGGACCAGGAAGCGUACAGGCAAGCUCUUUUGACCUCUUGUCCCUUGUUUUUUUUUUUUUUAACUUUGUCUUUUGGGCCGCUCUUCAUGAAUAAGUUACUGAUUCCUUAUCUUAAGCUAUGAAAAAUCAUAUAAAAGAGUGAGUGAUGUUAACUUUAUCCUGACACUCUCUGUAUGGUGCUCAAGUACUCAACUUCUGUGAAACUUGAACACCAAGUAUAUAAUAGGGUCACAGGAUCUGUUUAGGAAUCAAAGUAAAGAGGAAUGCUGGGCAUCACUACUUGGAAUAUUAGGCAUUGCAUCACCUUACAAGUGGAUGCAUUUUAUGCGCAGAAUUGCAUACUAGUAGCUGAAAAUGCUUGACACACUGGUUUUCAGUAUUUCCAAUUUUUAGAUGGCUUCCUAAGAAAAAAGCUGCAAUAGCAAAGAAUUUUAGAUUAAUGAAUUUGCUUGUAUUUCCUUUAGCUCUCUAUGUUGUUGUUACACUUCCCUGUGUAUGUCGAAUGAAUCAUGCUAGUUCAGUGAGACAAGAAUGUUUGGGAGAAAAGUUGAAUGAAAGCUCCGUAUCACAUAUGGUCCGAUGUAUGAGAUUGUGUCUAUCUAUUCUGUUCUAGAAAGAAUAUAUCAUCAACUGUUUCUCAGUGUGUCAGGGAUUAUUGACUUGACAAUUUCUUGUUCUGGAAAAUGUGAAUUUCCAUUUUCUCUUCUUUCAGGUAGUUGAGGAUUUUUUCUUUUUUCCUCAUUAGUAUCAUUUUAUUAUUCCUGCUUUUCCUGUACUGCUAUAUUUUUAGUCAAGAGAAAUUUGAUAGAAUUUUUUGAAAUCACAUUAUGAAACUACUUUUAAAUACUCUAGGACUUGAUUGCUGGAUUUGACCAAGAAGCAGCUGCUGUGGUAAUGGCACGCUUAGUUUCUUUCAAAAUGGAAAUUGAGGUAAUCUUUAUAACUUUGACACUUAAUAUUUCAUUCCAACAUAACUAACUGGAAUUGCUCUUAAAUUUUUCUUUUAAAGAGUGGCAUUUUACCUUAUAUCCUUGCUUAUGAUUGGAACAUGUUUCACAAAUAAUUUUCAUGCCUUAGUUUGAAUAUAGUUACUUUUGCACUUGCUCUUCACACCGAAUAGUUAUCUGUUCCAUGUUUUUGGUAUGGAAAAUGCCCAUUGCAAAGUUUACUGUAAGCUAUACUAAAAAUACUGGCUAAAAUGGAGUGCCUUUAUUAGAUAGGCUUUACAACAUGAAUAUUAAAAGCCCGAUGUUCUAAAUAUGUGUUGGUAAUUUUGUCAGAAUACCCUUGUAACGCUUUAAAUCUCUGAGAUGAAUUUGAUACUAAAAUUAUUGUACGUUGGAAUAGCUCAUUUUAGAGAUAAUCUCAGUUAUUAAAGGCAUCAGUUAAUGGUUUACAUGUAGUGUUAUAAUAUAUAUAGUCCUAGAUCAAUGACAGAUUCUAUUUUAAACACUUUAUGGAAUAUAUUAAUUUCUCUUUCUUUCAAUUUCUGACUGUUGUGCAUCUGGUCAUUGUGCCAAUAAUGACAUGAUGCAAUUGUGAUGAAGGCCGAGUUUGACCCUAUAAGAUGGCUGGAUAAAGCAUUGAUACAUAUGUGUUCUCGGUUUGGAGAUUACCAGAAGGACAGCCCGUCUUCUUUCAGCUUAUCUCCUCGUUUUUCAAUAUUUCCUCAGUUUAUGUUUCAUUUACGGCGUUCGCAGUUUGUUCAGGUACUUUUUCUUCUUUCUCGAAUAAUCACACUUGCUUUUUUGGCUUCUAAUGAUCUUUAAGUUCUAUAAUUAUUUUGCUACUCAUGCACUUAGAUUUUAUUGUGCUUUAAUUCUUUUGAUUAUUUUGUUACAGGUCUUUAAUAACAGCCCGGAUGAGACAGCGUAUUUUAGAAUGAUCCUGAACCGAGAAAAUGUUACCAAUUCCGUAGUGAUGAUUCAGCCUUCAUUGAUUUCUUAUUCAUUUCAUUCAGGCCCUGAACCUGCUCUCCUUGAUGUUGCUGCCAUUGCAGCCGACAGAAUCCUGCUUUUAGAUUCUUACUUCACUGUUGUCAUCUUUCAUGGUGCAACCAUUGCUCAGUGGAGAAAAGCAGGAUACCAUAAUCAACCUGAGCAUCAGGUAGUUAAUUUUGUUGUUGAUUUUGAUUUUAAUGCUAAAUGAGAAAGGCCACAUUAGCUAAUAGCUACCAUGUUGUAGGUGGGACUCUCUCUUGGUAAUCAGAGUAUGCACUUCAAUGAAAUAUGCCUGCAAUUUUUUUUCUUUUGUUUAUCAGUUUUACUCUAUUCUUGACUCCAUUCCAACUUCUUUGUGUUCCUAUUAGUGUGUCCUCACGGGUUAUAUUAUAUAUUCAAUAUUGUAUGUUGCGCUGCUUGUCAAUGUUUUUUCUUGCUUCUAUCCCGAACCAAAGAUGGGUUGCUUCAAGAUUUUCUUUUGGCUUAUUUUGGUGUGUUUAUCUCUUCCUAUGCCACCUUUUUCCUUUUUCUAAAUUACAAUUUAUUCUUGCAGGCAUUUGCACAGCUGCUGCAAGCUCCUCAUGAUGAUGCCGGUGUGAUAAUGAAGGAAAGGUUUCCAGUACCUCGUCUUGUCAUUUGUGAUCAACAUGGCUCACAGGUUGGUAGCUAUCAUAAUGUUCAGCAGAUGGGAGGUUCAUUAUGGAUGAUAGUAGUUUGCUACCUCCUCUCUCCUGGGAAGGAUAUCCUUGGGCAUUCGCCCAUGGAUGUCUGCACUUAAUUUUUUGUCCUUAUUUGUUAUUUCUAGUCACUUCAAGCACAGCCACAAUUGAUGUAGAUGUUAUUAGGAGAUUUUAGGAUUUAAUUAUUUUAGAACCUUUUAAUUAAUAAAACCACUCUUUUGUAAUCAUGGACGCUCUAAUGCAAACAACUCUACAAGAUUGAUUUUGAUAGAUAAUUCCAAAGAGAAUUAUAAAAGAAGGGUUUUAUUAAUCAAAAGGCUCUAAAACAAUUAAAAUCGUAAAAUUUCCUAGUAAUGUCCUACAUUAACAAUGCAUAGUAUUUAGGUACACACAAACACACGAUUCUUAUUAUCACGCAGGAAGCUAUAAGCCCUAAAUUAAUGGCAAGAUAAAUUAAUUUUAUGGCUCAUUUUGCUAAGAUGUAUUGACACUUGAUCCCUGGCGGGUGGUCAUUGAUAUGGCUUUUUAAUCUAGUCAAGAGGUGACUUGUUGACAUUUUAAUCAAGACGCUGAUUCGUAUAAAAGGUAGGAGUUAGUUGCCACUGACAUGUUAACCCUUUACAGGCCCGCUUUCUUCUGGCAAAACUGAAUCCUUCUGCAACUUAUAACUCUGAUGCUCAAAUUCCAGGAGGGGACAUCAUAUUUACUGAUGAUGUUAGCUUUGAGGUCUUUUUGGAUCACCUUCAGAGAUUAGCAGUUCAAUGAAUCCUGCAUAGCUUUUGGCAGUUUGUAUAGUUUUGUUGCUGGAAAUUUUUUGUACAGUUAGUGCAUGACUUUUCUAAAAGCCUUUAUUUUUUUUUUUUUAUUUACAUUUAUGGAAAUUACGUUCUUUUUUAUUUUCUUCUUAGUACGUUAACCAAUGACGUUUCAAGAGAUGCUGGUGUUGAAAAGCUGUAGUUUCACUCAUUGUUGGUAAUUUUAUUUGAAUGCUCAGAGAAUAUCAGUCUGAUUAAUUAGAGCAAUUUGAGUGUUGGGGCUCCCUCGCUGUGGCUACUACAUGGUAAAUGGUUAUGUCCGUCGCUUCUGUCGUUCUCAAAGGAUGUGUAUACGGUCGCCUUGGUCAAACUGAAGAGUGAAGAGAUUCAGCCUUCACUUUUCAGGUGGCCAAAAUUUGGGGUUACUCUCAAAUGUUUAAUUUACCAAAGUAACAUUUGGAUCCUAAGUUUAUCGCCCGUACCAAUAGCAAAAUAAUAUUGUUAUCUUUUAAGAAUGUUUUAAUUUAUUGGUGACUAAUAUCAAUGUCAAAUUAGGGAUGAUAGAAAUCCAUGAGGGGACGGGAGUUUUAAGACCUUUUUUUUUUCUCUAUUAAGGGAGAGUGAGGAUCAUUUAAUAUCUUUUUUUCAUUUUUCUUUUGGUGAGGCUAGGGACGAGUAAAAUCGGAUUUGAAUCAACUCAAUUGGAUUUUGGGUUAAUCGAGUUAGGAAAAAAGUCACUUGAAUUCAAUCCGACUUUUGGAUUGAAAUGGAUAAAAAAAUCAGGUUGAGUUCGGUUUAGAUCGGAUUAUAAUUAGACAUAUACCGAAGCGCAUAUACAAAUACAGUCAUCCCACAUCCCACCGCACUAAUCAAAAAGGCAAAACGCAAACUCCACAUGAUCAUCUUAACAUACAAUUGAUCUAACUAAAAUAAUUUUGACUUGCCUUGCAUCUCAAACAACAUAGAACUCAAUAUAGUUUUAAAAAAAUUAUCUUCCAAUACAAAAGCUCAUAAUGCGGAUAAAACAAGGAGAGUACCUUGUAAACAAAUAAUAAUAAUAAUAAAUAAAGCUAGCUUGGAUAUUAUUAUCAAUUUAAAAGAACAGUCCUGGAUUCAAUCCAAUAACAUCGAACUAUUCACCGAUCAUAUAUCAAUCAACCUAGAACCCAAGAUUCCUAAGACAAAGCAACAAAAAAAAAAAAAAAUCAUAAAAUUGGUAUCAAAUGAAUUUAAAAAAAGAAAAAAAAGAUCAAGUUUUUGAUGAAGAUACAUGAAAAAACAAAGAUUUUAAAGAGAAAAAUUACCGAAAGGAGAGAACCCAGAUGACGAGACUAAUAUACUAUGAAAGAUUGGGGUUGAAGGAACUUGGUGAUGGUGGCUGUCGGCCGAGGUGGAGCAACCUGCAGCAGCGGUCGCGGUGCCUGGUGGAGCAAGCGGAAGCAGCGGUCCAGCUUCAGCAGAUUGCGUCAGCGCGUCGCUGACUCGAGAUGGUUGGCUUCGCGCGGUUGCGUCGGUGACUGCUGGCUGCUGUGCUGCCGUGUCACCGUCUGCGUCUUGCUUCUCCGAUCUGUGUUUGGAGGUGCUGCCGCUGCGUGUGUGUAUCAUGUGAGUUCAGUAUUGUGUGUGUGAGUGGAAAUAGAUUAGCGGAAAUACUCAGACAUCCACUUUUUAAUAAAAUAUUUUUGUUACUAAAAUACUUAUCACGCAAAUUAUUAUGAUGGACAUAUUAAAAGAAAUUAAAUGAUAAAGAGUUUUAUUCUCUACUUCCCUUCUUGAACGUUAAAGUCAUGUCUAAACAUUCUUAUCUAAUAAUCACUGGCUACUCGAAAUUCUGCUGCUUGUGAAACUCUCUUUUUCAUAUUUUUUGAUAGACAGGCUUAAUGUAAGAAAAAGACAGACAAAAAAAUAACUAGUUUCUGUGUUUCUUUUUUUCAAACUUUUCAUACAAUCUCUUGUAUGUUGUUAUUACCAUCAGCAGUUGCAUAUUGGUUAAAAGCUUGCAUUAAUCUCUCUAUGUUUGAUGAUUAAUUUAUGUCUGAGAUUUCCGCCCCCCGCCGCGCCGCGGGGGGUGGGUGAGGAAAAGUGGAAGAAAACAAAAAAAAAAAAGGGGCUGAAAAUUAUGUAAUGGAAUUAAUUUGAUAUUAGAUUUUGAUGAGUCACCGAUAUAAAAGUGCUGUUUUAAUAAUAAUUCUGUUUAGUAAGAUCAUAUUGGGUACUUAAGUACGUUAGUAGAGUAAAAUUUAAAUUUUAAGAGCCAAUUUAUUUAAUUUAUUUUUAUUUUAUUUUUUCUAUAAUUAUUAAAGACAUUUAAGUUUUAAAUUGUAGCAAUAUGGGAAUAAAUAAUAAAUAGCAUAGUAUUCAUAAAAAUAAUAUCAACAAAGUUAAUAUAAGUACUUUAUGUGACUUUGUACUAAAUUUUAUUCUAUUUUCGAUACAUAUAGUAUUAGUCCAUAUCUACAACGUUCUUGAUAAGAAAGAGUAAUGUCCUGAUACAUACUUAUAACACUCAAUUGGAAUACUUACUUAUGUGUCAUCUCUUAUGUCAACAACUAAUUGAGCACUUGUUCAUUAUUAAUAACGAAACUAAUUAAUAAAAUAUGCAUGUCAAUAAAUAAUUGAUAACACACAAGUAAGCAUCCAAAUUAAGUAAGCAUACAAUUGUUGUUAUCAGAAAAAAUUAAUAAAGCAUGUGAUGGACAUGAAAUCUAAUUUGCUCGGCGACUUAUGGAACUGAAGGGAUUAAGGUUCUUGAUUUCUAAAUUUGAAAAUGACGAAAACAAGAAGAAAUUUACCCUCGGAUAAUAAGAAUUGCGCAUUAAAAAAAAAAACCACAUGAUUCGGGCAUAAAAACUUCUGAUUUGCCCGGAAAUUAAAAUAACAACGCAGCAAUAAUAUGUUUACAAGUAGUUUGCAGUGAGGAGAUUUAGUUGAGCUGGAUUUUCAGAAAGGUAAUUUUAUGGGGACAGGAUCCAGCGGCUCAAAUGUGCAAUUCUUCACUGUUGUUUUAUACCAGCUCAUGAAUUUCGCAAUGAAUUCUGUGAAAGAGAGGGGGAAAGUAAUGUCACAUAAGAAAAGGAAAUGAAAUUAUUUAUGAUCAACCAGUUUUAAUAAAGUGGUUUGAUCGAAAUAUAGAAAACGUUAUACAGAUAGAAUUAAAUAAAAUGGUGAUCGAGUACCAAGAAUUGUAAUAUAUAUGCUGAAGCCGUUUCUUAUGCUAGCUAGAAUAGUAAACAAUGCUGACUGAAGAAGACUUUCCUAAUUAGGUGGAGAUUCUCAAAACUAAGAAAAAUAAAAAAAUAAAAUCUUAGGUAGAAAGAUCUUUUGCGUACCUUCGAUUCUCAAAAAAUGUUGAAUAUUUUUAUUUCUCGUGGGGUCGUUGUGCCUCUUACCCAUCUCCUCGUUUCGAGUGCGUCCAAGGACGAACGGUUUCUCAUUGUCAAAUCUACCCCCACUAUCUAUCUGCAGGAAUAACAAGCAAAAAUGCAAUCAUAUUUAUUUUCGUUCAUGCAUGAAUGCAGCAUGCUACUAGCUGAUCAAUUGCAUGCAUUAUCCAGUCAGAGUUUUCUUACUUUAAUUAGUAAGAAACAAGUUAAAAAAUUAAUAUAUAUUAAUAUAUUAUAAGAUUUUUUUUUUUAUCUUUUAGUUUGUUGCUUAAUAAAUUGUUGCUUAUUUUAUUAAAGUAAGAUAUUUCUUAUUGAAAAAAUGACUAUAUAUGUACACACACAAGGAAGAAGUAAGAGAGAAAAUCAAUAAACUUAUUGGCCGCAUACUUCAUGUCCAUACAUACAUUGUACUCAUCAUAUAGACCUUCAAGUUGGCGAUGCAGUCCCGCAUCCAAGUGUUUUUUUAGUUCUUCAACAAGAGACUGCAAAGCAAAUGGAUAUUGAUAUAUUCUAUUUUUUAGAUGACUAAUUAUUGAAUGAAUUGGAGAUACUCAUGAUUGCAUUCACAAGCUUACCUUGAAAAUGAAGUGAAGACAUACAUCAUGCUCUAUAAGAUUUUGAAGCUUCCCUCGGAUAAUAUACAGCCUUCAAGUGCAAUAAAGAUAUAAGAAAUGCUCAUCAAAAUUGUUGGAUUUAUAUAUAAUUAAUUAGCUCAAUUUUAAAGUUUCAUGUCAUAAUAUAUAUAUAUAAGUCGUUCUCUAAUGAGUAUAUCUUCAUUUUAUUUAAGUGAAAAUGUCAUUAAAAUAUAUAUUGUAAUACAUUAGAGGUUUAUUCUAUAUAUAUAUAUAUACUAUUACAACAUAUGGUGUAAUAAUAUAAUAAUAUAAUAUAUAUUAUACAUACCUAGAGUCGCUAACAGUGAAAAAAUCUCCCUCACCCUCUCUAUGUAUAUAUAUACGGAGACACAAACAUAUAAAUUCAUCAAUAAUACAUGUAAACCACUAUCAAGAAUUGAGAUGGAUGAGAAUUAAGAAGCUUACUGUUUUGGGCUCUGCUCUUCAAUAAUUUUCGUGGCAAUAUUUGUAAUGUCAUCUUCCCAACCAGUCAAAAUUACUUGACCUUCCACAAAUGGAUAACUGCACUUAUAUAUGUACUCGCACAUCAAUUAAAUAUAUGUAUAUAUAUAAUUCUCAAGUACCAAUGCCUAAAUGCAGAUUUCUUGCUGAAUCCUUAUUAUAUCAUAUGUGGUAGUGCAGUAUUUUCCUUUAAUUAACUAUAAUAGCAGAUGGUGUAAUAGCAAAUCCACACGAAAUCUACAUUUAAGCAUCCGCACCUAUAUGUAUGUGUGUUUGUGAUUGUUUAUCUGUUAGUAUAUUAAAUUUUGUGUCUUCUUAUUUAUUAUUAGUGUCCUCACUUUAUUAUAAUGAAGAUGUCCUCAUUAAAAUGUUUUUUUAUACACAUAAGCUUGAUCUAGUGCACAUGCUAUGGGGCCAGGCUUUCCAAUUGAGAGCUCAUAACAAGCACCUAUCACAUAUCAUAAUAUGCGCGAUAGCGCAUACCUGAUGACAUCCCUAUAUAUAGUUAGGCAUGGAGACGAGGAAAUGAAACCAACUGAUUGAGGAAGAAUAUGAAUGAAAUAUAUUUUUCAAUUGCUCACUUCAUCUGUCGGGAGGCCUCGAAUGAGCGAAUGGCUUGGCGAAGAUUGUUCUUGGAAUUGUCAGCAAUCUUUUCUGCUAAUUGGUGCGGCAGUUGUAUUCCUUCUUGUUCUGCUAUAAAUUCCAGGACUUCAACUAUCUAAUAACAUGUAAUAAGAAGAAACUUAUCAAAUUAAUACAAAAUAAGUUAUUUAAUUAAAGAUUAAAUUGAAUAAAAUAAAUUAUAUAUUCCCAAAAAAAAUGAGUUAUAUAUAAUUGAGGCCAUUCACCUCUUGUUUUGAAGGAGGAAGAAGCUGAAUAACAGUGCAAAGCGACUUAAUUGGUUGAAGUUUUGAGACAUCAGAGCAGCAGAAGAAAACCUUAUUUAACCCUUUGUACCUUUCCAAUAACCACCUCAUGUAUAGUAGGGCAUCUGUUGAUAGCUUGUCCGCUUCACAUAAAAUAAUAGCUGCAAAAAAAAAAAAAGUUGAUAAUAUAUUAAGUGUUGUUGUGGUUUCGUCAGAUCAUCAUCUAAUUCUAAUGUAUAUGUUAAUUAAUUGAAAUUAUGUAUACGAGAAAUUAUGUAUACGAAUACCUCGGGUGUUAUCAGUUGGGACGUUAGACUGCAAAGCUUUGGUGGAUAUCUUGCUUUGUGUUUCCUUCAUAAGUUCAACAAUGACAUGCCUUUCAUACCCUUUCAGGUCAGAGAGAUUAACUUCGAUAUGUUGUGAAGAUUCUUUUAUAUUUACUUGGAUACGACCUCUGGCUUCACCCUGUGACAAGAAUUAUAUAAUUUACUUACUUUUUGUAACUUAAUUCACUUUUUAAAAUAUAUAUGUAAUUAAUAUAAUUAUCAGAAGUUAUUUGAUCUUCAGUUUUCCUUUUCGAUUCAAAGAUACAAUGCCUAAAAGCUAAUCAUUUCAUGUCCACGCACUGACAAAGAAUUAGUAUCAGCUGCUGCUUAAUUAGAGUCCAGCGACAGAGUUGCCCGGAAAGCUAAAAGUGAAUAAUAUUCAAAGUAAUAAAUAAAUAGAACUAGUACUCAAGUAGUAUCUAGAAUGACGAGAAGUACCUUCAAGUCAAACACCUUCCUCUCCUCCCUAGCCUGCAACAUGUAUGUAAACAUCGUUAAAUUUAGGAUGCCUUUAAUUUCCCUAAUUAGUUUUCAAGUAAAAAUAAUUAGGUGGUAGGCAGCACUUAAUUAAUUAAACAAUAUGUAUAUAAUAUGAUUAACAGCUACGUACCUGGACUGUGUCAUGUCCGAAUGCUUCUCGAAGCAUAGCCCGAAUCAUGGUCCUCUUUCCCACCCCCGGAGGUCCUUCAAAUAUAAAAUUUCCGUGACCUCCCUCUUUUACCUGCAGUUUAGUUGUGUGUGUGUUUAUAUCCAAAAUAAAUAAUGUCAAGAAGCAAUUAACGAGUUGGAAAAAGAAACAUAAAGUAUUGGCAUAUUAGUAUAUAUAGAUCGAUGGAUCUCACCAGACCCUGCAGUUGAAUUGCUCGAUCUCGAUUGCAGAUAAAAUCUUUUAAAGUUUUGGGCUGGUACAUAUUUGCCCAUAUAAACGGAUCCCUUUGGUUCUCGAGGAUGAUCUCUGGACCUUUGCUAUUAUUUGUAUCCUUGUUCUUCCCCAGAUGAUGAUGAUGGUCUUCAUCUUUAUCACUAUUAUAUUCAACAAAAAAAAUUUCGCUCUCGUUAGGUUGCAAGAUUGAGUCUGAUUCUGGUUCUGGUUCUGAUUCUGAUACUCUCUCCCUCAAUGGCUUCUCCAUAUGAUUAGUAUUAUGAAGCAAUAUAGCAGCAGCAUUAUUAAAAGCAACCUCUUUACAAUUCUCAUUUACGGACGUAGUUGUUGUUCCUGUUGAAGAGGAGGCUGCAGUGUGAUAAGCUUGUUUACUCUUUCCGCCAAUGGCAGUAGGAGUAGCAGUACUAAUAGUAUUAGAGAUGUAAUUUGAAGUUGUCGUCGUAGCACUAGUACUAGUAGUGGUGGUGGUGGUGGCAGUGGCAGCAGGGGAAUUAUUACUAUUACUAUUAUUGUUAUUAAUAGAAGAAUAGUACUUAAAAGUGAAGCAAGAACUCCAUUCUUGCAUCUUAACCAUCAAAGAGGAAAGAGAGGUGGAAUAAGUGGCAGUAGAAUGGGCCAUGGUGGUUGCUUGACUUUCACGUCCAGGACUUGAUGAAGAUUCAACAAUUACUCUAUCACGAUUAAUGACAAGGGAUGCAUCCGUAAGUCCUUUGUAGUAAGGACUGCAUUUAGCGUAGUUCUUUUCAUCAAUCUGAACCUGCUGCAGCUUAUUACUAGUAGUAUCAUUAUUAGUAUUGAGUAUUCUGCCGUGAUGAUGUACAAUUGGAGCAUGCCUUCUGUUAUGUGCCUCAAGACUCUCCUCUGUUAAGUCAGAAUGCUUUGAAGAUGAAUCGCUGCUAUUUCUUCCAGGGAUUAUCAGGUUGCCUAGUUGGUUUAUGUUACUCCAAUGUGGCCAAUACGAGAAUUUCCCUGACGACGACCUCGUCCGAGAUGAACUAAGAAACCUCCUGUGAUUUUUCGCUGAUGUAUUUGAGAUAUUCAGAUAAGAUGAUGAACGUGGGAUUGGUGAUGGACUCGGCAUAAUUGCAUAAUUUUGCUGACUAAGUGUCCCCGACACACACUCGGGUUCUCUUUUCUUUUAUUUUCUUUUCUUUCUUUUAAUAAAAUAAAAUGAAAGUAAAUUUUAAAAAAAAAUCAGCACUGGCUAUUGCUUGCUAAUUAGCUAAGAGAUAAUAACUACGGACAGAUCACGGCAUCAUGAAGGAUAAAGAUGAUGUGAUGUGCAGCUGGCGGGGAAGACGGUUCAGUUUUCCUAGCUAAUACCUACAAAAUUAACGAGGCGCCGAUGAUAUCAAUGAUGACAAAUAAAUAAUAAUAUAAUAUCAAUGUAUGAACUUUACGUCAAAAUCUAUAUAUGGAUCUUGUUGCACGUCCAGGAGGCUAAAACAGUCUGAGCCUGGACGUAUAUGUAUAUGUAUAUGUAUGAAUGUAUGUAUGUAUGCAUCUGUGUGUGUAUAUAUAGACACUCAUACAUACAUAUACACGGUCAUGAUCUGGAGCCCCUUUCUCUAACACAAAUUUUUACAUAAAAUUUCAAUCCUUAAAUCAGAAUUAAUCUGAUAACCAAUAUUAGUGUUAAAUGAAAAAAUUAAUAAAAAUUAGCCCCACCAAAUAAUUAUGUUGGCUUUUUUAAGUUUUGCUUUCCAUGUAUCUCUAUUUAUCUAUUUUUAAUGCCAUCUCCUUAAUUCUUUCCUCCACAUCUUCUAUUAUAGGUUGGGGUGGGCGUUCAGUUCGGGUCAAUUGAUUGAAAACUCAUAUAUAUAUAUAUGUAUGUAUGUAUGUAUGUAUGUAUGUAUAUGUGUGUGUAUAUGUGCGCACGCGCGUGUGUGCAUGUAUGUAUGUAUGUAUUUAUAUUGUCCAUGCCAUUUAGUUUCCAUUGACCAUGGUGUUUGCCCUUUUAUAUGCAUCCUAUAGCUCUCAAGUUAGCCUUUUUUUUUCAAUCUUAUACAUUUAAACAAGUAUUUCUGGACGGUGUAAUUGGUUUCAUAGUCAUCAAUUAUAUAUAUAUUGCAAAUAAAGAAAAUCCUAUGACGCCGUGAUUAAAAUUAUGACAUCAAUGUCGUGAUAAAUAUAAAUUUUAUAAAUUAUGCAUAAAAUUAGUAAAUGAAAAGUAAAAUAAGUAAAUUAAUAUAAGAGUGGUAAAUUGGUGUUUUAAAAUUACAAACAAAAUAAACACUUGUGAAAAUAACAUGAAACUUAUAAAUCAACAUUAAACUUUAAUUUUUAAAAAUAGUUUAUUUAUUUAAUUUAUUUAAGCAAAGAUAAAAUUACUCAUCAAUUGAAAACAAAAAAGUUGUAUUGAAAACAAUUGGAACAAGUUUUAUUAAAUUGGUUUAACUAUAAAUUCUAUAUUCAUGAUAGGACAUUUAUAAACUUUUUUUUUCAUUUUCUAUCAUAGUAUUUGUUUACUAUACAAGUUAAUCAAGCAAGAUUAUUUUUCUUGAUAAGGAUCAAGUCAAAAUAAAAUUAAAAGACAUUCUUAUAUUACUAUACAUAUAUGAAAUAUUAAUAAAAGUGAAUCUAACUUUCAGUUUUAUACAUAUUUUAUGUAGUUUCAAACUUUACUUCCUAGUUAUACUAAAAGAUCAUUUGCGGCUACUGUUAAAGAAAUUUAGAAGGAUGUAAAAUCACUUAUCUUACAAAUAAUUUUUAAUUUAUUAUUAUAAUGAGUUUUUAUUUUACAUUUGCAAGUUUUUAUUUUUUUAAUAAUUCUUAUAAUAUUUUCUUGUUUUAUAUUUCAUUUACAAUUCUCAUAUUUCAUUAACAUAAUUUAUAUGUUAUUUCAUUUGUAAGUUUAUAUUUUGUUUACCACUAAUGCAUCAUUUUACUAAUCAUGUGCUAGUUUACUUAUUUUACUUUUUAUUUACAAAUCUCAUGUUUUAUUUACUUAAUUUAUGUUGUAUGUUACACUUAAUGUUAAUUUACAAGUGUUAUAUUACACCUAUAAGUUUAUGUUUUGUUACCAAUAGUACAUUAUUUUACCACUCCUUUGUUAAUUUACUUAUUUUACAUUCUAUUUACAAAUCUUAAGUUUUAUACAUUUAAUUAUGUUUUAUUUUAAACUUAAUAUUGAUUUACAAGUUUUGUGUUAUAUUGAUAAAUUUUUGUUUUAUUUACCAAUGAUAUAUCAAUUUACCACUUCUAUGUUAAUUUAAUUAUUUUACCUUUCAUUUAUAAGUCUUAUGUUCUAUUUAUAUAAUUUAUGUUUUAUUUUAGACUUAUUGUUGAUUUACAAGUUUUAUGUUAUAUUUAUAAGUUUUUGUUUUAUUUACUAAUAAUAUAUCAAUUUACUGUCGUUAUAUUGAUUUACUUGUUUUACCUUACAAUUACAAGUUUAUGUUUCAUUUCACAAUAUAUGGUUUAUUUUGCACUUAAUAUUGAUUUACAAAUUUUAUGUUACAUGUAUAAGUUUUUAUUUUAUUUUAUUUUUCAGUAAUACAAAAUUUACCACUCUUAUGUUAAUUUGCUUGUUUUAUCUUUUAUUUAAAAGUCUCGUGUUCCAUUUAUAUAAUUUAUGUUUAAUUAAGAUAUUGGUGGUGUGAUUUUAAUCACAACAUUAUAGACCUACAAAUAAUAUAAAUAUCAAUUGCACUGAGUAGUACAUUUCUGCCAUUCCAAUUGUAACUUGCAAUCACUUGCCUUAUUUACCAUAUUUUAAGCAGCCACCCAUCUUAAGUUUGGAAACAAUUCUCUUCGAUAUUUGUUUAAUGUAUUGAAAUCCCAUAGAAAUAUAUCAUAAAUUCAUAACAAACUCUAAAUAAAAUAGUAAAUUUUAUGAAAUAAUCUAUUCUUUUCCAAAUUAUCCCAUGGGCAUCUCUUUUGAAAAAAAGCACAACAAAAAGUAGAUUUCUUUUCAUUAGAUGUAUCUGUAAGAAGGGCACGGCCACAGCGUAAUAUCAUUAUCAGGGGCCUAACCCAGUAUUAAGGAUGCCCAUGGGAUAAUUUCCUGUUUAUUUUCUCAAAACAAAGGCUCGCCCUCGGAUUCCGGCUGACAAUAUUCGAUUAGAUUAUCGUAAUUUGGUGUCUUGCGCCUGUAAUUGCAUUUUGAUUGGUCAAUAACGUCCUUAUCCCAUGGAUGAUCUCAUUACUUUAAUCCGAUUGCCGAUGGCUGACAAUUAGAUAAUGCUCAAACUCUAACCAUUAGCUUACAACCAUAAAUAAUGCCCACAUGCAUUAAUUAAAAGAAACAGAUAAAAGAGAUGCCCAUAGCCUUUUUUCUUUCCCCCUCUUCUUUUUUUCUUUUCUUUUUUUUUUUUUUGUAAACAGUUGAUAAGCUUAAGACCCCAAAAAAAAAAAUCUAAAAAUCUAUUGACUUUAAAAGAAAAAGCAGUGCCCUUGUUAACUCCAAAACUACAUGGAUCGGCGAAAGAUGAUCUGCGAAUGUAUUACGGCGAAGGAUUUGGUAACUUUGGAUCCAAAUCCCAUCGGAUUUCGGAUGAUUUCAAUUAGAAAAAAAUUCAUCCGAUUUUAAUCUUAACCUCAAAUUUGAUCUUGAUUUUUAGUUUGGCUAAAAUUACUAGUUUGAAUUUGAAAGAAUUUAUCUUAUUCAAAUUUCACGCCGAACUUUUGAGGGAUACGUUCUAGUACUAAUCCAAGGGAGGGAGAUGAUAUUCUUAAUAAAAUAAAGAUCAAGGAGCCAACCCCUCCCCGAAAGGGAAUGAAUAAUUUUUUUAAGUCGUAUUGCCAAAGAAGAACAAACUCUAAAUAAAAUAGUAAAUUUUAUGAAAUAAUCUAUUCUUUUCCAAAUUAUCUCAGAUCGGAUAAAUAUUUAGGAUAAGUUCAGCUUCGAAUCAAUUUGGAUGAGUUCGGAUUUGACAAGAGCAAAGAAGGUAGUACCGUAGUAGUAUGCCAUUAAAUCAAAAAAGAGCCAAAGACAAGAUGGAUCGUAUUCUCCUCAAGGACCUCAACCACCCAUAAGAAAUUAACAAUAAAUUUAUACAAGUGAAAUAUAAUUUUAAAUUCACAUAUUAGCACCAAGAAGUAGGCAUUUUAUCAGUAAUUGCAUUUUAAUAGAAGUUAUUGGAGAUUGGCAAGUUAAUUUAGCAACCACUAGCUAGCGGUGGGCAAAAUCGAGUUUGAUUCGAGUUUGGAUCAACCCGAUCGGGUUUCGGGUUGGUCGGGUUAGAUAAGAAUUCAUUCGAAUUCAAUUCGAAUCUAUAACCCGAUCUGAUCUAAUCCAAAUUAUCCCAAAGCUUUCAAAACUCAACAGCCAAAUGGAGCUUGAAUCGGAUCGGGUGAUGGCGGAGGAUUGGAGGCGUGGAGGUGGGGCAGCAGAUCUGGUACUUGGUAGCAGUAGAUCGGUAGAUCGGGUUACCAUCCUCGCGGAGUAGCUUCGGUUGGCGUUGGCUCUCAACGGUUGCUACGUCUGGUGGCCAAAUCUAGCUUGCUCCGUGAACUUCAUGUGUGUGUUUGAUUGUUUGUGAUUGUGACUAUAUUUUGUUUGUUUGGUUGUGGGUGUGGGUUGUGUAACUGCCGCUUGUUGCCGUCGGUAGUGGGAUGCGAGAGAGGGAGGUUGUGGCCUGUGGGUGGGUGUGGGCGAUUACGUUGCUGGUCGACAGUGGGCUGUGGGUGCCUGGGUGGGUGUGGGCGUGAACUUUAUGUAUGCUUGACUAUUUUUGUGUCUGUGUUUCAGUGUGUGGUGUGUUGUGUGUAGAUCGUGUUCCAAUGUAUGUGGUGUGUGUAGAUCGUGUUCCAGUAUGUGUGAUGUGUAUUUGGGGUUUAAUUUUUUUUAUUUUGUGUCAACCCGAUCGGGUCAACCCAAUCUGAUCAUGAUCCGAUAGGGUUGACACAAAUGCACCCAUUCGAGUUUUAUUCACAAUCCGAUCCGAUCUGAACCUGAUUUUUUUUCGGAUCAGGUCGGGUCGAGACGAGUAUUUUACCUACCCUUACCACCAGCAAGCAGCACCAGAAAUCAAAUUAACGGUGGCUUCAAAUCAUGAGCAAGACCACAAACAACGGCACGAGUAGCGGCUUCAAGGCAAGAGCAUCAACACGAAUAGCAACACAAAUAGCAGCUGGGCAUGAACAGCGGCAUGAACGACGGUAGGGUUUGCGUGCAACUGAUUUAAGGGCCUGUGAUGUUUUGAUGGGGUUUGUUUAAUCCAAUUAGUUUUGUGAUGUUUAGACGAGGACUUUUAGGUAAAUUCAUUAGAUUAGUAAAGGAAUAUACUAUAUUAACCUUUCAAUUAUUUAACCAAAUCGAAUCCAUUAGUAAUUUAAAACUUAACAUCUUUGAUAAAACAUUAAGGACUUUUGUAUCCCUUCCCCUAAACAUUUAAGGUGUAUCGACCAUUUUCCCAAAUUUAAGUUCAAAUGUGUCGAGAGUUGUCAUGUGUUGGGAUUAUUAUGAACAUGCCGCGAGGUUGUUGUCAGUGUCAGUUGCUUGUCUGGACAAUGGCGUGCGGCAUGCAACUGGUCAUCUAGAUAUCGAAGCCGAUUAAGAUGCAGUAGAAUGUCAUGGGUCUAGAGGAGCUGGACGUCAAUCAAGAUGCAGCCAGACAUCAACCAAGAUGUGGCUGGGAUCGUUUGGGUAGAGUCACAGUGGCGUCAGGCGGAGUAGAUCAUAACGUGGGUCACGGUCAUGGGUCGCAGCGUCUGGAGGAGUUAAUGUCGUGGGUAGGUCGGGUUGUUCGGAUUUCGGUUUGGGUUACAACCCAAUCGAAUCGGAGAAUGGAACCUAAUUGGGUUGAAAAUGCGAAUCCGAACCAAACCAAAGUUAAUUCGGUUCGGAUUUACAAAUCCGAUCGGAUCGGUUUGAAAUUUCGGGUUCAACUUUUGGUUUGGGUUAAAUACGUAGCGGUCACUAAAUUUUCAUCAACCAACCAAAUUUUCACCAACUAAAAGAAUGAAGAAUGAGGAAAAGCUUGCUGGUCUAAUUAAUCCUUAAACACAGCCAUACAAACAAAACACCUGAAGCCUGCUUUUUCUCUUUCACUACUAUUGAACAUUCAAAUAACUUGGUCUCAAUAUCAAUGACAAAUUAUCAGUUUAUCAUUGCAUAAAAAUAAUUUAAAAUCAAUUGUUUAUAAUAAUUAAUAAGAAUAAUUAUAAUAAUAAGUAACCUAAUGAACCCAAUCAAAAACCACGGCAGGGACGUACAGCAGCUGGAUCAAAAAUCACGGUAGAGACCGAAGAAACGACAGCUGGAUCGGAACGGAAGCUGCAAUGCCGGAACCAGAUUGAAAGCAUCGAGCGUCGGCGGAGCCUAGGUGUGUGUGAGUGAGACUGUCGACUGCGAGAGGGAGUUAGCAGGGCUGGACGGCUGCUAGAUGCAGCUAAAGUGGUGGUUGUGCACUUGUGCUUUGUGCCGCCGUUGUGCGGAAGAGCCAAAGAUGAGAGAAAUAAGGAAAAUUAGAUAUAGGGAUUUUGAUUUUGGGCGUGCGUGCACUGAGAGAGAGAGAGACUCCUUAUAUUUAUUAAGUCUAACCCGAUCGAUUUGAAAGUUCGGUUUGGGUUCAACCCGAACCGAAAUAAAAACCGAUCGGGUUUCAAUUUUUAAGUGUUCGGGUUGUAAUUGAUUCGGUUUAACCCGAUCCGAUCGCCCACCCAAUGGGAGCAGCAAAAUGAGGAGGAAAAAAGAAAAGAAAAGAAAAGAAAAGGAAAGGAAAGGUAUUAUUUAAUUUAACAGCGUGAAAGUCUCUGUCUGUAUCUCUGGACCGUAGAGCGAUAAGCGAACUGCCAGUUGGUCAGGCGACCUUCGAAAUUAAAAUGAAACUUUGUCGUGGGACACGUGGAGUGGAGUGGUGAAGACUGAUAACCUACAUCUGCUGUACUUCCAGUCAAUCAAAGUGGGUUGCCCAAUCCCCAACAAAGGCAGAUGUGGCGGAGGCGAAAAACAAUUUUAAUUUUAAUUUUUUCGAUUAAGAGAACACCUCCACCUCACGUGACAUCCCUUCCCCAGAUGAACCCAACUAAUUGCAAUUGGUAUAAUUGGUUUGCUACUUUGCUUGUUGCUUUGUCAUUGUUAUUUCCAUGGCAUAUGGAGUAUGGUGAGUGUUUUUUUUUUGGGUAAACUUGAACAGUAAUGUGCCUUUGCUCAAUGAUUUCCAUUGAAGCACUCCAUCUGAGGUUUGAUCCGAGAUACAUAAAAGUUAAUCUUAAAAACAUGUCCAAUGCAAAUAAAUUAAAAAAAAAAGAAAAAGAAAAACAUGUCCAAUGCGAAUAAUAAAAAAAUAAAAAUAACCUUAAAGAAUAAAACCCCAUAUAUAAUAUACUUUUUGAACACUUCUACAAAAUAGAACAAGCAUUUGGAUUUUCAUCGCUAAAUAACUGGGGAGCAUAAACAUAAUGUAUAAAAUAGGGAACGUUGCUCUCUUUGCUUUUAACAUCCUCCUUAAAUUCUACAAAUUUAGUCGAUAACUCAGUGGACUUGACUUCAAAUUUUUCGUUGUCUUUUUUAAUUUCUUCCUUUUUCUCCUGUUUUGAAGUUACUAUCUCUGCAUGUUUGUGCACCUUCUUCCGCAAGUAUGAUAGGAGUCUGUCAGAUUCAAUAGUCCCUUGCACUGUUACAGUUUGAGCUUUCGUGUCAGCAUUAACACUGUAAAUACCUGCAUUUGUAAUUAAUUGAUACUUGUGAUUCUUUCAUGCGUUUUUCAAAAUUGAAAAAGAAAAUGUUUAACCACAUACGCAUUUCACAUUGUUAUACCUUUGUGCUUCAGUAAUUUCUUGCGCAAGUCAUGCUCGCAUUGGGCGCAGUGGAUGUGAACUUUUAAUGUCGUUGUGCGUAAAAUUACCUUAAUCAAAUUGUUCAAACAAAUCAGUUGUUAUAUAUGUUAAUUUCAGGAAUUAUAUAAAAGAAAUAUAUUAUAAUGAAGAGCCAUUAUCUAACAAAGAAUUCUACACUUCAACUAAAGGUUUAAAUGGAGAUAUGAAAUUUUGCCUACUAAAUACAUACAUACAUACAUAUACAUAUAUGACUUGAAUUGAGCCAAUUUUGAGUAGAUGCAUGUGCCUAUAGCAACUACAAUAAUGAUAGAUGCAGCCUAUGUUCAAUAUCAUGAAUACCAUGAUAUAUAAACCAUUAGUGUGUGUGUGUAUAUUAUUAGUUUUCUAAUUUGAAACCUUAAAUUGUGGAAAAAAUUUGAAAAAAUUUUAAAAUCGUAGGAUUUAAAAAACUUAAAAUUUAAAAUGUUUAAACUAAAUGAUUUGUACAUUUUUAAGUAAUUUAAAAUUUUGGAAUAAUAUAUAUAAUCUCAAUAGUGAUAAAAUCAAUUUUUUUAUUAGUAAAAGUAAGAUUUAAAAAACCACUCACCUCUUUUUCUUUGAUUUCCUUAAUGGCACCGAUCUCUUUGAUUUUGAUGAGUGGUGGCGAUAUCAACUCAACCUUCUUCUGACUGGUUUUUUGGAUUAACUUGUGGAUUUUAAUCACAUCAAUCACGCCCUUAACCUUAAUUUCAGCUUUCUCAAAAUCAGCAUCCACACUUUGAAUCCCUGCUGAUCACAAAUUGAAAGAUCAAAGCUAAUUAAUUCGCACAAAAGUGCUAAAAUACCCGGUUAAUGAAAUUAAUUGAAAAAACACAGGAGCUUCUAAACUAUACCACUAAAAUGUUUGAUAACAUUUAUCAUUGUGAUUUAAAAGUUGAAUUGAUUUUGUCCUAAAUUAAUAUGAAGAAAAAUCUAUAAUAUUUUUAUUAAAAUUAUUAUUUUACAAUUAUCAACUUUUAUUUCACAAGUACAAUUUUUUCUUAUAACAACUAUAACUUAUAAUUUAGAAAACCUUAAUUUCAAAUAAAACCUAGUUUUACGUACCUUCAAUUUUUAAGAGACGCUUUUCAAUCUUGCGUGCGCAUUGUGGACAAUGAAGAUUAACAUUGUAAACACCUGUAAUCACCCCAAUAUCUUUGUUUUUUGCUGCCAUUUUAGCAAUAUUGAAAUAGUAAUUAAUUACACGAACAUUACAUUAAGUAAAGAGAAAUAUUAGACGCCAGACAAAUUAAGAUCCGCUUAUAUAUAUGGUCUUGGUUUUGGUAUUUCCUUCAAACUAAGAGGCACGCAAUCUUAGCAUGUUGGGUGGCCAUCCGUUGAGAGUAGUUCGCCAGAUAUUUGACACUUACAAAGGACACAGCCAAUAUAUAAUUAUAUCUUAUGAUUCUCCAAAUUGAUAUGGAAAUUUGCCUUCACGAAAUCUAGCUUCUAUAGCUCUAGAUCUCCUUUCUCUAUUUGGACUAAAAUUUAGGCCCAAUGUAGUUAUGUUAUAACUUUUAAAAUAAUUAUUUUUAGUUAUAUUAUAAAAAUAAUUAGUUGUGAAGAGAAUUAGUUAAAUGUUUCGUAAAAUUUAUUCUCAUAUGUGCUGCAAGUCCAUAGCAAAAGUGUUGUGAGUCUUAAAAACAAUCAUAUUGCUGGUAAAUCUUACUGUUAAACUGGUAGAAUAAUGUAAACAACUGAACUAACGAUAAUAUUGAACAAAAUCUAGUUACACAUUUAUAAACAUGUAUAUAAAAUAUUUUUUAUUGUAUAUAUAUAUAAUAAUUGAUAACUAAAAUAAAUAUUUAUAUUAUUAAUUUUAUUAUUUUAUUUUAUUAUCUCAAUAUAAUUGGUAAUAAUAAUAAUAAUCUCUUCAAAGCUAAUGAUUUUAUUUCUUAAUUAAUAAAGAUAAUUUUAAAUUUUAUAAUAUAUAUAUGAAAGUGUGUUAGGUAUAAAAUUAAUUCUCAAAAUUAGAUUUUAAAAAGUUAUUCCUUCAUUAUUUUUCAAAAUAUUUUUAAAAUCUACAAUAGAUAUGAAUGACUGAAAAAAAAAAUUGAUUUCUAAAAAAUUUACCAAAUACGAAAAUUAUUUUUUAACAUUUUAAAAUCACUUUUGAACCUCUUAAAAGUAAUUCCAAACAGACUCUUAGUGUUAUUGGCACCUUAACUUUACACAAAUUUUCACAAAACUUUUAGAUUAAUAGUUUAUCCACGGUCAACAUUAAAUGGAGUUGAUGACAUUUGAAUUUUAUUAAUGAUUGUGAUUAAUGAAUUUUCUCCAUUCUAAUCUCUUUCUAUCUUUAACCUUAUUUGUCAAGUUUUUUUUAUCUCUCUUUCAUAUUUUGUCUCUCCAUUUUUUUUUUUUUUACUACGCAAGCAAAGAUUUGAGUCUAUUAAAAUAUUUCAUUAAUGAAAUAUCAACAAAUUAAAUUUAAAGGAAUGCAAACAGUACAUGACGAUGAACUUGCGUGUACGGUGUACAUACGCAUAUAGAUAGAAUCUGUAUAUAAUAUAUAAAUAAUAUUGAAUCGAUAUAAUGAUGCUAGAUUAUAUUAAUAUUAAUUCUGAAAAAAAUAAUAAGAAAUAGUAGAGUAGAUAUAUAGCUAGAGCCUAGAAGGCAGGAAUAGUUGGGUGAUCUGAUCUGUUAUCAUGCAAAGCAUGAGCAUUCUGCAUGAUUUGAAGUCAGCUAGUGGUACUGAGUAGCAAGAUCAAAUUAAUUAAUGCUGAUGAUAAUCAGUUGCAGUUGCAGCUGCUGCGUCAUUUUGUUGGUGAGGAGAAUGAGAAUUAUGCUUUGCUAUCUCCUUCUCUGCUUUUUCUGCUGCCUUUGCCACAUGUAACUCCAUUUCUGCUUCUGCCACUCUUGCCAAUCUUACCUCGUGAGCUACCUCAACUCUCGCUUUCGCCAUUUCCUUUUCCACCUACCACAUACGCUAUACAGUCAGUCACACAUGCAUCAUGCGUCAUUCAUCAUCAUCAUGCAUCUCAUCUCAUGUCCAAGUAAUUGAGUAAUUAACGACUACGUCUAUACACACACUGACACACCCACACACACAGAGACAUACAUACAGAGAGAGAGAGAGAGAAAGAGACGUACCUUCUCCUCCGAUUUUGCAUCAGCCUUGGCUUUGCGCAUGGCGUUCAUAUCUUGGACCUUGUCCUUAAUGGCCUGCAUUUUCCUAUCUCUCUCUUAACUUAAUCAGAUCUAAGACAGGUAUUAGUGAGAUAGAGACACAAAAUAGCUUAGCCUAUAUCUCUACGCGAUAAUUAGUUAGUUGCGUUUACCAAUAUACACAUUCCAAUGAUUAUAUAUAAAACCACCACUCACCAUCACCAUAUAUAUAUCUCCUUUAGCUAGCUAAUUGUAAGCUAAGGAAACAAAUUGCAUGAUACGUGUCAUCCAUCUGGACACUAAUUACUAGUUAAUUCCUUCUUUCGUGGACUUGUAUGUGCUCAGUCAAGUCAAUCGUCUAAGACGCUUAACGAUUCAAGAGGAAUGCCCCUAACCGCCGUGGCCUUUGAGAACCAUGCAUAUAUUAUAACCUACGAUGCAAGUUGUGAUUCGGGAUUUGUUAAAGUAUGAGAAAACUAUUAAGUCAUAUGAUUUAAUAGUCCAUUAUUUUAUUAAACUAUAUGACUUAAUAGUUUUCUUGACUUUCAUAAAGUUCAGGAUCAUAUAUAUAUAUAUAUAUAUAUAUAUAUANNNNNNNNNNNNNNNNNNNNNNNNNNNNNNNNNNNNNNNNNNNNNNNNNNNNNNNNNNNNNNNNNNNNNNNNNNNNNNNNNNNNNNNNNNNNNNNNNNNNNNNNNNNNNNNNNNNNNNNNNNNNNNNNNNNNNNNNNNNNNNNNNNNNNNNNNNNNNNNNNNNNNNNNNNNNNNNNNNNNNNNNNNNNNNNNNNNNNNNNNNNNNNNNNNNNNNNNNNNNNNNNNNNNNNNNCAUAUAUAUAUAUAUAUAUUUAUGCAAAACUGGAUUAAGCCUUGAGGUAAUAAUUACAUGACCAUCAAUGUUAUUCUUGAGUGCAAAAAAGAAAAUGAAAAAAGUUUAAGAACAAUAUUUUGGUUAAUUCAAUGAUUCCAUAAUGCUAUAUUAUGCGUUAGUAAAAUUGAAAAAUAAAUUAUUUAUCUCAAGUAAUAUGACAUAUUAUUGUUGAUGUCCAAAAAUAACUUCAAUAGCUGAAUUUAUUUUCUGGGAAAUAACAGCAUGAAUCGUAACUCAUACACUGAUCUAUCUUAACACAAUUUUCCACACCUACUGUUGAGUGUUAGAAAAUGCAUAUUUAUAAAGGAGAAAACCAUCAUUUUACAUUUCAAGUCUUACUAACAACCCUUACUUUUAUGUAUUUAACCUUCUUGUGAUUUAAUUACAUGUGUUUUAUUUUAAUUAAGUAUUUUAUGUAUUUUAGGGGCAUCAUAGUCAUUUCGCACUGUUCACUUGUACGGUACUAUUCACGUGUACGGUACUNNNNNNNNNNNNNNNNNNNNNNNNNNNNNNNNNNNNNNNNNNNNNNNNNNNNNNNNNNNNNNNNNNNNNNNNNNNNNNNNNNNNNNNNNNNNNNNNNNNNNNNNNNNNNNNNNNNNNNNNNNNNNNNNNNNNNNNNNNNNNNNNNNNNNNNNNNNNNNNNNNNNNNNNNNNNNNNNNNNNNNNNNNNNNNNNNNNNNNNNNNNNNNNNNNNNNNNNNNNNNNNNNNNNNNNNNNNNNNNNNNNNNNNNNNNNNNNNAGUCCAAGUUUCACGAAUACAGAGUAAGGCAAAAGAUUUACACUAGCUCCUAAAUCCAACAAAGCAUUCUCAAUUGUGUGGUUCCCUAUACUACAUGAGAUAGUGGGGGAGCCUGGGUCUUUGCAUUUUAAAGGAAUUUUAUGUUGGAGUAUAGAACUAACGUUUUCUGUCUGCUGUACCGUACAUCCGCCUUGGCCGUACAGCAGUGGGCUUUAUUUGGUAAAUUUAUUUUCUUUUCCCCUCUAGUUUUUGUGGAUGUUUUGACUUCUCGUCGACAAAUAAUAAUAGUCUUGUCUAGAUACCGCUUUGGUUAUACCGGCUCUCUAGUAUAAGGUUAUUAUUAUUUGGCACGAUAAGCCCUUAGCACCAUAUUGAUUUGAGCGUGGUUCAUGAGGUGUGGAUUCCCCCCUCAUGAUUUAAUUGGCAUUAAUACGGAUUAUUUAGCCCGUGAUGCAUGUUGAUACGGAUCCAGAUACCCAAGUACGUCAAUUUAAUAGAUUUUCUCUUCAAUUUAUUCUCUCCAUUGCAAUUCCAAUUUUAGAAUUUAUUCUCGCCAUUUUAAUUUAAGUAUUAGCAUAUUCCAAAUCAUUUCCACCAUAAAUCCAACUACCCAUUUACAAAAUUAAUUCUACAUAAUUAAAAUCCACCUCCUCGUGGGAUCGACACUCGUCACCAUUGAUCUAUACUACAAUAGAUUCGUGCGCUUGCGAGUACAUUAAAAUUUGCACAACACCUACCAAUCACAAAACACAGUUAAGAUAUUCCGGCAUAGAUUCUCUAAUGUCUAAGUCAAAUAUUUGGUAUAUAAAGGAAGGAAAAUGGUUUGAGAAAACCUAAAAUAAACUAAAGUUAAGUGGGAUUUAUGGUGUUCCAAGAUGGUGCACAAUAAAAUAAUGUCCUAUUGAAUAAAAUUCUUAUUCCCCGCUUCAUUGACUCACAUAUUCAAUUAUGGUUAGAUCAAAUAUGAAUUCAUGUAUCUAAAAGUUCCUGAAGUGGAUGAGGAGCCUGGUGGAAGAUGGAGCUUUGCCAUAGAGGACAAUGUCGUUCCCUUUAGAGAUGGCAAAAAAAUCUAAGCCCAGCUCAGAUCCACAAAUAUCCGAACGAUCUGGAUUCAAAUGUAAGUGCAUUCUGAAAAUCGAAUAUUCGGAUCCGCAUUAUUUUUUAAUUAAAUUAUUUUAUUAGAUUAAAAAAUGUAUAAGUUAAAUAAAAAAAUCAAUCAUAUGUGGAUUUUUGGUAAUGUCUUCAUUUGUAAUGGUUUUAAAUGAAAUCUAUGUGGAUUUGUAGUGUUUUUAUUUGUGGAUUUGUGGUGGUGUUAGACUUGAAUUUAUGCUAUUUUGAUGUUUGAUUUAUAUUAUGGUAUUUGGAUCUAUGUAUUUAUGGUAUUAUUGUAUAUUAUUCUAGGUGUUGAAUUGUUGAUUGUUGAAUUAUUAUUGGAUUUUAUUUUAUUUUUAGAUAAAUUUGUUGAAUUUUAAAUUAUAUUUGAAUUUAUUACGUGGAUUCAAAUAUUAAAAAAAUCCGCUCGCAAUCCGCACGAGUAUUACCCACAUUCAAAUCCACAUAUAUUUUUUUUUAUGGAUUUAGAUGUAAUUACAAAUCUCAAAAUAUGAAUCUGGAUCUAAAUUUUGUCAUCCCUAAUUCCCUUACCUGAAGGACAUCGCCAAUGAAUUCUUAUUGUUAAUAAUUAUAUAUAAAUUUAUAGUAAGAGUUUAUGUUGACUUUGAAGUUUUGACUCAUCCAAAUUAUGUGUUUGGUAAUGAAGAAUUUGCAUUUCAAACUUCUUAUUAUUUUGUGAUAUGUAUGUAUGUACACACACACACACACUUAAUUUAUUGUGGGUCUUAGGUUGAAUUUCUAACCCCUUUCUUUAAUAGCUUAUUUGGUUUAAAUAGGUUACUUUUAGUGGGCAAUUGCAUCCUUGAAUCCAACCCACUCUCCUAGUGGCUUUAAGAGGUUUUCGCUAGUUGAGGGUUGUUGCGAGGUCAUUGUACUUAAUUUCUUUGACUAGAGGACACAUUUAGAGCACAUUUCUCUUGGCUAACUUAGGUCAUGUUUGGAAUUAAGGUGCUGUAGCAGCUAGUGUUUGCCAAAAGCUACAUCUGUUGUGGAAAAAAAACAGUAAUUAUGAAAAAAAAAGUUAAUUAUAUGUAGUAUAUAUAAAUUUUAAAUAAUAACUUUGACAAAAUUAUUAAUGAUAUAAUAGAUUUUCUAUCAUAUAAGUGAAAAAUCAUAUCAAUACAGCUUCCAAGCUACAGCAGCUAGUGUUUACCAAAUACUUUAGUAUUGUAUCUUUUAAGGUACAGCUGCCCAACCUCAAUUCCAAACACAGCCUUAGAUAAGUAGAUUCCUAGGUCACACAAAUGGAUUUCCAAGUCGAACUUGACGCGUUAUGAGGUGUAAAGUAGGAGUGAAAGGAUUUCAUAACCGGGUUUUGAAUAAGAUGACCUUUUCAUUUUUUUUUUUCAUAUUGCAAAAGUAAUAAGAAACAUAUAGGGGUAGACCGGUGCGUUUGCAGAUCACCACAUAGAUUUUAGGUUUUAUUUAUAAAGUUGGCUCAACAACAGUAGAUUCCAAUUGAGCUUAAGUCGACUGUAUUUUUGGUGCCAUUAGAAAAAAUCCAACCUAAACAUUGAUUCCCUAAUUUUUAAUAUUAGGAAGAUAUGAUCGGUGUUGGAAACUAAUUGUUGAAACAUACAAAAAUUUUAGUGAACUUAACGUAUAUGUGGUAAAGUUAUUGUUAAAACUUUCCCACAUAAUUAAUUCUCCUUUCAAUUCUUUGUGAUCAGUGAGAUGAAAGAAUCACGUGUUGUACCUCGUUAACUAUAAUACAAAUUAAUUUAUACACCCAACUUUCUAAGAGAAAGAUUACUCUAAUUAACAACACAUACAACUGGAUUAUUGUUAAAUGGAUUGUUUUAUACGGUUUAGAAGAAAAGACAUUCUCCUAUCAAAUGAUGAUUAUAAUUAUUAUUUUUGUUACUUGAUCAAAACUCAGUUAAUUUGAGAAUGAUUGUAAUAUUAAGCUUGUAGUUAUUGAUAGGGGUGGGCAAAUCGAACCAGAACCAAAAAAAAUUCAGUUUGGUUUGGAUUUUUUCAGUUUCGGUUCGGUUUUUUAACUCUCAAAAAUCCGAAAUUAUAAACACUGAACCGAAUGGUUCAGUUCGGUUCGAUUUCAGAUAAAAAAUUUGAAAAUCCGAACCGAACCGAUAUUAAGGUAUUUUUUGUAAUUUCACUAUGAUAUAUAUACCCAAACCACAAAUUCUACACCAAUCUCUCACUUUCAACUACACAAAAUCACGACCGCACAAACCACACACCCAAAUCUUAACUCCAUCUGCCGGUGGCUGAUAAUGCCGAUCUGCCGCUACCGUUCCUUCCAUUGCUCCCUGGCCAGCCAGCCAACUCACUUACUUGCUAUGCUUUCUCUCUUUUUCUUUUUUUUUUGAAAUGGGUCUUUUUUUUUUAAAUGAUUCUUUAAUCUUUUGUAAUUUCAUGGUUGCUUUACUUAUUAUUACUGUAUUAGAUUAUUAAUUGUAUUUGAUUUUAUUAGCUUUGUUUGGAUCUGUAUAUGUGAUUGGAUCUGCAAAUGUCACUGUUGCUAGGUGAGAAACAGAGAAAGUCGCGAAGUGGAGAAGAUAAUGGAGGAAUAAUAUCAUUUAGAUCCAUCUCUUUUAUAUAAUAUUAGUGUGGCCCAAUACUUAGGAAAUGUUUGCAUAUAAGAAUUCUAUUGUGGCCUAAUUUGUUUGUAAAUUUUCAAAAUGGUCCUUGACCGAAAGUCAAAAUUCAAAUACCGUUAAAAAACUGAAAAACCGAACCGAAGCCGAUAGGUCGGUUUCGGUUCGGAUUUUAUUUUCAAAAAACCGAACGGUUUUUUAAAUUUUCAGAUCCGAACUUACGCCCACCCCUAGUUGUUGAGGGACUUGUUAAUUCUAGCAUCAACGAAACACAUGAAAGAAAUUCAUACAUCAUCCACUGGUUCUUGAAAACAUUUACUUCAUACAAUCUAUUUGGAAACCAAUGACGUGGGUUUGAUUUUUGUUGGACCAACUUCUUACAUUAGCAAACGAGGAAGACGAUUAGAUAUAAUCAUAAAAAUGUGUGAAAAAGUUGUCUUGGAAUUUAAUGAGAAUGUAAACAUUAACAUUUAUUUGUUGACAGGAUGAAAUCCACCGACAUAAAUACUACUUCACAUUUACUAAUCUCCACGAAUCUCUUUUGACAAAGCCGGGUUGUGAAAGCAGAUUGAUAAGGUAGAUAAAUAUUAGAUAUUGUUCUAAUAUCAAAUUAAGUUAACAUGAUUAGGUUACAUUUUAAUUGAAAGUGUUAUUAGAUCUCGUUCUAGUCUAAAUGGCUUACUAAAUUUUGAUAAUGCCUUAAGCAAGAUUAGAUGAUACUCUAAUUUAAAUGAUUGUAUAAAAGAGAUUUUGAUACAUAAUUGCAAAGGAAAUUAUAAAAGAAAAGUUUUCAUUAAUCAAAAGGUUAUGAAAACAAUUACAAAAUUUCUAUAUUUAUAAUAGGAUAAACCUACUUCAUAAAGUUAACUUAAAAUAAAAAUUAAAUAGCAAUUAUACUUGAAAUAAAAAACUAAAACACAUAUCAUAAUUGAUUCUAAUUAAAAAUGAAGCAUAUCAAAAUAUCGAAAUAACAAAAUUCUAAAGUCUUGAAACGAUGACUUACAUUAGUCUGCCCCCUUUAAAAGAAACACGUGCUCGAAUUUGGAUACAAUUUAGAGGAUGAGACUUAUAAUAUAAGAGCAAAUCAUCUUGUAACUCUUGUUGUCUUCCUCAUCAAUCUUUAUUGAAACUUUGAAGAAUCCAUAUUUCAUUGAUUCCUUACUUAUGCAUUCUUCAAGGCAAUAAAGACUUCCAAGAAACGAACAAUGAUAAAAAAAAAAAAAAAAACUCUUGCCUUUCUCUAAUUUUUGCUCAUUGUACUCACCGACAAUUUUACCUUUCAGUCAAAUCUUCUUUAAGAAUAAUCCUUUUUAUUUUCAAUGUGGGUAGAUAUAAUCAUGUCAAUUAUUGUUGGAUCUCUUCAGCUUGAUUUUGCUGCACAAACUCGAUCAUACUAUUGGGCUCAAUGCCCAAAUCAAAGUACGUUCUAUCUCUUCUUUAAAAAUCUUAGAUAAAUCAACAAUCCCAUCAUCUUCUACUUUCAGUAGUGUAAAAAGAAAAGGUUCAACAUCAUCACAAUGAAGAAAAUAAUCUUUCAUUGAUUGUCUCACAUCAAACCAUUCUUGGAUUUUAUCUUGUCCUUGUUGAAUCCUUGAUUCUUGUAGUUGUUUCUACCAUUCUAAAGCAUAACAUGUUAAGACAAUUUAGAGAAAAUCAUUCAUCAUGCAAAUCCAAUAAAAAAAUCCUCAAGAUAACAAUCAAAAUCCAAGAUAUUUUCAAUUUUAAGGAGACAAUGUGAAUCUUGAUACCUAUUUUUGUCAGCUUUUUUUUUUAAUUAAGAUAGCGUUCACAUUUUGAAUUAGAAUGAGAGUCUUGAAGAGUGAGAAUAUUGGAUUUAGGAGUGUGGAGUGGCUGUAGGAGUAAAUUGUUUACUUACACUGGAAUAAAAGUAUGAAAUUGGAAUCAAAAUCUAAUUUAUAUGUUUACUUUGUUUGAAUUGGGAGUAAAUGGUUUCAAAUUAGAGUUUUAGUUUUAUUUAAAGAAUUAUAGUUUUUAAUUACAAAAUUAAUAAAAAAUACUGCUGUACCGUACAUCCGCCUUGGCCGUACAGCAGUCAAGUAGUUUUGAAUCUUAAAACAAACAAAAUUUUUCAUUAUCAAAUGAACAAGAAAAACCAGAUUUGUCCAAAGUAGAAAUAGAAAUCAAAUUUCGCCUAAAAGAUGGAAUAACAAAUGUUUCAUCAAGAUCUAUAUAAAAUCUAGUCUUUAACAGUAAUCUAAAAUUUCCAAUCGCUUAUACUUUAACUGUCUUGCCAUCGCUCACAUGGAUAUAUCUUUCACCAUCACUGGGUUUUUAGCAACUUGGGAAACCUUGCAUAGACAAACUGAUGUGAGUGGUUGCACCAUAAUCUAUCCAUCACAUGUGUCUAGAUACCGAAGUUAAAUUAGCCUAAGAACAAACCAAACUAAGAAGCAUACCUUUCUUAGCACGCCAUGUGUGACAAUUAGUGCAAUGAUUUGAUCUUCUUAUGCCCUUCAGCCCCACAAAAGAAACAACUAGUAACUUUCUGAUCACCUGGUCUCUUUUGUUGUUUCUUUUGAGGUGUUGUAUCUGCAGCUUCCUUAUCCUUCUUCUUUUUCUUGCCCUUAGAUGUAGAGGCUAGGUGAACACUUUUUGCCUUAUAUUUUUUCAACUUAUCAUCUUCUUGAACAAAGUGUGAUAUGAGCUUAUUUAGAGACCAAGUCUCUUUCUGACAAUUAUAACUCACCUUAAACUGGUUAAAUUGUGUUGGUAAAGAUAUUAAAACCAAAUGCACUAGCAAGUUCUUGGAGAGUUUAAACUUAAGUGCUCAUAAUGUAGAAGCAAGAUGAGACAUCUCCAUAAUGUACUCCUGAUAUUGCUUUUAUCAGUAUACCUUAUUGAAACUAGGCUUGUCAAGAGCGUACCAAUUUCAACCUUUUCGUUCUUGACAAACUUCUGUUUAAUUUGUGCAAGGAACUCUUUAAUCAUAGUUGCUUUUUCAAUCAUUGAGGCCCUAAAUGCUUCUGGGAAUGGCCUUAUUCAUGAUCAUGAUACAUAUGCAAUUUGAUCUCUCCCAUCUUUCUAUUUCCCUUUUAGCAUCAGGGUACUCUCGUCUGUAAGAGGUGAGAGAGAAUCAACCCUGAACGUAAGGUCAAGAUCGAUGAUUGCGAGAACUAUUAAGAGGUUUUCUUGUCAUGAUUUGAAGUUAGAACCAUUUAGUAUAUGAAUAUAAUUGAUGUUGACAAUAAUAUUAGCAGCAAGCAUAAUUGAACAGAGAAUAACAAACAAACAAAACAAGCUCAUAUUAGUCAUAAAACAAAAUGAAUUCAAAUAAAGGUAAACCCCAUCUAAAGAUACCAGACACUCUAUUAAUAUUCUAUUUUUGGACAAAAUAUUAACUUGUUAGUGAUAUCUCGGUGUAGUAAUCAAACACUGAUAAUAAGAACAUGUCAAAUAAUAAAUCUUCAUUUGGGUUGAUUUAUUGUUCACAUGUAAAAUCGAAUAAUCAUCACGUGGUUAUUACCACAGGUGCAUAUGCAAUUAUAUUAAAUAUGGACCUUCCUUUCGGCUGAUCGAUAUUUACAGAAAUUACAUGUACAAUACUGUUUAUAUUUCAAAAUAAAUUAAUUUCCACAAGGGUGGUCACUUUAGCGACAUGUUGCUUCAAUUAAUUUAUCUCAAAACAUAUAUAAACCUACUAAUAUUUAAAUUUAAAUUGCACCAAAAUUUACAAAAAAAUUUAAAAAUAAACAUUAGGGUAAAAAAUCGGUCAAUGGUCAAAGUCAACAAUCAAUGGUUGACCAUUGAUCAUUGGUUGACUGGUUCGACUGAACCAGUUCUGGUUGACCCGAUCGGAUUUGAACCAACCCUAAUCCAAAAAAGUAAAAAAUGGAGGGGAGUAGGAACUAGGAAUCUACUCCCACCUCCAAUAUGAAAGUAGAAAUCUCACUCGUCAAUCGUCACUCGAAAAAUAAGUGGAGCUCAUAUGGUAGGAUUUUCACUCCUCCUUUAAAUAAACAUUUAAGUGAGAGGAAUUCACUUCUCACUCCCACUCAAAUAAGUAAACAUAGUAUAAAAAUACAACUAAUGACAAAACCAUAAAUAACCUAAUUUUCAACGUUUGGUGUUGUCGACAAUUGGUGCUUGUGAUUUGGAGUGGUGAGGGUUAGAUAUAGUAGAUAUAAUCACGAUAAACGCAACGGUAGCUAAAGAUUGAUCAGAAUCGCAAUCAUUUGGUUGGAAAAAUGACUUGACGUAGCAGCGGCACGUGGUGGUGAGGUGGCGUUUUGCGACAAAGAUUGCAGCAAUGACGGGUGAUGAUGAUGGUUGCUCUUGAUGUGCGGCUAAAGGGGAGGGUGUUAGUGGUGUCAAACUGUCAAUCGACGGUAAAGGUAACUAAACGAUUGCGGGUUGAGUGAUGAAGCUUGCAGGUUUGGAGGGUUGCUGUGGUGAAUUGGUGAUUUAUGGCGGGGAAAAUCCGAGUGUGAUGGCAAGGGUUUUGGUCAUCGACUAAUGGUUAUUCUGGUGGUGGGCUGAAUGACAGCAAUGGUCGAAGCGACGACAGCUGAGGUGGCGGCUAGAGUUUUAUUUGGGAAUUUUUGAUUUUUUUAUUUCAUUGGUGGAUUCAAUGAGAUGAAUGUAAAUAGCCAGAAAACAGUGUAACUAACACAAAACUUUUAUAAUACCAAUUGACAUAACAAGAUAACGAAAGUAGAUUAAUGGGUAAAUAAACACUAAAUAUCGUUUUAGUACUAAAUCAAACCUAAGCGAUUAGAUUACGCUGUAUUCGAAGCAUGAUUAAAUCUUGUUCUAAUACAAAUGACUCAAUGAAUUUUGAUAAUAUUUUAAGCGAGAUUCAAUGACCUUAUGAUCCACACAACUCUACAAUAAAAAUUUCAAUAGCUAGUUCCAAAAGAAAUUAUUAAAAAAGGAAUAUGAUCCUCUCCUGAUCUGAACUCUACUGAGCUUUUAAAAAUCUUUUGUCAUGUAUUCUUUAGUGGUAGUGUAUAGGUAAAAUUUAACUUCUUUUAUUUUUUUAUUUAUUAACAACCAAUUAACAAUUGAUUUAUUUUCUCAGAAUAUAAUCAGAUCAGGAGAGAAUCUUGACCCUAUGAAAACAAUAACAAGACCUCCUUAUUUAUAAUAGGGUAAACCCACUUCUCCAAGUUAUACUGAAAAUAAAAACCUAAAACACAUCAUAAUUGACUCUAAUUAAAAAUAGAAAACAUCAAAAUACCUAAAUAAAAAAAUUCUAAAAUCUUAAAAUAACAUCUUUUUUUUUUUUGUUCAAUAAAUAACAAUGGCUAAAUUAAACCACAUAACCACAGCCAUGACCAACCCUAUUGAAUAUUUGCAACACAAGCACACAAUGUUUCUAUUAGUCAACAAACCAACCAUACAAUUCUAGCUUCCACGAUAGGUAGUGAAUGAGAAUGGUGAGAGCAGCAGAGGAACAUGAAAAUGUUCUCGCUUUUGUGACUCCCUGAUCUCAAACACAAUAGAAACAUAGGGAAAAAAUCCUUCUGGACAGUAUUUACCAGUGUUGAAAGUUAUCUUGUAAAAUCCAGGGUUCAAGUCUUCAAUCAUGCCCAUCAAUUGACCACAUCGUCCAUCUUUAUUUGUAGUUGAAGACCCCUGGUACACCCACCCACUGACAUCUGUUUCGCCAAAGAGGGGACGUGGUUGGAUGCCCUUCCACAUUUCCAAACGUACCUCAACACCCGCAGCUGGAGACCCUUGAGAAACAUCCAAGACAUGUGUUGUAAUUGGUAGUCGAGUUCUUGUAGGGAUUUGAGAUAUUUUCCCUGCUGAAGCUUCAGUAGAAGCACAUAGGUGUCCUUCUAUGAUGCUCACACGAUCUUCUAGAUUGAACAAGGAAAAAGAAAAAAUUAACAUUUAUCGAAACAUUAGGGUAGUUGGUAACAAUUCAGGAAAAAAAUGCUAGAAACAAAAAAUAUCAAGUCCUUAAAAAAAAAAAUUGGAUGGGGAUGAGAAACCUCACCCGCUAAACACCAACGCUGCUCCCUAUUAUUACUCAAACUCAGUUUAAUCAUUUAAUUUUCUUUAAAUCGAUGGUCUGUACUAAAGUUUUGUUUGGUAUUAAGAUGGUGUAACUUUUAUGCCACGGCUGCAAUGGAAAAAAAGCUAUAGCUAGAAUUAUGAAAUAAAAACUGUUAGUGUGUGAUAAAUAUGUUUUAAAUAAUAAUUUUAACAAAAAUAGCACAGAUAUUUUAGGCUUUUCAUGAUAAAGUAUGCAAUCAAAUCAACUCAUCUUCUAAGCCACAUUAGCAAAUGUUUACCAAACAUUUUAGUGUUAUAACUUUUAAGCUAUAGUUGUCCAACCACAAUACUAAAUAGGGGCAGUGACACUUAAUCCAAUUCAGAAUUUGUCUGUUCAAAAAUAAAUUUUCAUAUUUUUCCCUUCAUCUCCAUUUUUCCAUUUUUUUUCUUCCCUGGACAGCAAACUUGAUUCUACAUAAUCAGAACAGUUGAUACACAGAAUGAAUAAUGUAUGUGUUCCAAACAAAUUUUAUUUGCUUAUUGCAUGACGGAGAGAAAAUAAAUUUAAUCUAAGGGAUCAGAAACUAAAUUGCAUCUGUAGAGCAAGUGCAAGCAAAGAUUACCUACUUUUUCAGGGGGGAGACAGGGAGAAUUAAAGGUCCAUAAUAUCGUCUAUCCAUGCAUUAGUUGCUUGUUUCCUAACAAUUAAAUGUAGUGACCAAAUAAAAAGCCCUGCUUGAUUGAUGGUAAAAGGGUACCUUCUGCUGUUUUUGCAGUUGCAGAAUACUGGAAAGUUGCAGAAGAAGCUUUUGCUUUAGCUGAGAAGAGCUUUGCCAGACGUAAUUCAGUUAUUUUCAUUUGCUCCUGAGCAGCAAUCUCAAACUCAAUUAUGGGCCUGUUUGUGUAUCGUUUCUGCCAAGACCAACACAGAUAAUAAAUUUUAUUAAGCAUCCAAUCUGGUACAUUAAAAUGGGCAUUGUAAUGAACUUUGUUUGAGCAAAACAAAAGCAGAACCGCUGCUGGCCUAGUAAUAUCAAUUAUUCAGCAAAGUUGAAGGAUGAAUGCAUUUCACACUAGGGUUAUCUUCUGCGGAUGAGUAGAUGCAAGACAACAUCUCUGCUAGGAGCAAAAGUAUACAAAAUGUAAUAACCAUAAAAAAUGAAACAGAGUGGGGCGAAAAAAGAUCUUGAUGUGCUGAGAAAUGUUCUCUGUUUGAGAAAUAUUAUCACAUAAAAUCAUAGACUGACCGCAAAGAAGCAAUCUAUGAAUCACUGAUAAAGUAAGUCAAUAAUAUAAAUUACUUCAAGUUCAAAAUGCUUUUUCUAAUGUGAGUAAAGAAAGUGGACGGCAGUAAGAUUAACAAACCUUCAACUCAGCAAGUAUUUCGGCAGCCGUCCUCCCCGAUGCACAUAUAAUAAAUAUAAAUCCAAAUCUCAGCCUGUACCGAUUAUUCCAGUCGGACAGUUCCUACAACAUUUUGAAAAAGGAGGGAAAAAAAAAAGCACUUAUAGGGAGAGAUAAUUAAACAAGUGUUAAGCACACAUAACUCAUUCCUAGAAAUAAGGCCACAUGCCAAGUAGCACUCAUCCUUACAUGCGAAAUCUUAGCUUAGCAAUGCGAGACUCGAUUACAACAGGAGAAAGGAAUUGAUAUAUUCAUUUGACUAACCUGCGAGCUAGAUUCAUUAGCAGUUGCUAAAGCAGUGGACUGCUCGGCCUUGCUCCACCUACCACCAUCCAAAAAGAAAUUAAUAGGAUAUAAAAAAUAAAAUAAAAAGCUAGAAUCUAUCAAGUAAUUGUAAUAAGAGACGAGAAAAGAGUAAGAAAAGAAAACUGUGAAGACGGAGAUUGGCCGAUCUGAGGAUGAGCCGAAAAUGCAUCAAGCCAGCCGUUUACAUCAACCUUUAUAUUAAUUCGUAAGUUGUUGAAAAUAAAAUUAGAAUUUCACAUAAAUUAAGGGGGGGAGAGAGAGAAUCUGAGCGAAGAAAAGCGAUAUGACGAAAGUCAAUACCAGGUUGAACCAGAUGUGUCGAGCUGCUGAGACGGCUUGAUUCAAUGAUGCAAAAGGUGAGGCCGACGCCAUCUCUUUCGCAAAUUUGGUGCUACCGCAGCAUCCCAACAACUCCUCCUCAUCCAAAACCACCAUCAUCUCCUCCAUUUCUCGGGUGUCUGUCGAUCACUCAUCAAUCAACCCAAUAUAUUCUAAUAAUACCAUUCAUUAUUAAAAAAAAUUAAUAUUUGACGUAAUCACCUACCCUUUUUUAUGGCUUAUUUAAUAGUUUUUGACGUGAUUUAUUUAAUACUAAUAAGUAUUUAUUUAAUUUUAUAAAUACUUAUCAAAAUUUUUGUUAUUAUUUAAUUGAGCUUUUAACCUGUCGACCACUCAUCAACCAACCCAAUAUAUUCUAAUAAUACCAUUCAUUAUUAAGUAAUUUUAAUAUUUGACGUUAAUUAUCUAUUUAAUAUGUCUUAUCUAAUAAUUAUAAGUAUUUAUUUAAUAGUCAUAAGUGUUUAUUUAAUUCUAUAAGAUAUUAUGAAAAUUUUUAUUAUUAUUUGGUUGAGUUUUUAAUGAAGAUUUUGAAAUUUAAAUAAAUUAUUUUACUUCAACUAGUAAAAAUUUAAAUUUUAAGAUUUUUGGGGAUUUUAGAAGUAGAGGUUGAAAUUUUUUUUAAAUUUUAAAAUAUCCUCUAUUUAUUGAACAAUCUUAUUUUAUUUUUUUAUAACGUAACUAAAAAAACUUACCUAUUAAAAUAAUUUUAUAAUUUUUAAUAAAAGUUGUUAUUAACAAUCAAACAACUAAAAAUUUUUAAAUAAAAAUUUUACUUGUAAAAACUCUACUAAUAAAAACUUUACUUAAAUAUACUCUACUUGAAAAGAUAUACCAAAUAGAGCCUAAAUGCUUAUAUAAUUUUAAAAACUCUUAAUAAAAUUUUUAUUAUUAUUUAAUUAUUUUUUUAAUAGAACUUUUAAAAAUUAAAUAAAUUAUUUUACCUCUACUAAUAAAACUGCUGUACCGUACAUCCGCCUUGGCCGUACAGCAUUAUUUUAUUUUAUUUUUUAUAAUAUAACUUUUAAAAAUUCACAAUCAAACAAUUAAAAUUUUUAAAUAAAAACUCUAGUCAUAAAAAUUCUACUAACAACAAAAUGUGGAAAAAGACAAAACAAUCAAAAUCCUCCUAAUUGUAAAGAGAAUAUACUAACAACAAUCGGUAGGCGUCCCUUUUCUUUAACAGAAUCAUAAAUAAAAAGGAUGCCAUUUCCUUUUUAUUUUCUAAUAUGUUAAGUUAACAAUGAUGAAUUUGGUUAAUGAAAAUCGUCGUCAAUUUUUCUCCAAAAAUAAUAAUGAUAAUAAUCAAAAUGUACAAACGUGUUAUGCGGGAGCGGUUUAGGGUGCUUUCAGUCUUUUCCUUCGAUAGCAUUACAACCAUUUUAGGAAAGUAUUAAUUGGGCGUUGUUAAGUUACAUUAACCUUAAAAGUUAUAAUUAGUGAUUUAAAAUUUGACGACGAUGAAAAUUUUUAGCUUCUUUUUAUUUUUUUAUUUUGAAAAGAACCUCUUUUUAAUCAAUUUCCAAAAUGUUGGAUAGAAAUUGAAGACGCGCCGCGGACCAUCUAAUCGAACUCGCGCCUGAUGAGAUGUGAAACGCCUUGCCCCUGCGGCCACGGUGACGUCUCUCAAAAAGUUGUCCAUAUCUCUCUUGCAAACGUUCUGAAGAUGAACCAAACCUGUCUGUAAUAACUUGUGAUUGGUGAAUUGAAUCGAGAGAGAAGAGAUCGUUUCCGCAUUCCCUAUUCGUCUUCCCGUUUUUCCAGCUCUAUCAAGUUCGUUCAAGAUGGCUUCUGCUCAAUCACAGGAAGACCAGGUAAGCUUUUCUCUUCUAAGUUGUUUGCAUGGUCUGUAUUUACUUCGCCUUGGCGAUGGCCGAUGUCGUUGGGGUCCAUCACAUCACUUGUGUUUUGGCUUUUUUGUCCUCUGUCUCGAUUACAGGUCUUAGAAGAAGAGACCUCAUUUGUAAGAAUAUUGACACUAAACAGGCCCAGGCAAUUGAAUGCACUUUCAGCUCAAAUGGUAUUUAAUUUUUAUCAUUCCUUUUACUUGUUUAAUGAAAAACCGUACCCCAUUUAUUCAUAUUAAACUCAUCUUCUUGCUCUUUCUCCUUCUACUUUACUAUUUUCUGCCCAAUUCUAAUAAUUUUUAUUUGCUUUUCAAUUCGAGUUAUAGAUUUCUCGGUUAUUGGAACUUUUCCAGCGCUAUGAGACCGAUUCGAACGUGAAGCUCUUAAUUCUCAAGGUUUAUUUCUUCUUCUUCUUCUUCUUCUUAGCAUAAAAUAGUUUUUUUUUUUUUUUAAACCGUAAUCCAUGAUAUUGGUAUGAAUUUAGUAAUAUCUAUCUCUUUCAUUGUAAUUGCAACCCGUUCUUUUUCAGUCUUGCAGCUAACGCAUAAUUAUUUGUUUCUAGGGAAAAGGAAGGGCAUUUUGUGCUGGUGGUGAUGUGGCCGCAGUUGUUCGCGGUAUUAAUGAGGGUAUAUUCCAUCCUUCCUUUUGUCCUAUUUCAGGAACAUCUGAAGAAUCUCAUUUGUCCUAGUGAAGCUUGUUCCAUGAAAAGUUCACUGCUCCUUGUUAAUCAUUUUUUACAAUAGGUGAUUGGAUAUCAGGUGCCAAAUUCUUUUCCAAGGAGUUCAUCCUGAAUUAUUUGAUGGCAACGUACACCAAACCCCAGGUGACCCAUUCUACUAAACCUUGUAUUAUUUGUGGCAUUCACCUUCCAGAUAUACAAGUUUUUCCUUAUAGUUGGCAUGCAAUUGGUGCUCAAGGUUUCAAUUCUUAAUGGAAUUGUCAUGGGAGGUGGGGCUGGUGUUUCAAUACAUGGUAGAUUCCGAGUUGCUACUGAGAAUUCGGUGUGUAAUACUGCUCUCUUUUUAGUUAUUAAGGUUAAGUUGUUACAAUUUUCAGUUAAUCACUGAUGAUGAUAAUUUCUUAAUUUUUUAGCAUCAAGAACACUGAACUGAUAUUGGUUAUCUGUAUUUUCUAAAAUAUAUAAUCUACUGGUAAACAGUGUGAAAGCAUGAUGAACAAGAAAUUAAUUCUGAUAUAACUGGAAUACAAACUCUGUUCAUACAAACUGAUGUGGCACCCACAUUAUCUUUUUUAUUCUGGUGAAAAUUUGAGGCAUGUGGCUACGAUAUAACAAUUCCACAUUAGUUUGUACAAAUUCACUUUGUACAAGAAUAUGUAUAGAUGGCAUUACCUUUCAAUAAAUGCGUUUUCUUGUAAAAUUAGUGGCUCUAACCUUAUUAGUAAUUGUGUCUCGGUAUUCUAUAUUGCAGGUAUUUGCAAUGCCUGAGACAGCUUUGGGACUUUUCCCAGAUAUUGGUGCCUCUUAUUUCUUGUCAAGACUCCCUGGAUUCUUCGGUAAUGCUAGCUACUUUCUUUAUUUUCUUAAACAUGCUCUUACUUUAAAAGUUCUUGCGGCCCUUUCAAAUGUGGAGAUGUUGUUUCUUUCUUCCAUUUAUGGGGUUUGCAUCCCACUUGAGAGAGCUCUUUAAUUCAAGGAAGAAGUGGUCCCAUCUCUCCUUACCAGUUGAUCUCCUAGCAUAAUCCUUCCUAUUCCUCUUGUUCUAUCAUCUAAUCCUAGUGUUGAAUUGUGUUCGUGAGAUUAAAAAAUUGAUAGGAUAAGUGUUUUAGUUUGAAAAUAUGUGGAAUUUUCUUGGUAUCUAUUAAAGGAUUUUCUGAUCUGUAAAAUGAGUUAUCAGUAAUGCUACUUUGACAAAAGGAUUCUUACAAAAUUUUGACAAAAACUUCAAAACACAGCCGUUGAAUGAAAAAGGAUUAUUAAAUAGUAAUAGUGCAUGAGAUAUUGAUCUCUCCUUGUUGCUGCACAUCCACCCACCGACGGCACACUGCCAACCAAUGCCGGAAACUGGUUCAAAGGCACUGGUGCUGGAUCCUAAAGAGUUGGUUGAUGGUGUGAUCAAUCUAAAAUUCUCCAGUCAACAGUUUGUUUUUUUCGGUGUCGGUGCUGGUAGUGGCAGUAGCUUGAUUUGGUCUUUGGUGAAAGGGUUUGUGAGGUAAAUAUUUUGAUUUGGGUAAAUUCUAAUUUUUUGUAACCAGCCAUCAGGUGAAUUCUAAAAUCAUCUUCCCUUUAAUUAUUCUUUGGGAAGAAAUAUUUCGUGGAGUGGAUGUGUUGGUGUUUGAGAGAAUAAUAUCACCGACAUAAUUAUUAAUCAUGCCGAAUUUUGAAAGCAAUAAAGGAAAGGAGGUGAAAGAGAUUUUAGUUGAUGAUAUAGAGUCCUGAUGAUAGAUUGCCAUGAAGUACAUAUUGUUGGUCAGCUGUUUUAAUUUUUUCCCUUUUUUAUUCAACUUAAGUUGAACGGCUGUGUUUUGGACUUUUUUGUCAAAAUUUUGUAAGAAUCCUUUUAUCCGAGUAGCAUUACUAAUAAGUUAUAUAGGGUAAUGUGUCUAUUUUGUUGUUGUUUAAACUUUUGUAGAUGAUAUUAACUUGAACUUCUCUUAUUUUCUUAAUUAUCUUCUACAAUUUUUGGCAGGAGAAUAUGUUGGUCUGACAGGUGCAAGGUUGGAUGGUGCUGAAAUGCGUGCAUGUGGUCUUGCUACUCACUUUGUCCCCUCAUCGGUAUCCAUGACUAUAAUCAUUGGACUGCAUAUUCUCAAAGGAUAAGAGAUAAAAUUGAUUUAUUUAUAAUAGGAUGCUGAAGUCCUGAAGCUAAUAUUUGUUUUCUAGAAUCUGAAGUUCAAUCUUCAUUGCUCUAGGUGUGGAAACUGCAAUUAGUAGGUCUAAAAACUUGUUAAGCCCAGUCAUUUUAGCUUAAAUUUGGUGAACUGUUUUUUUCAAUUUUGGAAGAUCUCCUGUUCUGGCACUGUUUGAUGAUGUUAUUACUAGAAUAAAAUAUGAAUAAUUAGUGGUUUUAUGGGUGCACGUGCAUCUUAUGUAUUGACCUCCAAGUCGUGCACUUUUUAAUUUUAUUACUUAUAAUCAUGUGAGUACUCUUACCAUUUCGAUGCUACUUUUUUGACUUGAUUGACAGAGAUUGGCUUUAUUAGAAGAAGCAUUAUACAAGGUAAAUUCAAGUGAUCCAGCCGUCAUUUCAGCAGUUAUCGAUAAAUUCUCUCUGGAACCUUAUUUGAAAGACCACAGUGCAUAUCAUUGGUAAAGUAUUCUAUUUAUAGCUUUGCUUUGUAUUGGUUGAUAUAAAAUAAUUGAUUUGGGCUUAUUGAUUAUUUUAAGUUCUUUACCAAGGCUAUUGCACUCAAUGCUCAGUUUAGUCUCCCANNNNNNNNNNNNNNNNNNNNNNNNNNNNNNNNNNNNNNNNNNNNNNNNNNNNNNNNNNNNNNNNNNNNNNNNNNNNNNNNNNNNNNNNNNNNNNNNNNNNNNNNNNNNNNNNNNNNNNNNNNNNNNNNNNNNNNNNNNNNNNNNNNNNNNNNNNNNNNNNNNNNNNNNNNNNNNNNNNNNNNNNNNNNNNNNNNNNNNNNNNNNNNNNNNNNNNNNNNNNNNNNNNNNNNNNNNNNNNNNNNNNNNNNNNNNNNNNNNCCCCCCCCCCCCCCCCCAAAAAAAAAAAAAAAGUUCCGUGAUUACUCUGUUUUUGAUGGAGGAGAGGUGGGUGGGAGAGAGGUUGCUUGCUUCCAGAAAGGUCACAACUGAAUUUAUUCCUGGGAAAGCAGUUACCUAUGAAUUUACAGCUUUUGGACUAUAACUAUGAUCUUCUGCAUGUACUUUAUGUGCAAUUUCCAUUUUUAUGGUUUUAGAAUAUUCCCGUCAGCAAUUUCUUGUCUACAAUGCAUGGACAAUAAACUGAUCAGAAUUUGGUCUAGUCAAAUCAGAACAUGGACUAGCCAAUCUAGAUUUGCUAUGUUUUCCUUUUAUCCUUAUAUCAGUGGUUGCUUCGCUUAGGAUGGAUGUCAUUGAUAAGUGCUUUUCCCGAAGAACAGUUGAGGAAAUUUUAUCUGCUCUGGUGAGUUGAUGAUGGGUUUGGUUCUUUAUGGAGUCAAAAUAUUUUCUCUGUAAAUUACUUCAUUUUCGUUUUGGUUGUUCUGCUUGAUCAUGAAGAAAAUUGUUUGCCGUAAAUAAAUUGAUCCAUCUUAUGCUUUCUUACAUGUAGGAGAGCGAGAGCACCAACAGAGCAGAUGCUUGGAUUUCUGAUGCCAUUCAGUCCUUGAAGAAGGCGUCACCAACAAGUCUUAAAAUUUCUCUUAGAUCGGUAUGUGUUUAGCAUUCCUUUUGUAAUGACAUUUCAUUAUGCCGAAAGUUCUUUUGAAGUGCUUGCUUAUUUGCAAUUUUUGAAAGUUGGCUGGCUAAAGCUGGAUUUGUUCCUUUUAUUUCAGAUUAGAGAAGGGAGGCUGCAAGGUGUUGGUCAAUGCCUUAUUCGCGAGUAUAGAAUGGUCUGUCAUGUCAUGAUGGGAGAAGUUAGCAAAGACUUCUUUGAGGUUUGCAACCCAUUCAAAUGCGCGCACGUGUGUGUGAAAUAAUUUUCCAUUAACGAGUUCCUUACUUAAAGUAAGAAGGAACAAGCUAAAAAAUACAAAAAAAAAAAAGGUUUCAAUAACAAUCUUUGAAAGUCUCUGAAAGUUUGUUUGUUAUACAGGGUUGCAGAGCCAUUCUAUUAGACAAGGAUAAGAACCCGAAGGUUGGUGAAUUCUCUUCCAUAUCCUUUCAUCUGUGCUUCCAUGCUCCAUUUUUGGGUUUCGGAAACUAACUCCUUGCAAUUGCACUCAGUGGAAGCCGUCUAAAUUGGAGCUAGUCAAUGACAAUAUGGUUGACCAAUAUUUCUCCAAGAUCAAUGAUGACAGAUGGGAAGAUAUAAAGCUGCCUGCUAGGUCGAACUUGCCCGCCACAGCCAUUGCGAAGCUCUAAGUAAUUGUGAGAAUGAGUUGGUAUUGCUGCAGCUUGCUGCCAUGCUUGCCUAACAGAAUUUGUCCAAUGGAAGUAGAUGAAAUCCUUGUCCGUUGCUGUUCUUUCAAACAAAAUAAGGAUUGAGCUUUGUUGAUGCUUCUUUGUACCCCCUUCAUAGUGUACAAUACAUGAGACUGUUUCGGCUCUGGCUUAUCUUUUGAGGUGUAGGUCAGGGUGAGGUUAGUUUUACCUAUAGGCUUCGAUGAGCUUGCUGAUUUGUGAUGGCAAUAGCAUGAACAAGAACAUUGCAAGUAUCCCUAACCAUCAGCAUUUACAAUUUAUAAAGUUUCUGGGGGGAUCUUCCAAACAAAUGAAAGUAAACAGUUGAUUGAUAUUGAUUAUUGAUUCCCGACAAGGAAGAGACGAAAUUAUUGGGGGCUUGCACUUGCCCGUUUAACAAAUCAUAAACAUCAUCUGUUUACUUGGGGUACAUUACUAAUAGCAGUGAAUCAGUUGUUAUGAUGGUCCAACUAAGAUUCUAAUUAUCAAUGGGCAUUUGGUCUAAUGAGAGAAGUUUUGUAUUUACAAUAUUGAGUGUAAGGGUUCGAGCUUCCAUAAGAGGCUUAUAAAUGUUAAUUUUAACUAAUUGAAUGAAGACAGUUUUUUUUUUACGAAAUCUAAGUGGAGUAGGUACUUCUUUCAAUUAAUUGAAUAGAGACAGUCUUUUUCUUACGAAAUGUGAGUAGAGUAGGUAUUUCUCGAAUAUUAAAGAGAGUUUAAUGUAUUUGGACAAGUGCUUCACACCCCUUGAAUAUUCAACCACAUCUUUAUUGCUCCAACUUCUUUGUUCCAGUAAUUCUUGCUUUACAAUUUCCUUGCAUUUCCCAUAAAGGCUCUACGAAUCCUCAUAGUGUAGUCGAGGAAAUGUUCUUCUAUUAUAUCUUAGCCCCCUUCCUUUUUCCGCCACAGUCAUCAUAAUGGGGUUGCGAUCUGAUGUCCAUGUUUCCAAAGUUUCAGCGGCAAAUUCAAGAAACAUAUUCCCCCAUUCUUUAUUGCACAAGAAACAGUCUAAUCUUUCCUCAAUCAAAAGUGGAUUAUAUCUUUCGUUGGACCCUGUAAAUGGCCCCCCUUUACACCCCAAGUCCACCAGGUUACAUUCUGUAAUUUUGUUUCUAAAAUUCUGCAUCGUACCUAAUUCUCUAUCAUUUUCUCCUAUUUUCUCAAAAGGCCAUAGGAUUUCAAUGAAAUUUUCAAACCAAAACCAGGGCAGAAAAGAUAAGGUGGCUAACCUCAUUAACAGUGACCAUAUAUAGUGCUUUUAACUCAUUUAUGAAUGCCUAUAAAUUCCCAUACACCUCUAGUAAGUUCCAUUUUCAGCAUAUAUUACAACAUCAAUAUGGUGCAUGCUCCAAGAUUUAAUUUCCACCAACAGUUCUAAACUCCAUAUCAAAGCUAAACCACCUCUUUUUCUAGUUUUAUUAACUUCAAAAUAGUUAUCAAAAUCCAGUCUUUUACUUUUCUCUUGCAUUUGCCUAAAUACCCAAAAAUUCUUGUACACCACCAAUAAGUCCCAUUUUCAGCACAUAUUACUGCAACAAUAUAAUGCAUGCUCCAAGAUUUAAUCUUUACCAACAAUCCUGAACUCCACAUCAAAGCUAAACCACCACUUUUUCUAGAUCUAUUAACUUCAAAAUAGUUAUCAAAAUUCAGUCUUUUACUUUUCCCUUGCAUUUGCCUAGAUGUUAGCUUAAUUUCACAAAGAAAAAUAAGCUCAAACAUUUGCAUUUUGAGCAAUUUUUUAGCUUCACGAAAUGUUGGGUCGCUCCCCAAUCCCCAAAUGUUCCAUCUAAUGAUAUUCAUGGCUAUCGGUAGGGCUGGUAACCAACCUCCACUGAUAUUAAUUCAGUAAUUCCCAUUGCCAACUCGCUUGUUUCUCCAUCUUGUUUCUCCUCUAUUUCCAUACUUAGUUUCUGUUUGGCUCUUGGUGAGAUGAGAACUGAAAACUUCAUUGGGCCACAUAUUUUCUUUCAUUUUUGCUUCUGGAAUUGCCCCAUUCGCUUCUCUAACUUCACUUACUGGCCUUUUUGCUGAAAUAGGCCAAUUUUGCAUUUCACUUUUUUUUUUCUCUAUUUUAUCCUUCUUUCUUGCUUGCACUUUCCACUUCCUUCGUUUGGGCCUCAGCAUAUGGCCAUUGGGCUCAUUUUCAACUUCUCUUAUCGUUGGAAUUGGAUUGGUAUUUUCCCGUUCAACUUUCUCGUUGCUAAGUGCGAACUUUCCCCUUUCCCAAAUUCAGCUUUGCUUGUAGUUUUUGUGCCUCCCGUCUUUUUCCUUCAUCAUCGAGGUUAGCCAUAUCUAGCUUUUGUCCCCCUACUGAUGUUGACUUCACUAACUAUCACCCUUAGGUUUGACAGCUAUCAAUCACUCGCCUCAUCUUUCUAUCCUUUUACACUAAAUGCUCCUCUGAACUUGGUGAUUCUCGGGUUCAAUUUGCACCGGUAUCCUAAUCCGAUUAUUCACUAUAAUUUGAGGUUUGGUGCUCUUUGUUUUUAAAGUUAGGAUUUCUAGAUGAAGUUGGUCAUUCGUCCCUUUGAUUCUCCCAAACUACAUUCCCUCUCCCUCUAUCUCUUCAUCGCCUCAAUUUUUCAGUUAUAGUCUGAGCUUUAGUCCAUGGCCCAUAGGGCAAAUCUUCCUUGGCCAAAUUUUUGUAUGCUACACAUUCUUUAUAUUGGUGCCCAAUAUAGCCACAACAGUAGCAAAACUUCGACAACUUCUCAUAUUGGUUUGUUAUUGGGAUUUGUUCUUUAUCUUCUUUUGCCUCAUUUUAUAGGGAAAAUAUGUGGUGCAACUGCCGUGCCACAGUUGUAUUCAGCCGUUGGAUAUCAGUGAACCCCACUCAUGUAAGUGCAUCCAACGACUGGAUGCGAGUAUGGCACGAUACCACAGUUGCACCGUAGGUGAACCCCAUCUUGUGUAUCUUCCUGCAUCACCCUUCGCUCGUCUUCUUGCAUGUCUUCUCGUUCUCCCAUUAUCCCCAACGUUAUGAUUUUUGUUAGUGGCUCAGUGAUAUCAAUUGAGUGAAUUGACACUCUAAGCCAAAUGAUCUGUCCCAUAACAUCUCCAUUAGCAUUUGUUCCCACUUCUGCUACUUUCCUAAUUGCUCAACCAGUCUCUACUAAUAUUUCUUUAUCCGUACACAUAAUGGGCAUAUUUUGGAGUUGUACCCAAAAUGAUGUAUUUUAAAUGACUGUUUAAAGACUUCCUCAAUGCCCACGGGCUCUGUAAAAACUAUGAGAGCGUUAUUGAAAUGCCAUGGUCCAUUUGUUAACACAUGCCUUUUGUUCACUGUCAGUUCCAAACUUUAACAUGAAUACGCUAUCUGCCAAAGUCUCAACUUUGACUCAAAUCAACAAAAGGUUCCCUAAAAAGUGGUGUUUAGAGACUAAUUGAAUGUUAAAUAAAGAAAAACAGCAAAUUAAUUGUUUUUUUUUCUCUAACUGAGAUGAUUGAGUCUUGCUUAUUGCAGUGAAUUAUGAAUAAAUGGUUUUUUUUCGGUUCUAAUUGUUGAUGAGAUCGCGAUGGUGAGAAAAAAAAUGGAUACAAGUGGGAAUUAUGGAGUGAACGGGUAAAAGAUUAAAACACAUCAAUUAAUUUGCUGUCAGAAUAAUUAAUUAAAAAAAUAAAUCAUGACCCUUCAAUUUAAUAAUGCCACAUGUCAAAAUAUCUCAAAAGAGAUCUGAUACUAAUCAAUAUAAGAGCUUUUGUUUUUUUAGUGUAUUAAAUCAUAUGGUAUCCGAAAAUUACAUUUCACCCAACAAGUAUUUAACGCAGAUGCAUUCUCAAGUUUCGAACCGAGGACCUUAGUUAAGCUAAAACAACCUCAUGCAAGUUUAUCUACGCGCUUAUUGGUAUAUAAGAGCAUCUUACUAGUAGACCUAGAUCUACAUUAAGAGGAUAACUGCUGUAUUUUUUUCUCCUUAAAACUUCAAGAAUUGUGUGAUUUUCCUCUUUUUUUUUUUUUCUUUUUUGCCAAUUCUUCUUGUACUACAUCCAUUGCUUGAACCUCAUGUUUCAUCAUAUAUGCUUGCGUAAAAAGUUUCUUUUAGUCCAGGCAAAUGAUUGUUUGAGUAGACAUGGUGUUGAAGAAGUUUAAAACAAAGAAAAAUCAUAAUUGAACGAGUGAGUUUGAUUGGAGUCCAAAUAAUAAUACUACUAUUACAACAGCAUGCAGGAAGGGAAAUUGGAAAGCAAUUGUUUUGAUUACAUUUUCUAUCUAAAUAAAUGGAAGGCUUCUAUUUUAUUUGUAUUUGUAGCUAACGAAGGAAAUGAUAAACAUAAAUAAUGAUUAAUAAUUUCUUUUUCUUUUUUUUUGGAUUUCUAGUAAAGAAAGAAGAAGACAAUGUACAUAACAACUUGUUGUUCUGUUGUUCAUCUUUUUAUUUUUUUUUAUUUUUUUUUCCAUUUUCAUUCAGAUGAAGAUGAACAUUUUCGGAGUCUUGCCAAGCAAUUAUCUUUAGGCCUUGUAUGCGGUAAAUACAUCACUUGACAUCCUGGAUUCAGCCGUUCCACCCUAUAACAUCCAAUUUACAAAUACUCACGUAAAUAAUAUUUGCACAAAUAACUUUGAAACAGCCUAAAAGAAGAAGAGUUUGAGUUUGCAAGAUAACUCACCGAUAAUUGAGCAGAAAAUAGUGAAGAAAUAUAGUUAUUUCAAGCUUGGCAAGAUCAUUUCCAGGGCACAACCUGCUGCCUCCACCAAAGGGAAGGAAAGUUCCAGCUUUGGCUGUGUAAUUCUGUGCUUGGUUUACAGAAACAACAACAACAUCAUCAUUAGAUCAUAUAAUUAUAGAUAUAUGGCAAGCAUAUGCAUUAACUAACAUAUUAAGAUUAUUUAAAUAAACAAAUCUACAACUUACAUCCCAUCUGGAAGGAUUGAAUUCUUUUGGAUUUGGAUAAAUUUCAGGAUCCAAAUGAACACUUCUGAACCAAACCAGAACUUUCCAACCCUUUGGAAUGGUGUACCCUGAAAUGAAACACAUUCCGACUUGGUUAAGUAAACCAUUAGCUUGUGCGCUGUGACUUAUCAAAUCAUGCUUAUCCAGGGCCAGGGGAGACUAGUAAAAAUAUUUCUUCAUGUUCAUCAAAUAAAUUGAACUGACCACUUAUAUUGACAUCUGUUUUGGCUUCUCGGAACACCGUGAGUGAGAAUGUGAUUAUACGAAGCGUUUCAUCAACCACCUUCAGAGAAGGGGGAAAAAAGUUCAGAGAAGGGAAAAAGAAAAAAAAACACAAAGAAAAGGAUUUUGAGUUUGGAUUGAACAUUCAAUUCGAUUGACUCAUCAAAACAGUCAAAUCAUAAACCUUAGAAAGAUAAUCCAUUUCUCGAAUUUCUUUAAGGGUCAAACCCUUCUGUGUAGGUGGCCUUUUUUUAACAAUCAUCUCUUGCUCUGCCUAUAGAACAAAAGUAAGCAAAGGUCAAAUUACAAGGACAAUGUAAAACUUGCAAAAUAAAAGAGAACAGAGUUGCUGGUGUUGAUGAUGGACUCGUAAAAAGACAUUUAAAUUAUUUGUGUUGGGGUUACCUUAGCUUUUUGAAGAAAUUCAGGGUGUUCUUGCAAGAAAAUAGUAGCCCACAUCAUGGUAUGGCCAGAAGAUUCAUGGCCAGCAUUCAAGUACAUCAACAGAACAUCAAUGAUUUCCUCGUCUUCCAAUUUUCUGCCAUUUUCAUCCUCAACACUCAGCAGGGCAUCCAUCAUGUCUUUCUUCUUUGGAAAGUUAUCAUCCUUGCUCCGAUUUCUUCGAUCAUCCACUACAGACUGUAGUGUUGCCACAAGAUUUUUCCGAGCCUGAAACAACAAAGAAAUUCAUCAUUGAAUUAAUUAAGUAACAUCCACUACAGACUAUGUUAAUUAAUCGUUACAUGAUAAAAGAAAAGAAAACAACUGACCUUAAGAGCCUUAUGAUAGGCAAAUCCAGGAAGAUUGAUAGCCAUGGCUCUAACUCCACAGUUAAGUUUAGUGUAUUCCCUCUCCAAAGCCUCGAGUACAUGGUCACUCUCAGAGCUAAGAAAAAUAUACAUGAUUAUCCUGAACGUAAGCCUCCGGAGUUGAGUUAAGAAUUCGAUUCGUUCCAAAUUGGACCAUUUGUCUAAGGCAGAGGUCACAAUGUCUUCAAUGUAAUGCACAUAGACAGACAAUGCUUCAUGACCAUUGACAGGAGCGGCCGUUAAGCGACGAAGACGCUUGUGUUCUUCGUAGGAAAUGCCAAUAAAUGAUUUCUUCCCAAUGAGUUCCAUCGUGGAAGCUGGCCAUCCGGGCUUGAAUGCAUCAUCAUCCGUUAGUACUCUUUUGCAGGUUUCGGGCGUUGUAACUAUUAUACUUGGGUUCCCGAACAUGAAUGCCUUGUACAUUCCCGUCCGUCCGAAUCUAAUCAAUUUUUCAUUUCGAAACAAAAAUUAAAUAAAAUGAUAAUAAUAAUAAUUAUUAGCACUUUAUUAUUUAGUAGACUGCAUGUAUAUAGGACAUUUAGUUAUUGGUUCAGGCCAAGAUUUCUUUCACUAUUAAUUAAUAGCUACUAAAUACAACAAUGUUAUGAAAACGCGGAACACCUUACAUCUUCAAGUCACAUCCUUUAGAUUAGAAACUAUCAGUCUUUUUAAUUAUUCGUGAUUUUUCUCAAUUUUUUUGUGGAACCCCAACCCACACUAAUAAAUAUCAUUAGAUAAAUGGACCUUACUGGCCUCCGCUCGUAACCCCACUACCUACUAUCACCAGAUAAUGGCGCUCUAUCAAUGAUUUAUUGAAAUUGCCUCCAUUAGGUAAAUCUUUUUUGUUCACCAAUUUUUGAAUUAAAAGAAAAAAAAAAUUAUCACCAACAGUGUAUUAAAAAUCUAUUAGCUAUUAUCUCAUCAACGCUGAAUGAGUAUAUAAAAAAAAAAAAAGAUUAAAUUGAGGGGGGAAAAAAAGAGAGAGAAGUAAAACAAUUUAAUUAUUAGAAUAUAUAAAUAUAAUAAAAUGAAAGAUACAGUGUGUCAAAAGAAAAAAUGAAAAGUGAGGAAGGAGAUGAAGGAAGCGGUGGAGAUGAUGAGAUGAAAGCUGAGAGGAACUGGGAGUGGGAAGGCGAAAAUUGCAAAAAUGGGGUUGGAUUUGGGAUUGGGGGAUGGGGGAUGGGCUAAAAAUAUAAAAAAGAUCGACUGACGGUGGCGGUGGAAAUAAGUAGGAGUUUUGCAUAAAUAUAUUAGGACCAUGAGUAUGGCAGUGAAAAUGACAAAAAGGAGUCUGUAUGAACCGUUGCCGUGUGACGUCUUUGAUUCCCGUACUCAUUAACGUACAUAGAGAUGAGAUGGAAUGGGAUGAGAUGCUGCAAUACAAAUACAAAUACAAAGACACAAUAACACAUCACCCCCCAUUUAUGGCCACACCAUUACCAUACCCCAUGGCAUUUUGGUACUUUUCUAAGAUCUAAGGCACACCAACGCAACGAAUUUGGUUAGCUAAUAGCUAACAAAAAUAUAAUAGAAGAACUCAAAAGAAAAUGAAAACAGACAGAGAGAGGGGUACCUGGAGACGAAGCUAUCCACGAAGGAAUCAGGGUGAGUGGUCUUGAAAGCUCUGAGGAAAGACCACAUAUUUCCGAUGAAAGGCCAUCCCAUAUCACCCGGUGGAAGAGAGUACUGCUUUUCACCUAAUUUUCUUUCAUACAACCACCAAUUAACUCUCUUCAUGACCCAUUUCAGAAUCAUCAUUGAACCACCAAUCAUGCUUCCCACCACCCCCACCCCCCAAAUCCAACUCCAACUGCUAUCGGAAUUCAUCAUCCACUCCAUUUUUCGAUCGAUAAACCACCCAACCAACACCAUCACCUUUAACUCACCACCCCUUAAUACUGUUAAUAAUAAAGACUCGUAGUGAGGCUCAGAGCUGAGACAUUCCUCUCAGUCUCUUUCCUUGUACUAUAUGCCCCCCCACACACACACACCCACCCCACAGUCAACUGGAGUUAUUAUAUAUUGAGGGGGUGAUUUUUAUUUGGAAGGGCGGGAGGGUAUAGAUAAUUAAGGAAACCUAAGCUUGCCGGCCCAUAUCUGUUUCUUUGUCCUCCUCUCAAUAAAAAUAGACAUUGAGGGGGUGAUUUUCAUUACCUUUUCUAUUUCUCACAUCCCCUUUUUUUCCCCCCUCUCUUCCUUUUUUUCAACUUAUACCUUAUUUCUUCUUUCCUUGUAUAAAAUAAACUAUCUGAAAUAUUUUUGCAUAAUAUAAUUACUAAUAACAGCCUUAUUCCCUAUGUGGAUAAUCAACCAAAUGAAUUUCUUUCAUUUCUAGUGUUAUGUCGUCAACAAUAAUCAUUUUAGGCAUUCUUGCUUAAUGACUGACAGAAAAGUUUCCAUCAUCAUUAUUUGGAUUCCUAGUCAGAUCCAAAACAAUAAAUCUAUGGGAAAAUAACAAGCACACCCCCAACCUUUAAGUAAAGGGAUAAAAAAUUUUCUAACAUUUUAAAAAAAAUAUUUACACCCUAAUUUAUUAUAAUUUUGCCAUUAUAUCCUUCUAGCAUAUAAAAAAAUUAUUAGAUUAUUCAAUUUAUCUAGGGAUGGCAAUGGGGAGGGGAGGGGAGGGGAGGGGACUAAUCUCUCCAUACCCAUCUCCGAUAUUUUGCGUAUGUCCCCGUCCCCUCCCCAUCCCCGUCAGAAUUGCUUGAAAGAAUCUUCAUCCCUUCCCCAAAUAAUAACAGGGGAUCCCUGAGGAUUCCCGAUCCUCUAAUAACUAAUACAUAUUUUUUUUAUUUUUGAUUUUGAAUUAAUUAUAUUAAAAUAAAAAAUUCAAACAAAAGUAAAGUUCGAAAUAUAUUUUACAUUAACAUUGAUCUAUUAUAAAAGUCACAUGCAAAAUACAAAUUAUCAAAAUAAUUAUCUUUGUCAAUCUUCAUAAUCCUACAAUAAAAAGAAAAAGAAUUUACUUUUAUAUCGACAAUAAAAUAAAUGAAAUAAAUGUAGAUACUUAAUUAAUAUUUUUAAUAAAACAAAAUUAAAAUUAAAACAAAAUUUUUGGGCUAAUAGAAUCUACCCGACCUUUUUAAUGUCCUAAAUAAAAAUUUAAGAGGGGAUGGGGAUUCCACCUCAUCCCCGCCCCUUCCCCGAAUAAGAAACUGGGUAAAAAAAUUUUCUCGUCCCUUCCCCGAAUAAGAAAUUGGGUAUAAAAGUAUCCUCGUACCCUCCCCAAAUGGGAAAAAUCCCCGAAGGUACCCGUCCCCAUGGGAAUUUUUGCCAUCCCUAAAUUUAUCUAUAUAUUGCUAAUAAAAUUAUAAAUAUACCCUCAUUGCCUCAUUCCUCUAUUUAAAUUUUUAUCAAUAACCAAUUUUCAAAAAAGACAUCUACACACUUAAAAAAAAAUUGUAAAUAAAUUAUAAUUUUAAAAAUAAAAUUGGUUAUUAAUACCAUAAUAAAUAACAUAGAAAAUUGGUUAUAAAUGUACAAGUUUAAAUGAUUGACAUGUGGAGAAUUGUUAAAUAUACAAGUUUAAAAUUUAAAUAAAAUUGAUUAUUAAUAACUAAUUUUAUUUUUAAAAUUAUAAUUUAUUUACAAUUUUUUUAGGUGUAUAGAUGUCUUUUUUGAAAAUUAGUUAUUGAUAAAAAUUUAAAUAGAGGAAUUGGGCAAUGAGGGUAUAUUUAAAUUUUUUUUAUAAUGUCGAAUUUAUCUAUUUACAAUUUUAUUAACAAUAUAUAGACAAAUUGGAUAAUUUAAUAAAAAAAUUUAUAUGUUAGAAGGGCAUAAUGGUAAAACUAUAAUAAAUUGGGGUGUAAAUAUCUUUUUUAAAACGUUAGGGGGAUUUUUAUCCCUUUGCCUAAAUGUUGGGGGUGUGUUUGUCAUUUUUCCUAAAUCUAUAUACCCUUGUUAACAUUAAUUUCUGUCCAACUACUCAUUUACCUUGCAUCUGUCACAACGACACAUGUAAGAUAUGAUACACAAUAAUUUGAAAUUAAUAAAAAUUAAGAAAAAAAGGAAUAAAUAGCUAAAACUGAAGUAAAUUUCCUAAACUUUUGCGGGCGCCCUUAAAAUUCAUAUUCACAAUUAUGAUCUGCACAUAAUUAUUGGAACACAAUCAAAGUUACUACUCUAGUGAGUUUGAUAAUGCUGAAUCUUUUAAAAUGAUUGCUGAUAGUUGUGUUGUAUAAAUAAUGAACUGUAAAAAAAAUCAGUUAAACAUUUAGAAAAAUUUAUUUUUAAAACUACUGUGAGUUUUAAAAGUAGUAACAUGUAUUUAAUAAAUCUUAUUAUCAAACUAUUAUAAGAAUAUAAAUGACUGAAUUACACAUUAUAUUAAAUAAAAUUUAUUUAAAUAUUUAUAAACAUGUAUAUAAAACAUUUUUUAUUGUGUACAUAUAAUAUCUUAUAUUGUUUAUUUUAUUUUAUUAUCUCAAUAUAAUUAGUAGUUUUUGCGGUUAAUGAUUUUAUUUUCUAAUUAAUAAGGAUAAUUUUGUGUUUUUGUAAUUUAUAUGAAGAUAUAUACGAAAUUACAUUAAAUAUGAAAAUAAUUUUCAAAAUUAGAUUUUGAAAAGCUACUUAUUUUUUACUUUUCAAAAUCUAUUAUAAGAUAAAGUGAUUUUAUCAAAAGUAAUUUUUUAAAAAAUUUAUCAAAUACUAAAAAUUAAUUUUUAUCUUUUUAAAAUAACUUUUAAAUCCCAAACGGAGCCUUUAAUCUUAUUUAGAUCACCCUUUACUUCCGCCUAAGUAUUCCCGAUUGAUACAGUAGUCAAUAUGCAAAAAUCGACCUUUAAAUAAAUGAAAGGCUUGAAGUGAAGUGAGAUGUAGUCAUGUAGAGGAUCGAUCCGACUAAAAUUGACAAAUAUGUUCAUGUUGCAUGUAUUUUCAAUAAAAGUAGGGAUUCGCAUAAAAACUAGUGGUUCUUUUUUUUUUAUUAUUAUAUGAGAUUAUUGCUCAAGAGUACAAAUUAUAUUACAUGAGAUUAUAAUUAAUAUUUACAAAUCAGACUGUUACUAGGACUAGUUUACAUUAAUUUACAUUAAUUCUUAUGAAGUAUCGCCUAGAUUUUAACCCUCUCUAAUAUUCGAGGAACGUCUACUCUACUCACAUUUCGAAAGAGAGAAUAUUAUUUUCACUCAAAUUGAGAAAGAAAAUUAAACCCCACGAUACAUCGUGGGGACUCAAAUCCAUAACCUCACACUUGUGAGGUUUGGGUAUAGACUUAAAAAAAAAAAAAACUAGUGGUUCUUAAAUAGUAAAUUCCAAAGCUGCACAAAAUUUUAAAACAACUUUGGGAAAAGGCCAUACUGAGUGUCCCUUAAAGUUACAACCACAACAAUGGGGCUCGUGCUAACUAUUUCAUAAUUCUUUUUUUUCCUCAACCAAAAUUUAUCCUUUAUAUAUUUAAUGUGAUGUACACAAACAAACCCUUUUUUUUUUUCUUCGAAGCUGAAGACACACUAACACUUUUUUUUUAUUACAUGAUAUUGAUUACAACUUAUAUUUACAAAUCAGAUUAUUAUUGAGAUCAAUUUACAUAUACUUAUGGAGCUCUACAUAGAUUUUUAAUCAACUUACGUAUACUUAUGGAGCUCACUAUUACUAGACCAACUUACAUAUACUUAUAGAGCUCUGCUUAGAUUUUUAACCAACUUACAUAUACUUAUAGAGCUUUACCUACAUUUUUAAUCAACUUACAUAGACUUAUGGAGCUCUACAUAGAUUUUUGAUCAACUUACAUAUACUUUUGGAGCUCACUAUUACUAGACCAACUUACAUAUACUUAUAGAGCUCUGCUUAGAUUUUUAGCCAACUUAUAUAUACUUAUAGAGCUCUACCUACAUUUUUAAUCAACUUACAUAUACUUUUGGAACUCUGCCCAAAUUUUUAACCAACUUACAUAUACUUAUGGAGCUCUGGCCAGAUUUUUAACCAACUUACAUAUAUUUAUGAAACUUUACCCAAAUUUUUAUAUUCGAGAGAUGUGUACUCCAUUCACACUUGGAUAAGGGAUAAAACUAUAUUCACUCAAUUAUACAUUGUAAUUAAAGAAGAAAAUACCUCACAUUGCGUUUGUAGGGGUUCGAACUCCAGCUCUUUGGCCGAGUAACAUACAAGCACUCUGAUUCUUGAUAUGCACUUGCCACAAUUGUGACUCUACAGUACUAGCGCAUAUUUUCAUUUAAUGUAACAUAAUUAGUAGGCCAUGCUUAUUAAUCCGCCUUAAUUAUUUUAAGCAAAAUUAUUUAGGCGAACAAAAUAGAAAGACAAAACAAGGCCAAUCCCGUUGACAAUUGUUCGUUCACAACCAUCUAAAUCUAAUUUCCGCUGCUGCCUUGUGCUACACAUAGAUAUCUGGAGAUAUUAAGACUUUGAUUCAAGAUACACAAAUAAAGUAAAAGAUUUGUUUUAAUCAUCUGAAUCAAAAAAUAUUUUUUUUUUCUAAUUCGAAUUUAGAAAAGGAAGAUUUUAUUUAUUUAUUAAAAAAAAAAAUUUUGUAGUAGGGUAGAAUUCCAAUUGCAAUAGAAACUGAUUUUUUUUUUUUUUUUUGUAAUACAGCUAGUCCAACAUCUAAUUGAUUUGAUCGGAUAAAUUAAUAGCGAAGAAAAAAGGGGGACAACAAAUAAGCUUUCGAUCACUGCUUUGCCUACCGUACAAGGGUUGUGUUGCUGUCCUGCAUGACGGAAGACGGAUGUCAAGUCCUAGGACAGCUUAUCUCUAAAUAACAACGGUCAAUGCUCAACUCCUGAAAUAAAUAAAUAAUGCGGUCUGCGAGAAUCCAAAAAAUUAUUCCUAAAUCUCCUGCACUUACUAACUUCCGGUGCCGUCGGUGCAGUUGUGACAUGCAGAGAAGAACUACCAAGACAAAAGAAAGAGGAUGCCCCAAAAAACAGAUCAAAACAAAAUAACAACACUACAACAGCCUUCAACAUAGCCCUGUUUAGUGUUAAUGAAUUAAACAGAUCAAAUAUAUAUACUCGUUCAUGGACCAUAGAAAAGCCUCGUCACACAACCAGGACUUCGGUAAUUGUAAAGACGUUAACUUCAAGUUCAAGAAAUGCAUUUUGGGUGUCGCUCAUAAAGAUUAUUAUGAGUCCCCGCAUUUUGGUAUCGCAUUCGCGCGUGUCCUAUCUCGCAACAGAACAUGAGUUUUAUAUUACAAGUUGCCAUUUAAAAAUAAGUUUUUAUCAUGCAAAAAGAAAACAAAAGAAAAGAAAACAAACAACAAAGGUUUCCACACCCAACACA